rnacentral:lncRNA from 1 species
AGAUAUCUAGACAAAACAUCAAACAGGUCACGAAGGACUCUCGGCGAGACCCAUUUUUUAACUUCAACCAAUCGAGAUCAAUAAAAUCCCAAGGAUUUUCCCUUCGACUGAAACGAAACUCGCGAACCUACUUCAGACAGCUUCACUCUCCUAUAUCUCGGUUCAAAGGUGGAUGGACACAGAUCCCGAACGAUGGAGCAGAGCGAUGAGGAGACUCUGAACACGUAAUCGACUCUAAAGGUCGAUCGGAAUAGAAACGACCUGGCAGGGGUAGUGCCGAUUCCUAUCCUCCUUGGUUCCCUUCAGCCGAGCUCUUCGAUGGCCAAAUCCUUUUUCAAGCGAGCGUCCAGCAUCCUCUCCUUCUCGCUCUCGGCUGACUCUCUUUCUCCCCCGUGAAUGUCUCUUCAGCCUAUCUCUCUCCAACUUGCCUCUUCAACGGCCGCCCUCUCCGAAGACCGGCGGCAUCUCUCCUCCUCCUGUUAUGCGAACAGGAUCCUCUUGAGGCAAGCAUCCUUUCCGGCGAGCAGCUCCUAUCUCAUCUUUUCCUCCCGGAUCAGCACAAUCCCCUCGCCUCACCGAUCGAAUCUUUCUGUUAUUUCUCUCGCACGACAGCUAGCACGGCUCUAGAAGGUGCUGGCUCAGCUCUCGUCACGGCUUGUCGCGCCUCCUUCGCUCACAGACGCACGCACGCUUGGCCUGUCUUUCUUCCUUGCGUCACGGACGCUGUGCUCGCUGGGGAAGUUGAGGGGGAAGCGCGUGAGGGAAGAGAGAGGAUGGGGCUGGGCUUUCUUUUUGUUUGGUUCUACGACGGGCCAAGAAAAUACAAAAGGAGGUGGGCCGAACGAAUUAAAAGAAAUGGGUUGGACUAAUGGAGGGAGGGGGCUUAGAAGGCUCAAAACUUUGCCAAGGGGCCGGCCCACAUGACUUCAUUUCGAUUUUUUUUAUAUCUUUUUUAUUUUUUUCUUAUUAUCUUUUUCAUAAAUUUUCAGAUUUUUGUAAAAUAAAUGGAUUCCUAAAAUGUCAACAAAAUUUGGGUGUCAACAAUCUUGACCAGAGUCGAUAAUGACGAUGUUGCCUAUAGUGGUAUCAAAAGUCAAGGUGGCGAUGUUGGGUUUCAGAUAUUUAACUGUUCCCAUAUUGCCUAAAUAUGGGCUGUUUUUGUAGAUAAAUCUCACACAACUUUAAGAGUGGGGAUGUUGGUUUUUAUUUACGUCUCCGAUCCCAUAUUACCUAACUAGACUUAUAGCACUUAAAGUAAGCACGGGUGAGUUGUGACCAAAGCAGGCAGUAUUGCGCUCAAGUUUGGACGGGGAUGUCUACGACAAUAAGGUGAAACUUCAAAGAGUAAGACAAUGGUCAAGUCGAGCUUGAUGCAAUGAGACCACUCGUUGAAGAAUAGUCGUUAGAGAGCUUACACAUCUCGUAUGCUAGUUUCAAGAAGGGGUUUUAACCCUUGCAACCGCUGAACUAGGUAAACUACUUAAUCAUCUCAUCUAUUGUCGACAACUUGUCCAAAUUCCAUAGAUACAAAAAGAUGAUUUGAAAUGUAGACACUCACCCAUUGAGAUGCAAUAGUUAUUUCCAAGUAAUUAAUCAUCUUAUUUCUUCCCUUGAUUUUUUCCUCUUAAGCUUACAGAGCCAAACACAUUAAUUCCAAAAGUGGUUAAUUUCUUAGAACCGAUCCAUCGAUAAGAACAUCUCAAAAUUCAGUAAGAAAAAAAAGAUAUCCAAGGAAUUAGCCCUCUUAUUUCUCCUCUCUCUCUCUCUCUCUCUCUCUAAAACUCUAUAUAAACAGUACAAGUUGCCUUCCUAUGGCAGCAAUUUAGCUUCAACAAUUCCAUAGCUAUCAUUAUUUCCUGAUCUCCUCCCAGUUGACUUUACCGCAAGUAGCAUCAUCAAAUUUCAGAAGGUUCAACAAUCCUCUCCCAAGUCUUCUCUUUCGUGAUCGAUCUUCAAGAUUCAAGCGCCGAGAAACUCAUGGGGUACGUGGUCAUCAUGUCGCUCCCAAUGGCGAUCUUCCUCCUCGUCAUGAGCUUCGACUGCUGCUACAUGGGGAAGCAAAAGGGCGGAGAGGAGGCACAAGCCCUCGUCACGCAGGAGCUCGUGGCAGUCAACGGCAUCCCACCCCUGCCUCUGCCAACCAGGUUGGCCAUGCCGCCUUCGCCACCAGGAGUCGCUAUGGCACCGCCUCAGUUCUUCCCUUCUCCAUCUCCUUAUAAUCCAAAUCCUGCCUGUGUCAAGCAAGAAAGUGCUCGUUGAUUUUUUUUUUUAAGCAUCGUGAGUGCCACUUGUUUCAUGCUAUCAAUGAGUUCCAUGAAGUUCUUCCAAGACAUGUAUAAUUUCUUCUUUGCCCGAACAUGUAAAAAGUAAUAGUAUGUAACAAAUAACACAAUUUUCAUUUGCUAUAUAUUUUGCAUUUACCAAUAAUAUUUGAAACUUGAAGAGUGAAAUUGAGAAACAUAAGAAGAAUAAAUCCUCGCAACUGUACUUCAAGAUAUGACCCACCAAUCCACACACGACAUAUCUCCCGGCUUCACCUUCAAGUCCCAAACCGGAUCUCUUGUUACUACAGUUCGAUUGCCGGACUUCAAGAGAAGCUGAAGUUGUGUUGCCUCGGAUGUUUCUAGCUCAACAUUUUCCUCAAUGCACUUCUUUUAAGUGAUUUCUGAGAUAGCUAGUAUAAGCAACUAGAGGGGGGUGAAUAGGUGUAAAAAUAAUUUAUCGUGAUAAGUGAGCAAUACUAAACAGACAAUAGAAAGGAAGUUCUCAUUUUGUUAACAAAACGAAUUAUGAUCAAAGUAAAGGAGAGUAGGGAAGAGAAAAUGAACACAAAAAUUAUAGUGGUUCGGCUUAUUCCAAGCCUACAUCCACUCUUCCACACUGACAUUCCACCGGCUGGAUUUCACUAUGAACAAAAGAGUUGUUAUAGGAAAGCUCUCCUUUGAUUCCACAGUAUAGAUACUCUACCACACUUCCUCAAGGUUUCUCAAAGAUAUAGACUCUCUUUUGCGUACAAGAUUUCGCUCAGUAAAUGAAUUGACUAAGAACAAAGAGCUUCAGACUUUGGAAUUCUUCUAUCGCGCACACACUCGAACAACUGGAACGUCUUCCUUAUAUACUCCUUUAUGCCAUCAUACCCGUUGGCACUUACCAAAGGAAUUCUUCCAAUCUUCCCAUUGGACAUAAUCAAUGAGGAAGAUCAUUCGAGCUAUUUAAGGAACAUGACGAUAGCCCAUCAAUCAUGCUCGCCCAUACAAUCAGGAUCUCGGUUUCCAUAAGUAGAACCUUCUAAGUAUACUUCGCCAAUCAUCGGAUCCUCAAUCUCUGAAUCAAUCUUGAUUCGAAUAAAGGAUUCCAUUAUGUCAUAUCUAGCCAAGAGAUCUUCUCCAGUCGAUAAGGUCAAAUCCUUAACGAAACAUCCAGUCCUGGAUAGGCCUUCUUCAACAAACUAGAAACUGUCAAUGAUAAUAGACUUUGAGUCUUGAGUUUGGCAGUCCGGAGGUCUUCAGGCUUUAAAUAGUAGAGUCUGCAAAUCUUCAGACUAGACUGAUGGAAACGUUUUGUCAGCUUCAAAACACUCCAGGAAGAUUUCUCCAACAAUCUCUCCCUUUUUGAUGGUGACAAAACUUUUCUACAGAUUUGGAUAACUUUGACCUGCAAAACAAUACUCAAGCAAAUAUGGAUAUCUCAUAAAGAUAAAUGGCUUAGUGAUAACACUAGAAUCUGCAACCACAGAAAAUAGGUUAGUCUUUUAGAUGAGUAAAGCCAUAAGAUAUCAAUAGUACUUAAGAUAAACAAAUGUUCAAACAGUCAAACCCAAAAUCCAAUCCACAGCCAGACACAAAAGUCAAGUGAAAACAAACAUCAAAACAAAUCAAGAGUUCAAAAAGUUCAAAGUUCAAAUCUGCAUCACAUCUCUCCUCCUUUUUUGUCAUCAUUAAAAAGGUAGAGAUGGAAAGAGAAUGGAAUUAAGAUUGCUUGGGAACACGAACAAGCUGGAAAUCUCCCAUUGACUGGACAAUGCCUUCCAGCUUUUUCAAUUCCUCCUUCAGUUGAGCCACAUCUUCACCCUUAGCAUUUGCUUAAACCUGAAUAGUAAGGGCUUGCAUUUGAUCAUUCAAAGAAAUUGAAGAAGCUUGACCUGCAGUCUACAAAUUCUGUACUUCGCAUCCCAGAGCAUAUAUUUGACCCCGCAUCUCUAAAAGAACAUCAAGAAUUCUGCGAAAAUCUGCUGAAUUAUCAGUCUGCGUACUGGCUUCUACACGAUCAGAUGGAGUAAAGGCGGACGAUGGCAAAUCAGCAUAGUCACGCAGAUUGGGCGAUGAAACAUCAUGUCCCUCCUCAGGAAAUUGAGAGGCAUAGAUGUCCUCUAGAUCUGCUGGAGAGCGGCUUACUCCUUCACUGGUGGCAGGGUAUGAGGACAUUCCUCUUUUCUCAUGAUCUCCCCCUGUUUCCAUGCCUUCAGGUGGAGAAGAGUGUUCCUCAUGCUCUGCUUCCACUUGAUCUCCUCUCUCCUCCUCUUCUUCUUCUUCUUCAAAAUUUUCUCUUUCUCCAGUCCUCUGUUCUGUUUCAUCUGUGUCUUUCUCUUGUCGUUUCGUUGAUUCUAGAACAGAACGACUCAGGUUCUUCAAUGCCAUUGCAGAAAUGGUGAUGUUAUCCUCAUCUUCUUUAUCCUCAACGAUGAGAGCUCUUCUUUUCUUGGAUGGAACAACCAUGGGCUCCUUCCCUUUUCUUUUUGCUGCCGAAGAGAUUUGAUGAGUCUUAACAGGGGUUUUCUCCUUGAAUUUCUCCAACGCCUUGUUGAGUUCCUUCAAACGCAUUUUAGACACCAUUUUCAGUCCCACUACCAUUUGAUCACAAGUUCUAACACAGAGAAUUCAGGGAGGCUGAACAUUCAAAUGUCUGAAUAACUUGGUCACAAGAGCUGGAUAAGGAAGUUGACCCUUGUCCUUCACCACUGCUCUGUACAUGUGGAACAUAAUAGUGUGAGGAAGAGAGAACUUUUUCCCAGCAUUGAUGGCAUACAUCAGCUUUGCCUAUGAGUUUGAAACAUCAGUCUUUGAAGUAGAUUUUGGUCUGAGGCAAAUAAUCACAAUCUUGUGAAGUAGAAUGUUGAACACACUCAUCCUCAAGUAGGAAAUCUUUCCCUCUGUCCUUUUAUCCUUAACAAGUUCCAACGUAGCACAAGCAAUAGACACAUUGAUAGGUUAAUAUCUCCCUCUUUCAACCCCAAUCAGCCACAAAGUCCUGAUCUUGGACACUAAAAGAGAAUCUAUUCGCAUCCAAGAAACUUAGAUUCGAAUAGAAAUAAGCAGUGAGUUCAGCAUAGGCUUUUGUAGAUUCAGAACAAAACUGUUCAAGUUGAAAAAGACUGAAUUUUUCCCGCAAAUUAACGUUCACAGAGUCAAGAAAAUCAAAAUCCACACUUCUAGAGUUUAUCACCCCACGCUUCAACAACUUAGAGUAUAGAUGCUUAUGUUCCUCUGAUCGAAACAAGUCUGUCCUUUUGCUCCGAAUUUGACCCAUUCUCGGUUUAAACUGACUGUACAACUUGUCAUCAUCAUUCCCAUCUAGCUGAUUCAGCCCUCCAACACGUGGAUCGCUUGGGAUAUUUGCCAUUGCCUCUUCCGCCAACCCAGCAUGGGCAAUUCCCAACCGUUCCAUUGUGCGUAAAAAGAAUAUUUCAUUUUUAUACCCUUUGUCUUUUAGAAAUUCAUCAAUAUAGUUCAAAGGAGUUCCACCCAUUUUCAAAGCACGAUAAAGCUUGUAGGUAAAAGAGGGCUUAAAAGUUCUUACGGGUUAUGCAUCUUUGAUUAUUUCUUCCUCUUCUGGAUGAGCAACAUCCUGUGGUCUAGAUGGAGGAGAUGGACGCUGCUGAGAAUGUUGUGGGCUCUGCUGCUGACUAGGAGACUCUUCUUCCUCGGUGAGAUCAAAGUGCAUAGGCCCCUCACGCAUUUGCUACGGUCCCCUGUUCACGAUCCUCGAAGACUUCCUUUGAGACGACAUCUUUCACAGUCUUUGAAAGAUUCCAAACUUGUUUUUCCCAAGAAAGAUGACAACUUUUCGAAGAUUAAACAAGAGAAGAAGACAGAAGUGGAAGAUCGAUGCUUUUUAGGAUUUUUGGAGUAAAUUGAAGAGGAACCAACAGUAUAUAGGAUAGUCGAAGAGAGGCAUACAAAACAUCGUAAAGGAAAGUACAAAGAUGCCUUUAAAAAAAUAACUGCCUUUUUCAAAAAUUAGAUAACUGUCAUUUAAAAAUAACUCAAUUUUCGAAAAAGAAAGAUUGCAAUAAUCAUGGAAAUUGAAAAUAGCAAAAAUCAAUUAUGGAUAGAUGAUCGUACCUUUUCGAGAUUUAAUCUGAGAGAGAAAAAAAUAACUUACAGUCAAAAAUCUUGAUUGUCUGAGUCUGAGAAUCUCUAGACUUUUACUUCUUCAAACCUCAAGAUGUUGAGUCUGGAACGAAUAACUUCAAAUUGAUUUUUCUCCAAAGGCUUUGUAAAUAUAUCCGCCAGUUGAUUCUUUGAGUCAACAAACUGAAUCGAAACUUCUCCAUUUUGAACAUGAUCUCUAAUGAAGUGAUGUUGAAUCUCUAUAUUUUUUGCUCUUGAGUGAAGAAUUGGAUUCUUGGUGAGAUUGAUUGCACUGGUGUUGUCACACUUAAUCUCCGUGCAUGAAUCUUCAAUUCCAAAGUCUCUUAGUUGUUGUUUUAUCCAUAGAAUUUGUGAACAACAACUUCCAAGAGUUACAUACUCUGCUUCUGCUGUAGAAAGAGCUAUUGUAUUUUGUUUCCUUGAAAACCAAGACACUGUCCUGCUUCCAAGUAGUUGACAGGUACCCGAGGUGCUCUUUCUAUCAACUCUGCAUCCGGCUAGGUCUGCGUCUGAGUAUCCAAGAAGAGUAAAGUCUCCCUUUUUAGGAUACCAAAGUCCAAAGUUUGAAGUUGAUGCUAUGUAUUUGAUAAUAUGCUUUGCAGCACUUAGAUGAGAUUCUUUAGGGUCUGCUUGAAAUCUGGCACAAAUGCAAACACUAAACAAAAUGUCAGGUCUAGAAGCAGUAAGAUAAAGAAGUGAACCAAUGAUACUCCUGUAUAGCUUCUGGUUAACUUUCUUUCCUCCUUCAUCUUUGUCUAUCUUCAAGGAACUUGACAUUGGUAUAUCAGUCUUUUUGCAAUUUUCCAGUCCAAACUUUUUGACAAGAUCAUUAGCAUAUUUUUCUUGAUGAAUAAAAGUUCAUUCCUUCAAUUGUUUCACUUGAAGCCCGAGAAAGAAGGUUAGUUCACCCAUCAUGCUCAUUUCAAAUUCAUCAUGCAUAGACUUAGAGAAUUUCUUGCACGGACUUUCAUUAGAGGAUCCAAAAAUAAUAUCAUCAACAUAUAUUUGAACAAGGAGAAAAAUUUUGCUUUAACUUUUGAUAAACAGUGUAGUGUCUACUUUACCUUUAACAAAGCUGUUUUGAAUUAAAAAUUUACUCAACCUGUCGUACCAAGCUCGAGGUGCUUGCUUUAAACCAUAUAAAGCCUUUUUCAGUCUGAAUACUAAGUCUGGUUUCCUUGGGUCUUCAAACCCAGGUGGUUGUUCCACAUAGACUUCCUCAUGGAUAAAUCCAUUCAGGAAAGCACUUUUGACGUCCAUUUGGAAUAACCUGAAAUUCUUAUAACAAGCAAAAGCAAGUAAUAAUCUAAUUACUUCUAACCUCUCUACUGGUGCGUAAGUCUCAUCAUAGUCUAUCCCUUCUUCUUGCGUAUAUCCCUUGGCCACGAGUCUUGCUUUGUUUCUUACGACCUUUCCUUUCUCAUUCAUCUUGUUCCUGCUUUCCCAAUACACAUGGUGUACAUAGAUUAGUCUUUUGGUAUGACAGAUUGGGUAGAUCACAAAUAAGCUUCUUUGCUAAAAUUUUGGCUAUUUGCUUCAUAUUGAUGUGCCCAAGUUUUCUGUGCCAUAAGUUUGUUUCAUCUUGAAUUGAGAUUAGACAUUGGGUUUCAUCAGGUUUAACAUCCAAGAGGUAGAUGUUUCCAUGUCUUCGACCCAUGAAUGACUGAGUGGAAUCUUUACUGGUUCCUGAACAUAUUCUCUCUUGAAAGUUGAUUUUGAAACCGGUAUCGCACAGCUGACUGAUACUAAGCAAAUUGUAGUUGAGUCCUUCCACUAAGGAAACAUUACUGAUUGUGAGGUUUCCAAUCUUUACAGUUCCGAAUCCCACAAUUCUUCCUUUGCUGUUUCCUCUAAAUGAAACUUUUCCACCAUUUACUUGAACAAGCUUUAUGAAGCAAUUUGAAUCUCCUGUCAUAUGUCUUGAGCAUCCACUAUCAAAAUACCAUUUUACCUUCUUCUUGAUAGUGACCUGCAUUUAAAAAAGAGACUCAAACUUUCUUUGGUACCCAUAUUUUCUUGGGUCCAUUGGUGUUAGUAUGAUAUGCGGUUUUUGCCCAUACUUUCUUAACAGGUUUCCAAACCAUAUGACAUUCUUUCUCAAAAUGAUCUGAACUAUUGCACUUAGAACAUCUGAGAGCAUUUCGACCUACUGGUUUUACAAAAACUUUUUGGAAAUGAUUUUUAUAAGCAUCUCUUGUGGGUCUUUGCUUAAUUCUUUCAUUCACUUUAGGAAAAUCAAUUAAAGAAAUGGUUUCCACAGUCAUUCUCAAACCAGAUUUAUUGAAAUAAGGUCUUUGUGCUGAAAGAAUUUUCUCAAGUUUCUCAGAUCCUAUAGAAAAUCUUUUGGAAAUAUUUGCUAUGUCAUUUUUUAAAAAUGCAUUUUCUUUCGAAAAGUUGUCUUCAUUUACUUUUAGAGUAGAAACAUUCAUGUCUAAACAUUUAACCUUUUCUUUCAAAAUAUUUUCUUGUUGUUUUAGUGCAGAAUUUUCUUUUUUAAGUUUGGAAAUCCUUUUAAGAGAAGUCUUGAGACUAAAACACAACUCAUCAAUGUAUUUAGAAACUUUAGUAGGGAUUUUAAAGUUACUCACAUCAAGUUCACUGUCUGAAUCUGAGUCUGUCUCGGAGUUUGAAUCUGAAUCCGAUUGUGCCAUUAGACAUAUAUUGGCAUAAUCAUCAUCACUUUCUUCACAUUCUGUAUCACUCCAGGUUUCUGCUUUGAGAGCCUUUCGAUAUUUUUCAGCUUUUCCUUUCUUCUUCCUUAGAAGGGGACAGUUGGGUCUGAUGUGUCUCUUUUUCUUACAUUCAAAGCAGACUACAUCUCUAUUAGAUUCAUCAUCCUCAACGGACUUAGUCUGUUGCUUUUGAAAACUCUGUUUCUUUGGAUUGAAUCUUCUUCCUUUUCUAUUCAGCUUUCUGAAUCUUCUUAUCAUGAGAGCAAGUUCCUCAUCAUCCAUAUCGUCUUCAGAAUCUGUAACAUCAGAAUCAUCAUUGGAUUUUAAUGCAAUGGAUUUCUUACCUUUAGGAUCUUCGUCUUCAUUGAUUCGCUCCACUUCAUAAGACUGAAGAGUCCUAACCAACUCAUCGACAGAUAGUGGCAUAAUUCUUUGUGUCUCCCUUAUUGAGGUCUUUAUGUGAUUCCAAUCCUUGGAGAGUCCACGCAAUAGCUUGUUUACUUUCAUGAGAUCAGAAAUUGGUUGACCUUGAUUUUCAAGACCAUUCACGAUUUUUGUAAAACAACUAAACAUGUCAGUUAUAGAUUCUCCUGAUUUCAUUUUGAAGGCUUCGUAUUGACCUAGGAAAAUGUUGAUUCUGGUUUCUUUCACUCGAUCAGUUCCUUCAUAGGUGAUAUGUAAUCUAUCCCAAACUUCUUUGGCUGUAACACAAGAAGAUAUUCUGUUAUAUUCAGUAGGUGAUAAAGCGCAAUAUAAAGAAUAAAUUGCUUUUGCAUCAAGAACUUGUCUCUUGGUUAUCUCUUCCUGAGUCAUUUCACUAGACUCAACAACUUCUUUUCCUCUCUCUGAUGGUCACUCUGUCAAUGACGGGAGUGACGGUCAGCUAAGGACCGCACAUCUAAGAUGGAAACCGGUUGACUUUUUUGACAGGUUUCCAUCUUUUACCCAAUUUCUUCUUUUUCUAAUUUUUAUGUUUUCUAAAUCACUCUGUCAAAGAUGGAGUCACAAUCAGCUAAGCCACACUCAAACUAAAACUUUGCCCAAGCUUUACGCGGACAUAUAUUGAUAAAUGUACUUUAAUUAUGUUUGUUUUCAUUUUUAUUUGUAUUAAUGUCAUUAAUUUGGGAUUGUUUAUGUUUGUUAUCCAUUAGGUAUAAAAUUACCAAGUAAAGCCAUAUGUCAUAUCAAACAUGAAAAAUUGAAAGUUUAUAGUCCAAUUUAACUUUUAACGAAGGCAUGAUGAAAAUUUAAAAAAUAAAUUUGAAAAUCGCUACUUCCUAUACAAAUUGGAUCCUACUUUUCAUUUUAUGAUAUGAGGAUUUCUUUUUUCAGUAUCAUAUCUUCAAAGGAUGUUUUAAUUCAACCUCAAUGGUUGAAUUAAACCUUUAGACCAUCUCAGCUUCUUCCUAGUGUAAAAAUUCCUAUGUGACGUCCAAGAUGAAGGAAAACCCUUUAGAAUAAGUCAAUUUUGGACGGUUGAUCCUUAUGACCAAAAAGCAUCCAGCAUCGAGUCUCUAUCCCGUGCUUGCAAUCACUUGCAUAUGUUGCCCACUAUUAAGUGCUUGUUUUAUCCCAAAAAAAAAAAAAAAAGUCACCAAAAAUCCUAAAUUAUGUUCACUGUGACACAUUGACACCAAUUUUUCUUUUCUUUUUACACUAAGAAUCCCAAAUUUGUAUUUAUGUGACAUAUUUACUCCCAAAUUUAUAUAGUGGGACAUAUCUAUCCUAAACUUCUUCUUAUGAUAUAAAAAAUCAUAAAUUUGUAUCCGUAUGACACAUUCAUCCUUAAAAUUUAGUGUCACAGAAAAAAGUUUGAGAAUUUUGAUAUUACAAAAAAAAAAGUUUGAGGUAAAUAUGUCAUAGAAAUAUAAGUUUAAGAUUUUUGAAGUCACAAAAAAAGUUUGGGUAAAUACAUCACAUGGGUGAAGUUUGGGGUUUUUGUGGAUUUUUCUCCUUUAUUUAUUCUUUCUUCUCUAUAUGGGCUAAAGAACGUAGAUGUUCAUGCUUUGACAAGUAGUGAUUCACCCUUGCUCUCACCAUGACGAAGAGGUAUCCUUUCAUUUGCUUAGCCACGACUAAUAUGGAGCACAAGCUCCUGGUUCAAACUUGUCUUACACACUCUAAUCAAUGUUUCUUAAACAUAUUAUGAUUUUCACCAGCGUUUUUCCUAAGCUGUAGAAAAUCACCAGGAUGGAGACCAAGGAUUUAGAGUGACGAUUCUCGUUCUUUGAUUUUGGAUGCCUCCAUCAUUCCAAGGACAUUAAAUGUGAGAAGUGAUGAGCUAAUGUCGCAAUUUUAUAGCAUCAACAACCCUUUUCCCCACUAAAACACUACUGAUUGAGACAUUUGAUGAUCGAGGGGCGUGAUUACGCUAUUUCCACCCUUUGUCUCCAGAAAAUGACUGAAUAGCUAUAGAAAUUUGCGAUCCUUGCCAUGAUAUUUCUCUCUAAGCAAGGCAGGUAUAGGGAUUUUUCUUUUGAUCAUCAGGUACAUAGACUCUAAUGAGAUUGUGGUUUAAAUUCGUUUUCUUUCACGUGGGGUCUGGUUGUUCCAGUAAAUUCGAAAUGCUGAUAAGAUGAAUUUUGCUGAUAUCGAGAAAGAAAUCAACAGUCUUGUAAAGAAGGCAAAUGCAAUGGAAUGGGAAGCAGCUGAUCUUUCUGUUGAUCGGAUCAUAUUUAUAUUUUGUUCCAAUGUCCCAUCAUCUAUCAUCAAUUCACCGCAUUACACGGAUCGAAAUCAGGUGGAAUUGUUAUUAAAUUCCUUAAGAAUGCAAUUUGCUAGCCAAAUUAAGAUCCGAAUAUUCCAUCCAAAUGUCCGGUGGGUACUGCUGUAGAAAGUCAAUAUCUUGCCUGUACACAACCCGAAAUCUAGCCUAAAUUACUUACUUUAUAUGCACCAUCCAAAAACUUUAAUUCGUAAAUAAAAUACGAGGAACCUUUUCUAUGUCCACCAUAAGUAAAUUUUCCUGAUAGGGAUGGACGUCGGGAAAAAGCUGAUAUUUUUCUGGAUUGGAUCAUAUUCAUAUGUUUGUUCAAAUGUCCCAUCAUUUAUGGUCAAUUCCCCGCAUUACUCGGAUCAAAAUUAGGUGGAAUCCUUAUUAAAUUACUUAAGAUUGCAAUUAAUUAGCCAAAUCAAGAUCCAAACAUCCUUAGAACACGGGGUUAAUUAGACAAUUUCGAGUGACAUUAUUGUUACAUUGAAUUUUAACUUUCCAGGAAUGUGGUGUGAUGUUGUUGUCAUGAGCGUGCUCCAACUACAUUAAAUUAGAAGACGAGGAGAUAUCUUUGGCCACCAUCACGGAAAGUCAAAUAAAAGCGUGGUCUAACAUAUAUAUAUACCAUUCAAAUGUGCGAUGGGUGCUGAUGUAGAAAGUCAACGUCUUGCCUGUACACAGCCCAAAUCUAGCCUAAAUUACUAACAUUAUUGAAUGAUUGUCUAAUUCAAAGGGAAUGAAUAAUGAACGUAAAGUUUGAAAUUCUAGAACUGUGACCCUUAGAUAUUGACUUUUAAUAAUUAAGUAAAGCAAUUUCCGAAUAUGAAAAGUAAAGAAACAACUUAAACUUAGACUUUUUUAUUAGUACGAUAUGCAUACAUGUCACACUACUUUACUUUGAUGGAGAAAAUGUACAUUGUAGCAUUUUAUGUCGGUUAUCGCUAGAUUAAACACUCAAGUUAUAAUUACUUUAGGGCCUUGUUGGCCGUAUUGCCCAAAUCCAUUGUGAGCGUAGGUCGAAUCAAGCCCAUGGGCCCUAAUUGGCCGACUGUGGCCCGACAAACAUUUGAUGGACUGGUUGGCCCCAGCCUUGAGGACUUUUGGUGCUUCAGAAAUAUAGUCAUUGGACAGUCGAUCCGUGUUUUAUUAUUUUUCUGCAAUUACUUUGUUUAUUAUUAAUAAUAUUUUUGUACUUUUUUCUUUAAAAAUUUGAGUUGCAUAGCUCGAGCAGAACUCCGAGCAUCGAAUAUCUAAUAGGAGUUGAGCUUGAGCUUGGCCUUAUUGUAUUGGCUUGACUCGAAAGGUAGUUAUAAAAAUAAUAGUUAUUUAUUUAGUAAUUAUACUAUUGUUUAAUAAUUAGUUCAUUUAUUUUUUUAGUAAUUAUAUUAUGGUUUAAUUAUAUCAAUUAAUAAAAUAAUGGUUACUUACAUUAGAAAUUCAAAUAUUGCAAUUAUUUAGAAAUUAUAGUAGGCUUUCAUUUAUGUCCUAUGAAAAUAUGAUAAUAAAAGAAAUUAGAGUUUGAUAUAUAUCAUCAAAGGGUAUUUUGGGUAUUCUUCACUAUUCCAAACAUAUUCUCCCUACUAUCAUGGCAAAACAAACCAAAUAAUUUUUUGAAUCCAUUAUACAAACCAAACUACAAUUUAGCUAUUCCAUUCCUAGUCCUACUCUCUUCCAAUUUUAUGGAAUAACUUUUCCAUUCCUAUCUUAUUAUAUCCCACAAUCAAAACAUCACAUGACACAUUUGAAAUAGCUUUUUUUAGUGAAGUCACAUUAUCAUGAGGUUAGAUCUCUCACCAUCAUUCAUAAAGAAACGUAGAAAUGUAAUCUCAACCGUCUAACUUUUUCACUUGAUAUAUAGGUUACUAAUUCUUGCAAUAAAAAUAUCUUAUCCUUGGAAUAAAUAUCUUCUACAUGGUAAAUGUCAUUUCUUUGAGGUAAAAAGAUUCAUUUGCGAUAAGGGAGCCCGUGAGUGGUCUCUCCAUGCCACAUUUCCUCAUUUUGUAGUCGAUCACCUAUGAUCUUCUGCCUUGAUAUAUUCAUGAUUUAUUUGAAUUACCCCAAUUAGACAACAGUUCCAAAGAGAUUCUUUCAAGCCAAGAGCAAAAGAAAAAAGCAUAUUCACCAAAAAAGUCACUAUGACUAUACUGAUGAAUUGUGCCAUGAAAUGUCAUAGCACAGUUCAUCGAACCCUUUUAAACAAGACAACAAAUAAGGUGAACAGCAUAGAAUCUUGGGCCCACGAUUUGUAUCCUCACUCAGAAUGCGGUGCUCUAAGCCAAAGAAGCUGUGGAAAUAGCGGCAGCUGCUAAAAUGUCGUGACUGCUCCAAAUUUGUGACUGGAAAUUGCAAACGUACCUGAUGAAUUAUUCUAUAAAUGCUGCGCCCCCAUACGAGAAUGAGAUUGUUGCAAGGAUUAACUACAACAGAUGCAUAAUAAGCCACCAUCAAAAUCUGCAGUUGAAAUUCUGAUAGGGGAUGCAGUUCUAGUUUUGGGGAGAGACGAUAGAAUUUGAUGAACGAAAAGAAUUUGUAUGGAGCCUUUCUCUUUUCAGCAUCUGAGACUGACGGCCUUGCCUUUGAAGCAACAGACUUCAAAAGAGUCGGUUAUAAUUGGCUUUUUCCCAUGCUGAUUGUUCUCGCCCCUGUCAAGAAGAUCAUGAACAGCUUGAAGCUGUGCAUCCGAAAACAGAGCUUCAAGAUCCGCUCCACUAAAUCCUUCUGUCAUAUGAGCUGUAGCAUCCAAGUCCACAUCACUGGCCAAAGGAACUGCACAGGGGCAUUAGAGCAUACACACAGCAAAACUUCAGCAUUGCCCAAUGGUUGCCAAUUUUACUGACUGAUUUGACAGAAUCGGAUUAAUAUAAUUAAAUCUACCAAAGGUAAAGUCUUAGUCCCAUCUCAUGGAGUCAGAUGUCAAGGCCUUUCUCAUUUUUCUUUUCUGAGCAACAUCAGUAUAUGUUAAAUCCACUAGUCUCAAGGUCCGAGGUUGAAAGUGAUUUACUAUUGGACAUUUAGACUUACCUGAGCCCCACCUUAGCAGGUUGCAGAUCCAACCCACGAAUGCCUUUUACAAUCUUCUCUUGUAAUUCACAAUGUUUAGGGUGAUUUGUAGCAGGACUUUUGGAGAACUCCAUGGGAGAAGGGGUUUUAACUUUUAACUUAACAUGUUUCACCAAAUGUACUCUAUCAGAUGCCACAAGUUCUAAACAGGAUCUUUAGCCGCUCAAUUGACUCUGUUUCUAACUCUUUUUGUUAAUUUUUAAGGAAUUUUCUAUUCAUAUGUAAUCUUUCUGAUGAUUUUUCUUGAAAAAGUAGGAUUGCAGUUAUAAAGUUCUUUUAACAAAUAGAACCUGUUUCAGACCAUGUCAAAGAUGAAAUGCUAAAAGAAAAGGCAUUGGUAGAUGGAUGUGAGCUAAGUUUCUACCUUCCUGGAUAAAAGUUUAACAAUAUCUAGCCUCUCCUGUAUAGAAGGAAAAUCACAGAAUUUAUGUUGAGCCAGCCAGGACUCAGAAGUGCAGCAUCAAGUGAGUGCGUUCUACAGCUUCACAUCAAAUGCAACUCAGUUAGCACAAAAAGCCCAUAACCUGACAAUUAUUAAAUAAAGAAAGAGCAUUCUUAGAAAGAAAAGUGAAUUAGAAUUACUAGGAAAUAGAUGAACCCGUGAAUUAGAAUUACUAGGAAAUAGAUGAACCCAUGAACCUUGAGCAAAACAAAAGAGCACCUCACGCAGCAAAGAUGUUAUGAUGACUAAGAAAUUGCAUAUGCUCGCUGUCACUAGACCCAAAUGAUCAACAUCAGUUGAUGCCGUUGUGGAGGCUCAAUACCAGCAUAUACACUUCUUUUAAGCUACUUCAGCAACGAAAAAGUAAUCCAUGCAAUCCCAUCUUUUAUCACCUUCUUUUUUAUACAUAUGUAGUCUAUCCAAUACUGUGCAUCGUAGUUCAUAAUCCUAGUUUAUGGUGAUCUUUGGUUGUGCAGUGUGACAUCCUGAAUUUUUUCAACUUGUUUUCUACUAAAUUUAUCGGGCAUUUCAUUGACGUGUUUCUAGGGCUAUUCUCAAAGCCGAUCACUCUUGAAAAAACUAGACUGUCAGGGUAAGCCAUUAAGAAUUUUAAGGCAAUAGACUCGAAAAUUCAAUCAGGAAUCGGCUUCUCAACCGUGCUUAUCAUUAGAGGCCGUUACGGCACAGUUAAAAAUCGAUUUGAAAUCAAAGAUAGGUCUGUUUGACUGAGAUGUGUGGCCGAUUGUGGGUGACUCCAGUAAAUUGGAAAAUUCUCGUCGAUUGAUACUAAUAUGAUUUUACAGUCAUUUUGGUAUCCUGUGUCCGUAAUUGAAUCCUCGAGAUUUUCAAGACAAUUGAGAGUCGCCGUUGAGUCGAGUGGGUUCAUUGUGGUUCAAAGAAAAUCGACCACGAGUCAUUUGCCUUAAAAAAUUCUGAAAACUACCCGGUAGUCUAGGUCACGCUAAAAACACGCCAAACAGAAAUUAACUGCGAAAUUCGAGGCCGAUUUCAGAAAUUGAAGUUUCUGUCAUGUCACAAUAAAUUUUAGGAGUGUCGACUUAGUCUUUGAAGAUUUUUUAGAGAUUCCGAGAUUUUUAUGGAAAAUUGGUUCGGACGCCGUGGAAAAUCAGCGGAAAUUCGGAUAGGCCAAAUUAAAGGAAAUUUCGACUUCCGAGCCGAGUAUUGAGUGUCAUGGACUUACAGAAAAUUGUUUGGGAUUUUUCUCCAUUGGAAUUGGACCUCAAUUUGGGAAAUUAAGUAAGAAGAUUUAAUUUAGUUGGGCAAAUUCGAAAUUGGAAAAAGGGCAGAAAUUUGAGGCUUCAAAUUGGAUAAUUUGGUGAAGAUUAAUCAGGAAAGAAAUUGGGAACCAUAGAAGAUAAGAUUGAAGAUUGGUGGGGCCAAACAUUCAAUCUAAUGGCUAAGGAUUAUUGACUUUCACCCCCCUCUUUGGCUUCUCCCUCACGCUCGGCACCCCCCAUCCGCUCAUUGUUCCUGCUUUUGUUUUCAUUUUCUCUACCGUGCGAAGCAGUCCCCACCCGGCCUCUCUACAGCUUCGUUGCUUCUCUUCCCCAACCAAAGUUCACAAGCCCCCGCUCACGCCAACCUCGAGAUCUUCAAUCAAGCUGCUCCUCUCCACUAGUUGCUGUCCCCCGCCAGUCAACUCUCCUCACUGAAGCCUGAUCGAAGCCCCGUCUACGGUUUGCUUCUCUCUCGCGCUGCCACCGAAGACCCAAAGUCCAGCAUCUUCGUUCGUGCCUUGCCAACAGCCACGAAGACUUGCAGCCACGCCAAGUAGCUGCUUCCUCGUCCGCGUGAAUUUCCCCGACGCCACGAAGACAGGAGCUGCUACCGCGCCAGCUCUCAAACGAAGCAGCACUGCUCGAAGCCGAGCGAAGCCACCCCCCAUCUUCGGUUUGGCUCCACGAAGCUGCCCCUUCGUCCUCAGUCUCCAACAGCAGCAACCCACGUGUUUCUUCCCUCGUUCCAGCCCGAUUUCCUGCCACCGUUUGAAGCCAGCGAGAUCUGCAAGCUUCGGUCAGCCCAGCAAGCCCAACUUCAAUUUCAGUCUUCAAGCCCAGUCAAAUUGCUUCAGCUGCAGCCCAGUCCAGUCCACGUGAGUUAAUUGGCCAAGCCCAAUUUCCAGCAAAGCAAUUAAAGUCCAGCCCAUAUCUUGAAGCCCAUCUUCAGCAGGUCCAACCCAACUUGGGUCCAGCCCAAAAGCAAAAACAAAUCUCAAUUGGGCUGAGAUUUGUUGGGCCCAAGUUUAAGGCCCGGUCCAAGCCCGCCGGUAUCGUCGAAAGCCUGAUUUCGGCUGCCGUCGCGUCGCCGUCGUGGUAUCCUGAUACCCGCUUUUAAUCAAGUGAGUAAUCUCACUAAUCCUUGCUUAGUAUACUAAUUAUGCUUAAGGAUUGAUUAGAUUUAAUUAAGUGUAAUUAGGUGGUUAAAUUAGAAUGGAUUAGUGAUUAUUAGUUAAUUGCAUUGCAUAUUAGUUAGGUGAUUAGUGUACUUAGCUAGAGAAUUGCCUAUACUAUUUAUUGAAUGCAUCUCGGGAUUUUUCCCGACCCUUAUCGGGCUUCAAUUAGGCAUUACGGGCCUAAAUUGGAUUUUUAAUAUUUAUUGAUUUAAUUUCGAAAUUAAUUAUUUAAUUAUUUAUUUUUCCGGAAAUUCAACCGGGAUGGCUGGUGACCGGAAUUUCAUGUUGAUUGUCGUGGUGCAGUCCAUUUAUUUAUUUGAGCUCUACAUUGUUCUAAAUUGAAUUAAUUGCGUGAAUUAAGGAAUUAUUCCUAAAUUGAUUGAAAUUAAGUGAAAUUGAAUGAUUGGUUGGUAGAUGGCCGAGUAUAGUUAUUGAGCAUUGUUAAUGCCUUAAUGAGUAAUGAGGUGGAGAGAAUCGUGAGAUUUAAUUGGGAAUACUUUUGGCUGAGACCAAUCAGAUACAAGGUAUAGACAGGCGUGGUUCCGUGAUUAAGGAUAUCACUGUGUGAAAAUGGCACAUUAAAGAAUGCACGUAGACUGUCUGUGACUUGUGGCAAGCAUGGUUCGAUGAUUAAUGAUAUCACUGUGCAAAAACGGCGCCUUAAAGAACGCACGUAGACUGUCUGUGAUCUGUGACCUAUGACAGGCGUGGUUCGGUGAUGAAGGACAUCACUGUGCGAAAACAGCGCCUUAAAGAACACAUGUAGACUGUUUGUUACUUACGUCACCUUGGCGAAAACGAUGGCCGAGAGUAUUAAUGGAGCUCUUUGACUAUGUGUACUAUUGGAGGUUAUAUAGUGGGUUGUGAAUGACCUAGAAGAGGUUUGACUGAUGUGUAAUCGACUAAGUCGAUUAAGAAAUGAUUUGAUCUGAUGUCGUAAUUUGAUUGACUGUUCGAUGUGAUAUAUGAAGCAUCUGUAUAUAACCUUAAAUUGCAGGUUGGAACUGAUGCCAAGGUAAGUCUUCUGACUCGUGCUGUGCUUAGGCAACCAUGUGGUGUAUUGGUUUCCUAAUCGAGUCUUAGUGGGGUAGAAUUUGCUGAGACGUAGUCUCAUCCCAGUUGUGGGACAACAUUUCAGGACCCUGAUGAGGAGCCUAAGGAGAAAGAAACUGAAGAGGAGUAUCUGGAGGAGAAUCUAGAGGAUGAUCCUGAGUACGACCAGGAUGAGGAUUGAGAGCCUAUCCGCUUUUUGUAAACCCUGUUUAUGUGUAGAUAGAGUGAGGCUUUAAAUUUGUGAACAGUUGUGAAGUACUCUGUAUUGUGUUAUGUAUAAGAGUUUGGUUAUGAGUUUCAAUAUGAAAAAUAUGGCAUUACUUUUCUAUCCCAUCGUUUUAUUGUCUGGGGAUUUAUAACUGCUUCCGCAUAUGCUAGAAAAAAAAAGAAAAUGUUGGUGAUACAUAGUCCUAGGAUAUUGCAUUAUAAAAUCAAUAAAGUAGAAGGAUGUGUGUGUGCCCGAGGAUUUGGGCGUGACAUCCCUUUUUGUGGUAUCAAAGCAAAGUUCAAGAUUGGAGUGAUAAGGAGCGAUGAGUCUUGGGAUAGUAAUAAGAAUGGCCUUUAAAUUCAUGCCGGUGCAUGUCUGUGUUAGCUAAAUGCUAGAAUUGCUUGUUGUUUGGAUCACUCUGUUUCUAAUUUGGUGUUGAAUUGGAAGUAGGUAUCAGUAGAUUAAAGUGACACCAUGAGCGAUUAGGAGCCUAGAACUCCUGCAAAGAGGACCAGUAAGGUCGUUGUUUGAGGGUAAAGCUCUGACUCGUGUCGGGACUCGAGGCGGAUGUGGUCGAGCGCGAGUGGAGUGAUUCCAUCUGUUGUAGGUGCCGGGGUAGCAGCCCCUAAUGAUCCUAGGUUGGAUGGGAUCUUGCGUGUUCUGGAAGCGAUGGGUACGAGAAUGGAUCAGCAAGCCGCUACAGUUGAAGCCGCCGCUUAGGUCGCCGCCACUGCCGCAGCUGCUGCUACUGCUCAAGCCGCCCUUGUCGCAGCACCUGCAGUUCCACCUGCCGUCGCCCCUACUGAAAUACUACCAGGAGUUGUUGUCACUGGGAGGCCGAUUCACCAGUUAGUGGAAUAGUUCUUAAAGAUGAAUUCGCCGAAAUUCAUUGGUACCGGAGACCUUGAGGCUGCGUCUCUAUGGGUACAGGAUUUGGAGAAGGCAUUUGCACUUCUGAUGUGCAAUGAGGAGGAAAAGGUGUUACUAGCUAUGUACCAACUUCAAGGUAACACCAAUAUAUGGUGGAGAGCCGCCAAGGAUACAGUGUUCCUGGAAGGUGUGGUCCAGGUAUGGGACACCUUCCUCAGAGCCUUUAAUGAUUAGUACUUUUCGAGUACUGCUCGGGAACAAAAGAUAGAGGAGUUCCACCAUCUCCUCCAAGGGAGCAUGACAGUUGACCAAUAUGGGGUCAAGUUUGCAGAACUAUCCCAGUAUGCUCCUAAACUGAUAGAAGACCCUAAAGGGAAAGCUCGGAAGUUCAAAAUCGGUUUUCGUGCUGAAUUGAAACAACCUCUACUACCAUGGGACUUGAAAGAUUAUAGAGAGGUUUAUCGUCGACCCCAGAUGAUAGAGCGAGGAUUGAAUGAACAAGCUGCCUCAUUUGGAUCGAGGUUUACCUCCCAUCGAUAGAAUAUCCGUCACGGGAAGAGACCCAUGUCUGGAGGUAGGCCUAAUGCUCCACCCUUCAAGAGAAGCGGGUUCAAUAGACCGAUGCCCAAUAGGGUUGAUUCUUUUCGCUCAUGUGGAAGACGACACGGGACAGCUCCCUGCCCAGCCAGGAUAGGAGCAUGUUACGAAUGUGGCCAACAGGGCCACAUCGUAAGGUAUUGUCCAAAGAAGCAGAGAGGACAACCUCAAUUGCCACCGCCACCACUAAUUAGACAGAUUAGAUGGUAUGCCCCUCAGAAUGCACCUUAGGGCGGACAGCAGAGACCUCCAGUUCAAGGCACCAUGUAUGCAAUUACGCAAGGCCAGGCAGAAGCUACGCCUGACGUGAUCACAGGUACAGUCUCGCUCAACAACCAACCUGCUUAUGCUUUGUUUAAUUCAGGAGCAACCCAUUCCUUCAUUACCGAGCAAUAUGUUAGGAUGCUAGGGUUGAGUCAUGUAUUAUUGGAGUCGGCAAUUUGCAUAUCUACACCCUUGAAAGAUAAAGUUAUUGUUGCUUUGGGAUGUUCGGGGUGCAAGUUAGAGAUUGGUGAGUGAGUGGGGAAAAUUGACUUGUUAGUCCUAGCCAUGUAUGAUUUUGAUUUAAUAAUUGGCAUGGACUGGCUCACCAAGCACCGAGCUAAAAUGGACUGCUAUCAUAAAGUGAUUCAGUUUGACCCGUUAGGGGGUAAGAGUUUCGAGUUUGUCGGGAAUCGAGGAGGACCCUCGAUUGUCCUGAUCUCGUCGCAAGAGACAACUCGUCUAUUAGACGAGGGUUGUUGAGGGUACCUGGCAACUGUCGUGGAUACGACAGUUGAGGAGCUGAAAAUGGAAGAUAUUUCAGUGGUACAAGAGUUUCCAGAUGUCUUUUCAAAGGAAUUGCCAGGGUUACCGCUAGAAAGAGAGAUUGAAUUUGUAAUUGAAUUAGCACAAGGGACAGAACCGAUUUCAAAGGCACCUUACCGAAUGGCGUUAUUUGAGUUGAAGGAACUGAAGGUGUAGAUGCAAGAGUUACUGGAUAAGGGAUUUAUUCGCCCUAGUGCAUCACCUUGGGGAGCACUAGUUCUGUUUGUAAAGAAGAAAGAUGGUUCGCUACGUCUGUGCAUCGACUAUCGGUAACUCAAUCAGGUAACGAUCAAGAACAAGUAUCCACUGCCAAGAAUUGAUGACUUAUUUGAUCAGUUGCAAGGGGCGUCGAUUUCCUCAAAGAUUGACUUGAGGACAGGGCAUCAUCAACUGAGAAUUAGGAAGGAGGAUAUUCCUAAGUCAGCAUUUCGUACUUAGUAUGGUCACUACGAGUUUACAAUGAUGCCAUUUGGGCUGACGAAUGCUCCAACUGCCUUCAUGGAUAUGAUGAACAGAGUGUUCAAGGAAUACCUGGAUCAGUUUGUAAUCAUAUUCAUUGAUGAUAUCUUGGUGUAUUCGAGAAGUGAUGGAGAGCACGAGAAUCAUUUAAGAUUAGUGCUUCAGACCUUAAGGACUCACCGGCUGUGUGCUAAGUUUAGCAAAUGCGAGUUUUGGUUGACUCGUGUUGCGUUCUUAGGUCAUGUGAUUUCCGGAGAAGGAAUUUCCGUAGAUCCGAGCAAGAUAGAAGCCGUAAUCAAGUGGCGAAGACCGACAACAGUGAUAGAGAUCAGAAGUUUUCUGGGUUUGGCAGGGUAUUACAGACGGUUUGUGGAAGGUUUCUCAUCGUUAGCCUCGUCUCUGACAAAGCUCACGAAGAAAAACGAGAAGUUCAUAUGGAUAGACAAGUGUGAGCGUAGUUUUCAAGAGCUGAAGGAAAAGUUGACUACCACACCGGUACUGACGAUUCCAUCUGGUCCUGGAGGAUUCGAGAUCUAUAGUGAUGCGUUUUUUAGAGGAUUGGGUUGUGUGUUGAUGCAACAUGGUAGAGUGGUUGCAUACGCGUCCUGUCAGUUGAGGCCCCAUGAGCAGAAUUAUCCAACGCAUGACUUAGAGCUCGCAGCGAUUAUCUUUGCCCUGACGAUUUGGAGACAUUAUCUAUGCGGGGAAAAGUUCCAAAUCUUCACGGACCAUCAGAGUCUCAAGUAUCUAUUCUCUCAGAAGGAGUUGAACAUGAGACAGCGCCGAUGGAUGGAGUUAUUGAAGGAUUACGAUCGUGAUAUUCUAUAUCAUCCGAGGAAGGCGAAAAAAGUCGCCGAUGCUUUGAGUCGAAAGUCUUUAGUAGCUCACCUACUAAUCAAGGAGUGGAACUUAAUCGAGAGAGCACGAGAUUUGGUGUUCAAAUUUGAGAUAGGCAACCUUUCGAGUUUUAUGGCCACCCUUAUAAUUAAACCGGAUGUUUAGGUUAGAAUCAAGCUACUUCAACCGACAGAUUCAGAUGUACAGAAGAUAAUUCAAGAGGACCCCAAUAAAAGAAAGGCUAAUUUUCAGGUUUAUGAUGAUGGAGUACUGAGGUUCCAUGGGCGGUUGGUUAUACUUGACGAUGUAGAGCUUAGAGAGGAUAUUUUAUUUGAAGCACAUCGUUCAUCCUGGAAGUACCAAGAUGUAUCAGAACCUGCGUCAACACUAUUGGUGGUUAGGUAUGAAGGCGAACAUCACCAAGCAUGUCGCCAAGUGAAAAUCACAAGCCCCCGCUCACGCCAACCUCGAGAUCUUCAAUCAAGCUACUCCUCUCCACUAAUUGUUGUCCCCCGCCAGUGAACUCUCCUCAUUGAAGACUGACCAAAGCCCCAUCUACUGUUUGCUUCUCUCUCACGCUGCCACUGAAGACCCAAAGUCCAGCAUCUUCGUUCCUGCCUUGCCAACAGCCACGAAGACCUAGAGCCACGCCAAGCAGCUGCUUCCUCAUCCGCGUGAAUUUCCCCGACGCCACGAAGACAGGAGCUGCUGCCGCGCCAACUCUUAAACGAAGCAGCACCGUUUGAAGCCGAGCGAAGCCACCCCGCAUCUUCGGUUUGGCUCCAAGAAGCUGCCCCUUCGUCCUCAGUCUCCAGGAGUAGCAACCCACAUGUUUCUUCCCUCAUUCCAGCCCGAUUUCCUGCCACUGUUUGAAGCCAGCGAGAUCUGCAAGCUUCAGUCAGCCCAGCAAGCCCAACUUCAAUUUCAGUCUUCAAGCCCAGUCGAAUUACUUUAGCUGCAGCCCAGUCCGGUCCACGUGAGUUAAUUGGCCAAGCCCAAUUUCCAGCAAAGCAAUUGAAGUCUAGCCCAUAUCUUGAAGCCCAUCUUUAGUAGGCCCAACCCAACUUGGGUCCAGCCCAAAAGCAAAAACAAAUCUCAAUUGGGCUGAGAUUUGUUGGGCCCAUGUUUAAGGCCCUGUCCAAGCCCGCCGGUGUCGUCGAAAGCCCGAUUUCAGCCGCCGUCGCGUCGCCGUCGUGGUGUCCCGAUACCCGCUUUUAAUCAAGUGAGUAAUCUCACUAAUCCUUGCUUAGUAGACUAAUUAUGCUUAAGGAUUGAUUAGAUUUAAUUAAGUGUAAUUAGGUGGUUAGAUUAGAAUGGAUUAGUGAUUAUUAGUUAAUUGCAUUGCAUAUUAGUUAGGUGGUUAGUGUACUUAGCUAGAGAAUUGCCUAUACUAUUUAUUAAAUGCAUCUCGGGAUUUUUCCCGACCCUUAUCGGGCUUCAAUUAGGCAUUACGAGCCUAAAUUGGAUUUUUAAUAUUUAUUGAUUUAAUUUCGAAAUUAAUUAUUUAAUUAUUUAUUUUUCUGGAAAUUCAACCGGGAUGGCCGGUGACCGAAAUUUUAUGCUGAUUGUCAUAGUGCAGUCCGUUUAUUUAUUUGGGCUCUACAUUGUUCUGAAUUGAAUUAAUUGCGUGAAUUAAGGAAUUAUUCCUAAAUUGAUUGAAAUUGAGUGAAAUUGAAUGAUUGAUUGGUAGACGGCCGAGUAUAGUUAUUGAGCAUUGUUAAUGCCUUAAUGAGUAAUGAGGUGGAGAGAAUCGUGAGAUUUAACUGAGAAUACUUUUGGCUAAGACCGAUCAGAUACAAGGUAUAAACAGGCGUGGUUCGGUGAUUAAGGAUAUCACUGUGCGAAAACGGUGCCUUAAAGAACGCACAUAGACUGUUUAUGACUUGUGGCAGGCGUGGUUCAGUGAUUAAGGAUAUCACUGUGUGAAAAUGACGCCUUAAAGAAUGCACGUAGACUGUCUGUGAUUUGUGAUGUAUGACAGGUGUGGUUCGGUGACGAAGGAUAUCACUGUGCGAAAUCGGCGCCUUAAAGAACACGCGUAGACUGUCUGUUACUUACGUCACCUUGGCGAAAACGACGCCCGAGAGUAUUAAUGGAGCUCUGUGACUAUGUGUACUAUUGGAGGUUAUACAGUGGGAUAUGAAUGACCUAGAAGAGGUUUGACUGACGUGUAAUUGACUAAGUCGAUUGAGAAAUGAUUUGAUCUAAUGUCGUAAUUUGAUUGACUGUUCGAUGUGAUAUAUGAAACAUCUGCAUAUAACCUUAAAUUGCAAGUUGGAACUAAUGCCAAGGUAAGUCUUCUGACUCGUGCUGUGGUUAGACAACCAUGUGGUGUAUUGGUUUCUUAAUCGAGUCUUAGUGGGGUAGAACUUGCUGAGAUGUAGUCUCAUCCCGGUUGUGGAACAACAUUUCAGGACCCUGAUGAGGAGCCUGAGGAGAAAGAAACCGAAGAGGAGUAUCUGGAGGAGAGCCCAGAGGAUGAUCCUGAGUACGACCAAAAUGAGGAUUGAGAGCCUAUCUGCUUUUUGUAAACCCUAUCUAUGUGUAGAUAGAGUGAGGCUUUAAAUUUUUGAACAGUUGCGAAGUACUCUGGAUUGUGUUAUGUAUAAGAGUUUGGUUAUAAGUUUCAAUAUGAAAAAUAUGAUCUUGCUUUUCUAUCCCAUCGCUUUAUUGUCCAGGGAUUUAUAACUGCUUCCGCAUGUGCUAGAAAAAAGAGUAAGGGUCGGCGAUAGAUAGUCCUGGGAUAUCGCAUUAUAAAAUCGACCAAGUAGAAGGAUGUGUGCGUGCCCGAGGAUCGGGGCGUGACAUGCAGCAUCAGAUAAUCCUAGUUCAAUCUCUGGAACCACAGGAAACAAAGAUUAUACAAAAGGGGGCAACCCAGGUUGUUGCAUUUGCCUAAUUGAAUUCAACUAUGAAUGACAAUCAUCAAAUUCCUAGACCUAGCUAACAGCAAAGGAAAAAGAAAAAUACAUAUAAUCUGCACAACAAAUAAGAAUUCAAGGAUGUAAAUGCCUUAUUGGGCGAAAAUACAUCUCUCCAUGUUUUUCCCCAAAUUCAAUUUUAGAUUGGUCCUUUCUAACACGCAUGACCAAGGUGAAAUGAGACAAAACAGAUGGACUAUAUAUCAACUCAAAACUAGCGCACAACAUAAAAAGUGAAAAGUCAAGCCCAAGAGGUUCUCAAUCAAAAUCGUUUUAUAUGGCAAGCUUGCUGUAAUGCAGUAAAUCUUAUGAAACCUAACCGAAAUCACUUGUCAAAAUGGGGAGAACAAAGUCUCUUGAAGUACACAUUGUGCUACCAUGAUUCGAGUUGCAAAACUAAAGAAUACGGUCCUACAACAACUUUUGAAUUUUUCAAGUUCACGUAAGUGCGACAUUACUCCACUCUUGGUUGUCACAAAUUAACAUGUCUUCCCAAUAUAUAGGCUCACGCCAGUUACAAAAAUCACGGCAACAGUAGUUCAACAACAAUAGACCUACCCCCAAACUGAAAUAGUAAACUGCUUGAAACAAACAGGGACCUUCAAGUUCCCAAAAAAUUCUGACGUACCUGUGUGAUCAUCACUUGGUCCCUCAAGAAUUGUAGAUCAGCAACAUGAACUUCUAAACUUGCUUUAGCAAUUUCUAGGUUCUUUUGUAGAAGAGUUGCCGCCUGUAACAUGAAUUAAUGCAAUAAAUAAGAUACUUGACAUCAUUAUUGGAGAUAAAGGGACAUUGCUUCAACUCAAGUACCUCUUCGCAUGAAUACUCCAACAUAACAUUUGCUCUCUGCCAAAAACAUACCGAAUCGGUAUGUUAGAUGUGAGCACAUGAAUAAAAUGCCUUUAGAGACUUCAAAAUCAGCAAGUGCCUGCAUCCACAAUAAAGAGCCAUAAAGGCCGGUCAGUUUGGCACCUAUUAUUAUAUUUUGCGUCUUAGAAGUUUUGAUGGUCUUAGGUUUUAAAGCCCAAUACAGUAAUCCCACCCCAUUUUGCUUUCUAAUAGGACCUUCAGACAUCAAAGCAUAACAUUAUUGGCGAUAUAUUUAGGUGUCCAAAUCUAAAACCACCGCACAAUUAUUGAGAUUAACAUGGGUUCUUUAAAGAACUAACCCAUAUUCUUAGGAACAUUGCUUCUGGAAGUGCAUUUGCGAAGGAAAAAAGAUAGUUGAAUAUUCCAUAUUUAGUCAAGUGCACCAAAAGUAGUUCCUAGUAUGGCAAGAAUAAGGCCACUAUAUCAUCUACCUGCUUUGUUAAGAUAAAAAGGACCGAUAUGAUCAACUAAGAGAACAUCGAGGAGCAAGAAGAUAUUUUAACAUGCAAAUUUUCUAGCAUGAUAAGAUUAUGCAAAAAUUUUAGUUCACAUCACACAUGAAAGAUGAUUGAUAGACUGUCAAGCAUUCCAGAUGAAAAGGAGAAACUGUGAACUAAAAAAUUGGUGUUUCAAUGACAGUACGAAGAACUUCAGGGGAUAAAAUGAGAAAGAACUCUGCAUUGGAAAAAUACUUAGUUAAAAUACAUGCACUGAGAAGCAUUCAGCUUGAAUUUCAAUCUUAAAAUCCAGAUCUGAGGCUAUGGUUCAAUAUUUCAGUAGUAUAGACACAUGCUUGUUGCACACACACAAUGACAUGCAUGCUCGAUCACAAGUCACUUUGCUAUAGCACAUCUAACCAUUCCUCUAGGGCUCAAAGAAAAUUUGGGAUCCAACCAGCGAGCUAUCUAAGUACAGACUUGUAGGUUGGAAAAGUGAAUGUCGAAAAAUGGGAGGGUCACUUUGGUAUAAGGCACCCUUUUCAAUUGGCCAGUUUGCUUCAGUCAUUAUGCAGGUUCCUAGUUGAGUGUCAAUUAAACUAGAGCCUAAAUAAGAGGAUAUCUUUGUGGCCAAAUGGAGUGGUGAGGUGAAGUAAUGGCCCAAUUUGAAAUGAUUGAUCAAUUCAAAUCCUGAAUUUUUCGUAUUGAGAAAGAUAGCACACCUUAUUUAUAUGAUAUCAGAGAGUUGAAGGUUGAAAACUAUUUGAGGUAGAAAACCUUAGUGCAGAGACAGAUGGCGGCAGGGCAUAGUACAACUUCUGCGCUCUGUCUGUGUUUGGCAGAGAGGCAGAGAUGCCCGGCUACCUCAUAGUUGAUUUUUUUAAGGACUAAUGGUGCAAAACAAAUCUAGCAGAUUCUUGUGCACUACAGAGAUAUCCAAAAUAAUAGCACGCGAGCAGGAUACUUCGUUGACGGCAGAAAGUACUGGAAUGUACAAUUUACCACUUGCAAAGAGACUGGUGACCAGAUGAGAACAAGAUUGUCAAACUCUGGUUCUCGCACACAAGUUAGCUGGUGUGAAAGAGAUGGGGAAGGACUUUAUUCAAAGAAGGCAAGGGCUGUUAACUACUUACAAGAUGAAAACCACAUGGACUUUAUUCGAAUGGUUAUCUGGCACCACAGGUUUUCCACAUGAGUCAUUGCCUUGGGAGUGUUUAAAAGUAGCCGAUAUACAAAAAGAAAAAAAGAAGGAUGCAUACAGAUCGUACUAGCUAUAGCAAAGUCGAUGAGAAUCCUCAGGUCACCCAUCUAUUAUGUUGCCGUUGGAUUGAAUCUCCUCAGGACAUGGAUCUGUCAAAGAGCCGAAGAUAAGAUGGUGACCAUGGAAUUGAGUCAUAUCCAAUGCAAACCUUGAGAUUAUGGUUUACUCUUUGUACAAUUAAUUUCUUACUUCCACUUUGUUAGAUUCACUUUGGUUUAAAUAACUCUAUUAAAAGGUUUGCUCCCCUUGGUGUGUUAGCAAGUAAACUAUUGCUUUAUGAAGAAUAUUACAAUAACACAGAAGCAUUGUCCUAUCCGAAUGAAGGGACACAUGAAAGAUAGUACUAGUAGCUCUGAGCUCCCUCAAGUGUUCAGUGAAAAAUUGAAAACAACCAACUAUGAAACAGUUUUAAGAAAGAGAAAACAAAAAAACUCCUGAAUUAGAUACAUCUCCACCUUUCUUUUGUCACUUUUUUGAAACAGUCUUAAAAAAGAGACAACAAAAGAACUCCUGAAUUAGAUUCAUCUCCACCUUUCUUUUGUCACUUUUUUGAAACAGUUUUAAAACACACAAAAAAAUAGAACUCCUGGAUUAGAUACAUCUCCACCUUUCUUUUAUUACUUUUUUGCAAUACUAUUAACUAGGCUCCGAAAUAGAAUAACAAGCAAAAUAAUACCUCGUCCUAUACUCUUGCAUUUUCUCAAAGGACAAGAGAAAGAUCCACAGCAGUGAUUAAUUUUUAAAUAGAACCUAAAUGCAGAUAAGUCCUAACCAUUUUAAGAUAACCGAUUGAAAGCAUCUAAUGCGUGACCGUCAAACACGGGAGGUAAUAUCAACAUUUUUCCAUGACAAAACCGAUGAAUAAGGUAUACCGUGCAAGAUGCAACACCUAAUCAGCAUGUUCCUCAUGCCAUUAAAUGAGAAAAUUUCCUGACGUGGGGAGCAUAAACAAGGCUUACUAUUUAGUGAUAUGCACCAAUAGUUUUUCAAUUCCAUAAUUUGGCUAAGCAAGCAUAUUAGAAGGAAAUUCACUUUCUUAUUCUAUUUCUAUGUGAAUGUUGACGUAAUUUGCUCUGUGGCAACUGCAAUGAUUUUCAAGAUUCAAGAACCUCGCACUUUCAGCACAAGGUUGUCCAUCAAGGUACCCCCAACCAUAUUAUUGGAGUCCAUAGAAAGGGCAGCUUGUCAUAUGAAAAGCAAACAACCACCACUUUCCCAUCAACUUGGGGAAAGAAAAGGAGAUUCCCCCAUAAUCUAGUUUACACAGUCAGAAGUAAGAGUCGCAUGACACAAUAAACCUCACCAAAACCCUUCUUGGCCUGCUGUGUAGCGACUAUGUCUAAACAACGAACCUCACUGAGGGCCAUAGUGGGAAAAAAGAACCAAGUGGACUCAGAUCUACCAAGUGCUGUAGCUGCUGCCUUCGAGAAUAUCCAGAACUUGUAAUUUUCUAAUUGCCGUUACUCUCAAAUAUUCAAAUUUCUCUAGUUAGCUGACAAAAUCAACCCCAUCAAUGUGUAGAAUAGAAAAUUCAGUCGACAUUUGUUCACUAAUUUCAAAUUUCUAGAAGAGAAAUCUUUCUCUUCAUCAAAUGGUCAUAGAAGAUCCUCUCAUUCACACGCAAGGAAACUCAUCGGUCUUUUCGUCUUGGCCACUUCAGUAGUUAUGGUAGGAUCGUCGUAGCUAUUGUAAAAAAUUAAGCCAUUGAAUGCAUAAGUGGAAUAGGACUAUUAGCCAUAUAUAGUUUGGCCGGCAAACAACUUUAAGUUGCUCAUAUAGAUCCCCACCGUUACACCGAAAGACAUUUCAGCGGGAAUAGUUGACUGCAUUCCAGGACUUCGCAUAAAUAGAUGAAAAAAAUUAAUAAUUAUGGCUAGAGAAGUAGAACUUCUACUUUAAGAAUGGGAAUGCUUGAAAAUUGCAACUAUAACCAUUGGCAUCAAAUGUGGAGCAAAGCUAACAGUGAUCUUUGAUUGUGCAGCAUUAGACAAUCCCAAUUCAAUCUAUGGAACUGUAGGAAACAAAAAUUAUACAAAAGGGAGCAACCAAGAUUAUUGCAUAUCACGUCCUGAUCCUCUGAGCAUGUGUCCAUCCCUCCAUGGUCGAUUAAAUAGUGACGUCCCAGGACGCGUGCUGACCCAUCANNNNNNNNNNNNNNNNNNNNNNNNNNNNNNNNNNNNNNNNNNNNNNNNNNNNNNNNNNNNNNNNNNNNNNNNNNNNNNNNNNNNNNNNNNNNNNNNNNNNUGUUAUCCCCACACGAGGUGAGACAAUGUCUCAGCAAAUUCACCUCCUAAGCCCCGACUUGGAAGAAAAUACGCCCCAAGGGCUGCCUAAGUACAAAAACGAGUCAGAGGACUUACCUUUGCCUCAGUUCCUUCCUACAAGUCAAUACAAUUCAUAAUCUCAUUGUGGCACCCCGAACCCUUCGUAGGUCGCCACAAGCGCCAAUGCUACACCUUAAUACCUUUCUUCUUGGAAGAGGCGUUGUAGUUCAUAGACAUAUAUUAUUUUUUUUUUAAAAACGGUCCCAGCGCGACUCAUUAGCGGGAGCAAAAUAAAACAUCACCAUCUCUUCCCCUACCAAACCAUGAUACAAAUACACACCACUAAUCACCAUAAUUAAUAGACAAGCCACGACAUUUUAUUUACAUAUAUUUUCAAGAUGGGACUUCUUUGGGUCGAUACAUCAAAAAGGAAAAGCCAGGACUCAGCCAUGUCCAGCCUAAAACCCCAAAAAGAACCCUCGACCCGCUACAACUCGCGUGCAUAAUCCCCAUCAUCAGUGUCGGCUAAACUAUCCCCAAAAAAAAUCCAGCUCCUACUCGUCACGCACGAGCCUCACACCCAAUCCGGUGCAUCAGGCGGUGGCGGUGGCAACAUCCCUCUCAUCACCCCAUCGCGACGAACGUGGACAGAGACGAACUCCUGGACAACCGGGCCCCCAGCCAGGCCUAUGUCGUACAUGACAAAAUAACGCACUCGUAUAUACGUUAAUCUAGGCACAGAAGGACAGCCAAACUCCUCGCACUCAACCUCUACAUCGGAUGGUAGACCGUAAAAUGCACCCCGCAUGACGGCAGGGAACGGCAUGCUGCUAAUCUAAAAUGUUGGUCCCCAAAAGGGGUGAGUACAACAACUUAGCAGGUAAAGGAAUCCAAUAACCACUCAAUGCAUCAUACAAGUCAUACAUGCAUUGCAGGCGUUACUUACCUAGAAGCCAUGCAUAUACUAUCAUGCAUCAUCACCAAAAUCAUAACACAUACAUGUGUAUCAUCAUGUCAUACUCAUAUCAUCGUCAUCAUGACAUUAUUAUAUCACACAUAUGUCAUCCUCAUCAUAUACGUGACACCAUCAUACCAUACACAUGUCAUCAUCAUCAUGGCAUCAUCAUAUCACACAUGUCAUCAUCAUCAUGACAUCGUCAUAUCACACAUGUCAUCAUCAUCAUGGCAUCAUCAUAUCACACAUGUCAUCAUCAUCACGACAUCAUCAUAUCACACAUGUCAUCAUCAUCAUGACAUCGUCAUAUCACACAUGUCAUCAUCAUCAUGGCAUCAUCAUCUCACAUAUCAUCAUAUCACAACAUAUAUGCAUGUCAUCAUGCCAUAUCAUAUAUCAUCAUCAUAUCAUGCAUAUCAUCAUGCCAUAUCAUAUAUCAUCAUCAUAUCAUGCAUAUCCUCAUAUCAUGCAUGUCUCAAUUUCCAUUUUUUUUAACAUUCAAUUUGAUCACCACAUCACCCUUCCUCGGAUCAUCAAUUUCAUCUCAUGUUUUACACUCGCAUCCCAUGCGAGAAAAACCUCCGGCAUUCAGCCCUUCAAGGCCACCGGGCAUCUGGCCCCCCACAUUCCGGGCAUCUAGCAUCCCAACUGGCAUCACGAGGCAUUCCCCUCGGGCAAAGACCUCCAACAGGGCUUCCGGCAUUUACACUCCCUGGCCGGGCAUCCCGCACCCCAAUCCUGGCAUCGCGAGGCAUUCCCCUCGGGCAAAGACCUUCGACAGGGCUUCCGGCCCCCCACAUUCCGGGCAUCCUGAAACUCCCAGGGCCAUCCGGCAAUGUAUCUCUAUACAUUCCGGGCAUUAUCCUCCGCCACAACAAUCUCCUCAUUUAACAUUAUCCAUGUUCACCAAUUUCGGUCUUAAUUUAGCAUGGCAUAUGAUGUAUUGGCAAUCAACACUCAUGUUCAGCAUUGAAUUCACACAUGCAUCUCAAUGCAUACAUCAAGACCUCACCACACAUACUACAUGGUGCAAUUAUUUAUAAAAUAAAAUUCAUGGAAUUUAUGCCAAUUAAAAUAAUCCAUUUAACAUGACCUUUUUACAUUUAUUUAAAUUCCAGCUUAUGCCAUUUUCAAAAAUAUUAAAUUUAAUUAUUUAUAUAAUCUCAAAAAUCAUAAAAUUAAGCAAGUAAUAAAUAAGACAAUCGGAUAAUGAUUUCAUGCAAAAUACACGGCCAAUAAAAAUUCCACACAAUUUCAUAAUUCACACAAAACAGCACAUAAUUUUCGGAUGAAACCAGAAUGCACAGUCUCCGAAGAAAUUCGAUUAAAAUAUCCAUACGACCUCCAAAAAUUACGAAAUUUUACCAUGUUAUAGCCAAGACAGUUUCGUACAUCUUUCAUGAAGAAUUACAAGCCAGAUUCUUUCUAGAUUAGUUUCUACAGUCUCACGAAGCUUCUGGAUCCAUCACCGAAUCGUCCAGUGCAUGCUUCUCCGAAAUACUGAGUUUUCACCUACCUAUUAUUUUUCGUUUCCUCUGAAAUUUAGAUAUGUUUUACAUCAAGAUGUUCUCUACAAGUUUCAUGAAGAUAUAUAAGUCAAAUAACCAGAGUAUAGUCGUCAUUUAGGUCCAUGAUGUCUCGGGUGUCCUGUAAUACAUCUCCAGAAUUUACCGUCUUCAAGAUCUAGUCGAUUUACUAGGUUAUACUUGUUCAUUUUGCUUCAAAUUUGAGUAUGUCGUAGUUUAAGAUGUCCCCUACAACUUUCAUGAAGAAAUCGAAAAGAUAUUAUUAGCACAAAUCAACAUGCAACCACAAAUCCAACAAGAAGUCAGCAAAAUCGUUCCAGAUCUGAGGUCUCCGUAGGAUGAGAGUUUAACCCCUUAAAUCUCCAUCAUUUUCCACCAAAUUUUAGUAUGUUGUAGUUUAAGAUGUUAGCUACAUUUUCAUGAAGAAAUAGAAGCCAAAAUCGGACUCUAAACAUGCAUGCAAGCUCUCACAACAUUCUGACUCGGGCGGGUUCAAACAAAACAACAACCUUACUCAAGAACAAGCCAUUCCAAGCUUCGGUUUUCCUCACCUAGUCACCUAAAAUUCGACAUACAUGUAACACACACACAUGCAAGAGCAGCUAGAGGACUCCAACUUGCCUCUAGACCGGACGGACGACGGCACACAGCGGUGAGCACGGCGGACGGACCGCGACGACUCCUCCUCGGCUCCUCCUCCCUCUCGGCCACUCUCCCUCUCUCUCUCGCGAAAUCUCUCUCUCUCUCUCUCCCUUUCUCUCUUGGCCGAAUCAACCGGCCAUUCUCUCUCCUCUCUUCCCUUUUUAUCUCCCCCAAACCUCAUCAUUUGCAAUCAUGAGAUUGCCUUUCAAUUGGCCAAUGCAUGGCAUUUCCCUUUGUGCCACUUGUCACUACACAUGCAUGGGCUUUGGGCUUGGGCUUGGGCUUGGGCCGGCCACUCUUGGUCGACAGCAGCCCACUUGUGGGCUUCAAUGGGCCGGCCAACUUGGCCCAUUAAAGAUCCACUCUUGGGCUUAAGGCCCAACCAAUUUUUUUUUAUAAUUUAUUCUAUAAAUUUUUAAAUUUUAAUUUUCCACAUGGCCAAAGUCUUGCGACAUUUUAUUUAUAGAAAUUUAGUCUAUAAAGUGCAUGGCCAAGCAUAGAUUAUCAUCAUUAAUCUAUCUAAUUUAAAAUCUCAUAAACACAAGCACAAAUCACCUAAUCUUAAAAAGACUAAUGGCUAAAGCAUUUAAACCAUAGGUAAUUUCAUUACCUAGUUAGAGGCUUUAACACACCUUAUAACUUGACUUUGAAUUUUGGGAUGCCACACUCAUAGAAUCACCUCAUCACAUCAAAUUAUCACAAUAGAUGAAUCAUCGAUCAAUCGACUUAGUUGAUUCCAUGUCAUCAUGACCAUUUCUUAGUCAAACAACUCAAUAUUAUCUAUCAAGUUCGACUUAGUCUAGAACUGCUCACCCUAAGCUAAAGAUAUAUAAUAUAGCCCACCCAAAGCUGAUAAUAUAGUAUACCGCUCACCCAAAGCUGAUAUAUCAGAGCCUUUAGGCCGAUAUAGUAUACUAAUAAUGCUCACCAGAAACUGACAAGGUAUACUGCUCACCCAAAGUUGACAUAUCAAGGCCCGUAGGCAGAUAUAACAUGUAUACCGCUUACCCAAAGCUGAUAUAUCAAGGCCUGUAGGCUGAUAUAGUAUAUCUAUGAUGCUCACCCUAAGCUGAUGAAGUAUACUGCUCACCCAAAGCUGAUAGAUGUAGUAUACCUAUUCUCACCAAUUGAGUAUGUCACCAUUUUUAUCAUUCAUAAUAAAAAUACUCGUGUGUGGGUACACAGUCGGCCUUAGCUAAAAUAUAAUAAUUUCUUUUCUACAAAUCCCACCAUUUAAUAAUGUCCACCAAAAUAUUUUUGGCUUUAUAAACCGACGCUCGGUUAUUUUCCAAUCAAUUACAGAAAAUAAUAAAUUUUGGGAUAAAUACUCCACAAUCACAAUCAACUCUCAAAUUGCACAAAAUAGUAGUCAAUUAAAUAAACCAAUCACACCACUACAAUCAGUACAAAAUUCCGGUCACCGGUUAUUCCGGUCUAAUUUUCGAUAAAUAAAUAAAUAAAUAAAUACGGAAAAUAAUUAUUAAAUGCUAAAAUGCAUACUUAGGCCCGUAAUGCCUAAUUAAAUGCCGAGACGGGUUCAGAAAAUUCUCGAACCUAUCUAAAUAAAUACUAGAGCAUAAUUACUCACUAUUUACACUAAUCUAACCACCUAACAUGCAUCAAGGAUUAACUAAUUCACUAAUCUAUUCUAACUAACCACCUAAUCCUAGCUUAACUUAAACUAAUCAACCCUUAAAUGUCAUUAAUUUACUAAGCAGGGAUUAAUGAGUUAAACUCGCUUGAUUCGUGAACCACUCGGACCAAAACGACGGGGAUGCGACGAGGAUUGACAAACUCCAAAGCAGCUGUGCCGUCGGGGGCCCGAAACGGGCCGAAAAUGGGCCACAGAAGGCCCACGGUUGUUGGACUGACUUCGAGAGGCUAUUGGUCAAAGCUCGACGGGCUGGUUCCUGCUUGUUUCGAAGUGGGAUCACGAUUGAUUGGGGCUAGAACGGACGACUACUAGGCUUCGGUGGUUCCGCUGGUGAUCGAUGGGCCUGCAACUUAAAGAUGGAGCUGGAUUGCAGGCUAAAAAUGGAGCUAUUAUGUGGGCCUCUACCUGAUCGAAAGGCCAAGAAGAAGCUACUGGUGUUGACGUCUGUUUGCUAGAGGAAAAAGGCUGACUUGGUGGGCUUGAUGAAGAAGCAGUGGGCGGGCUGCACGUGAGAUGGUGUGUCGGUGGUGUUUAGGUGAAGAAGAGACGGACGAAGGUAGGGGCGUCGGUGGGGCAGAGAACAUGCGAGGGAAGUUGAUAGCGAAGGAGAAGUAGAAGCAGACAGGGCAUCGACGAAGCGGGCAAGGCCAACGAGAAAGGGAUUGAAGGAGAGAGAGAGAAAGGAUAAGGUAGCAGGGGCUUGUCGGCUUAGAGGGAGAAGGGAGAAAGAAACGUGCGACUAAGGGAGAGAGAAAGAGAGGGAUUGAAGAGAAAGCCAGCUGGUUCAAAAGUCAAAGGAAUAUAAAAAGCAAAUAAAGACUGAAAUAGAGGGGGACGAUCGAACGAAGGAGGGGGUAAAAUAAAAAUAAAACGUCUUAUUUUUAUCCAAUCUUGGUUCCACAAAUUUCCAUGUAAAAUGCUUGUCCUCACUUGUUUUCCUGCACCAAAUUUCCUCCAAAUAACAAGUCUUGGGUAGCAACAAAGGCCAUUUCUCUCAAUUCCGAAUCCUAUUUCAUUUUUCUCGAAAUCCGAUUUCUUAACGAACUUCUUCGAUUCAAGCCCAAUUUUGUUGAAGAAAAAACCCCCAUGAUUUCCUUUCAUCAAGUAACUCACACCGGAGGCCAAAAAUCCCUUCAAAUUGGCCAAUCCAAAUUUCCGUUUGUUUUUCGAAUCGUCCGAAUUGAUUUUCUGCAAAAAAUCCCGAACUCGCCAAAAAUUCCUCAAAAGAUGAGUCGACAUUCCUAAAAUGACUCGUGACACGACAAAACUUUCAAUUUCUGAAAUUGGGUUCAAAUUCGCGGUUAAUUUCAAUUUGACGCGAUUUUAGCGUAAGCUAACCUACUGGGUAGCUUUUAGAAAUUUUUGGUGCAAUUGACCCAUGGUCGAUUUUCUUCGAGCCACACGUACCUAUUCGACACAUUGGCGACUCUCGGUGGUCAUGAAAAUCUCGAGGUUUCAAAUACGGAUACAGGGUACCCAAAAUGACAGAAAAUUGGUGUAGUGCCAAUCGACAAGAAUUUUGCAAUCAGGUGGAAUCACCCACACUUGAAUCACACAUCUCAGUCGAACCGACCUAUCUCUGGUCUCUGAUCAAUUUUUAAUUGUGCCGUAAUAACCCUUGUAGACUAACACGGUCGAGCAGUCGAUUCUAGGUUGAAUUGUCAAGUCUAUUAUAUUAAAAUCUCUUAAUGGCUUCACCGGAUAAGCUAGUUAUCUCGUGAGUGGCCAUUUCAAAGAAAAACACUAUAGUCACGUCGAUGAAAGGCCUAACUUAUCCAAUCGAAAUCAGAACUUGAAAAUCAGGAUGUCACAUUGCAUUUGCCUUAUUUAAUUUGUCAAUGAGUCAGAGUUAUCAAAUUCCCAGACCCAGCUCAAAACAGCAAAGGAUUCAGAAGUCAUUGGCACAACAAAUAAGAAUUCAAGAACAUAAAUGCCUUAUUGGGCGAAUUGCAACAUCUUCCUCAAUUGUGUUUGGUAAUUUAAGAUGGGAGGGAAUGAAUGAAUAGCAAACAAACAAACAAAUAAACAAAAUAUAAGUUUAGAAGUAACUAGAAAAGCACCUUCAAUUCUUCAUGAAGGAAGUAACUAAAUCACUCCUACUGCAUAAAGUGUAUCAACAAUUCACUCUUUCGCUAACUAGGCAUUAAUUCUUUUAUUUCAUUCCUCACAAAUCAUGAUUGUACUGUAUUGAAAUUGAAAAAACAUUCCACAAGGUAUGACCGAUUCUCAACUACCUAUGCCUUUCAACAAAACCUAGCAUUUGUUAGCAUCUUUAGUGUGCUUACUAUCUAAGCAAGUUACAUGCUGCCAAGCAUGUCAACCCUAACAUUAUGCUGAUGCGCAACAUAAACCAGCUAAGCAUCACCACAGUGGAGGCAAGUGAAAGUACCGCAUAUUCAUGACAUACAAUAAAGGAAUUUUGCUCAGAGAUAAGAGGACGAACAAAUACAAGCGGUGGUUCUAGAACUAAGAUGAAAGCUUAGUUGAAAGAAAACUCACAAGACAGGACGCAGCAAAAAACAAACUCUAGUUCUAUGGACUUACCAUCAUCGACUAUCUUUGCCAAUCAAAUGAUACAUACCUUAUCCAUCUCUAUUGAGCUUCGAGCAGUCAAUGAUGAUGAGUUCACAAGAUUUUGGCACACCCAAAACUGAAAGGAUCGACAUCUGCUGAUGCUGUUGAAGAGGCUAAAGACUAGUUAAAUACACUUCUAGUAAGCUACUUUAGCAACUAAAAAGUAAUUCAAGCGAUCUUGCCGUUUGUUACCUUCUUUGAUACAUAUGUAGUUUAUCCAAUACUAUGAACAAUUCUAAAUCAAAGGAAAGUCAUGUCUAGCAUUUAAUAGCCUGCCUUGAAGGUUAUUAUGUAGUCUCCAUAUUAAAUGCUUCAUAUUAAUUUUUUUGGCAAAGCAUUCAUAAUGGCCAUGCAAUUUCCAACAGCAGUUUACAGUUAGUGUGCUAUGGAAAGAGAGUACUUUUUGUUACCAUGUAAGACGGAAUUAUUACCUUGUCCCUGCUGACACAAACACACCACUUAAAACUUCAACACCAUCUGAAUCAAUAAAAACUGCACCAAUGAAUAACAUACCAUUAGUGAGUCAUACCAUCAACUAUAUUUCACAUGACCACUUUAUAAGUGCCACUGAAUGCAAGAAACUAAUUGAUUGAUGACAUGGUCAGUGAUCCCUGUAUUAUCAUACCCCCUCUUCAACACAAUGGAAUUAAAUUCAUGAAAAAAGAGAAGGCAAGGUGCUACAGCUGCUGCCUUUGAGAAUAUAUCCAAACCUGUAAUUUUAAAAUUGCCAUUACUCUCUAAUAUUCAAAAUUUCUCUAGUUUGUUCACAAAAUUAAUGCCGUCAAUGUGCAGAACAGAUGAUCCAGUAGACAUUUGAUCACAAAUUUCAAAUUUCUAGUAGAGAAAAACUUCAAAUAUCUUACAUCUUAAUCUUUCUCUUAAUCUUCAUAGAGGAUUCUCUCAUUCAUGCGUGAGAAAACUCAAGAACUGUUUUAACUUGGCCUCUUCAUUGAUUAUGGGAGAAUCCUAAUUGCUGUUGUUUAAAAUAAUAUAAUUAGAACAUCUUGGUUGCAAUGGUAGGAUCCUCAUUGCUGUUGCUAGUUAUCCUAUUUCGACUGCUGGCAUAGAUGAAGGGACCUCUAUUAAAUGCAUACAGAAGCAAAAGAAGAAAGCACAAAAUUGUGAAAUGUAUGGAAAUAACAAAGUUCAAUAGAAGAUUGCAUAGUAGAACUCAAUAAACAUCCGUGUAGUUGAAAAGAAGCCUCUUACAGCUUACUAAAAAGUACCAAUGUACCGAUCCACAACUCGCCCUUUUACUAAUAUGGAUUGAAGAGAACAAGUCGUUGCUAUAGCACCAACAAUAUGUCUUGCCAAAGCCUAGACAUCCAUGUAAAAGAACAUUUCACCAUGGUCUUGGAGGAGCUUGUGCAAAAGCAUUUUAUCAGCAAAUGUAAAAAUGAUAGACACAAAGAUCAACGGGUUUAUUUAACAAGUUAACAGUAACCACAUUAUUAGCAAAGACAGAGAGAGAUGAGGAAAGGUGCAAUAAAUCGGCUAAAAGAAAAAACAAAAUCUAGUCUUCAACAACACAAAGGUGCUCUUUCCUAACACUAGAAAUAGCAGAAUGCACAAUUUGAUGCAGCUAAACCUACUCUUCAACGAAAUAAUGGCUUGACCAUAUCGACAAGUUUACUCCAAUAUCAAUUGUCUCCCAGCACGAAUUUCACGCAUAAAUGGCUAAAUACUAGAAUGAAGAAAGAUAGUUCACAAAUCACACCAUGACUCAAGACUUUAAGCUUUUGCACUUCGGUUCAAAAGUAACUAGAAAAACACCUCCAAUUUUUCGUGAAGGAAAUAACUAAAUCACUCAUAUUGCAUAAUAGGUAUCAACGAUUCACUCUUCCGCUACCCAAGCAUUAAUUCUUUUAUUUCAGUCCUCACAAAUUAUGAUUGCUCUCUACUGAUAUUAAAAGCACUGCAUAAGGUGAGACUAGUACUCUCAAGUCUCAACCAACUUAGCCUUACAACAAAAACCUAGCAUUUGUUAGCAUCUUUAGUGUGCUUACUAUCUAAAAGUUGUUGGAGAAAACUCCUUUACUAUUUUGAAGUUGACAAAAAUUUUCCAAAAGUCUAGUCUGAAGACUUCCAGACUCUAGCGUCAAAGUUUGAAGACCGCCAGACUUUAGAUUCAAAGUUUGCCCACACUGACAAUUUCUAGACUGAAGAAUGAAGACUUAUCCAGAUGGAAGAUUAUCUUUAUUUCUUCAAGGAUUCGAUUCAUAUGGUUUAUGGAUAACCUUAUGGAUGGAUAUAACACGUACAUGAUUGAUUAUCUUUAUUGGAAUCAAUUCUGAUAUUCAAAUCUUUUGGAAGGCAAGCAAACUUGGAAGGUUCUACUUAUGGAAACCAAGAUCUUGAUUGUAUGGGCGAAUAGAAUUGACGGGCUUUCAUCACAAAUCGUCUAACGACUCGAGAUCUCUUUGAUUGAUUCUAUCCAACGAGUAGAUUGGAAGAAUUCCUUUGGAAAGUGCCAACGGUCGUGAAGGCAUGAAGGAGUAUUUAAGAUGGACUCUCCAGUUGUUCGAUAGUGAGCGUGAAAGAAAAAAUUCAAAAUUUGAAGCUUCUUAGUUCCUUGUUAUUCAUUGAGCUCAAAGUUGUAUACAAAAGAGAGAAACUCCUAGUGAGACUUUGUGAGAGACCAGUAGAGACUCUUCACUGAGAAGUCGAGAUCACAAGUUGUAAAAUCUCUUCUCAUUCUUAGUGAAAUCCAACCAAUGGAUAGUUAGCACGGGAGAGUUGACGUAGGCUUGAUCUAAGCCGAACCACUAGAAACCUUAUGUUCUUAUUCUCAUCCCUUAACUCCUUUAUUUUAUUUCGUAGCUUUAUUUAACUAUUCAAAACUGAAUUCUUUCAUAGUCUAUUAUCUUCUAUAAACAAAUUACUUCUACCGAAUCUUGCGAAAAUUUUUAUUCACACCUAUUCACACCUCUCUAGGUGUUGUUACUUGUCAUGUCCCAAUCCUUCGAGCCCGUGCCCAUCCUGCUUGGUCGAUAUAAUAGCGAUGUCCUAGGACGCAUUGCCGAUCCAUUUGUUUUAAUAUACGCAUGCGAAAGUAGAUAUAAAUCCCCAGACAAUAAAACAACGGGAUAGGAAAGUAGGGCCAACUUUUUGAAACCAUCACAACCACACUUAUAUAUACAUACAUAGCAAACCAUGUCAUAUAUCAUACAAGCUGGUCUAGGUAUGUAAACAUAUACAUAAAAGUGAGUCCUUAAACAGGGGGGUCUAGCCACCACGGCUACUCGUCCUCGUCAAACUCCUCUUGCUCCACAUCCUCAUCCUCAUUGGAGUCUUUUGCUAAGUACACCGAGGACUCUAACUCUUCCAGCUCCGGGUCCUUCGCGUCCUCCGCCGAACCAUCCUUAGGGUAUGCUGUACCCUUUCCAAAAGCAACCUCUAAAACGUAUAAAGGUACCUCAUUUUCCGGUACAAGGCCCACCCUUUGGCCAUGUGGCAUCUAGGAAUUUCAACCCGAAAUAUUGGUUUUGAGGGAAACGAUAUUUGACUUUGAAUGGCCAUAGGGACAAUUACAUCAUUGGCCACGGUAUUUUAUCUCUUGGACCGAACCCCUUAUGAAAACGUUAAUUGAUUAUGAGAAUGUUAAUUGAUUUCUAUAAAUAAAAAUCAAAAUCAAAUGCCCUAAAGUGGUGUAGGAAUUAUGGGCUAUUUAAAUUGGACAUAGGACGAUUUGAUAAAGAAGACUUUGUUCUUGACUAUACACUUUGUAGAUUUGAUGGAUUAAUGUCACAAAGUCUUUUGGCCAUUUUAUUAUGCAAUUAGAUAUUUAUUUAAAUGAGAAUUAAGAUGUAUUAUAAAAAAAUAAACUUGGGCCAUUUAAGUUUGGGCUUUAGGCCCAAGUGAGAUGGGCCUAAAGUGGGCCAUAAGCCCGGCCCAUGUCGUCGCAUGGAGGGGGAGGAGGAGGAGCCGCAUGGCCUCCAAGUGUCUUCAACAAAGGAGACACUUGUCUCCUUCUUAGGGACAAGUGUCCCCCAUGCAAAAUAAGAGUGCAUGCAAAUAUAUAUACAACCAAAAGAAAGAGAGAGAGGGAGUGGUCGGUCUAGGUGCCGAGAGAAAGGAGAGAAAGAGAGAAAGAGAGGAAGAGAGGAAGAGAGAAAGGAAGGAGGAGGUUCGUCGCCGCCAUGCCCCGCCGUCGAGCCCGCCUAGUCCCGCCGUCGUUCUUGCUGUGUUUUCCUUUGAAUUAAGGCAAGUUGCGAAUGAUUUCCACUUUUGCAUGUGUGCCUUGCAUGUGUGAUUUGUUGGUGGUAGGUUUCGGAUCAUAGGGUAGGCAAAACCGAAGCUAGAAUGUGACUUGUUCUUUUGUUUGCAUGCUGAUUUCGUGUGAACCGCCUGGACCAGAAUCUUGUGAGAGCUUGCAUGCAUGUUUUGAGUUGGAUUUUGACCUUUAUUUCUUCAUGAAAGUUGUAGCCAACAUCUUAAAAUAAAAAAUACUAAAAUUUGAGAUAAAAUGGUGGAGAUUUAAGGUGUCAAACCCUCAUCCUACGAAGACACUAGAUCUGGAACGAUUUCGCUGACCUUCUGGUAGAUUUGUGGUUGGAUGUCGAUUUUUAUCAAGAAUCUCUCUUCAACUUCUUCAUGAAAAUUGUAUAGAACAUCUUAAAUACUAACAUACUCAAAUUUGAAGUAAAAUGAGCAAGUGUAGCCUAGUGAAUCGACUUACUCUUGAAGACGGUAAAUCUGAAGACGCGGUACAGGACACCCGAGAUUUCAUGGACCCAUAUGGUGACUAUUCUUUGGAAAUUUGACUUAGAUCCCUUAAUGAAAGUUGUAGGGGACCUCUUGAAGUAAACCAUAUCCAAAUUUAAUAGGAAAUGAAAAAGAAUAAAUGGGUGAAAACUCGAUAUUUCGGAGACACCUACACUGGACGUUUCGGUGCGAGAACCAGAAGCUUCGUACGACUAUAGAAAAUGAUCUAAAACGAAUAUGGCCUAGAAGUCUUCACAAAAAUCUACUUUAGUGUCUUAGCUACAUCCUGGUAAAAUUUCAUAAUUUUCGGAGACCGUUCGGAUAUUUUAAUCGAAUUAUUUCGAAAACUGCACAUUCUGUUUCUAUCCGAAAUUGCAUGCUGUAUUUGUGUGGAUUAUAUCUUUUGUGUGGAACUCUAUUGGGCAUGUAUUUUUCAUGAAAUUAUUGUCUUAUUGCCUUGUCUAUCCCAUGUCCUGAUUUCAUGAUUUUUGAGAAUCAUAUGGAUAUUUAAUUUAAAUGUUUUCUAAAAUGGUACAAGCUGGAAUUUAGUAAACUUCAAAAAGGCAUGAUAAAUGGACUAUUCUAAAUUGUAUGGACUCCAUGAAUUGUAUUGUUAUGAAUGAUUGUGUCUUGCUGCAUAUAUGAUGAUGAUUGGAGAUGCAUGUAUGAAUCAAAUGAUGAAAAUGAUCUUGAUUGCCAUCACAUCACAUGCCAUGUUGAAAUUGAGCCAUAAUUGUGAAUGUGAAAUUGAAAAUGAGAUGUAUGAGAAUAUGCAUCGUGGUGAUGAGAAGACGGUUGGAGGUGUGAGCCGACGAUGCUUCGGGAGUGUCGAGAUGUCCGGUGGUAUACGGUACGUAAUUUCAGGGGAGGCCUGGUGGUAUGUCGGUACGUAAUUCCGGAGGGCAGGGGAAACCAUUUUCAUGGCGAGCCCCGGAGAUUCCCCGGGAGUGUCGGGAUGCCUGGUGGUAUACGGUACGUAAUUCCAGGGGAGGUUUGGUGGUAUCUCGGUACAUAAUUCCGGAAGCUCAGCAGGUAUUGUGCCGAGGGAUACCUCGCGAUGCUAAAUGGGAUGCGAGAUGCCUGGCUAGAAGGGUACGGCCGAUUGCCCAGUAGGUAUUGUGCUGGAGGGUCCUCGUGAUGCUAGUUGGGAUACGAGAUGCCCAGAGCGUGGAGGUGCCGGAUGCCCUGUAGCACCCCGAACCCUUCGGCGGUCGCCACAAGCAUCGAUGUUACGCCUUAUUACCUUUUUCUAUCUUGUACUUAGAACAAGCGUCGUUAAUCACAGGCUUUUUUUUUUUUUAAAGCGGUCCCAGCGCGACUCAUAGCGGAAGCAAAUUAAACAUCACCAUCUAUCCCCCUACCAAUCCAUGAUACCAAUACACACCAGCUAAACAUCAGGAUUUUAUAACCAAGCUUCGACACUUUACUUACAUACAUAUAUGACAAGAUGGGAUUCCCUUCGGGUCGGUAUAACAAAAGGAAAAGCUAGGACUUAGCCACGUCUAGCCUAAAACCUGAAAAAGAAACCCUCGACCCUCAACAUCAUACGAGUACAGACCCCCAUCGAAAGUGUCGACUAUCUACAUCAAAAAGAUCCAGCUCCUACUCAUCGCGCGCAGGUCUCACACCCAACCCGGUGCAUCAGGCGGUGGCGGCGGCAACAUCCCUCGCAUCGCUCCAUCCCGACGAACGUGCACAGAAAUGAACUCCUGAAUGACAGGGCCCCCAGCCAGGCCUAUGUCGUACAUCACUAGACAGCGUACUCGAAUAAAAGUCAGUCCGGGAACAGAGGGAUAGUCUAUCUCGGCACACUCGACCUCUACAUCGGAUGGUAGACCAUAAAACACCCCCCGCGUGACGGCAGGAAGCGGCAUACUGCUAAUCUGAAAUGUUAUUCCCCAAAAGGGGUGAGUACAACCACUCAGCAAAUAGAGAAAUCCAAUAACAACUCAAUGCACCAUGCACAUCAUCAUACGUUGCAGGCAUUACUUACCUUGAAGUCAUGCGCAUACUAUCAUGUAUCAUCAUAUCAAUUCAUAACACAUUCACAUGUAUUAUCAUUGUAACAUGCAUGUCAUGAUCAUCAUGACAUCAUUACANNNNNNNNNNNNNNNNNNNNNNNNNNNNNNNNNNNNNNNNNNNNNNNNNNNNNNNNNNNNNNNNNNNNNNNNNNNNNNNNNNNNNNNNNNNNNNNNNNNNNNNNNNNNNNNNNNNNNNNNNNNNNNNNNNNNNNNNNNNNNNNNNNNNNNNNNNNNNNNNNNNNNNNNNNNNNNUAUAAUAUCAUGGGUGAUCAUCAUUAUUUCACAUCACAUACCAUCAUCAUCAUCAUCAUCAUCAUGCAUAUCAUCAUGCAUAUAAUAUCAUGCGUAUCAGGUCAUGAUUUAAAUUUUUCAUCUUUAUCUUUAAAUUUGAUCACCACAUCACCCAUUUCUCAAUUCAUCAAUUUCAUCAUCCCUUCGAGCAAAGACCUCCGACAGGGUUCCCAGCAUUCAGCCUCCCAGGCCACCUGGCUUCCGGUCCCCCACAUUCCGGGCAUCUCGCAUCUCAACUAGCAUCACGAGGCAUUCCCUUCGGGCAGAAACCUCCGACAGGGCUUCCGGCCUUUACCCUUCUAGCCAGGCAUCUCACACUCCAAUCCUGGCAUCGCGAGGCAUUCCCUUCAGGCAGAAACCUCCGACAGGGCUUCCGGCCCCCCACAUUCCGGGCAUCCUGAAUCUCCCAGGGAAUUUCGGCAAUGCAUCUCUAUACAUUCCGGCCUCAUCCUCCACCACAACCACUUACUCACUUAUCAUUAUCCACAUUCAUCAUUUUGAUUUCAUUAUUACAUGACAUACGAUUCACACAUGCAUCACAACUCAUGGUCAUACAUACACCAAUGUCGUAUCAUACAUGUAACAAUGCAUAAUUAUUUAUUAAUAAAUUCAAUGGAAUUUAUGGCCAAUAAAAUAAUCCCCCUUUUAUUUUAUUAUUAUUAAUUUAAUUUAAUUUAAUUAUCAUAUUUAUUUAUUUUCAUAAAUAAAUAUUAAAUUCAAUAUCUAUAAUUUCCCAAAAUCAUGAAAUUCAAUUUAAUCAUUAAAAAAACCAAUAGGAUGACAUUUUCAUGCAAAAUUCAUGGCCAAAUUGAAUUUCACACAAUUUCACAAUUUCCACAAAAUAGCACAUAAUAUUCGGAUAAUAACCAGAAUGCACAGUUUCUAAAUAAAUUCGAUUAAAAUAUUCAUACGGCCUCCAAAAAUUACGAAAUUUUACAGGAUGAUAGCCAAGACAUUUUCGUACCACUUUCAUGAAGAACGCCAAGUCAGAUUCCUUAUAGAUUAUUUUAUUCAACCUCACGAAGCUUCUGGAACCCUUACCGCAUUGUCCAGAAUACACAUCUCCGAAAUAUUAAGAUUUCACCCAUCUAUUCUCUUUCGUUUCCUCUGAAAUUUGGAUAUGUUAUGUAUCGAGGUGUCCUUUACAAGUUUCAUGAAGAGAUUUAGGUCAAAUAACCAAAGUAUGGUCACCAUUUGGGUCCAUGAAGUCUCGGGUGUCUCGGAACACAUCACCAGAAUCAUCGUCUCCAAGAUCUAGCCGAUUUACUAGGCUAUACUGGUUCAUUUCUCUUAAAAUUUGAGUAUGUUGUAUUUUAAGGUGUUACAUACAACUUUCAUAAAGACAUCGAAGUCAAAUCUUCAACAAAAAUCAACAUGCAAUCAAGAAUCCAACAAGAGGUCAGUGAAAACUUCACAGAUCUGGGGUCUCCGUAGAAUAGGACUUUGACCCCUCAUAUCUCCAUCAUUUUCCACGAAAGUUCAGUAUGUUGUAGUACAAGAUGUUAAAUACAACUUCCAUGAAGACAUCGAAGCCAAAAUUGGACUCCAAACACACAUGCAAGCUCAAACAAGUUACUGACUCCCACAACCCGAGCAAGAACAGUCACCCGACUUAAGAACAAGCCAACCUUACCUCGGUUUUUCUCACUAAAAACACCCAAAAUCUAACAUGCAAACAAUAUACAAGCAUGCAAGAGAAGUUAGAGGACUCCACUUGCCUCUAGGAUGGACAAACGACGGCGUACGGUGGUCGGACACGGCGGUGACGGCGACUCUCUCCUUCCUUUCUCUCUCGGCCGCUCCUCCUCUCUCGCACACCUCUCUCUCUCGCACGGUGUCUCUCUCUCUCUCUCUCUCUCUCUCUCUCUCGGCCAAAUGGAGUAAACCGGCCACUCUCCUCUCUCUCUCUCUUUUUAUUUCCCCAUCUUCUCAUGAUUAGCAAUCAUGAGAUUGCCUACAAACCCACCAAUGCAUGGCCUUCCCCUUUGCCACUUGUCUUGAUCCAUGCAUGGGCCGGCCACCUCUUCCUUUGGGCCUUAAUGGGCCGGUCGAAUUCCCUCUUGGGCCGACUAGCUUGGCCCACCAAGCUUAGGCCAAUGGGUCCAAGGCCCAUUCGAAAAUUAACCUCCUUUUUCCUUUUUUUUUUUUGAAUUCCUUUCUAUAAUUAUUUUUAAAUUUCAAUCUUCAUCUUGGCCAAAGUCUUAGGGCAUCUUGGUUAUUGAAAUUUAAUUUAUAAAGUACAUGGCCAAGCAUAAAUUAUUAAUCCAUCAAAUAUAAAUUCUCACAACCAUAAGCACAAAUCAUCUAAUUAAAAGACUAAUGGCUAAAGCAUAAGCCAUGGAAAUUCUAUCACCUAAUUAAAGACUUUAACACACCUUAUGGCUUGGCUUUGAAUUCUUGGGAUGCCACAUGCCCGGUGGAAAUUGUGCCGGAGGGUUCUCGCAAUGCCAGGAUUGGGCACGAGUGAUGAAUGUGGGAUGCAAACAUUGGUCCCGGGAAAGAGAAAUGUGGCGGUCCAAUAUGAAAAGAUAAAAUUGAGAAAUUGAAAUUGAAAUAUGCAUGAUGAUAUAUGCAUGACAUGAUGAUAUGUGCAUGGAUGCAUGGUAAUGAUGAUGGCACGUGUGAUAUGAUGAUGAUAUGUGCAUGGAUGCAUGGUAAUGAUGAUGGCACGUGUGAUAUGAUGAUGAUAUGUGCAUGGAUGCAUGGUAAUGAUGAUGGCACGUGUGACAUGAUGAUGAUAUGUGCAUGGAUGCAUGGUAAUGAUGAUGGCACGUGUGACAUGAUGAUGAUAUGUGCAUGGAUGCAUGGUAAUGAUGAUGGCACAUGAUGAUGAUGAGUGCAUGGAUGCAUGGUAAUGAUGAUGGUACAUGUGACAUGAUGAUGGUAAGUAUAUGGCAUGAUGGUGAUGACUAUAUGAUGAUGUAUGUACAUGAGGUGUGAUGACAUGUGCAUGAUAUCAAGGUAAAUUGUGCAUGGAUGCUUUAAUGACAUGUAAUGCUAUGAUUGUGAUGAUUGUGGGGCAUGAUGCAUUGAGUGGUUUAUUGAUCCUUUACCUGCGGAGUGGCUGUACUCACCCCUUUUGGGGACCAACAUUUCAGAUUAGUAGAUGGAUUAAGCGGUUGGAUAUGACCGCCAGGAGAAGGAUAGCAAAUGAGGGAACUUUUGGACGCCGACACUGGUUGAUGGACCUUAAGCAUACGAUUGUGGGAGGAGAUGUCGGUCAUCUUGAAGUAUAGCCUAGUAUAGAAAACUAUGGCAUUUUGAUGUACCGAUGAAUGAUGUCCAUAUGGUUUAAAUGAAUAAAAGUGUACGGCUUUUACCUAUAAAUGUUUAGUUGGUGUGCAUCGUUUUCUGAACAUAGGGAGUUGAUGGAUGUGCUUCCGCUAUAUGAAUUGCGCAAGGGACCGAUGAAAAAAAAAAUGUGUAAACCCCCAGGUUGUAUGGACCCACUGCAAUAGAAAUGGUAUCAAAGUGACAUAUGAUUAGGGAAAGUGAAAGGUAAGCAAACUGUGGCGACCCUAUCGGAUCGGGAGCCGUCGAGGGGUGCCACAGGCCAUUAUGGUAAUGGCGAUACCAUGAUCGAUAUCGAUGGGGCACCUUAUGGGGUAAUCCCGCAUCGACCCAAACGGUGGAUUUCACCAACACAUAUUCAAGACCCUUAGGGUGUCUGUGUAUAGGAAUGUGGUAACUCAUUUCAGUGAACUUUUUAGGUUGUCCAAAAUGAUUCGGCGGAGCUACCAUCUACGGGCUUGAAAUGUUGUCCCACAACGGGGUGAGAUGACGUCUCAGCGAGUUCUACCCGCUAAGACCCGAUUAGGAAGAAAAUAUGCCUUAAGGGCUGCCUAAGCACAACCACAAGUCAGAGGACUUACCUUAGCCUUAGUUCCUCCCUUCAAGUUAGUUCAAUUCAUAAAUACUGACAAACAAAACACCCAAUCAAUUCAGAUCGAAUCAUCGAUCAAUCGAUUCAGUCGAUUGCAUGUCAACAAGACCACUCCCCGGUCAUCACAAGUAUUCCAUCUCAAUUCUCAAUCACAGCUCAACGAGUAGGGUCUAUCAAAUUCUCAACUAUAAAUCACAGUCCAAGGGAUACAACUUAUCUUAGGUGGUAAUCACGGCCCAAUGGGCACAACCUUUAAUAGGUGGUAGAUCAUGGCCCGAUUGGGCACAACCUCUAACAUAUGACAAAUCACGGCUUGAUUGGGCACAACCUCUAAUAGGUGUUAAAUCACAGCCCGAUUGGGCAUAACCUCUAAAAUGUGGCAAAUCACGGCUUGAUUGGGCACAACCGAUCCUAAUUCGGUGGCGAAUCUCGGCCCAAUUGGCACAGCCAUACUUCGACAGUUUUCUAGGUUCAACUCACAAUCUCUCAUGGUUCUUUUCCAUCCAAGUACCGACAAUCUACAAUUUUGGGAUAAAUUCCCAUAAUCCUCAAUUUCACUCAAUUUUCACAAACUUGUACUCAAUUAAAUAAACGGAAAGCACCAUUGCAAUCAGCACAAAAUUUCGGUCAUCGGCCUCCCGGUUGAAUUUCGGGAAAAUAAAUAAAUAAAUAAUUAAUUACAAAAAAUUAAUAAAUAAAUACAAUAAAUAGCAUAAAUGCUAACUUACACUCGAUAAAGCCUAAUUGGAAGUCGAGACGAGCCCGGAAAAUUUCCUAACCACUAUAGUUAAAUACUAGAGCUUGUCUAGGCUCUAAUUGCACUAACUAUCCACCUAACAUGCCAUCACAAUUAAUUAAAUUCAUUAAUCUAAUCUAAUCACACCACCUAAUCCAUCUUAGCCUAAAUUAAUCAAAAUCCCUAAGCAUAAUUAACUUACUAAGCGAUGAUUAGUGAGUUAAACUCACUUGUUUCGCGAUCCGUUCGGCUCAAUUGACGGGGAUGCCGCGGGGGACAACUUUCUCCAAAGCGGGCCUAACUUUUGGAGUCGAGAACAACCUCAAAACGGACCAAGAUUCUUGCUGGAAACCCAUUGAUUUGCUCUCUAUUUGGGGCUGAACUUAGCUUAAAAAGGGGCUCGGUUGGCCGGUUGAGGCGGAGACCGGUGAAGGCGAGGCAGACAGUUCGGCGAGGGCAAGUAGAGGCCGAACGGGAGCCCACAACGGCUCAGGCAGCGGGGCAACUUGUAAUCGGGUCAAGGCUCCUCCUAGGUACAUGGCGGAGCUAGAAUAGCGGUCCGAGAUGGUGGGGAUGCAUGCAUGGGUAGGCGAGGCGAGACAGGCUCUCGCGAGUAGUUCGGCGGGCUUCAACGGUGGCGUACGACGGUCUAAGCGGCUGCUGGCUUCUCCUCUGGAGUUCUGGAUUUCAAGCAGCAGAAAUGGAGAUGGGAAAGGGGGUUGCUCGACUGCUUGAAGGGGGGAGUGGACUGGUUCAGCAAGUGGGAUUGGUUUUGGUCCCCUUGACCGGUUUGUCCCCAUCCUUUUGGUCUCCCACCACCAGUUGGUGUCCACCCAUGAUUUUCAGAGCCAAUUGCCCUCUUCUAGAAGCUUGGGAUGGUCCAAAAUGUUGGCUCCAUGGGGUGUUACGAAUUUCAUGGGUUUUAGCUACAAUUGGACACUAAUUGCUUCUCAAUUCUAUCCAAUUUGGCUCUCAAAAAUUCAAUUAGCACCUCAUUGAUCAAGUUGGUAUUUUUCCUCACCAAUUGAUCCCACUUGCUUCCCAAUCGUGCAUUCAAAAACAGUUCUAACUUUUUCUGGACAUAAACGGCCCUAGGACGACUUUUUCCCAAAAAGUCUCGGUUUGCAGAAAAAUCUUCGCAGGCUAAGUCGACGUUCCUAAAAUGACCUAUGACAUGAUAGAAUUUUCAAUUUUUGAAAUUGGAUUCAAAUUUGCGGUUAAUUUUACUCUGGUGCGAUUUUAGCGUGACCUAACCCACCGGAUAGCUUUCAAAACUUUUUAGUGCAAAUGAUCCGUGGUCGAUUUUCUUCGAGCCAUAAUGAACCUCUUCGACACAUUGGCGACUCUCGAUGGUCGUGAAAAUCUCAAGAUUUUGAAUACGAACACAGGGUAUCAAAACGAUAGAAAAAUCAAACUUGUGCCAAUCGAUGAGAAUUUUUGCAAUUUAGUGGGAUCACCUACGUUUAACCACUCAUCUCAGUCGAACCGACCUAUCUCUGAUCUCUAAUCGAUUUACAUCUAUGCUGUAAUGUUCUCGACAGAUGAGCACGGUUGAGCAGCCGAUUCCUAGUCGAAUUCUCAAGUUUAUUUGCCUUAAAAUCCUUUAAUAACUUCCCCAGAUAGUCUAGUUAUCUCACGAAUGAUCAGCUUUGAGAAUAGCACUAUAGACACGUCGAUGAAAUGCCUAAUUUAUUCAUUUGAAAACAAGAUCGAAAAUCUAGGAUGUCACAACUUUUCCCCUCUUAUAAAAAUUUCGUCCUAGAAAUUUAAACCUUACAAUACUUAAGCAAAAAGGUGGGGGUACAAACGUCUCAUCGACUCUUCAAUCUCCCAGGUUGCUCCUUUAGUACCGUGGUGUUGCAAGACCACUUUGACCAUCGGGAUGGUCUUUGUACGCAGAACUUGCUCUUUUAUGUCCACGAUCCGAACUAGGCUUUCGACCUAUGACACUCGGUCAUCCACGUCCAAUUCUUCAAAAUUAAGCACAUAGAUUGGGUCAAGCUCGUACUUCCUCAAAAUCGACACAUGAAAGACGUCGUGCACUUGCACCAAUGUUGGCGGCAACACAAGACGAUACACCAAAGUCUCGAUUCUCUCAAGAAUCUCAAAUGGACCUACGUACCUCGGACUCAGUUUUCUUUCUUGCCAAAGUGCGAAGUUCCCCUCAUUAGUGACACCUUCAGAAAAACGUGAUCACCAACUUGGAAUUCCAAAAGCUUUCAACGCUUAUCUGCGUAGUUUUUCUGACGACUCUGAGCAGUCUUUAAUCUGCCUCUAAUAACUGCCACGGCAUCCACUGAUUACUGAACUAACUUUGGGCUUGUAAUCUUUCUUUCCCCAGCUCCAUCCCAACACACCGGUGUUCUACAUGCUCGGCCAUACAAUGCUUCAAAUGGAGCCAUCUGGAUGCUCUGCUGAUAACUAUUGUUUUAGGCGAAUUCCACAAGAUGAAGUUGUUCCUUCCAACUUCGUUUAAAGUCCAAUACACAAGCUCGCAGCAUAUCUUCUAGGGUCUGAAUUAUCCUCUCAGAUUGGCCAUCCGUCUAUGGAUGAUAUGCUGUACUAUACUGAAGCUUUGUACCUAGAGCACUCUACAAGCUCUUUCAAAAAACGGUAGUAAAUCUUAGGUCUCGAUCCGAUGUUAUCGUAAUUGGUACUCCAUGCAAUCGAACUAUCUGACGCACAUAUAAUUCAGCGUGCCUAUCCAAGUCAAGAUCCUUUCGCAUUGCAAUAAAGUGAGCCGACUUUGUCAACCUGUCGACUAUUACCCAAAUCGAAUCAUUACCCCUUUGACUCAUUGGUAACCUGGUCAUGAAAUCCAUCGUGAUAUGCUCCCACUUCCACUCUAGGAUCUCAAGAGGUUGCAAGAGUCCUCCUAGCUUGCAAUGUUGAGUUUUGAUCUGCUGAUACGUCAAACACUUGGUGACAUACCUGGCGAUGUCUGCCUUCAUACCUGACCACCAAUAGUGCUGGCGCAGAUUUUGAUACAUCUUGGUACUUUUGGGAUGAAUGCUAUAACUACUCCGAUGAGCUUCUGAUAAAAUAUCAUCUCUAAGCUUCGCAUCGUUAGGUAUAACCAAUCGUCCCUGGAACUUCAGUGUUCCAUCAUCAUAAACCCGGAAAUCAACUUUCCUCUCCUCGAUAUCCUUUUGUAAAAUUUUCUGAACAUUUGGGUCUGUCGGCUGGAGUAGCUUAAUCCUGAUCUGCACAUCCGGCUCAAUUAUGAGGGUAGCCAUAAGAUUAGAAAGGUGGCCUACCUCAAAUUUGAACAUCGAAUCUCGAGGUUGCUUGAUUAGAUCCCACUCCUUAACCAACAAAUGAGCAAUUGACGACUUUUGGCUUAAAGCAUUGGCAACCUUAUUCGCCUUUCCUUGGUGAUAUAAAAUAUCACAAUCGUAGUCCUUCAGUAAUUUCAUCCAUCGAUGUUGUCUCAUAUUCAGUUCAUUAUGAGAGAAUAAGUACUUGAGAGUCUGAUGGUCCAUGAAGAUCUGAAAUUUUUCUCCACAGAAGUAAUGUCUCCAAAUAUUCAACGCAAAUAUGAUAGCUGCGAGUUCCAAGUCAUGCGUAGGGUAAUUCAAUUCAUGAGGCCUCAAUUGGCGGGAGGCGUAUGCAACAACCUUACCAUAUUGCAUCAACACGCAACCUAGUCCUCUAAACGACGCAUCACUAUAGAUCUCGUACCUUCCAGGACCUGAUGGAAUCGUCAGCAUAGGUGCGGUAGUUAGCUUUUGCUUCAGUUCUUGAAAACUAUCCUCACACUUGUCUGUCCAUACAAACUUCUCGUCUUUCUUCAGGAGUCUUGUCAAAGGAGACGCCAAAGCUGAAAAUCCUUCCACAAACCUUCUCUAAUAACCUGCCAAACCCAGAAAACUUCAGAUUUCUAUCACGGUAGUCGGUCUCGGCCAGUUGAUCAUUGCUUCAAUCUUGCUUGGGUCCAUAGAGAUUCCUUCGCUUGAAAUCACGUGCCCUAAAAUCGCAAUACGAGUCAACCAAAACUCGCAUUUGCUAAACUUAACAUACAGUUGGUGGAUCCUUAAGGUUUGGAGCACUAAUCUCAAAUGGUCCUCAUGCUCCUCAGCACUUCUCAAAUACACCAGAAUAUCAUCGAUGAACACGAUCAUAAACUGAUCCAUAUAUUAUUUGAAUACUCGAUUCAUCAAAUCCAUGAAAGCAGCUGGAGCAUUCGUCAACCCGAAUGGCAUCAUAGUGAACUCGCAAUGACCAUACCGAGUACGAAAUGCUGACUUUGGAAUGUCUUCUUUUCUGAUCCUUAGCUAAUGAUAUCCUGUCCUCAAGUCGAUUUUCGAAAAUAUCGAUGCUCAUUGUAACUGAUCAAACAAGUCAUCGAUCCUCGGCAAUUGAUACUUGUUCUUGAUCGUCACCUGAUUGAAUUGCUGAUAGUCGAUGCAUAAGCGGAACGAACCAUCUUUCUUAUUUACAAAGAGAACUGGUGCUCCCUAAGGUGAUGCACUGGGACGUAUGAAUCCCUUAUCCAACAAUUCCUGCAUCUGCACCUUCAGUUCCUUCAACUCUGAUAGUGCCAUCCGGUAAGGAGCCUGAAAGAUUGGCUUAGUCCCAGGUGCUAACUCAAUCACGAACUCAAUUUCUCUCUCUGGCGGUAAUCCUAGCAAUUCCUUCAGGAAUACAUUUGGAAAUUCUUGUACAACGGAAAUAUCUUCAAUCUAACCACCUGUGGCGGCAGCGUAGUAGUUGAGCGUAGGUUCCUUUCGGGAGAGGUCCUGAUUUCGAAUCACUAUGUCGUCUGCCUUGCGAGAAAGGAACCCAUGACUUACCCGGGGCAGCAAGGGUGGUGGUGACUCUACUGCUCCUCCAUGGUUUACUCCGCCGCGAAGCGGCGCACGGAGGUUCCUUGGGUACCAAAAAAAAAAAAUAUAUCUUCAAUCUUCAGCUCCUUAACUGUUGUAUCCACAACAGUCGCCAGGUAACCUUGACAACCUUCGUCUAACAAACGGGUUGCCUCUUGCGACGAGAUUAGGAAAAUUGAGGGUCCUCCUCAAUUCCCUACAAACUUGAAGCUCUCACCCUUUAAUGGGUUAAAUUAAAUUGACUUGCGAUAGCAGUCUAUUUUUGCCCGUUGCUUGGUGAGUCAGUCCAUGCUAAUUAUCAAAUCAAAGUCAUACAUGGCUAGGACUAAUAGAUCUAUUUUCCCCUCUUACUCACCAAUCUCUAACUUGCAACCAGAACAACCCAAAGCAGCUAACACCUUAUCCUUUAAUGGUGUAGAUAUGCUAACAACAGAUUCUAGCAAUUCAGGAUUUAAUCCUAUCAACUUAACAAAUUGCUUAGCAAUAAAGGAAUGGGUUGCUCCUGGAUUGAAUAAAGCAUAAGCAGGAUGGUUAUUCUGCGAAACCAUACCUGUGAUCACGUUAGGCGCAGCCUCUGCCUGACCUUGAGUGAUGGCAUACACCGUGCCUUGAACUGGGGGUCGAAGCUGUCCUUCUUGCAGUGCAUUUUGAGGCACAUACCCUCUGAUCUGACCUAACGGUGGUGGCAACGGCAACUGUUGAGGUCUCCCCUGUCUCCAGGGACAAUUCUGGGCUAUGUGACCCUGCUGGUGACAUUCAAAAUAGGCGCCCGUCCUUCGGGGGCACUGGUUCGCUCCAUGUCACCUUCCACAAGCGUGACAUAACUCAAAUCGGUUUGACCCCGACUUAUCAAUUCCACCCUUCCUAUUGGGCAGAAUCUAAAUCUACCCCCAGUCAUGGGCUUCUUUCCCUAACAAAUUCCUUCUCUAAGAGAACUAAACCUCGACCUAGACGAGGCAACUUGCUCAUUCAAUCCUCUCUUUAUCAUUUGAGCUCAACGGUAGACUUCUUGAAAAUCAGUCAAAUCCAACGGCAGCAACGGUUGCUUUAGUUCAGAACGAAGGCCGUUCGUGAACCUUCUAGCUUUUUCCUUAGGGUCUUCAAUCAACCUCGGAGCAUACUGAGAAAGCUCUACGAACUUGGCCCCAUAUUGGUCAAUAGUCAUACUCCCUUGGUGGAGACGUUGGAACUCCUCCAUCUUUUGUUCUCAAGCACUACCCGAGAAGUACUGAUCGUUGAAGCUUUGAGGAAGGUGUCCCACACCGAGACCACACCUUCCGGGAAUACCGUAUCCUUGGCAACUCUCCACCAAAUGUUUGCACUGCCUUGAAGUUGGUACACAGCCAGUACCACCUUCUCCUUUUCAUUACACAUCAGAAGUGCAAAUGCUUUCUCGAGAUCCUGAAUCUAGAGUGACACGACUUCAGGGUCUCCCUUGCCAAUGAACCUCGGAGGGUUCAGCUUAAAGAAUUAUUCCACUAACUUAUGAAUCGGCCUUCCAGCGGCCACAUUCCCAAGUGGAACUUCAGUAGGGGUGACGAUAGGUGCAGCAAUAGGUGUGGCAGUGGGGGCGGCCUCAGUAGUGGCAGCAACAGCAGCAGUAGAGGCAGCUUGAGCGGCAGCUGCAAUAGCGGCGAUAAAGGUGGCAGCUUGAUCCCGGGCCUACUACCCCAUCAACUCUCUCAUGGCAUCCAAGGUCUGAUUGAUCCCGAUAAUUCCUUGCUCACCUGGGGUUGCUACCCCAGCACCCAUGGGAGGUGGUGCUACUCCACUGGCACUGGCCUGUGUCGGUGUCCUACCUCUGCCUCCUUGGGUACCGACCCUAGUCAGUGUCCUAACUCGAGUCGCAGGCCCGACAGAUCUUUUACUCGGAGUUCUCUGCUCCUGCUCGCUCAUGGUUCAGUUUUUCUACUGAAACCUGUUUCCUAAUUCGGUCACGAAUCUUGGCCUAAUUGGCACAGCCAUACUUCGGCAAUUUUCUAGGUUCAACUCACAAUUUCUCAUGGUUCUUUUCCAUCAAAGUAAUGACAAUCUACAAUUUUAGGAUAAAUUCCCAUAAUCCCCAAUUUCACUCAAUUUUCACAAGCAUGUACUCAAUUAAAUAAACGGAAAGCACCACUACAAUCCACACGAAAUUCCGAUCACCGGCCAUCUCGGUUGAAUUUUGGGAAAAUAAUUAUAUAAUUAAAUAAUUAAUAAAAUUAAUUAAUAAAUACAAUAAAUAGCAUAAAUGCUAACUUAGGCCCGAUAAAGCCUAAUUGGAAGUCAAGACGAGUCCAGAAAAUUUCCGAACCAGAACUAGAGUUUGUCUAGGCUCUAAUUGUACUAACUAUCUACCUAACAUGCCAUCACAAUUAAUUAAAUUCACUAGUUUAAUUUAAUGUAACCACCUAAUUCAUCUUAGCCAAAAUUAGUCAACUCCUAAGCAUAAUUAACCUACUAAGCAAGGAUUAGUGAGUUAAACUCACUUGUUUCGCGAUCUGGUUGGCUCAAAUCGACGAGAACGCUGCGAGGGACAACUUUCUCUAAAGCGAGCCUAACUUUUGGGGAGAACAACCUCAAAACGGACCAAGACUCUUGCUGGAAACCCACUGAUUUGCUCUCUGUUUGGUGGCUGAACUUGGCUGAAAAAGGGGCUCGGUUGGUUGGCUGAGGUGGAGAUCGGCGAAGGCUAGGCAGAUGGUUUUGCGAGGGCAAGUGGCGACUGAAUGGGAGCCCACGGCGGCUCAAGCAACAGGGUAACUUGCAAUCGGGUCGAGGCUCCUCCUGGGUACAUGGCGGCCGGAACAGUGGUGCGAGACGGUUGGGACGCAUGCGUGGGUAGGCGAGGAGCGACGGGCUCUCGUGGGCGGUCCGGCGGGCUUCAACGGCGGCGUACGACGGUCUAGGCAGUUGCUAGCUUCUCCUCUAGAGUUCUGGACUUCAAGCAGCAGAAAUGGAGAUGGGAAAGGGGGUUGCUCGACUACUUGAAGGGGGGAGGGGACCAGUUCAACAAGUGGGACUGGUUUUGGUCCACUUGACUGGUUUGUCCCCAUCCUUUUGGUCUCCCACCACCAGCUGGUGUCCACCCAUGAUUUUCAGUCCCAAUUGCCCACUUCUAGAAGCUUGGGAUGGUCUAAAAUGUUGGCUUCAUGGGGUGUUACGAAUUUCAUGGGUUUUGACUACAAUUUGACACAAAUUGCUUCUCAAUUCAAUCCAAUUUGGCUCUCAAAAAUUCAAUUAGCACCUCACUGAUCAAAUUGAUAUUUUUCCUCAUCAAUUGAUCCCACUUGCUUCCUAAUUGUGCAAUCAAAAUCGGUCCUUGAUUUUUUCGGGACAAAAACGGCCCUAGGAUGACUUUUUCCCAAAAAGUCUCGGUUUGCAGAAAAAUCUUCGAAGGCUGAGUUGAUGUUCUUAAAAUGACCUAUGACAUGACAGAACUUUCAAUUUUUGAAAUCAGAUUCAAAUUCGUGGUUAAUUUUACUCUGGCGCGAUUUUAGCGUGACCUAGGCCACCGAGUAGCUUUCAAAAUUUUUUAAUGCAAAUAACCCGUGAUCGAUUUUCUUCGAGCCAUAAUGAACCUCUUCAACACAUUGGUGACCUUCGGUGGUUGUGAAAAUCUCGAGGUUUCAAGUACGAACACAGGGUACGAAAAUGAUAGAAAAAUCAAACUUGUGCCGAUCGAUGAGAAUUGUUGCAAUUUAGUAGGAUCACCCACAUUUAACCACUCAUCUCCCUCGAACCAACCUAUCUCUGAUCUCUAAUCAAUUUAUAUAUGUGCCGUAAUGAUCUCAGCAGAUGAGUACGAUCAAGCAGCCGAUUCCUGGUCGAAUUCUUAAGUCUAUUUGCCUUAAAAUCCUUUAAUAGCUUCCCUAGAUAAUCUAGUUAUCUCACGAGUGAUCAGCUCUAAGAACAGCAAAAUAGGCGCGUCGAUGAAAUGCCCGAUUUAUUCAAUUGAAAAUAGAAUCGAAAAUCUAGGAUGUCACAUUACUAGCCAUUUCAAUUGGUAUCAGAGCCUACGUGCUUAUUUAUUGAAGUGUUUUUACUUCUUAAGCUAAAGAUCUAUGGCUAGUAUUUUGGCUCCAGGUUUGGUUGAAGGCCAAAGCAACACCAGACCUCCUUACUUUGAUGGGAAGGAGUACAAUGUGUGGAAGAACAAGGUGAAGGCAUUCAUGAGGUCGAAGGAUCCCCUAGAAUGGGAUAUGGUAGAAAAAGGGAUCAAUCCUAAAGCUACAUCAACCUCAGAAAGAAGAAAGGAAGUUGUAGAUGCUGGCGAAUUGACACAAGCAGAAUUAACCAAGAGACAAGCUCUUAAUGCUAAAGCAAUCUACUCCUUAUAUUAUGCUUUAUCUCCUACAAAGUAUAACCAAAUUUCUUCUUGUGAAAUAGCAAAAGAAGUUUGAGACAAGUUGCAUGUUACCUAUUAAGGAACUGAUCAAGUUAAAGAAACGAAGAUCAAUAUCCUACUCGGACAGUAUGAUGCCUUCAAGAUGAAGCCUAGAGAAUCCAUCACCGAUAUGUUCAAUCGCUUCACAGAGAUUGUAAACGGCAUAGCAUAUCAAGGAUAGCAAAUCUCAUGAUCAAUGAAGGUUAAUAAACUGCUCCGUGGACUCUCCAAAGAUUUGAAUCAUGUGAAGACAUCAAUUAGAGAAACCUAGAGGAUCAUGCCUCUUUCAGUUGACGAACUAGUUGGCACAGAUGAUGAAGAGCUAGCGCUCAUGAUUAGGAAGUUCAGAAAGCUGAACAGGAAAGGAAGAAAAUUAAACUGGAAAAAGCAGAGCACUCAAAAAUUCCAGAAGAAACCAACUACGGACAAUGAAACUAACAAAGAUGUGAUAUGCUUCGAAUGCAAGAAAAAAAGGGCACAUCAGACCCAACUGUCCUCUGUUGAAGAAAAAGAAAGGAAGAACAAAGAAAUACAAAAAGGCUCUCAAAAUAGAGACAUGGAGUGAUACCGAAUGCGAGGAAAGUGAUAAAGAAUAUACCAACAUAUGUCUAAUGGCCAAUUCAGAAUUAGACUUAGACUUUGAAACAGAUUCUGAUUCAGACUCAGACAAAAAAGUUGAGGUUAGCAAUUUCAAAAUUCCUAUUAAAGUCUCGAAAUAUAGAGAUGAACUCAGUCUCAGUCUCAAAACAUCUCUUAAAAGGAUUUUCGAGCUAAAGAGGGAAAAUUCUAAAUUGAGGUAACAAGAAACUUCUUGGAAAGAAAAGUUUGAAAAUUUGGAUAAAGUUUUGUUGAUUUGAAAGAAAAUUUAGAUUCUCUUUCGAAGGAAAAUGCCUUUUUGAAAUAAGAUAUUUCAAAUAUCACAAAAAGAUUUUCAAAAGGAUCUGAGAAGUUGGAGAAAAUUCUUUCUAUACAUAGACCUUAUUUUAACAAAUCUGGUUUGGGUAUGACUCAAGAAACUAUUCCUUUAAUUGAUUUUCCCAAAGUUAAAGAGAGAAUCAAAUAAAGACCUACAAAAACAUUUUACAAAAAUCAUUUUCAAAAGGUUUUUGUAAAACCUGUUGGCAGAAGUGCUCUCAAAUGUUCAAAGUGUAACAGUUCAUAACAUUUUGAGAAGAAAUGUCCCAAGGUUUAGAGACUUGUUAAGAGGGAUUGGGCAAAGAUUGUUUUCAAUACUAACUCCUCUGGAUCCAAGAAAGUAUGGGUUCCAAAGAAAGCUUGAGUUCUUUUCAUGAUUACAGGUCACUAUCAAGAAGAAAAUCAAAUGGUAUUUGGAUAGUGGCUGUUCGAGACACAUGAUAGGAGAUUUGAGUUGCUUUAUAAAGCUUGUUCAAAUAAAUGGUGGAAAAGUUUCUUUUGGUGGGAACUGCAAAGGAAGAAUUGGUGGAUGUAGAACCGUGAAUAUUGAAAGCCUCACUAUCAACAAUGUCUCCUUGGUGGAAUGUUUGAAUUACAAUCUACUCAACAUAAGUCAGCUGUGCAAUACCGGAUUCAGAAUUAAAUUCCAAGAAGGCAUCUAUUUGGGAACAAGUAAAUACCUCUCUCAAUCUUUUACUGGACAAAGACAUGGAAACAUUUACCUUCUGGAUAUAAAACCAGAAAGUUCUUAGUAUCUUAUAUCCAUUCAAGAUGAAGCAAAUCUUUUGCAUCGACAGCUUAGUCAUGUUAACAUGAAGUAGAUUGCCAAGAUUUCAUCCAAGAAGCUUGUUCGUGGUCUUCCCAACAUGAAUUAUCAAAAAAUUGAAUUAUGCACGCCAUGUGUUUUGGGAAAAUAGGUUAGAAGUUCUUUUAAACCUAUACAUUAAGUUUCUACUAAUCGAGUUUUGUAGCUUCUUCAUAUGGACCUCUUUGGACCAACAAGAACUCAAAGUAUUGGUGGAAAAAGAUAUUGCGUAGUAAUCGUGGAUGAUUACUCUCGUUUUACUUGGGUUUAUUUUCUAGCAAAUAAGUUUGAGGCUUUCUCUUACUUCUCUAAGUUUGCUAAGAAGGUUCAGAAUGAGAAAGGAUAUGCUAUUUCGAGCAUACAAACAGACCAUGGAGGUGAGUUUGAAUAUCAAGAUUUUGCAAAGUUCUGUGAUGAAUCUGGUUUCCAACAUAUUUUCUCUUCUCCAUACACUCCAGAACAAAAUGAGGUUGUGGAAAGAAAGAAUAUAUCCUUGUAGGCGAUGACAAGAACCCUCUUAAUUGAGAGCAAAAUUUCCUCUCGAUUUUGGGCUGAAGUAGUUUCUACAGCUUGCUACAUCAUCAACAGAGUGUUCUUGAGGCCUAUUCUAGAGAAAACUCCUUAUGAAAUGUAUAAAAGGAAGAAGCCAAAUGUUUCUUACUUUCAUGUGUUUGGUUGUAAGUGUUAUGUUUUGAAAAAUGAUCGAACUGGGAAGUUUGAAGAAAAAUCAGACGAAGGAAUUUUCCUUGGCUACUCAAUCUCAAGCAAAGCAUACAAAGUAUUCAAUAGGAAGACUUAGUAUGUGGAAGAAUCUAUAAACGUCAAGUUUCAAGACUCUAUGCAUAAUUAACUAGACCAGACUCAACUUGAAGAAUCUGAACUUGCUCCAGACUUUAUAAAGUCUACUUCCCCCGAAGUGGUUCAAACUUCUAAAGAUCAACAAUAAGCAGAACUAGAGAAUUCAACUGAAGCAUAAGAUCAGCAGACUCUUAGACCAACCAACAACUGGAAGCAUAAGUCAAGUCAUCCUAAAUAACUCAUCAUUAGCAAUAUUGAGGAAGGAGUUCGUACCAUAUCUAAAAGGCGAGAAGAGUCUAGUGCUUUGGCACUUGUUUAUGAGAUUGAACCUAAAAAUGUAGAAGAAGCCUUGACUGAUGAAAGCUGGAUUGAAGCUAUGCAAAAAUAGCUUAGACAGUUCAGCAUCAACGAUGUUUGGGAGCUAAUUCCUAAACCUAAAGGUAAGUCUAUUAUUAGAACUAAAUGGAUUUUCAAGAACAAGGUGGACGAGAAAGAAAAAGUGGUUAGGAACAAAGCAAGACUCGUGGCCAAAUGAUCUACGCAAGAAAAAAUGAAAGACUAUGACGAGACCUAUGCACCAGUAGCGAGGUUAGAAGCAAUUAGAUUAUUACUUGCUUUUGCUUGUUAUAAAAAUUUCAGGUUAUUCUAGAUGGAUGUACAAAGUGCAUUCCUAAAUGGAUUUAUCGAAGAAGAAGUCUGUGGAACAACCACCUAGUUUUGAAGAUCCAAGAAAGCUAGACUCAGUUUACAGACUGAAAAAGGCCUUGUAUGGAUUGAAGCAAGCACCUCAAGCCUGGUAUGAAAGGUUAAGUAAAUUCCUAACCCAAAAUGGUUUUGUUAAAGGAAAAGUAGAUACUACUUUGUUCAUAAAAAGAGAGGUAAUGAUUUUCUACUGGUUCAAAUUUAUGUUGAUGAUAUUAUUUUUGGAUCUCCUAAUAAAAAUCUAUGCAAGAAGGUCUCUAGAUGUAUGCAGGAUGAAUUCGAGAUGAGUAUGAUGGGUGAGUUAACUUUCUUUAUGGGAUUGCAAGUUAAACAAUCAAAGAAAGGUAUUUUUAUUCACCAAGAGAAAUAUGCGAAAGACCUCAUCAAGAAAUUUGAAUUGGAGAAUUGCAAAAAGACAGAGACACCAAUGUCAAGUUCUUCAAAGUUGGAUAAAGAUGAAGGAGGGAAGAAUGUUGACCAGAAGCUUUACAGGAGCAUUAUUGGUUCGCUUCUUUACCUUACUACAUCUAGACCUGACAUUUUGUUUAGUGUUUGUAUCUGUGCUAGAUUCCAAUCAGAUCCCAAAGAAUCUCACUUAAGUGUUGUAAAAUGCAUCAUCAAAUAUGUUGCAACUACUCCAAAGCUAGGUCUAUGAUAUCCUAAAGAAUGAGACUUUACUCUCUUUAGAUAUUCAGAUGCAGAUUUAGCAGGUUGUAAAGUUGAUAGAAAAAGUACUUCUGGUGCUCGUCAACUGCUGGCAACAAGCUGGUGUCUUGGUUCUCAGUGAAGCAGAGAACUGUAGCUCUUUCAACAGUUGAAGCUGAGUAUGUGGCUCUUGGGAGUUGUUGUUCUCAAAUUUUGUGGAUAAGGCAACAACUAAGAGACUUUGGAAUUGAAGAAUUGUGUAUCGAGAUCAAAUGCGACAACACCAGUGCUAUCAAUCUCACGAAGAACCCAAUUCUUCAUUUAAGGCAAAACAUAUAGAGAUUCGACACAAUUUCAUAAGAGAUCAUGUUCAGAAUGGAUAAGUUAUGAUUCAGUUUAUUGACUCGAAAAAUCAAUUGGCAUACAUAUUUACAAAGCCAUUGGAGAAAAGUCUAUUUGAGUCUAUUCGUACCAGACUUAAUAUCAUAUCUUCUACUCAUUAAAGUUUGAAGCUGAUCAGACUUAGAAUAUCAAUAAACUACUUCAGUAAGUUAAUUUCUCUUCAUUGCAGGUAAUUUAAUUUUAGCAUGAAAUUUUUUGAAAAGGUACGUUGAUUUUUGAAUCGUUACUUGCCUAUUUUAUUUUUAGAAAUUAUCUUUUUUGAAUUUUUGAAUUUUAGUAGUUUUUAUUUUUGAAAAAGGCAGUUUAUUUUUUCCUUUGUGACGGUUCGUAUACCCCGUUUCACUUGCUUUAUAUACUGUCGAAGUUCUUUUUCUCCAUUUACAUUUUCACAAACCCUAGAAUACAGAAUUCCAACUCUCGAACUUUUACUCUCAAGUUUACUCUCUAAGUUUUCACCUUUUUUCAACCGAACGAGUUCAAGAAAUCCUCCUCGACCGUGGAGAUGUCUUUCUAGAGGUAAUUGUCUCAGAUCACAAAUAGGGGACCACAGAAUAUGCUAGAGGGUACUACUCACUUUGACUUAACCGAGGAAAAAGAUUAUCCUCAACAACAAUAUUCUCAACAGUGUCAGCGUGCGACUCAAGAUCCUUCACGCCAUCAAGCAGAAGAAGAGACCAUAACCCGUAAGAAUGUUAAUACCCCAAUUUCUCUUUAAACUCUACAUUCAGUUAAAGGAGGGUGGUACUGCAAUGACAUUUAUUGAUGAGUUUCUACAAGAGAGAGGUUAUAAGAAUGAAACUUUGUUUCUACGAUCAAGGGAAAGGUUAGGCNNNNNNNNNNNNNNNNNNNNNNNNNNNNNNNNNNNNNNNNNNNNNNNNNNNNNNNNNNNNNNNNNNNNNNNNNNNNNNNNNNNNNNNNNNNNNNNNNNNNNNNNNNNNNNNNNNNNNNNNNNNNNNNNNNNNNNNNNNNNNNNNNNNNNNNNNNNNNNNNNNNNNNNNNNNNNNNNNNNNNNNNNNNNNNNNNNNNNNNNNNNNNNNNNNNNNNNNNNNNNNNNNNNNNNNNNNNNNNNNNNNNNNNNNNNNNNNNNNNNNNNNNNNNNNNNNNNNNNNNNNNNNNNNNNNNNNNNNNNNNNNNNNNNNNNNNNNNNNNNNNNNNNNNNNNNNNNNNNNNNNNNNNNNNNNNNNNNNNNNNNNNNNNNNNNNNNNNNNNAUUUUACUUAUGGAAACCCAAGAUCCUGAUUGUAUGGGCGAACAUGAUUGACGGGCUUUCAUCACAAAUCAUCUAACGACUUGAGAUCUCCUUGAUUGAUUCUGUUUAACGAGUAGAUUGGAAGAAUUCCUUUGGAAAGUGCCAACGAUCGUGAAGGCAUGAAGGAGUAUUUAAGGUGGACUUUCCGGUUGUCUGAUAGUGUGCAUGAAAGAAUAAUUUCAAAGUUUGAAGCUUCUAAAGAGACUCCUAAAGAGACUUUUUGAGAGACCAGUAGAGAUUCUUCACUGAGAAGUCGAGAUUACAAGUUGUAAAAUCUCUUUUGAUUCUUAGUGAAAUCCAGCAAAUGGGCUGUCAACGCGGGAGAGUGGAUGUAGGCUUGAUUUAAGCUGAAUCACUAUAAACCUUGUGUUCUUAUUCUCUUCCCUUAACUCCUUUAUUUUGUUUCGUAGCUUUAUUUAACUAUUUAAAACAAAAUUCAUUCGUAGUGUAUUAUCUUCUAUAAGCAAAUUACUUCUACCGAAUCUUACGAAAAUUUUUGUUCACACCUAUUCAACCCCCUCUAAGUGUUGUUACUAGCCCUUUCAAAAGUUCCCUUCCAUUUUAUCCAUUUUUUUCUAAGCAAAAUAGGUGCCAUGAAGCACGUCAAUCCCGACAUUAUGCUGGUGCGCAACAUAAACUAGCUAGGUAUCACCAUCGUCAAGUAGGCAAGUCAAAGUAUCACACGUUUAUGAUACAUGAAAUAGGAUUUUCCCUCAGAGACAACAGGAUGAACGAAUGCAAGAGGUGGUUCCAGAACCAAGAUGAAAGGUGUGACGUCUUGAAUUUCAAGUUCUACUUUCGAUUGAAUAAGUUGGGCUUUUCAUCGACACACCUAUAGUUCUUUUCUUUGAGUAGGCCACUCACGAGAUAAUUAACCUAUCAGGUGAAGCCGUUAAGGAAUCUAAACGCAAUAGACUUGAGAAUUCGACCAGGAAUUGACUGCUCGACCGUGCUAGUCUGCAAGAAUCAUUACGGCACAGUUAAAAAUUAAUUAGAGACUGGAGAUAGGUUGAUUCGACAGAACCAUGAGAUUAAGUGUGGGUGAUUCCACCUAAUUGCAAAAUUCUUGUCGAUUGGCACUAGACCGAUUUUUUUGUCAUUUUGGUACCUUAUAUCUGUAUUUAAAACCUCGAGAUUUCCAUGAUAACCGAGAGUCGCCAAUAUAUCGAAGAUGUACUUAUGGCUUGAAAAUAAUCAACCACAGGUGAAUUGUACUAAAAAUUCCUAAAAGCUACCUGGUAGAUUAUGACACGCUAAAAUCGCGCUAGAUUGAAAUUAACUGCGAAAUUGAACCCGAUUUCAAAAAUUGGAAGCUCCGUCAUGUCACAAGCCAAUUUAGGAAUGUUGACUCAUCCUCCGAAGAUUUAUCUGCAAACCAAAAUUUUCGGCAAGAAAUCCAAAGUAAGGGUAUUUUGGAUCGGGAAAUUCGUAGGCCUGCUUUUGGGUGCAUUUUUUGGAUUAAGUUGGUUCAAUUGAUGAGGAAAAAUCAUGGAUUAAGUAUGAACACCAUGGCUGAUUUGUUUGGACUUCAAUUCAACCAUGUCGGGAAGCUUCCUAAGGAAGAUUGAGGAUAGAGAAGUGGCUGAGGAUAAGGGCUGACAUGGUAGGGGCAUGUGAUGAGUGAAUGUGGAUGAGAUUGAAGGCUUUUGUGGCCAAAUGGUGGGUCCUCUUUAGCCAGCUGCUUCUUCUCCUUCCUUGGCUUCACUUUCUCCAUUGUUGAAGUGUUGAGAGCUCUAGAAAAUCAAAGGAACCAGCCAAGACUAGCAGAAAGCCAACCAAGCCUCACCUGAAGUCGUCCAAGCUCCCCCACGCCAGCCGCUGCCGUCGCGCGUCCCAGCCGUCCAGUUGCUGUUCCGUGUGCAUCUAGUUGUCCUCCUAUGUAAUCCAGCUCCCUCAGGCCGCCUGGAAGUCAACUAGCCUAGCCCCACAUGCCGCCUAGCCACGUAGCCAUUCGUCUCCGCCGUUUCCAGCCGUUCCAGUCGUUGGAGUUGCUCGAUUCUACUCCCUCAACCAACAAGUAGAAGCUGAAGUCCAAGCAAGAUCUGGAACUUCGUGGCAUGUUUCCAAGCCCUUCCCGACCUCGCGUGGUGUCACCACAAGCUUGUUUGUCACUCACCUUGGCAUUGGCGUCACGAUGUACUCAUCAGAUCGCAAAAUCGGUGAGUUUACUCACUAAACCUUGCUUAGGAGGUUAAUUAUGCUUAAGGGUUGUUUAGAUUAGCUUAAGAAUAGAUUAGUGACAUUCUAGAAUGGUUAUAUUAGCCUUAGAAUUGAUUAAUGUUAAUCUAAUUAGUGAGAUUAGUACCAUUGUGGAUGGAUUAAUCCCAUUUAGUGGACUUUCUGCAGUUCGGAUGUCUGGACCCUCACCAUUUGCUAUUGUUAUAGAUCAACAUGGGUUGUGAAUUUGAGGUUGAUUCCUUCUUGAGAAAAGUUUAAGAUUUCUUCAAAUAUAACAUAUAUCUGUCCCAAGAUUUUUGGGGAUUUAAAAGAAGGAGAUAUCAGCUCCAUCAUUUGCAAACAGAAACUCGAACAGUGCUGGAAUUUAUGACCUUUUAGGAUUCUAGGAGUUUUUAUCAACUCUUAGAGUUCGAAUUUCAAAAAGGUUUAUCACAAAAGUUAUUUACCACCUCUUCUAGUUUAAUAUAGUCAAAUUUCAGAUCAAAUGAACAAGUUUUGGAUCUCAAACCAAACCAAUUUUGGAAAAUAGACUUUCUAGAAAUGGACCCAGUUUUUGGUACUAGAUUGAGCGAUUUACUGGGCCGAAUCUAGAAAUAUCUGGGUUAAGGUGUCUUCAUAAAAAAAAAUUGUUCUUUUAUGUGUCCUUUACAACAUAUUCAAAUUUGGGAAUUUUUUGAACUCGUUUGGUUAGGUUUCUGGAUUUAAACUUGGAGACGUAAUAGUGGCCCAGUUUUUGCCAAUUAGGGCCGGUUAUGGUUUUGUGGUUGUUCUUGAUGUUGUGCUUGCUAAAAAGGUAUAUUUAGUGAUGUCGUGGACUUGUGGCAUGCUGAGAACUUAAGUGUGAGGUCAUGAGAGGGAUUGCUAUAUAUUAGUUGUUUACUGUUAUUGUAAAAAGGUGACCUCUUGGACUAUUAAAUAAAAAAUAAAUGAGGUGUCGGGUUUGGACGCCAAGUUUUAUAUGCUCAAUAAAAUGAGGAGGUUUUGUAUGAGGUGCGUGCAAAUUUUAGCGGGUUAAUUUCAAAUACGGGACCCUGUACGAAUUUACUUCGUUGAGUUUGAAAAAAAAAAGGGUGCCAAGUUUAUUUUAUAAAUGGAGUUUUGGUGUUUUGGCUAUAUGAAGGAGGCUAAGGUCAACCUGAUUGAUCAAGUGCCUACACAGUUAGGUUAAUUAAGUAGUUUAGUUUAAUUAAUCGUAAUUUAUUUAUUUAUUUACAUUUAUUUAAUUAUUAAUUAUUUUCCGGAAAUUAGACCGGGAUAGUUGGUGACCAGAAUUGAGUACUGAUUGCAAUGGUGUGGUUAAUUUCUGCAAUUGAGUGAUAAUUUGUGCAAAUUGAGUGCUGAUUGGAUUUUUGAUCAUUUAUUCCAAAAAUUGUGAAUUUCAAUAUUUAUUCAGAAAAUCCCGAGUAUCGGGUUUUAACACCGAAAAUAGUUUUAUAUACUAUACAAAACGGUGGGAUUUUAAAUUAAAGAAUAUCAACUUUUCGAGCUCGAUUCGACCACACGAUAUUUUCAUCGAAUGUUUUUAAUAAGAAGAAAACAGGCCAAGGUUGUUAUCUUAGUUGAGGCAUGUGAGUGCAAAGCACAAUGUCCUUGGCCGAAAUUGAAUGAUCGUGUGCCGGUUAAGAGAAUCCUUCCCCGGCGUGUGUCGGUGAAAAUUAUCUAUCCCCGGUGUGUGUCGGUUGAUAUUACCUAUCCCUAACGUAUGUCAAUGGAUAUUGAAAGGACUAGUAUGAACAUCUAGAUGGGAUGAAUAGGUGUGAAGAAAAAUUUUCGCAAGACUUAAUAAAAGUAAAUUGCCUUUAGAAGAUAAUAGACUAAGGACAUAAUUGGCUUUAAACAAUUAUAUAAAGCUAUGAAUAAAAGUAAGGAGUUCAAGGAAAGAGAAUUAGGACACAAGGUUUAUAGUGGUUCAGCUUAGAUCAAGCUUACGUCCACUCUCUCGCGUUGACAGCCCACUGGCUGGAUUCCACUAUGAAUCAAAAGAGAUUUUGCAACUUGUGAUCUUGGACUUUCUCAGUGGAGAGUCUCUACUGGUCUCUCACAAAGUCUCACUAUGUGUUUCUCUCUUUUGCAUACAACACUGAGCUUGAUGAAUGAAAGAGCAAGGAACUAGAAAACUUCAGACUUUGAAAUUCUUCUUUCACGCACUCUUUCGAACAACUGGAAAGUCAUCCUCAAAUACUCCUUUAUGCCUUCAUGACCGUUAGCGCUUUCCAAAGAAAUUCUUCCAAUCUACUCGUUGGACAGAAUGAAUUAAGGUGAUCUCGAGUCGUUAGAUGAUUUGUGAUUAAGGCUCGUCAAUCAUGUUCGCCCAUACAAUCGGGAUCUUUGGUUUCCAUAAAUAGAACCUUCCAAGUUUGCUGGUCUUUCAAAAGAUCUUCAUAUCGGAGUAGAUUGCAAUAAGAAUAAUCAAUCAUGUUGAUGCUAUAUCUAGCCAUAAGAUCUUCCAAAACCAUACUAGUUGAAUCCUUGAAGAUAUCCGGCAUCUGGAUAAGUCUUCAUUCUUCGGUCUGGAAACUGUCAGUGAGGGCAAACUUUGAAUCUUAAGUCCAGUGGUCUUCAGACUUUGACGGUAGAGUAUGGAGUUUUUCAAACUAGACUUUUGGAAACGUUUUGUCAACUUUAAAAUAGUAAAUGAGUUUUCUCCAACAAUCUCCCCCUUUUUGAUGUGACAAAACUUUUCUAUAGAUUUGAAAACUUUUGACCUGCAAAACAACACUUAAGCAAUACUCGAUAUCUUAUAAAAGUAAGCUGAUUAGGACCUGGAUAUCAUCAAUUAUGUAAUCACAGAAAACAAGUUAAUCCUGUAAGAUAAGAUAACUAUCCAUCCACAAUCAGUAUCAUAAGCUUAGUUUCUGCAGGCGUCAAAAUGAUUCAAAGUCAAACAUCAGUAAAAAGUCCAAAAUAUACCAAUCAAAAACCAAACGAAAACGUUAUCCAAAUCAAAUCAAGCAAAAAGUACCCAAAAGAUAAAGUUAGGUCAAAUCUGCCACAAAACUCUCCCUCUUUUUGUUAGGCAGAAGAUCGCUUCAAGUGCCAUAACUUACGAAAGUGAUACUUAAGUGUCACAUUUGAAGAAAAGUGGGACACUUGAGUGCCACCUCUGGCGAAGCCAGCCGAAAAUCAUAUGUGGCAAUUAAAUAUUAAUAUUUCUCGCUGAGGUGGCUCGCCGGAGAGCUGACUCAGCUCUAAUUCACCCACAAUGACGUUGUUUCAGCCAAAACAACGUCGUCUCCCCAAUUGCCCUAAAUCUAAAACCCUAUGUGACAUCCUGAAAUUCGACCACAUUUCAAUAAAGUGAAAUGGACAUUUCGUCGACGUGCCUAUAGUCCGUUUUCUCUGAGCUGAUCACUCAUAACCUAUUGGAUGAAGCCGUUAAGGGAUGUAUCCGCGGCAAAAUCCCUAAAAGCUACUUAAUUGGUUGGAUUGGACUUAAAUCACGUCUGAUCGAUUCUAACCACGAAAUUGAAUUCAAUUUCGAAAAUCGAAUAUUCGAGCAUGUCACGAUUCAUUUUUAGGACCUUGUCUCAUCAUCCGUCGAAUUAUCGAUGAUUCCGAAAUUUCUGAAAAGAAAUUAUUGGAGGAAAAAUCGGAGAUUGGAAGAAAAUUAAUAAGGGAAAGAGAAAAGAUAAAUAAUAAGAAUAAUAAGGAUAUUAUUAUUUUAUCAUUUUCUCUCUCUCCCUUUUUCUUUCUCUCUCUCUUUCUUUCUUCCCUCUCAAUUCUCACGCCACCUCUGCCACCUUUGCUUUUUCCCCUUAAUUUAUUCUUUCUUUUUCUUCUCUCUCUCUCUCUCUCCUCCGUUCGAAACCCCCUCCCCACGCCGACACUCCCUCUUUUUUCCCUUGCCGUUUUCUACUUUGCUUUCUCUUCCCCAUUUGACUUUUCAAACCAUAUCCUUCUCUCUCGACACUCUCUCUCUCUCUCGUUACUCUCUCUUGCUCCUCUGGUUCGAGCAAGCCAGCGAAACAGAAGAAGAAAAAGAAGCGAAGACAGCAGCCACCGAGAGAAGAAGACCGGAGCAGCUCGCCGUCGCUGCUCGCGCUCCGCCACCCGCGCAUCGCCUGCGCGCCCCUUCGCUCACCCCUCACGUCCUCGCCGCCCAGCCGUGCCAUCCAGCUCCUGUUAGGUCUCGGCUCAGCCUUGUGAGCGACUGAGGAAGCUGCCGAACCGUCGCCCAGCUCCGUCGGACCAUCGUUCGGCCCCACUGGAGCUUCCCUCACCCUCCACCGGCCUCGCUCCGCCUUUUCAGCCCCCGGAGCAACUUCGUUUGGCCAAGAACAGCAGCUGGAAAAUGGGUUUCCAGCAGCGGUUCUAGGCCCGUUUUGAGAUUUUCGAUCCCCGAACUCGGGACUUGUUUGUCUCACUAAGCCCUUAUUAGUAAGUUAAUGACGUUUAAGGGUUGAUUAGAUUUAAUUAAGUGUAAUUAGGUGGUUAGAUUAGAGUAGAUUAGUGAUUAUUAGAUAAUUGUGAUGCAUGUUAGGCAAUUUGAUUGUGCAAUUAACGAAUUGACAUGUGCUAAUAUUUAUUGAAUGCAUCUCGGGAUUUUUCCCGACCCUUAUCGGCUUCCAAUUAGGCAUUCCGGGCCUAAAUUGGAUUUAUUGUAUUCAUUUAAUAAUUUUCGGAAUCAUUUAAUUAAUUAAUUAUUUUUCGAAAAUUAAGCAGGGAUAGCCGACGAUCGGAAUUUGAUGCUGAUUGUUGUGGUGCAGUCCGUUUAUUUAAUUGAGCUUUAUUUUGUGCUAAAAUGAAUUAUUUGUGAUUAUAAGAUUAUUUUCCUGAAUUAAUUAAUUUGGAUAAUUAAUUGGAAAAUAACCGGGUGUCGGUUGACAGCACCAAAAGUGUUGGUGGACUACAGAUAAUGGUGGGAUUUGUGGAAAAGAAAUUAUAAUAUUUUGACUCAAACCGAUCAUGUACCCACAUGAAUAUUUUAUCGGGAAUGAUAAAAAGGGUGAUUUGAUAAAUAUUAUUUUCAGCAUACUAUAAAAGUAUGGCUAGCAACUUUUGGUGAGCAUAAUAAACAUAUUAGAUCAAUGAAUCUGGCAGCUUCUAGUGGGCAUAUUAUUAUUAUAUCGGAUCAGUGGAUCUGGCAGCUUCUGGUGAGCUAUACUAUCUAUAUAUCGGCUAGAGUGAAUAGUCCUAGACUAUGGUCGGACUCAUAGAUAGUAUUAAUUGAGGAGACCGGGGAAUGGUCAUGUUGAUAUGUAAUCAAUUACGUCGAUUGAUCAAUGAUUCGAUCUGAUUGAAUGAUUUGACGUGGUGAAUUAAUUCGAUGAAUUAUAAAUUGUAUUGACCUGUAGGAAGGAACUGAGGCAAAGGUAAGCCCUCCGACUCAUGAUUGUGCUUAGGCAGCCCUUAUAGCAUAUUUUAUUCCUAAUCGAGUCUUAGGGGGCUUGAACUUGCUGAGACGUCGUCUCACCCCGUUGUGGGAUAAACAUUUCAGGUCUCUAGAUGAUGGUCGUGGAAGAUCGAGAUCCCUGGAGUUUGGAAGAUGAAGGCUGAAGAAUUGGCAAUCGGGUCUAACUAGUGGGUGGUAGGACAGUCCCCUUUUUGUUAAGCCAACAUUUUUGUAAACAGCCUAAUUUUGUAAUUAACCCGUUUUUCUAUAAAAGACUUGUCUUGGUUUGAAAAUUUUAGUUCUGCUCUUCUAUCCCAAUUGUUUGUUGUCUGGGGAUUUUAUAUCUGUUUCCGCAUGCAUAUUAAAUAAAAGGGUUAGCGACGCGUCCUGGGACAUCGCUAUUAUUUGACCAAGGAGGGAUGGGCGCGCGCUCGGAGGAUCAGGGUGUGAAAUACCCGUUUAAUGGUAUCAGAGCAUGCUUUAGGAUUUGAGUGAUAAGGUGAGAUGGUAUUUGGGAUAGUUAGUAGGAUUGGUCUUUAAAUUCACGCUGGUGCAUGUCUGUCGAUAGCUAAUUGGUAGAAUUAUUUGUUGUACUCACUCGACUUCUAAUUCGAUGUUGAAUUGGAAGGCAGGUCUUUGUAGAAACCCUGUAAGAUGAGUGAUCAGGAGCCAAGGACUCCUAGGCAGAGGACUUUAUCUUCUGUGAGUCGGGCUAGAACGCCGACAAGAGUCGGUGCCUGAGGUGGCCGAGGUAGAGCGCAAGCUGAGGCUAGCGCAACUGGAGUAGCACCACCUCCCAUUGGUGCUGGGGUAACAGCCUCAGUUGAUCAGGGAACAGUUGGGAUCACGCAAGCGUUGGAUGCUAUGCGUGAGACGAUGGAGCAGUAGGCCCAGGAUCAAACAGCCGCCUUUACUGCUCCCGUUGUAGCUGCCGCUACUACUGCUGCCAAUGCUAUUGCUACAACCGCACCUGCCAUCGUACCUGCUGAAAUCCCGCCUAGGAGACCGAUUCAUAACUUAGUGGAAUCGUUUUUGAAAUUGAAGCCAUCGAAGUUCACUAGGGCAAGAGACCCCGAAGCUGCUGCUUUGUGGAUCUAUGGACUAGAGAAAACCUUUGCCCUAUUGAUGUGCUCUGAGACUGAGAAAGUGGUCCUCGCAGUCUACCAGUUAGAGGGAGUUGCGAGUACUUGGGUGGAGAACCACCCAAGGAGCGAUAUUUCUCGAAGGUGUAGCCAUAGAAUGGAAUGCCUUUGUUGAGGCCUUCAACAGGAAAUACUUUUCAGAAACUACUAGAGAGAUGAAGAUGGCUAAGUUCCAAUGCCUUCGCCAAGGCUCUAUGACUGUGGAACAAUAUGAGGCGAAGUUUGCUGAACUGUCGCAAUACGCUCCUAAAUUAAUUGAGAAUCCAACAAACCGAGUGAGAAGAUUCAAAGAUGGACCUGGGCCGGAGUUGAGGAGUCCACUAAUUUUACUGAAUCUAAGAAAUUACAAUGAACUAUAUGAGCGGGUCCAGAUGAUCGAAAGAGACCAAAAUGAGAGAGCCGCCGCAUCUGGAUCGUAGUUUGGAUCGAGUAGGGAAGGAAUCCGACAUGGGAAGAGGCCCAUGAUUGGAGGAAGAUUUCAAAUUCCGUCCAUCCGGAAGGGUGGAAUUGGGAAGACAGGGCCUGGUCAUAAUGGUCUGUGUCACUUCUACGGAAGGCAGCACGGUACAACCACAUGCCCUCAAAGGAUGGGUGCUUGUUUCGAGUGUGGCCAACGGGGUCACAUGGCCAGGGAUUGUCCUAGGCGACUAAGGGGACAACCACAAUUACCGCCACUGCCGCAAAGAGGACAGAUAAGAGGGUAUGCACCUCAGAAUGCACCGCAAGGAGGACUGCUUAGGCCCCCAGUUCAAGGAAUGGUGUAUGCCAUCACUCAAGGCCAGGCAGAGGCUGCAUCUGACGUGAUCACAGGUAUGCUUUCGCUAAACAACCAUCCUGCUUAUGCUUUAUUCGAUCUAGGAGCAACCCAUUAUUUUAUUGCCGAGCAAUAUGUUAAGCUAAUAAGAUUGAAUCCUGUAUUAUUGGAGUCGGCAAUUUGCAUAUCUACACCCUUGAUAGAUAAAGUUAUUGCUGCUUUGGGAUGUUCGGGGUGCAAGUUAGAGAUUGGUGAGCGAGUGGGGAAAAUUGACUUGUUAGUCCUAGCCAUGUAUGAUUUUGAUUCGAUAAUUGGCAUGGACUGGCUCACCAAUCAACGAGCUAAAAUGAACUGCUAUCGCAAGUUGAUUCAGUUUAACCCGUUAGAGGGUAAGAGCUUCGAGUUCGUAGGGAAUCGAGGAGGACCCUCGAUUUCCUUAAUCUCGUCACCAGAAGCAGCUCGUUUGUUAGACGAGGGUUGUCGAGGGUACUUAGCAACUGUUGUGGAUACAACAGUUGAGGAAUUGAAAAUGGAAGACAUUUCAAUGGUAUAGGAGUUUCCAGAUGUCUUUCCAAAGGAGUUGCCAAGGUUACCGCCAAAAAGAGAAAUUGAAUUUGUAAUUGAACUAGCACCAGGGACAGAAUCGAUCUCAAAGGCACCUUACCGGAUGGUAUUAUUUGAGUUGAAGGAACUGAAGGCGCGGAUGCAAGAGUUACUGGAUAAGAGAUUUAUUCGUCCUAGUGCAUCACCUUGGGGAGCACCACUUAUGUUUGUUAAGAAGAAAGAUUGUUCGUUGCGUCUAUGCAUCGACUAUCAGCAACUCAAUCAGGUUACGAUCAAGAACAAGUAUCCAUUGCCGAGGAUAGAUGAUUUGUUCAAUCCGUUGCAAGGAGCAUCGAUUUUCUCGAAGAUCGACUUGAGGAUAGGAUAUCAUCAGCUGAGGAUUAGGAAUGAGGAUAUUCCUAAGUCGGCAUUUCGUACCCGGUAUGGUCAUUACGAGUUCACAGUGAUGCCGUUCAGGUUGACGAAUGCUCCAGCGGCCUUUAUGGAUUUGAUGAAUAGAGUGUUUAAGGAAUAUCUGGAUCAAUUUGUGAUCGUGUUCAUCGAUGAUAUCUUGGUCUAUUCAAGAAAUAAUGAAGAGCACGAGAAUCAUUUGAGAUUAGUGCUUCAGACCUUAAGAACUCACCAGAUGUAUGUUAAGUUUACCAAAUGCGAGUUUUGGUUAACUCGUGUUGCGUUCUUAGGUCAUGUGAUUUCCGGAGAAUGAAUCUCUGUCGACUCGAGCAAAAUAGAAGCCGUGAUCAAGUGGCCGAGACCGACAACAGUGACAGAGAUCAGAAGUUUUCUAGGUUUGGCAGGGUAUUACAAACAGUUUGUGGAAGGAUUCUCAUCAUUCGGAUCGCCUCUAACAAAGCUUACUAAGAAAGAAGACAAAUUUAUAUGGACAGACAAAUGCGAGCGUAGUUUCCAAGAGCUUAAAGAAAAACUAACUACCGCACCGGUACUGACGAUUCCAUUUGGUCCUGGAGGAUUCGAGAUUUAUAGUGAUGCGUCAUUUAGAGGAUUGGGUUGCGUGUUGAUGCAACAUGGUAGAGUGGUUGCAUACGCAUCCUGUCAGUUGAGGCCUCAUGAGCAUAAUUAUCCGACGCAUGACUUAGAGCUCGCGGCGAUUAUCUUUGCCCUGAAGAUUUGGAGACAUUAUCUAUGCAGGGAAAAGUUCCAGAUCUUCAUGAACCAUCAAGGUCUCAAGUAUCUGUUCUCUCAGAAGGAGUUGAACAUGAGACAACGCCAAUGGAUGGAAUUGCUGAAGGACUACGAUUGUGAUAUUCUAUAUCACCCAGGGAAGGCAAAUAAGGUCGCCGAUGCUUUGAUCGAAAGUCUUCAGUUGCUCAAAUAUUGAUUAAGGAGUGGAACUUAAUUGAAAGAGCGUGAGAUUCGAUGUUCAAAUUUGAGGUAAGCCACCUCUCGAGUCUUAUGGCCACCCUCAGAAUUGAACUAGAUGUUCAGGUCAGAAUCAAGCUACUCCAACCAACAAAUUCAGAUGUACAGAAGAUAAUUCAAGCGGACCCCGAUAGAAGAAAGGCUGAUUUUUAGGUUUCUGAUGAUGGAGUGCUGAGGUUCCGUGAGCAUUUGGUUGUACCUAACGAUGUAGAGCUUAGAGAUGUUAUUUUAUCUGAAGCGCAUCAUAGCAGCUAUAGCGUUCAUCUUGGAAGUACCAAGAUGUAUCAGAACCCGCGUCAAUACUAUUGGUGGUCAGGUAUGAAGGUGGACAUCGCCAAGCAUGUCGCCAAGUGUUUGACGUGUCAGCAAGUAAAGGCCCAGCAUUGCAAGCCGGGAGGACUUCUGCAACUUCUCGCAAUCCUAUAUGAAAUGGUAGCAUAUCACGAUGGAUUUCAUGACUGGAANNNNNNNNNNNNNNNNNNNNNNNNNNNNNNNNNNNNNNNNNNNNNNNNNNNNNNNNNNNNNNNNNNNNNNNNNNNNNNNNNNNNNNNNNNNNNNNNNNNNNNNNNNNNNNNNNNNNNNNNNNNNNNNNNNNNNNNNNNNNNNNNNNNNNNNNNNNNNNNNNNNNNNNNNNNNNNNNNNNNNNNNNNNNNNNNNNNNNNNNNNNNNNNNNNNNNNNNNNNNNNNNNNNNNNNNNNNNNNNNNNNNNNNNNNNNNNNNNNNNNNNNNNNNNNNNNNNNNNNNNNNNNNNNNNNNNNNNNNNNNNNNNNNNNNNNNNNNNNNNNNNNNNNNNNNNNNNNNNNNNNNNNNNNNNNNNNNNNNNNNNNNNNNNNNNNNNNNNNNNNNNNNNNNNNNNNNNNNNNNNNNNNNNNNNNNNNNNNNNNNNNNNNNNNNNNNNNNNNNNNNNNNNNNNNNNNNNNNNNNNNNNNNNNNNNNNNNNNNNNNNNNNNNNNNNNNNNNNNNNNNNNNNNNNNNNNNNNNNNNNNNNNNNNNNNNNNNNNNNNNNNNNNNNNNNNNNNNNNNNNNNNNNNNNNNNNNNNNNNNNNNNNNNNNNNNNNNNNNNNNNNNNNNNNNNNNNNNNNNNNNNNNNNNNNNNNNNNNNNNNNNNNNNNNNNNNNNNNNNNNNNNNNNNNNNNNNNNNNNNNNNNNNNNNNNNNNNNNNNNNNNNNNNNNNNNNNNNNNNNNNNNNNNNNNNNNNNNNNNNNNNNNNNNNNNNNNNNNNNNNNNNNNNNNNNNNNNNNNNNNNNNNNNNNNNNNNNNNNNNNNNNNNNNNNNNNNNNNNNNNNNNNNNNNNNNNNNNNNNNNNNNNNNNNNNNNNNNNNNNNNNNNNNNNNNNNNNNNNNNNNNNNNNNNNNNNNNNNNNNNNNNNNNNNNNNNNNNNNNNNNNNNNNNNNNNNNNNNNNNNNNNNNNNNNNNNNNNNNNNNNNNNNNNNNNNNNNNNNNNNNNNNNNNNNNNNNNNNNNNNNNNNNNNNNNNNNNNNNNNNNNNNNNNNNNNNNNNNNNNNNNNNNNNNNNNNNNNNNNNNNNNNNNNNNNNNNNNNNNNNNNNNNNNNNNNNNNNNNNNNNNNNNNNNNNNNNNNNNNNNNNNNNNNNNNNNNNNNNNNNNNNNNNNNNNNNNNNNNNNNNNNNNNNNNNNNNNNNNNNNNNNNNNNNNNNNNNNNNNNNNNNNNNNNNNNNNNNNNNNNNNNNNNNNNNNNNNNNNNNNNNNNNNNNNNNNNNNNNNNNNNNNNNNNNNNNNNNNNNNNNNNNNNNNNNNNNNNNNNNNNNNNNNNNNNNNNNNNNNNNNNNNNNNNNNNNNNNNNNNNNNNNNNNNNNNNNNNNNNNNNNNNNNNNNNNNNNNNNNNNNNNNNNNNNNNNNNNNNNNNNNNNNNNNNNNNNNNNNNNNNNNNNNNNNNNNNNNNNNNNNNNNNNNNNNNNNNNNNNNNNNNNNNNNNNNNNNNNNNNNNNNNNNNNNNNNNNNNNNNNNNNNNNNNNNNNNNNNNNNNNNNNNNNNNNNNNNNNNNNNNNNNNNNNNNNNNNNNNNNNNNNNNNNNNNNNNNNNNNNNNNNNNNNNNNNNNNNNNNNNNNNNNNNNNNNNNNNNNNNNNNNNNNNNNNNNNNNNNNNNNNNNNNNNNNNNNNNNNNNNNNNNNNNNNNNNNNNNNNNNNNNNNNNNNNNNNNNNNNNNNNNNNNNNNNNNNNNNNNNNNNNNNNNNNNNNNNNNNNNNNNNNNNNNNNNNNNNNNNNNNNNNNNNNNNNNNNNNNNNNNNNNNNNNNNNNNNNNNNNNNNNNNNNNNNNNNNNNNNNNNNNNNNNNNNNNNNNNNNNNNNNNNNNNNNNNNNNNNNNNNNNNNNNNNNNNNNNNNNNNNNNNNNNNNNNNNNNNNNNNNNNNNNNNNNNNNNNNNNNNNNNNNNNNNNNNNNNNNNNNNNNNNNNNNNNNNNNNNNNNNNNNNNNNNNNNNNNNNNNNNNNNNNNNNNNNNNNNNNNNNNNNNNNNNNNNNNNNNNNNNNNNNNNNNNNNNNNNNNNNNNNNNNNNNNNNNNNNNNNNNNNNNNNNNNNNNNNNNNNNNNNNNNNNNNNNNNNNNNNNNNNNNNNNNNNNNNNNNNNNNNNNNNNNNNNNNNNNNNNNNNNNNNNNNNNNNNNNNNNNNNNNNNNNNNNNNNNNUACAAAGUCAGCUCACUUUAUUACAGUACGAAAAGACCUAAGUUUGAAUAGACACGCGGACCUGUAUGUGCGCCAGGUGGUUCGAAUGCAUGGAGUGCCAGUUACGAUAACGUCCGAUAGAGACCCGAGGUUUACUGCUACUUUUUGGAAGAGCUUGCAGAGUGGUUUAGGUGCAAAGCUUCAGUACAGUACGGCAUAUCAUCCUCAGACGGAUGGCUAGUCUGAAAGGGUAAUUCAGACUCUCGAAGACAAGUUAAGAGCUUAUGUAAUAGACUUCAAAGGAAGUUGGGAAGAUCAGCUUCAUCUGGUGGAAUUUGCCUACAACAACAGUUAUCAGCAGAGCAUCCAAAUGGCUCCAUUCGAAGCGUUGUAUGGCCGAGUGUGCAGAACACCGGUGUGUUGGGAUGAUGUUGGGGAAAGAAAGAUAACAGGCCCAGAGUUGAUGCAAUAGUCAGUAGAUGCCGUGGCAAUGAUUAGAGGCAAAUUAAAGACAGCACAGAGUAGGCAGAAAAGUUAUGCAGAUAAGCGUCGAAAGUCUUUGGAAUUCCAAGUUGGUGAUCACGUUUUUCUGAAAGCGUCACCAAUGAGGGGAACUUUGCGCUUUGGUAAGAAAGGCAAACUGAGUCCGAGGUACGUAGGUCCGUUUGAAAUUCUUGAAAGGAACGGGAACCUAGCGUAUCGUCUUGCAUUGCCGCCAAAAUUGGCACAAUUACAUGACGUCUUUCACGUGUCAAUGUUGAGGAAGUAUGAACCUAACCCGACCCACGUGCUCAAUUUCGAGGAAUUGGACGUGGAUGACCGAGUGUCAUACGUUAAAAGCCCGGUCCAGAUCGUCGAUCGUAAAGAGAAAGUUCUGCGUACAAAAACCAUUCCGUUGGUCAAAGUGGUCUGGCAACACCACGGCACUGAAGGAGCAACUUGGGAGACUGAAGAGUCGAUGAGACAAUUGUACCCCCACCUUUUUGAUCAAAGUGUGUAAUGGUUUAAAUUUCGAGGACAAAAUUUUUAUAAGAGGGGAAGAGUUGUGACAUCCUGAAAUUCGACCCCGUUUCGAUAAAGUGAAAUGGGCAUUUCGUCGAUGUGCUUAUGGUCCUGUUUUUUUGAACUGAUCACUCAUGAGUUAACUAACCUAUUGAGUGAAGCCGUUAAGAGAUGUAUCCGCGGUAAAAUCCCUAAAAGCUACUUAAUUGGUUGGAUUGGACUAAAAUCGCGUCUGAUCGAUUCUAACCACGAAAUUAAAUUCGAUUUCGAGAAUCGAAUAUUCAAGCGUGUCACGAAUCAUUUUUAGGACCUUGUCUCAUCGUCCGUCAAAUUAUCGACAAUUCCGAAAUUUCGAAAAAGAAAUUGUCGGAGGAAAAAUCGGAGACCAAAAGAAAAUUAAUAAGGGAAAGAGAAAAGACAAAUAAUAAGAAUAAUAAGGAUAUUAUUAUUUUAUUAUUUUCUCUCUCUCCUCCUCUCCCUUGUGACCCAUCCCUUCUUUUUCAACCGUUCAUCCAUUUUUUUCCCCUUUGCCAAUUCUCACACCACCUCUGCCACCUUUUCUUUUUCCCCUUAAUUUAUUCUUUCUUUUUCUUCUCUCUCUCUCUCUCUCUCUCUCUCUCACUCUCUCUCUCUCUCUCUCUCUCUCUCUCUCUCUCUCUCUCUCUCUCUCUCUCUCUCCUCCGUUCGAAACCCCCUCCCCACGCCGACACUCCCUCCUUUUUCUCUUGCCGUUUUCUACUUUGCUUUCUCUUCCCCAUUUGACUUUUCAAACCUUAUCCUUCUCUCUCCUCUCUCCUUCUCUCUCGACACUCUCUCUCGCUCCUCUGGUUCGAGCAAGCCAGCGAAACAGAAGUAGAAAAAUAAGCGAAGACAUCAGCCACCAAGAGAAGUAGACCGGAGCAACUCGCCGUCACUGCCCGUGCUCCGCCACCCGCGUGUCACCCGCGCGCCCCUCCGCUCACCCCUCACGUCCUCGCUGCCUAGCUGUGCCAUCCAGCUCCUGUUAGGUCUCAGCUCAGCCUUGUGAGUGAUUGAGGAAGCUACCGGACCGUUGCCCAGCUCCGUCCGGCCACCGUUCGGCCUCACAGAGCUUCCCUUGCCCUCCACCGGCCUUGCUCCGCCUUUUCAGCCCCCGGAGCAGCUUCGUUUGGCCAAGAAUAGCAGCUGGAAAAAGGGUUUCCAGCAGUGGUUCUAGGCCCCUUUUGAGAUUUCCGAGCCCCGAACCUGGGACUUGCUUUGGGAGGAAUCGAUCCUUGUAUCAUCCAUGUUGGAUUGAUACGUUUUGCGCAAAAAUCCGGUGAGUUUAUCUCACUAAGCCCUUAUUAGUAAGUUAAUGACAUUUAAGGGUUGAUUAUAUUUAAUUAAGUGCAAUUAGAUGGUUAGAUUAGAGUAGAUUGGUGAUUAUUAGAUAAUUGUGAUGCAUGUUAGGCAAUUUGAUUGUGCAAUUAACGAAUUGAUAUGUGCUAAUAUUUAUUGAAUGCAUCUCAAGAUUUUUCCCGACCCUUAUCAACUUCCAAUUAGGCAUUACGGGCCUAAAUUGGAUUUAUUGUAUUUAUUUAAUAAUUUUCGGAAUUAUUUGAUUAAUUAUUUAUUUUCCGAAAAUUAAGCAUGGAUAGCCGACGACCGGAAUUUUAUGCUGAUUGUCGUGAUGCACUCCAUUUAUUUAAUUCAGCUUUAUUUUGUGUUGAAAUGAAUUAUUUGUGAUUAUAAGAUUAUUUUCUUGAAUUAAUUAAUUUGGAUAAUUAAUUGAAAAAUAACCGGGUGUCGGUUGACAACACCAAAAGUGUUGGUGGACUACAGAUAAUGGUGGGAUUUGUGGAAAAGAAAUUAUAAUAUUUUGGCUAAGGCCGACUGUGUACCCACACGAAUAUUUUAUCGGGAAUGAUAAAAAGGGUAAUUUGAUAAAUAUUAUUUUCGGCAUACUAUAAAAGUAUGGCUGGCAGCUUUUGGUGAGCAUAAUAAACAUAUCAGAUCAAUGAAUCUGGCAGCUUCUGGUGGGCAUAUUAUUAUUAUAUCAGAUCAGUGGAUCUGACAGCUUCUGGUGAGCUAUACUAUCUAUAUAUCGGCUAGAGUGAAUAGUCCUAGACUAUGGUCGGACUCAUAGAUAGUAUUAAUUGAGGAGACCAGGGAAUGGUCAUGUUGAUAUGUAAUUAACUAGGUCGAUUGAUCAAUGAUUCGAUUUGAUUGAAUGAUUUGACGUGGUGAAUUAAUUCGAUGAAUUAUAAAUUGUAUUGACUUGCAGGAAGGAAUUGAGGCAAAGGUAAGCCCUCCGACUCAUGAUUGUGCUUAGGCAGCCCUUAAGGCGUAUUUUCUUCUUAAUCGGGUCUUAGGGGGAUUGAACUUGCUGAGACGUCGUCUCACCCCGUUGUGGGAUAAACAUUUCAAGUCUCUAGAUGACAGUCGUGGAAGACCAAGAGCCCUGGAGUUUGGAAGAUGGAGGCUGAAGAAUCGGAAAUCGGGUCUAACUAGUGGGUGCUAGGACAGUCCCCUUUUUGUUAAGCCGAUAUUUUUGUAAACAGCCUGAUUUUGUAAUUAACCUGUUUGUUUGUAAAAGACUUGUCUUGGUUUGAAAAUUUUAGUCCUGCUCUUCUAUCCCAAUUGUUUGUUGUCUGGGGAUUUUAUAUCUGUUUUCGCAUGCAUAUUAAAUAAAAGGGUCAGCGACGUGUCCUGAGACGUCGCUAUUAUUCGACCAAGGAGGGAUGGGCGCGCGCUCGGAGGAUUGGGGCGUGACACCCUAAAUCGGACAAAAUGCCAUUGAAGCACUGAAGCCCUAAUCUCAAACCCUUAUUCGAUUUGCCCCAAAUUUUACAAUCAAAUAUUGGAAAUGGAGAGCAAGACUUUCAGCAACGGCUCAAAUUUCUCUUGCCGAAGUGAGGAAGAAGGCGAGCGUUUCUGUUUUUGUGGGAUACCAAGUCCAACAAGAACAUGGUUACAAAAAAAAGUCCAACAAGAACAUCAUGGACUCGAAUGAAUUCCAAGAGAAGAUUCUAUGGAUGUGCCCAAUAUAGAGAAGGGUCGAAGUGCAAAUAUUUCAAAUGGAUCGAUGCGAAAUUCUCUCACUGAGCCACAGAGGUGAUAUUGGACCUACUUGAUGGAUGUCAUCAACCUCCAUCUACGCUUGUGGACAACUUGGACGAUGUUGACUCAAUACAAGCUCAAGCGUCUUCUGCUAACCAUUUGAAGAAUGAAGUUUCAAGAAUGAAAAUUGAACGGAAGUGUUACCAAGCGUUUAUUGUGUUGCUGUUUUUUUAUCUAUCCUACUUUAUGAUGAAAUGUAAAGUACUGGAAGAAGAGAAGGAGUUUCUCCAACUACCAUAGUUGUAAAUGAGUGGAGAAAUGCACUUGUUUUGAAUGAAAUGUAACUCAUUGUUUUGGAAGAUAAGAAGAAGUUUUGUGUUGUCUACAAGAUCGUUGUGGUGUAUUUUUUUUUUUUUUUUGGAGCUGUCAUAUGUAUUAUGUGUUAUUUAUUGUGCUUGUGGGGAGGUCAAGAAAAGGGAAUGAAUUAAUGAGAUACUGUUUGUACUAUGUUUUUGCUUAUUCUCAAAUAUAAAUUGGUGAUGAUGAAAUGUAUAUUGGGUCGAUGUGUUAUGGUGACUUCUUUACUUAAACUGAAUGUAAACCAAUAGCAAACAUUGGAUUGAAUGAAGUUGCCAUAAGUUGAACGUAUAUAUAAACCAACAGCUUCUCUGGUUUGCUGCAAAUCACUAUAUACAUAAAACAGACACGAGUGAUUACUCGAGUGCUAUAAGUUGUAUCUAGUGAAUACUCAAGUGCCAGUUGUAAUAAAAAAAAAAGAGUCAUUUAAGUGUCAAGUUAUUAUUAAAAGUGAUCACUUAAGUGCAACUUGUGUUUAAAAGUGAACACUUAAGUGCUAGAUUUUUUAGAAUGUGAUCAGUUAAGUGCCUUUUUUUUUUUGUACAUUUUCCUCUAUAAAUUGCACUAGCCAUCAGCUACUACCAGCCACCAUCACCGCCCACCACUAGCCACCAUUGGCCUCCAGCCACACCAAGCAUCUCAGGCAUCCAUUUGAGUCACCACCAGCCACCACUAUGCUGGUGGUAUGCUGUUGCAGAAGUUGCUAGUGCAAGGUGCUUUACACCAGCUUGCACCAGCACUACCUAGUGUAAGAUGUGCAUAUUGCAAACUUAUAUCUUGCACCAGGUGCAUCAAAAACCCUAACCCAACCCAUAUAAUAGACCCACCAUAAGUAGGCAUCAGCAAUCACCACUGGCCACCACCACUAGCAACACUAACAUCCUAGCUACCACACCAAAAUGUAGCCACCACCAUAAACCCACCAUUAGCAGCCACUGUUAGUGGUGAGUCGUGGGUUUGUUGCAAAAGGGGUUCGUGUAAGCUAGGCUAUGCACACUACACUCUUGCACCAGUACUAGCUGCAGCAAGAGGCCCCAACCCAACCCCCACAACGGACCCACCACCAUCAAGCUUCACCAGCCGCCACCACCAACCACACGAGCACCCUAAUCACCACCACAGAUCCACCACCAAAAGCAAUAAGUACAAGUAAAAACAAAAUCAAAAAAAUAAAAAAGACAAAAAUGACAAGCAACAAGAUUGUUCCAUUGAUAUUAAAUUUAAGUCUCACAAACUCAAUGACAAACUAUUAUAAUAAAAUAAAAUAAAAACAUCCAUACUAAAACAACUGACUCCUCAACCCUACAAACCAUAUCACAUCCCAUUUCAUCAAUCAAUAUGCACAAUGCCUCUCGUUCGUGCUCCUUUUGAUGGACCUUGCACUCGAUUCAUAAUCCUUGCACUUUUUCUAACUGGAUGUGAGACUUCUUUUUCAACUAUCUCGAGAUGCGUUGAUUCUGAUGAAGCUGCAAUUGUCCUAGGCUGAACUGAUUCAGAUGGACCUGCAAUUGGGUUCUUCUUACUCUUCUUUCUUGUUGGUGCAGCAAAUGUCUUCUUUUUUGUUGAUGCAGCCGUUGAUUCUUGAGUUGAGCCUUGAGAGAUAAGAACCUUUGAACUUCUCCCAAGCUUAAAAAAGAAAACUCAAUUAUCAACAAAAGUUUGCACUAUAAAUUAAAUUAAAUGCAGCCUAUAAAACUUACAUUAAGAAUAAUUGUUCCAGAACACUCAUCUGUAUAAAGGCCAUACUCAUAUUGUUUUAGCCUCUUCCCAAGAGCCCCUCUUGUUCGAAGGGGAACGUCACUUUUAGGUAUUUGUGAUUAGUUGGCUCUUCUUCUUGCAUGUGAUUUCUUCGGCUUUUGUUGUGGCUAUUCAGCUACAGUGGGGGCUUCUUCGGCCAAUUCUUCAGCUAGGCGUCUUCUAAAUGGCCUUCUUGUAAGUGGCUCUUGAUUUGGCUUUCUUCUGGUUGUUUUUCUAAUUAGCUCUUUAGCUUCAGUGACACCUUUUGUUGGCUUUUGUGGUGGCCUUUGUGAUAACCCUUUUAGUGGCCUUUGUGGUGACCUUGGUGAUGGAUCUUGUGGUGGCCCUUCGGUUGGGCCCUCUAUUGGUAGCUAAGCUCUAGCUUGCCUUCUUUGAAUCUGAGAAAAAGGCAAAGGCCAUCAUAAAUAUAACAUCAGACCAUAUAAAAACAUAAAUGAAAACUAAACACAAAUUAUUGAACUCACCGGGUAUUUUUUUCUCUCUGCUGCUGAACAACAGUCGACUUAACAGGCCCUCCAGUUGCUUCGGCCAAUCCUCAACUGGCUGUCUUCUACCUUGCCUUCUUUAAACAAGCCCUUCAAUUUCAGGUACAGCAGAGGCUUCAGCCAAUUCUUCACGUGUCAUUCUCGUAACUUGACAAAGACAAAAACAUUACAUACAUGUCACUUAUAUCUAUGUACAUAUUUGUAAUAAAACAUAAAGCAACAUAAACACAAUUGUCGUGACUUACUGGGUUUAUUGUUGUCGAUUGAAGAACAAUCGACUCACUUUGCCUUUUUGUUUGUCAUUCUCCAACUGUCCUUUCACUAACCCCUUUGGUUGGCCUCAACUUUUCCUGCUGCUUCCUUAAUUGACAACCUUUAGUAUUGUGCCUUGCUAUGUGACAAAAAGAGCACUUUAUCGGUACACUUUUCCUAUUCAUCCUACACCGACAUGAGACCUCUCCCUCCGUCAUUCUUCGUUUUCACUUUGGUCUUCCCAUUUUCUUCUUUAGUGGCAAAGGUUGAGGUGUUUCGCGAUCUGUUGGCUCCCAGAACUUGCUACUUCUGAUUGGCUGCAACAUGAAUUGGUACUAAGCAAGAUAUUUCGGUUUCUUGUACCAUUCAUCAAUGUAGUCUUUUAUGUUGUGGCCCUUCAAUUGAAUGGCACAUGUUGCAUGUGCACAAGGAAUUCCACUUAGUUGCCAUGCUCGACAUGAACAAUUCCUCGUACCUAAAUGGACAACAUACUUAUCGGAACCCUUCAUUAUCUCAUAUCCUUCAUCCCCAUUCCAAAUGAGAUGGCAAUACCUACUUGCAGCUAAGUUGUCAUCCAAUUUCUUAGCAAUUCUAGGACCACAUUGCCUAGUCCAUUUUGCAGCCUCAUCUCUUUGUCUGUGCAACCGAGUCAUGACCAUAACCCGUAUGUCUUCAAGCAUCAAGAUAAUGGGUUUGCAUAUGGCACUUAUUUAUCCUCCCAUUGAAUGCUUCGCAGAUGUUGUUAUCGAUGUUAUCGCACUUGAAUUCCUCACUAAAGAACGCCCUACACCAAUACUUCAGUUCUAUUUGGAAUAGUGCAUCAUAACCUUCCUUCAAUUGAAGUAGUUCUUCUUUGGCCAUCCUAAAGUCAGCCAUAUUCGUACUCUUUGCUAGCUGCCAAAAUUGCGACUGCCACUUGUCCCAUUUAUAGUUGUUUGCCCAAUUUGCGUAUAUGUGCCAUGCAUACAUUCGAUGUUCAGCAUAAGGCAACAACUCAGCUAUUGGUGGAACUAGUCCUUGCAAUAAUUCAAAAUAAGAAAUGUAAGCAAAUGACAUGUUGAUAUCAAAAAGCAAACGAUUAACCAAAUUUUUUAAAAAAACAAACAUUACCUUUUGUUGGUCACUCAUGAAUGCCCACCCUACCCCGUUUGUUAUCUCCAAAUCAGUCAUCAAAUUUUUUAGAAACCAGGACCAAUUGUCCUUGUUCUCUACCUUCACAACAGCCUAAGCCAAUGGAAACAUUUGGUUAUUUGCAUCUCUUCCAAUUGCAGUCAACAAUUCUUUCUUGCACAAGCCUUUCAAAAAACACCCAUCUAAUCCUAUAAUCCGUCUACGACCAGAUAAAAAUCCUCGUUUGCAUGCAUCGAAGCAAACAUAGAACUUAUCGAACUUGGUCCCAAUAUCAGGAAGUGGUCUUUCCACGACCUCUACAUACACUCUACUUGAAGGAUUUUGCAGCCUACACUCUCAAGCAUAAUCCCACAAUUGUCCAUAUUCGCUAUUGUACUGACGAAUGAGUAUCUUCAUCACAAUUUGCUUCGAUAUUUUGCAUUGAUUCCUGGAUAUAUUGAUGCCUACCUUCUCCUUCACUAGCAUCAUGAACUCAAUACUAUUCAUCUAAGGCAUCAGCCUAAUCAAAUCAAAGAAGUGUUUGGACAAUCAUGCACUUGUUACCCUUUUAUUUUCAAAAUUAAUGAAACAAAUAUGUUCCUCUUGAUAGGCUCUAAUCUGGAAUGAUCCACUUCUCCUAACAAAUGCGCCAUAGAUCUUCCAUGGACAAUUUUGCUAUGAACACCUAGCUCUUACAAACGUCGUAGUGUUUCUAAUGACGUCAAUAUUCCUCUGUGCAGCAAUGGAGUUCUUCAGUAUAGCUUCCCUAAAUUGUUUCGCAUCUUGAAAUUUCAUACCUAUGACAAUGUAGGAGAGGCAAUGGAUGGAUCAUAAGAAUGAAACUUACUUUUCCUUCUAUGCACAACUCCUUCAUCUUCUUCAAGCUCAUCUUGGGAAGUAGCAUUCUUGACGCUUUCUUCAUAAUCAAUCUCCUCGCCAGCAGCACCGGCAUCUGCAGGGCCUUCAACCCUAUUUGGAACUUCAUCAGCUACCUGCAAAGCUGCAAACUUAUCUAUAAAAAAAAUCCCUUAGCUUUUUUCUUGACUGUACAAUCUUCUUGUUGUCAUUAUCACUUAUGAAAUUUUCAGCAGGCAACCCUUCAUCAUCAUCAUCACUUGAUUUAGCUACUUCACAAUCUAAUCCAGUGAUUGUGACAUCACCUAUGUCAUAAUCACUUUGGUGAACUACAUCUGCACUCCUCUCCUCUCCAUCAUGUCUAUCCUGCCCUCAUUUAACCCAAACGUCAGUACUACCUUGAAUACCAUCUCCAUCUUGUCUUACUUGGGCCCUCUCUCCAUCAUCAUCUUCGUCCUCACUUUCACUAUUGUACUCAACAUAUAUUUUUACCUCUUCACCAUGAAGAUAAUGGUAUAGAACAUCUCUAAAAUCAUUAUCAUCUUCUAAGCUUCUCAAACCAUCUCUUAAGCCUUUCCCAGGAAUACAAUAUAACAACUUUUGAACUUUACAAGGCAAAUAAGUCACUAUAUCCCUAACAAAUCCUAUAUAAGAUGCUUUCUUUAUCUUGACAAAGAUAAUGCCCUCAUUUCUACCCUCAUCCUCCCCAAUCACAAAAUCCCCACCGUAGCAAACUAUGACAAUGACAUAAUCCUUGUUAUAAGCCAUUUAUGCACCAAGAACAAAAAAAAAAAAAAAUUAGUUUUUGGGACCACAUCCACAAAGAACAAUAGACAAUUGCACAUGGGAGUCCCCCCACUCUCAUGGACUUUAUUAAACAGAGGUCCCCACAUUGACAAUAUGCCCCUACAUGGCAGCCAAAAAAGAGGUCGUCACUUUAAUUAUUUGCCUUCCUUUCCCUUAAUAUAUUAACCAAAAACAAAGGUCCCCACAACAAGCACAACCCAAGCAAUUUUGUCUACUAUCUUUUGCUGAACUAAACUUGCGAUGUGAGAAUGUACAUCAACUUAAUCAAAUCAAAUCAAUUUUUCCUGUGAAAACACAUAUAGAAAAUAAAGGAAAGCUCGAUGUAAAAAUAUAGGGUGAAAGUUCUAUUUCUCAUCCAACCAAGAGAAAUCAUACCCGACUCUAUGAUGUUUGGCCAUUAAUAUAUUGUGUCAAUAGGUCGUUACACUGCCCAAGAGAAAUUCAGAGGAAAAUCAAGCCCUGAAUUUAUCCAUUGCACAGUAGAUUGAUACUGCAUGUCAAAAGAGCUAAUAGUUUAUAAACUUUAAAAUGAGGUACUUACAUGUGGUUUCAAAUAUGUCCCUUGCAGGUAACAAACUUAUAUAAAGUAUCAAAACAAAUUUUACACUCCUCAAUGAUCCCUGCAUAUAUGUUGACUAUUUGAUUAGAAANNNNNNNNNNNNNNNNNNNNNNNNNNNNNNNNNNNNNNNNNNNNNNNNNNNNNNNNNNNNNNNNNNNNNNNNNNNNNNNNNNNNNNNNNNNNNNNNNNNNUCUAGGCAUGAAUAGCGACGGAGAGAAGGGCCUGAGAUCUAGUGUGAACGCGGACAAGGAGGAACGGCAAUGGCUAGGUUUGCUUAAGCCAAAAUAACCUAAACGACGUCAUUUAACACCAAGGAAAAACGACAUCAUUUAGGUCAGCUUAGUCGAUGUGGAUAGACGACGUCGUUUUUAUCAUCCGUGUAGGCUUUUUUUUUUAAAUGUUUGCCACCUCAGUAAAAGAAGUCGCCAGAAAAUGCCACAUAUGCAAUUUGGCCGGAUUUUCCUGUCAAGUGAUCCAUUUUGCUCCGAUUUUGGCACUUAAGUGUCACUUUUGUAAGUUAUGGCACUUAAGUGUCCUUUUGUGCCAAGUUAUGGCACUCCAGGGGUUUGCGCGUCCUUUUUGUCAAUAGCAAAAAGUGGAGAAUGACUAUAAAAGGAGUUGCGUAAAAAUCAUAGCUGUUUGGGGAUGCGAAUGAGUUGGAAAUCCCCCAUAGACUUGACAGUCUCCUCUAGCUUCCUUAGAGUCUCCUUCAGUUGGUCCAAAUCUUCACCCUUUGCAGUGUCUUGCAUUUGAAUCUUCAGGGCUUGUAGCUGUUCUUGCAAAGAAACUGAAGUGGACUAGAAAGCUUUCUUAAGGUCCUUUAACUCAAACUCCAAGCCAUAUUGAUGUCUUCAAAUCCCAAAGGAUAUCCAGCAGUCUUGGAAAGUCUGCUGUUGGUUCUGGAGUAACACUAGGUCUAGCCAAAUUAGUUCCAGGAGUCUUAAGAUGUAAGGGAAUAUCCGCAGUUUGAUCACCGGGACUAGGAAUGGAUGCCUCAACGUCUGCUUCAAGGUAGUGAGAGGCAUAGACAUCCUCUGGAUCUGCUGGAGAUUUACUAACAUCACUUAUAAGAGCAAGUGAAGAAGUACCUCUUUUGUUAGUAGCUCCCCCUGUUUCUGUGCUUUCAGGUGGAGAAAAGAAUUCUUCUUCCUGUUCUUGCUCUACUUCAGCACAUGAGUGAUGUUUUUCUCUUUCUUUUCUGGCAGUUCCACUCCUUGUUUUCUCCGAGUCAUCUGACAAGGAUACAGCAAAAGUAGGCUCAAAAGAGUCAUCUUGACCCUCUUCUUCCUCUUCCUCUCUUCCUCUUUCUUCUUUCUUCUCUUUCUUCACCUCUCUUCUAUGUUUCUUCUCUUUCUCUAUUAUCUCUGUCCUAUGGCUCCUGAAGACUAACAAAACUUUGUAAAUUUCCUAAGGCAAAAGCGGAGAGAGUGAUGUCAUCCUCAUCUUCUUCGUCCUGCAAGAUAAUGGCUCUCCUCUUCUUGAUAGGUCCGCUCAUGGGCUCCUUGCCUUUUCUUUUCCUUGUUGCAGAGUCUUGUUUUGCCUUGAUAGGGGACUUCUCCUUCAUAUGCUCCAAAACCCUAUUCAACUCCUUCAUAUGCAUCUUUGAAACCAUUUUCAGUCCAGUCACCAUUGGAGCAAUGGUUCUAACACAUAAAGUAGCAGGAAGAUGAAUUUUGAAGUGUGGUAGACGGGAUCGAUAAGCGCAGAGUAAGGGAGUUGCCCCUUGUCCUUCACAACUGUCCUAUACAUGUGCAUGAGGAUAGUGUGAGGCAGUGAGAACUUAAAGCCAAUGUUGAUUGCAUACAUCAACUUUGCUUCAGAAUGAGAGACAUCAGUCUUUGACGUGGAUUUAGGUCUGAUGCAGUUGAUCAUGAUAUUGUGAAAUAAGAUAUUGGAUGCAGUCAUUCUAGAGUAAGAAAUCCUGCCCUUAGCAAAUCUGUCCUAAACAAAUUCCAAUGUAGCAUGACCAACUGACAUACCGAUUGGUUGGAAACUCCCUCUUUCCACACCAAUCAAAUCCGCCAAUGUGUCCACAUCGACCACAAAUUCUUUGUCCCUAACCGUAAAAUAAAAUCUAUUCGCAUCUAAGGAAGAUAGAUUUGAAUAGAAAUAAGCUGUUAGUUCUGGGUAGGCGACAGUUGUCUCAGAGCAAAAACUUUCAAGUUGAAGGAGUGCAAACUUCUCCCUUAGUUUCACUUUCAACGAAUCAAGAAAAUUGAAAUCCACAUUUCUAGGGUUCAUAACCCCUCUCUUCAGCAGUUUCGAGUAAGUCUUCCUGUGGUCUUUGGAAUGGAAUAAACUCGCUCCCUCACCAUGAACACUUGCAGCAACGUCCAUCCUAGGCUGAAAAUUUGUGAACAUCCUUUCAUCAUCAUCCUUACCUCCAGGCUGAUUAAAAGUGUUGAACCGUGGAUCACUUUGAAAGUUGGCAAAGGUCCUUGCUGCCAAACCUUUAGGAGCAAUCCCAUCCUUUCCAUGGAUUGUAAGAACCAAGUUUCGUUCUUGUAACCCCUCUCUCUCAUGAACUCAUCGAUGAAUGUCAUCACAGUACCACCCUCUUUCAACGUAGAAUAAAGUUUAAACAGAAAUUCGGGUUUUAGCGUUCUUACGGGUUCCACAUCUUCCACAAUUUCUUCUUCUACUUGUUGCUGUGGAGGAUCUUGAGUCCUGUGCUGAGAAGAGUGACGUGGUUGAGAAUGUUGUUGUCGUUGCUGCUGCUGAGGAGAAUCUUCUUCCUCGGUUACAUCAAAGUGCGUAGGACCCUCACGCAUAUGCUGUGGUCCCCUGCUCCUGAUUCUAUAGGACUUUCUUUGGGAAGACAUUGUCACUUUCUUGGAGGAUUUCUCGAACUUGCUAUUGAAAAAGGUGAAAGCUUUUUGGAUUAAACUAGAGGGAAAGUGAGAGAAAGUAGGAUUUUUGUAUUCUAGGAUUUGUAAGCGUAAACGGUGAAGAAGAAAAUCGAUGGUAUAUAAAGCAAGUGAAACGGGGUAUAUGAAUCAUCACAAAGGAAAAAACAAAAACUACCUUUUUCAAAAAUGAAAAACUGCCAUAAAUUUAAAACUCAAAAAAGAUAAAUUCUAAAAAUAAAGUAGGCAAGUAGCAAUUCGAAAAAUCAACGUACCUUUUCAAAAAAUUAUUCUAAAAUAAAAACACAUGCAUUUAGAAAGCAUUAACUUACAGUCGUAACUUCUGGAUAUUCUGAGUCUGAACACCUUUAGACUUUGCCCAGUAAAAGAUAUGAUGUUCAGUCUGGUGCGAAUAGACUGAAAUAAGCUUUUCUCCAGUGGCAUUGUAAAUAUAUAUGUCAACUGUUUCUUCGAGUCAAUGAACGGAAUCAUAAUUUCUUAAUUCUGAACAUGAUCUCUAAUGAAGUGAUGUCGAAUCUCUAUAUGUUUUGCGCUUGAAUGAAGAAGUCACAUUUGAUCUCGGUGCACGACUCUUCAAUACCAAAGUCUCUUAGUUGUUGCCUUAUCCAUAAGAUUUGAGAGCAACAAUUUCCAAGAGCCACAUAUUCUGCUUCAGCUGUUCAAAGAGCUACGGUGCUCUAUUUUCUUGAAAACCAAGAUACCAGCUUGUUGCCUAGCAGUUACAUAUACCAGAAGUACUCUUUCUAUCAACUUUGCAUCCUGCUAAAUCUGUGUCUGAAUAUCCAUGAGAGUAAAGUCUCCUUCUUUGAGAUACCACAAACCUAGCCUUGGAGUAGUUGCAAUGUAUUUGAUGAUGCGCUUUGCGGCACCUAAAUGAGAUUCUUUGGGAUUUAAUUGGAAUCUAGCAUAGAUACAAACACUAAACAAAAUGUUAGGUCUAGAUGCAGUAAGGUAAAGAAGCGAACCAAUAAUGCUCCUGUAAAGUUUCUGGUCUACACUCUUUCCUCCUUCAUCUUUGUCCAGCUUUGAAGAACUUGACAUAUGUGUCUGUCUUUUUGCAAUUCUCUAAUCCAAACUUCUUGAUGAGAUCUUUUGCAUACUUCUCUUGGUGAAUGAAAAUACCUUCCUUUGAUUGUUUAACUUGUAAUCCCAAAAAGAAAGUCAGCUCACCCAUCAUGCUCAUCUCGAAUUCAUCCUACAUGCAUCUAGAGAAUUUCUUGCAUAGAUUUUCAUUAGGUGAUCCAAAUAUAAUAUUAUCAACAUAAAUCUGAACAAGUAGAAAAUCUUUACCUUAUCUUUUAAUGAACAAAGUAGUGUCUACCUUUUCUUUAACAAAACCAUUUUGAGUUAGGAAUUUACUUAACUUUUCAUACCAGGCUUGAGGUGCUUGCUUCAAUCCAUAUAGGGCCUUUUCCAGUCUGUAGACUGAGUCUGGCUUUCUUGAAGCUUCAAAACUAGGUGGUUGUUCCACAUAGACUUCUUUUUGGAUAAAUUUAUUUAGGAAUACACUUUUUAUAUCCAUUUGGAAUAAUAUGAAAUUUUUAUAGCAAACAAAAACAAGUAAUAAUCUAAUUGCUUCUAACCUUACUACUGGCGCAUAGGUCUCGUCAUAGUCUAUCCCUUCUUCUUGCGUAUAUCCUUUGAUAACGCGUCUUGCUUUGUUUCUAACAACUUUUCUUUUUUUCGUCUACCUUGUUCCUAAAAACCUAUUUAGUUCCAAUAAUAUAUUUACCUUCAGGUUUAGGAAUGAGUUCCCAAACAUCGUUUAUGUUGAACUAUCUGAGCUAUUCUUACAUAGCUUCAAUCCAACUUUCAUCAGCCAAGGCUUCUUUUAUACUUUUGGGUUCAAUCUCAGAAACGAGUGCUAAAGCACUAGACUCUUCUCAUCUUUUGGAUCUGGUGCGAAUUCCUUCAUCAAUAUUGCCAAUGAUGAGUUCUUUGGGAUGACUUGACUUAUGCUUCCAGUUGCUAGUUGGUUUGUGAGUCUGGUGAUCUUCUGCUUCUGUUGAAUCUUCUAGUUUAUCUUAUUGUUGAUCUUCAGAAGUCUGAACCACUUCGAGGGAAGUAUAUUUUAUAACGUCUAAAACAAGUUCAGAUUCUUCAACCUGAGUCUGAUCCAAUUGAUUCUACAUACAGUCUUGAAACUUGACGUUCAUAGAUUCUUCCACAGACUGAGUCUUCUUGUUGAAUACUCUGUAGGCUUUGCUUGAGGUUGAGUAGCCAAGAAAAAUUCCUUCGUCUAAUUUUUCUUUAAACUUACCGAUUCGAUCAUUUGCAUUUUUCAAAACAAAAUACUUACAACCAAACACAUGAAAAUAAGAAACAUUUGGUUUCUUCCCUUUAAAUACCUCAUAAGAAGUUUUCUCUAGAAUAGGCCUCAAGAAUACUUUGUUAAUAAUAUAGCAAGCUGUAGAGACCGCUUCAGUCCAAAAUCGAGAGGAAAUAUUACUCUUAAUUAAGAGGGUUCUUGCCAUCUCCUACAAAGAUCUAUUCUUUAUUUCCACAACCCCAUUUUGCUCUGGAGUAUAUGGAGAAGAGAAAACAUGCUGAAAACCAAAUUCAUCACGGAAUUUUGCAAAGUCUUGAUUUUCAAACUCACCUCCAUGGUCUAUCCGUAUGCUUGAAAUAAUAUAUCAUUUUUCAUUCUGAACCUUCUUGGCAAAUUUUGAAAAGUAAGAGAAUACUUCAGACUUACUUGCUAGGAAGUAUACCCAAGUAAAGCAAGAGUAAUCAUCCACGAUUACUAGGCGGUAUCUUUUUCUACCAAUGCUUUGAGUUCUGGUUGGUCCAAAGAGAUCCAUAUGCAGAAGUUGCAAAACUCGAUUAGUAGAAACUUGAUUUAUAGGUUUAAAAGAACUUAUGACCGGUUUUCCCAAAACACUUGGUGUGCAUAAAUCAGACUUUUGAUAAGUCAGGUUGGGCAGUUCACGAACAAGCUUCUUGGAGGAAAUCUUAGAAAUCUACUUCAUGUUAACAUGGCCAAGUUUUUGAUGCCAAAGGUUUGCUUCAUCUUGAAUGGAUAUUAAACACUAAGAACUUUCUGGUUUUAUAUCCAAAAGAUAAAUAUUCCCAUGUCUUCGUCCAGUGAAAGAUUGAGAGAAAUCUUUACUAGUUCCUAAACAAAUGCCUUCUUGGAAAUUAAUUUUGAAUCCAGUAUCACACAGUUGACUAAUGCUGAGUAGAUUGUAAUUCAAACCUUCCACCAAGGAAACAUUGUUGAUUGUGAGACUUUCAAUCUUCACAGUUCCACAUCUAACAAUUCUUCCUUUGCUGUUUCCACAAAAAGAAACAUUUCCACCAUUUAUUUGCAUGAGCUUUAUAAAACAACUUGAAUCUUCUGUCAUGUGUCUCGAGCAGCCACUAUCCAAAUACCAUUUAAUAUUUUUCUUGAUAGUGACCUCGACUUCUUCAUCUGAGUCUGAGUUUGAGUCUAAGUCCGUCUCUGUUUCAAAGUCUGAGUUUGAAUUGGCCAUUAGACAUAUAUCCGUGUAUUCUUCAUUACUCUCCUCACAUUCAGUAUCGCUCCAUGUCUCUACUUUGAGAACCUUUUUGAAUUUCUCUAUUUUUCCUUUCUUUUUCUUCAACAAAUGACAGUUGGGUCUGAUGUGCCCCAUUUUCUUGCAUUCGAAGCAAAUCACAUCUUUGCUGGUCUCAUUAUCCAUAGUUAAUUUCUUAUGAAAUCUUUAAGUGUCCUGCUUCUUCCAAUUAAACCUUUUUCCUUUCUUGUUCAACUUCCUAAACUUCCUUAUCAUGAGUGCUAGCUCUUCAUCGUCCAAGUCAGAAUCAUCCUUAGAUUUUAAGGCAAUUGACUUCUUACCUUUGGAAUCUUCUUCCUCAUUGAUUUGCUCUACUUCAUAUGAUUGAAGUGUGCCAACCAAUUUCUCUACAGAAAGAGGCAUGAUCCUUUGGGUUUCUCUUAUUGAAGUCUUCACGUGAUUCCAGUCUUUGGAGAGUCCACGCAGCAAUUUAUUGACCUUCAUUGGUCCUGAGAUUAGUUGUCCUUGAUAUGCUAGACCGUUUACAAUCUCUGUGAAGCAACAGAACAUGUCAGUGAUGGAUUCUCCUGGCUUCAUCUUGAAGGCUUCAUACUGUCCGAGUAGGAUAUUGAUUUUUGUUUCUUUAACUUGAUCAGUUCCUUCAUAGGUAAGGUGCAACCUAUGCUAGACUUCUUUGGCUAUUUCACAAGAUGAAAUUCCGUUAUACUCAAUAGGAAAUAAAGCACAAUUUAAUGAAUAGAUGGCUUUAGCAUCAAAAGCUUGUCUAUUGGUUAUUUUCGCUUGUGUCAAUUCUCCAGCAUCUGCAACUUCCUUUCCUGAGGUUGAUAUAGCUUUGGGAAUAAUCCCUUUUUCUACCACAUCCCAUUCCAGGGGAUCUUUCGAUCUCAGGAAUGCCUUCAUCUUGUUUUUCCAAACAUUGUAUUCAUUCCCAUCAAAGUAGGAAGGUCUGGUGUUGCUUUGGCAUUCAACCAAAUCUGGAGUCAAAAUACUGCCCAUAGAUCUUUAGCUUAAAAAGUAAAAACACUUCAAUAAAUAAGCACACAAGCUCUAAUACCAAUUGAAAGGGCUAGUAUGAACACCUAGAGGGGGGUGAAUAGGUGUGAAGAAAAUUUUUAGCAAGACUUAGUAAAAGUAAAUUGCCUUUAGAAGAUAAUAGACUAAGGACGUAAUUAGCUUUAAAAAAUUAUAUAAAGCUACGAAUAAAAGUAAGGAGUUCAAGGAAAGAGAAUUAGGACACAAGGUUUAUAGUGGUUCGGCUUAGAUCAAGCCUACGUCCACUCUCCCACGCUAACAGCCCACUAGCUGGAUUCCACUAUGAAUCAAAAGAGAUUUUACAACUUAUGAUCUUCAACUUUCUCAGUGGAGAGUCUCUACUAGUCUCUCACCAAGUCUCACUAUGUGUUUCUCUCUUUUGUAUAGAACUUUGAGCUCAAUGAAUGAAAGAGCAAGGAACUAGAAAGCUUCAGACUUUGAGAUUCUUCUUUCACGCACUCUUUCGAACAAUCAUCCUUAAAUACUCCUUCAUGCCUUCACGACCAUUGGCACUCUCCAAAGGAAUUCUUCCAAUCUACCUGUUGGACAGAAUGAAUUAAGGCGAUCUCGAGUCGUUAGAUGAUUUGUGAUGAAGGCCCGUCAAUCAUGUUCACCCAUACAAUCAGGAUCUUUGGUUUCCAUAAGUAGAACCUUCCAAGUUUGCUCGUCUUUCAAAAGAUCUUCAUAUCGGAGUAGAUUGCAAUAAGAAUAAUCAAUCAUGUAGAUGCUAUAUCCAACCAUAAGAUCUUCCAAAACCAUACAAAUCGAAUCCUUGAAGAUAAUCUGACAUCUAGAUAAAUCUUCAUUCUUCGGUUUGGAAACUGUCAGUGAGGGCAAACUUUGAAUCUUAAGUCUGGCAGUCUUCAGACUUAGAUGGUAGAGUCUGGAGUUCUUUAAACUAGACUUUUGAAAACGUUUUGUCAACUUCAAAAUAGCAAAUGAGUUUUCUCCAACAAAUAUUACCUAUCCCCGACGUGUGUCGAUGGAUAUUACCUAUCCCCGACGUGUGUCAAUGGAAAUUAUCUAUCCCCGGUGUGUGUCGGUGGAUAUUACCGUCCCCGGUGUGUGUCAGUGGGCAUCACCUAUCCCGGGUGUGUGUCAGUGGAUAGAGGACCGAUGUGUGUUGGGUAAAACUACCCAUGCAGGUACUAAUAAUUAAUUAAAACGCAUGUUGAGUGAAAUUGAUUAACCGAUAUGUGUUGGUAAUUCUUGCUUGUGUGGGCAGUGAUUAAAUUGUAAUUCUUGCUCGUGUGAGCAGUGAUUGAUUUAGACGUUCCAAAUGGUGUGUGAAUUUGCUAUAUACACAUGAUUGUGAUAUGAACUAUGCUGACCUGCAGGGAGGAUCUAAGACAAGGUAAGUCUCUGUGGUUGUAUGACUGUGUGGUUAGAACACCCUAGGCAUAUUACCCUCCUAAUCGGGAUUUAGAAUGGGAACUUGCUGAGAUUUAUAUCUCAUCCCGUCGUGAGCUUAAAUUUUCAGGACCGUAGAGCGGAGAAUCUGAAGCCGAGCUGAGGUGAUCUAAAGUGUUGGUCAAAUAGGACAGUUUCUUUUUUAGAGUCAAUCAUUUGAAGUCUUGCGACUAUAGAUUUUUGUACUUGACUCGGUGUGUAUUUAAAAGCAUGUUUUGUUUGAAAAUAUGUUGUCCUGCUUUUCUAUCCCAAGAUGGUUACUAUCAGGGGAUUUGUUAUUCGCUUCUGCAUGUGCAAUAAAAAGAAAGGGUCGGCGACUCGUCUUGGGAAGUCACAAAAUUUUAUCGACCAUCGAGGGAUGGGCACGCGCUCGAGGAUAGGGCGUGACAUCCCCAUUUAGUGGUAUCAAAGCAGAUCGAUAGUUGGAGUGAUAAGGUACGAUGGGUUCUUGGGAUAGUUAGUAGGAAAGACUUUUAAUAUACUAAUGCAUGUGAGUGAUAACUGAUUGGUAGCUUGUUUGUGUGGUCACUCAGUUUCUAAUUUAGUGAGGAAUUGGAAAACAUGUUUCUAUAAAGAUCCUGUGGCAUAAGUGACUAGGAGCAAAGAACUCCUUGGAAGAGAUCGGUAGGACCUGUAUCUUAGGGUAGGAUGUCAACAAGAGUCGGUACCAGAGACAGAACACAGGCUCAGGCCAGCGUGAGUGUGAGAGUACUGCCGUAAGCCGGUACCAAGAAUGUAGUAGCACCGAGUGAUCCUAGGUUUGAUGGGAUUGUUCAAGCGCUAGUCACCUUUGGGAACUUGUUGCAUCAGUAAGCUCAGGAUCGAGCCAUCGCUGUUGCCCCCAUAUCUACCGUUGCUAGUGCUGUAACCGCUGAUGUUGCUGCACCUGUUGAGACCUAACCUGGAAUUGUGAUCGGGGAGCAAGCUACCGCAUCUGAAUCAAGAUUCAGUUCCAAUAGAGAUGAUAACCAACUAAGGAAGAGACCGAUGUCAGAAGAAAGGUAUUCCAUCCCUCUCAAUAAGAAUGGUAAGAUAGGAAAGUCAGCGUCAUGCCAAAAUGUCGUGUGUCGCUUUUGUCGAAGACGGCAUGGACCAACCUCGUGCCAUUUUAGGACUAGUGCUUUUUUUAUGUGUGACUAGCAGGAUCACCUGGCCAGAAACUAUCCACGCAAGCAAAUGGGAUCACAUAGCUGCCGCCACCACCAUCGAUGGAAUGGAAUAGAGAGAGUGCGUCGCAAGACACACAGUGGGGUACUUGGAACAGGCCUCCAGUGCAAGGAAGGGUGCAGGCUGUCACCCGAUAGGAGACAGAGGACUCAUCAAAUGUGUGCCAAGUUUGUGCAAGGAAGCAUGGGUCAGCCUAAUGUCCAAGUAUAUCGGGAGCAUGAUUUGAAUGUGGCCAGCACGACCAUCAAGCGAGGAACUGUCCGCGUAGGUCCAGGAGAGCAUAAGCACCAUUACUGCAGAUAGGGCACCACUAGGAUGGCUAAAGGAACGAGAAUGGACUGACCAUGCAUCGAUAAGGGGAAGAAUGUUUUUGGGGUGAUUUUAUUAGAGUAGCGUAGCAAAGUUGUGAUUAAGGUUGUAGAACUUUAGUUUGUUGUAAUAAAGUAGAAGGAAGAAUCACUGGCUAGAAUUGUAUUUGACUAGUUUACUUAUGUAUAACUUUGACGUCAUGUAUAAAAAGGUUUGGCUCGAUGAGCUUUUUGUUGUAAUAAAUUGUUGUUGCAAGGUAAUGUAGUCUAACCCGUUGGCGGAUGAAAGUUUCAAAUUUAUCGAAAGUCGAGAAGGACCCUCGAUCCCUUUAAAUCUCAUCGCUUGAGACAACCCGUUUGUUAGACAUGGGUUGCCAAGGUUAUUUGUUAACCUUAGUGGAUACGUUAGUUGAGGAGCCGAAGAUGGAGGACAUCACUGUACGAAAGGACUUUGCAUUGGACAGAUGUGCUGAAUUGUACAUGUGACAAAUAGUUUGUCUUCGGGAGUACUAGGGACAGAUAAAAGACUGCUCAGAAUCGCUAGAAAAGUUACGCAGAUAAGCACCAAAGACCAUUGGAAUUCCAAGUUGGUGAUCACAUUUUUCUAAAGGUGUCACCAAUGAGAGGUACUUUGCGCUUUAGUAAGAAAGGAAAGCUGAGUCCGAGGUACAUAGGUCUAUUUGAGAUUCUUGAAAGAAUCGAGAUCCUAGCAUAUCGUCUUGCAUUGCCAUCGAGGAUUGGCGCAAGUGCAUGACGUCUUUCACGUGUCGGUGUUGAAGACGUAUGAGCCUAACCCGACCCAUGUACUAAAUUUUGAAGAGUUAGGCGUGGACGACAAAGCGUCGUACGUGGGAAGCCCGAUUCAGAUUGUGAAUCGCAAGGAAUAGAUUCUGCAUACUAAGACGAUCUCGUUGGUCAAAAUGGUCUAGUAACACCACGGUACUGAAGGAGCAACUUGGGAAAGUGAAGAGUCAAUGAUACGACUGUACCCCCACCUUUUUGUUGAAAGGUUUGUAAAAGUUUAAAUUUCGAGAACGAAAUUUUUAUAGAAGGGGAAGAGUUGUGACAUCCUAAAUUUUAGGUUCUACUUUCGAUUGAAUAAGUUGGGCUUUUCAUCGACGCGCCUAUAGUUCUUUUCUCUGAGUAGGCCACUCAUGAGAUAACUAACCUAUCAGGUGAAGUCGUUAAGGAAUCUAAACGCAAUAGACUUGAGAAUUCGACUAGGAAUUGACUGUUCGAUCAUACUAGUCUGCAAGGAUUAUUACGGCACAAUUAAAAAUCAAUUAGAGACUAGAGAUAGGUCGAUUCGACAGAACCAUGUGAUUAAGUGUGGGUGAUUCCACCUAAUUGCAAAAUUCUUGUCGAUUGGCACUAGACCGAUUUUUCUGUCGUUUUCGUACCUUGUGUCCAUAUUUGAAACCUCGAGAUUUCCACGAUAACCGGGAGUCACCAAUGUGUCGAAGAUGUACUUGUGGCUUGAAAAUAAUCAACCACGGGUCAAUUGCACGAAAAAUUCCUAAAAACUACCCAAUAGAUUGGGACACGCUAAAAUCGCGCCAGAUUGAAAUUAAUCACAAAAUUGAACUCGAUUUCAGAAAUUGGAAGUUCCUUCAUGUCACAAGUCAUUUAGGAACGUCAACUCAUCUCUAAAAAAUUUCUACAAACCAAAAUUUUCAGUGAGAAAUCCAAAGUAAGGGUAUUUAGAUCGGGAAAUUCGUAGGCCCGCUUUUGGGUGGAUUUUUUGGAUUCAAGUUGAUUCAAUUGAUGAGGAAAAAUCAUGGAUUAAGUGUGGACACCUUGGCUGAUUUGUUUGGACUUCGAUUGGAUUGAUUUGAGUAAGAAUUGAAUGGAAUUUAAGAAGAAAUGUACAAAAUUCGUAGCCUUAGAGGGGUGCAACAAUUCAGCCAUGUUGGGAAGCUUCCUAAGGAAGAUUGAGGAGAGAGAAAUGGCUAAGGAUAAGGGCUGACAUGGUGGGGGCAUGUGAUGAGUGAACGGGGAUAAGAUUAAAGACUUGUGGCCAAAUGGUGGGUCCUUUUCAGCCAGCUGCUUCUUCUCCUUCCUUGGCUUCACUUUCUUCAUUGUUGAAGUGUUGAGAGCUCUAGAAAACCAAAGGAACUAGCCAAGACCAGCAGCAAGCCAGCUAAGCCCCACCUGAAGUUGUCCGAGCUCCCCCACGCCAGCCGCUGCUGUCGCGCAUCCCAGCCGUCCAGCUGAUGUUCCAUGUGCGUCUGGCCAUCCUACUAUGUCAUCGAGCUCCCUCAAGCUACCUGGAAGUCAGCUAGCCCAGCCUUGCAUGUCGCCUAGCCCCGUAGCCACCCGUCUCUGCUGUUUCCAGCCGUUCCAACUGCUGGAGUUGCUCGGUUCUGCUCCCUCAACCAGCAAGCAAAAGCUGAAGUCCCAGCAAGAUCUGGAACUUCGUGGCCUGUUUUCGAGCCUUUCCCAACCUCGUUUGGUGUCGCCACAAGCUUGUUUGUCGCUCACCUUGGUGUUGCCGUUGUCGUGGACUCAUCGAAUCGUAAAAUCAGUGAGUUUACUCACUAAACCUUGCUUAGGAGGUUAGUGACAUUCUAUAAUGGUUAUAUUAGUCUUGAAUGGAUUAGUGUUAAUCUAAUUAGUGAGAUUAGCACCAUUGUGGAUGGAUUAGUCCAGUUCAGUGGACUUUUUGCAGUUCGGAUUUCUGGACCCUCGCCGUUUGUCAUUUUUGUAGAUAGAAAUGGGUUGCGAAUUUGAGAUUGAUUCUUUCUUGUGAAAUGUUUUAGACAUCUUCAGAUAUAACAUAUAUUUUUCCCAAGAUUUUUGGGGAUUUAAAAGAAGGAGAUAUCAGCUCCGUCAUUUGCAAACAAAGACUCAGACGGUGCUGGAAAUUAUGACUUUUUCAGAUUCUAUGGGUUUUUAUCAACUCUUAGAGUUCUAAUUUCAAAAUGAUUUCUUCACAAAAUUUGUUCUCCAUAUCUUCUAGUUUAACAUGGUUAAAUUUCAGAUCAAAUGGACAAAUUUUGUAUCUCAAACCAAACUGAUUUUGGAAAAUAGACUUUUUAGAAACGGACCCAGUUUUUGGUACUGGAUCGAGCGAUUUACUGGGCCGAAUCUAAAAGGAUCUAGGUUAAGGUGUAUACAUAAAAAAUAUUUUUUUAUGUGUCAUUUACAACAUAUUCAAAUUUGGAAAUUUUUCAAACUCGUUUAAUUAGGUUUCUUGUUUUUAACUUGGAGACGCACGAAUGGCCCAGUUUCUGCCAAUUAGGACCGGUUAUGGUUUUGUGAUUGUUCUUGAUGUUGUGCUUGCUAAAUAAGGUGUAUUUAGUGAUGUGGUGGACUUGUAGUAUGCUGAUAACUUAAGUGUGAGGUCAUGAGAGGGAUUGCUCUAUGUUGGUUGUUUACUAUUAUUGCAAAAAGGUGACCUCUUGGACUAUUAAAUAGAAAAUAAAUGAGGUGUCGGGUUUAGACACCAAGUUUUAUGUGAUCAAUAAAAUGAUGAGGUUUUGUAUGAGGUGCGUGCAAAUUUUGGCGGGUUAAUUUCAAAUAUGGGACCCCGUACAAAUUUACUUCGUAAAGUUUGAAAAAAAAAAGGGUGCCAAGUUUAUUUUAUAAAGGGAGUUUUUGUGUUUUGGCUAUAUGAAAGAGGCUAAGAUUAACCUGAUUGAUUAGGUACCUACAAUGUUAGGUUAAUUAAUUAGUUCAGUUUAAUUAAUCAUAAUUUAUUUAUUUAUUUAAUUGCAUUUAUUUUAUUAUUUUGUAAAUUAUUUAAUUAUUAAUUAUUUUUUGGAAAUUAGACCGGGAUAGCUGGUGACCAGAAUUACGUGCUGAUUGCAAUGGUGUGGUUAUUUUCUACAAUUGAGUGGUAAUUUGUGCAAAUUGAGUGCUGAUUGGAUUUUUGGUAAUUUAUUCCAAAAAUUGUGAAUUUCAAUAUUUAUUUAGAAAAUCCCGGGUGUCGAGUUUUAACACCGAAAAUAGUUUUAUAUACUAUAUAAAAUAGUGGGAUUUUAAAUUGGAGGAUAUCAAUUUUUCAGGCUUGAUCCGACCGUGUACCCGCUCAAGAUAUUUUCACCGGAUGUUUUUAAUAAGAAGAAAACAUGCCAAGGUCGUUAUCUUAAUUGAGGCAUGUGACUGCAAAGCACAAUGUCCUUGACCGGAAUUGAAUGAUCGUGUGCUAGUUAAGAGAACCCUUCCUCAGUGUGUGUCGGUGAAAAUUAUCUAUACCCAGUGUGUGUAGGUGGAUAUUACCUAUCCCCAGCGUGUGUCGGUGGAUAUUACCUAUCCCCGAAGUGUGUCGGUGGAAAUUAUCUAUCCCCGGCGUGUGUCGGUGGAAAUUAUCUAUCCCCGGUGUGUGUCGGUGUAUAUUGCCAUCCCCGGUGUGUGUCGGUGGGCGUCACCUAUCCCCUGUGUGUGUCAGUGGAUAGAGGACCAGCGUGUGUCGAGGAAAACUGCCUGUGCGGGUACUAAUAAUUAAUUAGAAUGCAUGUUGAGUGAAAUUGAUGGACCAAUAUGUGUCGGUAAUCUUGCUUGUGUGAGCAGUGAUUAAAUUGUAAUCCUUGCUCGUGUGAGCAGUGAUUGAUUUAGACGUUCCAAAUGGUGUGUGAAUUUGCUAUAUAAACAUAAUUGUGAUAUGAACCGUGCUGACCUGUAGAGAGGAUAUGAGACAAGGUAAGUUUCUGUGGUUGUAUGAUUGUGUGGUUAAGACGCCCUAGGCGUAUUACCAUCCUAAUCGGGGGUUAGAGCGUGAACUCGGUGAGAUUUAUAUCUUACCCCGUCGUGAGCUUAAAUUUUCAGGAUCGUAGAGUGGAGAAUCUGGAGCCAAGCUGAGGUGAUCUGAAGUGUAGGUCAGAUAUGACAGUUUCUUUUUUAGAGUCAAUCAUUUGAAGUCUUGUGACUGUAGACUUUUGUACUUGACUCGGUGUGUAUUUAAAAGCAUGUUUUGUUUGAAAAUCUGUUAUCCUGCUUUUCUAUCCCAAGAUGAUUAAUGUCAAGGGAUUUGUUAUUCACUUUCACAUGUGCAAUAAAAAGAAAGGGUCGGUGACUCAUCCUGAGAAGUUGCAAAAUUUUAUUGACCACCGAGGGAUGGGCACACGCUCAAGGAUCGAGGUGUGACAAAAGGUUAGCUAAAGGAAAACUCACAAAACUGGACACAACAAAAAAAACGAACUCUAGUUCCAUGGACUUACCAUCAUCGACUAUCUUUGCCAAUCAAAUGAUACAUAUCUUAUCCAUCUCUCUUGAACCUCGGGCAAUCCUCAACCAUGAGUCGACAAGAUUUUGGCACACCCAGCACCCUCUCCAAUGAUUCACAUCUCCAGAAUCUCAAAUGUUUCAAAUUCUGUAGAUUAGAAAGAUCAAAUCCAUUUAAUCUUUUGAUUGAAUUGCAGGACCAGAUAGACAAAUCCUGCAAUGAUUUCAAUUCUCCCAAACCCCGAAUCUCAAUUAGCUGAGGCAAUAGGUGCGGGAACAAACACUGGAUCUCCUUCAAACAAGGCAGAACGGGCAGCGUCUUCAGCAAUGGACAGUCUAUCAUCCGUAAUUCAUUGAAUUUCCCUAGCUCUCCAAGCACCUCGAAUCGAAUCUCUCUCAACGAAUAUCUAUAAAUAGACAGCUCCAACAAAUUCUCUAAGUUGGAAAAGACUGACCAAUCUAUCGGUGACUGGACAUCCCAUAACGACAAUUUUUUAAGGCUGGAUGGGAGCCCAAUAAGAGAUUGGGGCUCGACACAACUUAUGUCGAGGUGUUGUAGCUGAGAGAGGGAACUGAAAUCGGUUGGAGGCAAGGCCAUUUUUCCAACGUGGAGGGUCAUUCGUUCCAGAGCAAGUAGUCUCACGAUCCCCUCUGUGUUAAGUUCUUCAAUUGAAUAUCCAAUUAUCGUAAGGUCAACUAAAUUGGUUAGGUUUGAGCAGUCAGGGAUUGUGGUCAUCGAAUUCAAUGUAAGCCAUAAAAAAGUUAGACUCUUGGGAAGCUCCGGCAACUGUUGGAUUGAAUCACAGGACAUUAACCAAAGAUGUUGAAGAUUUGUAAGCUGAUUGAUCGUUGUGGGCAAUCCACUAAAGCGACCUUUGGAUAAGUCUAGAUAUCUCAAUGAGGAUAGUGCCCCGAUUUCACUUGGAAUUUCCUCCACCAGAUGUUCAGAGCAAGCAUAUAAAUGUUCCAGAUUUUCCAACAUUCCUAUGGUUUUCGGAAGUUCACUUAUGCAACUAUCAUCGAGAUUUAGUACCUUCAACUUUAUGAGAUUUCCAAUACAAUCAGGUGAGCUCCUGAUUCUUGAAUAGCUCAGAUCCAACUCAACCAAUGAUUGGAGCCUCCCAAUUGAGUCUGGUAGCUUUUCUAGAUAGGAAUUCGUGAUGCGUAAAACUUUUAACCUUUCAAGAUUUCCAAUAGAAUGAGGUAAUUCACUAAUUUUUAAAUAUUGGACAUCUAGCUCAAGUAGUGACUCCAAUUGUCCGAUAGAGUCGGGAAGCUUUUGAAGUUCCUUGCAUGGCAAGAUUAGAGACUUCACCUUUGCUAAAUUGCCAAUCGAGUGAGGCUUCCUUGAGGGUGUCCGUUCUAUUCUUAGCACUGUCAAAGAUUUUAGACCGCCGAUGGACUCCGGUGGCGACUCAAUAGCUUCACUCCUUAUCUCUAGGUAAUCAAGAUGUUGUAAAUUGCCGAUGGACUUGUCAAUCUUUCUUAGUUGAAUGCAUCUAAGAAUCAAUUUCUCCAGCUGCGAGAUUGUGGAGAACUUGGGCAUCUUUCUAAGGAAUGGACAGUCCUCGAGCUGUAGGAUUUUCAAUUGUUUUGCUACCUAUAAAGCAAUUGAGUAGACACUCAGAAAAGAGGAAGAGUGAAUAUAAUGCAAAAGGAUGUCAUGAGAUCAUACCAUGAUUUGACACCAUCCUCCCCAAUCUUCAGUAACGUUAUUCCCAGAUAACAUGAGAAUCGUUAAGUUCUUCAAUCCAAAGUUGCUAGCUCGGAAUUUUGAAGGGCAAUUGCUCCAAGAGAGCCAUCUCAGAUUAAAGAAAACAUUCUUAAAGUCUCCUUCAAAAUUUCCAUGGUCCAAUUGAAGGAACCUAAGGUUGACCAAGCCCAUAAAUUGCUUGCGCUUAAAUCUAUACGUCUUAUUCGGGCUUGGUGUACCAAGAUUGAGUGCCACUAUGUCUUUGGUUCCCUAGAAAACAAAAGUAGCAACCAAUGAGUACAUAUGUCACUUUGACUCGAAAUUAGAUAAUAAAAAAGGUGGCGACGCUAAUGGAUGCAUUGGAAAACAUUUAGAGGUCAAGAUUACCAUUUCUGUCUGCACUACAUGGAAGGCAUCCUUGGGAGACCACAAUCUGCUACCCUUCAUAUGGAUUUCGCCACUUUCUAGAUGGACGAUACUCCUUCCAAGGUGUCUAAGUUGGUCGUGCAUCAAUAGUUUAUUAUCGUUGGAUAUUUUUAUCAAAGACAUGCGUUUGAGGAUAUUGACCUCGAUUUCGGUCGAAUACCCAAAAAUCGCAUCCCAAUAUUUAACUACAGUUGUUUUCUCUUUGUUGAAGCAAAAACAUGCGAUAUCAAGAUAAAUUUGUUGUUGGUUAGAAUCCAAUGCUUCGUAGCUUAUCAUCAACUUCUUCUUGACAUCCUCAUUCAUCACCUUCUUUAACUUACAUAGGGCAACUUCCCAUGUUCUUCGGCAUUUUCCACGGAGCGUGGAACCCACAACAUCGAGAGCUAACGGAAGUCCUCCUAGUGCAUUGACUAGCUUUUCUGUGAUAUCCAUGUAACUAGGCGGAGGCUUGGCACAUCCCAAGGCACGCUCACAGAAAAGUUGAAGAGCAUCAUGUGAAUUCAUCUCCAACAUAUCGUAGAAUGAAAAAUGUCCACUAUUAGAGAUUGGGAGAUUGUCAUCCUCACCUUCCUUAACCAGGAAUUCAAUAUUUCUUGUUGUUAUGAUGAUUCUACUACCCCCACCAAACCAGUUGGGCUCACCUGCAAGCCUCAUGAUUUGGUCCCGGUUGUUGAUGUCAUCAAGAACAACAAGGACCUUCUUGCCAAGAAACCUUGUCUUGAUCACUUCAUCAAUGAAGAAGGGGUUUGUGCAACUAAGAUUGAGAACGUCAAACAACAAUUUCUUUUGUAAGCCUAUUAUAUCAUGAGUUCGAACAUCUUUAAGAAAACAGCAAUGAUCUCGAAAUUGAGGGUAGAUUUCCCGGAAGACGGCCUCAGCUAGUGUCGUUUUUCCGAUGCCACCCAUACCAUGAAUCACAAUAAACCGUACAUCAAAAGAUCCUACAUCUAAUAGCUUCAUAAUGUGAUCCAUUCGAUCCUUAAUUCCCACCAAAUGAUUAGACAUGUCCAUCUGUCUUGUCCAUAGCAAAUUUGAAACCUCUUCCACCAUGAGGUUUGUAAGUUUAUAUAGGCUGCCACAUACAUAACAUACAAUCAUCUCAGAUAAAAAAAAAAAUCACAUAUGGGAAUCUAUGCCAGCAUAACGUGUCACUGGAAGGUUAUCAUCAAAUUCAAAGUAAUUGACUUUGAAAGCAACCAGCAUGAAAUGAGUGGUCAUUCAUGCUGCGAGCCGUUUGCCACAAAAAAGGAAAAAAGAAAAAAAUGAAAAAUGAAAGCUGCUACUGUCGGGAUUCUUUGGUCCGGUAAAUGGUAGGAAAAAAGUUAUUUCAUGACGAAGGUCUAAUUGGGCUUUGACUAGAAUUCCUCGGUGAAUCCGGUCUUUUUUAUCUCUUCAGCCACUAAGGAUGAGUUUGAAGAUUGACAUAAAAGAAAAAGAUUUUCUCACCAGGUAGUUACCUGGAAUUUAGGAAACAAGAAUAAAAGCUCAAAAGCGUUUUUCUUAAUGUACCCGAGUAAUGGGGUAGUAACCGAAAAUGAGGAACACUUUCAGAGUAUUUAUCAGCCUUCAUUUGAGUUGCCAACAAUCAUUUUUCCGAAUAAGCUACCAAUUGUUUAACUUAGCAAUUUCAUCGGUCACAUUAAAUUUGUUGGUAAUUUAAUUGGAAUAAGUUGGUAAGUAACUCAAAUUAUGCUUGGUAUUUUGAUAAUUGAGUUCCUAACCUCAGAAUAUUUGUGAACUAUGCUAAUCAAAGCGGGUCCGUUGAUAACAAAAGUUUGUUACAAAAGGUGGGAAUUUUCAACAAAUAAAUAAACAUUGAUAAGUGGCUCACAUAGGAAUGGGUGACUUAAAUUAGUCAGUAACUUAAUCAGAGGUUAGCUAGUAGGAAACUCAUAUUUGAGUCAGUAAUUUGUUUCACGUAUUGGUAAUUUUGAAAUGUGAAGUAAACAAUUCAAAUAAGAGAUGGCAGGUUUUAUAAAAUUUGUAAAUCGGCAAACGAUCAAAAAAAAUUUAGUAAAUGACUCAAAUAAACACCGGUCACCUUAAAUUAGUUUGUAAAAUAAUCAAAAAGUAGUUGGUAAGACACAAACUAAGGUUGGUAGCUUCAUAUAAAAAUUGACAACUUUAAAACUAGGAUGGUCACGAAGCUGAGGAAAUCCGCACCCUGUGGUACCCAAUCUGGGGCCGUGAAUAGGUCAAAGCAAGAGAAACGACCAAAGUUUUUUAAAAGCAUUUUGCUAGCUGAAAAGUGAGCUGCGAAGUUAAGAGAUUUAAAUUUUUACUUUUCACACAUAUGUUGUCUUACUAUUUCAUCAACUCUUAGAUUUUCGUAAAGAUAUUUUUUUGCAUUAUUGAUUAAUUAAUUAAUUAAGUUGAUAUAGCUUGAGACUAUUGUUGCCAAAACUUGGGAUAAAAAGUGAAAAGUCAAUUUGUGCAAGAAACCUUGCUCCCUGAGCAAAAUUCCUGCCUCCCUCACUCCGGCCGAUCCAACCAUACAUCACAUAAGAUUGGACAGCGCCAAACUGAAAGUUCUUAUUUUGGAAAAAGUAUCAUAAAAUAUAAUCUCGAAAUUGAUGAAAUGAAAAUAAACUUAAUGGAAGAAGCUAAUAAUACCGUAAUCUUUUAGAUUCCAUCCUUUAAUUCUGACAACCUCUCUUAAAGCCUCCUCCCACUACUUUGCCAUAUCCUUCCCAGAGUCACUGGGUCAAUCCCAAAGGGGUCAGCUCUAUCAUUUCUUCCUCUUCGCUGUUAAGUUUUAGAAAAGUAUCCCAAAGACUUCCUCUAUGUUUCCUGCGCAUUUUUUCGUCUCCCUCGGGUACAUCAUACACUAACAAGUAUGAACUAACUAUAACCAUUAUUAGCUCGGACGCAUAAAGAAGCUCCUUACUAAGCUCUCCUAUUUUGGGCCAAUUCUUCCUCAGCUUUCAUUAGUAUAACAAAAGGAAAGGAUAUAAUAUUAAACUCGAUCUAAUUUUUCAGGCAAACAUCAUAGGCAUAAGGUCAAGAAAAAUGUAACACGUCUUUAACUUUAUGUACAGAAUGCAAUUGAAGUUAAGAAACUUAAAUAUUUUUAUUUUUUGCACAUAUAUAGUCAUACUAUAUUAACACAUCUUAGAUGUUUAUGGAUAUCUUGGUUUUUUUCCAUUAUAUAUUAAUCAAUCAAGUUGAUAUACCUUAACAUUAAUUGUUAUCAAAACUUGGUUUUAAAAAUGAAAAGUCAAUUUGUGCAAGAAACCUCGCCCUCUGAGCAAACUUGGUUUAAAAAAUGACAGAUCAUUGCGUCAAAUCCAACCAAACAUUACAUAAGUUUGGACAGCAGCAAACUGAAUCUAACUAUUCUCUGAAGGAAUAAGAAAUCGAAAUUGUCAAUAAGAAAAUAAAGUCAAUGGAGAAGCAAACAAUACCCGUAAUCUUUUAGUUUCUUUCCACUAAUUCUGGUAACAUCUCUUAAAGCCUCCUCCCACUGCUUUGUUAAAUCCUCCCCAGAGUCAUUCUUGUGCUUUUGGAAGGCAUCCUUAUAUAAAUCGGUCUUAAGCUUGACAUCGUCCACGUCCACAUCGUAGAAGAUAGGGAGGAUCACUUUCUCAUCAUUAUCUCUCGAUAAUUCCACUAUGAGUGCCAGCUCACGGAGGCACCACUUACUUGAAGCAUAAUCUUUGGAGAAAAUCGGGAUGUAAAUUCUGGAGUCAUUGAUUGCUUGCAAGAGGCCGCCUUGAAUCUCUUUGCCAAAUCGGAGCUCUUCAUCAUCUUUAAAAGCGCGGAUCCCCGCAUGGAUCAAGUCAUUGUAAAGACAAUCAACGAUGGUUAAGCGGGUGUCAGGUCCUCUGAAGUUCAAGAACACCUCAUAAACCUUCCUUGAUCCAUCAUCACGGCUACUACUUGCUGAAGCUGUCAGAGCGGCCUCUUCUCCCUCCCGCUUUCCCUUCAUUCUGAGAGGACGAUGGAGUGAUUGAUCCCUGAAUUGAGUCCGCCCGGUAACUCGGGAAGUUUGAGCCUGAUCCUUGCAACAACUUGACGAAGCAACGGAGUGAAAUCGCUCACUUCCACUGCGUUUCCUGGGAAAUCACCUGCGGUUUUCCGUUAUAAGCAAACAAAAGCAUUCAGGCUAAGUUGAGUAAAUAAUUGAUAGAAGUGGUCGAAGAGGAGGAGGUGGUCUUGGAAGUAUAAGUUGUGUGUUAAUGAAUGGUUAAAUGGUGGAUGUAGCUGGACAACUUAAAAUGAGUUUCUCUUGCCAUUGCUUUGGUACUACGCGUCGUUUGCCUGGAAGCCACCUGCAUCCUUCCUUUGUAAAUAAAAGAAUCCAAAAAGCCAUUCAUACUCGUAAUUAGUCGCUUUUGCAAUAAAGUUACAUGAACUUGAAUAUAGACCAUUAUUACAAGUUAUGAUUGCACUUCGAUGUUAGAUUGAGCGGUAACAAAAUAAAAUUGCUCGCGGAUUGAAAUUGUACACCAAAUAAAAUUGCACGCUGAUAUUUAAAUAAUGUUGAUUCUGUCGGGAUUUGAUUCGUCUCUAUCAUUUGUUUUUGGUUGAUUUAGCAUUGGACUCAUAUCGCUUAAUUGGACGUUGAUCUCUUAUGGAAAUUUCCAAGAAAAUGUGGUCCCUCCUUCACAAUAAUUCCAAUAAAGUUGAGAUUCUUCAAACAUUUUAUUCUCGAAAGUUUGACUUUUAUGAUUUUUUGAUAAUAUCAACCGUAGUUUCCCAGUAUUUUUCAGGGCCUGAAAUUUCAAAAUGCUCUUUGCCGAUCUUCCAAGUGGGUUGCCAAUCUCCAAACGGAACUUGUAAGUAUUGACAUCUUUCUUUUAUGCAAUUUGAGUUUCACUUUGCAAACUACUUGUACAAAAUAGAUCCCUUUCGUCAAGCUAAAAGGGAUCUAAGCAGGAGACUUUAGCUGAUUCUUUUGUGGUAAUUGCGAAGAAGAUACAGUUCCUCCUCCACAAGGAGAUCAACAAAGUUGAGAUUUUCCAAACAUUUUUAAUCUUGAAUGAGGGUCUUUAUGCUUUUUGAUGAUAUCACCUGAGUUUCUAGGUAUUUUCCAGGUCCUGGUCCUGAAAUUGCAAAACACGCCGUGAGUGUGUGAACACAUGAACAAACAAGUCUAUUUGAUGUGGAAUUUGGCUAUGUACAAACGAAUUGACUAGACAAACAUGCUUAAGUGCUUUUUCUUUUGCUUUUGCUUUUGCUUUCACCAGAGGGUCGGACAAAGACUUGAGGAAAGACUUGCGUCUAUCUUAAGCAAAGAGAACUAAAGUUCAUCUUUGUUUCUUAAGGAAAUUCACUCUCUCUCCUAACUCAUGUAGACUUCAUUGGGUUAGACUUGCCAAUACUCGGAUCUAUUAAUCGGGUCCAUCAAAAAUCGUUAAUCACAUAAAUAAUACAUGGAUUACCUACAAAUUAAUGGAUGUGAUCACAGUUGGUCUGCAGACCAUGAUCCAUGCAACUAUUUCUAUUCCAUGAUUAGUUGAACCAUCAAUACCUGUCAUAAUGUAAACUGCAGUAAUUUGUAAAAACUUGAAAAGCUUUGUUUUCACAAUUGAGAUCCAUUAUUUUGCGAUUUAACAAUUGCAGGCCCUCGUAGGUUGCUUUUUGGAAAGAUAGUAGAUGUUGGAAAUUUGUUUGUUAAAACAAAAAGAGUGCAUUUUCCUUUUCCUACAUAGGAAAAGUAGGAGGAAGUGGGCUAAUUAAUAAGUGUGGGCCUUCCUUUGUGUACUUAAAGGAAUGAUUGAGUGGGGCUAGACUCCACCAUACCUGCGUGAAGGUGCGCGAUUUUGGUGCACUUAGCACUUGGCGCGCCCGCGGUUUAAUUAGCACUAACCCCUUUAUGUUAUUAAUUUUUAAUAAAUUCAAAGGUUGCCUUUUAUUUUUGAGAAUUUCAGAAAUAAAAUAUAAAAAUGAAAAUUCGAAAUUUUAUCUAUUUAAAAAAAACUAUUAUUCAGAAUUUUUUAUUUGUGUUUUUUCGAGACAACCUUUGGAAAAGGUACUUAUUCAGUUUGCAAUUUUCUCGAAUGAUUGCAAUUGUUCGUUUUUCAACUUCUUCUGAAUGGACGCAUUUGUUCAAUUGGACAAUUUCCGAAAGGACGCGUUUGUUCAAUUUUUCACAAUUUUUCACGAAGAGUUGCAUGUGUUUUGAGACUGUUUUAUAUAUAUACUCGUCAUUUUUCGGAAGAACGAGAGUGAUCAUUUUCAUCUUUUCGAGCUUUCUGUCUAAAGAAAACUACGGCCAUUUUUUCAAUUGUUUCCUAGAGAUCCUAGAGAAAUACUAGAGUUGCUAUCUAGUAUUCUCAUCCGAGACUUUGUUGUAUCCUGGAGGAUUUUUGCCGGUGACCAUUAGCAACGUUGUGGGGCAAAUAAAUCCUUAAAAAAUGUGAUAUCACGCCUCAAAGUCCGAUCUGAGUACUCUAAAUAUCCGUCUUCAUUGUUCAACCAAAUUCGAAGCCAUAUUUUCCCAACAAUUCUAAGGAUUUAUUUUGCUACAAUGGAGUUGGAGACAAUCAAAGUCAUGAAUCAAGAUAUGGUUAAACUGGACCGGUUCGAUGGGAACAAUUUUGCUCGCUGGAAGGACAAGAUGAUGUUCUUGCUCACUACUCUGAAGAUUUCCUACAUACUGGAUCCUAACUUGGCGCCUAUAGAAGAUCCUAAGCCUACUGUUAAAGGAGGACAACCAAGUGCGGAAGCCAUUGAGAGGAUUAAUAAGGAAAAGAAGAAACGCGCAGAGGAUGAAUUACUUUGUUGAUGACACAUUCUGAAUACACUCUCUGAUUGUCUGUACAACUUAUUCACUGAAAUGAAGUUGGCUAGAGAAAUUUGGAAUGCAUUGGAAUUCAAGUACAAAGUGGAGGAGCAAGGUACCAACAAAUAUCUAAUUGCAAAGUAAUUUGAUUUCAAGUUUAUUGAUACUAAACCCUUACUAGAACAAGUCCAUGAAUUGCAAGUGCUUGUGAAUAAGAUUCGUGCCCUCAAGAUUGUUAUUCCAGAAGCUUUUCAAGUUGGAGCAAUUAUUGCGAAAUUGCCUCCAAGUUGAAAAGACUAUGGAAAAAGGCUGAUUCACAAGUCAGAGGACUUUACUUUGGAGCAAAUACAGAAACAUCUUCGCAUUAAGGAAGAGUCACGUUUACGUGAUAAUCUGUUUUGUACAAUUCCAAGGUGAAUGCUCUAGAUAAAAAAAGGGAAAAUCGGCCAGAACUUCAAAGUAAAAAGCGGGCAUAAAUUUAAGAGAACACAAAAGAAGAAAAAGGGUUGCUGUUUUGUUUGUGGCAAACAAGGACACUACGCCAAGGAAUGCAUUCACCGCAAGAGCAUUUCAAAGGACAAGUAUGUUCCAACAGUGAAGGCAGAUGCAAAUCUGGUUGAAGAAAAUUAUGUAGCCAUGAUUUCAACCAUGUUUUCGAACAUAAAAAUUUCUGAAAUUAAUGAUGCGAUAGCUAUGGUUUCUGAAAUCAAUUCUACCACUGUCUAAUCUGGUUGGUGGUUAUAUUCUGGAGCAACAGUCCAUGUGUGCAAGGACAAGUACAUGUUCAAGCAAUUUGAAGAGAUUGUUGACUCAAAUAUUCAAGAGAUCCUAAUGGCGAAUAAUGCUCUUGCAAAGGUUGCUGGAAAAGGUACAGUGGAGAUAGACUUCACUUCUGGAAAGAAAAUAACUCUUCUUAAUGUGUUAUUUAUACCCAAAAUUAGGAAGAACCUAGUUUCUAUUGAUUUACUUUGUAAGAGGGGGUUUCGGGUUUUGUUUGAAUCCGACAAGGUUAUCCUAUCGAAGAAUGGGCUGUUUGUUGGAAAGGGUUAUGCCAAUGAUGGCAUGUAUCAACUGAGUAUCAAUAAUAAUGUUGCUAGUUCUGCUUAUAUUGUAAUUAGAGGUGCUUGUCAAAAGCUUUCUAAAAUACCCAAUUUGCCCAAUUCAGAUAGCCAGAUCUCAAUAUAUCAAGUUUUUCUAAGCACGGCUGUACGAUCUUGAGGUGUCGGAAACUUUAUGAUUUUAUCUGAUAGAUUAGUUCAACCAUAAAGAUUAUAUCAUAAGCUUUCCAACACCAUCAAAAUCACAAAGAUCGGAAUUUUUAUGACAAAAACAUCAGAACUUUUUGCCAAUUUCAAACUGGCCUGACCGCCCAAAAUCCGCAAUCUGAGGUGAACCGCAUUUUAGCUAAAUUGAAGUCACCAGCUUUCCAUGGGGGAAAAAUCGGUUCAAUUGUACCUUAUACGAAAAAGUCAUGCUUGACCAAAUUCGGUCAAAUUUAGGUAGAAUAUGGGUAACAUUAUUUUUCGAGUUUUUCGAAGAAAAAAUGUCGACGCUUCGUGGAAGAAGACAAUUACUGCAAUAUGUACUACUUAUUUAUAAGACGCAUUUCUAUACUGUUUGUUGUUUAAUUCAAUUAUUUCGGCUAAGUUUAAAUUAAUUGUUUUGCCUAAGCCUACCUCUAGAUAAAAUCAUUUUUUUUUUCGUAUUUGAAGAUGUUAAAUUUGGACUUUAUCUAUAAAUAGCACUGGAAAAUAACACAUUGCACAGGAUGAUAUGUAAAUAAUUUGUAAGGUCAUUGGGCCACAUGGCAACACAAUGCCAAAUUUCAUGUCACGUCAUAAGUAUAGAGCUAUAGAGAAGUGUCUCGUGAACAGUAUAGGAGCAACCGCUCUCUCAACUUUGGUUUAACUCUACAUAAUAGAUUGGGCAAUUUUAGUUGGCUAACCUUCUUCAAAGUCUAUGUACUUUGAUUUCACCUAAUGGUUCAGAAAAUUGAAAGAUAUUGGUUAAAGUUUUCUAUGUUCUUUAAUUUUAGGUCCAUGCUAAUGUUAAUCUUUUAUGCAAUUUGAGUUUCACUUUGCAAACUACGUGUACAAAAUAGAUCCCUUUCGUCAAGCUAAAAGGGAUCUAAGCGGGAGACUUUAGCUGAUUCUUUUGUGGAAAUUGCGAAGAAGAUACAGUUCCUCCUCCACAAGGAGAUCAACAAAGUUGAGAUUUUCCAAACAUUUUUAAUCUUGAAUGAGGGUCUUUAUGCUUUUUGAUGAUGUCAACCUGAGUUUCUUGGUAUUUUCCAGGUCCUGGUCCUGAAAUUGCAAAACACGUCGUGAGUGUGUGAACAAACGAACAAACAAGUCUAUUUGAUGUGGAAUUUGGCUAUGUGCAAACGAAUUGACUAGACAAACAUGCUUCAGUGCUUUUGCUUUUGCUUUUUCUUUCACCAGAGGGUCGGACAAAGACUUGAGGAAAGACUUGCGUCUAUCUUAAGCAAAGAGAACUUAAGUUCAUCUUUGUUUCUUAAGGAAGUUCACUCUCUCUCCUAACUCAUGUAGACUUCAUUGGGUUAGACUUGCCAAUAGUCGGAUCUAUAAAUCGGGUCCAUCACAAAAUCGUUAAUCGCAUAAGUAAUACAUGGAUUACCUAAAAAUUAAUGGAUGUGAUCACAAUUGGUCUGCAGACCAUGAUCCGUGCAACUAUUUCUAUUAUAUGAUUAGUUGAACCAUCGAUACCUGUCAUAAUGUAAACUGUAGUAAUUUGUAAAAUCUUGAAAACCUUUGUUUUCACAGUUGAGAUCUAUUAUUUUGCGAUUUAACAAUUGCAGGCCCUCCUAGGUUGCUUUUUGGAAAGAUCGUAGAAACAUCCAUGUAACCACCGAAGGGCUUUAUUUCUUUUUUCUUCUUUUUGUGAGGAAAAUUUUCUUUCUUAUAAGUGCCAAGCCCAAAAUUUCAACUUUGUCAUGGUUAAAUUGACUACAUUUUGCUAAUGAAUUGAUGAUGACAUCUCUAAUUAAUCGAAGUCACUGAACCUUUCUCUAUCUCCAUUGAAUGUGGUCUAGAUUUACUCUCCAUUUCUGAAGAUUAUUCACACAUGCACAUACACAAAAUGUGAUCAUGUCCUGAACAUGUUAUUAUGUCCUUUUAAAGGUGGGCACCAAGUUUGAAAUCUAAUAUUAUGCAAUUGUACAGAGACUCACUUCACACACGUGCAUACAGAAAUUUAAAAUGUUUUAUUGAUAUUGACGAUUAAUUUCUUGUAAAAAUUAAGCUUCUAAUACAGACGCCUAAAUUUGAGGGAAAAAAAAAAAGUGAGAGGGAAGAGGCUUGCAAAUCAAUUAGAAUUGCAUCCAAUUUUUCACUAUCUCAGAUUUGUAUUUUAAUUGAAGUUAUGCAAUCCAAUCAUUGCACGAACCACGGAAUCCCAAUCUAGACGCCUGUCUUAAUGCCUUUUUCCUUCUAGAUAUAUAUAGAAUUAUAAUAACAUAAGAUGAUGUAAGCAGUCUGCUCCACAAGCAGACGAUUUGGCGUCACCUCUAAGGAAGCAUAAUGUAUCCCCUUCAAUCUUUUUAUCCGUAUUGUUUCUGGUGAAAAAUCUCUUCCUUGAUUUCUAGUCUAGAAAACAGCAGGCCGUUAUUGCUUUUGUUCUGCUCAUUAAAGGGUUGGCUUUUCUCAGCCAGGGCUAGGCUUCCACUCUGCUUUUGCUAAGCCAAACAAAACAGAUCUUCUCAUAUUUUAUCCAGAUAAUUGGCAUGAUCAAUGUUGCCUUUGUUCCACCUACUACUCUUUUUCCUUUGUCAUGGCAAAAUCGUCAAAUGUGAAAUUGGUGCAAAGUCGCCUUUUGCGCCCGAGAGAUAUAGAUCAACCAUGACGCAUGGUGCACUGUUAAAAGCCAAAUGUUGGUGCAAUCACACGGAAUUUUUCUAAAUCUACUAAUGACGUCAGCACUUAUCAUCUUGGUAUAUUAUGAAUAAAUAUCGUGAAUAGGAGCUAACAUUCUUUUUACAUGGAAAAGAAAAUAUUAUCUCAUCGUGACUAUAAUUUCCCCAUUAAAUUUUGGGCGGCAUCAUUUCCACCCUAUAUGACUGAAUCCAUCACAACUAGAAAGGCUAAAUUGCUUUCAAUCAUUCAAUUACAAUUUAAAGUGACAGCCACAUUCUUUCUUUUUCCUGUUUUUCUAUUUCAAUUAAGGAUCUAGUUGCCAUUACCAUGCAUUUCACGUGUUUUAUUUUUCUUAGUGUAUUAAAGAAUUUUUUUAGUGUAUCCUUAAAUAUUAUUAUAAUGUAUUACAUGCUCUAUGUAAAAGUCCCUAGUAAAAAAAAGUUAAUUAUUUAAUAUAGAAACUUGAAAGUCUCUUGUCAUCAUUGCUCUAAUAAGAACUCAUUUAGUUUUUCUUCCUCUUAUCUCAAAGCUAACUUUCUUGGUGAAUUAUUUUCUUUUAAGUUCAUUAAUCUAAACUAUAUGUCAAGUUUUUUUAUUUAUUUACUAUAUUAAAGAACUUAUCUUUUAUCCUCACUAUUGGUGAGAUGCUUUUACAUAGAGGUAAGGCAUUAUGGUAAUAUCUAGGAAUAUACUAAAAACAUUGUGCAUAAUGAAACAUCUUGAUAUUUUUUUCGUACACACUUUGUAGAUGAUAUUAAUUUCUGUCAAUUGAAAAAAUGAUAUUUUAUCAACAUUUUUAAAAAAUUUCUUAUUUUAUGCAAUUUUUCAAUUUAAUCAAAUUUUAUCUUUAAAGUUUUCCAUUGGAGAAUGUAAUUGUGAUUCUAUUUGGGAAAAUCUUUAAAGGAUAUAUUUUUUUUAUGUGAUUAACCUUAUAUAUAGAACAUAACUGAUAAGAAAUAAUUUUUUUUUUUAAUUUAACGAUAAGACGGAGUUUGAUGGGGAUAUGCACAACAAAAUUGAAGAUCUGUAAACAAGUGAUUGUGUUAAAAAAAAAUUAGCUAUAUAAUAUUUUUUUUUCUAGAUUCUAUUGGACAACUUAUCCUUAAAUUUGCUCGACAACUUGGAAAAGAACUGGGUUUCUUGGAAAUUAUUUUUUCAACAAAACUAAUUUUUAUGGUAGAAAAAUCUAACGGUGAAAAACUAGACAUUUGAAAUUCUUAAUUCUAGUAACUGAAUCCUACAUUGACAUACCAAAACUAAUAAAAAAUAAGAAAGUUCAUGAAUUUGGGGCUACCAAUUAAAUUGCAAUUGAAUGAUUUGAAGUAAUUUUGUCUUUUUAGUGAAAAUUGGGUAAAUUUAAUUAUACAUGGGAUGGAUUUAUCCAUCAACCUUUUGUUGUGGCCAGGUGAGAUUUGGUCAUCACUCAUCAAUAAAAUGUGUGCAACUUGUGAAAUAAAUGCAGGGAUUAUGGUAAGAAUGCAUAAAUUGCUGGUGUGGGGAUAAACUUUGCUAUAUUUGCUCUUUGAAGAUACAAACUUCUGAAGAAUCAAUCCAUAAUUGGUUAAACAACCAAAACGUCCAAAUCACCACUAGAUCACAAACAACAUUAGCCGGAUCAUCAAAUGCAUCAUUCUUGCAACAAAAAUCUCUUGCAAUAGCCCCACCUUGCUACUGCACAAUCAUCACAUAAAUAUGUUGCUGUAAUGGAGAAAAUCAUGGAGUCCACCAACAGUGAAAAGCUCCUACCAAUCAUACUAUAGCGGAGGUACAAAAGAUGAUGGCUGGUAUCGGGUCAGUCGAUCUGUUAGAAGAAGAACAAAAUCACAAAGAGAAUAUAGCAGCCAGAAACUAUGGAAACAUGUGCAUUAAUAUUGUUCCCCGUCUAAUCACUAUAGCAGAACUAUUGCUUACUUUGACUUACUUUGACUGUGCCGGCAGGCUCUAGUAUUGGCAUACAAGAUGUUGUUCACCAUCAAAUCAUUGCAACAAAAUUAUUACUUACUUUCAUAGUACAAUCACGUGCAAUUACUUUUGUUUUGCUCAUUAUAUUCAAAAGAUUUUCUUUUGUCAGUUGGAGUCCAUUCCGCUUUUGCUAAGCCCAACAAAGCAAAUUCCCUUAUAUUUAAUCCAAUGUCACAUGAAGUGGCAUGAUCAAUUGAUCUUUGAUCAGACAAGAGAGUAAUUAUAUUUGUAAUAAGUAAUGCAUUGAAAUGUAAUGCACUAUUAAAAUAUUUGCUAGUUCUUAUUGAUUUAUAACAAUAAUUUAAAGACCCUUUGAUAAACUAUCUAAAUUUGUCUAAUAAAUUCAAGAUUUUGAUCUAACACUCCAAAUCUUUAUCUUCAAUAGGGAAAAAGCCACGAAAAACUCUUAACUUUGCCUAAAGUGAUAUAUUUAUCUCAAAUUAUUUUUUGGAACACUAAAAAUCCCAAAUGUUGCCUAUUAUGACACAUUUACUCCAAACUUUGUUUUUAUGUGAUAUCAAAAACCUUUAACUUUUACCUGUAUGACAUAUUUAUCCCAAAUUUUUUUUAUAACACAAAUUUUUGGGAUAAAUGUCUCACACGGGUAAAAGUGUACGGUUUUUUGGUGUCACUGAAAAAAAAAAUUGGGAUUUUUGGUGUCACAAAAAAUAAAUGUGAGGUAAAUAUGUCACACUAUAUAAAUUUGGGAUAAAUGUGUUAUAUGAAUAUAAGUUUUGGGUUUUUUGUGUAAAAAAAAGAGGAUAAAUGUGACAUAGUAGGCAAAUUUAGGGUUUUUUUUUUUUAUGACUUUUACCAUUGAUUUAAAGAAGAAUAACAAUUGUGCAACACGCCUAUCAUGUCCUCAACAUGUCAUUAUGUCAUUUCAAGAGGACACUAUGUUUGAGAUCUAAUAUCCUAGUAUUUUAUAGAUAUAAAUAUAAAAUUUUAUAGAUUACUGCCAACUAUUCUAAAAGUUUAAGCUAUUAGAUAAAAGCUUGUUUAAUAUUUGAAUAUUCUAACAAUAACUUAAAUAUAAAUGUUAAAUAUUUUAUCAAUAUCGGAUAACUUCACAAAAAAAUUAGGCUUCUCAUACACGCACCUCAAUUUUGGAAACAAGAAGUGAGACAGACAAGGCUCACAAAUCAAAUGAAAUCGUGUAUAACUUUUUUGGUGUAAAUCAAGGGAUCCCAAUCGAGAUACUUUUUCUAGUGCUUUUGCUUUUAGACAAAAUUGAACUAUAAUAACAUUAUAAAAAAGAUGAUUUUAAUUGGCCACUUAGCUCCCCUCAAAUCUCGCGUGACCACAAAGGAAGCAUAAUGGAUCCCCUUUAAUCUCUUUCUUUGUUUUGUUUUUGGGGAGGAAUCUCUUCCUUCAUUUCUAGGCUAGAAAAGCAGAUUUUUAUUGCUUUUGUUUUGCUCAUUAAAUUAAGAAGGAUGAGCUUUUCUCAGCUGGAGCUAGAAUUCCAUUCUACUUUAGCUAAGCCAAAAUAUGAUAUAGAUGUAAACAUAAAAUUUUAUGGACUAUUGCAAACUAUUAUGAAAGUUUAAGCUAUUAGAUAAAAACUUGUAUAGUAUUUGAAUAUUCUAAUAAUAAAUUAAAUAUAUAUGUUAAAUAUUUUAUCAAUAUCGGCAACUAACUUCACAAAAAAAAAAUGAGGCUUCUCGUACACACGCCUCAAUUUUGGAAACAAGAAGUGAGACGGAUGAGGCUCACAAAUCAAAUGAGCUCAUAUAUGACUUUUUCAGCGUGAAUCAAGGGAUCCCAAUAGAGAUGCUUUUUCUAGUGCUUUUGCUUUUAGACAAAAUUACAUUAUAAUAACAUUAUAAUGGAUCCCAUUAUAAAAAAGAUGAUUUUAAUUGGCCACUUAGCUCCACUCAAAUCUCGAGUGACCACAAAGGAAGCAUAAUUGAUCCCCUUUAAUCUCUUUCUUUGUUUUGUUUUUGGGGAGGAAUCUCUUCCUUCAUUUCUAGGCUAGAAAAGCAGAUUUUGAUUGCUUUUGUUUUGCUAAUUAAAUUAAGAAGGAUUAGCUUUUCUCAGCUAGAGUCCGAAUUCUGUUUUGCUUUUGCUAAGCCAAAGAAAGCAAUCCCAAUUCGCACUAAUUGGUAUGGUCAAUUGAUACUUGCCUUUAUUCCACUUACUAAUAUAUUUUUCUUUUGCCAUGAAAAAGUUGUGAAAUGUGAAUUCGACUCUAGGUCGCCUUCCACUUUGAAGAGUCGUAGAUUGAUUGUAAUGCAUGAAGUACCAUUUAUAGAUUAUUUUAAGAAAAUAUACAAAUUUUCCCAAAUUUAUUGAUGGCCUUCUACAUUCAAUCAUCUUGGUAUAUUCAUAAUUGUAGGAAUAAUUAGCAUGCGUAGUAAAUAUACAUUCCUUCUACACAAAAACAAAAAUAUUAUCACAUUGUGACUUUUAAUUGUCGCAUUGAAUUUUGAUCAUAUACUUUUUUCCAUCAACUUCUCUAGAAAUUUGCAUUUAUUUAGAAGUUAUAACACAUCGGGUAAAUGUGCAUGACCCUCCUACCAAGGAAGAGCUUACAUCACAUAACAUGGAGUUCAAUGUCAGAGAUACUAUUGGCCCAUAGAAGUCCUCAUGGAUAUAUCAGACUUUGCGGGCCUAGCACUAGGGGUGAAGUUGAAUCCAACUUAGGAUUAAUUCAAGCUUGACUUAAUAAUUAGUUGUAAUCGUUUGGUCUCGAGUCGGGCUUACACUGGAGCUACACCAAGUAUUUCAUCGAGUCAAGAUCGAGCUUACUAAGACUUUGCUUGAGAGACUCGCAAUUCUGAUCCAAUUUCUAUCACUUUGUCCAGAAAAUAAUUGAUAGUUACGAAAAUCGAGGGGAAGAUAUUUGAAAAUUGUAGUAUACCUAAAGACAUAAAUGUAGAGGAUAAUAUUUGAAGUUAUUGAGCUCAAGCACAAGCCCAUAUUUUAAUUUGAUUAUAUUGAAUCAACUUGAUCUUGAAUAUCUCUAUUCUGUUUAGGUGAAGCUCGAACCAAAAAUUCACUACUCAAUGAUUUGAGGGGAGUUUUGAGCAUCGAAUAUCUAAUGGGAGUUGACCUUGAGCUUAGCACUGCUGUAUUGGCUUGAAUCGAAAAUUUGAUUUAGUAUUGUACUUAUGUUAAAUACUUAAAAGUUGCAAAAAGUUGAUUUUAGUAAUAUAUAUACAUAUUGUCAUGGAACGGACUUUGUCACCAGACUAUACCUGCAUUGCUCUAAUAUAAUAGGAAUCUCUAAGAUCUGACAACAGGAGACCCACCAUAUUACAGCACCAAGUCACUUGAUCCAAAAACACUCUUGCUGACAUGUAUUCCACAGUGGACCUCAGGUAGGCCCAUGUUUUUCCCCCGAAUUCAAAUUUAAAUUUGGUCCUUACUAAACAUACAGUCAAGGUGAAACGACACCAAAUAGAUGGACCUAACAUUAACCCAAAACUAGCGCACCGAACACCAAAAGUGAAAACUCAAGCCCAAGAGGUUCUCAAUCAAAAUCGUUUACAUGACAAGCUUUGUGUAAUGCAGUAAAUCUAAGUAAACCUAACCAAAAUCACUCUGUGGUGGGUCAUAACCAUUGCGAUCGCAGAGCGGCGCAUAAUUCAUUCACCUAAUUGAAAAUGGGGAGAUCAAAGUCGUACUCUCAUCCAGGAGUACACAUUCUGCUACCAAGAUGUGAGCUGAAAAGAUUCCUUUAAGAGUCUUUGGCAGGAGCACCAACUUGACGGAUUCUCUUUUGGGAACAUCCCAAUUAUACACACGAGCAAACGUAACCUGCCAAAUAAAAAUUCACCUCUCAAGGGCUGUUUCACCCCCCCAAAACAGAAAAAUUUCCCAGGGCCACCAUCCUAAUUGCCAUGAUAAACUAAAGGAUAUGGUCCUACAACAAGCUUUGAAUUUUUUCAAGUUCACAUUCGUGCAAACAUACCACACUCCAGUUUAUCACCAAUGAACAUGUCUUCCCAAUUUAUAUCCUCAUGACAGUAACAAAAUUCAGAGCAACAUUAGUUCGACCCUAAUAGACCGACCCAAAACUGACACAGUAAACAGCUUGAAACAAACAUGGACCUCCAAGUUCCAAAUCAUUCUGACUUACCUGCAUGAUUGUUACUUGGUCCCUUAUGAAUUGUAGAUCAGCAACAAGAACUUCUAAACUUGCUUUAGCAUUUUCUAAGUUCUUUUGUAGAAGGGUUGUGGCCUGCAACAUAAAUUUUUGCAAUAAAUAAGAUACUUGACAUCAUUAUUGGAGAGAGGGACAUUGCUUAAACACGAGUACAACCUCUUCACAUGAACACUCCAACAUAACAUUUGCUCCCAGCCAUAAACAUACUGAAUCAGUAUCUUCAAUACGAGCUUGUGAAUAUAUGCCUUCAGAGACUUCAAAAUCAGCAAGGAGUGCCUGUAUGCAAUAUAAAGAGUCAUUAAAACCAGUCAGCUUGGUGCCUAUAAUCUUUUGCGCCAUACAAGUUUUGAUAGUCUUAGGUCUUAAAGCCCAAUAAAGUAAUCCCACCCCAUGUUGGUUUCUAAUCAGAACUUCAGACAUCAAAGCAACUAGCUAAACAUUACUGGUGAUAUUCAGGUGUUCAAAUCUAAAACCACCUCAUUAUUGAGAUCAGCAUGGGCUCUUCAAAGCACUAACCUAGAUUAUUAGGAAUGUUGCUUCCAGAAGUGCAUUCGCAAAGGAGAAAAGACCAUUGGAUAUUUCACAUCAUGUCAACCACACCAAAAUUAGUCCUAGUAUGGCAAGAAUUAAACUAGGCUAUCCUCCAUUUGCUUUAUAAAGAUAGAAAGGGAUGAUAUGAUCAAAGAGAGCAAUGAGGAGCAAGAAGAUUUUUGUAAGAUAAUAUUUUUUAGCAUAACAAGUUUAUGAUAAAAAUUUAGUUGCCAUGAUAUAUAAAAGAUCACUGAUCGACUGUUGAGGAUUCCAGAUGAAAAACAGAAACUGCGAAGGAAAAAAAUUGGUGGAUUCUAAGACAAUACAAAGAACUCCGGAUUGAAAAAAUAAUGAUCUGGUUACGUGAUAACAAGUUUACUUUGUGAAAAGCCUCAACGGUCAACAGCAUGAGUCUGACAGAUACAAAUUAAGUAUCCUCAGUCAAAAUACAUGCAUUGAAAAUUGUUCAGCUCGAGUUUCAAACUUAAAUUCCAGUUCUGAGGCCAUGAUUCAAUCUUACUGUAAUAGAAACACAUGUUCAUUAUGCACGCAUAUAAUGGCAUCCUCAAUCACAGGUCACUUUGCUAUAGCAAAUAAGCCAGUUUGCUUCAGUCAUUAUGCAGGUUUACAUAUCAAAUAAAUAAUAGACGAAACAAGAGAAAAUUGUUGUGGUGGAAUGGUGUGGUGAAGUAAUUGUUGCACGAAGGUGCCCCAAUUUGAAAUGAUUGAUAAAUUCAAAUCCUGGAUUUUUGUAUUGAGAGAAAUAUCAUAGCUUUGUUUAUGUACUGUCCGAGGGUUAAUGGUCAUAGCCUAUUUAACAAAGUAAACCUCAGUGCAAAGAAAGAUGGAGGCAGCACAUACUAGUACUUGUGUUUCUGUGUGUUUGCAUGUGUUUGCAUGUGUCUGUUGAGAGAAAGAAAGAGAGAGAGAGAUAGAGAGAGAGGGAGGGAGGGAGGGAUGGAUUUUGGUGGAGGGGCUAAGAAGCCUGGCGACCUCAUAGUCGAUGUUUUGGAAGGACUAAUUGUGCGGGAUAAAUCUCACAGAUUCUUGUCCACUGCAGAGAUAUGGAUUUACAGCACAUGAGAAGGAAACUUUGUUGAUGCAAGAAGGUAUUGUCAGGAUUCACCAUUUAUGCAGAGCCUGGUAACCAGAAGAGAAUGAGAUGGCCAAAUUUUUAGUUUUCUUACACGAGAUAGCUGGUAAUAAAGAAAUGGGGAAGAAUUCUAUCCAAAGAAGGCGAGGGGGUAUUAGCUGCUUAGAUGAAAACAAUAUGGCACUAUUCGGCAUCACAGGUUUUCCGCAUGUGUGAUUGCCUGGGGAGUGUUUGCCAAUAGCCAACAUACAAAAAGAAACCAAAAACAAGAAGAAGGGUGCAUACAAACAGAUACUAGCCUACGCAAAAUCAAUGAGAAUCCUCAGAUCACCAACUGAUAUGUUGCCCUUGGACAAGAUCUCCUUGGCACAUAAAUAUGCAGGAAAAGAUGCAGAUAGAUAUGGUGACCAUGGAAUUGAAUCAUACCAAAUCCAAAUAUUGACCUUUUUGUUAGUCUAGAGAAAGAAAUAAGAGAGCCUUUACAUGUUGCAUUAAGGAAAAGGAUGGCUUUAGACUUCACAUAUGGUUAACAAUUUCUAAGGCUAACUUCUUACCCCCAGUUUGUUAGAUUCACUCUGAUGUAAAUUAGUCUGUUAAAAGGUUUGCUUGAUAAAGCUAUUGCUUUCUGAAGUAUAUUCAAUCAGCAAGAAAGCAUUCUCCCAUUUAAAUGAAGGGAUGCAUGAAAUAAAUGAAAUGCUUAUUUCGUUCUAUACACAAGAUACUGAUACCAGCUCUGAGCUCCCUCAAGGGUUCAGUGAAAAAAAGAAUAACAGCGAAUGAGAAACAGUUUUAAAAAAACAAAAAAGAAAAAAAAAACUCCUGAAUUAGAUAUAUAUCCACCUUUCUUUUUAAGAUUUUCGCAAUACCAUUAACCAGGCUCUGAACUAGAAUAACAAGCAAAACAAUAUCUCUUCCUAUACUCUUGCGCUUUCUCAAAGGAUGAGAAAUAUCCACCGAAGUGAUUUCCUUUUCUAAAUAGAACCUAAAUGCAAAUAAUUCCUACUCAUUUUAAGAUAAGCGAUUGUAAGCCUCUAAUGCACGACCACCAAACAUGGAAGAUAAUACUGAUGUUUUUCAAUGACAAAACCAUUUGAUGUGAUAAAGUGUAAGGAAGAUUUAUAAGUAUAACAAGCAGGAUGCAACACCUAAUAAGCAUGUUCCCCGUACCUUUAAAUGAGAAAAAUUCCUAAAGUGGAGAAAAUAAACAAGGCUUAAUAUUUAGUGAUGUGCAUCAACAUUUUUCAUUUCCAUAAAUGGGCCAAGCAAGCAUUUUAUAAGGAAAGUCUCUUUCUCAUUCUAAUUACCCGUAAACAUCUUGACCUAAUUUACCCAAAGGUAAGUAACUGCAAUCAUCUCAAGAUUCAAAGCCUCGCAAUUUCAACACAAGGUCGUCAAUCAAUUGGGCACCCCUCAACUAAAUUACUGAAAUCCACAGCUUGUUGUUAAAAAGCAAAUAACCACCAUUUCCCUAUCAACUUGUGGAAAUAAAUGAUAAUUCCCCCAAAAUCUUGUUCAUGUAGUCAAAAGUAUGAGUUGUGUGAGACAACAAACCUCACCAGAACCCUUCUUGGCCUGUAGAGUGGCAACUAUGUCUAAAAACUUUUCAAUAUCAGGAAUUUUUGCCUGGCAUUUAAUAUAGACAUUGAAUUAACAACCCAGUAAAAAGCAAAUGAACAAGUAUCAUGCUGACAUAGUAACAAUAACAUACUAGCAAAGUGAUCAAGUUCUGUGGGAACAAAGCACAAAGUGCACUUGGAUCUAUCAGGUCAAUGUAAAGAGAAAUUCAUCGUGAGACGUCAAAGAGGUGCUAACCAUCUGGAUUUGUUUUAACUUGUUAUUCUAGAUUAGAUAAAAAUAAUUGCAGCAGUGAGCCAAUUUCUCAUUCUUUUUUAGGGGAAAAGUGAAACUCACUUGAAUUUGUGAAGAGUUUUAAGUUGAAUAGAAAAACAGAACUCAGAACCGACAAGCAUCCUUCAUAAUUGAGGAUAUGCCCAUUCCAUUAAUGAAAAAUGUAAAAUAUUGAAUAAACAAUGCACUACAAAAGACAGAACUCAGAACCGACAAGCAUCUUGUUGUGUUACUUGUCCUAGUACAUUUCUUUUUCCUGAAACUAAAUAUUCAUCGUGAUUAAGCCUUUGGUAUCAAUAUCUCUAGUCAUGUCUUUACACCUCUUAAGAAUCAAGGAAAAAGUAGCACACUUAAAUGCUUCAAAGUUCUUUACCCACACAUGCACGUCCGCCCACCUCCAUGUUAACCAUUGCGCAACAUUUCAACACUGCAUUGGUUAUACUAUACCCAAAAAACCAAAGAAAAAGAAGAGAAAUAAACAAGGUCCGGUGCUAGCACAAGGGCCGACAGGAGGGAUGGUGUCUACGGUAUUCAGCAGAACAUUUGAAUAUGGAUCUUUGUCUGUGAUCACUUGAAGAAAAUGAACAACGAAAUGUAACUCAACAGCGAAUUCAAUAGCAGAUAUAACGAUACAAAAGAAUCAGUCGAUGAGAAAUUAUACACAAACAUCUAUAGGGAUGUCGAUAAUAACAAAUCCCAAAACUAGCAUCGAUAGAGUCAGGAAACCUUUGCCAGCAAAAAUACGAAUUAGAGAAAGGCAGCGAUUACGCCAAACUGACAUAGCAGAAUACAACAACACACCUGAAGAUCCCUCUGUUGAGCUAGGAGUUUCAUCUCAACCGGCUUGUAUUGCUGCAGCCUGCAAGCAUCAUCCCACCAAUCGCCACAAGUACUCUUAAGACCCCCCCCCCCCCCCCCCCCCCCCCCAAAAAAAAAAAGAAAAAUCCAAAAUUUCAACAAACAUCUCCUUCACCAGCACCUUCAGCCUAGCGGAAGCAAAAGCCCCAAACUCAGGAACACCUCGUAACCCCUCCCCGAUCCGCCAUCACGGCUGCUGCCUGUCCCAGCUGCCGUCGCCGUCUCUUCUCCCUCCCUCUUUCUCUUCAUUCUGGAAGGACGACGCAGAGAUGGAUCUCCGAAUUGGGUCUGCCCGGUGACUUGGGAAGUCCGAGUCUGAUCCUCGUAGCAACUUGACAAAGCCACGGAGAGAGAUCUCUCUCACUUUCGCUGCGUUUGCCUGGAAGUUACAUGCGGCCUUCCUUCGUAAGUGAAAAAGCCAUUCAGAUUGACAAAUUAAUUGCUUCGAAGAGGAAACACGGCGGAAGAGAGAGAGAUGGUGGCUUGGCCGAGACGGGACGCGAAACGAUUGGCGCAGGCGAUGGCCGGGGGCGGCUCGACGACGAGGGGUGAUGGCACGGGAAGGGGUUACGACGGCGACGGCGACGUGGCGGAGGCUUGCGGUUACCGAUUGGUGGAGGGAAGAGACCGAGGGAAGAAUAGGGGAUUUUUCGUAGUCCGGAUAUUUUUUUAAGGAAAUUCGUCAAAAAAGUGAGGGCAGUUGGGUCAUUUAGGAGGGUAGCCGCACCAUAUACACACGGCGGGUGAACAGAUAUACCAGAGUCGCGUGUUUGGAGUGCUUUGCGAUAAGAAAGGAUUAAAACUAAAACUAGGUACUUUGCCCAAUCUUUACGAGAUAUCAUAAUAAAUGUACUUUAAAUAUGUUUAUUUUCAUUUUUAUUUUAUUAUUGUCGAUAAUUUUGGAUUGUGUAUAACACUCUGUUUGCUAUCCAUUAGGUAUAAAAUUACCAAAUAAAACCAUUUGUCAAAUCAAACAUGAAAGUUUUAAGUCAAAUUUAACUUUUCAUAAAGGUAUAAUAAAAAAUUAAAAAAAUUGAAUAUUGCUACUUUCUAUACCAACUAUUUGUGGAUUUUUUUUUUAUCCGAUACAAUAUCUCCAAAGGACAUCUUAAUUCAACCUCAAUGGUUGAGUUAAACCUCAAGGCCAUCUCAACUUGUUCCUUGUAUAAAAAUUCCUAUGUGACAUCCAAGAUGGAAAGGAGAACAUGUUAGAAUAAGUCAAUCUUGGACGGUUGAUUGCCAGGACUAAAAAGCAUUCAGCAUCGGGUCUCUAUCCCACGCUUGCAAUCACAUUACAUCUAUUACCUGCUAUUAAGUGCUUGUCUUGUAAAAAAGAAAAAAGAAAGGGUAAAAGUCAUCUAAAAACCUAAAUAAUAUUUACAAUGAUACAUUUACCCAAACUUUUUUUUUGUAACACCAGGAACUCUAAAUUUGUAUCUAUGUAACAUAUUUAUCCCAAAAUUGUACGGUGAGACACAUUUAUCCCAAAAAAAAAAAUCUAAUAUAAAAAAUCCUAAAUUUGUAUUCAUAUGACACAUUUACAUUUGAAAUUUGGCAUCACAGAAAAGAUUUUGGGGACUUUGAUGUUACAGAAAGAAAAAAAAAAUUGAGGUAAAUAUGUUAUAUAGAUAUAAGUUUGGGAUUUUUUGUGUAAAAAAAAAAAGUUAGUGGCAAAUGUAUCACACGGGUAAAGUUUGGGAUUUUUUUAUGACUUUCUACCUUUUAUUUAUUCUUUCUUCUCUACAUGGGCUAAAGAACGUAGAUCUUCAUACGUUGACAAGUAGUGAUUCACCUUUGCUCUCACCAGGACGGAAGGGGUUUCUUUCAUUUGCUUAGCACCGACUUAUAUGGAGCACACGCUCCUGGUUCAAUCCUGUCUUACACACUUUAAUCAAUGUUUCUUAAGCAUAUUAUGAUUUCCGCUGGCGUUGUUCUUAAGCUGUAGAAAAUCGCCAGGAUGGAGACCAAGGAUUUAGAGCGACGAUUCUCGUUCUUUGACUUUGGAUGCCUCCAUCAUUCCAAGGACAUUAAACAUGAGAAGUGAUGAGAUAAUGUCGCGAUUUUCUAGCAUCAGCAGCCCUUCUUCCCCACCCCAAGAAAACACUACCGGCAGCCCUUCGUCUCCAGAAAAUGACUGAUUAACUACAUAAAUUCCCAGUCAUUUCCAUGAUAUUUCUCUCUAACCGUGGCGUAGGUAUAGGGAUUUGUCUUUUGAUCAUCAAGUAAAUAGAUUCUAAUGAGAAAUUGUUGUUUAAGUUAAUUCGUUUUCUUUCACUUGGGGUCUGCUCCCGUAAUUCAGAAUGCUGAUAAGAUGAAUUUUGCUGAUAUCGAAAAAGAAAUCAACGGUGUUGUGACGAAGGCAAAUGAAUGAUGGUUCCAUCUCCUAUCAUCCACCCUCGUCAAGUUUGCGACCUUAUCAUCUCAAGUUGAAAUCCCGUAAUGUAACUUUUUCUCUCCAAUUUUUGCGAUUGGGUUUGCUUUGUAAUCGGUGCAUGUCUUAAAGCAUAACUUCCUCUUUUUUUAACUUGAAGUCUUCUGGCAUUUUGUUGAAAUCUGACAUAAAUUUUCCUUUUGAACAGCCUGCGAUAUUAGGCAUACCCUGAGAAAACCAGUAUCACGAAUUCAUUCUUAUUCCUGACUUAGAACAAUAUUCAUUUCCUGGUAUACUUGAGAAAACCAUGGAAUGAUAAAGCAGUUGAUGUUCCAUUUCAUUUCUUCUAAUUCGGCGAGUCCUUCUAGUUGCGGCCAUUGCAGAUUGCCAUUGAACUGACAUUUUAUUGGAAUAUGAACUUAAAGUCUAUCUCGAGGGGAUCGAGUUGCAUAUUGUUAUAUAGCCAUACAUGUGCUGAUAACAUUCUAUACUAGCGAAGACUAGUAGCUGUCUCAUUCUUAUGCUGAAUUACAUCCCCUACAUGUAGUUAUCACAUGAUUGUGAGAGGAGUUGCAAUAAAUCACACUCAUCUUUCGGUGCAAGUUUCACGAGCCCACUCUAAGGAUACUAGUUUUGGGUAUUCAACACGACUUAUGGUAGCUUAAUUUCAGAGUCAAUGCUUCAAAGAUAAUGUGGUAAGAUGUUGUCAUGACUUAUCUAAAAGAAGAAAGAGCAUGUCCACUGUAUAUCUUUUCAUAUGUUGUCUCUAUUGAUUCUCAAGCCAAUUGAACUGAGAAUUCCUUCAAUAAGUAAGCAAUUCCAUGAAUUGCAGACUGGGCUUCAUUUCAUAAUGAGCCGCGCUUUUCACUCCAAACCACGUUACAGGGUAGAAGUGGAUAUUUUCCUUGAUCAAACAUAAAUUAAAUUUGAGAGAGGUAUUAUAUUAAAAUGAAAUGCUCUAUUAAAAUUUUUGAAUUCUUUUUAUUAACUGUCUAAAUCUGCCAGGUAUACUCAAGAUUUUGAUCUUGCACUCUAAAUUCGUGCAACACACGUGUUUAUCUUCACAGACACACAAAAUUUAUGACGUUAUUAUGUCCCAAACAAAACUUUAUAGAAUUAUUACGUCACUGCUGAGGUGGGCACCAUGUUUGAAAUCCAACAUUAUGGGAUUAUCUAGGUAUAGAUCAGACAACAUAUGCAUUUUAACUUUUUUGACCAGAGCGUUGUAUUUAAUCCAAAAUAUGACAUUCAAUCAUCGGGUGAAUUCAAGGAUCCAAACGAGAUGCUUUUCUAGUGCGUUUCCACUUAGAAAUAUGAAAUUCUAUAGUAAAAGCCCAAGCGGACUCAAUUUCAAUUGGAUUUCCCACCUUCCGUGGAAAUAAAUGUAGGCUUUUACAAUGAGAAUGCAUAGAUGGGACAAACUUCCUAAUUACUUGGCCUAUUUUUGCUCCUUGAAGAUGCAUGCACUACAAAAAUCCACAGUUCUCAUACUAAUUUUGCAAAGCGAUUAACUUCUCAGAAGCUGUAAAAUGAGUCUAUAUAAUCAUGUCAAAGCACGUAGAUACCAUUUUUAUGACAGCCCGCAUGAUUUAUGAGGUAGCUAUUCCUUGAGUUCACUUUUGUCGUGUUUUUAGGUGAUAUUCUGUUUAAUUUAAAAUAUACUAAGUUCAUUUCGCUUUCUGAUAUAUAUAUGCUACCCUCCUAGAAUUAGGAGAUAUGUACAUAUGCAAUGAUAAUCUUAUUUAGAGUUGCAUCCUGAAAUUAUGUCAAGACAUAAAUAAUUGUAUCUUUGGGCCAUUUCAUGACACAAAAAUGUUUACUGUUGGUGCUUUGAAAUUUUUUCAUGCAUUCCGAUCUAAUUAUUUUAUUUUUCAGAGUAUUCGGAAUCUCCACGUAUGAUUCUAGGAAAAGCAUUCAAUUCCUCUAAGUUCUUUUAUAUAUAGAUCUAGGCUCAGUGCAAUAUCUCAUAGAAAUUGCCCAACAUCUGGCGUAACCAAGCGUAAUGGAUCCCCUUUUACCUUUUUGUCUGUUUUGUUUUUUUUUUUUUUUGUGAGAAAUCUCUUCCUUUAUCUUUAGGCUAGAAAUAUUAGAUAUUAAAUGCUUUUGUUUUGCUCAUCAUAUUAAAAAAGAUUAGCUUUUCUAAUUAGCCUAUUAAUAACUGAUAAGUGGCAACUUCUGAAUAAAUAAGAUUUUGCAUGUUAAAAUAAUUAACCUCCAAAAUUGCGAUGGAUGGAGUUUCGGAGAGUUGACAUUAAGUUUUCGAACUUAGUAAUCCACUUACUACCUACCGAGGGAAGGUCGCAACAACUUUGGUUUAUGAGAUUAGCUUCUGUACAAAUAUGGGUAUUAUCUACUAUUCCUAACUUAUUCUCCUUGCUAUCAUGGUAAAACAAACAAGAGAAUAGUCUUGAAUCCACUCUACAAACCAAACUACAAAUUAGCUAUUCCGUUCCUAGUCCUACUCUCUUCCAAUUUUAUGAAAUAUCUAUUCCAUUCCUAUCUUAUUAUAUCUUGCAAUCGAAACAUCACGACACAUCUAAGAUAGCUUUUUCCAGUGAGUCACCUCACCAUGAGAUUAGAUCUCUCACUAUCAUACAUGAAGAAACGUAGAAAUGUAAUCUCAACCAUCUAACUUUUUCACUUGAUAUAUAAGUUACUCAUUCUUGUAGUAAAAAGAUCUUAUGUUUGGAACAAAUAUCUUCUACACGGUGAAUGUCAUUUAUGUCAUUUCUUAGAGGUAAAAAGAUUCAUUUGCUAUAAGGGAGCCGCAAGUGGUCUCUCCAUGCCACAUUUCCUAAUUUUUAGGCCGAUCACCUAUGAUCUCGUGUCUUGAUGUAUUCAUAAUUUAUUUGAAUUACAUCAAUUAGAAAACAGUUCCAAAGAGAAUCUUUCAAGCCAAGAACAAAAGCAAAAAGCAUAUUCACAAACAAGAGUCACUAUGACUGUACUGAUGAAUUACGCCAUCAUCAAACCCUUUUACACAAAGACAAAAUGACAACAAAUAACAUGAACAACAUAGUGCAAACGACUUCAUCUGAAUUACUCAAGCUCAUAAUUUUCCAUUGUCCUUCAUAGCCAAAUCUUGAGCCCACGAUUUGUCUCAUCACUUUGAAUGCGGUGCUCUAAGCCAAAGAAGUUGCGAAAAUAGCAGCUCUUACCAAAAUGUCGCGACUACUCGAAAUUUAUGACUGGAAGUUGCAAAUUCACCUGAUGAACUGUUCUAGAGAUGUCGUGUUCCCAUACAAGAAUGAGAUUAGUGCGGGGAUUAACUCCAACAUAUGCAUAAUAAGCCACUAUCAGAAUCUGCAGUUGAAAUUCGGAUUGGAGAUGCACAAUUCUUGUUGUGGGGACAAAUGAUAGAAUUCAACGAAUGAAAAGAAUUUCUACGGAGUCUUCUCUUCUCGGAAUCUGAGACUGACGGCCUUGCCUUUGAAAUAACGGACUUCAGAAGAUAGUCGGUUAUAAUUGGCCUUUUCCCAUGCUGAUCGCCCUCACUACUGUCAAGAAGAUCGUAAACAGCUUGAGGUUGUGCAUCUGAAAGCAGAGCUUGAAGAUCCGCUCCGGUGAAUCCUUCUGUCAUGGGAGUAUAGCAUCUAAGUACACAUCACUGGCCAAAGGAAGUUGCACGAGGGCAUUAAAGCAUACACUUAGCAAAACUUUAGCGUUGCCGAAUGGUUGCCACUUUACUGAUUGAUUUUAUAGAAUCGGAUUAAUAUAAUUAAUUGAAUACACCCAAUAUCUUCCUAAUUAGUGAACAGAAAAGAAAAGGAGAGGAUAAAGAUGUCUUAGAAAGGUUAUACUAAAUGAUAACCAAAGGCAAGUCUUAGUCCCGUUUCUCAUUUUUCUUUCUGAGCAACAUCAGUAGAUUUUAGAUCCGAGUUUAAAAGUGAUUUACUAUUGGACAUCUAAACUUAAUUGAGCCUCACCUAAGCGUGUUGCAGAUCCACCCCACAACAUCUUUUACAAUGUUCUCUUGUAAUUUACAAUGUUUAGGGUGAUUUGGGGUGCAAGGACUGAGAACUCCAUGGGAGAAGGAGUUUAGCUUUUAACUUAACAUGUAUCACCAAAUGCACUCCCUCAGAUGACAUAAGUUCAAAAUAGGAUCUUUAGCAGCACAAAUCGACUCUGCUUCUAACUCUUCUUGUUUGUUUUUAAGCAAUUUUCUGUUCAUACGUAAUCUUUCGGAUGCAUCUUUUUGGAAAAUGUAGGAUUGCGGUUAUAUAUUUCUUUAACAAGUAAUCCCAUAAAUUUCAAUAUGUACAACCUGUUUCGGACCACGUCAAAAAUGAAAUGCUCAAAGCAAAAGCACUGGCAGAUCGAUGGAAGCUAACUUUCUACCUUCCUGGAUAUAAGUCUAAGAAUAUCCAGCCUCUCCUUUAUAGAAGGAAAAUCACAGAACAUAAGUUGAGCCAGCCAAGUCUCAGAAGUGCAGUGUCAAGUAAGCGUAGUCUACUGCUUCACAUGGAAUGUAACUCAGGUAGCACUCAAAGCACAUGAAUAGACAAUGAUAAAAAGAAAAAGCAUCCUCAGAAAGAAAAGUGAAUUAGAAUUAUUAGUAGAUGGAUGAACCCUGAGCAAAACAAAAGAGCACCUCACAUGGCAAAGAUAUCAUGACAAUUGAGAAAUUGCGUAUACUCGAUGUCACAAGACUCAAAUGAUCAACAUCAGUUGAUGCCGUUGUAGAGGCUCAUGACUAGCAUAACACUUCUUGUAAGCUACUUCAGCAACUGGAAAGUAAUUCGUGUUGUGACAUCCUGGAAUUUCAAUUAUGUUUUCAAUUAAAUAAAUCGGAUCUUUCAUCGACGCACCUAUAGUGCUAUUCUCAGAGCUGAUCACUUCUGAGAUAACUAGAUUAUCUGGGAAAGUCAUUAAGGAAUUUUAACGUAUUAGACUUGAGAAUUCAACUCGGAAUCGACUACUCGACCGUGCUCAUCUGUAGAGAUCAUUUCGACACAGUAAAGAUCGAUUAGAAAUUAGAGAUAGGUCAAUUCGACUGAGAUGUGUGGUUAAACGUAGGUGAUUCCACCAAAUUGAAAAAUUCUCAUCGAUUGACACUAAACUUAUUUUUCUGUCGUUUUAAUACCUUGUGUCCGUAUUUGAAAUCUCGAGAUUUUCACGACAACCGAGAGUAGCAAAUGUGUCGAAGAGGUUUAUUGUGGCUUGAAGAAAAUCGACCACGGGUCAUUUGCGCUAAAAUUUUUUGAAAGCUACCCUGUAGCUUAUGUCACGCUAAAAUCACGUCAAAUUAAAAUUAACGGCAAAUUUGAAUCCGAUUUUAGAAAUUGAAAGUUUUGUCAUAUCAUGAGUCAUUUUAGGAACGUCGACUCAGUCUUUGAAAAUUUUUCUGCAAACUGAGAUUUUGGUGGAAAAAGUCAACAUAAGGCCGUUUUCGAUCGGGAAAUUUCGAUGACCCUUUUUUAUUGCAAAAUUGGGAUGCAAGUAGGUUCUAUUGGUGAGGAAAAAUACCAACUUGAUUGAGGACUUGAAGGUUGAAUUUUUAGAGGACAAAUUGCAUCGAUUCAAGGAGGAAUUGAAGUUGAAUUUGAGGAGAAGACUUCCAAAAUUCGUAGCCCCCUUUCCUCAACCUUUGGACCCUCUCAUUUGGCUUCCAAGACAAGUUUUGUGGCUGCUUUUGGGCUAGGAAUCUAGAUAGCAAUGGUGGGCCUCACCAAGAGGACAAGAAGAUAGAGAGAAGACCUUGGUGGCCCCCUCCAAAGCCCAACCGGUCCCCCUCCUUCUCCUUCCUCCUCAUCCGUCGACCCCCUUCUUGUUUAGUAGCUUGAAGCUUCUAGCAACCUAGAAAAUCGACCAAACCGGCUCCCUCCUCAGUCACAUGCCCGCCAGAGCUCGAGUGCCACUCGUCCGCCCAUCGCAAGCCGCAUCGUCGCUGCUCGCAUCUUGUUGCUUGCCGUGCAUCCCCAACCGCUGCCCCGCCUAGCUCUCAUGUCCAACAAGUCGCCAAGCUAUUAUCCGUCACCACCGUGGUCACCGGAGCCACCGCUUGCCCCCACCUGGACUCGCUUCAGCCCCUCUGCCCAUCCUUGCUCGUUUCCACCUCAACCAGUCGCCAGUUCCAGCUCUCUUGGCCAAGAGCAGAAGCCGAAGCUAGUGCAUUUUCAAUCACUGUUUGGCCCUUUUUGUGGCCUUCCAGACCUUGAAAAGCGCACCCGCUUUGGUGUUUAUCGAUCCUCUCCACGUUCUCGUCGUUGUGGUCCAAGCAGAUCGUUAAUCAAGUGAGUUUAACUCACUAAUCUCCGCUUAGUAAGUUAAUGACGCUUAAGGAUUGAUUAGUUUAAGUUAAGUAUGGUUUAGGUAGAUAGUUAGAAUAGAUUAGCAAUUUAAUCAUUCGAUAUUGCAUGUUAGGUGGUUAGAGUAGUGUAAUUAGAGCCUAGAUAAGCUCUAGUAUUUAGCUAGAGAGGUUCAAAAAAUUUCUAGGCCCGUCUCGGCUUUUAAUUAGGCUUUUCCGGCCUAAGUUGCAUUUUUGGGUAUUUAAUAAUUAAUUUUCGGAAUUAUUUAAUUAAUUAUUAUUUUCCAAAAAUUGAAUCGGGAUAACCAGUGACUAAAAUUUUAUGCUAAUCACAAUGGUGUGAUUUGUUUAAUUAUUUGAGUGUUAUUUUGUGCACAUUGAGUGUAAUUUGUGAUUUUGGGUAUUUAUCCCGAAAUUUAUUAAUUUCAGUAUUAAAUUAGAAAAUUACCGAGCAUCGGUUUAUAACGCUAAAAAUAUGUUGAUAGACUAUAUAAUUAGUGGGAUUUUAUGAAAUAAAAAUAUUAUAUUUUUAGCUCAGGCCGAUCGUGUACUUACACACGAUUAUUUUUAUCGGGUAUUUUUAACACGAAGAAAAUAGACCAGGACAUUAUUUUAAUUGAGGAAUUCAUGUGGGAAGCUCAAUGUCCUUGGCCAUGGGUGAAUAAUCAUGUGGUGGUUUAUAGUCGCGGUAAGAUGACUAUUGAAGGAUGAGGUAACGUAUGUUGUGCAUGACAAUAUGGGAUGGGCCAAGAAAACCACCGAAAUAUGGAUGUGCCCAUUGGGUCGUGAUUAAUCGCUGAAGUAUGGUUGUACCUAUAGGGUCGUGAUUAACUGCCGAAGUAGGCUGUGCCUAUAGGGCUGUGAUUUAUUGCCGAAUUUGGAAUAAGUCGUGCCCAUCGGGUCAUGAUUUACCGCAACAUUUAGUAGGGCGUGCCCAUGGGGCCAUGAGUAGUAGUUGGAAUGAGUGAUUGAUUGAGAUAUAGUACGAUGCGUUCCAAUUGUUGAGUGAUGAUUGGACUUAUAUGAGAUAUAAAUUGUACAGACUUGUAGGAGGAAACUGAGGUAAAUGUAAGUCCUUUGACCUGUGCUUGUGCUUAGGUAGCCCUUGGGGCAUAUUUUUUUCCUAGUCGGGUCUUAAGGGGGUGAACUUACUGAGAUGUCGUUUCACCUUGUUGUAGGAUAUCAUUUGUAGGUCCCUAGAUGGCAGCUCCUCCCGAGCCGUUUGGACAGCCAAAGAAGGUCACAGAGCGAUAUCUUUCAUCUCGCUUCAUGGGAGCCCAAGAGGAUGGGUCUAUGAGCUCAUAAGGUCAGUGGUUUGGGUUGAUGAGGCUUUACCCCACAAGGUACCCCAUCAAUACAAAUCAUAGUACCAACGUGCGCAGGAUAGACAAAGAGAGGGUCCUAUACCGAAAUGUAAGAUACCUGUGUAUGUGCUAAAGGUUACUUUUGGGAAAGGCACAUCAUAUCCUCUCAGUGGUUCAGUGGUAGACUUGUAUUUGUUGGAUCCAGGAACUCCGGUAUAUUCAACUGAAGGCUCUAAUGAGGAUGAGGAUUUGUAGUUUUAUUAAACCCCCCUAUUUUACAGACCCUGUUUUUAUAAACUGGUAUUGUAAUGACAUAGCUUGAUAUAUAUAUAAACGUGUUGUGAUUUUCAGUUCGAAAAAUUAUGGCCUUACUUUUCUAUCCCAUUGUGUUGUUGUCUAGGGAUUAUUUAUUUGCUUUCGCAUGCAUAUUAAAAUGAAUGGGUCAGCGAUGCAUCUUGGGACGUCGCUAUUUAAUCAACCAAAGAGGGAUGGGCACGCGCUCGGAUGAUCGGGCCGUGACAUGUGCAAUCCCAUCUUUUGAUACUGUGUAUCCGAAGUAAAAUAGUUCUAAAUCAAGGCAAAGUCAUGUCUAGCAUUUUAUAGUCUGCCUCGAAUGUUAUUAUAUAAUCUCCAUACUAAAUGCUUUGUAGAAAAUGUUCGUUGAACCAUUCACAGUAGCAGUGCAAUUUCCAAUAGCAGUUGAUAGUUAGUGUGCUAUUGGAAGAGAGUACUUUUUGUUAUCAUUUAAUAUGAACUUAUUGCCUUGUUUCGGCAAACACAAACACACCUGUUAAAACUACAACACCCUGUAAUUCAGUAACAAACUGCACCAAUCAAUAACACAUCAGUAAUGAGUCAAACGAUUAAUUAGAUUUCAUAUGACCACCUUAUAAGUGCUAUAGAAUGUAAUAAAAUAACUUGAUUCUCGACAUGGUUACUAACCCCAUAUUAUCAUGCCCCCUCUUUGCAACAAUAGGGAGAAGUACACUAUCAAUGCCAUAAGUUGUAUACGGUGCUCACUUUGAUGUCAAAAAUUUCCGUCAAAUCAUUUAAGUGCCAAAUCGGAGGAAAAACGAUCACUUUGGUGCCACCGGCGAGAGAUUCCUGCCAAAAUGAUUACGUGGCUUUUAUAUUUUAAAAAAAAUUGAGAAGCCUUUUAAAUGACAUCAUUUUUUGUCCUCUUUAAGAAAACGACGUCGUUUUGCCGUCAAAUGUGGAUGGCCUCACAAAAACGACGCCGCAUAGCUCAUUUGGGAUUGAAAUUAGGGUUUUUUUUUCUCAAUCCUUGCCGAUCUAGCUUACUCAGCCACCGUGCUCGACCACCGUCGCUCGGCCUCUGUCGUAGUUGCUCGACUAGGUGAGCAAGGAGAGUCUGAGGUUGUUUUUCGAGCAAGAAGUGAUGGGAAAAUAGGAGGCGAGGGCGGAGGAGGAGGAGGAAGAAGGGGGGUCGAAGGUGCAGAGAGAGAGAGAGAGAGAAGACGAGGAGUGUAAGGGAAACAAUGAGGGCGCAGAUCGAGAUGGUGGAUUGGGCUCUGUUCAAAGAGUGGCUGGUGCUGGUGUUGUUCUUCGGAGAAGACAACGUUGCCAUGCCUUCUCUCUCUCUCUCUCUCUCUCUCUCUCUCUCUCUCUCUCUCUCUCUCUCUCUCUCUCUCUCUCUCUCUCUCUCUCUCUCUCUCGAUUUGGGGAUUUAAGGUUUCAACUUAGGGAAAAGACACCAAACGAUGUCGUUUUGUGAUUUACAUGUUGACUGUGCUCUCCAACGAGCCACAUCAGAUUUUCGGCCAAUUAGAUCGACAUUGACACUAAAAUGAUCGUUUUUCAAAAAUUUUGGCACUUAAGUGAUCUGACGGAAAUUUUUGGCACCAAAAUGAGUACCGUACACAACUUAUGAUAUUGAUAGUGUACUUCUCCCUGCAACAAUGUAAUCAAAUUCAUCGAAAAAGAGAAGGCAAACUGUUGUAGCUACUGCCUUUGAGAAUAUAUCGAAACCACUUUUAACCUAAAAGGAAAUCUAAUGGAAAAGACAAAAAAAAACCCCUAAAAACAAAUAUUUUGCUUCAUCUAUAACAAUCGAAAAUCUAGUAGACAUUUGAUCACCGAUUUCAAAUUUCAAAUAGAGAAAAGUUUAAAAUAUUUUACAUGGUAAUCUCUCUCUUAACCAAAUGGUCAUGGAGGAUCCUCUCAUUCAUGCAUGAGGAAACUCAUCAACCGUUUUAAUUUGGCCACUUCAAUAGUUAUGGGAGCUGUUGUUGACAAUAAUUUAGUUAGAAAACCUUGGCUACAGCAGGAGCAUCCUCAUUGCUGCUGCUAGUUAUCCGAUUUUGAGUGCUAGUAUACAUGAAGGGGCCUCUAUUAAAUGCAUACAAAAGCAAUAAAAGAAAGCACAAAAUUGUGAAAUGUCUGAAAUAUCAAAGUUUAGAACAAGAUUGCACAAUGGAAUUCGAUCAACAUUGGUGAAGUUGAAAAGAAGCCUCUUACAGCUUGCUCAAAAGUACAGUGUACUUAUUCAACGUCUCAGCCCUUUCACUUAUAUGGAUUGAAAAGAACAAGCUGCUACUGCAGAACCAAUAAUGUGUGUCUUGCCAAAGCCCAGACAUCCAUGUAAAUGAACAUUUGACCAUUCCUUAUAGGAGGUUGGCCCAAAAACAUUUUACAUCAGCAAAUGUAAGAAUGAUAAGACACGAAGAAGAAAUAGGUUUAUUUAACAAGUUAACAAUAACCACAUUUUAGAGAGAGUUAGAGGGAGAGCAAGAUGAGGAAAGGUGUUAUGAGUCACUAGAAAGAAUAAACAAAAGCUACAUCUUAGACACAACCCAUGCAAUUAUAGAAGCUUUCUUGAACAAAUCCAUGCAUAAUCUAGCUCACUCACAAGAAUGUAGAAUGCAUCAGGGAAACAAUAAUAGGUAGUUAAGCCCCACAAUCUUAGGUAAACCUAUCAUCUCAUUGAAGAUUCUGCAGAACAUGACAACAAGCUCCCUUCACUAGAUUGUCAAUCUGCAAAAGAAGGUUUAGACAGCUUAUCAUAAAAAGACAACUUUGACGUUAAACGAAAAGUAAAGCACUUAAUGGAGAACAGACACUUGGGAACCUACUACAUAGAUAAGUAUUGCUUGUCCAAAUACUUGAUCAGGAAAGACAAUUAUAAAAUAAUAAUAGGAUCCUCGCACAUUUUGAGUAUGAGGAACAACUCCUUUUUUUAACAGCAUAACAAAUCCCUCAUCCAACAAGAUAAAGUGAAUUAAGUGAUCAGAUAGCAUGAAGUAUGUGGGAAGCACACUCAAAAAUAUGACAGGAAGUUGCGGAUCUUUCAAGUUUCAGUUCUCGAACACGUCUAUUACUUGACUGACUCAAUUAAGAUCUAUGAAAUAAAUGAUGUACUUUGAUUAAGCUAAUCAUGAGUACUAAAAAUAAGUACUUCUGGAAACAAAAGCUAAGGUUAAUACUUAGUACAUUAAGCCAUUGAAUGCCUAAGCAAAAUAGGACUAUUUGUUAGAAAAAGUUUGCCCAGUUAGCAACUUCAUAUAGAUCCCUAGCCGUUACACCUGAAGACAUUUUAGCAUGAAUAGUUUAUUGCAUUCUAGGACUCUACAGAAAUAGAAGAAAGCUUACAGCUAUUAGUGGGGAAGCAUAAUUUUAAGAAUGGGAAUACUACAAAAUUGCAACUAUAACCAUGGGCAUCAAAUGUGGAGUAAACCUCACAAUAAUUGAUGACAUGGUUAGUGACCCUCGUAUUAUCGUGACCCCUCUUUAGCAGAAUGGAAUCAAAUUCAUGAAAAAAGAGAAGGCAAGGUGCUACAGCUGUUGCCUUUGAGAAUAUAUCCAAACCUGUAAUUUUAAAAUUGCCAUUACUCUCAAAUAUUCAGAAUUUCUCUAGUUUGUUCACAAAAUCAAUGCCAUCAAUGUGCAAAACAGAUGAUCUAGUAGACAUUUGAUCACAAAUUUCAAAUUUCUAGUAGAGAAAAACUUCAAAUAUCUUACAUCUUAAUAUUUCUCUUAAUCUUCAUAGAGGAUUCUCUCAUUCAUGUGUGAGAAAACUCAAGAACCAUUUUAACUUGGCCUCUUCCUUGGUUAUUGGAGAAUCCUCAUUGCUGUUGUUUAAAAUAAUACAAUUAGAACAUCUUGGUUGCAGUGGUAGGACCCUCAUUGCUGCUGCUAGUUAUUCCAUAUUUUGACUGCUGGCAUAGACAAAGGGACCUCUAUUAAAUGCAUACAAAAGCAAAAGAAGAAAGCACAAAAUUGUGAAAUGUAUGAAAAUAACAAUGUUCAAUAUAAUAUUGCAUAAUGGAACUCAAUAAACAUCCAUGUAUUGAAAAGAGGCCUCUUACAGCUUGCUAAAAGUACCAAUGUACUUAUCCACAGCUUGCCCUUUUAUUGAUAUGGAUUGAAGAGAACAAGUCAUUGCUGUAGCACCAACAAUAUGUCUUGCGUCAUUGCUGUAGCACCAACAAUAUGUCUUGCCAAAGCCUGGACAUCCAUGUAAAAGAACAUUUUGCCAUGGUCUUGGAGGAGCUUGUGCAAAAACGUUUUAUCAGCAAAUGUAAAAAUGAUAGACACAAAGAUCAAACGGGUUUAUUUAACAAGUUAACAGUAACCACAUUAUUAGCAGAGAGAGAGAGAGAGAGAGAGAGAGAGAGAGAAGAGGAAACGCACAAUAAGUCAGCUGAAAGAAUAAACAAAAUCUAGUCUUGAAUGACACAAAGGUGCUCUUUGCUAACACCACAAAUUGCAUAAUGCACAACUCUAUGCAGCUAAACCUAGUCUUCAAUGAAAUAUUUGACCAUAUCGACAAGUUUACUCCAAUAUCAAUUGUCCUGCAGCACAAAUUUCACGCAUAAAUGGCUAACUACUAGAAUGAAGAAAGAUAGUUCGUAGAUCACACUUGACUCAAGACGUGAAGCUUCUCCACUUCAGUUCAAAAGUAACCUGAAAAACACCUCCAAUUCUUCGUGAAGGAAAUAACUAAAUCACUCAUAUUGCAUAAUAGGUAGCAAUGAUUCACUCUUCCGUUAACCAAGCGUUAAUUCCUUUAUUUCAGUCCUCACAAAUCAUGAUUGUUCUCUAUUGGUAUUAAAAACACUCCAUAAAGUGAGACCACUACUCUUAAGUCCCAACCACCUCCGCCUUAUAAGAAAACCUAGCAUUUGCCAGCAUCUUUAGUGUGCUUACUAUCUAAAAGUUCCCUUCCACUUUAUCCUUUUUUUUUUCUGAGCAACAGGUGCCGCGAAGCACGUCAAUCCCAACGUUAAGCUGGUGCACAACAUAAACCAGCUAAGUAUCACCAUCGUCAAGUCGAGGCAAGUCAAAGUAUCACACGUUCAUGAUACAUGAAAGAGGAUUUUCCCUUAGAGACAACAGGAUGAACGAAUGCAAGAGGUGGUUCCAGAACCAAGAUGAAAGGUUAGCUAAAGGAAAACUCACAAAACAGGACACAACAAAAAACGAACUCUAGUUCUAUGGACUUACCAUCAUCGAUUAUCUUUGCCAAUCAAAUGAUACAUAUCUUAUCCAUCUCUAUUGAACCUCGGGCAAUCAAAGACCUUGAGUCGACAAGAUUUUGGCACACCCAGCACCCUCUCCAAUGAUUCACAAUGAUAAAACCACAAACUUUUCAGAUUCUGUAGAUUAGAAAGAUCAGAUUCGUUUAAGCUUUUGAUGGAAUUGCAUCCCCAAAUAGUCAAAUCCCGCAAUGAUUUCAGUUGUCCCAAACCCUGUAUCUCAGUUAGCAAAGGCAAUUGAUAUAGGGACAAACGCUGGAUCUCCUUCAAAUCAGGCAGAACAAGCAACGUCUUGAGCAAUGGACACUUGUACAUACACAAUUCAUUGAAUUUUCGUAGCUCUCCAAGCACCUCAAAUCGAAUCUCUUCCAACGAACAUGCAAGAAUAUACAACCUCGACAAAUUCUCCAAGUUGGAAAAGAUUGAUCAAUCUAUCAGUGACUGCACAUCCCAUAACCCCAAGUCUCGAAGGCAAGAUGGGAGCCCGAUUAGAGAUUGGGGCUCAGGACAACUUAUGUGGAGGCUUUGUAGCUGAGAGAGGGAACUGAAAUCGGUUGGAGGCAAGGCCAUUUUUCCAACGUACAAGAUCAUUUCCCUCAGAGCAUGUAGUCUCACGAUCCCCUCUGUGUUGGGUUCUUGCAUUGAAUUGCCGAUUAUCUCAAGGUAAACUAAAUUGGUUAGGUUUGAGUAGUCAGUGAUCAUGGUCAGCAAAUCCGAUGAAAGGGCUAAAGAUGCUAAACUCUUGGGAAGCUCAGGCAGCCAUUGGAUUGAAUUACAACCCUUUAAAUUAAUUUUUUGGAGAUUUGUAAGCUGAUUGAUGGUUGCCGGCAAUCCACUAAAGCGACCUUUAGAUAAGUCUAGAAUUUUCAACGAGGAUAAUGCCCCAAUUUCACUUGGAAUUUCCCCCACCAAAUGUUCAGAUUCAAACCAUAACUCUUCUAGAUUUUCCAACAUCCCUAUGGUUUUCGGAAGUUCACUUAUGCGGCUGAAAUUGAGAAUUAGUACCUUCAACUUUUUUAAAUUUCCAAUACAAUCAGGUAAGAUCUUGAUACUUGACCAAGUCAAAUCCAAAUUGACCAAUGAUUGGAGCCUCCCAAUCGAGUAUGGUAGCUUUUCUAGGGGGCAAUGUGAGAUGCGUAAAACUUUCAACCUUUCAAGAUUUUCAAUAGAAUGAGGUAAUUCAUUGAUAUUUAAAUUUUGGACAUCUAGCUCAAGUAGUGACUCCAAUUGUCCGAUAGAGUCGGGAAGCUUUUGAAGUUCCCUGCAUGGCAAAAUUAGAGACUUCACAUAUACCAAAUUAUCAAUCAAGAGAGGCAUCAUUGAGGGUGUCCGAUUUAUUCUUAGCACUAUCAAAGAUUUUAGACUACCGGCGGACUCCACUAGUGACUCAAUAGCUUCACUCUUUAUCUCAAGGUAAUCAAGAUGUUUUAGAUUGCCAAUGGAUUUGUCAAUCUUUCUUAGUCGAAUGCAUCUAAGAAUCAAUUUCUCCAGUUGCGAGAUUGCAAAGAACUUGGGCGUCCUUCUAAGGAAUGGACAAUCCUCGAGCUAUAGGAUUUUCAGUUGUUUUGCUACCUAUAAAGUAAUUGAGUAGACACUCAGAAAAGAGGAGUAAAUAUAAUGCAAAAGGAAGUCAUGAGAUCAUACCAUGAUUUGACACCAUCCUCCCCAAUCUUCAGUGACGUUAUUCCCGGAUAGCAUGAGAAUCGUUAAGUUCUUCAACCCAAGGUUGGUAGCUCGGAAUUUUGAAGGGCAAUUGCUCCAAGAGAGCCAUCUCAAAUUAAAGAAAACAUUCUUAAAGUCUCCUUCAAAGUUUCCGUGGUCCAAUUGAAGGAACCUAAGGUUGACCAAGCGCACAAAUUGCUUGUGCUUAAAUCUGUACAUCUUAUUGGGGUCAGGUGUACCAAGAUUGAGCAUCACUAUGUCUCUGGUUCCCUGGAAAAUAAAAGUAGCAACCAAUGAGUACAUAUGUAAGUUUGACUUGAAAUUAGAUAAAAAGGUGAUGACGCUAAUGGAUGCACUGGAAAACAUGUAGAGGUAAAGAUUACCGUUUCUAUCUGGACUACAUGAAAGGCAUCCUCGGGAGACCACAAUCUGGUACCUUUCAUAUGGAUUUCGCCACUUUCUGGAUGGACGAUACUCCUUCCAAGGUCUCUAAGUUGGUCGUGCAUCCAUAGUUUAUUAUCGUUGGAUAUUUUUAUUAGAGACAUGUGUAUGAGGAUAUUCAACUCGAUUUUUGUCGAAUACCUAAAAAUCGCAUCCCAAUAUUUAACUGCAGUUGUUUUCUCUUUGUUGAAGCAAAAACAUGCGAUAUCAAGAUAAAUUUGUUGUUGAUUAGGCUCCAAUGCUUCGUAGCUUAUCAUUAGCUUCUUCUUGACAUCCUCAUUCAUCACAUUCUUUAACUUACGUAGGGUGUCUUCCCAUGUUCUACGGCAUUUUCCACGAAGGAUGGAACCUACGACAUUGAGAGCCAAUGGAAGUCCUCCUAGCACAUUGAUUAGCUUAUAUGCAAUAUCCAUGUAAUCAGUUGGAGGCUCGGCACAUCCCAAGGCACGCUCACAGAAAAGUUGAAAAGCAUCAUGCAAAUUCAUCACCGGCAUAUUGUAGAAUGAAAAUUGUUCGCUAAUAGAGGCUAGGAAAUUGUCAUCCUCACCUUCCUUUACUAGGAAUUCAAUAUUCCUAGUUGUUAUGAUGAUUCUACUACCCCCACCAAACCAGUUGGGCUCACCGACAAGUCUCAUGAUUUGGUCUCGAUUGUCAAUGUCAUCCAGAACAAUGAGAACUUUCUUGUCAUGAAAUCUCGUCUGGAUCAUGUCAACCCCUUCAUCAAUGAAGGAUAGUUUUGUGCAACUCAAAUGGAAAAUGUCUGACAACAAUUUCUUUUGUAAGUUUAUUAUAUCAUGAGUCCGAACAUCCUUAAGAAAGCAGCAAUGUCUCUGAAACUGAGGGGAGAUUUGUCUGAAGAUAGCCUCACCCAAUGUUGUCUUUCCGAUGCCACCCAUACCAUAAAUCACGAUAAAUCGUACAUCAAAGGCUUCUAGAUCUAACCGCUUCAUAAUCUCAUCUGUUCGAUCUUUAAUUCCCACCAAAUGAUCAGGCACAUCUGUCCUUCUUGUCCGUAACAAACUAGAAACCUCUUUGACUGUGAGAUUCAUAAGUUCAUAUAGGCUGCCACAUGCAUGACAUGCAAUCAUCUCAGAUUGAAAAACCAUAUAUAUGGAAACUGUGCACACAUUACAUGGCACUAGAAGGUUAUCAUCAAGUUCAGAAUAAUUUUCUUUAAAAGAAACCAAUACAUAAAAGCUAUCUUUCAAGCUGUGAGCCAUUUGAAAACAAAAAUCCAUAAAAAAAAAAAAAAGAUGUUAUUCAAGAGAGGAGGAGGAGAGGGGACUUUAUUCAUGGUUGAAAGCUAAUGCUAUCAAAGGUUCUUUGGUUUAGUCAAUGAUGGGAAAAGGUUAUUUUGUGACAAGGGUCUAAUUGGGCUUCGACUAGAAGUCACUCUGGCAAAUUGUGACUAACUAGUGCUAUGAGCCGUUGUGUUGGAAUAGGUUGUGGGCCUUUGUUCCAUUUUAUGGCAAAAUUAUGCAAUCAAUCUUAAAUUUAUUAUACAACUGUCAAUUCAGUCAUAAACUUUUAAAUUUCAAUAAUAUUAUCCUAAAACUUUAUACAAAAUUUCAAUGUAGUCCUUGCAGUCAAUAUCCACCGAAAAUUGCUGAAGUGGCAUCUAUGCAUGAUUUCAACUAGCCACAUAGGACAAUGGCGAUGAAUGGAUGUCAUGUUAGUAAUUUCUCGCAGCAAUUGAGCAGAAAGAUUACAUUAAAAUUUCACGCAAAUAUUUAUGACCACAUUGACAAAAUUAAAAUGUCUAGUACUCAAAUGCCAUGCACAAUAAAUUUAGAACUAAUUUGAUAAUUAUGCCUCCACUUCAUUUUAUACUUUUUCACAAUGGUUGGUUUCUUCUUGUUGCACACAGCUAAUAGCGAGACCUCUAGAAGUUUGGUUGAAUAUCAAGUCCUCGGUAAACUUAGUAUUGAUAAUCUCUUCAAGCAAUAGGGAUGAGUUUAAAGGUUAACGGAAAAUAAAAAAUCUCACUCGUAGUUGCCUUGAAUAUCGGAAACAAGAAUACUAUCUCAAAAACAUUUUUCUUAAUGUACCGAUGGAUAGAAUACUACCCGAAAAUGAGGAAGAUUUUCUAGAAUAUAUAUCAACCUUGAUUUGAGUUGCCAACAAACAUUUCUCCAAAUAAGUUAGAAAUAUUUAUGCUACCCAUUCUUUUUAUAAUAUUGGUAACAGCAAACUAGUCGGUACCUUAAUCGGAAUAAAUUGGUGAGUAACUCAACUUAGGAUUGGUAAUUUAACAACAGAUUUCGUUGCCUAAUAAUGUUUGUAACCAGUGCAAAUAAAAGUUUAUGCGUUAUUAACAAAUUUUUUUAUGAAGGCUUGUAGUUUUGAAACAGAUAAUAAAUACUAAUAAGUAGCUCAAAUAAGAAUGGGUAGAUUAAACUAGUUAUUAACUUAAUUAGAGAUUAGUUAAUAUGACAAUCAUAUUAGAGUUAGUAAUUCGGUACAAUAUUUGGUAAUUUUGAAAUGUGGAGUAAACAAUACGGUAAGUUGUACAUAAGUUGUAAAUCGGCAAACAAUCUAAUAAACUUGGUAAAUGAUUCACACAAAAGCCGGUAAGCUAAAACUAGUUUGUAAAACAAUGGAAAAAGAAGUUGGUAAGACACAAAUUAAAGUUGAUAAUUUCAUAUAAAAACCGAUAACUUUAAAAUUAUGGAUGGGCAUGGAGCAUGGGAAAUCUGCGCCCCGCAGUGGCCUACCUUGGAUGAGGCAAUUCUUUUGAGGAAAAAUUUUCUCAAAACAAUUGCCUCCUUGGGAAUGUUGCACGACACAAGUUGGGCAUGGGCAGUAAUAGGCUAGCCCUUCCUGUUCUUGAGGAUUGAAACUAUUAAUGCGUUUAACGAAAGAUAGAAACGGUAAGGUUUAAUGAAGAAGGAUGUAACUAAGCAGAGAGUAAUGGCUAGGGUUCAUAGAAAAACUAUCACAAACUAGGAUAGAGGAUAGCUCCAUAUCUCAAGGUAAUUUACAAUUGUUAAAGUACUUAUCUAUUUUCUAGAGGCUUUUAGAUUUCUCCAACCAUAACUACAACUACAUGGAAGUCCCUUAGGUGAAUUUUUGGUUAAUCAAGAUAUGAGGCCAUGAAUAGGUCCAUGUUUAAAGCAACAACAAGAACCAAUUUUUAUGUUUUAACAUUCUACUAUAAAUCACUAUAGAAGAAUAUUCAGUUUAGGGUUGCAGAUCUUGUCUGUGCACAGCUGGCCACUAGAGGAGCCUAUGACCCCUGCCCCACCACAAUGAAAACAAAAGCCCAAGAUUGAUAACACACCUGAACCUAAGUCAGUCCUUUGCAAACUAAUCAAGAAUUACUAUAAUAAAAAUAUACUGGAAGAUUGAACCUCUAACACUUACAGAGAUCCUUUUUUUUUUUUUUGGUUCUUUUGAAUAAUGGCAUACAAAGAUCUUUGCAAUGUUCGGUCUUGUAUACUCAAACCAAAUAGAAAAACCAUGACCUCUAGUAUCCUUUAAAGGGGUUAUAAAACUAUCAUCAUAAAAAUAUCCGUUAUUUUUGUGUAACUUGGUGGUGCGACCGUAAUUAGCCGGUUAUUUCAAGCAAAACAGCAGCAAAGCAUAUGAAUUCCCUUGGGCUGAAACCAAAACCACAAGGAUCGGUUUUUUCCUCUUGGCCGUAAGUUUUUGGAUAUCGUAUAGACUGCGAUAGACUAAAUAUAUGCUAUAAUAUCUCUAUGUUUCCUUAAUGUAACAAAAACAGAAAGAUCUGACAUCAAACUCAAUCUAAUUUUUCAGGAAAACAUUAUAGGCAUAGGGUCAAGGAAAAUUACACCAAAAGUCCUUAAAUUCAUAUACGCAAUGCAAUUGAAGUUAAAAACUUAGAUUUUUUAUUUUUCACAAAUAUAUGGUCUUACUAUUUUGUCACAUCUUAGAUCUUCAUGGAUUUCUUGGUUUUUUGGCAUUAUAGAUUAAUUAAUUUUUCUAUGCCCUAACUUUAAUUGUUAUAAAAACCUGAUAUUAAAAGUGAAAAGUCAAUUUGUGAAAGAAGCGUCGCCCUCUGAGCCAAAUUUCUAGCUGCCUCAUUGCGUCAAAUCCAACCAUAUGUUGCAUAAGGUGGACAGCAGCAAUCGAAGAACUAUUCUUUAAAGGACGAGAAAUCGAAAUUUCACAAAGAAAAUAAAGUCAAUGGAUAAACAAAUAGUACCCGUGAUCUUUUAGAUUCCUUCCUCUAAUUCUGGCAACCUCUCUUAAAGCCUUUUUCCACUUUUUUGCUAAAUCUUUCCCAUAUUCGCUCUUGUGCUUUCGAAGGGCUUUCCGAUAUAACUUAGUCUUAAGCUUGACAUCAUCCACGUCCACCUCGUAAAAUAUAGGGAGAAUCACUCUCUCAUCAUUACCUCUUGAUAGCUCUACUAUGCGUGCCAGCUCACGGAGGCACCACUUACUUGAAGCAUAGUUUUCGGAGAAUAUCGGGAUGUAAAUUCUAGAGUCAUUGAUCGCUUGCAAGAGGCCACCUUCGAUCUCUUCACCAAAUCGGAGCUCUUCGUUGUCUUUGAAAACGCGGAUCCCCGCAUGGAUCAGGUCAUUGUAGAGACAAUCAGCCAUGGUUAAGCGGGUGUCGGGCCCUCUGAAACUCAGGAACACCUCGUAACCCCUCCCCGAUCCACCAUCACGGCUACUGCCUGUCCCAGCUGCCAUCGCCGUCUCUUCUCCCUCCCUCUUUCUCUUCAUUCUAGUAGCAAGACGGAGUGACGGAUCCCCGAAUCGAGUCUGCCCAGUGACUUGGGAAGUCUUGAGUUUGAUUCUUGUAACAACUUGAUGACGCAACGGAGAGAGAUCUCUCACUUUCGCUGCGUUCGCCUGGAAGUUACCUGCGGCCGGCCUUCGCAAGUGAAAAAACCAUUCAGAUCGACAAAAUAAUUGCUUCGAAGAGAAAACACGGAAGGAGAGAGAGAGAGAGAGCUGUGCAUCAGUUUUCACCUUCAAGCAAUAAGUGUGUUGCCCACAGCCGCGAAUAGACGGAGUGAGGCUGCCUCGAGGAGAGAGAGUCGGAGACAGAGAUGGUGGCUUGGCUGAGACGGGACGCGAAACGAUCAGCGCAGGCUAUGGCCGAGGGGCUCGACGGCCAGGGGUGAUGGCACGAGAAGGGGAUACGACGUCGACGGCGACGCAGCAGCGAGGUGGCGGAGGCUUGCGGUGACCGACAGGUGGAGGCGAGAGACUGAUGGAAGAGUACUGGAUUUUUCAGAGUCCGGGUAUUUUUUCUUUUUUCUUUUUUUUAUAGAAAUUCGUCAAGAAGAGAGGGCAGUUUGGUCAUUUAGGAGGGGUAACCGCACCAUGGGGGAAAAGAGACUCCCGGAGUCGCGCGUUUGAAGUACUCCGUCAAUGACGGAGUGACGGUCAGCUAAGGACCGCACAUCUAAGAUGGAAACCGGUUGACUUUUUUGACAGGUUUCCAUCUUUUAUCCAAUUUCUUCUUUUUCUAAUUUUUACGUUUUCUAAAUCACUCUGUCAAAGAUGGAGUGACGAUCAGCUAAGCCGCGCUCAAACUAAAACUAGGUACUUUGCCCAAGCUUUACGUGGACAUAUAUUGAUAAAUGUACUUUAAUUAUGUUUGUUUUAAUUUUUAUUUUUAUUAAUGUCAUUAAUUUGGGAUUGUUAUAACACUCCGUUUGUUAUCCAUUAGGUAUAAAAUUACCAAGUAAAACCAUUUGUCAAAUCAAACAUGGAAAAUACGACCCGAAAGUUUAAAGUCCAAUUUAACUUUUAACAAAGGCAUGGUAAAAAAUUAAAAACUAAAUUUGAAUAUUACUACUUCCUAUACAAAUUGGAUUCUACUUUUCAUUUUAUAAUAUGCGGUUUCUUUUUCCAGUAUCAUAUUUUCAAAGGACGUUUUAAUUCAACCUCAAUGGCUGAGUUAAACCUUGAGACCAUCUUAGCUUCUUCCUAGUGUAAAAAUUCCUAUGUGACAUCCAAGAUUGAAAGGAAAACCCUUUAUAAUAAGUCAAUUUUGGACGGUUGAUCCUUAUGACCAAAAAGCAUCCAGCAUCGAGUCUCUAUCCCAUGCUUGCAAUCACAUUGCAUAUGUUGCCCACUAUUAAGUGCUUGUUUUAUUAAAAAACAAAAGUCACCAAAAAUUCUAAAUUAUGUUCCCUAUGAUACAUUUACCCCAAACUUUUUUUAGACACUAGGAAUCUCAAAUUUGUAUAUAUGUGACACAAUUAUCCCAAAUUUAUACAGUGAGACAAAUUUAUCCCAAACUUCUUCUUAUGAUAUAAAAAAUCCUAAAUUUGUAUCUGUAUGCCACAUUCACCCUUAAAAUUUGGUGUCACGGAAAAUUUUUUGGGGAUUUUGGUAUCACAAAAAAAGUUUAAGGUAAAUAUAUCACAUAGAUAAAAGUUUAAGAUUUUUAGGGUUACCAAAAAAGUUUGGGUAAAUGCAUCACACAGGUGAAGUUUGGGGUUUUUGUGGAUUUUUCCCUUUUAUUUAUUCUUUCUUCUCUACAUGGGCUAAAGAAUGUAGAUCUUCAUGCUUUGACAACUAGUGAUUCACCCUUGCUCUCACCAUGAUGGAAUAGGUUUCCUUUAAUUUGCUUAGCACCGACUAAUAUGGAAACUGCUGGUUCAAACCUGUCCUACACACUCUAAUCAAUGUUUCUUAAACAUAUUAUGAUUUCUGCCGGCGUUUUUCCUAAGUUGUAGAAAAUCACCAGGAUGGAGGCCAAGGAUUUAGAGCGACAAUUCUCGUUCCUUGAUUUUGGAUGCCCCCAUCAUUCCAAUGACAUUAAAUGUGAGAAGUGACGAGCUAAUGUCGCGAUUUUCUAGCAUCAACAGCCCUUUUCCCCCUAAAACACUACCGGUCGAGAUAUUUGACGAUCGACGGGCACGAUUGCGCUAUUUCCGCCCUUUGUCUCCAGAAAAUGACUGAAUAGCUACAGAAAUUUCCGGUUCUUGCCAUGAUUUUUCUCUCUAAGCGAGGCAGGUAUAGGGAUUUUUCUUUUGAUGAUCAGGUACAUAGACAAUAAUGAGAUUGUGGUUUAAGUUAAUUCGUUUUCUUUCAUGUGGGGCCUAGUUGUUCUAGUAAAUUGGAAAUGCUGAUAAGAUGAAUUUUGCUGAUAUCGAGAAAAAAAUCAACAGUCUUGUAAAGAAGGCAAAUGAAUGAUGGUCCCAUCUCCUAUCAUCCUAUCAUCCACCCUCCUUAGGUUUGUGACGUUACCAUCUCAAGUUGAAAUGCCAUGAUGCAACUUUUUCUCUCCAAUUUUUGUGACUGGGUUUGCUUUGUAAUCGGUGCAUGUCUAGAAGUAUAAUUCCUCUUUUCUUUUACAUGGAGUCUUCUAGCAUUUUGUUGAAAUCUGACAUAAAAUUUCCUUUUCAACGGCCCAAGAUAUUAGGUAUACCGUAAGAAAACCAGUAUCACGAAUUCAUUAUUAUUCCUAACUUAGAACAGUAUAUGCAGAUCAACACAUACCAAACGGAUUGACUAGACAAACGUACUUUAGUGCUUUUUCUUUGUCUUCACAAGAGGGUCAGACAAGCACUUGAUGAUGGACUUGCGUGUGUUCUAAGCAAAGAAGAAAGGCCACAGAUUUAUUUCUAAUUGAAACUAUUCAAUUCAAUCGUGGCGUGAAUCAUGGAAUGCUAAUUAAGAUGCUUUUCUUAGUGCAUUUCCAGUUAGACAUUCAUAAGAUUGUAAUAAUAUAAAAUGAAUUAUGUAGCAUGAUUCUUAAAAUGGUUAAUACAUUGAAAAACCCCCCAAACUGGUAUACCUGUGACAAAUUUACCUCAAAUUAUUUUUUCGACCACCAAAAACCCGAAACUGGUAUAGCUUUGACAAAUUUAUCCUAAAUUGGUACAUUUGUGACAAAUUUACCCAUUCGUUAAAUUUUACUAUCAAAUUAUUAAGUUAAAUGACACAUGAAAGUUGAUUGGUAUACCAAUUUGGGAUUUUACGCUCUGCUUGUUACAGUUUACAAUUUUUCUCUCUGUUAGUUUUCGAAGAUGAGGAGGUCGUUUCGGAAAUAUAUCAUAUGAUUGCAUAUUCUUUAGAUGUUGGACGUAUUGGGCAACCUGACAUCUGUUCCACUUUCCAUUACCUUGUUAUCAUGUUCCAUUUGCCUGGAAGUAGCCUGCGGCCUUCCUUCAUAAGUUAUUAAAAAAAAAACCUUAAAGAAAAACCUUUAAAAAAAAAAUUUGGACUCGCACCAAAUGGGAGGCUAAGGCUGCGCAUGGUAAAAUUUCUGUUUCUCAAUUUCUCAAUUUCUCUAUUCCCCGGAACAGGUUUGGAACAGAAAUCCGUUUGGUAAUGCAAAUUGAUUUCUCUAUUUUUGUUUCAAAUUUCUAUUUCAGAAAUUGUUUUGGGUAAGAAAUGAGAAGCUAAAAAUUUUAGCUUCUCUAUUUCCUGAAGUAGAAAUAGAAAUUGUUUCUAUCCAUCCCCUUCUUCCUUCAGCAAAUAUCGACUCUUCUCUCCUCACUAUCGUAGCUUUCCCAUUCCUUCUCCUCACCUCAAACCAGAAACCCUAACGACUCCGAAGCUGUUCAUCAUCACCGUCGCCGCUCAUCUCGCCGUCGCCGUCGCCCUCGCCGCUCAUCUCCACUGGCCAAUUUGCUCCGGUCGUCCCGUCCGACCUGCCUCGUCCGUCCACGUCCCCAGUCGCCAUCGCCCAGUAGCGGUCGUCGUCGCCCAACUCCAGUCGCCGUCGCCGUCGCCCAACUCUAGUCGCCGCGCCCAUCUCCAACCGUCGCCCAUCUUCGUCCGCGGAUCCAGUCGCCCAACUCCAGUCGCCGUCGUCGUCGCCCAACUCCAGUCGCCGCGCCCAUCUCCAGUCGUCGCCCAUCUUCGUCCGCGGAUCCAGUCGCCCAACUUUAGUCGCCGUCGCCGUCGCCCAUCUCUGUCGCCCAUCUUCGUCCGAGUCCCCUUCCGCUCUCGAUUCCGCGGAUCCAGUCGCCGUUGCCCAUUUCUGCUUUCGAUUCCUCACAAGGUUCGAUCGAUCCUUCCCUUUUCGCCUCUUUCUUGGUUGUGUUGUCUCUGUUCUUGUUCAUUUGUUCGGUUUUGGGGGUACUUGGCUUCAACCCUAGAGUUUUGGCUUGCGGAGUUACUGUGAUUACUGGGGAGUGCUUAGUUCCGGGGCUCGCCUGCGUUUGUCCACGGGCAUUUUUUGGCGAGGGGAGCUGGGCCGGUCAUUCUGGAUUGGGCGGUUUCGUGGAAUAGGAGGUAGGGAGUGCUGGAUUUGUGUGGACGGAUUGUGGUAGGUGAUCAAGACGGGAUUUUGGGAGGUUUCUUGGGAGCCGUUCGCCACUAGGAAAUAUGGAGCCCUUAUGCGUGAGGAAGGGGGGGAUUCCUGCCACCGGAAUUCCUAGGAUAGUUUCCUGAAAUAGCUGUGAUGGUUGAUUGUGGCGGAGUAGAUGGUGGUUCAUGGCUGCAUCUCGAGUUCUGUUAAUUUUUUGGCCCUUGACUUGUGUUGGAUAUCGAAGUUUUUCACAAAAGAAUCGAAACCUUGCUUAGCGUGCAUAAAGACGCAUGGAGUUGUUAGACCAGUUAAAUUCUGUUAAUUCCAUGUUCUACCUCUAUCCAUUCCUUACCUUUUGAACAUGUGAAUGGAAAGAUCGAAUUCAUAUCAAUGCUGCAUCGCUUCUUUUUACAGCUAACAGAAGAGGUGUGAUACUCUUUCUAUUUAUAUCCAAUUCAAUGUGGUCCUAUGUAGCACUCACUUUGAGGCUCCUUUUCAUACCAAGAUUAACCUUACAACUUCAAUUACUCUUUAUUUUUUGGUUGGGACCUGCACUGGUGGACUAGAUUUGGUAGUUUAUGCAGUCAAUUAAAAAUGAUGACUGAAAGGUUUAGAAAAGGGAAUUUCUAGCUCAUGAUGUUUUUGUUUGAGAAAAUUUAUUCAGAAAUAAAAGAAGUGACAAUAUCCUUAAAAAAAAUGAGGAUAAAUGGUGUACUUUUCCCCGGUUGACAUUGCUUAGUAGAAGUCUUAUAUUAUUGUAUAAAUUUCUUGCUGGUGCAAACUCUAAAGCCGGGAGUGACUUGCUUUUGGAUUCCAUGCAUUUUGUGCAAUCAAGCAUUCACUGUUGUAUCAUAAAUUUCACCAUUUAGCUUCUAUUAAUCUUAUGUAACUGUUUUUCUUGUUAUUUGUGAUUCUUUAACUUCUAAUUUCAGCUUAUCCUACAUGAUGUGCUUGUUAAUCACAAGCUUUUGUUCUUGAAUUGGUGCAUCAUCUGAUCGCUUUCAUUGAAUACUGAUUCAGUUAAGGUUAAAUGGCACCCCACAAAGAAGCAUUUAUAGCAAAGUGGACUGAGUCUUUGACCAAUGUGCUUAUAAGUUUGUUGGUGGAAGAGGUGAAAAAGGGAAAUCGCCCCACCUGCACCUACAAUAAAGUAGGGUGGAAUAACAUACAUGCCGAGUUCAAUAAACAAACAGAACUCCACUAUAAUGUAAUUCAAUUGAAAAAUAAGGUAAACAAACUAAAGAAGCAAUAUAGUAGUUUUAAGAAGCUUCUUUCACAAUCUGGAUUUGGAUGGGAUAAUGUCAACAAAACAGUUACUGUGGGGGAUUCAAGUGUAUGGGAUUCUCACAUCAAGGUAUCACUUUACUUGGGUCCAUUUUCUCUUAUUGAGGCUUCAAUUAUAUUGUUAAUGUAUGUCAUUUCAAUGAAAUUUGCAGGAUAAUACUGAAUGGGCUAAAUUCAAGAAUGAGGGGUUUCCUCAGUAUCCAGACCUUUGUAUUGUGUUUGGUGAUACAUAUGCUACUGGGGCGUAUACAGCAGGAAAUGCAGAAGAAAAUGCAGAAGAGUAUGUGGUGUCGGAUGAAGAAGACAAUGGUGUUAGUGGCGACAAUGGUGGUGGUGCUACCAUAGGUGAUGCGGAGGAAUCUAAUGAAAACUAUGUUGAUACGGGAGUCCUUGCAUCUGACGCGACUCCCACCUCAGUUCGUGAGAAACACAAGUUGAAUAGGACCCCAAAUUCCAAGAGGAGAAGAAAGAGUAACAACCAUGAACUCGGUGUCACCAUGAAAGCCAUUCAAGAAAUGAUCAAAUUAAGGACCGCCAAAUCAACAAGUGACUCCAUAACCUCAGAGGCCCCACCUCCUGUAGCCCCACCUCCUGUAGACCCCCACUCCAUAGCAGUUGUGGUCGCCGUUCUAAAUGGCAUGUCUGAUUUGGAGCAAAAUCUUUACAAUAAGGCUGUGAAUCAGGCAUGCCUUAAUGCCACUUGGAGAAAGGCUUUCAUGGUUGCUCUACCUGAAAGGAGGCAUGGACUUAUUGAAUCUCUUGAGUAGUUGUUAAGAAACAUGCUAUAGAUUUCUAUUUUGUUUAAUUUCAUUCCAUGACUUAUGUAUUUGAGACUUUGUUUGUUUAUGUUUUUAUGUUGCACUUAUGAUGACAUUAUUGCUAUCGUUGAUUAAUAUUGGAGUCCUUAUCUAAUGGGUUUAUAUUCUUAUUUUGUGUGAUGAUAUAGGUAAUAUGGAUGAGGGUGAAAGUAGCAUGUCUAAUGGUCAAGUAGCAUCAGUUGAAUCAAUUGGACAGGAUUUUGAUGAUUUUGAUCUUGAUAUACCGAUAGCAUGGUUGGCCACUGUUGCAGUGGAUCUGUCUAUGCAUAUGAAAAAACCUAUUAGGGAUAGCUUAUUAUCGGGAGCGCAAUGGAUAAGCGAGGUUCUUCAUGGGCAUUCCGAUAGAGUAUAUGAAGCUUUUAGAAUGGAGAGACAUGUCUUUCUCAACCUUUGUGGUCUAAUGAAGGAAAAAGGUUGGUUGGAAGAUACUCGAUAUAUUGGGGUAGAUGAACAAAUCGGGAUUUUCUUAUCUAUGAUUUGUCACAAGAACUCAAAUAGAAAAUUAUGUGAGAGAUUCCAGCAUUCUGGACAAACUAUAAGCAAAUACUUCACGAAAGUAUUGCAAGCAGUUCUCAAAUUGGCAAAAGAGAUUAUCAUACCACCUUCCUUUGAUGUUGUUCCACAAGAGAUUCUUAUGGAUCCUAAGCAUAAACGUUACUUCAAGGUAGAAUUCUCAUAUAUUCCUUUACACCAUUAAUUUUAUUUGGUUGAUAAUUUUGUAUAAUACUAGUCUUUGAUAAAAUGACAGGGCUGUAUAUGUGCUAUUGAUGGCACCCACAUUCAUGCUUCUAUACCUGUGUCGAAGCAAAUCCCAUUUAGAGGUAGGAAAAGCACCACCACUCAGUAUGUGCUGUGCGUUUGUUCGUUUGAUAUGAAAUUUACUUUUGUAUAUGCUGGUUGGGAAGGCUCUGCCAACGAUUGUUGAGUGCUUGCAGUAGCAUUGGAGACUCCUCACUUGGAAUUUCCUCGGCCGCCACCAGGUAUUUGUUUGUCCUUUAAGGAGUAAUUUUCUUUAUGAUCAUAUUUAUAGUUACAAAUUAUAACCAAUGUAUAAAUACAUUAUUGUAGGCAAAUACUAUGUCAUGGAUUCUAGUUAUGCAGCUACUCCGGGAUUUUUAACUCCUUUUAGAGGUGACCGAUAUCAUUUAAAUGAGUAUAGGGGUAGAGCGAGACGGCCAACAACUGCAAGAGAAUUGUUCAACUAUAGGCAUUCUUCUUUAAGGAAUGUCAUUGAAAGAUCAUUUGGGGCAUUGAAGAAUCGCUUUUUCAUUUUGAGGCACAUGCCCUCAUUUGCACUUCGAAAGCAAGCACAUAUCGUAAUUGCAUGUUGUGCCAUCCAUAGUUACAUCCGUGAUCAAGACAAGAUGGAUAUGAACUUUUCCCUAUAUGGAGAUCCGAUGUACUUGGCUAAACCUACACAGGAUGACCUUGCAAACAUUCAGUUGACCGAGGAGGGAAACCAAAUAAAUACGCUUAGGAAAACCAUUGCCAAUAAAAUGGCAAGGGAUAAUAAUAUGCCGGAAAUUCCAUGAAAUUGUAUUUUCAACUUUUGUAAUGCGUUAGUGUUAUUUCGACUAUUAUUUUGUAUUUGAGGAUUUUCUAUGUUGUUAUCUAAUCAAUUUCUAUUUCUAGCACAAUUUCCAUUUUAUCAAUUUUGAAUCUCUCGCAAAUUGCGCGUACCUCUAUGUCAACUAGUACCUACCAUAAAAUCACUUCGUGGUCUCAAAAGAAUGCAAAAAAAUGUAGUGACUUAAACCCGAAUCUUGAAUGAGGAGAAUAAAUACAUUAACUAUUUGCAUAUUAGCAUUUGAAACUACCAAAUCUUUUAUAGUUUGCAUAUUAGCAUUUUUUAUACUAAUUACUAGAUUUUAUUUACAUAAAUUGCUAAUGUUUUGAAGUUCUUAACUACUUUAUCGAAUUACCAAUAUAAAUUAAAGUGAUUUACCAACUUUUAUCAAAUUAAAUUACCAUCACAAGCACCAAGAAGAGUGAGAUAAAAGGAAGGGGACAACAUGAUUCAUAGAAAUAGAAAUUUUUUUUCUGUUAUCAAACGGAUUUUUGUUUCAGAAAUAGAAAUUUUGAGUCGUUAUCAAACGGAUUUCUUUGCUCAGAAACUUGUCCGGGGAAUAGAAAUUGAGAAAUUGAUUUCUGGCCAGAAAUCAAUUUCUGUUUCAGAAAUUUUACCAUGCGCACCCUAAAUUGAGGAAAUAAUUGACAAAAGUCUUCAAAGAGCAGGAGGUUGUCUCGGAAAUAUUUUAUUACUGCAUGUUGGUCAGAUGUUGGACAUUUUGGACUGUUGCAUUAUAUUAUUGUAUGUCAGUUAGAUGUUGGACUUAUUGGAGAACUGAAUAUAUUAUAUUAAAAUUUAGUUAGAUAUAUGUUGGACGUAUUGGACAAGUUAAUACAUGUUCCACUUGCCAUUACUCUGUUGUUAUGUUCCAUUUGCCUGGAAGUCACCUGCGGCCUUCCUUCAUAAAUUCAAAAAAUUAAUUGAGAUUCACACCAAUUGGGCAGCUAAGGGUAAUGGCGGAUAAGUAGAGUCUUCAAGUGUCUUUAGUUCAUGAACUUAUGCUCCGUGUAUGAUACUGUAAAAAAACAUAGACUUUUUCGAAUGUUGAUAUGCAAUAUGAAAUUUUAUAAUUACAUGUCUAUACAUUAUGAAUGAAAAAUUACAUUUGAACUACAUCAAUAUGCACAUUACCAUGAUCUUGCCAAGAUGAACUUUGAAAGAAUUUAAUGAAUCGUUAGGCGGAGACAUAUAACUCUCUUACAAUGUGGUGCUUACGCAAUGUACAAUUCUUCCAAAUCCCGCCAACCACAACUUGAUUUCUCUUUUAUUAAAUAGUUGAAUUUUAAUCAGAGUUGCCACUAACCUAUUAUAGGCUAGUUGUGAGCCAAGUAAGGCAUAGGAGCUCGCCCCACUUUGGUGAACUAGAGGCUUUGGAUGCAAGAACUUGGUUAAGCUAGUUUUGCCUAGCACCUAUCACUAGUAACUUUUUUCUUUUAAUAAAAAUGAUUUCUUCCAAUAUAUUUUCAUUUUUUAUUUCUUAAACAUGUAAAUCUAUAUUAUCAUACAUAGAUACUCAUACAAUAAAUUUGACCAAUCAAUGAUAAAUAUAAAGACGGAACAGAAUAAAAGCAAUUUCAGCCGUAUCAAACCAAAUUAAUACAACGCUUUGUUAUAAAUUCCUAAAACAGGACCUGUGAGCUAUUCAUAAGAAGAGACAUGCACUAGUCUAAUAAAUGAAAAUUUUUUAAUCUUUGUAAUCAGAAAUUAAUCCUAAAUGCAUUAUGAUGCAACUAACAAUAGUCAAUAUUAAUCUCAUCCUAUAUUGUACUGCGAAAAAGCCGAUACGCAUUAAAAAUGCUUCUUUUAUACUUUAUAUAUGUGUGUAUAUUAAUACGAAGGGAUUAUCUAUAUAUGAGAAAAAAAAUAAAACUAAAUUUAAAUGUUGGACUAUAAUAAGAAAGAGACGUCAUCUAAACUCUGAGUCGGAAGAUGGCAUUGGCUAGACUGAUACCUAUUCGACAUCUCCAUUUUCAUCUGUGUAUGAAAAAGACACAUUCGGCCUAUCCCCGAGCUUAAAAAGAGGACCCAAAGCAUGCCUCGACAAUCCUAGAGUGAUCACAAAGCAAAGGGACCAUGGAGGACCGACCCGGAGAGUCUCAAAUAGACCAAAAGUGGGAUGGAUGCCCACGGCCUGAACAAUGGGCAUCCGAUCCAUUCCCGAUCGUCGACACCUAAUUUUGGCUAAUGGAUUAGUCAUUCAUUAAACGGGAAAUUAGGGAUCAAAUCAGACUUUAAACAAAUAUAUCAAUGUUGCAUAAUUUGCAUUAGCAUUAUAUUUGCAUUUUUAUUACACUUCAGUACUGACAAAUAUACAGGGAACUAGAGGUGACCUCGAGAAGUGACUUGGCAUGAGAUAGAACUUCAAAAUCCAACUUGCCAUGAGAGAAGUGAGCUUAAAUGGGCAAUCAUGGUGAAGAAAUGUGCUUAAAUUGACAUUCACAUGAUUUUUGUAGCUCAAGCAUAGAAAUUAAGCUAGAACGUAAAUUUCCCACCUUUUUAGUGCUCAAACCCGAGUUCGAGAGGCAAUGUGGGCCUAGAAUCAAAUUGCUAACGGCUGCAAGGUCAAGUUUAGUCAAUGAGCCAUGGAACAUCCUCUCCAAGAUUGUUGAAAUUUUAGGGUCCAAACAGUGAGUUAAACGAUAAUCCCAAAGUUUUGAGAAAUCAGCCAUAAUUCCAAAUUGUGAGAAAUCAUCCAAAUUUAGAUCGAGCCGAUAACGUAGCAUUUUGUUUCAAUAGCUGUUAUCGCAUCAAACACUUCCCGCUUAAUCCAACUGCCAACCACCCCUCUUCAUCUCUCCUCACCCCAUCUACGUCCUCCAUUUUGAAGUCAUUUUAGUCUCGUUAUUUAACCGAUUGUAAGCUCCAUCCCGUCUAGUCCUAAUGCUAACCCAAUUAGGACCUGUAAAGGCUUCAUAAACCUCCUAUGGCCAGCCAAAAUGAAGACACAACUCAUUCAGGAUAUCUCAAAUUGCAAGCCUCUCUAGGCUCUUCUUGGCCUUGCUCAGCGGUGUCCUCUCCUCUUGGUGUCCAACCGGUGGCUCCUCCAUCCUUAGGCAUUCUUCACCGGCAUUCAAGGUUCGGUAGCCACCACUUCUAGCUGUUUUGAUCCUCUUUAUAUAGGCGUUCCCCCUCCAAUCCAACCUUUGAAGAUGCUUCUGAAGAGUUAAAGAGGCGUUGGGAGUUGGUUGUAGCAAAUGUCAACGUUUAGGCUGCCCAUAUAGUUCGCUCCUGCCGGCAAAAAAAAAGGUUUCUUGAAAUGAAGUUUGUUAUACUAUUCCAUCAAAUAUAUAGUCUAACACACUGACCAAAAGUGCCAAAGAUGUCCUCACUUGUUUUUUGUCCUUCGGCCAUGGAUUCCCGACUUGUUAACAACAAUUUUCUUCCAAUUCAACGGUCAACCUAGGAUGGAUUAUUGAACAAUCCCUUCUAGGAAUUGAUAUUUGCACCAUCAAUUGCUCGUCAUCACUUGUUUGUUAAUAUUCUGUUGAUGAUAUCGAUUGUAUUCUUUGUGGAACAACUUGCAAUUCAUUAUCCAAUGGUCUUCCUGAGCAUACCAGUAUCCAAGGGCUUAAUCACCUUAUCUUGGUCCCUCCAAGUCCUCAUGAACCGCUCAUCAUAUCUAACUUGUUCUCCUUUUGUCAAGGCCUACAUCUUUGUGCAUGUCCAUCACUAAGCUUUACAGACACCAUUGAUAUAAUCAAUUCGUCCUAAAAUUAUCAUCAAUUUAUCAUGACAAACAUCUACAAUCAUGUAGUAGAUAUUAAACCAAUGAUAGUUUUGAAAUCAUCAAACUAUCAUUGGAAGUUUUCCCAACACUUAUCAUUGUACACUAUCGNNNNNNNNNNNNNNNNNNNNNNNNNNNNNNNNNNNNNNNNNNNNNNNNNNNNNNNNNNNNNNNNNNNNNNNNNNNNNNNNNNNNNNNNNNNNNNNNNNNNGUCCACCAAAGAAUGGAUGAUCUUCACACUCGUUGAAAGACAUCGAUGUAGUUUGUUGAUCUUGAGGUUGAGUUAGGGGUUUGCGCGACAUGAAUUUGAAUCAUCCGGUUUUUCUAUCAUGCCGUCAGUGUCCUGCAUUUGUUGCUGUUUCUUGGGUGACCCAGGCACAUAGGGAGUGUGUAGCAUCUCGGGAUUAGUGUAGGAAUUGAAGUGCCACCUCAAGCUCGAAGAUUCUUAAUUGCCAUUUGAGAAGCGGUUGGGAUCCAUUACGAGAUUGAAUGAAGUAAAUCAUAUAUAGAAAGUGCAAAUUUGCAAGAAAUUACAGAUUUGUAAAAGAAUGAGAAUUUGGGAGAGAGUGAUGAAUGGUGAAAAUGAGAGAAUGGGGCUCUAGUUUAUAGAGAAUUUGUGAAUUUUUUUUUUCCAGUGGAGGCCCACUGUUGGGCUGAAAGCAGUCACUAAUUAAAUUUGUCAAAUGGGUGGAUCGGGUCAUGUCAGGUCAGGUCAGAUUUGGGUCAAGCCGAGUCAAAAAUGGUCCUAUGUAAAUUGAUCAAUUUAACCCUUUUAGCUCAUUUUCAUACAACACAAAUAUAGUGAUCUAUACCCAACCCAUAAUGUUAAAAUACUUAUAUAUUUAACUCAAAUUAGGAAAAUUAAUACCCAAACUAAAGUGAAAGCAUAGAAUAAAUGAACGUGAAAGAGAGUGAAGAGAGAGUUGUAGAAGUAAGUUUAGUCUAAGUAAAUUGCGAACUCAUUUAACACCCACAUUAAACCCAUUUAUGAUCCAUAGAGUUAGGUCUAAACCCAUUUACUGAACAUAAAUAUAACUAACACAUAUAAUAACUUUGUCCAUCAAGAAUGGGUUGAGAAAUUAGUUGAAGACCUAUUUAGAUAGAUCUAUCACUGACCAAUGAACCCUUUUGAGAAAUGGAUUGGCCACGUGUGGCCCAAAAGCCCACUGAGCCCAACCAAAUGCCAACUUCAUUCAAAAGAACUAGGCCUAGGCCACUCCACUAGGUCCAAUGCAUGGCACGAGCCCAGGGUGAGCUGAUAUAUUGAGAUACUGAUGACAUAAUCACCGGAGCAUGCAACUAUUGAUGCAUGUUAGACAAAUUGAAUGUACAGGUCAAAAUUAAAAAACAGACAUCGAGGAAGAAUAGGCAACCUUGCCUUUUUAAAUAGUCAUGGGAUGGUAUAUCUCGAGAUACUUGUACAUAAUUAUCUUAAAUUCGAGUAGUUACAAUUAAAAUCCCUAACACUAGGUGAGGUAGCUAGCAUCUUUUUUGCAUUGAAUCUGCGUGCAUCUAAGUUAUGCUAAAAGUAUGUUCAGUUCCUGAAAUUGUCAAAAUUCAAACUUGCUAUGCUUUAGACGUUUAUAGAACAUCCAUUUGAUCUCAUCCGUAGUCUUGUUUAAGGUGCUUUCAUAUAUUUUUUAAACGGUUGAAUUUUCUGUUUAACUUAAUCUUUCCGUUUCUUAUGACUCUCUUGGAUAUGUGUGAAUAUGGAAUUAAGUAAAUCCAAAGAACAAAAACAUCAUAAGAGGUCAGCCAUGCUUGCGACAAGCCGAGGGGAAACAAAUAUAACAAUUCAACUAAAAUUUGCAAAAUAAUGUAUUGAUGAUAUAGUUCAUAAAUUGUUAUUGUUUCUGUAGUUGCUUUCUGCAAAUUGCUUUUUAUUUCGUGUUAGCUCAAUCAGAAAAGAAAUGCUCCAAAAAACAAAAAUCUUCUACCAAUCCUUUUAUUUACUUGUAUAAUAAUUGUUCAAAAAAAUUAAAUUAACAUAUUCUUUAUGUAAAUAUAGUAAAAUAGUUCAAAAUACAAUACGGAAUAUGUCCUAUUUAAAUUUAGUUGUAUUUUACUUUUUAGUGUUGAAGAUAUAACUUGCAAUAAAUUAAUCAAGUUAGAAUUAAAACACACGAAUGUCCCUUAAAUAGAAUUUUACUUUUGCUCGCGUUCUCGUCAUUAAAUGUCAAUUUUUUGAACCAAUACAUAUUUCAUGCAUAAAAUCUAAUAUAUCUCAUUCAUAAACUACUAGAGCUGUUAACGGUUUGAAUUUUUCCUUUUUGCAGAAAUGACCAAGGAGAUUAAAAUUAUUGUCAAAAAAAUUUCUCCAGAUAAUUAUCAAAAAAUUCAACAUGCCACAGCUUUUGUAGUCAGUAUUAACAUUAAUUUGUUGUGCAAUUUGAAGUUUGCAAACAUAUAUACAAAACAGAUGAUCUAUCUUUGGCCAUAUGUAUUGUGGGUUAGAAUCUAUGGAUUUGUGAUUUCAAGUGUAUAAUUAUUUAAUUUAUACACUAUAGUACUUUGGUUCAAUAAGGAUUUAAUUAGUAUUUAAAAAGGGGUUGAAAUUUGAUUUAAUUAGGCUUGGGCCUUAGGCCCAAGAGUGUAGACCUUUGAUGGGCCAAAAGGCCGGCCCAUGAAGCCCAUGGAGAGGGCUGCCGUCGACCAAGGAGAGGGGGAGUGGCCGGCCCACUUCCAAGUCCAUUAUGCAUGGGUCUUGCCAAGUGGCAAAAAGGGGACUCCAUCCAUUGGCCAUUGUGGGAGGCAUCUCAUGAUGACUAAUGAUUGUGAUUAAGGGGGAAUAAAAGGGAGAGAGUGGCCGGUUUAGGGGGCUGUCGCCCAAGCCAAGUGAGAGAGAGAGAGGGGGUUGCGAGAGAGUGAGGAACCGAGAGAGAAAGGGAGAAGCCACGCAAAGGGGAGGUCCGCUCGUCCGUUGCCCAUCCAUCCGCUCGUCCGUCGCCGUCCGUGUGCUGUUGUUUACUCGAUUUGAAGGCAAGUUGGGAUCCAUAUUCUGCUCUUGCAUGUUGUCUCUUGCAUGUGUGUUUGAGUGGUGGUAAAUCUUGGAUGUUUAGGGUAUGAGAAACCGAAGCUAGGGUGUGUUGUUUUUGAGAUAGCAUGCUGUUUUCGAGUGUGCCGCCUGACCCUAAACGUUGUAAAGGCUUGCAUACGUGGUUUGAGUCAGAUUUUGGAUUCGAAUUCUUCACUAAAAUUUGUAGACAACAUCUCAAAGUAUAACAUACUAAAAUUUGAGACAAAAUGGCUGCGUUUUAAGGGGUGAAACCCUUCCUCUACGAAAACGCUAGAUCUGAAACUGUUUUGUUGACCUCUUGGUGGUUUUGUGUGUUGCAUGUCACUUUUUACCGCGAAUCUCACUUCGACUUCUCAUGAAAGUUGUAGAGAAAAUCCUGAAGAUUAACAUAAUCAAAUUUUAGGUAAAACGAGCAAGUGUAGCCUAGUGAAACGAUUUUCUUUUGAAGACGGCAGAUCUGGAAGUAUGGUAGUGGACUCCCGAGACUUCGUGGACUAUAUGGUGACUAUCCUUUGAGAAUCUCACUAAGAUCCCUUAAUGAAAAUUGUAGGGGACCUCUUGAGGCAAAAAAAUAUCAAAAUUUCAGAGGAAAUGAAGAAAGAUAAGUAGGCGAAACCUCGAUUUUUCAGAAACAGCUAAACUGGAUUGUUCGGUAUUAGGAACAGGAGCUUCGACCGUCUAUAGUUAAUUAUCUAGAGCGAAUCUGGCCUAGAUGUCUGUAUGAAAAAUAUACCUUAGGGUCUUGACUAUAACUUGGUAAAAUUCCAUAAUUUUUUGACGUCAUUCGGGUAUUUUAAUCGAAAUAUUUCAAGAACUGCACAAUCUGAUUUUAUCCGAAUUUUGCAUGAUGUAUUGUGUGAGCUAUAUCUUCUUGUGUGAAGCUCUUUUGGGUAUGUGUCCUUCAUGAAAUUGCUACCUUUAUGCCUUGUCUAUUACAUGCUCUGAUUGUAUGAUUUUUUAAGAUCAUAUGGAUAUUUAAUUUAUAUGUUUUCCGAAAUUGUGUAAGCUGGAAUUUGGUAAAUUUCAAAAAAAAAGACAUGAUAUGUGGAUUAUUCUAAGUUGUAUGGACCCCAUGGAUUGUAUUGUCAUAAGUGGUUGUAUCUUGCUGCAUGUAUGAUGAUGAUUGAAAAUGCAUAUAAGAAUCAAAAGAUGAAAAUGAUCUUGUUUGCCAUCACAUCAUAUGCCAUGUUGAGAUUGAGCUAUAAUUGAAAAUGUGAACUAAGAUAAGUGAGAAGGUCGUUGGGGGUAUAAGCUGACAAUGCCUCGGGAGUGUUGGGAUGCUUGGCUAAGGAGUGUAAAUGCCGGAUACUCAGUGGCCUUAAAUGGCUGAAUGCCAGAGGGUUCUCGGGAGUUUCGAGAUGCCCGAAGCGUGGGGAGACAGAAGCCUGGAGGUUUGUGCUGGGGGAUACCUCGUGAUGCCACUUGGGGUACGAAAUGCCCGACAGGUGUGUGCCGGAUGCUCGGAGGUUUGUGCCGAAGGUUCCUCGAGAUGCCAGGUGGGGUGCAAGCGAUAAAUGUGGGAUGCAAAUACUGAUCCCGAGAAAAAGAGAAAUGUGGCAGUUCAAAAUGAAAAGAUAAAAUUUGGAAAUUGAAAUUGAAUCAUGCAUGGUGUGACAUCCCAAAUUUUCAACCCUGUCUUCUACUGAAUAAAUCGGGCAUUUCAUUGACGCAUCUAUAGGGUUAUUCUCAGAGCCGAUCACUCUCGAGAUAACUAGACUAUAUGGAGAAAUUAUUAGGAAUUUUAAAGCAAUUAGACUUGAGAACUCGAUCAUGAAUCGGCUUCUCAAUCGUGUCCAUCUUUAGAGGCCAUUACGACACAGUUAAAAAUCGAUUUGAGAUCAGAGAUAGGUCUGUUCAACUGAGAUGUGUAGCCGAUCGUGGGUGACUCUACUAAAUUGGAAAAUUCUCGUCGAUUGGCUCUAGACUGAUUUUCUUAUUGUUUUGGUACCCUGUGUCCUUAUUUGGAUCCUCGAGAUUUUCACGACAAACAAGAGUCGCCAAUGAGUCGAGUGGAUUCAUAGUGGUUCGAAGAAAAUCGACCACGAGUCAAUUGCCUUGAAAAGUUCUGAAAACUACCUGGUAGUCUAGGUUACGCUAAAAACGCGCCGAAUGAAAAUUAACCGCUAAUUCAAGUCCGAUUUCAGAAAUUGAAUAUUCUGUCGUGUCACAAUAAAUUUUAGGAACGUCAACUCAGUCUCAGAAGAUUUUUAGGAGAUUCAGGAUUUUUUACGGAAAACCGUUUCGGACGUCGUGGAAAUUUGGCAGAAGUUCAGAUUGGCUAAAUUGAUAGAAAAUUGGACUUCCAGACUGAGCCGUUGUGUGUCAGGGAUUUAUAGAAAAUCAUUUGGGAUUUUUCUACACCAAAAUUUGACGUCGAAUUUGGGAAAUUGAGUAAUGAAGUUAAAGAUCAAAAUGUGAAAUUCGGAUUGGAAAGUGGCAACAAUUUUAGGCUUCAAAUUUGAUUGGUUUAUAAAGAUUUUUACAAGAAAGUAUUAGAGGCCAACCAAGAUAAGGAUAAAGAAAAAGGAGGGAGACAAGCAAUUAAGGGAAUGGCUUAGGUUUGUUGAUUUUGGGUCCCUCCCGUCGCUGUCUUCAUCAUCACCGCUUCUGCCUUCUCCUCCGUUCCUAUCCAUAUUCGUGAACUCUCUCUCUCUCUCAUCGAGGAAGCCUACGAAUUCCACCAAAGUGUUUCUCCAUUUUCGUUCAUCCCUCUGCCACACGAACAGUCCAUUUCAACAAAAAGAAUUGACUGGCUUCGACGCCAAGAUCCCACCGAAGCCCUCAACUCCACGCGUCCAUCUUCCACUUCGCUGUACCAGUCGGCAAUCGAGUUGAAGAUGCCGAGGCAGCAACCGAAGCUGCCCCAUCUCACACACCACCGAAGCAAGGAAAUCUGCAGAAGCAAGAACGGCCGCACGUCUCCACCAUCGAAGACCUUCGCUUCAGCCAGCGCCUCCACGCGUCCUCAACCAGAGCUCCUUCGGUCAACCGCAGCAAGCCCACCGAAAAUCAGUGGUUGACUGAGCAGCUUUGUUCAGCUGCCACUUGGCUGUGAGGCCUUCGGUCGGUGCCUCCCUCACACGCCCACCGAGCUGAGCUCCUAUCUGCUGGGCCGAAGUUGUCUCAACUGAAGUCACCAAUUCCCCAGCAGCAACUCCACGUCGACGCUGCAGCCCCACUUCGGCUUGUCUUCAACAGAGUCAACGGAACUAGCAGCUUCUUCUCUUCUGUUGACUGAAGCUGCCAGCAGAUGCCCCUUCUCCACUGAGGUUGGUCGGCCACAGAAGCCAGCAAGCUGUCCGAGAAUUUUCUCCAUCGUCAACCGAAGCCGUAGCACCUUCCAGUGAAGACCGAAGCAGCCCACUUCGCAGCCCAAAUGAUCAGUAUUUUGGUCCAUCAAGCAGCCUGCAGUUUGACAUCUUGAGGCCCAGCAAUUUCCUUGUGAACUCAGCCCAUCAUCAAUUAGAAUUGAAGCCCAGCAAAAUUUGGCCCAAGCUUCAGCCCAAGUUGUUUGAAAGGCAGGCCCAAUUCAGCUUUGCUUCAAGCCCAAGUUCAGGCUCAGUCCAAGGAUUCCAGCAGGCCUAAGCCCAGAAAUUUCUGCAGGCUUGUGAGGCUUUUGAGCUCGGCCCGAGUGUCCGCCGACGCCGCCGAAAGUUUGGAAUUCGGCCACCGUCGCGGUGUCCCGGUCCCCGUUUUUAAUCAAGUGAGUUUUACUCACUAAAGCUUGCUAAUUAUGCUUAGGGUUGGUUAGAUUUAAUUAAGUGCAAUUAGGUGGUUAGAUUAGGUUAGAACAAUUAAUUUAGUGACUUAAUGAUGCACGUUAGGUGGUUAGACCUAGCUAUUAGCAAGUAGAAAUGUUUGGUUAUUUAUUGAAUGUAUCUCGGGAUUUUUCCCGACCCGUUUCGGGCUCCAAUAAGGCAAUAUGGGCCUAAAUUGGAUUUUUAUUAUUUAUUUAUUUAAUUUUCUAAAUUAAUUAUUUAAUUAAUUAUUUUUUUCCGGAAAUUCAAUCGGGAUGGCCGAUGACCAGAAUUUCGUGCUGAUUGUCGUGGUGUAGCCCAUUUAUUUAUUUGAGCUCUACGUUGUGUGGAAUUGAAUUAAUUGUGAAAUUUGAGAAUUUAUCCUUAAUUGUUUGUUAUUGAAUAUUUGAUUGGUAAUGGCCAAGCAUGGGUAUAUAGCGCUAGUACGUUGAUGGGCUAUAUAGUAGGGAGAAUGGUGAGAGCUAACUGAGAACAUUAUUGGUUGAGACCAAUCAGGUAUGAUAUUAUUGGACAUACGUGGUUCGGUGAUUGGAAGUAUCACUGGCGAAAACGGCGCCUUAAAGAACGCACGUAAAUGACUUAUAGACAAACGUGGUUUGGUGAUUAUGGAAAUAUCACUGGUGAAAACGACGCCUUAAAGAACUCACGAUGUUGUCUAUUGUCGAUGUCACCUUGGCGAAAACGGCGCCCUAGAAAGGACACGUGGUUGGGUGAUCGAGGAUAUCACUGGUGAAAACAGCGCCUUAAAGAAGGCACGGUGUCAGUGAUCGGUAUGUCAUUGGCGAAAACGACGCCCGAGAAACACAUGUGAUUUGAUGAAUAAGUGCACCACUGGGAAAUCGUGGUAUGAGUGGAAAUGACCUAGAGAGGGUCUGAUUGACAUGUAAUCGACUUAGUCGAUUGACUAUCUAUGUUUGAAUAUCUAUGUUUAAAUAUCUAUGCUUAACCUUGAAUUGCAGGUUGGAACUGAGGCCAAGGUAAGUCCUCUGACUCAAGUUGUGCUUAGGCAAUCGUAUGGCGUAUUAGUUUAUUAAUCGAGUCUUAGGGGGUAGGACUCGCUGAGACGUGGUCUCAUUGGUUAUUGAAUAACCAUUUCAGGACCCUGAGGUGAAGCUAAGGAAGAGAAACCUGAAGGGGAGAAAGACUUUUGAAGAAGAAGAAGAUCCAGAGAGGGAUCUCGAAUAUAACCCGGAUGUGGACUGAGAUCCCAUCCCUUUUGUAAACCCUGUCUUAGCAUACAUAGGUGUGAGACUUUUAUGCUGUAAAUAGUAUUGUAAAAAUACUAUAAGUUGUGCUGUUAAUCAAAGUGUGGUUGUGAAUUUCAAUAUGAAAAAUAUGGCCUACUUUCCUAUCCCAUUGUUUUAUUGUCUGAGGAUUUAUAACUGCUUCUGCAUGUGCUUAAUAAAAAGAAAGGGUCGGCGAUACAUAGUCCUGGGAUAUCGCAUUCUAAAAUCGACCAAGUAGAAGAAUGUGCGCGCGUCCGAGGAUUGGGGCGUGACACAUGGUAUGGCAAUAUGUAUGCAUGGAUGCAUGAUGAUGGUAAGUGCAUGGAUGUAUGUGCACCCAUGGCAUGAUGGUAUGUGAGACAUGAUGAUGGUAAGUGCAUGGAUGUAUGUGCACCCAUGACAUGAUGGCAUGUGUGACAUGAUGAUGGUAAGUGCAUGGAUGUAUAUGCACCCAUGACAUGAUGGCAUGUGUGACAUGAUGAUGGUAAGUGCAUGGAUGUAUGUGCACCCAUGGCAUGAUGGCAUGUGUGACAUGAUGAUGGUAAGUGCAUGGAUGUAUGUGUACCUAUGGCAUGAUGGUACAUGUAUGAUAUGAUGGUGAUGAUUACAUGAGGAUGUGUGUACAUGUUGUAUGAUAACAUAUGCAUGGCUCCAAGGUAAAUUAUGCAUGGAUGCUUGAAUGACAUGUCUUAUGCUAUGAUUGUUAUGAUUGUACUGUGUGAUGCAUUGAGUGAUUUAUUGGGUCCUUUAUCUGCUGAGUGGCUGUAUUCACCCCUUCGGGGAUCAACAUUUCAGAUUAAAAAGAUGCCGCCCCCUACUGUCACAUGAGGCUUCUUUUACGGCCUUCAUUCGGAUGUGGAGGUCGAGUGUGUGGAGAUCGACUAUCCCACCAUCCAUGGUCUGACGUUCAUUCGAGUUCGCACAUUAGUGAUGUAUGACGUGGGCCUGGGUAAGGGCCCUGUCAUUCAGGAGUUUAUAUCUGUUCACGUUCGUCGAGACGGAGUGAUGCGGGGGAUGUUGCCGCUGCCACCGCCUGACGCACCGGCAUGGGUGUGACUGCACACACGCGAGAAGUAGGAGUUGCAACUUUUUGGAUAAUAGCCGACACUAGUAGAUGGAGGAUUUUGCAUGAUUGACAUAGAGAAUCGAGUUGUCUCUUUUUGAGGUUGUGGUCAAGUGUGGUCAAAAGUCUUGGCCCUUCUUUUGUUAUACCGACCCAAGAAAAUCCAUCAUGAAAAUAUGUAAAUAAAAGUUGCUCGACUUUAUCUUUUCCUAUGGCGCUUAGUGAUGUGCAUUGUCUCAUGAUAGAUGGAGGGAGAGAUGAUGAUAUUUCAAUUAUGCUUCCGCUAAUAAGUUGCGCUGGGACCGAUAUAUAUAUAUAUAUAAAGAAAAAAAAAUGCCUAUGAGCUGUAAUGCUUCUAUUAAGAGAUGUGACUAGCGUUCAUUAGGUAUAGUAACAGGCACCUGUGGCGACCUAGGUGUUUCGGGGUGCCACAUAUAUCGUCCAACUUCCAAGUCGAAUGUGCUAUUAGGACUACAUCGAAUCAACUCAGCCUUAUAAGAUUGCAGCAACUCGUAUUGCUCGACAAAUGGACCUCUAAUGAUCUCAACAGCUCUAGUAAUCGCUCUAUAACAAAUCCUCCUAUUUAGUGUCAAUGCCCACCUCUCCAUUGCAUCCGCCUGCAUUUGUGAUGUUGUAUACUUCAAGUUAGCUCUAAUUUUAGGCAAAAACUGCUUCGCAAGCCAUAUAUACGAUGCAUUCUUUAAAGGUCUUCUCACUCUACAUCCAACUAGCAUAAACUCUUCAUUCACAGCCACUCUCACACCUACCAUCCAUUUUUUUUUUCGCUUCACUCUUCUUCCAUCCAAUGUUAAAUCUGUUUAUGAUUGCGUAAAGUUGCACAGCUUUCUUUAAUUGAGCACGUGAGACAAAUAUCAUUCCUACUUUAAAUUGCAUGUCUUUAUGAUCAGAUUUGGGGUCAUAUCUAAUGGUUUUUGAUCUUCUUUGGUCACAGACUUCUUCAUCUCCAUCAGAGUUGGGAGGGCUCAAAUUCUCAUCUCCUUCUUCUAGAUCAGUGUCUCCAUCAUUUUCACCCCCAUCCUCAUUUUCAGGAAUGUUAACAGCAACUGUAUUAGUAAUAGCAGCAGCAUCGGCCUCUCUUCUUAUUUGCCUAGCAAGAAAGAAAUCCUCGUUACCACCACCGAGAAUGUAAUCAGCAUCACUUAAAGAUAAUGUAUCAGGAUCUUGCUCUAGUUCACUAUCUCUAUAGCUAUCACUCUCACUAUUAUGACCACUAGUAGAAGAACCACUAUCAUCACCAAGAGCAGCUCCUUCAAUAUAUACUUCAAUAACACCAAAACUUGAUCCUAGACCCACCAAUUCUAACACUUGAUCAUCACCAACAAUCUGCACAAGACCACUUCUCAAGGAAUCCCCAGGAGUUGCGUACCACAACUUUUUAACUGAGUAUCCUAGAUCAAGAACAACCUUAACAAUUGCAUUAUAGUUCACCACCAUUGACUUACAACGAUGGAGAUAUUCUACAUGGUAGCCUAUGUACUUUGUGAUGUCUCCAAACUCCAUAACUCCACCUAGGUGAAGUCCAAUUGUAAAUCGUUAAACAUCUGCAAGGGAACAACAAACAAACCAAUUAGUUUAUAAAAACCUCUCACAAAUAACUAGCAAAGAUGGGAUGAUCAAGUUUGACAUGAAAUGACAAAAUCGAGUUCGCCAAACAAGAUGCUUGGAAGCCUUGAUAGGAAAUAUGAGGCACCUACGUCUAGAAAGAGACCCAGAGUUAUUUCAGUCAUAGCAAAAACUUGCAACAAGGUUAACCAAAUGCUGAUAAAACUCUGGAAAUCUUGAUAUUAAACUAACAAGAAACUGGACAAUCACACCUGCCAACUACUUGCUUACAUUAGGCACUCAGAUUGACACAUAUCUACAGUACUAGUUAGAUACUCUAGGUUAUGUAACAAAUUGCAUAAUAAGUGGCAAAAGAUACUGAGAAGGUAAUCAUUUUAUGUUUCACAAGCAAACAUCAGCUUUACGAAUUGCCAAUCGACAUCUAUCCCACCUUAUUUAUUAAGCAAACAAGAAUUUCAAUCUCGUUAAAUGGGGUUAACUGAGCUCAAGUCACUAUUCCAAAUAAUAUAUGGGUACACAUAAGUGUGUGUCCUUGUAUAAUUUCAAUGACCAAAGAGUUCACAAAAGGAAAAAAGCUUGUCAUUGUACCGUGACUAUCAUAUCAGCUUCUUUAAUAUCAAUUAAUUGAUUGUAAUGAUCCUGAGGGAUAACCUGGUUCAUGUACAAGGCAAAGCUUGGCCGUGCGAGUCGCCCUGGACUAGGAGGACCAGAGAAAAGAUGCCUUAUAUUCUAUUCAAAGUAAUGAUUGAGAUACAUAAUAUAACUUGUUUCUGCUGCAAAAUCGAACCUUGAAACCUUAAUCAAAAUUAUCCAUGUAGAUAUGUAUAUUAUCCACGUACUAAAGUCGGCGUAAUAUUAUAAUAUUCAAAUGUACGUGCUCUUUUAGGACUAAGCAUAUUUAUGAAAUCUCAGGAGACAUGUUGAAUCACACUCAAAGUACACCUGAAAUCAGUAACAAACAUAAAUGAUUUUGGUUCCGGCAUUUCAACGAGCAUGUGAUGUAUGAGUCAAUCGUACCAUUCACAUGCAAGUUUCAUGUCAAAAUUUUGACACACUUACGAUUCAAGGUAUGAAAGACUAUGUAAUACUAAUAAGGACAUGAACUAACACGAAGGACCAACAAAGCAAGAGUAAUAAGUAAUCAUACAAACAGAUUGCGGACAAGCAGUAAACCAUGUGGGGUUGAGACAUAUAAUCAUAAAGCCAAGUUUGUCACAAACCAAAAACGAGCGAAGCAACCACGAUUAGAAGAAUAUGACUCGAAGAUCCAACAAAAAUGAAAGAGAGGAGGUCCUCAGAAACAUAGAGCUCUAACGCGACGUGGAAUAGAGAGCUCUUGUUUUCCUACCUUGAUAACAUGAAACCACUCAAGUGCAAAUCCGCCACAUUGGUCCUCAAAUGACAGAAUACCACAAUUCCACUCACCAAUCACAGGAUAAACCAAAGGCGCUCCUACUUAAAAACUCAAACUUUCCACGCCCGGGAGCAAUUCACUCACUUUGAGUCUCCUCGGCCUGCGCUGACAUCGCGACCCCGAUGAGUGACCGGAUGAACUCGUCGAACUUCGACCGGAGCCACGCCCUAUAAAUCACCUCGGGAAAGAAGAGCGUUUGUCAUGAAUUGAACUUAAUUUGUUGUUAGGGUUUUUUUUUUUUUGUGUGUGUUAUAACGAAGGGAGAAGAGAGAACGUGAGGUACAUAAGAAGGCGUGAGAAAUGAGAAUUUAUUAGGGCUUUUUAAGAUAUCUUUUUGUUUUUCCCUUCACUGUUACAAAGUUAUUAUUAUUUUAUUUUGAAAAAAAAUUAAGUUAUUUCCACAUGGCUUGCCACGUGAGCAACCACGUCAUCAAAGUUAAUGGCAAAAUCUAACCAAACUAACGGAGGGUAGAUCUGUCAUAAGUGUACCAGUUUGAGGUAUUUGAUGGUAAAAAAAAAAUAGUUUGUGGUAAAUUUGUCACAAUGUACCGGUUUGGGGUUUUUUUUUAAGGUAUUAACCAUUAUUUAAAUAUAGCAAAAUAGUUCAAAAUACAAUAUGGAAUGUGUCCUAUUUAAAUUUAGUUGUAUUUUAUUUUUGAGUGUUGAAGAUAUAACUUGCAAUAAAUUUAUCAAGUUAGCAUUGAAACACACGAAUGCCCCUUAAAUCGUAUUUUACUUUUGCUCGUGUUCUCGUCAUUAAAUGUAAAAAUUUUGAACCAAUACAUAUUUCAUGCAUAAAAUCUAAUAUAUCUCAAUCAUAAACUACUAGAGCAGUUAAUGGUUUGAAUUUUUCAUUUUUGCAUAAAUGACCAAGGAGAUUAAAAAUGAUGUCAAAAAAUUUCUCCAGAUAAUUAUAAAAAAUUUCAACAUGCCACAGCUUUUGUAGUCAGUAUUAACAUUAAUCUGUUGCGCAAUUUAAAGUUUACAGAUAUAUAUACAAAACAGAAACAUCGUAGUGGGAUAUUUUCGGAAUCAAUUUCAGAUUAUUUUGAAAUUUUAAUAGACACGUGUACUCUCUUUUUUUUUUUUUGUCAGAAUAUACACAUGUACUUAAUUUAUGACUUUAUCUGCAACAUCAAUUUAAGGUGCAAUUCCCACUAUUUAUCUUCACAUAUUCAUUGCUUUUUUGGCAGUUUCUCACAGUGGGGCAAAGAAAAAAAAAACCGACGCUUCCAUCUCGAUGAAUCAAAUUAUAUCUUAUGCAAAGCUUCCAUUUGAAGCCCAAAAGUUCAGCAAUCGCAUUAGUUUCCAACAUUGAUUAUUGCUAUGCGCAUGCUUUUCUUCUUCUUUUUUAUCGGAAAAUAGUCCAUUUUCCUUUAGGGAGAAGCCUGACGACAAGGCAAAAGGGCUUCUGAACAUAAUAAUAACCCCAUACUCAUACUAAAAUGCUGACGGAUUGACCAGGAACAGGCAGGAACAAAUCAACGUUGAAGACAUCUAGACAAAACAUCAAACAGGUCGCGAAGGACUCUCGGCGAGACCCAUUUUUUAACUUCAACCAAUCGAGAUCAAUAAAAUCCCGAGGAUUCUCCCUUCGACUGAAACGAAACUCACGAGCCCGCUUCAGACAGCUUCACUCUCCUAUAUCUCGGUUCGAAGGUGGAUGGACACAGAUCCCGAACGAUGGAGCAGAGCGAUGAGGAGAUUCUGAACACGUAAUCGACUCUAAAGGUCGAUCGGAAUAGAAACGACCCGGCAGGGGUAGUGCCGAUUCCUAUCCUCCUUGGUUCCCUUCGGCCGAGCUCUUCGAUGGCCAAAUCCUUUUUCAAGCGAGCGUCCAGCCAUCCUCUCCUUCUCGCUUUCGGCUGACUCUCUUUCUCCCCCGUGAAUCUCUCUUCAGCCUAUCUCUCUGCAACUUGCCUCUUCAACGGCCGCCCUCUCCGAAAGCCGGCGGCGUCUCUCCUCCUCCUGUUAUGCGAACAGGAUCCUCUUGAGGUGAGCAUCCUUUCCGGCGAAGAUGCUCCUCGGCGAGCAGCUCCUAUCUCAUCUUUUCCUCUCGGAUCAGCACGCUCCCCUCGCCUCACCGAUCGAAUCUUUCUGUUAUUUCUCUCGCACGCCAGCUAGCACGGCUCUAGAAGGUGCUGGCUCAGCUCUCGUCACGGUUUGUCGAGCCUCCUUCGCUCACAGACGCACGCGCGCUUGGCCUGUCUUUCUUCCUUGCGUCACGGACGCUGUGCUCGCCGGGGGAGUUGAGGGGGAAGCGCGUGCGAGGGAAGAGGGAGGCUGAGGCUGGGGCUGGGCUUUCUUUUUGUUUGGUUCUAUGAUGGGCCAAGGAAAGACAAAAGGACAUGGGCUAAAAAGGAAAUGAAGAGAUGGGCCAAAGGAAUUAAAAGAAAUGGGUUGGACUAAUGGAGGGAGGGGAGGGGGCUUAGAAGGCUGUAAACUUUGCUAAGGGGCCGGCCCACACGACUUCAUUUAGCUUUUUUUAAUAUCUUUUUUAUUUUUUUGUUAUUAUUAUUUAUUAUAAAUUUUCAGAUUUUUGUAAUAUAAAUGGAUACCUAAAACGUUGAUAAAAAUUUGAAUAUCAAUAGCAACGACCAGAGCAGAUAAUAUCAUGUUUACCCUCCAAUGAGGCUACCUAUAGUGGUGUAUUAGGCCAAGGUGGCGAUGUUAGGUUUCUGAUAUUUAAUUGUUCCCACUUACCUCCAUAUGGGCUAUUGUGCUUGUAGGUAAAUCUUGCAUGACUUUAAGAGUGGGAAUGUUGGCUUUUAUGUAUGUCUCUAAUCCCAUAUUGCCUAAAUACGACCUGUAGCACUUAAAGUAAGCGUGGGUGAGUUGUGACCAAAGCAAAAAAUAUCAUGCCCAAGCCUGGAUAGGGGUGUUUGGGACACUAAGGCGAAACUUCAAGAGUAAGACAGUGAUCAAGUUGAGCUCAAUGCAAUGAGACCACUCAUUGAAGAAGAGUCAUUAAAGAGUUUACACAUCUAGUAUGCUAGUUUCAAGAAGGGGUUUUAACCCUUCCAACCGCCAAACUAGGUAAAUUACUUAAUCAUCUCAUCUAUCAUCGACAACUUGUCAAAAUUCUAUAGAUACAAAAAGAUGAUUUGAUAUGUAGACACCCUUAUACUCACCUAGCAAGAUGUGAUAGUUAUUUCCGUGUAAUUAAUUAUCUUAUUUCUUCCCUUUAUUUUUUCCUCUUAAGCCUACAGAGCCAAAAAAAAAACCUAUACCAAAAGUGGUUAAUCUCUUAGAACUAAUUCAUCAUUAAUGACAUCUCAAAAUUCAAUAAGGAAAAAAAAAGAUAUUUAAAAUUUAGACACUCCAAUACUCACCCGGCUAAAUAUAAUAUUUUUAUUUGCUAUAUAUUUUGUAUUCACCGAUAAUAUGUGAAACUUGAAGACUGAAAUUGAGAAACAUAAGAAGAAUGAAUCCUCACAACCAUACUUCAAGAUAUGACCCACCAAUCCACGAACGGCAUACUCGCCGGCUUGGCCUUCAAGUCCCGGACCGGAUCUCCUGUUACUACAGUUCGAUCGCUGGCUUUGUCUUCAAGAGACUCGCAUGUUUCUAGCUUUAACAUUUUCCUCAAUGCACAUCUUUUAAGCGAUUUCAUCACGUCCUACAUCGUGCUAGACAAUUGGUGAUUUUGAAUCUCCAAAUAUAUUUAUUGAAGAGACAUCCUCUCUGUCGUCUAUUGUGCAUGCAACGGUGGCGUCUUUUGGUCUAUCUUAAUUGUGUGCUUUGUUUGGGUAAUUCACUUUCGAUUUUUUGUUCUGUAUAACUAAUGCAUUUACCCAUACUUCGUAUAGGUUGUCUAUCAAACUUUACUGAGAAAUUUGUGUCCACUAAAAUUUCGACGAAGAUAAAAUAGUAAGAAUGAUCAUCGUGAAGUUUGGUAAACAAGACAAUGAAUGAAGAAGAAAAUAGAAAUGUCCAGGGAAAAACAAUUUAAAUCACGAUUGAAAGUACCACGACCUAAUUAUCUUACAUAUAUUAUAAAUAUGUCUCAAUCACCAAAGGCAUUUUGCGUAGUAAGAUCAUAUUUAUUAAUAUUGACAACUCCACAAAUCCUCCCCAUUACAUGACAUUGGAAAAGAUCACUGAUGAGCUCAAUCUUUCUGUGUAAAAUUAUAAAUUCCAUCCUCUUUGCGAGAGCAAGAGAAGCACCGGCGCCAAUAGCCAAGGUUAAAAGACCACUUUCGUUAAGGUUUGUGUUUCGCUGACUCAUCAGAGGAUAGAGAAAUAAGUGGAGAACCAUUUUUUCUAUAUGUGCCGGUUAACUCGGGUUCAUCAUAUCCUACAUUUAUGCCUUAUAAUAACACAUUCGGAUAAUUCAAUUACAUUCAAUGAAAAACUUUAAAAAAGAAUCAUGGAUGCAAUUUCAUAGAAUACCUUUCGAUUGUGUUAAUGACAUAAUGCUAUAUACAAAGAAGGGAAAUUUAACAAAGGAAAGAGGAAAGUGUCUAUCUCUAUCCUUUGAUAAUAAUUUAAUUUUAAAGAAAAUUUGACUUGGUAAUGUACUUACAUUAAAUACUUGAAAAAAGUUAAUUUUAGAAAUAAUUAUACAUACUGUCGUGGCAUGGACUUUGUGACCAAACUAUAGCUGCAUUGCUCUAAUAUAAUAGAAAUCUCCAAGACCUGACAACAAGAGACCCACUAAAUUACAGCACUAAUAAGUCACUUGAUCCAAAAACACUCUUGCCGACAUAUAUUCCACAGUAGACCUCAAGCAGGCCCAUGUUUUUCCCCGAAUUCAAAUUUAAAUUGGUUUUUACUAAACAUACGUAGUCAAUGUGAAAACGACAUAAAAUAGAUGGACCCAACAUUAAUUCAAAACUAGCACACCGCACACAGAAAGUGAACAAUCAAGCCCAAGAGGUUCUCAAUCAAAACGUUUACAUGACAAGCUCUGUGUAAUGCAAUAAAUCUAACUAAACCUAACCAAAAUCACUUGUUGUCAGUCUUAUCCAUUGCAAUAACAGAGCGAUACAUAAUUCAUUCACCGGAUUGAAAAUGGAGAGAUCAAAGUCAUACUCUCAUCCAAGAGUACACAUUCUGCUACCAUGAUUCGACUUGAAAAGAUCCCUUUAAGAGUAUUUGGCAGGAGCACCGGCUUGACCGAUUCUCUUUUGGUGAACAUCCCAAUUAUCCACACGAGCCAUCGUAACCUGCCAAAUAAAGAUUGAACUCUCAAGGGCUGUUUCACCCCAAAAAAGAAAAGAAAAUUUCCAGGGGCCACCAACAUAAUUGCCAUGAUAUAAACGAAAGAGUUUGGUCCUCCAACAAGUUUCGAAUUUUUUCAAUUUCACUGAAGUGCAAUAUGACCACACUCCAGGUUGUCACAAAUCAGCAUGUCUUUGCAAUUUAUAGCCUCAAGGCUCACACCAGUUACAAAAAUCACGGCAGCAGUAAUUCAACAACAACAAACCUACCCAAAACUGACAUAAUAAACGGCUUGAAACUAAAAUGGACCUCCAAGUUCCAAAAUAUUCUGACUUACCUGCGUGAUUGUUACUUGGUCCAGUAAGAACUGUAGAUUAGCAACAAGAACUUCUAAACUUGCUUUAGCGUUUUCUAGGUUCUUUUGUAGAAGAGUUGUGGCCUGCAACACGAAUGGAUACAAUAAAUAAGAUACUCGACAUCAUUAUUGGAGAUAAAGGGACAUUGCUUCAACUCGAGUACCUCUUUCGCAUGAAUACUCCAACAUAACAUUUGCUCCCGCCAUAAACAUACUGAAUCAGCAUGUUCAAUGCGAGCUCGAGAACAUAUGCCUUCAGAGACUUCAAAAUCAGCAAGCUGUGCCUGCAUCCACGAUAAAGAGCCGUAAAUACCAGUCAGUCUGGCACCAAUUAUUAUAUUUUGCGUCUUAGAAGUUUUGAUGGUCUUAGAUUUUAAAGCCCAAUACAGUAAUCCCACCAUAUUUUGCUUUCUAAUAGGACCUUUAGACAUGAAAGCAUAAUAUUACCGUCGUUAUUCAGGUGUCCAAAUCUAAAACCACCGCACAAUUAUUGAGAUUAACAUGGGUUCUUCAAAGCACUAAUUGAGAUUCUUAGGAACAUUGCUUCCAGAAGUGCAUUUGUGAAGGAAAAAAGACAAUCAAAUAUUCCAUAUUUAGUCAAGUGCACCAAAAGUAGUUCCUAGUAUGGCAAGAAUAAGACUACCCUAUCCUCUUCCUGCUUUGUUAAAAUAAAAAAGGAUGAUCAGCUAAGAUAUCAUCGAGGAGCAAGAAGAUUUUUGAACAUGCAAAUUUUCUAGCAUAAGAUAUGAGAAUAUUUUAGUUCACAUUACAUAUGUCAAGGAUUCCGGAUUAAAAGGUGAAACUGUCAAGUGAAAAAUUGGUGGUUUAAUGACAGCAUGAAGAACUUCAGGCGAUAAAAUGAUAAAGGACUCUGUAUUGGAUAAAUAUGAUCUGUUUAUGAGUAACAAGUUUACUUUGUAAAAAGCCUCAACAGUCAACAGCAUGAGUUCGAUAGAUAUCCAAUAAGUAUACUCAGUUACAAUACAUGCACCGAGAAGCAUUCAGCUUGAAUUUCAAUCUUAAAUUCCAGUUCUAAGGCUACGGUUCAAUCUUUCAGUAACAUGGACACAUGCUCGUUGCACUCAUAUAAUGGCAUGCUCGAUAAGAGGUCACUUUGCUAUAGCACAUCUAAACAUUCCUCUUGGGUCAAAAAAAAUUUGGGAUCCAACAAUUGAGCUACCCAAGUACAAACUUGCAGGUUGGAAAGGUGAAUCAAAAAAUGGGAGCUUUCCAAUCAGCCAGUUUACUUCAGUCAUUAUGCAGGUUCCUAGUUCAAUUUCAAAAUAAUCUAGAGCCUAAAAAAGAGGAUAUCUUUGUGGUCGAAUGGAGUGCUGAGGUUAAGUAAUUGUUGCAUCAAGGUGCCCCAAUUUGAAAUGAUCGAUCGAUUCAAAUCCUGGAUUUUCGCAUUGAGAGAGAUAGCACACCUUAUUUAUGCAACAUUGCCAAGGGGGGUUUAAAGGUUGUAGCCUAUUUGAGGGAGAAAACCUCAGUGUAGAGACAAAUGGAGGUAGGAGAGAUGAAGGGAGGACAUAGUACUACUUGCACACUCUUGUGUUUUGGCAGAGAGGCUGAGAUGCCUGGCUACCUUGUAGUUGGUUUUAUGAAGGACUAGUGCAGGAUAAUUCUAGCAGAUUCUUGUUCACUAUAGAGAUAUGCAAAUGACAGCACACGAGCAGGAAGCUUUGUUGAUGGCAGAAAGUAUUGGGAUGUACAAUUCACCACUUGCACAGAGACUAGUGAACAGACGAGAACAAGAUUGUCAAACUACAGUUCUUGCAUGCUAGUUAGUUGGUAUGAAAGAGACGGGGAAGGACUCUAUCUAAAGAAGGCAAGGGAUAUUAGCCGCUUACAAGAUGAAAACCACAUGGAACCAUAUGGCACCGCUAGCGAUUGCCUUGGGAGUGAUUUAAAAUAGCCAAUAUACAAAAAGAAAAAAGAAGGAUGCAGACAAAUCAAUACUAGAUAUAGCAAAGUCAAUGAGAAUCCUCAGGUCACCCACUUAUUAUGUUGCCGUUGGUCUAAAUCUCCUCAGGACAUGGAUCUGUCAAAGAGCCGCAAAUAAGAUGGUGACCAUGGAAUUGAACAAUACCCAAUCCAAAUCUUGACUAGUUUACACAGUCAGAAGAAAGAGUUGUGCGAGACAACAAACCUUAUCGGAACUCUUCUUGGCCUGCAGAGUAGCGACUAUGUCUAACCACUUCUCAAAAUCAGUUAUUUUUGCCUGGCAUUUGAUAUAGACAUGGAGUUAAUAACAAAUUUAGAUGUGAGAUUGCACAAUGGAAUUCAAUCAACAUCGCUGUAGUUGAAAAGAAGCCUCUUACAGCUUGCUCAGACGUUCCAAUGUACUUAUCUAACAGUUCAGCCCUUUCACUGAUAUGGAUUGAAGAGAACAAGCUGCUAUUGCUGCACUAACAAUGCAUGUCUUGCCAAAGGCCGUACGUCCAUGUAAAAGAACAUUUGACCAUGGCCUUUGAGGAGCUUGCACAAAAACACUUCAUCAGUAAAGGUAAGAAAGAUAUGAAGAUCAAAUAAUUUUAUUUAACAAGUUAAUAUUAACCACAUUAUUAGCACAGAGAGAGAGAGAGAGAGAGAUAGAGACAGAGACAGAGACAGAGACAGAGAGAGACAGAGAGAGCUUAGACACAAUCGAUGCAGUUAUACAAGCUUCCUUGAAUAAAAUCCAUGCAUAAUUUAGCUCACUCACAAGAAUGCAUCAGGGAAACAAUGUUAGGUAGUUAAACCCCAAAAUCUCAAGCAAUCCCAUCAUCUCAUUGAAAUUCUGCAGAGUCUAACCACAAGCUCCCUUCACUACAUUGUCAAUCAGCAAAAAGAGGAUUAGACAACUCACCACCAUAUAAUGACUUUGAUGUUACACGAAAAGUAAGGCACCCAAUGGGAAACAGACACUUAGGAACCUAUGACAGAGAUUAGUAUUGCUUGUCUAGAUCUCAAUCGGGGAAGACACUCAUAAAACAAUAAUAGGAUCCUCGCACGUGUUGAGUACAAGGAGCUACUCCUUUUUCCAACAAAAUAAUGAAUUCCUCAUCCACCAAUAAAAAGUGAAUUAAGCGAUCAAACAAUGUGAAGUAUGGGGAAGCACACUCAAGAAUAUGAAAGGAAGUCGCAAAUCUUUCAAGUUUUAGUCCCCCAACAUGUCCACUACUUGAUUGAUUUACCAAGGUCUAUGAAACAAAUUAUGAACUUUGAUUAAGCUAAAUAUGAGUAUUGAAAAAUAAGUACUUCAGCAAACAAAAGCUCAGGUCAAUGCAAAGUACAUUAAGCCAUUGAAUGCUUAAGCAAAAUAAGACUAUUAACCACACAAACUUUGGCCCGCAAACAACUUUAAGUUGCUCAUGUAGAUCCCCACUAUUACAUCUGAAGACAUUUCAAUAGGAAUAGUUGACUGCAUUCCAAGACUCUGCAUAAAUAGGAUAAAAAAAAAAACUAAUAAUUAUGGCUAGAGAAGCAAAACUUCUACUUUAAGAAUGGGAGUAUUUGAAAAUUGCAACUAUAACCAUCGGCAUCAGAUGUAGAGUAAAGCUAACAGUGAUCUUUGAUUGUGCAAAAUCAAAUAAUCCCAAUUCAAUCUCUAGAACUGCAAGAAACAAAAUUCAUGUAAAAGGGAGCAACUGAGGUGAUUGCAUUUGCCUUAUUUAAUUCGUGAAUGAGUUAAGAGUCAUCAAAUUCCCAGACCCAGCUCAAAACAGCAAAGGAUUCAAAAAAAAAAAAAAAAGACAUGUCAUUUGCACAACAAAUGAUAGUUCAAGAACGUAAAUGCCUUAUCAGGUGAAUUGCAACAUCUUCCCCAACUAUGUUUGGUAAUUUAAGAUGGGAGAGAAUGAACAAAUAGCAAACAAACAGACAAACGAAAUGAAGUUCAGAAGUAACUAGAAAAGCACCUUCAAUUCUUCAUGAAGGAAGUAACUAAGUCACUCAUAUAGCAUAAAAUGUAUCGGCAAUUCACUCUUUCGCUGACCAAGCGUUAAUUCCUUUAAUUCAUUCCUCACAAAUCAUGAUUGUUCUAUAGUGAAAUUGAAAAAACACUAUAUAAGGUAUGACCAGUACUCUCAACCACCUUUGCCUUUCAACAAAACAUAGCAUUUGCUAGCAUCUUCAGUGUGAUUGCUAUUUAGCCAAGUUAUGUGCGGCGAAGCAUGUCAACCCCAACAUUAUGCUGAUGCGUAACAUAAACCAACUAAGUAUCACCACUGUGGAGGCAAGUGAAAGUACUGCAUGUUCAUGACAUGCAAACAAGGAAUUUUGCUCAGAGAUAACAGGAUGAACAUAUACAAGCAGUGGUUCCAAAACUAAGAUGAAAGAUUAGCUAAAAGAAAACUCACAAACAGGAUGCAGCAAAAAAUGAACUCUAGUUCUAUGGACUUACCAUCAUCGAUUAUCUUUGCCAAUCAAAUGAUACAUACCUUAUCCAUCUCUAAUGAGCUUUGGGCAGUCAAUGAGGAUGAGCUGACAAGAUUUUGGCACACUCAAAACUGAAAUGAUCGACAUCCAUUGAUGUUGUUCAAGAGGCUCAAGACCAGUUUACUACACUUCUUGUAAGCUACUUUAGCAACUGAAAAGUAAUUCAAGUAAUCCUGCCAUUAAUUACCUUUUUUGAUACAUAUGUAGUUUAUCCAAUACUGUGUAUCCAAAGUUAAACAUAAACAACUCUAAAUCAAGGAAAAGUCAUGUCUAGCAUUUAAUAGUCCGCCUUGAAGGUUAUUACGUAGUCUCCAUAUUAAAUGCUUCAUAUAAGUGCAAUUUCCAAUAGCAAUUUACAGUUAGUGUGCUAUGGAAAGAGAGUACUUUUUGUUACCAUGUAAGACGAAAUUAUUACCUUGUCCCAGCCAACACAAACACAUCGCUUAAAACUUCAACACCAUCUGAUUCAGUAAAAAACUGCAUCAAUGAAUAACAUGUCAUUUUUGAGUCAUACCAUCUGAUAUUACUAGUAUGAGUACCUAGAGGGGGGUGAAUAGGUAUAUAAAAGAUUUUUCUUCAACAAUUGCACAACACUAGACAGUAGAAGGAAAUGUCAAUCAAAGUAAGACUGAGAGAAGAGAAAAUUGAACACGCGGUUUAUAGUGGUUCGGCUUAUAUCAAGCCUACGUCCACUCUUCUUCACUGACGGCCUAUUGGCUGGAUUCCACUAUGAACAAAAGAGAAGUUACAGCACAGCUUUGCCUUGAUUCCACAGUGUAGAUAUUCUACCACACCUCCUCAAGAUUUCUCACAAAUAUAGACUCUCUUUUGUAUACAAGUAUUCGCUCAAAGGAUUUGUCUAAACAAAAAGGAGCUUCAGACUUUGGAAUUCUUCUAUCGCGCACCCCUUGAACAACUAAGACCGUCUUCCUUAUAUACUCCUUUAUGCCAUCAUACCCGUUGGCACUUACCAAAGGAAUUCCUCCAAUCUACCCGUUGGACAGAAUCAAUUAGGAAGAUUGUUCAAGCUAUUAAAGGAACGUGUUGAUAGCCCAUCAAUCCUGUUCGCCCAUACAAUCAGGAUCUCGGUUUCCAUAAGCAGAACCUUCCAAUAAUAUUUAGGUAAUCACCGGAUCUUCAAUUAUCGAGUCAAUCUUCGAUCAAUCAAAGGACUCUGUUAUGUCUUCUCCAGCCACGAGAUCUUCUCCAGUUGAUAAAGUUAAAUCUUUAACAAAACAUCCAGUUCUGGAUAACCUUUUUUCAACAGAUUAGAGACUAUCAAUGAGGAUAGACUUUGAGUCUUGAGUCUGGUUGUCCGGAGGUCUUCAGACUUUAAACAGUAGAGUCUGCAAGCCUUCAGACUAGACUGAUAGAAACGUUUUGUCAACUUCAAAAUACUUCAAGAAGAUUUCUCCAACAAUCUCCCCAUUUUUGAUGGUGACAAAACUUUCCUGUAGAUUUGGAUAUCUUUGACCUGCAAAACAUUUCUCAAACACAUAUGCAUAUCUCAUAGAGAUAAAUGGCUAACAUAAUAACACUAGAAUCUGCAACCACAGAAAAUAGGUUAGUCCAGUAUAUGAUGAAGCCAUCCAUAAGAUACCAAUAUUAGUUAAUAGAAGCAGUCAAGUCCAAGUCUAGUUCAGUUCUCAUCCAGACACAAAACAAAGUCAAACAGAGUUCAAACCACAAAACAAUUAAAAGUUUAAUGAAUGAAAAGUUUUUGAUCAAAUCUUGCAUCUCUCCCCCUUUUUGUCAUCAUUAAAAAUGAUGAGAUGAAGUCAAGAUUGCUUGGGAACGCGGACAAGCUGGAAAUCUUCCAUAGACUGAACGAUGCCUUCCAGCCUUUUAAAGUCUUCCUUUAGAUGUGCAAUCUCCUCAGUCUUGGCAUUGGCCUGAUUCUGAACAGAGAGGGCUUGCAUUUUAUCAUUCAAUGAACAGGAAGAAGCUUGACCUUCAUUCUUCAAGCUUUGAACUUCGCAUCCCAAGGCAUAAAUUUGACCUCGCAUCUCCAAGAGAAUAUCCAUGAUUCUGCGAAAAUCUGCUCCAUUAUCAGUCUGAGUACUUGCUUCGGCUCGAUCUGAUGGAGUAAAUGCAGACGAUGGUAGAUCAGCAUAAUCUCGCAGGUUUGGCGAUGAAACUUCAUGACCUUCCUCUGGAAACUGAGAUGCAUAAACAUCCUCUGGGUCUGCUGGUGAGCGACUGACUCCUUCACUUACAUUAGGAUAUGAAGACUUCACUCCUUUCUCCUGAUCUCCCCCUGUUUCCAUGCCUACAGGUGGAGAAGAGUGUUCUUCAGGUUCUCCUUCUUCUCUUCUUUCUUCUUCAGGUCUUUCCUCCUCUGUUUCUUUUUCAGCUUCUAUUUCUUCUUCUUCCUUCUCCUCUGCUUCUUUCGUCAUUUGUUCCGAUUCUUUCUGUGGAACAGGACGACUUAAAUUCUUCAAAGCCACUGCAGAGAUGGUGAUGUCUUCCUCAUCAUCUUCAUCCUCAACGAGGAGAGCUCUUCUUCUCUUGGAUGGAGCAACCAUGGGCUCCUUCCCUUUUCUUUUAGCUGCAGAAGAGAUUUGAUGAGAUUUUGCAGGAGUCUUCUCCUUGAAUUUCUCCAACUCCUUGCUCAGUUCCUUCAGACGCAUUUUGGUCACCAUUUUCAGUCCUACCACCAUAUGAUCACAUGGUCGAACACAAAAGAUUUGUGGAGGCUGAAUAUUCAGAUGUCUGAAUAACUUCGUAACAAGGCUUGGGUAAGGGAGUUGACCUCUGUCCUUCAUCAUUGCUCUAUACAUGUGAAACAUCACAAAGUGAGGGAGAGAAAACCUUUUUCCAAAGAGAAUGGCAUACAUCAGCUUGGCCUCUGAACUUGAAACAUCAGUCUUGGAAGUUGAUUUCGGUCGGAGGCAAUUAAUCACAAUCUUGUGAAGCAAGAUGUUGAAUGCACCCAUCCUUAAGUAGGUGAUCUUUUAAUCUGUUCUCCUGUCCUUCACCAGUUCAAGUGUGGCCCGAGCAAUGGAAACUUUGAUUGGUUGAUAUCUUCCUCUUUCGACUUCUAACACAUCUGCCAGCAUAUUCAUAUCCACAACAUAGUCUUGGUCUUUAACGCUGAACGAGAAUCUAUUCACAUCCAAAAAGCUUAGAUUUAAAUAGAAAUAUGUAGUUAAUUCAGCAUAGGCCUCUGUAGAGUCAGAGCAGAACUUUUCAAGUUGAAGAUAACUGAACUUUUCCCUCAAGUUCACAUUCACAGCAUCCAGAAAAUCAAAAUCCACACUCUUAGGGUUUAUCACCCCACGCUUCAGCAAUUUCGAGUACAGAUCCUUUUGCUCCUUUGAUCUGAACAAAUCUCCCCUUUUUCCUUGAUUUUCAACCGCAACACCCAUUUUUGGUUGAAAUUGACUGUAUAAUUUAUCAUCAUCAUUCCCAUCUACAGGAUUCGGCCCCCAGUCACGAGGAUCACUUGGGAUAUUUGCAAGGGUUUCCUCAGCCACCCAUUUUCGAGCAAUUCCCAAACUUUCCAUUUUUCGCAAAAAGAUAUAUUCUUUCCCAUGUCCUUUGUCUUUAAGAAAAUCAUCAAUGUAGUUCAAAGGAGUACGAAUUCCUUUUAAGGCACGAUAUAACUAGUAAAUAUAAGCGGGCUUUUGAACUCUUACAAGGUCUGCAUCCUUGAUGAUUUCUUCCUGUUGUUGAUGAUCAACGCCAUGAGGACUAGAUGGAGGAGAAUGACGCUGUUGAGAAUGUUGCGGGCUCGCUUGCUGUUCUGGAGUCACUUCUUCUUCAGUAAGAUCGAAGUGCGUAGGCCCCUCACUCAUUCGCCGUGGUCCCUUGCUUGCAAUUCUCAAAGACUUUCUUGAAGAUGACAUCUUUCUCAGUUUUUGGAAGAUUCCUUGCUUGACUUUCCCAGGAAAGAUGACAACUUUUUGAGGAUUAAAUGAAGAAGACAAACGGGAAUGGAGGAUCGAUGCUUUCUAGGGGUUUUGAGAGAAAAGUGAAGAGGAAUCGUUAGUGCACGAUUGGUUAAAAAGAGGGAUAAACGAACCGUCACAAAGGAAAUAAAAAAAUGCCUUUUCAAAAUAAUUGUCUUUUUCCGCAAAAAUAGCCAUUUCAAAAAUAACUUCCUUUUUGAAAAUAAAACGAUGCAAUAUUUACGUCAAUUAAAUAUAGCAACAAUUUAAACACAGUUUGACGAUCGUACCUUUUCAAGAUGAGAUUCAAGAGAGAAAGACUUACAGUCUGACGGUCGUACCAAGACUAUCUUUCAUAUAAAGUCUUGUAAGACUGAGUCUGAAACUGAAAGUCUUUAGACUUUGAUAUCCUCAUACCUCAAAAUGUUGAGUCUGGAACGUAUAGACUCAAAUUGAUUUUUCUCCAAAGGCUUUGUGAAUAUAUCCCCCAGUUGAUUCUUUGAGUCAACAAAUUGAAUUGAAACAUCUCCAUUUUGAACAUGGUCUCUAAUAAAGUGAUGUCGAAUCUCUAUAUGCUUUGCUCUUGAGUGGAGAAUUGGAUUUUUGGUGAGGUUGAUAGCGCUGGUAUUGUCGCAAUUAAUCUCCGUGCAUGAGUCUUCAAUUUCAAAAUCUCUUAGCUGUUGUUUUAUCCAUAGAAUUUGCGAACAGCAGCUUCCCAAGGCUACAUACUUUGCUUCUGUUGUUGAAUGGGACACGGUGCUUUGUUUCCUUGAAAACCAAGACACUGUCCUGCUUCCAAGCAACUGGCAAGUUCCCGAAGUGCUCUUUCUAUGAACUCUGCAACCGGCCAGAUCUGCGUCUGAAUAUCCCAGAAGAUUAAAGUCUCCCUUCUUAGGAUACCAAAGACCGAUGCUUGUGAUGAAGCAACGUAUUUAAUGAUGCGCUUCGCAACACUGAGAUGGGAUUCUCUAGGAUUUGAUUGAAACCUAGCACAGAUGCAAACACUCAACAAAAUGUCAGGUCUAGAAGCAGUAAGAUAAAGGAGUGAACCAAUGAUGCUCUUGUACAGCUUUUGAUCAACUUUCUUCCCUUCUUCAUCUUUCUCUAUCUUCAAAGAACUUGACAUCAGUAUGUCGGUCUUUUUGCACUUUUCCAGUCCAAAUCUUUUGACAAGAUCAUUAACAUAUUUUUCUUGAUAAAUAAAAGUUCCUUCCUUCAAUUGUUUUACUUGAAGACCAAGAAAGAAUGUUAACUCUCCCAUCAUACUCAUUUCAAACUCAUCCUGCAUAGACUUAGAAAAUUUCUUGCACAGAUUUUCAUUAGAGGAUCCGAAAAUAAUGUCAUCCACAUAUAUUUGAACAAGUAAGAAACUUUUGUUUUCCUUUUUGAUAAAUAAAGUUGUAUCUACUUUACCUUUGACAAAACCAUUUUGUAUUAAAAACUUACUCAAUCUGUCGUACCAAGCUCGAGGUGCUUGCUUUAAACCAUACAAAGCCUUUUUCAGUCUGAAGACUGAGUCUGGCUUCUUUGGGUCUUCAAACCCUGGUGGUUGUUCCACAUAAACUUCCUCAUGGAUAAAUUCAUUUAGGAAGGCACUUUUGACGUCCAUUUGGAAUAACCUGAAAUUCUUAUAACAAGCAAACGCAAGUAAUAGUCGAAUAGCUUCUAACCUUGCUACUGGAGCGUAAGUCUCAUCAUAGUUUAUUCAUUCUUCUUGCGUAUAUCCCUUGGCUACGAGUCUUGCUUUGUUUCGUACGACUUUUCCUUUCUCAUUCAUCUUGUUUCUGAACACCCAUUUAGCUCCAAUAACAGUUUUACCUUUUGGUUUGGAUGUCAAUACCCAGACAUCAUUAAUGUUGAACUGUCUGAGCUCUUCUUGCAUAGCUUCAAUCCAGCUUUUAUCAGAUAAAGCUUCUUUUAUGCUCUUUGGUUCAAUUUCAGAAAGAGAGCCACAACACUAGACUCUUCUCGCCUUUUGGAUCUGGUGCGAAUUCCUUCAUUAAUUUUGCCGAUUAUAAGAUCUUUGGGAUGACUGAACUUAUGCUUCCAGUUACUUGUUGAUUUGUCUGGUUGAUGAUUUCUCUUUUUGUUUGGAUCUUCACGAACAUCCUGAUGCUGGUUUUCCAGAGUCUAAGAUGCUUCUUGAGUUGUAAGUUUUGGAAGGUCUGGAGUAGGUUCAGACUCUUCUUGAUGAGUCUGACUUGAUUCAUCUUGCGUUGAGUCUUGAAAUUUGAUAUUCAUUGACUCCUCUACAGACUGGCUCUUCUUGUUAUAGACUCUGAAGGCUUUGCUUGAUGUAGAGUAUCCAAGGAAGAUACCUUCAUCUGAUCUUUCUUCAAACUUACCAAUUCGAUCUUUUGCAUUUUUCAAUAUAAAACAUUUGCAACCGAAUACAUGAAAGUAUGAAACAAUAGGCUUCUUAUCUUUGAAUAACUCAUAAGAGUUUUUCUCUAGAAUAGGUCUUAAGAAGACUCUAUUGAUUAUAAAGCAUGCUGUUGAAACAGCUUCAACCCAAAAUCGUGAAGAAAUCUUGCUUUCAAUUAAAAGAGUUCUAGCCAUUUCUUGAAGAGAUCUGUUCUUUCUUUCCACAACUCCAUUUUGCUGAGGAGUAUAUGGAGAGGAGAACACAUGAUUAAAUCCAGAUUCAUCACAAAAUUUUAUAAAAUCUUGAUUUUCAAAUUCACCUCCAUGAUCUGUUCUUAUACUUGAGAUGACACAUCCUUUUUCAUUUUGAACCUUUUUAGCAAAUUUUUCAAAAUACGAGAAGGUUUCGGACUUACUUGCAAGGAAAUAUACCCAAGUAAAACGGGAGUAAUCGUCCACAAUUACUAGGCAAUAUUUCUUACCUCCAAUACUCUGUGUUCUGGUUGGUCCGAAGAGAUCCAUAUGCAGCAACUGUAGUACAUGAUUAGUAGAGACAUGAUUUAUUGGCUUAAAUGAAUUUCUUACCUGCUUUCCCAGAAUACAUGGAGUGCAUGGAUCAGUCUUUUGAUAAGGUAAUUUGGGUAGUCCUCGAACAAGCUGUUUUGAUGAGAUUUUGGCUAAUUGCUUCAUGUUGACAUGACCAAGCUUUCUGUGCCAUAAGCUUGCUUCGUCUUGAAUUGAGAUAAAACAUCGCGAUUCAUUUGGUUUCACAUCCAGAAGAUAGAUGUUUCCAUGUCUUCGACCCAUGAAAGACUGAGUAGAGUCUUUACUGAUUCCAGAACAUAUUCCUUCUUGAAAGAAGAUCUUGAAACCAAUAUUACACAGUUGACUAAUGCUGAGAAGAUUGUAAUUGAGUCCUUCCACUAAGGAAACAUUACUUAUUGUGAGAUUUCCAAUUUUCACAGUUCCAAAUCCCACAAUACUUCCUUUGAUGUUUCCUCCAAAUGAAACUUUUCCACCAUUUACUUGAGCAAGCUUUAUAAAACAAUUUGAGUCUCCUGUCAUGUGUCUUGAGCAUCCACUGUCAAGAUACCACUUUGCCUUUCUCUUGACGGUGACCUGCAUUUAAAAUAGAGUCUCAAGCUUUCUUUGGUACCCAAACUUUCUUGGGUCCUUUGGUGUUAGUAACAUAAGCAGUAUUAGCCCAUAUUUUCUUAACAAGUUUCCAAACCAUAGGACACUCUUUUUCAAAGUGAUCCGGACUGUUGCAUUUUGAACAUCUGAGAGCAUUUCUACCUACAGAUUUUACAAAAACUUUCUUGAAGUGAUUUUUGUAAUCCUCUCUCGAGAGUCUUUUCUUAAUUCUUUCUUUUACUUUAGGAAAAUCAAUCAAGGGAAUUGUUUUUGCUGUCAUACCUAGACCGGACUUAUUGAAGUAAGGUCUUUGAGCUGAAAGAAUUUUCUCAAGUUUUUCAGACCCUAUUGAAAAUUUCUUUGAAAUAUUUGAUAAGUCUGGUUUUAAAAGAGCAUUUUCUUUUAAAAGAUUAUCUUCAUUUUCUUUAAGAGUGGAAACAGUCAAGUCUAGACUUUUAACUCUUUCUACUAAAACAUUUUCCUUUUGUUUUAGAGCUGAGUUUUCCUUUUUCAGUUCGGAAAUUCUUUUGAGAGAAGUCUUAAGACUAAAACACAGUUCAUCAAUGUAUUUAGAAACUUUGACAGGAAUUUUAAAAUUACUUGCCUCAAAUUCACUGUCUGAGUCUGAUCCAGAGUCUGAGUCUGAUUGUGCCAUCAGACAUAGAUUGGCAUAUUCAUUAUCACUUUCUUCACACUCUGUAUCACUCCAGGUUUCGGCUUUGAGAGCUUUUCGAAAUUUUUCAGCUUUUCCUUUCUUCUUCUUCAGAAGAGGACAGUUGGGUCUGAUAUGUCCAUUUUUCUUACAUUCAAAGCAGACUACGUCUUUGUUUGGUUCCUCAUCAUCAACAGACUUGGUCUGCUGUCUUUGAAAGCUUUGUUUCUUUGAGUUGAACCUUCUUCCUUUUCUAUUCAGUUUUCUGAAUCUUCUUAUCAUGAGAGCAAGCUCCUCAUCGUCCAUAUCUUCUUCAGAAUCUGUAUCAUCAGAAUCAUCAUUUGAUUUUAAUGUAAUGGAUUUCUUACCUUUUGGAUCUUCAUCUUCAUUGAUCCGUUCCACUUCAUAAGACUGAAGAGUUCCAAUUAGCUCGUCGACAGAUAGUGGCAUAAUUCUUUGCGUCUCUCUUAUCGAAGUCUUUAUGUGAUUCCAAUCCCUGGAGAGUCCACGCAGUAGCUUGUUUACCUUCAUGGGAUCAGAAGUUGGUUGACCUUGAUUUUCAAGACCAUUCACAAUAUUUGUAAAACGACUAAACAUGUCAGAUAUAGAUUCUCCUAGUUUCAUUCUGAAGGCUUCGUAUUGACCGAGAAGAAUGUUGAUUCUUGUUUCCUUCACUUGAUCUGUUGCUUCAUAGGUGAUAUGCAAUCUGUCCCAAACUUCUUUUGCUGUAACACAAGAAGAUGUUCUAUUAUAUUCAGUUGGUGACAAAGCACAAUAUAAGGAAUAAAUUGCUUUUGCAUCGAGUGCUUGUCUCUUGAUUAUUUCUUCCUGAGUCAUUCCGCUGGUCUCAUCAGUUUCUUUUCCUCUUUCAGAGACUGAUGCAGUGGUAGGAGUAAUUCCUUUUUCUACAACGUCUCAUUCCAGAGGAUCCUUUGAUUGAAGGAAAGCUUUCAUCUUGUUCUUCCAGAUGUUGUAAUCAUUUCCAUCAAAGUAGGGUGGUCUGGUAUUGCUUUGCCCUUCCAUCAGCCUUGGUGCUAGCAUACUAGCCAUGGAUCUUUUACUACGAAGUAAAACACUUCAAAUAAAGUAAGUACACAGGCUCUGAUACCAAUUGAUAUUACUAGUAUGAGUACCUAGAGGGGGGUGAAUAGGUAUAUAAAAGAUUUUUCUUCAACAAUUGCACAAUACUAGACAGUAGAAGGAAACGUCAAUCAAAGUAAGACUGAGAGAAGAGAAAAUUGAACAUGCGGUUUAUAGUGGUUCGGCUUAUAUCAAGCCUACGUCCACUCUUCUUCACUGACGGCCUAUUGGCUGGAUUCCACUAUGAACAAAAGAGAAGUUACAGCACAGCUUUGCCUUGAUUCCACAGUGUAGAUGUUCUACCACACCUCCUCAAGAUUUCUCACAAAUAUAGACUCUCUUUUGUAUACAAGUAUUCGCUCAAAGGAUUUGUCUAAAAAAAAAAGAGUUUCAGACUUUAGAAUUCUUCUAUCGCGCACCCCUUGAACAACUAAGACCGUCUUCCUUAUAUACUCCUUUAUGCCAUCAUACCCGUUAGCACUUACCAAAGGAAUUCCUCCAAUCUACUCGUUGGACAGAAUCAAUUAGGAAGAUUGUUCAAGCUAUUAAAGGAACGUGUUGAUAGCCCAUCAAUCCUGUUCGCCCAUACAAUCAGAAUCUCGGUUUCCAUAAGCAGAACCUUCCAAUAAUAUUUAGGUAAUCACCGGAUCUUCAAUUAUCGAGUCAAUCUUCGAUCAAUCAAAGGACUCCGUUAUGUCUUCUCCAGUCACGAGAUCUUCUCCAGUUGAUAAAGUUAAAUCUUUAACAAAACAUCCAGUUUUGAAUAACCUUUCUUCAACGGAUUAGAGACUGUCAAUGAGGAUAGACUUUGAGUCUUGAGUCUGGCUGUCCGGAGGUCUUCGGACUUUAAACAGCAGAGUCUGCAAGCCUUUAGACUAGACUAAUAGAAACGUUUUGUCAACUUCAAAAUACUUCAAGAAGAUUUCUCCAACACCAUUAACUAUAUUUCACAUGAUCACUUUAUAAGUGCCAUUGAAUGCAAGAAACUAACUGAUUGAUGACAUGGUUGGUGACCCCCGUACUAUCAUGCCCCCUCUUCAGCACAAUGGAAUCAAAUUCAUGAAAAAAGAGAAGGCAAGGUGUUACAGCCACUGCCUUCAAGAAUAUAUCCAAACCUGUAAUUUUAAAAUUGCCAUUACUCUCAAAUAUUCAAAAUUUCUCUAGUUUGCUCACAAAAUCAAUGCCGUCAAUGUGCAGAAUAGAUAAUCCACUAGACAUUUGAUCACAAAUUUCAAAUUUCUAGUGGAGAAAAACUUCAAAUAUCUUACAUCUUAAUCUUUCUCUUAAUCUUCAUAGAGGAUUCUCUCAUUCAUGCAUGAGAAAACUCAAGAACCAUUUUAACUUGGCCUCUUGAUUGGUUAUAGGAGAAUCUUCAUUGGUUAACUUGGCCUUUUCAUUAACUGCAGUGGUAGGAUCCUCAUUGCUGCUGCUAGUUAUCAUAUAUCGACUACUGGCAUAGAUGAAGGGACCUCUAUUAAAUGCAUACAAAAGCAAAAGAAGAAAGCACAAAAUUGUGAAAUGUAUGCAAAUAACAAAGUUCAAUAAAAGAUUACAUAAUGGAACUCAAUAAACAUCCAUGUAGUUCAAAAGAAGCCUCUUACAGCUAGCUAAAAAGUACCAAUGUACUUAGCCACAACUCUACCUUUUACCGAUAUGGAUUGAAGAGAACAAGUUGUUGUUGUAGCACCAAUAGUAUGUCUUGCCAAAGCCUAGACAUCCAUGUAAAAGAACAUUUCACCAUGGUCUUGGAGGAGCUUGUGCAAUUUUUAUCAAUAAAUGUAAAAAAGAUAAGACACAAAAAUCAAACAAGUUUAUUUAACAAGUUAACAAUAACCUUAGCAUAGAAAGAGGGAGAGAGAGAUGAGGAAAGGUGCAAUAAGUCAGCUGAAAGAAUAAACAAAACCUAGUCUUCAACAACACAAAGGUGCUCUUUCCUAACACCAGAAAUUGCAGAAUGCACAACUCGAUGCAGCUAAACCCAGUCUUCAACGAAAUGGUGGUUUGACCAUAUCGACAAGUUUACUCCAAUAUCAAUUGUCUCCCAGCACAAAUUUCACACAUAAAUGGCUAAUUACUAGAAUGAAGAAAGAUAGUUCACAAAUCACACCAUGACUCAAGACUUGAAGCUUCUCCACUUUAGUUCAGAAGUAACUAGAGAAACACCUCCAAUUCUUCAUGAAGGGAAAUAACUAAAUCACUCAUAUUGCAUAAUAGGUAUCAAUGAUUCACUCUUCCACUAACCAAGCGUUAAUUCCUUUAUUUCAGUCCUCACAAAUCAUGAUUGUUCUCUACUAGGAUUAGAAACACUCCAUAAGGUGAGAUUAGUACUCUCAAGUCUCAACCACCUCAGCCUUACAACAAAACCUAGCAUUUAUCAGCAUCUUUAGUGUGCUUACUAUCUAAAAGUUCCCUUCCACUUUAUCUAUUUUUUAUAAGCAAAAUAGGUGCCGCGAAGCAUGUCAAUCCCGACUUUAUGCUGGUGUGCAACAUAAACUAGCUAAGUAUCAACAUUGUCAAGUCGAGGUAAGUCAAAGUAUCACACGUUCUGUGACAUCCUGAAAUUCGAUCCUAUUUCGAUAAAAUGAAAUGUGCAUUUCGUCGACGUGCCUAUGGUCCUUUUUCUCUGAGCUGAUCACUCACGAGUUAACUAACUUAUUGGGUGAAGCCGUUAAGGGAUGUAUCCGCGGUAAAAUCCCUAAAAGCUACCUAAUUGGUUGGAUUGGACUAAAAUCGCGUCCGGUCGAUUUUAAUCAUGAAAUUUAAUUUGGUUUUGGGAAUCGAAUAUUCGGACGUGUCACAAUUCAUUUUUAGGACCGUCUCAUCGUCUAUCAAUUAAUUGCUGAGUCCGAAAUUUCAAGAAAGAAAUUAUCGGAGGAAGAUUUGAAGACCAAAAGAAAAUAGAAAGGGAAAGGGAAAGAGAAAAGGAAAAGUAGAAUAAUUGUAUUAUUUAUUUCUUUUUCUCUCUCUCCCUUUUUCUCUCUUUUUCUCUCUCUCUUCUCUCUCCCCUCCCCUCCCCUUCGUGCGAGCAUCCCCACCCACCGAAUGCCCCCUUGCCAAUUUUAAAUUGGCUUCUCUCUCUUUUGUUUCUACCUUUGACUAGUCAAAAAGAAAACCCUUCUUCUUAUCCCUUCUUUCUCUCUUCUUCUCUCUCCUCUCUCUUCUCCCCCAUUUUUCCCCACGUGACCGAACGAAACCUUUCUUCUUCUCCCCUGGUUCGUGAAAAACCAGAAGCUGAAGACAGAAGCGGAAGAAGAAGGCAUCAGCUCACCGCUCGCCGCCCGUCCCACCGCCGCACCGCCGCCCCGCGCACGCCGCGCGCUCCGCCGCCUCCCACCCGCGCUCGCCGUCCUCGCCGUGCGCCGUCCAGCCCUGUUCAGCCUCUGCUCAGCCCUUGUUUUGCCCCGUCCGGCCACCUCCGGCCGCCGUUCGACCUCGCCGGACCUCCACCGGCCUUUCCCCGUGCCUUGCCACCCUUGUGGAAGUGGUUUGUGGCUGUUUUGUGCCUGUUUUCAGCCAUCGUAGCCACCCCACGGAGUGGGUUUCCAGCGGCUUUAGGCCCGUUUUUGGCCGUUUCCCGGCCCCGAACCCGAGCGGUGCUUUGGGAAGAAUCGUUCCUCGCGUCGCCGCCGUCGGAUUGAUCCGAUUUGUGCGCGAUUUGGUGAGUAACCUCACUAAUCUUGGAUUAGUUGGCUAAUUAUGCUUAAGGUUGGUUUAGAUUUAAUUAAUUAUGUUUAGGUUGUUAGAUUAGAGUAAAUUAGCAAUUAUUAGUCAAUUGUGAUGCGAUUUAAAUAAAUUGAUUGUGCAAUUAGCAAGUAGACAUGGUCUACUAAUUAUUGGAAGUGCCUCGGGAUUUUUCCCGACCCUUAGUGGGCUCCAAUUAGGCUUUUCGGGCCUAAGUGGAUAUUUUUAGUAUUUAAAUAUUAAUUUUCGAAAUUAAAUUAAAUAAUUAUUUAUUUUUUUCGAAAAUUCAACUGAGAUGGUCUGGAACCGGAAAAUUAUGCUGAUGACCGUGGUGAAGUCCGUUUAUGUAAUCGGGCUUUAUUUUGAGCUAAAUUGAAUUUUUAAUAAUAAUUAUUUAAUUUUCGAAAUUAAUAAAUAAAUUAAUUAUUUUUCGGAAAUUAAGAUUUUGAUGGCCGACGACCGAAAUCUCGUGCUGAUCGUCGUGGUGCAGUCCGUUUAUUUAUUUGAGCUCCACGUUGUAUGGAAUUGAGUAAAUUGUGAUAUUUUAGGGAUUUACCCUAAAUUGAUUGGAAUCGAUUGAGAUUGAAUUAUCGAUUGGUGAAUGGCCAAGUAUGUUUAUUCAGCAUUUAUAAUGCUUUGUUGAGUUAAUUUAAUUAUUUGAUUGAAUAUUGAUUGGUGAAUGGCCAAGUAUGUUUAUUCAGCAUUUAUAAUGUUUUGUUGAGUUGAUUUAUUUAUUUGAUUGAGAAAUUGUUGGGCAUUGGUGGUCGAUAUUAAAAGUGAACUGGUAACCACUGCAAAGAGGACACGUGGCUCGGUGAAUUGGAAUGUCACCUGAAAAAUGCACAUGAGUUCAGUGGUUGAAUAUGUUACCUUGGCGAAGAGGUCACCUGAGAGAAUGCACGUGGCUCGGUGACAGGAUUUAGCAUCUAAAAGGACACGUGGCUCGGUGAUCUGAUGCGUCACUUUGGUAAGCGAGUACCUUAGAGAAUGCACGUGGGUCCAGCAUUUCGGAAUGGCAUCUAAAAGGGCACGUGGCUCGGUGAAUUGAUGCAUCACCUUGGUGAGAUAGCACCUUAGAGAAUGCACGUGGGCCCGGGCAUCGUAAAAAGGACACGUGGCUCGGUGGCUUGAUGUACCACCUUGGCGAAGAGGUCGCCUUAGAGAAUGCACGUGGGUCCGAGGUUUGAGGCACGUGGCUCGGAGACUUGGAAGGUCAUCCUGGAGAAUGCACGUGGCCUAGUUUUAAAUAUCCCACAGUGGGGAUUGAUUUGUUUGGCAUGUAAUCGACAAGGUCGAUGCUUUGAUUUGACGUUGUGAAUUGAUUGCCUGAAUGGAAAUGACCGUGAGUGGUCUUGUUGGAAUAUAAUCGACUAGGUCGAUUUGAUCGAUGCUUCAAUCGGAGAUAUGAUUGCUUGGGUGCCUAUUAUGAAUUGUACUGACUUGCAGGUGGGAUCAGAGGCCAAGGUAAGUCCUCUGCCCUGUGCGUGUUUAGGCAGCCUGUAGUAUAAUAGUUUAUCUAAUCGGGCUUAGUGGGGUAGAACUCGCUGAGAUGUAGUCUCAUCCCAAUUUGGGGAAAAACAUUUCAGGACCCGAUAAGGAGCUGAGGAGGAGAAGUCUAGGAAGGAGAUCUUGGAGGUGAAACUUGAAGGGAAUGAUUUUGAAAGAAGAAGAUAAUACCGAGAUGGGCCUUGAGUAUGGCCUGGAUGGAUUGAGAUCCUAUCUUCUUUUGAGAUCUCCAUUUUGAUGUGAAUAGUUAUGAGGUGAUUUGUGUUUUGUAUAAAAGUUUGGUUAUAAAUUUCAAUAUGAAAAAUAUGGCCCUGCUUUUCUAUCCCAUCGUUUUAGGGCGCGUUUGUUUGCGUUUCUGUUUAAAAAUUGUUCCAGGAAACAGAAAUAGAAAAAAGUAUUUCUGUUCCUGGGAACAAUUUCUGAACAAAAAAAUGCGUUUGGUAACUGUAUAAAAUUUCUGUUUCUGGAAUAGAAAAAGAACAGAAACACGUUUGGUAACUGUAAAAAAAUUCUGUUUCUGGAAUAGAAAAAGAACAGAAACACGUUUGGUUAUGUACAAAAUUUCUGUUCCAAUUUUUUUCCAAUUGUUUUUUUUUUAAUAAAAUGUGAACUUAGUAUUGAAUUAUCAUUCUCAUGAAAUGCUUAUCAAUUUAAUUUUGUUCAUAUUAAGUGAAAACAAACAUUCUAAACUUGAUCAUAUUUGCUUUGAACGGAAUAAAUAUUUUAAGUUCGUACCAAAAUUUUCCAGUUUGUUUUUUUUUUAAAUAAAGUGUAAACUUGACUUUGAAUUCUCAUUAUCAUAAAAUGUUCAUCAAUUUAAUUUUGUUCAUGGUGAGUAAAGUCAAACAUUCUGAACAUAGUUAUAAGUGCAUACUCUGAAGAAUCUUGCAGUUCUUGCAUUUCACGCUGUCUUCCAACUCAGGACAUUCUUCAACAUUUUCUCGAGACAUAAAAUGUAUUUUCUUCAUUGCAACACAAUUAUACAAUACUACCGACUAUAAACUGAAGAACGUUUUCUGCUCACGUUAAAUACAGAUCUUUUCAUUCCAUGAGAUGCUUUUGACAUUCAAAAAUUCCUCAUCAGUCCGCAAGAUACCGGCACUUUGCACCCUUCAUCCUUCUUCUUCCUGCUUCAGCUAAUGAUCAGUUGGACGUUUGGUCUAUACCGUCAGCCUUUGUCGAACCAAAUAUAUCUUCGAUGCCACUUCUUACCCUCUUUCUUCUCUCAGCGAUCAUGUCCGUGUAUGCCUGAAACAGGAAAAGCAAAUCUUGCAGAACCAAUCUAUCCCCUUCCCUUAAUGCAGGAUGUGUGACAGGGCUAUGGCCAUACCUUAGGGUAAGAGUAAAGGAAGAUGUACCACCAUGAGCAUAUUAGCAAAGAUAUAAUUGUCGUUACCAACAUUGAAUGCAAAAUUAGCCAGCUACCGGUGAUCGCUAACAUUCCUGUCAAUGUUAUUGUCCAAGGCUGACACCUGUCAAUGCAACAAUUGGAUGCACAAACUUGAUUAGAAAACUACUAAUAAAAAGGAAGGAUUCCUGUUUGAACUUUUGACAAAACAAUCCUGGGAGCCAAAAUGGAAAAAAAUAAAAUUACAAAUACCCAUUAAAGUUGAGCAAACCAAUCUGGCCUGACUCAAGAGAUAUGAGCUAUAAUUAUUACCAGAACAUCCAUCUCUUGCUGUAGUUCACUUUCCUUGAUAUGGGUGAGACCUUGUACACAAGUUAUGUUAUCAUCAACAGGACACAUGCCGAUUUAUGUAUUAUAUAGCAUGGGAUCUCAAUCAUGGUAUUGGAGUCCUCACAAUAUAAACAUGGUCGAUCACUCUGGUCAUCAACUUUAUUAAACUCUUUGUGAAGAAGACUUAUUGGAAUUUCAUGAUGGAGGACGAAGUGUAUAUUUUCCAUUAGUAUCUUUGGAAUGAAAUCAGAUGCAUGAUGUGAGAUCGUGUGCCUAAGCAUCAUGAAAUAAGCCACAUCAUUUCCUAUUUUAAGCAAUCUAUAAGCAGCCUAGCUAUCCAUAUGGUAAAGGAGAAUGCAAUUUCUAAAAUGUGAAGAACCAAAAGCCACAUUUAAUCCCUAUAUCCAUAUGUUAAGUUUACAAAAGAACCUCUAAGCUCCGAUAUCAAGAUUUUAGACAACCCUAACAUCUUAAUGGCACUUUCUCUCCCAAAUUUCAAGUUUAUCAGACAACAUCCAGAUGGUGUAUAUGAAUAUUAGCUGAACACAUCUUACAAGGGAAGUUCACGGGUAUCAAACAGAGUUGCCUGAAGGGAGAACGCAUAGACUGAAACAUCUCUGAGAGUCUGCAAAGCAGGUCUUUCAAAGGAUUCUGAACAAUAAUAAUAUGAGUUAACAACUCGCCAUCAACAUUAGACAGAACUUGCAUCUUCACAGAGAUAUGACUGAAGUUGCACUGAUCAUACAUCUGAAUCAACUAUCCAUGGAGAAUGUUUGUUAAAGGAUUCCGUCGAUGCAAGUAAACAAGAAACAUGACAAAGUGUGUAGACCUACAUGUAAAGUAAUUCAGAGCUCCUAAAGAAUUCUAGAAAGCAAGUGCUUGAAGGCAGAUGACGAUAGCAUAAAACAAUGCAAGGAUUAAACAAAUAGGAAAUAAUUCAGAAUGCCUAAAACUGAAAAACAGUGUGCAAAUUACUGAUCAAAGCCAUAAAUUAUGUCGGUGCAGGUCGAAUUGAAUUGCUUGUCAAGAUAUCUAUGGAUUCCUUAGUCAUCCCAUUUUUUUCCCAGAAGGCACUCAGGCCAUCAACCAUGACAAUUUUCUAGACGCAUCCACAAAGGUUCCACAUCAUUCAACAUGGCAUUACAUAGAACUUUGUCCAAUACUCAUUCUCCUUCAAAGCCGGCUCAGUUGUACCCAAGUUCAACAACUUGGACAUGGAACCAUAUGCUAUAUCCCAAACAUGACUGCAGAGUGUGUUCAAUUGUCGCAAAAAUGACACUUCCAAUUACUAUCUUGACCUAAGAGAACCCCAGCAAGUUCAACGGUUGGUCAGGCAUGAAUGGAUCACCAUGACGCCUGAGCAGCAGCGACGCUCGCUGCUCUGCUCGCUCGAGCCGAGCCCGAGCAGCAGCGACGCUCGCUGCUCUGCUCGCUCGAGCCGAGCCCGAGCAGCAGCGAAGCUCGCUGCUCUGCUCGCUCGAGCCGAGCCCGAGCAGCAGCGACGCUCGCUGCUUUGCUCGCUCGAGCCGAGCCCGAGCAGCAGCGAAGCUCGCUGCUCUGCUCGCUCGCCCAGAUCUCGAGCGAGCAGACGAGCUGCUGUCGCAGAUCUGGGGAGCAACGCUCGCCCAGAUCUGCGAGAGUCGCUCGAGCAAGCGGCUCGCAGAUCUGGGCAAGCGCUGCCUCGAGCGAGCCCUAACACUCGAGCUCUCGCCGAAGUGAAGACAAUCAGUGAAGGAGGAGCAGUGACGACGUUUACCUGGUGAAGGAGCAGCGGCUGUCGAGACAGGCGCCGGAGAAGACGAUGGAAUUCUCUGCUCGCAGGAGGAGGCGCUCGUCGCAGGAGGAGAUGCUCGUCGCAGGAGACGCUCGUCGCAGGUCGGAGGAGGAGAAGCUCGUCGCUCGUCGCAGGUCGCCGGAGGAGAAGCUCUUCGCCCGUCGCUCGUCGCUUGUUGCAGGUCGCAGGAGGAAGCUCGUCGCGGGGGGGUGAGGAAGCCCUGUUCGAGCACGAUCGAAGAAAUAAAAAAGGAACACAAUUUUGUUCCUUUUUUGUUUCUGAUUUGUGUUUCAGAAACAAGAAACAAGUUUUUUUUGUUUCUUGUUUCUGUUUCUUUUGUGUUCCUGGGAACAAAAGAACAAAAAAGGAACAGAAACGCACACAAACGCGUUUCUGUUCCUUUUUUGUUCCCAGGAACAAAAGAACAGAAAUUUCUGUUCCUGGGAACAGAAACAAAUUGCAACCAUGCAGGCCCUUAUUGUCUGGGGAUUUUAAACUGCUUCCGCAUGUGCUUAAUAAAUGAAAGGGUCGGCGAUACAUUGUCCUGGGAUAUCGCAUUAUAAAAUCGACCAAGUGAGAAGGAUGUGUGCGUGCCCGAGGAUCGGGGCGUGACACGUUCAUUAUACACGAAAGAGGAUUUUCCCUCAAAGACAACAAGGUGAACGAAUGCAAGAGGUGGUUCUAGAACCAAGAUGAAAGGUUAGCUGAAGGAAAGCUCACAAAACAGGACACAACAAAAAAUGAACUCUAGUUCUAUGGACUUACCAUCAUCGACAAUCUUUGCCAAUCAAAUGAUACAUAUCUUAUCCAUCUCUAUUGAACCUCGGGCAAGCACCUACCAUGAGUUGACAAGAUUUUGGCACGCCCAGCACACUCUCCAAUGAUUCACAUCCAUAGAACAUCAAACUUUUCAGAUUCUGUAGAUUAUAACGAUCAGAUUCGUUUAAGCUUUUGACAGAAUUGCAACCCGAGAUAAACAAAGCCCGCAAUGAUUUCAAUUCUCCUAAACCCUGAAUCUCAGUUAGCAGAGGCAAUUGGCGCAGGGACAAACUCUGGAUCUUCUUCAAGCUAGUUAGAACGGGUAGCGUCUUCAGCAAUGGACAGUCUUCUAUCAACAAUUCAUUGAAUUUCCGUAGCUCUCCAAGCACCUCAAAUCGAAUCUCUCCUGGUGAAUAUCCAUAAACAAACAGCUUCGACAAAUUCUCCAAGUUGGAAAAGACUGACCAAUCUAUCGGUGAUUGCACAUUGUAUAAAUUUAACACUCGAAGGCUAGAUGGGAGCCCGAUAAGAGAUUGGGGCUCAGCACAACUUAUGGAGAGACUUCGUAAAUGAGAGAGGGAACUAAAAUCGGGCAAGGCCAUUUUUCCGAUGCACGGGGUCAAAUGCCACUAAGUAGGUAGUCUCACAAUGCCCUCUAUGUUGGUUUCUUGUAUUGAUGUUCCGAUUAUCUCAAGGUCAACUAAAUUGGUUAGGUUUGAGCAGUUGGGGAUCGUGGUCAACGAAUUUGCUGAAAAGGCUAAACACGUGAGACUCUUGGGAAGCUUCGGCAGCUGUUGGAUUGAAUUACAGCCCUCUAAAUUAAGUUCUUGCAAAUUUGUAAGCUGAUUGAUGGUUGUUGGCAAUCCACUAAAGCAGCCAUAGGAUAAUUCUAGAAUUUUCAAUGAGGAUAGUGCCCCGAUUUCACUUGGAAUUUCCCCCAUUAGAUGUACAAAUUGAGCAUGUAACUCUUCCAGAUUUUCCAACAUUCCUAUGGUUUUCGGAAGUUCACUUAUGUGGCUAGAAUUCAAAUCUAGUAUCUUCAACUUUUUGAGAUUUCCAAUGCAAUCAGGUAAGCUCCUAAUUCUUGAAAAGCUCAAAUCCAACUUGACCAAUAACUGGAGCCUCCCAAUUGAGUAUGGUAGCUUUUCUAGCUCGCAAACUGAGAUGCGUAAAACUCUUAACCUUUCUAAAUUUCCAAUAGAAUAAGGUAAUUCCCGGAUUUUUGAACAUUUGACACUUAGCUUAAGUAGUGACUCCAAUUUUCCAAUAGAGUCGGGAAGCUUUUGAAGUUCCUGACAAUUCAAGAUUAGAUGCUUCAGCUUCACUAAAUUGCCAAUUGAGUGAGGCAAAACUGAGAUUCUUUGAGCUUCUAUUCUUAGCUCUGUCAAAGAUUUUAGACGGCCAAUGGACUUUGGUAGUGACUUAAUAGCUUCAGACAUUAUUUUUAGGUAAUCAAGAUGCUACAAAUUGCCGAUGGACUUGUCAAUCUUUCUUAGAUGAGAGCAUAUAAUAAUCAAUCUCUCCAAUUGCGAGAUUGCAUAGAACUUGCACAUCUUUCUAAGGGAUGGACAAUCCUCGAGUUGUAGGACUUUCAACUGUUUUGCUACCUAUAAAGCAAUUGAGUUGAAUCUUAGAAAAGAAGAAGAGUAAAUGUAAUACAAAAGCAUGUCACGAGAUCAUACCAUGAUUUGACACCAUCCUUCCCAGUCUUCGUUAAUGUUAUUCCCCGAAAGCAUGACAACCACUAGGUUCUUCAACCCAAAGUUGGUUGCUUGGAAUUCGGAAGGGCAGUUGCUCCAAGAGAGCCAUCUUAACUCUGAGAAAAGAUCUUUAAAGUCUCCUUUAAAGUUUCCAUGGUCCAAUUGAAGGAACCUAAGGUUAACCAACCUCUUAAAUUCUUUACGUUUAAAUUUGUACGCUGCGUCAGGUUUAGGUGUGCCAAGAUUGAGGCCUACCAUGUUCUCAGUUCCCUAGAAGAUAAAAGUAGCAACCAAUGAGUACAUGUGUCAAUAUGACUAAUGAUACUAAUGGAAGGAUAAGGAAAAUAUUUAAAGGUAAAAAUUACCGUUUUUCUAUGCACUACAUGGAAGGCAUCCCUAGGUGACCACAAUCUGCUACUCCUUAGAUGUAUGUUGCAGCUUUCCGAGUGGACGAUAUCCCUUCCGAGGUCUCUAAGUUGAUCGUGCAUCCAUAAAAUAUCGUUGUCCAUGAUCUGUAUUAGAGACAUACAUGUGAGGGUCUUGACUUCGAUUUCAGUGGGAUACCCAAAGACCGCGUCCCAAUAUUUCAUUGCAAUUGUUUUAUAUUUGUCAAUGAAGAAACAUGCAAUAUCAAGAUAAAUUUGUUGUUGCUUAGCAUCCAAAGCUUCGUAGCUUAUCAUCAACUUCUUCUUCACAUCGUCAUUCAUCACAGUAUUUAACUUAUGUAGGACGUCUUCCCAUGUCUUUUCGGAUUUUCCGCGAAGUGUGGAACCUACAACAUCGAGAGCCAAUGGAAGUCCUCCAAGUGUAUUGAUUAGCUUAUUUGCAAUAUCCACGUAAUUAGAUGGAGGCUUGGCACAUCCCAAGGCAUGCUUACAAAAAAGUUGAAGAGCAUCAUGUGAAUUCAUCUCCGACAUAUUGUAGAAUGAAAAUUGUCCGCUAUUAGAGGCUGGGACAUUGUCAUCCUCAUCUUCAUUUACAAGGAAUUCAAUAUUCCUAGUUGUUAUGAUGAUUCUACUGCCCCCACCAAACCAGUUGGGCUCGCCGGUAAGUCUCAUGAUUUGGUCUUGACUGUCAAUGUCAUCAAGAAUAAUGAGAACUUUCUUGUCAUGAAAUCUUGUCUUGAUCAUGUCAACCCCUUCAUCAAUGAAGCAUAGGUCUGUGCAAUUCAAAUGGAGAAUGUUGGACAACAAUUUCUUUUGUAAGUUUAUUAUAUCAUGAGUCCGAACAUCCUUAAGAAAGCAGCAAUAUCUCUGAAAUUGAGAAGAGAUUUGUCUGAAGACAGUCUCAGCCAGUGUCGUCUUUCCGAUGCCACCCAUACCAUGAAUCACAAUAAACCUUACAUCAAAAGCUUCUAGAUCUAAUUGCUUCAUAAUCUCAUCCGUUCGAUCCUUAAUUCCCACCAAAUGAUCAGGCAAAUCUGUUCUUCUUGUCCAUAACAAACUUGAAACCUCUUUGACUGUGAGAAUCUUCAGUUCCUCUAGGCUACCACAUGCGUGACAUGCAAUCAUCUCAGAUUGAAAAACUAUAUAUACGGAAACUAUGCACACAUUACGUGGCACUGGAAGGUUAUCAUCAAGUUCAAAAUAAUUUGCUUUAAAAGAAAUCAACACAGAAAAGCAAUCUUUCAAGCUGUGAGCCAUUUGAAAACAAAAAACCGAGAGAGAGAGAGAGAGAGAGAGGAGGAACUUUAUUCAAGGUUGAAAGCUAAUGCUAUCAAGGUUCUUUGGUUUAGUCAAUGAUGGGAAAAGAUUAUUUCGUGACAAGGGUCUGAUUGGGCUUUGACUAGAAGUCAUUCCGGCAAAUUGUGACUAACUAGUGUUGUGAACCGUUGUAUUGGAAUAGGUUGUGGCAUUUUGUUCCAUUUUAUUGGAAAAUUAUGAAAUCAGUGUCAAAUUUAUUGUGUGAAUAUCAAUUCAAUUAUAAAAUUUUCAAUUUUAAUAAUAUUGUCCAAAACUUUUAUACAAAAUUUCAAUGUAGCCCUUGCAGUCAAUAUCCACCGAAAAUUGCUAAAGUGGCAAUCUAUGCAAGAUGUCAUUUCAAGUAAAAUUGCCCACGUCAACUUGCCACAUAGGACAACGGUGAUGAAUGGACGUCAUGUUAAUAAUUUCUCGCAGCAAUUGGGCAGAAAGAUUACAUUAAAAUUUCACGCAAAUACUUAUGACCACAUUAUCAAAAUUAAAAUGUCUUGUGCUCAAAUGUCAUGCACAAUAAAUUUAGAACUAAUUUGAUAAUUAUGCCUCCACUUCAUUUUAUACUUUUUCACACCGGUUGGUUUCUUCUUGUCGCACAGCUAAGAGCGAGACCUCUAGAAAUUUGGUUAAAUAUCAAGUCCUCGGUAAACUCGGUCUUGAUAAUCUCUUCAAGCGAUAGGGAUGAGUUUGAAGGUUAACAGAAAAUAAAAAAUCUCACUCGCAAUUGCCUUGAAUAUAGGAAACAAGAAUAAUCUCUCAAAAGCAUUUUUCUUAACGUACCCAUGGAAUAGAAUACUAACCGAAAAUGAGGAAAAUUUUCUGGAAUCUAUAUCAACCUUGAUUCGAGUUGCCAACAAACAUUUCUCCAAAUAAGUUAGAAAUAAUUUUAGGUUACCCAUUCUUUUUAUAAUAUUGGUAACUGCAAACUAGUUGGAACUUUAAUCGGAAUAAAUUGGUGAGUAACUCAACUUAGGAUUGAUAAUUUAACCAUAGAUUUCGUUGCCUAAUAAUGUUCGUAACUUGUGCAAAUAAAAGUUGGUGCGUUAUUAACGAAAGUUUAUGAAGGUUGGUUGUUUUGAAACAAAUAAUAAAUAUUGAUAAGUAGCUCAAAUAAGAAUGUGUAGCUUAAACUAGUUAUUAAUUUAAUUAGAAAUUAGUUAAUAUGACAAUCAUAUUAGAGUUAGUAAUUCGGUACAGGAUUUGGUAAUUUUGAGAUGUGGAGUAAACAAUAUGGUAAGUUGUGAAGAUGUUGUAAAUCGGCAAACAAUCUAAUAAACUUAGUAAAUGAUUUACAUAAAAGCCGGUAAGCUAAAACUAGUUUGUAAAACAAUGGAAAAAGAAGUUGGUAAGACACAAAUUAAAGUUGCUAAAUUCAUAUAAAAACCGAUAAUUUAAAAAUUAGGGAUGGGCAUGGAGCAUAGGAAAUUCGCGCCCCGCGGUGGCCUGCCUUGGAUGAGGCAAUUUUUUUGAGGAAAAUUUUUCUCAAAACAAUUGCCUCCCUGGGAAUGUUGCACGACACAAGUUGGGCAUGGGUGGUAAUAGGCUAGCCCUUCCCGUUCUCGAGGGUUGAAACUAUUAAUGCGUUUAACGAAAGAUAGAAACAAUAAGGUUUAAUGAAGAAGGAUGUAAGUAAGCAGAGAGUAACGGCUAGGGUUUAUAGAAAAACUAUCACAAACCAGGAUAAGGGUAGCUACAUAUCUCAAGGUAAUUUACAAUUGUUAAAGUACUUAUCCAUUUUCUAGAGGCUUUGAAAUUUCUCCAACCAUAGCUACAACUACUUGGAAGUCCCUUAGGUGAAUUUUUGGUUAAUCAAGAUAUGGGGCCAUGAAUAGGUCCAUGCUUAAAGCAACAGCAAGAACCAAUUUUUAUAUUUUAACAUUCUACUAUAAAUCACUAUAGAAUAAUAUUCAGUUUAAGGUUGCACAUCUUGUCUACGCACAAUUGGCCACUAGAGGAGCCUUUGACCCUUGCCCCACCACAGUGAAAACAAAAGCCCAAGAUUGAUAAUACACCUGGACCUAAGUCAGUCCGUCGCAAACUAAUCAAGAAUUACUCUAAUAAAAAAUAUACUGGAAGACCUCUAACAGUUACAGAGAUUCUUUUUUUUUUUUUUUUGGCUCUUUUGCGUAAUGGCACAAAGAUCUUUGCAAUGUUCGGUCUUGUAUACUCAAACCAAAUAGAAAAACCAUAACCUAUAGUUUCCUCUUAUGGGGUUAAAAAACUAUCAUCAUAAAAAUCUCCGUUAUUUUUGUGUAACUCGGUGGUGCGACCGUAAUUAGCCGGUUAUUUCAAGGGAAACAGCAGCAAAGCAUAUGAAUUCCCUAGGGCUGAAACCAAAACCACAAGGAUCGGUUUCUUACUCUUGGCCGUAAGUUUUUGGAUAUCGCAUAGACUGCGAUAGACUAAGUCUAUGACAUAAUUUCUCUAUGUUUCCUUAAUGUAACAAAAACAGAAAGAUCUAACAUCAAACUCAAUCUAAUUUUUCAGGAAAACAUUAUAGGCAUAGGGUUAAGGAAAAUUACACCAAAAGUCCUUAAUUUCAUGUACGGAAUGCAAUUGAAGUUAAGAAACUUAAAUUUUUUAUUUUUCACAUAUAUAUGGUCUUACUAUUUUAACAUAUCUUAGAUCUUAAUGGAUAUCUUGGUAUUUUGGCAUUAUAGAUUAAUUGAUUAAUUAAGUUGCUAUACCUUAACUUUAAUUGUUAUAAAAACUUGAUAUUAAAAGGGAAAAGUCAAUUUGUGCAAGAAACCUCGCCCUCUGAGCAAUAUUUUUGGCUCCUCAUAGCGUCAAAUCCAACCAUACGUUACAUAAGGUUGGACAGCAGCAAACCGAAUAGUUAUUCUUUAAAGGAACGAGAAAUUGAAAAUCUCAACAAAGAAAAUAAAGUCAAUGGAGAAGCAAAUAAUACCCGGCUUCCUUCCUCUAAUUCUAGCAACCUUUCUUAAAGCCUUCUUCCACUUCUUUACUAAAUCCUUCCCGUAGUCGCUCUUGUGCUUCCGAAGGGCUUUCCGAUAUAACUUAGUCUUAAGCUUGACAUCAUCCACGUCCACGUCGUAAAAUAUAGGGAGGAUCACUUUCUCAUCGUUAGCUGUCGAUUGCUCCACCAUGCGUGCCAGUUCACGGAGGCACCACUUACUUGAAGCAUAGUCCUUGGAAAAAAUCGGGAUGUAAAUUCUGGAGUCAUUGAUCUUUUGCAAGAGGCCUUUGAUCUUUUCGCCAAAUCGGAGCUCUUCGUCGUCUCUAAAAACGCUGAUGCCCGCACGGUCCAAGUCAUGGUAGAGACAAUCAGCAAUGGUUAAGCGAGUGUCGGGCCCUCUGAAACUUAGGAACACCUCGUAACCCCUCCCCGAUCCACCAUCACGGCUACUGCCUGUCCCAGCUACCGUCGCCGUCCCUUCUCCCUCCCUCUUUCUCUUCAUUCUAGUAGCAAGACGGAGUGAUGGAUCCCCGAAUUGAGUCUGCCCAGUGACUUGGGAAGUCUUGAGUUUGAUCCUUGUAACAACUUGACGACACGACGGAGAGAGAUCUCUCACUUUCGCUGCGUUCGCCUGGAAGAUACCUGCGGCCUUCCUUCGCAAGUGAAAAAACCAUUCAGAUCGACAAAAUAAUUGCUUCGAAGAGGAAACACGGAAGGAGAGAGAGAGAGAGAGAGAAAGAGAGAGCUGUGCAUCACUUUUCACCUUCAAGCCAUGAGUGGGGAGUGGGGGACCAUCGCUUCCAAUCUCGCCAAGCCCAGAUCCGGCCUCGUCCGCUGCCUCGAGGAGAGAGUCGGGGACGGAGACGGUGGCUUGGGCGAGAGGGGACGCGAAACGAUCGGCGCAGGCGAUGGCUGGGGGCUCUACGACGAGAGGUGACGGCACGGCAAGGGGAUACGACGUCGAACUCGACGGCGACGGCGACGGCGACGGCGACGGCGAGGUGGCGGAGGCUUGCGGUGACCGAUUGGUGGAGGGGAGAGACUGAGGGAAGAAUAGGAGAUUUUUCAGAGUCCGGAUAUUUUUUUAUGGAAAUUCGUCAAAUAGCGAGCAUGGAAGCUAUAUCAAUCUGAGUUUUGGUCUUGCUCCUGAAAUUGCAAAACACGUUAUGAGUGUGAACACUCACACGAACCUGUUUGAUGUGGAAUUUGACUGCGUGCAGACGAAUUGACUAGACAAACGUACGUGCUUUUGCUUUUGCUUUCGCAAGUGGUUCUGACAAAGAAUUGACCAGACAAACGUACUUCGGUUAUUUUGGAGAAAAUAUUAUGUAGUCCCGGAUCACCGCGUCACCGUGCGCCCGCCCAAUGAAGAGACGACACAUGGCUCCACGUGNNNNNNNNNNNNNNNNNNNNNNNNNNNNNNNNNNNNNNNNNNNNNNNNNNNNNNNNNNNNNNNNNNNNNNNNNNNNNNNNNNNNNNNNNNNNNNNNNNNNNNNNNNNNNNNNNNNNNNNNNNNNNNNNNNNNNNNNNNNNNNNNNNNNNNNNNNNNNNNNNNNNNNNNNNNNNNNNNNNNNNNNNNNNNNNNNNNNNNNNNNNNNNNNNNNNNNNNNNNNNNNNNNNNNNNNNNNNNNNNNNNNNNNNNNNNNNNNNNNNNNNNNNNNNNNNNNNNNNNNNNNNNNNNNNNNNNNNNNNNNNNNNNNNNNNNNNNNNNNNNNNNNNNNNNNNNNNNNNNNNNNNNNNNNNNNNNNNNNNNNNNNNNNNNNNNNNNNNNNNNNNNNNNNNNNNNNNNNNNNNNNNNNNNNNNNNNNNNNNNNNNNNNNNNNNNNNNNNNNNNNNNNNNNNNNNNNNNNNNNNNNNNNNNNNNNNNNNNNNNNNNNNNNNNNNNNNNNNNNNNNNNNNNNNNNNNNNNNNNNNNNNNNNNNNNNNNNNNNNNNNNNNNNNNNNCGUUGUUUUACUGGGCCAGCAUCACUUUUCAGAGAACGUUUCACGUCCCCCACCCCAUCUCUCUCUUCAUUAAAUGCUUUAUCCUUCUCUGCAUCCUUCUUCUCCCGCUCGCACGCCCCUCUCUCUUUCAAAAUUUUAGAGAUCUCUAUAUUUUUCCCCAUCAAAGCCGCACAACGCCCGCCUUCUCUCUUUUUCAAAAAUCUCUCCCUCCCAAAAGCCCGCCCGUCGCCUCCGAGCUCAGCCACCUCCGCCGUUGCCGCCAGGAGCCACUCACUCCCUCUCUCUCCCUCGUCUUCGCUCUCUACGGCGCUCGCUCUCUCCGGCGCUCGUGUUCGUGCUAUAUUUGAGCCGACGUCAUUGGCCAGGUUCCUGCUCCCGUCGACGUCUACCGCAAGCUCGCUCGACCUCACCUCCAUCUUCACUGUCACUCUUGGCCUCUCCCUCGCUCCCGCUCUCCCUCCUUUGAUCUUCCCCCCGCCUCGUGCUGCCGUUCCGUUCGAGAACUCGAACCCCCCGAAGUUGGUGUUCAGGAAGACGACCUCCCCAAUCGGCGACGCGGUCGAGGGAACUAAGAAGGAGGCCGCGGUGGAGUAGUGGAGGGACUUGACGUCGACGCGGCGAAGCCUGAGCUCGAGGCUCUUGACGCGGAGAAGAUGGGUGUGGAGGAUGCAUUGAAGAAAUCUGAGGAGAAGGCAAAGGAGAGAACUAGGCUCUUGCUCGACAAUGUUGAAAAGAACUAGGAUUCUUGGAAAUUUCUUUUUUCAACAAAACUAUGUUUUAUGGAAGAAAAAUCUAAGAGAGAAAAAAGAAAUAGUGUUUUCAAUAUAUUUGAAAUACCUAUAAUAAAAAAAUUAAAAAAUAGACGUGAAAUUCUUAAUUAUGGUAAUUGAAUCCUACAUUAAAAUAGAAAAACUAAAAAAAAGUCAAUGAAUUUGGGGCAACCAAUUAAAUUGCAAUUGAAUGAUUUGGCACACUUUGACCUUUUUAAUGAAAAUUGGGUGAAUUUAGUCAUACAUGAAAUGGAUUUCUCCAUCAACUUUUUGCCGUAAGCCAGGAGAGGCUUGGUCAUCAUCACUCAUCAAGAAAAUGUGUGUAUCCCAGAAAAUAAAUAAAUGUAGGCCUUUUUAUGGUAAGAAUGCAUAAAUUACGGGAGGAUAAAUAAACUUUGAAGAUACAAACUUCCAAAGAAUUAGUUAGGAAUUGGUUAAACAACCGAAACGCCCAAGUCACCACAAGAUCACAAACAACAGUAGCCGGAUCAUCAAAUGCAUCAUUCUUGCAACAAAAAUCUCUUGAAGCCACAUUGCUGCUGCACAAUCACCGCAUGAAUAUGUUGCAGUAAUGAAAAAAAUCAUUUCCGAAAUUAAGGGGUCCAAUAGUGAAAAGCUAGCUCCCACCAAUCACAUCGUAAUGAAGAUGCAAAAGAAGAUGAUUGGAAUGGGGUCCACCUGUUAGAAGAAGAACAAAAUCACCAAGGGAAGACACCCGCUAAAAAUUGUAGCAGCAUGUGCAAUAAUAGUGGUCACCGUCCAAUCACUGCAGCAGAAUUAUUGCUUAAUUUCACUAUGCCAGCGGGCUUAUGGUACUAGCAGACAAGGGGUGCGUUUGGAAAGAUUUUUGGGGAAAGUCCUUGAGAAAAUGUAAAGGCCUUUGAGCUAAAAGGGUUUUUGAAAAUGCAAAUUGUAUUUGGUAAAUCGUAUUUGUGAAAGUCCAUUGUAAAGUAUAUUUGAGCAAAAUAGCGUUUGGACAAAUUAACUUUGCAAAAGACUUUUAUUAUAAAAAAAAAAGGAAAAAAAUGAGAAUUGGUUGGUUACCGCCGGCGAGGGUCGCAGCAACCCCAAUCGCAACCAGAUCAUCGCGACCAGAUCGCACGAUCUGGGUUGCUGGAGGUCGCGCGGCCCAAAUCGGUCGCGGCGACCUCCGGUGACCCAGAUCUGCGUGCGAUUUGUGUCAUCGGAGGUCGCGUGGCCCAGAUUUGGGUCGCAGCGACCUCCGGUGACCCAGAUCUGCCGGGGGUCGCAGUGUCGCCGGGGUUGCAACGGUCUGCGACCCAGAUCUAGGUGGUUGCCGGGAGUUGCAGCAGUCGCGGCGACGUGACUCACAGGGGGUCGCCGAGGUCACGCGACUGGCCGCCGACGAUCGCCAUGGCGCACAGGCCUCUUGCCGACCUCUGUCCAGCUCGUCACCGGCCAUGGGCAGCUCUGCGCAACUUCGUCGGCCAUCCUCAACGAAGAAAAAGAUGAAUAGUAACGAGGACAAAACUGGAAAAACGAAAUGUUAGUGAGGACAUUUGUGGAAGAAAUUUUUUUAACUUACUCUCCCUUAGCCUUCCAAGAAGGCCGAAUGCCCAAGGCAACCCCCAACCUACCUUGGGCUUUCAACCUUGGGAAGGCUUGCCUUUGGCAAAGGCAAGUAAAAAAUUUUUUGUCAAACACUGAAUAUUUGGUCCAAAGGCCUUUAGGGGGCUAAAGAUCCUUGGCAAAGUGGUUGCCAAACGUAGCCAAGAUACUAUUCACCGUCAGAUUAUUGCAGCAAAAUUAUUACUUACUUUCACUAUAGAACUUUUACUGUACAAUCACGUGCAAUUGCUUUUGUUUUGCUCAUUCAAUUCAGAAGGAUUAGCUUUUGUCGGUUGGAGCCAGAAUUCCAUUCUACUUUUGCUAAGCCCAAAAAAUCAGAUCUCCUUAUAUUUAAUCCGAUGUCGCACUAAGUGGCAUGAUCAAUUUAUCCUUGAUCAGCUGAGCAAUAAUUUUAUAUGUGAUAAGUAUUGUAUUGAAAUGUAAUGCACUAUUAAAAUCCUUGUUGGUCCUUCUUGAUUGAUAACAAAAAUUUAAAGGCCCUUUUGAUAAUCUAUCUAAAUUUGUCAGAUAAAUUCAAGAUUUUGAUCUAACAUUUUGAAUCUUUAUUUUGAAAUAAGUUCAAAAUCUUUGCUAGUCCUUCUUGAUUUAUCCGAUCAUCCCAUUAUACAUAUAUAUAUGUGUGUGUGUGUGUGUGUGUGUGUGUAGAAGAUUAGAUAAAUUUCCACGCAUGCAUGCAUGCAUGUAUGUAUGUAUGUAUAGAAGAGAACUGAUAAGAGGGAAUUUUAUUUGGUCAAAUGAUAAAAGACGGAGUUUGAUAGUGAUAUGCACAACAAAAUUGAAAAUUUGUAAACAAGUGUUUGUGUCAAAAAAUUAUUUAUAUAAUAAUUUUUUCUAGAUUCAUCCUUAAAUUUUCUUGACAUACUAGGUUUCUUGGAAAUUUCCUUCUUAGACAAAACUAAAUUUUAUGGAAGAAAAAUCUAACAGUGAAAAAAGAAGGGUUAAUACCCUAAAAAACCCCAAACUGGUACACUUGUGACAAAUUUACCCAAACUAUUUUUUUGACCAUAAAAAACCCCAAACUGGUAAACUUGUGACAAAUUUACCCUGACUGACUAUAAAAAACCAUAAACCGGUACAUUUAUGACAAAUUUACCCAAACUAAUUUAUCCGACUGUAAAAAACCCUAAACUGGUAAUUUUUUGUUAAAUAUAUCCUAUGCUAAAUUGGAUUAAUACCACAAAAAAAUCAUAAAAAUUGUAAAUUGUGAUAAACAAAGCAUAAAAUCCUAAAUUGGUAUACUGGUUAACUGUCACGUGUCAUUUAACUUAAUAAUUUGAGAAUAAAAUUUAACGAAAACCAGCAUAGGGUAAAUUUGUCACAAGUGUACCAGUUUGGGGUAAAUUUGUCAAAGGUAUACCAGUUUGGGGUUUUUGGUGGUCAAAAAAAUAGUUUGGGGUAAAUUUGUCACAAGUGUACCAGUUUGGGGUUUUUUAGAGUAUUAACCCAAAAAAGAAAUGGUGUUUUAAAUAUAUUUGAAUACCUAUUAUAAAGAAAAACUAGACAUGUGAAAUUCUUAAUUAUGGUAACGAAAUCCUACGUUGAAAUAGAAAUUUUUUUUUUUUUAUGAAUUUGGGGCUAUCAAUUAAAUUGCAACUAAAUGAUUUGAAGCAAUUUUGUCUUUUUAGUGAAAAUUGGGUGAAUUUAGUUAUUUACAAUAUAGAUUUCUCCAUCAACUUUUUGUCAUGGCCAGGUGAGGCUUGGUCAUCACUCAUCAAGGAAAUGUGUGUAACUUGGGAAAUAAAUGCAGGCUUUUAUGGUAAGAAUGCAUAAAUUGCGGGAGUAGGAAUAAACUUUGCUAUAUGCGCUCUUUGAUGAUACAAAUUUCUAAAGAAUCAGUCCAAAAUUGGUUUAAACAACUAUUAUGCCCAAAUCACCACAAGAUCACAAACGACAUUAGACGGAUCAUUAAAUACAUCAUUCUUGCAACAAAAAUCUCUUGCAGUAGCCCUACCUUGCUGUUGCACAAUCACCACAUGAAUAUGUUUCAGUAAAGGAGAAAAUCAUUUCUGAAAUUAAGGAGCCCACCAACUAUGAAAAGCUAGCUCCUACUAAUCACACCGUAGCAGAGAUACAAUAGAAGAUGACUGCCGUGGGGUCGACUUGUUAGAAGAAGAACAAAAUCACCAAGAGAAGAUAGCCACUGGAAACUGUAGCAACAUGUGCAAUAAUAUUGUUCACCAUCCAAUCACUACAGAAAAAUUAUUGCUUAUUUACACUAUGCUAUCAGGUCUCCAGUACUAGCAAACAAGAUACUAUUCACCCCGAGAUCAUUGCAGCAAAAUUAUUGCUUACUUUCACGGUGGAACUUUUAUUAUACAACCAUGCGCACUUGUUUUUGUUUUGCUCAUUAAAUUCAGAAGGAAUUCAACCACAAAAAAUCAUGAGGAUUAGCUUUUCCUCAGCCGGAACCAAAGUUUCAUUUUGCUUUUGCUAAGCCCAACAAAGUAGAUCUUCUAAUAUUCAAUCCAUAUUCGCACUGAUUUGCUUGAUCAAUUGAUACUUGCCUUUAUUCCACUUACUAAUUUUAUCUUGUGCCAUGAAAAAGUUGUGAAAUGUGAAUUCGGCUCCAAGUCGCCUUUUGCUUUCAAGAGUUGUAGAUUGAUUGUAAUGCAAGAUGUAACAUUAAUAGACUGUUUGAGAAAACAAACAAAUUUUCCCAAAUUCACUAAUGGCCUUUUGCAUGCCAUCAUCUUGGUAUAUUCAUGAUCAGAGGAAUAAUUAGUGUACAUAAUAAAUAUACAUUCUUUCUACAUGGAAAAAAAAAUAUUGUCCCAUUGUGACUUUUAAUUGCCUCCAUUGAAUUGUGAUCAUAUACUUUUUCCCAUCAACUUUUCUAGAAAUUCGCAUUCAUUCGGAGGUCAUAACUCUUCGGGAAGAUGUGCGAGACCCUCCUACCAAGGAAUGGCUUGCAUCACAUAAUGUGGAGUUCAACCUCGGAAAUACUAUUUGGCCCAUGAAAGUCCCCAUACAUAUAUUGGACUUUGCGAGCCUAGCAGUAGGGUUGAAGUUGAGUCCAACUUAGGACUAAUUCAAGCUUGACUUAAUAAAAUAAUUAGUUGAAAUCAACCGGUCUAGUUUGGAGUUGAGCUUAGACUAAUUGAAGCUUGACUUAAUAAUUAAUUGAAAUCGACUAGUCUGGUUUUGAGUCGAGCCUAGACUGAAGUUAUACCAAGAAUUUCAUCGAGUCAAGAUCAACCUCGAGAGAAUCACAAUUCCAAUCCAAUUUCUAUUAUUUUGUUCAGAAAAUAAUUUAUAAUCAUGAAAAUAGAGGGGAAGACAUUUGCAAAUUGUAGUAUACUUAAAGCACAUAAAUGUAGAGGAUAAUACUUGAAGUUAGUGAGCUUGAGCUCAAGCCCAUUCUUUAAUUUGAUUGUUUCGAGUCGACUUGAUCUUGAAUAUCUCGAUUCUAGUUUGGUGAAGCUCAAGCCAAACUUUUAAUACUCCAUGAUUUGAGGGGAGUUUCGAGCAUCGAAUAUCUAAGAGGAGUUGAACUCAGAGCUUGGCACUAUUCUAUAGGCUUGAACUGAAAAUUUCACUUAGUAAUGUACUUACAUUAAAAAAUUAAAAGUUGCAAAAAGUUUAUUAUAGUGAUAUAUAUAUACAAAUUGCCAUGGCACGGACUUUCUACCCAGACUGUACCUACAUUGCUCUAAUAUAAUGGAAAUCUUCAAGAUCUGACAACAAGAGACCAACCAAAUUACAGCAUUAAGUCACUUGAUCCAAAAACACUCCUGCUGACGCGUAUUCCUCAGUGGACCCCAAGCAGGCCCAUGUUUCUCCCCCGAAUUCAAAUUUAAAUUGGUUCUUACUAAACAUACAUAGUCAAGGUGAAACGACGAAACAUUGAUGGAUCCAACAUCAACUCAACACUAGCACACUGCACACAGUAAGUGAAAACUCAAGCUCAAGAGGUUCUCAAGAAAUCGUUUACAUGACAAGCUUUGUGUAAUGCAGUAAAUCUAACUCAACCUAACCAAAAUCACCCAUAGUCAGUCUUAACCAUGAUCACAAAACGGUACAUAAUUCAUUCACCUAAUCGAAAAUGGGGAGAUCAAAGUCAUACUCUCAUUCAGGAGUACGCAUUCUCCUACCAUGAUCCGAGUUGAAAAGACUCCUUUAUGAGUCUUUGGCAGGAACACCAGCUUGACGGAUUCUCUUUUGGUGAACAUCCCAAUUAUACACACGAGCAAUCGUAACCUGCCAAAAAGGGCUGUUUCAAACCACACCCCACCCCCACACCAAAAAAAAAAAAAGUGAGAAAAGUUUCCCAGGGUCACCAAUCUAAUUGCCAUGAUAAACUAAAGGAUAUGGUUCAGCUUUGAAUUUUUUCAAGUUCACAUUCGUGCAAACCUACCACGCUCCAACUUAUCACCAAUUAACAUGUCUUCCCAAUUUAUAGCCUCACGCCAGUUAGAAAAUUCAGAACAACGGUAGUUCGACCCCAAUAGACCUCGCCAAAACUGACAUAGUAAACGGCUUGAAAUAAACAAGGACCUCCGAGUUCCAAAUAAUUCUCACUUAUCCGAGUGAUUGUUACUUGCUCCCUUAAGAAUUGUAGAUCAGCAACAAGAACUUCUAAACUUGCUUUAGCAUUUUCUAAGUUCUUUUGUAGAUGGGUUGUGGCCUGCAACAUAAAUUUAUGCAAUAAAUAAGAUACUUGACAUCAUUAUUGGAAAGAAAGGGACAUUGCUUAAACUCGGGUACAACCUCUUCACAUGAAUACUCCAACAUAACAUUUGCUCCCAGCCAUAGACAUACUGAAUCAGUAUCUUCAAUGCGAGCUCGAGAAUAUAUGCCUUCAGAGACUUCAAAAUCAGCAAGGAGUGCCUGUAUACAAAAUAAAGAGUCAUGAAAACCAGUCAGCUUGGUGCCUGAUAUCUUUUGCGCCAUUAAAGUUUUGAUAGUCUUAGGUCUUAAGCCCAAUACAGUAAUCCCAUCGCAUGUCAGUUUCUAAUCGGACCUUCAGACACCAAAGCAACUAGCUAAACAUUACUUGUGAUAUUCCGGCGUUCAAAUCUAAAACCACCCCAUUAUGGAGAUCAGCAUGGGCUCUUCAAAGCACUAACCUAGAUUAUUAGGAAUAUUGCUUCCAGAAGUGCAUUUGCAAAGGAGAAACGCCAAUUGGAUAUUUCACAUCAUGUCAACCAUACCAAAGUUAGUUCCUAGUAUGGCAAGAAUUAAACUAGCCUAUUCUCCAUUUGCUUUGUAAAGAUAGAAAGGGGUAAUAUGCUCAGCUAAGAGAGCAUCGAGGAGCAAGAAUAUUUUUUUAAGAUAAUAGUUUUUAGCAUAACAAGAUUAUGAGAAAAAUUUAGUUGACAUCAUAUAUAAAAGAUGACUGAUAGAUUGUCGAGGAUUCAAGAUGAAAAACAGAAACUGCAAAGGAAAAAAUUGGUGGAUUCUAAGACAAUACAAAGAACUCCAGCGGAUAAAAUGAGAAAGAACUCCGGAUUGAAAAUAUGAUCUGGUUACGCGAUAUCAAGCUUACUUUGUGAAAAGCCUCAAUGUCAGUAGCACGAGUCCGACAGAUACCCAUUAAGUAUCCUCAGUUAAAAUACCUGCACCGAAAAGUGUUCAGCUUGAAUUUCAAACUUAAAUUCCAGUUCUGAGGCUAUGAUUCAAUCUUACUGUAAUAGAAACUCGAGCUCAUUGUGCACGCAUAUAAUGGUGUUCUCAAUCUGUCACGCCCCGAUUCUCGGGCACGCACAUAUCCUUCUACUUGUUCGAUUUUAGAAUGCGAUAUCCCAGGACUAUGUAUCACCGACCCUUUCAUUUAUUAAGCACAUGCGGAAGCAGUUAUUAAUCCCCAGACAGUAAAUCAAUGGGAUAGAAAAGCAGGACCAUAUUUUUUAUAUUGAAAUUUAUAACCAAUCUUUUAUACAAAACACAAACCAAAGUACUCCAUAACUAUUCACAUCAAAAUGGAGUUCAGGAAAGAAAAUGGAAUCUCAGUUCAUCCGGCUGUACUCAAGGCCCCUCUUGGUUUUAUCUUCUUCUUCCAAAAAUCCUUCUUCUUAGGUUUCACCUCAGAGUACUCCUUCUCAGAUUCCUCCCCAGCUCCUCAUCAGGUCCUGAAAUGUUUUCCCCAAACCGGAAUGAGAUUACGUCUCAGCGAGUUCUACCCCACUAAGGCCCGAUUAGUAAACCAAUACACCUUACGGCUGCCUAUGCACCACAUGAGUUAGAGGACUUACCUUGGCCUCAGUUUUCAUCUGCAUAUUAGCACAUAUCAAAUAGGCAUCUAAGCAAUCACAUCACUGAUCGAGGCAUCGAUCAAAUCGACCCAAUCGAUUACAUGUCAACAAGACCAUUAACGGUCAUUUUCGUUCAAUUAAGCAAUUUACAACAUCAGAUCAAAACAAUGAUCAAUCGACCUAGUCAAUUACAUGUCAACAAUGACCCUUCCCCGGCCAAUUCAGUUCAAUCAGUCAAACCAUGACAAACGAAUCAAAUUAUAUCGGUGAUUCCAUCUAUACUCGAUAAUUAAUCUCAACAUACCAAUUCAACAUUCCCACUCAAAUAUAGGCUCAAGGCGCUAGAGGUGACCCCAACACAAAGUCUCGUCAUUGUGCAAUACUUAGUCCUUGACCACAAAUAACAAUAGUAUAAGGCGCUAGAGGUAACUCACACGAAAUCUCGCUAUCGUGUAGUACUUAGUCAUUCACUACAAAAUACAGUAGGGUAAGGUGCUAGAGGUGACUCACACGAGAUCUUGCCAUCGUGUAGCGCUUAGCCCUUCACUAUACAUAACAAUGCUGCAAGGCACUAGAGGUAAUUCCCAUGCGACUUAGGUCGCCAUAUAACACUUAGCCCUUAACUACAAUAAGCAAUGGUAUAAGGCGCUAGAGGUAACUCACACGAAGUCUUCUAUUUGUGUAGUACUUAGUCCUUUACUUGCUCAUGAUCCAUUGGUUUCCCUCAACACAACACACAUCACAUCAACUUCCAAUAAUCAUCUUGCUUCAACUAUAAGCAACACACGAUUAAUCCCUCACGGCCCAAUGACAUUGUGCCUCGCACUUAACUUCCUCAAUUAAAGUAAUAUCUUGACCUCAUUUCUUCGUAUUAAAAAUACUCGAUAAAAUAUCGUGCGUGGGCACACGGCUGGCCUUAGCCAAAAUCUAAUAUUUUCCUUUCCAUAACUCCCACGUUUUCUAUAGUCCGCUCAAAUAGUUUUGGCAUUAUCAACCGAUGCCCGGUUAUUUUUCAAUUAAUAACCAAUGAUUUCCAAUUAAAGAAUAAUUCCCAUCCUUCGCAAAUAAUUCAAUUCAACACAAAAUAAAGCUCCAUUAAAUAAACGGACUUCACCACGACGAUCAUCACGAAAUUUCAGUCAUCGACUAACCCAACCUUAAUUUCCGAAAAAUAAAUAAAUAAUUAAUUAAUUUAAAAAAUUAAUAAUUAAUUGCAAUAAAUCCAAUUUAGCUCAAAAUAAAUCCCAAAUUAAAUAAGCGGGCUGCACCACGAUCAUUAGCAUAAAAAUUCGGCCACUAGCCAUCCAAGUUGAAUUUCCGGAAAUUAAUUAAUUAAUUUCGAGAAUUAAUAAUUAAUUACAAUAAAUCAAAUUUAACUCAAAUUGGCGCUCAAUUAAAUAAACGGACUUCACCAUGAUCAUCAGCAUAAAAAUUUGGUCACUAGCCAUCCAAGUUGAAUUUCCGGAAAAAAGUAAUUAAUUAAAUUAAUUUCAAAAAAUAAUAUUUAAUUACUAAAAAUUCCACAUAGGCCCGAAUUGUCAAAUUGAAGCCCGAUAGGGGUCGGGAAAAAUCCCGAGCUACCUUCAAUAAAUAGUAGACCACGUCUACUUGCUAAAUACACACUUAAUUUAUCUAAUUCGCAUCAUAAUUGAUUAAUAAAUACUAAUUUAUACUAAUUGUGACAUCCUGAAUUUCAGGUUCUGAUUUUGAUUGGAUAAAAUGGGCCUUUCGUCAACGUGACUAUAGUGUUUUUCUCUGAGUUGGCCACUCAUGAGAUAACUGGCCUAUCCGGUGAAGCCAUUCAGGGAUUUUAAAUGUAAUAGACUUGAGAAUUCGACCAGGAAUCGACUGCUCGACCGUGCUAGUCUGCAAGGGUCAUUACGGCAUUGUCAAAAUCGAUCAGAGACCGGAGAUAGAUCGAUUCAAUUGAGAUGUGUGAUCAAGUGUGGGUGAUGCCACCUGACUGCAAAAUUCUCAUCGAUCGGCACUAAACCGAUUUUCUGUCGUUUUGGGUACCCUGUGCCCGUAUUUGAAACCUUGAGAUUUUCACGAUUAUCGAGAGUCGCCAAUGUGUCGGACGGGUUCAUUGUGGUUCAAAGAAAAUCAACCACGGGUCAAUUGCACCAAAAAUUCCUAGAAGCUACCCGGUAGGUAAGGUCACACUAAAAGCACGUUUGAUUGAAAAUAACCGCGAAUUUGAAUUCGAUUUCAGAAAUUGAGAGUCCUGUCGUGUCAUGAGUUAUUCCGGGGAUGUCGACUCACAUUUUGAGGAAAUUCCGGCGAGUUCGGGAUUUUUACGGAAAACCGGAUCGGACAAUACGGAAAAUGAGUGGAAAUUCGGAUUGGCUAAUUUGAAGAGACUUUUGACAUCUGGUGUAAAUGAAUCGGUGGAUGGAAGUUGUUUAGGCUUUUUCUGAUUUCAAAUUGGACCUCAACCGAAUUUAUUCGUUCAGAAAAUCGGAUUCCGAGAAAAAUGAAAUAAAAAAAAUCGGUUUUGAAGGAAAUUCGUGAGAUGGAGAAAUCGAUUCAUCCCGUUCUUCAAUGAGACUUCAAAUUGUGCAAUUGGUAAAGAAUUAGACCCAAGAUGACCAAUCGACGAAGUUGGUUGAAGUUGAGCAAAGGGUGUUCAUGUUUUGUUUAAUUUUCUCUCCAUUCUCCUUGGAUCCACGCACUCAUGCACGUACCCCUCUUCGGCCGACAACACCCAAGCACAUCUUCACCUUGAAAAUUUCUUUGGUCUUCAUUUCUUUAAAUGUUGACCAAUGGGAUCCCCCUUCCUUCCUAUCCAUUUGCGGUCACAUCUCCCCCUCUCUUUUAUUAUUUCUCCAUUUUUCGCACGUUCCUCAUUACUUCAUCCGACAAUCUCUCUCUCGCACGAAACCCCCCCUGCAGUCUUCAAUUUCUUCUUUUCCUUUGACCAGUCUUCUCUUUUAUCCUUUUUCACUUGCUUCCCACGCCAGGGCAGCUGAACCCUACUCCCUCACGUCUUCUGCUUUCUUUAAUUUGCUUGGACGGAAGCAAAUCCGCAGAAGCAGCCCCACGAUUCCUCUUCUCGUCUACCAUGGCCGCACUCACACAUGCCCUCAUCCCCACCGAAGCCACCACUUGUCUGCAGCUCAUCUUCCCCGAGUCAAACCAGCGGGUUCUCCAGCGAAGCCUCCCUCAAUUUCUUCGCAUCUCUCUCUACCGAAUUGCUACCCCACGUUCCUCCAUCGAAGACCCAACUGAAAUCCCUCAACCGCUUCCCCUCUACUAGCAAAUUCUCUACGCCAGCAUCACCUUGUUGACCUCCUGUUUUGUUGACCACCGAGCGGGCUUCAAUCCGCGUGUCUUCCAUCUUCGGCCAACAGCUGCUCCCUCCGUCUCUGCCACAUCCCAGUUAACCGAAGUAGCGUUGAAAGCAACGAAAUUAACUCAGCAUCGGACGAAGUUCCCUUGCCAGCGAAGCUCGAAGCAACCGAAGUAGCAGUCCAGCGUUUCCGCGUGGUCUUCCCCAGCUCGACGCCGUAAGCCGCUACUUCCUUCGCUCACUUGUCUUCGGCCCAGUCCGUGAGGCCAGCGUCCAUUUCUUUUGCUCGUGGACCAACCACAGCGAGCCCACUCUGAUUUUUCAGCGGCCCAAUACAACAGUUCAGCCCGCGUGGAGCUCGACCCAUUUUUAGCACUAUCAGCCCGGCAAGCCUAACCUGUUUGCAGCCCAGUUUUUGAGGCCCAAUUUCCAGCAAAUCAAUUGAAGUCAGGCCCACCGAAUCAGUAGACUCAGCCCAGCUCGAGCAGCGAGCUUUUAGGCCAAUUUCGGCCCCGGUUUGACCCCGGUUGGCGGACCCACUUCGAAGAGAAUCGAGUCUUGUCGCGUGCUCGUCGAUUUGAUUCAAUCAAAUCUUAAAUCAAGUGAGUUUUACUCACUAAUGCUUUAUUAGUUUGCUAAUUAUGCUUAGGGUUGGUUAAAUUUAAUUAAGUGCAAUUAGGUUGUUAGAUUAGAUUAAAACAAUUAAAUUAAUGACUUGAGGAUGCAUGUUAGGUGGUUAGCUAUAGCCAUUAGGGAGUAGAAAUGCUCUAUUAUUUAUCGAAUGUAUCUCGGGAUUUUUCUCGACCCGUUUCGGGCUCCAAUCAGGCAUUAUGAGCCUAAAUUGGAUUUUUAAUAUUUAUUUAUUUAUUUUUCGAAAUUAAUUAUUUAAUUUUUUUUUCCGGAAAUUCAAUCGAGAUUAUCGGUGACUGGAAUUUCGUGCCGAUUGUCGUGGUGCAGUCCGUUUAUUUAAUUGAGCUUCAAUUUUUAUGGAAUUGAUUUAAAUUGUGAAAUUUGAGGACUUGUCCUAAAUUGUUUGUUAUUGAGUAUUUGAUUGGUAAUGGCCGAGUAUGGGUAUAUAACACCAGUACGUUGAUGGGCUAUAUAGUAGAGAGAAUGAUGAGAGCUAACUGAGAAUGUUAUUGGCUGAGACCAAUCAGGUACGAUAUUAUUUGACAUACGUGAUUCGAUGAUUGGAAGUAUCACUGGCGAAAACGGCGCCUUAAAGAACGCACGUAAAUGACUUAUAGACAAACGUGGUUCGGUGAUUAAGGAAAUAUCACUGGUGAAAACGACGCCUUAAAGAACUCACGAUGUUGUCUAUAGCCGAUGUCACCUUGGCGAAAACGGCGCCCUAGAAAGGACACGUGGUUCGGUGAUCGAGGAUAUCACUGGUGAAAACAGCGCCUUAAAGAAUGCAUGGUGUCGGUGAUCGAUAUGUCAUUGGCGAAAACGACGCCCGAGAAACACAUGUGAUUUGGUGAAUGAGUAUAUCAUUGGGAAAUUAUGGUAUGAGUGGGAAUGACCUAGAGAUGGUCCGAUUGACAUGUAAUCGACUAAGUCGAUUGAUCAAUGCUUAAUCAUAUGUCUUGAAUUGUUUGAAUAUAUGUGUUUAACCUUAAACUGCAGGUUGGAACUAAGGCCAAGGUAAGUCCUCUGAUUUGUGUUGUGCAUAGGCAACCUAGUCGGUGUAUUGGUUUACUAAUCGGGUAUUAGGGGUUAGAGCUUGCUGAGACGUGGUCUCAUUGGUUAUUGAAUAACCAUUUCAGGUCCUUAGAUGCAGUACACUUGAAUUUUGAAGAUCUCGAAAGUCCAGUGCAGUUUGUAGAAGGCUCCAGUUGAAGUGUAGAGGAUGAUGGAGAGGAGGACAGGAACCCGUAGUUUGUAGAACCCCACUCUUGUUUGUAGACCUUAUUUUUAAACUGGCUUAAGUUGAAUUUGACUUAAUAGUUCACCUUGUAUAUAUAGGUGCACUGGUUUGCAAUGUAUGUAUGAGUGAACGUUUUAAAGGUUUGAAAUUUAAUCCUACUGUAUUAUCCCAAUGUUUUAUUGUCUGGGGAUAAUUUAUAUGCUUUCGCAUGUGCUUAAGGAAAAUGAAAGGGUCGGCGAUGCGUCAUGGGACGUCGCUAUUAAUCGAUCAAGGUAAGGGAUGUGUGCGUGCCUGAGGAUCGGGGCGUGACACUAAUCUAACCACCUAAACCUAAUUAAUUAAAACUAAACAACCUUAAGUGUAAUUAGUCCACUAAGUAAAGAUUAGUGAGAUUACUCACCGGAAUUGAGUGCAAGUCGGAUCAAUCCGAUAGGGAUGAUGCGAGGAAUGAUAAACUCCAAAGCGGGCCUCGAGUUCGGGGCCCGGAAAUGGCCCAAAACGAGCUCGAUGGGGCUGGAAACCCAUUCGCUGGGUUGCUGUUUAGGGCUGGCCGAGGCUGGUCCGGCGGCUAGGGCGGCGAGGGGAGGCCGGCGGAGGGUGAGGGGAGCUCCGUUGGUCUGAGCGGUAGCCGGAGAUGGUCGGGCAACCGCCAGUGGUGGCCGAAUAGGGGUUGGGCAGAGGCGGAAGUCGCGCGGGGGAAGUGCGGCAGCGAGCGAUGGAUGCGGGGCGAAGGUGCGGCAUGCGCGGGCGGGCGUCGCGCAAACGAAGGUCCAGCUCCGGCGAGGCGGCGACGAUUAGCUGGCUGCUACUCUUGCUUCGGUCCACUUUUGUCUUGUUGGUUCCUUCGAACCAGAGGAGAGAGAGUACCAAGAGAGAGAGAGAGUCGGCGACGGUUGAGGAGGGUGAGGGAGAGGUGAAGGCGGGCGGUGAGCGACGGAUGCAUGGGCGCGGGCGGCGGGACGAGUGACGACGGUGGCUGGCUUCGGCGAGCUGCUGUCCUUCUUUCUCCGUUUCUGGUUUUCACGAGCAAGAAACAAGAAGAGGGGGGGCUUUCGGUCACAUGAGGGAGAAUGGGGGAGAAGAGAUAGGAGAGAGAAGAAGAGAGAAGAGAUAAGAAUGAGAAACUUUUUUGACCAGUCAAAGUGAAAAAGAAAGAGAGAAGAAGAAACCAAUUUGAAAUUGGCAUGGGGUGUUCGGUGGGGGAGGGGGAAAUCGCACGAGGGAAAAGAGGGAAGGAGAGAGAGAGAGAGAGAGAAGAAGAGAGAGGGAGAGAGGGAAAAAUAAAAUGAAAAUAAUAUUGUUAUUCUUAUUUCAUUUUAUUUUCUCUUUCCCUUUCUAUUUUCUUUCGGACUUCAAUUUUUCUUCCGAUAAUUUCCUGAAAUUUUGGACUUGUCAAUAAUUUGGCGGAUGAUGAGACGGUCCUAAAAAUGAAUUGUGACACGCUCGAAUAUUCGAUUCCCGAGACCAAUUUAAAUUUUAUGGUUAGAAUCGAUCAGACGUGAUUUUAGUACAAUCCAACCAAUUGAGCAGCUUUUAGGGAUUUUACUGUAGAUACAUCCCUUAAUGGCUUCACCCAAUAGGUUAGUUAACUCGUGAGUGAUUAGCUCAGAGAAAAAGGACCAUAGGUAUGUUGACGACAUGCCCAUUUCACUUUAUCGAAACGGGGUCGAAUUUCAGGAUGUCACACAAUCACAGGUCACUUUGCUAUAGCAAAAGCCAGUUUGCUUCAGUCAUUAUGCAGGUAUACAUAUCAAAUAAAUAAGAGAGGAAACAAGAGCAUAACAUUGUGGUGGAAUGGAGUGGUGAACUAAUGGUUGCAUCAAGGUGCCCCAAUUUGAAAUCAUUGACCAAUUCAAAUCCUGGAUUUUUGUAUUGAGAGAUAUACCGCACCUUUGUUUAUGUACUGUCAGCACGGUCAUAGCCUAUUUAAUGGAGUAAACCUCAGUGCAAAGAAAGAUGGAGGCAGCACGUGGUAGUACUUGUGUUUGUCCGUGUUUGCGUGUGUGUGUGUGUGUGAGAGAGAGAGAGAGAGAGAGAGAGAGAGAGAGAGAGAUGGGUCUUGGCAGAGGGGCUGAGUGCCUGGCGACCCAUAGUUGAUGCUAAGGACUAAUCGUGCGGGACAAAUCUCAUAGGCUCUUGUCCACUGCAGAGAUAUGGCUAUUAUAGCACAUGAUCAGGAAACUUUGUUGAUGGAAAAAGGUAUUGGUAGGAUUCACCAUUUAUGCAGAGACUGGUAACCAGUAGAGAAUGAGAUGGCCAAAUUUUAAGUUCUCUUACGCAAUAUAGCUGGUAACAAAGAGACAGGGAAGGACUCUGUGUCCAAAGAAGGCAGGGGGUAUUAGCUGCUUAGACGAAAGCCAUAUGGAACUAUUCGGCAUCAUAACUUUUCGACAUGUGCGAUUGCCCUGGGAGGGUUUCCAAAUAGCCAACAUACAAAAAGAAACCAAAAACAAGAAGAAGGGUGCAUACAAACAGAUACUAGCUAUGGCAAAGUCAAUGAGAAUCCUCAGAUCACCCACCAAUAUGUUGCCCUCAGAUUAGAUCUCCUUUGGACGUGGAUACGCUGGAAAAGAUGCAGAUAAGAUGUGGUGACCAUGGAAUUGAAUCCCAAUCCAAAUCUUAGCCUUUUUCUUAGUCAAGAGAUAGAAAUAAGAGAGCCUUUAAAUCUUGCAUUAAGGAAAAGGAUGGCUUUUUAGACUUCACACGCGGUUAACAAUUUCUAAGACUCAACUUCUUACCCCAAGUUUAUUAAAUUCACUCUCAUGUAAAUAACUCUACUAAGAGGUUUGCUCUAAUAACUAUUGCUUUCUGAAGAAUAUUCAAUCAGCAAGAAAGCAUUCCCGUAUUUAAAUGAAGGGGCACGUGAAACAAAUGAUAUGUUUAUUUUGUUCUAUACACAAGACACUAAUACCAGCUCUGAGCUUCAUUUAAGGUUCAGCCAAAAAAAGAACAACCAAUGUGAAACAGUUAUAAAGAAAAAGAAAAAAAACGGAAAGAACUCCAGAAUUAGAUAUAUCUCCACCUUUCUUUUGUCAGUUUUCGCAAUACCAUUAACCAGGCUCUGAACUGGAAUAACAUGCAAAACAAUAUCUCUUCCUAUACUCCUGCGCUUUCUCAAAGGACAAGGAAUAAUACGGAUAAUUCAUUUUUAAAUAGAACCUAAAUGCAGAUAAUUCCUACUCAUUUUAAGAUAACCAAUUGAAAGCCUCUAAUGCACAACAUGAGAUAUAAUACCGACGUUUUUCAAUGACAAACCAUUUUAUGUGAUAAAGUAUAAGGAAGAUUUAUAAGGUAUAACAUGCAAGAUGCAACACCUAAUCAGUACGUUCCUGGUACCUUUAAAUGAGAAAAUUUCCUAACAUGGAGAGCAUAAACAAGGCUUACUAUCUAGUGAUGUGCAUUGACAUUCUUCAUUUCCAUAAAUGGGCCAAUCGAGCAUUUUGGAAGGAGAGUCUCUUUCUCAUUCUAAUUACAUGUGAACAUCUCGAUCUAAUUUGCUCAGAGGUAAGUAACUGCAAUCAUUUCAAGAUUCAAAGCCUCGCAAUUUCAACACAAGGUCGUCAAUCAAUUGGCACCGAUCAACUAAAUUACCGAAAUCCACAGCUUGUUGUUAAAAAGCAAAUAACCGCCACUUCCCUAUCAACUUGUGGAAAUAAAUGGAAAUUCACCCAAAAUCUUGUUCCCAUAGUCAGAAGUAUGAGUUGCGUGAGACAACGGACCUCACCAGAACUCUUCUUGGCCUGUAGAGUGGCGACUAUGUCUAAACACUUCUCAAUAUCAGGAAUUUUUGCCUGGCAUUUAAUAUAGACAUUGAAUUAACAACCCAGUAAAAAGCAAAUGAACAAGUAUCAUGCUGACAGAGUAACAAUAACAUACUAACAAAGUGAUCAAGUUCUGUGGGAACAAAGAACCACGUGCACUCGGAUCUAUCGGGUCAAUGUAAAGAGAAAUUCAUUGUGAGACAUCAAGAGGUGCUGACCAUCUGGAUUUGUUUUAACUUUUUAUUUUAGAUUAGAUCACAAUAACUGCAACAGUAAGCCAAUUUCUCAUCCUUUUUUAGGGGAAAAGUAAAGCUCACUCGAAUUUGAGAAGAGAUUUAAGUUGAACUAGAAAAACAGAAACUAGAUAAAAGAAAUAAGGAGAAAGAAAACUGCAAGAGAGUGUAGCAACCUUCAUAAUUGAGGACAUGCCCAUUCCAUUAAUGAAAAUGUAAGAUACUAAAUAUACAAUGCACUAUGAAAGACAGAACUCAGAGCCAACAAACUUCUUGUUGUGUUACUUGUUUGUCUCAACCAGUACAUUUCUUUUUCCUGAAACUAAAUAUUCAUCGUGAUUAAGCCUUUGGUAUCAAUAUCUCUGAUCAUGUCUUUAUACCUCUUAAGAAUCAAGAAAAAAGUUGCCCACUCAAAUGCUUCAAAGUUCUUGAGAAAAGUUCUAACCACACAUGCACGUACGCCCACCUCCAUGUUAACCAUUGCAUACAUUUCAACACUGCGUUGGUUACGCUAUAUUGAAAAAGCGUAAAUUUGAAGAAAAAGAAACAAGGUCUAGUGCUAGCACAAGGGCCGACACAAGGGAUAGUGUCUAUGGUAUUCAGCAGUACAUUUGAAUAUGGGUCUUUGUUUGUGAUCACAUGAAGAAAAUGAACAACGAAAUGUAACUCAACAGCGAAUUCAAUAGCAGAUAUAACGAUACAAAAGAAUCAGUCGAUGAGAAAUUAUACACAAACAUCUAAAGGGAUGUCAAUAAUAACAAAUCCCAGCUGCCGUCGCCGUCUCUUCUCCCUCCCUCUUUCUCUUCAUUCUGGAAGGACGAUGCAGAGAUGGAUCUCCGAAUUGGGCCUGCCCGGUGGCUUGGGAAGUCCGAGUAUGAUCUUUGUAGCAACUUGAUAAAGCAACGGAGAGAGAUCUCUCUCACUUUCGCUGCGUUUGCCUGGAAGUGACAGGCGGCCUUCCUUCAUAAGUGAAAAAGCCGUUCAGAUUGACAAAAUAAUUGCUUCGAAGAGGAAACACGGGGGGAAGAGAGAGAGAGAGAUGGUGGCUUGGCCGACGACGAGGGGUGAUGGCACGGGAAGGAAAUACGACGUCGACGGCGACGGCGACGCAGCGGCGAGGUGGCGGAGGCUUGCGGUGACCGACACGGAGGGAAGAGUAGGAGAUUUUUCGUAAGUCCGGAUUUUUUUUAAGGAAAAUUCGUCAAAAAAGUAAGGGCAGUUGGGUCGUUUAGGAGGGUAACCGCACCAUGUGCACGCGGCAGGUGAACAGAUUUACCAGAGUCGCGUGUUUGGAGUGCUUUGCGAUAAGAAAGGAUUAAAACUAAAACUAGUUACUUUUGCCCAAGCUUUACGCGAACAUAUGUUAAUAAAUGUACUUUAAAUAUGUUUAUUUUCAUUUUUAUUUUUAUUAAUGUCAAUAAUUCUGGAUUGUGUAUAACACUCUCUUCGUUAUCCAUUAGGCAUAAAAUUACCAAGUAAAACCAUUUGUCAAAUCAAACAUGGAAAAUAUACAUGGAAGUUUUAAGUCAAAUUUAACUUUUCAUAAAGGUAUAAUAAAAAAAAUUUAAAAAUUGAAUAUUGAUACUUUCUAUAUCAAUUGAAUUCUAUUUUCAAUUUAGAAUAUGUGGAUUUUUUAUAUUCAGUACCAUAUCUCCAAAGGACAUUUUAAUUCGACCUCAAUAGUUGAGUUAAACCUCAAGACCAUCUCAACUUGUUCCUUGUAUAAAAUUUCCCAUGUGACAUCCAAGAUUGAAAGGAAAACCCAUUAGAAUAAGUCAAUUUUGGAUGGUUGACCGUCAAGACUGAAAAGCAUCUAGCAUCGGGUCUUUAUCCCAUGCUUGCAAUCACUUUACAUCUAUUGCUUGCUAUUAAGUGCUUGUCUUGUAAAAAAGAAAAAAGAAAGGGUAAAAAUCAUAAAAAAAUUCUAAAUUUUAUUUACUGCGAUACAUUUACCCUAAACUUUUUUUGUGACACUAGGAACCCUAAACUUUUAUUUAUGGAACGCAUUUAUCUUAAAUUUGUAUAGCGAGACACAUUUAUCCAAUUUUUUUUUUUGGUAAGUUAUCCAAAACUUAUUUUUUUUUUUGGUAAAGGUAUAUCCAAAACUUAUUUUUAUAACACCAAAAAUCCUAAAUUUGUAUUCGACACAUUUACCUUUUAAAAUUUGGCAUCGAUUUUGAUGUUACAGAAAACAAUUUGGGAGUAAAAAUGUCACAUAGAUAUAAGUUUGGAAUUUUUGAUGUCACAAAAAAAGUUUGUGGUAAAUGUAUCACACAGGUAAAGUUUGGGACCUUUUUUUUGGACUUUUUACCUUUUAUUUUUUUUAUUUUUCCUUCUCUACAUGGGCCAAAGGACGUAGAUCUUCAUACGUUGACAAGCAGUGAUUCACCUUUGCUCUCACCCGGACGAAAGAGGUUUCUUUAAUUUGCUUAGCACCGACUUAUAUGGAGCACAAGCUCCUGGUUCAAACCUGUCUUACGCAUAUUAUGAUUUCCAUUGGCGUUGUUCUUAAGCUGUAGAAAAUCACCAGGAUGGAGACCAAGGAUUUAGCGCGACUAUUCUCGUUCUUUGAUUUUGGAUGCCCCCAUCAUUCCAAGGAUAUUAAACAUGAGAAGUGAUGAGAUAAAGUCACGCUUUUCUAGCAUCAGCAGCAGCCCUUCUACCCCCACCCCAAAAAAACACUACCGGUAGCCCUUCGUCUCCAGAAAAUGACUGAUUAGCUACAUAAAUUCCCAGUCCUUUCCAUGAUAUUUCUCUCUAAGCUUGGCGUAGGUAUAGGGAUUUGUCUUUUGAUCGUCUAGUACAUAUAGACUCUAAUGAGAAAUUGUUGUUUAAGUUAAUUCGUCCAGUACAUUUCUUUUUCCUGAAACUAAAUAUUCAUCCUGAUUAAGCCUUUGGCAUCAAUAUCUCUAACCAUGUCUUUAUACCUCUUAAGAAUAAAGAAAAAGUUGCACACUUAAAUGAUUCAGAGUCCUAAAUAUUGCACGCACGCCCACCUGCUUGGUAACCGUUGCACAACAGUUCGGCACUGCCUUGGUUGUACUAUACUUAAAAAACAAAAAAACGAAAAAAAAAAAAAAAACAUAGAGAGAGAGAGAGAGUCAAGGUCCACUGGCAGCACAAGGGCAGACAGGAGGGAUAGUGUCUAUGGUAUUCAAUAGUGCAUUUAAAUCCGGGUCUUUGUUUGCGAUCACACAAAGAAAAUGAACAACAAAAUGUAACUCAACAGCCAAUUACCACAAGAACUCUUAAGAACACCCCCCCCCCCCCCAAAAAAAAUCAAAAAAUUUCAACAAACUAUCUCCUUCACCAGCACCUUCAGUCUACAAAAGCCCUAAACUCAAGAACACCUCGUAACCCCUCCCCGAUCCGCCAUCAUGGUUGCCGCCUGUCCCAGCUGCGGCCGCCGUCUCUUCUCCCUCCCUCUCUCUCUCUCUCUCUUCAUUCUGUGAGGACGAUGCAGAGAUGGAUCUCCGAAUUGGGUCUACCCGGUGACUUGGGAAGUCCGAGUCUGAUCCUCGUAGCAACUUGAUAAAGCCACGAAGAGAGAUCUCUCACUUUCGCUGCGUUUGCCUUGAAGUUACACGCGGCCUUCCUUCACUAGUGAAAAAGCCGUUCAGAUUGACAAAAUAAUUGCUUCGAAGAGGAAACACGGGGGAAGAAAGAGAGAGAGAGAUGGUGACUUGGCCGAGACCGGAAGCGAAACGAUCGGCACAGGCGAUGGCCGGGGGCGGCUCGACCACGAGGGGUGACGGCACGGGAAGGGGAGUCGACAGUGACGCGUGGCGGAGGCUUGCGGAGACCGAUUGGUGGAAGGAAGAGACUGAGGGAAGAGUAGGGGAUUUCAAAUUGAGAACUGCCCGAAGCCUAAUCAUUUUCUUUAAAAUAGCAUGCCGGGAAAACUUCAUUGUUAUACCUCAUCAUAAAGUAAGUGCCCAUACCAUAAUGCACACGUUUAAAUUUAGUUGAGCAAGCCGUGCAUGUUUAUAAAAAGCAUAGAGGCAACCAAAAAAAUCGACCUUCCACCCCAACACUCUACGAAAUCCAAACUGAAUUGAUGGAGAAAAUAUUGGGUGAUCCGGGACCUCCACGUCAGCAUGGUCCCCGGUCACUCACGAGAUGCCAUGUGGAGGGGUGGGCCCCACUUGUGUCUUCUGCCUUCUUCCCCUCUCUCUCCUCUUCCUAGCCUGCCAAUGCCCUCUCUCCUCCUAGCCUACACGCUCUCUCUCUCUCCUGUCAGAGCAUUUAUUGCGGACGUUUUUCUCUUUCCUUCGUUUGAGAAAGGAAACGCUGUUCGGACGGACGUCCCUCUCCAUUUCUUUCCUUUCGAAUUUUUGAACCUGAAAUUCUCUCUCCGCGCUCGUUCCCCUGCCGUCGCCGAGCAUCAAGCGGCCGUUCCCCUACCAUCGCCAACGAACCACAUUACGGCCGCUGCUACUCCGGUGCUCGCUCGCUUCUCUCUUUGGGCUCGUUGCUGCUCCGUCGUUCGUUCCGGCGUUCCCGGGGUCGCAGAUGCAGCACGCGGAGGGGAAGCAAGCCUCUUCGAGCUCCCCUCAACGUCCGCGAGCAUCGCCCGCUGAGCGAGACCCCCACACACCGGAAGGCUCGGAGGCGAGGUUGCUGGAGAAGCUGGUGCCGUACACGAAACGUGACGCCGACGGCCCUCCACCUCCACCGGUUGCCUCCGGGUUGAAUGGGACGGUGAGUGUGGACGAGUCCGUCGGUAAUGAUUUGUCUACGAAGAAUCCUAAACUGUGUGCUGGUUUGUAUGAGCACAAAGGUUAUAAGAGCAAGUGCGAGUAUCUGAUCGCCAAUCCUGAGUGUAACGCCGGUGGGUUCUUCCAUUACAUUUCGUUCUUCUACUGUGAUUGCGAGAAAUUCACGGGUGCGGGGUUUGCCGUGCUGGCACUGUGGCUGGUUGCUCUGUUUUACUUGUUGGGCAACACUGCAGCAGAUUACUUUUGUUGUAGUUUGGAGAAGCUUUCUAGUCUUCUGAAGUUGCCGCCCACGGUUGCAGGGGUUUCUCUGCUUCCGCUUCGUAAUGGGGGCUCCUGAUGUGUUUGCCAGCAUUGCCGCAUUUAUGGGGAAAGAUGCAGGGGCAGUGGGUCUCAAAUAGCGUAUUGGGGUGGUGCUGUUUUUGUUACUUGUGGUUGCCUCCGUCGGGGUUCUUUCCCGCGGCAAAGUAGAAGGUCCAGAUUGUAGAGAAGCGUAUAUAUCGAAGAGGAUGCACCAUCCUCUCCCGUUGACUUGCCAUGAGUAUUAUUUGCUUAGAGGAUAGUAACGUAGGAGGUAGCUAAUAGAAUUACUACUGAAAUGGUCCUUAUUCUUUAUGAUGUACAGNNNNNNNNNNNNNNNNNNNNNNNNNNNNNNNNNNNNNNNNNNNNNNNNNNNNNNNNNNNNNNNNNNNNNNNNNNNNNNNNNNNNNNNNNNNNNNNNNNNNUUACUCAUCUAGUUUCCAUGCGAAGUACUGAUGUGAAUUACACUAAUUGAGGCAGUUUCAGAGGCCUUUGUUUUCGUUUUUGGAUGCUCUCCACCUUAAUUUGUCAGCGCUCUGCUUCUAUAGACUCCCCCGUCUCACCUGUGGAUGCGUACUUUGCCUGCUCUGUGGUCUCUUGCUAUCGAUUCCAAUGGCCUCUUUAUUAGGCCACGCCCCCUUCGCCUCCCUCUCGCGACCUCCGCCCCACUCUCUCCCUCUUUCCUCUGUGGAGCACCCUUACUGCACAGCCCCGCGAGCAACCUCUCUCGGAGUCUCCGUCUCCUUCGCAGCCAGGUAGACGUCGCACAUCUCUCUCUCUCUCUCUCUCUAUAGAGUGUCACGGAUACUUCUUUUUUAUUUCUGUUCCAUGGUGAUGAGCAAGUGUACUCUAGCUUGAUGAUGCAUCAUGGGUAGGUUCGUUUCAUGAGAUUGAGAUUUAGCUACACUGGUGCGGAGGUUGUUCGUAAUGGGAUGUGCGUCUCUUGUGCCGAAUAGAGUGUUGGGUCGUGCCUUGGAAGCUCACAAGAUGAACUUUAGUUGUUUCCUUGUUCUGAUUAAGCUAUUAGUCUGUGAUAUCACAAGUUCAUUCGAUGUUGUGAUUGAAGUUUCGGUGUCGGGUUAUGUUAAUAUUGGGAAGGUUCAUGCUCUGUGUUAGUUUUUGUUCACACAAUGGAUUCUCUCUGUGGUGGGUUUGCAGCUUCUGUUUGACCAAUCGGCUGGGGCGUGCUCGAGGGGCUUUGAUCAACUCGAUUCUUGUUCUGCUGGCCAUCCUCUUAGAAAAAAGGCGGCUCAUAAUUAGUUGUGUCUUGGCUUUGUAAUGGACCAAGAGUCCCGAGUGGAUGAGGACUUCCCCCUCUUCCAGAAAUGCUCCAAACAACCUAAAGCGCCACCAUCAUCAUCGAUAACUACUUCCUCCUCCUCCAGUCUUGCAGCCGAGACGUCAAUAAAGCAAGUGGAGAAAGUGAAGGAAGAUACUAGCCUUACUAGCACUAAUGUCUGGGUAACAAGAUUUGAAGCUUUCAAUCAGAGCAAGAGUGAAAUCGCAUGGAGUUUUAGAUUUGAGGAUGACAUCUACUUCAACCGUUCCUGCGUUAAAUCUUUUUGACAUUGCAUUCGGAUUUGCAUUUUUGUGCCUAUGUACUUCGUCGUAAGUUUUUAUCUUAUGAUAUUCAAUGGUAGGAUGGGAGAAGGCUGAAAAUGAAGUCUUGGUGCUAAAGAAACAACUGGAGGCUGCAACACAAAGGAACUCGACACUAGAAGAGCGAAUCAGUCAUCUUGAUGGAGCUCUUAAGGAAUGUGUGAGGCAGCUCAGACAGGUGAGGGAAGAGCAAGAGCAGAAGAUCCAAGAAGCUGUGGUCAAGAAAACUGGUGAGUGGGAAUCAACAAAGGCCGAGCUUGAGACUAAGCUUUCCAAUGUCCAUGCCUAGCUUCAAGCAGCCAAGAGUGAAGCUUCUUUAGUUAUAUGUUCUGAUCUCGGCCCUAAGCUUGAUGCUGCUGAAAAAGAGAAUGUGACCCUCAAAGCCAAAGUCCUUUCCAUGUCGGAGGAGCUAGAACUUAGGAUUAUUGAGCGUGAUUUGAGCACCCAAGCAGCAGAAACAGUCACCAAACGGCAUUUAGAGAGCAUAAGAAGGUAGCUAGGCUGGAAGCCAAAUGCCGCAGACUCAGAUCUUGAAAAAUAAAGCAAGUGCGACAAACGAUCUUAAGUCUUUCUCUGCAUCAUCGGUUUGUGUAGAGUCCUUCGAUGAUAGCCAAUCAAAUGUAGGGGAUAGGUUGGUAGCAGUUGAGAAUGACGUGCAGAAAGCGAGUUGCUUGGAGCCAAGUGAUUGUGAGCCGUGCCACUCUGAGUCAUGGGCAUCUGCUCUAAUAAUUGAACUUGACCAUUUUAAGAAAGAGAAAUCCUUCAGAAAGAAUCUCAUGGUCUCUUCAGGAGAAGUUGAUUUAAUGGAUGAUUUUAUGGAGAUGGAAAGGCUUGCAGCUUUACCAGAUGCAGAAAGUGGAAGCUGCAGCCAUGGAGUGGGGCCUGCUCUGGAUCAAAACAGAUCUGAUGAAGUCACUCUCAAAUCUGAGCUUGAAGCCAUGAUCAAUAGAAUGGCAGAGCUGGAGGAGGAAUUAGAGAAGAAGGAAGAAGAAAAGGAGAAGCUAGAGAUGGCUCUAAGUCAAUGGCAAAAGCAACUUGAAACGUCAUGGAGUCAGCAACAUGUUGUCUGCAGCACAAAAAUCGAAGCAAGCUGCAGAGGAGGAAGCAAGGAUUACCCAUGAGAGGAUGGAAGUAACAGAGUCAAGACUGAUGGAUGUUGAAGAGGAGAUGAAAAACUUGCUCCUUAAUGACAAAUUACUACAAGAAGAGGUUGAAAGAGAGCGUGCUUUGUCUGCUAAAAAUUAGGCAAAAUGUGGGGAGCUGUAGGAUGAAAAUCUAAAUAUGAAAAGGGAUGCUGAACUGCAGCAUGAGAUCGAGCUUUAGCGUGUGUCUGUCUCUGAUGAACAGCUUAAAGUAAAGCAGGUUAGUUCUCUAUGGCUUGUGGAUGUUAGUCUAUAUCUAAUGGAAAGCAUGAUAACAUGAGUAAAUUAUUGAGAUGGUAUUGCUCCUUUUACAUAAUUUAUCAAGUUUGCCGACAAACCCGCUACUACAUUUUGAGUUGCAAUGUUACAGUUGCAUGUAGAGUGAGUUCCAUCUGCAUGAGAAAAGAGAGGAUGCCUCUCUUGGUACAUUCACAUCCUGUGUCUGGACAUCUGAUUUGGGUGCUUUUUUAUGUGAUAUGACUUCAAUCUCCUAGGUCAAUAGUUAUUUAUUUAUAGCCAUCUCAAGGAAGAUGAAAUGAUUAUUUUCCAGUAACGCAGUGUGGUUUUGAUCUUCAUAUCGACAUAUAGCUAUGUUAGAAACAGGAGGGCCGCAUCAGCAUCUUGUACUUUAUUAGUACAAACUGUAUGAUUGGGGCACAAUCUAAACAAAUCUCAAAUUUCACCGUAGCAUUGAAGACAUUUGGAAGUUAAUAUAGAAUUUCGAAGCACUUGACCUUUGAUGUAAUGUAAUUUUCGAGCUUAAAAAGCACUUACAGUGCUGCGAUAGGGUGCUUCUAAACUAACUUAACCAGAAAAUUCUCAUGCUAGGCGAACUCUAUUUUUUUUUUCUCUGUGGGUUGUGGUGCUUUGAGCAACACUGCACUUGUUGACACCAUUGACUAUCUGAUAGGAUCAGCUUACCAAUGUUUUAUUCAUGCUAAAUGGGCGAUCAUGACUUAGUCUGAAUUUAGUUUCCUCCUUAUGUUCUCAUUUAGUUUUGUUAUGUAAAACAGGGAGCAAGAGCUAGCAGUUGCUGCUUGCCAGUUUGCAGGUGCUAGAAGACUAUUUAAUCUCUCGCUUAGCAAUUAAAAUCUCUAGCUACAGUAGACGACUUCUUCGCAGAUUCCAAUCCAAUGUGCAAUCACACAGAUGAAGGAUUACUAAGCCCCAAAAAACGAGCUGCACCAUUUAAGCAGCCCACCGGUCCUCAUUUCUGCUGAACAAAGAUGAAAUAAUCAUGGUUUAAGGAUUUGAUUAUUCAACUAGCUGAGGCAGGAAGAUGAAAUGAGUGAAGUGAGAUGGGAAGAGUGUCUACUUUGAUUUUUUGCCUUGUGAAUAAACAACCACCGUUGUAAAUGCAUUCAUGACAUCUCUGAAACCGACACUCGUGAAUCUCAACUAUAGCGUUACAUAACUCGGAUUUUUGAAUAAUAUAAGGUUUCAAUUCCUUUAUAGCAUGUGGAUGUCCAGAUUGCUUAAAGCUGCCAAUUGUCUUGUUUGGUGUUAGUGAGUUGUAGCAGAGGUCACAAGCUCAUCUUGGCCCCUGGCAAAAAAAAAAGAGUUGGAAAAGGGUUAUUGGGCAGGAAAUAGAGAAAAAAAAUAACGUAUCGGGUUUGGACGCCAAAUUUUUUUUGCUCAAUAAAGGUUUUAAAUUAGUUGUAUGUAAAGUUUGAUGGAUUAACUUUGAGUAUGGGAGCACGUACGAAUUUAUUUCCGAAAGCCUUAAAAAAAAAAAGAGUUGAAAAAGGGUUGUUGGGCAAGAAAUUGAGAAAAAAAUUAAGGUAUCGGGUUUGGAUGCCAAUUUUUUUUUGCUCAAUAACACAAUGAGGUUUUAAAUUAGGUACGUACAAAGUUUGAUGGAUUAAUUUUGAGUACGGGAGCAAGUACGAAUUUAUUUCCGAAAGCUUUAGAAAAAUAAAAAGAGUUGAAAAAUGGUUAUUGGGCAAGAAAUAGAGAAAAAAUUGAGGUAUCGGGUUUGGACGUCAAUUUUUUUUUGCUCAAUAACACAAUGAGGUUUUAAACUAGGUGCAUGCAAAGUUUGAUGGAUUAAUUUUGAGUACGGGAACACGUACGAAUUUAUUUCUGAAAGUUUUUUUUUUUUAAAAGAGUUGAAAAAGAGUUGUUAGGUAAAAAAUAGAGAAAAAAUUGAAGUAUCGGGUUUGGACGCCAAUUUUUUUUUUUUUGCUCAAUAACACAAUGGGGUUUUAAACUAGGUGCGUGCAAAGUUUGAUUAAUUAAUUUUGAGUACGAGAACACGUACGAAUUUAUUUCCGAAAAAUUUAACAAAAAAAAAUUGAAAAACCUCAUUGGGCUAGAAAUAUAAAAAAAAAAAAUGAUGUAUUUGGACGCGCAAUUGGGCCCCUUGUUGUUUUUUGUUUUCUGUUUUUUCUUUUUUUCCCCUCUGCGUAGCUUCUUCGUACCCUCUCCUAGCCUGCGCACGUCCAUUCUCCCCCUACCCUGCACACCCUGCACAUUCUCGGGAAUUUGCAAUGCAAAAGAAAAGCACAGGGACUUUACUAUUUCCUCUUCAAACGAAGGAAAGAGAAGCAAAGCUUCAAACGAAGGAAAUAAAAGCAGAUGCACUUUUCUCUUCCUCUUCAAACGAAGGAAAGAGAAGCAGCAGAGGCUCCGCACGGUUACUCUCCAGCAGCUGCGAUUCUUUCACCCGACGGUUGUCGCUGCUCCGCCAUGCGUCAAGUUUCUGUUCCCUGCCAUUGCCGACAACCUACAUUACGAGCGCCCUGCUCGUACGCUGCUCACUUCUCUGUCCGCUUUCAUUGCUACUCCGGCGUUUGUUCCGGCGUUCGUCAAGCGGUCAUCCCCCUGUCGACAUCAACAAACAACAUUACGGCUGCCCCAUCUCCGGCGCUCGCUUGCUUCUCUUUGCGCGCUCCUUGCUGCUCUGGCGUUUGUUCGAAGUUCAUCAAGCAGCUAUUCCCCCGCCGUCGCCGAUGAAGCAGGGCCCCUACUACAGCGCUGAGUCGCUUCUCUUUCCGCACUGCUCUAGUGUUUGUCAAGCGACCAGAGGAGGAGGAUAGGCCAUUUCUUCCUAAGGCGGAGGAACGGGGACAGAGAUUUGGCCGUAGUUUUGCAGAGCCGAUCGGUGACUGGGCUCGGUGAUUUCACGCUGUUGUCAAGACUCAAGCCCCAGAGGGAGGUUGUCGACUGGCUAAACUCCCUCAUUUACGGUGCGUUUAGGGCUUUCACGAUGCAAAAUUUGUUUGUGGCGGUUCAACAGAAAAGUUGCGUACUCAUUAGCUCCUUGCUUCGUUUUCGGUGUUAUUUUCGGGAGGGAACUCUGUUUCCUGGUCUCCUUCCCCUGUUUCCACACUCCCUAUGAUGAGUUUGAUCCUCUUAGUUUCAUGGGUUUGGCGUAAUUUGAUCGGCAUAGUUAGUGUUGAGGAUGUGAUUUUAGGUAGUGGUAAUAAGACAUCAGUACGGAGGAAGCUCUCCUUGGAACUCUGUUUUCUAUUCUCCUUCCCCUAAUUCCACACUCCGUGUGACGAGCUCAAUCCUUUUAGUUUCAUGGGUUUGGCGUAAUUCUAUUUUUGUAUAUAUGUUCCCAUGAAUUCUAUUUUACUAGUUAAGUGAUGUCAUGCUUUGAUGUUUUAUGGCUAUAGUCAUUGAACUGAUUUGGUGUUAUUUUGCUUCUACUCAAUAGAUCCCUUUUGAUCAAGUAAAGCCUUUGCGCCCGUAAAUUCACAGUGUAAGGUUAUCCGACGGCUGAAUUAGAGGUAAUUCUAAACUUAUACUAUGUAAAAUAUAUUUGUUUUCUCAAAAAAUAGAAGAAAUUUUAUUUUUCACAUAAAAGCACCAUGUUAAAAACCUUUUGUUCUUUGCUUGCAGCUUGAAACUGCUCAUUUUGCACAUGUAACCCGAGAUUUGGAAAAAGAUUUUGAGUUUAUGAUAGGAAUGGUUUUUGCAAGCGAACUUGAAGCAUAUUAUAAAUAUGUGUCUUAUGCUAUAGGCAAAGGUUUUGGAGUGAGGAAGUCUAAGACUAGAAAAAACGACAAAGGAGAAAUUACUCGACGGAUUUUUGUGUGUAAUUGUGCGGGGUAUUCUGUCAACUCAUCUGAUCAAGAAAAAAAAUAUGAAAAACCUGAAGUUAGAUGUGGUUGUCCUGCUUUGAUCAAAUUUAAGGUUGAGAAUGGCGUUCAUGAAGUCGUGGAGUAUGUUUCGGAGCAUAAUUAUGAGUUUAUACCAGAACAUCAAAGGCACUUAAUAAGAUGUGAAAGGAUGAUUUCUAAUACAUGCAAAUGAGUUUUAGUUAACAUGGCUAAAGCUGGCAUUGGGGGGACAAUGUCAUAUAAAUUCUUGGCUAACGAAGCCGGAGGAAGCCAAAACUUAAGUUUCAUCUUACGUGAUUGUCAAAAUUUUCUACAAAGUGAAAGAUCAAAUCUUAUUGAAGGGGGUGAUUGUCAAAAUCUUUUGAAUCAUUUUCAUUGUAUGCAAAUGCAAAAUCCAAUGUGUUUCUAUGCACAACAAGUAGAUCAAGAGGGUAGAUUGACAAAUCUAUUUUCUAAAAAGUCAUAAGUUGAUGAAAACAUGUGGUUUUCGUGUGUAAUUGCAUAUGCUUCUACCAACACGGUUAUUGCUUUUUAUGCUUGUAAGCAUUCUCUUAUCUUCAGUGUUGUUUAGGAAGCUCAAUUGUUGAGCACCUAUCUUUUUAAUGUGUGGUUAGAAAAUGCCGAAGACUUUGUACCCAAGAGAUUCACCAACAAUGAAAUAGACGCGAAAGGGCAUAAUUUCGAGCUACUUCCUUUCGGUUUAGGAUGUAGGGGGUGCCCCGGAAUUCUGUUAGGCUCAAUACAAGUGAAGCUUGCUCUGGCUCAAUUAGUGCAUUGCUUUAAGUGAGAACUACUCGAGGGUAUAGUGCCGAACAAAUUAAAGCUUUUAGGAAUAAAUUCAUACGUGUUCCUGUAUUCUAAAUUAAUUCAUCAAACUUUGUACACACUUAGUUUAAAACAUCAUUGUGUUAUUGAGCAAAAAAAGUUGGCCUCCAAACCCGAUACCUCAACUUUUUCUCCAUUUUUUGCCGAACAACCCUUUUCCAACUCUUUUAUUUUUUUGGUUAAAGCUUUCGGAAAUAAAUUGGUACGUGUUUCCGUAUUCAAAAUUAAUCCAUCAAACUUUGCAGGCACUUACUUUAAAAUCUCAUUGUGUUAUUGAGCCAAAAAAAAUUGGCGUCCAAACUCGAUACCUCAAUUUUUUCUCCAUUUUUUGCUGAACAACCCUUUUCCAACUCUUUUUUUUUUUUGUUAAAGCUUUCGGAAAUAAAUUCGUACGUGUUUCCGUACUCAAAAUUAAUCCAUCAUACUUUGCAGGCACUUACUUUAAAACCUCAUUGUGUUUUGAGAAAAAAAAAAUUGGCGUCCAAACCCGAUACUUCAAUUUUUUCUCCAUUUUUUGCCAAACAACCCUUUUCCAACUCUUUUAUUUUUUUUGUUAAAGCUUUCCAAAAUAAAUUCGUACGUGUUUCCGUACUAAAAAAUAAUCCAUCAAAUUUUGCACGUACCUAGUUUAAAAUCUCAUUGUCUUAUUGAGCAAAAGAAAUUUGGCGUCCAAACCCGAUACCUCAUUAUGUUUAAUUUUCGUAUUGCUCCUAUGCAACUCCUUUUCAUUUUAUUUUCCACCUCUGAUUUGAUUUAGUGGAAAAACUGAAUGCCAAGUUGCCAAACGGUCUAGCUAAAGGUUUUUCCUAAGAAAAAAAAAAUUAAAAGUCAAACUAAAANNNNNNNNNNNNNNNNNNNNNNNNNNNNNNNNNNNNNNNNNNNNNNNNNNNNNNNNNNNNNNNNNNNNNNNNNNNNNNNNNNNNNNNNNNNNNNNNNNNNNNNNNNNNNNNNNNNNNNNNNNNNNNNNNNNNNNNNNNNNNNNNNNNNNNNNNNNNNNNNNNNNNNNNNNNNNNNNNNNNNNNNNNNNNNNNNNNNNNNNNNNNUCAAAAAUCUGAGUUAUGUACCGCUAUAGUUGAGAUUCACGAGUGUCGGUUUCCGAGAUGUCAUGAAUGCAUUUACAACGGCGGUUGUUUAUUCACAAGGCAAAAAAUCAAAGUAGACACUUUUCCUAUCUCACCUCACUCAUUUCAUCUUCCUGCCUCAGCUAGUUGAAUAAUCAAAUUCUUAAACCAUGAUUAUUUCAUCUUUGUUCAGCAGAAAUGAGGACCGGUGGGCUGUUUAAAUGGUGCAGCUUGUUUUCACGGCUUAGUAAUCCUUCAUCCGUGUGAUUGCACAUUGGAUCAGAAUCUGCGAAGAAGUUGACUACUGCACCUGCAAGCUGGCUAGCAGAGACUGCUAGCUCUUGCUCCUGAUUUACAUAACAAAACUAAAUGAGAACUUAAGGAGGAGACUAAAUUCAGGCUAAGUCAUGAUCGCCCAUUUAGCAUGAAUAAAACAUUGGUAAGCUGAUCCUAUAUAGUUGAUGGUGUCAGCAAGCGCAAUGUUGCUCAAAGCACCACAACCCACAGAAAAAAAAAAGAGUUCGCCUAACAUGAGAAUUUUCUGGUUAAGUUAGUUUAGAAGCACCCUAUCGCAGCACUGUAACUGCUUUUUAAGCUCGAUCAGAGUGCAUCACACAAAAGAACAGGAUAACAUAAAAUAUAGCAUGAUCAUGCCUUCAUUCGUCGAACUGACAGCAAAAAGACAAACUUGAACUCAUACAGUCAUACGAAUACCAUCAAUUGCCGCUUUGAUUGCAAACUUAACUCAUUGCAGAUCCAUUUUACUCGAAUCGGCAAUUGCAUAGGGAUAUGGGGUGUGGUGCAAGACGCUUCCUCCAUAUUGGCAACCUCUCUGCUUUCGUUAUUGAUUGUGACAUUCUUCUGUCUAGGAUGUGCGGUGCCAACCAGAACAAAGGGAGGAAAUAUGCAUUACCAGAACGAGAAAGACAGAGUUUCCAUAUAACCGAGCCACAUUUCUCACUCUUAUCCUGCAUGUAGCUACAUCUAGGUCCAGUAAUGUGCUGGCUAGUUUCUCCAAUCACUAGCUGAAAAGCAACCAUUCCAAUCCAAAACACAAAACAUAUUUAUGAUCUGAUACUUUGUGUCAUUUAUUCGUUCAUUCAUUUGCAAUCUGACAAUUUCUACGUUCUUCUGAAAAUGAGAAAUAACAAUGGUGUCAGAAGCACAGAUAGCAUGUCACAAGCCAAUCUCACAAGUAUCCUAUGUCGACCUUCAAUAUGAAAAAAGCAGCAGCAUUUGGAGAUGAUGGACUCUCACAAAGAUAAUUCAAUACUGUACAUCGAAUGGAUACAUUCUUAAGGCCCAGCUUACAACUCAACUAUUCUUAUGUAACUUUUUCAAUGUGCAACACUAAAAUGAGCUACAUGAUCCAGGCAACAGGCAGAAAGCAGUCUCUGUGGCGAGAAGGGGGCAUCCAUAUUUUAAAACACAUUACCCUGACCAGAGUUCCCAUGCCUCAUGACUUGACCGUCAACUAAGACCAUUCAAUGAGACCACACCCAUAGAUGUGAUUAACCUUGAAACCAGAAAGACCAGAUAAAUUGACAUAAGGCCGAUCCCCAACAUCUUGUUCGGUCGCAUGUCAUGUCGGGGCAAGACGAUGAGUGACCAAAGAAUUCCGCUCAUCAGAAACCCCAUCGUGUAAAAUAGACUGCUANNNNNNNNNNNNNNNNNNNNNNNNNNNNNNNNNNNNNNNNNNNNNNNNNNNNNNNNNNNNNNNNNNNNNNNNNNNNNNNNNNNNNNNNNNNNNNNNNNNNNNCCCGACAUUGCAAUCUGCACACCAUCUCCACCAUUCAUUGCCAAUGCUACAUUUGACAUCAGAUCACCCAUAGAGUUUCCCCAGGCCAAAACUGUCAAACCAAGGAUAGAAGGAUUUAUGCCAAAAAUAACACCCAGAGCUACCAGCAAAGAAACAAGCUCGUUUGCGACUAUGCAGAACCAGAUUAUACUCAUGAAGAAUCCCCCAAAGACCCAAGGAAAUAAGAACUUGCGUGGUGGUUGAUCAGCUCUGGUGUACACAUAUGCAAAAACACCAAGUACGCCCCCAGCACAUAUGCCAAUAGCAUAUGCGAUUUCUCUGCUCAGAUUUCCAACAUCGUCUUGCGUGUUCCAUAAAAAUGCCAAAAAAAUAGGUGCUAAUGAAGCACUGGCGACAGCAUAUGUCUUUGACCAUCUUUCUUCCUCGACUAUAGGGAUUGUCAGCCGCCUUGGUAGUGUCAGCGGCAUCUCCAGUAGAGAAAAUAAUUUCGACCAAGUAAAUGAAGAAUUUCCAUUGGCCAUUUCAUCAUCAUUCCAACCCCACAACUGCUUUGGGCUAUCCGGAUUCACUUUGACAGCCUCAUUUGAAUAAAUUGCAACAUUUGAAGCCCACAUCCAGUGCGGCAACUCGCUUUGCAGAUGAGGUACAUCACCAUCAGAGUUUGACUCAAUCAGUGAGGCAUAAAUAGAUUCUUCUUCCUCACUUGAGAAAAGAUACUUCCUCUGACAGGAAGUAAAGGCGUAACAGAAUCUAGCCUUAAUUUCCUGGAUUGUUUCCUCAGCAUCUCAUUGGCGGCAACUGCAAAGGCAUAGAGCCCAUAUAUGGAAACAAAUGCAAUAGCACCCCCAACACUGACCUCGCCAACAAUCAAAAUAAUACCAAGGCAAAUCAAAGUGAAGAGGAAGAAGGAUACAUCUCUGAUAAAACACCUCCUAUCAAUCUGGACCCUCUGCUCUGCCACAGAGAAAGAAACAGCCCCCACGACAACACAAGUAACAAAAACAGCACCACCCAAUACGCUAUUGAGACCCACUGCCCCUGCAUCUUUCCCCAUAAAUGCGGCAAUGCUGGCAAACACAUCAGGAGCCCCAUUACGAAGCGGAAGCAGAGAAACCCCUGCAACCGUGGGCGGCAACUUCAGAAGACUAGAAAGCUUCUCCAAACUACAACAGAAGUAAUCUGCUGCAGUGUUGCCCAACAAGUAAAACAGAGCAACCAGCNNNNNNNNNNNNNNNNNNNNNNNNNNNNNNNNNNNNNNNNNNNNNNNNNNNNNNNNNNNNNNNNNNNNNNNNNNNNNNNNNNNNNNNNNNNNNNNNNNNNNNNNNNNNNNNNNNNNNNNNNNNNNNNNNNNNNNNNNNNNNNNNUACAAACCAGCACACAGUUUAGGAUUCUUCGCAGACAAAUCAUUACCGACGGACUCGUCCACACUCACCGUCCCAUUCAACCUGGAGGCAACCGGCGGAGGUGGAGGGCCGUCGGCGUCGCGUUUCGAGUACGGCACCAGCUUCUCCAGCAACCUCGCCUCUGAGCCUUCCGGUGUGUGGGGGUCUCGCUCGGCGGGCGACGCUCGCCGACGUUGAGGGGAGCUCGAAGAGGCCUGCUUCCCCUCCGCGUGCUGCAUCUGCGACCCCGGGAACGCCGGAACGAACGACGGAGCAGCAACGAGCCCGAAGAGAGAAGCGAGCGAGCACCGGAGUAGCAGCGGCCGUAAUGUGGUUCGUCGGCGAUGGCAGGGGAACGGCCGCUUGAUGCUCGGCGACGGCAGGGGAACGAGCGCGGAGAGAGAAUUUCAGAUUCAAAAAUUCGAAAGGAAAGAAAUGGAGAGGGAUGUCUGUCCGAACAGCGUUUUCUUUCUCAAACGAAGGAAAGAGAAAAACGUCCGCAAUAAAUGCUCUGACAGGAGAGAGAGAGCGUGCAGGCUAGGAGGAGAGAGGGCAUUGGCAGGCUAGGAAGAGGAGAGAGAGGGGAAGAAGGCAGAAGACACAAGUGGGGCCCACCCCUCCACAUGGCAUCUCGUGAGUGGCCGGGGACCACGCUGACGUGGAGGUCCCGGACCACCCAAUAUUUUCUCGAAUUGAUGGGCUUGGUGAAAGGCCGAAACCCUCACUACCCUAUUGCUCUAAUGCGUGAAAACUUUUGCGGCCGGCGACCGCUCAAUUAAAAUUAUUGGAAGAAGACGUGGUUCAACUUGUUGGGAUUACAUUCUUGCCGGCUGCAGUGAAACCAUCGGUGGUUCAACAGUUAACCAUCCAAGAAGCUGCAGUGAAAUUUCCAGGAAUGCAAUGUGGAAGCUCUUGUCACACUGCACUAUAUAUGUACUACGCGACAAUAUAACCUAUCAAGACCAAAUCCAUCCGUUCAACCCAAGCCAUUCAGUGUUGACUCCUACAGACUCAUCUUUGUCCUCUCAACCCGACUCGUUUUGCUGAUCCAAGCACACCCUUUUGUCUUCUCUCUCUUUGUUGUUCAUCCAUCUCGUCGUUGAGGUUCAUAAACCUAGUGAAGAAGCAGCAACUGAUGCAAUGCUCGACCGCCACGAUGGCCUGACGAAUAUCAUCCACAGGCGAAGAUGGCGCCUGGCUUUCAUGGUCAUAUACUUCACAAGGGCUCUCAAGUCUCUGUCGAAACAAGUCCUCGAGAAGAAGACAGCCCUGUUGUGGACGCUCUCUUACGUUGCCAUCAAUGUCAAACUCGAGAGCAGUGAUAAUCCACGUGAAGGAGAUUGCCAUUCUCUUCGAGACGGUCAACCCUAAAAUCCUGAGUAACCUGAUAAGAGAGAAAAGUUUUGAAUCUCUUGCUCAACUUGUGGGCAUAAACAAAUCGCUUCNNNNNNNNNNNNNNNNNNNNNNNNNNNNNNNNNNNNNNNNNNNNNNNNNNNNNNNNNNNNNNNNNNNNNNNNNNNNNNNNNNNNNNNNNNNNNNNNNNNNCUGAGUGAUGAUAUUUCAUACAGAGUAUCAAGUAGGUGAUCACGUGAGAUCACCCUUAUUCUUUCUAUAACGAAUUGCCUUGUAGAGAAUACAGUUAUAUGGCUCUGUUCAUAUAUAUAUAUAUAUCAUACAUCAACUCAAAUUGUGGGUUAUAGGAAGGGUAUAUUUCUGUAUUGUGGCGGUUCAUUGGUACUGCCAUGACACAUCAGGCAUUCUCGCCCACCCCCUACAGAGCACAAGGAGGGCCCCCCCCUAGGUUGUUCCUCACGUGGAUUAUCACUGGUCUCGAGUUCGACAUUGAUAGCAACGUAAGAGAGUGUCCGCAACAGGGUGUAUGAAGUUGAAGAAAAACAGAGAGAUUGAAGACGAUCGAUAAUGAAGAGAGGAUUUUGUAUAUUGUAUUGUCUUCAAUAAUACAAUCUGAUGUACAACCUUAGUAGUUAUAAUACAAGAGUAUGAAUAAAAAAGGAAAUUAAUGAUCCUAUAAAUCAAUCUAUUCUAGAUCUAAUCUUAAAUCGAUUUGUAGAAAUCAAUAUCGGAUCACAAUCAAUUCAAAUCUUCUGUCAAAGCUGCAUAGCUUCCAACACUCCCCCUCAAGCUGGUGGCUUGUAUAUGUCCAAGACACCUAGCUUGUUCAAAAGAUAUGUGUGCUGUCUUUGACAUAGAGGUUUGGUGAAGAUGUCUGCAGGCUGUUCUGUUGUCCCAAUUCCUUUUGUUUCAAUGACUCCUUCUAAGAUCUUAUCUCGUGUAAAGUGGCAAUCCACUUCUAUAUGCUUGGUUCUUUCAUGCACUAUAGGGUUCGCUACAAGUUUUAGAGCCGCAUCAUUAUCACAUAAUAGCUUUGUUGGCCCUUGUACCUGUAUUCCAAGAUCUUUAAGAAGACCUCGUAUCCAUACUAUCUGAUAGGUAGUUUUAGCCAUAGCUCGAUACGCUGCUUCAGCUGAAGAUAGAGAAAUAGUGGGCUGCUUUUUAGUCUUCCACGAGAGUAAGGAAUCUCCUAAUUUGAUGCAAUAUCUAGUGAUAGAUCUUCAACUCAUGGGACAAGGUGCAUAGUCUGCAUCACAAUAUGUUGUCAUUUCCAUGUUGCAUCUUAUGGACAAGAGUAUUCCAAGUCCUGGACACUUCUUUAGAUAUUUGAUGACUUUGAGUGCAACGUUCAGAUGUGACUAUUUUGGACUAUGCAUGAACUGACUAAGAGUUUGCACUACAUAAGAGAUGUCAUGUGACAUCCUAAUUUUCGAGUCUGAUUUUGAUGAGAUGAAAUGGGCUUUUCAUCGACAUGUCUAUAGCCUUUUUCUUUGAAUUGGCCACUCAUGAGUUAACUAGCCUAUUAUGUAAAGCCGUUAAGGAAUCUAAAUAUAAUAGACAUAAGAAUUCGACUAAGAAUCGACUACUCGAUUGUGCUAAUCUGCAAGGGUCAUUACGGCACCGUCAAAAUGAAUCAGAGACCGGAGAUAUGUGAUUAGUGCGUGGGUGAUUCUACCUAAUUGCAAAAUUUCUGUCAAACGGUACUAGACUGAUUUUUCUGUCAUUUUUGUACCUUGUGUCUGUAUUUGAAACUUCGAGAUUUUUACGACAAUCGAGAGUCACCAAUGUGUCAAAGAUGUACAUUGUGGUUCGAAAAUAAUUGACCAUGAGUCAAUUGUAUUAAAAAUUCCUAAAAGCUACCUAGUAUAUUGGGACGUGCUAAAUCAUGUCGAAUUGAAAUUAACCACGAAAUUGAGCUCGAUUUCAGAAAUUGAAAGUUAUGCCGUGUCAGGAUUCAUUUUAGGAACGUCGACUCACUUUCUGAAAGUUUUUCGAAGAUCCUUAGAUUUUUACGGAAAAUCAAUUCGGAAAUUGAACGGAAAUUCGGACGGACUCGUUUGAAGGGAAUUUUGACUUCUAAGUAGAGUUACGGGGUGAUGGGAAUUUGUGGAAGUGUGUGAGAUUUUUGUUUGACGAAAUUGGACUUCUAAAUUGAGAAUUUGAUGAAAUUGAAUUAUAAAAUCAGUGAAAUUCGGAUCACAAGAGAAGGGCUGCAUUUUUUGACAUUUAAAUUGGAUUUUGUGGUAUUAAAUUGCAAGAAAGAAAUAGGGGACAUAAGGGAUAAGGUUGGAAGCUUGAAGAGGGAACCAAGCAUUCAAUUCAAGAGAUAGGUUUGUUGACUUUUGGCUCCAGCCUUGGCUUCCUUCGCACGCUUGUCCACCGCCUCUCUCCCUCAUCCGAUUCUCUCUUUCUCCUUGGUCUCUCUCUCUCUCUCUCGCUUUUCACGGCUUCAAUUCCUUUUGUUCCCUUCUCCCUUUGAAGACACCCAUCACUAAAGCAUCCCCACGUUUUUCCCUCAUCCCACCGCCACUUGCACCAUCAUUCACCCACUGUUUCUUCUUUGCACCACACGUCCAAAGCCACCUCAAAUUCUGUCCACUAAAGGAGUUUUUCUCCAGCCAAGUUGAUCGUGAAACCUUCAGCAUCUUGAGCCACACGUCUUCGUCAAGCAGCCCAUUUUUCCCUCACCAAAGCCCACGCUCUUCACGUCCAAGCCGUCCCUCUCUCCAUCGAAUUCUCCUCUACCGAUUUGCCAACGCAAGCUUCGCUCAGUCCACUGAAGACCGAAGCUAGCCGUGGAUUCCAGCGAACUCAGCCGAGUUCGUGAGUUUCUUUUACGGUUUUUCAGCCGAUCUGAGCGUUCCCCCGGCCUUGCUGUGAGUUCGAGUCUCGGCCGUCGUUGCGCCGCUGUCGCCGUGAGCCGAUUUUCGGGCUUAACCUGUGAGUUGCGUUCUAAUCCUUUAUUAGUGGGCUAAUGACACUUAGAGGUAUGUUAGUUAGCUAAUUGGUGAAUUAGUUAUGUUGAUUAGGCUUAGGAUGACUUAGUUAGAUUAAGUAUAUGGUUAGUAUUUUGUUAGUGUAAUUAGUUUAGUUAGGUGGAUUAGUUAGGAAUUAGUUAGUUUAUUUAGUUAGUGCAUUUAGAUUAAAUUAAAUAGGAUGGUUAGAUUUAAUUGUUAGUUAGAUUAUUUAGUUUAGUUAAUUUAGGUAAAUUUAAUUAAAUGCUCUAAAUUUAUUUAUUUUGUAAUUUAUUUAAUUUCUAGUAAUUUAUUUAAUUAUUACUUAUUUUUGGGAAAUUAGGCCAGGAUAGCCGGUGACCGGAAUUUUGUGCUGAUUGCAAUGUUGUGUUCAAUUUCUGCAAUUGAGUGUUAAUUUAUGCAAAUUGAGUGCUGAUUGGAAUUUUGAAUAUUUAAUUCCAAAAUUUGUGAAAUUCAUUAUUUAUUUAGAAAAUCCAGGGUGUUGGGUUUUAACACCAAAAAUGGUUUUAUGUACUAUAUAAACCAUUGUGAUUUUAAAUUGGAGGAUAUCAAUUUUUCUAGAGUGAAUUAACCGUGUACCCACACACGACUAUUUUAUCGUGUAUUUUUAAUACGAAGAAAAUAGGUCAGGUUCACUAUUUUAAUUGAGACAUUUGAGUGCAAUGCACAGUGUCCUGGGCUGAGAUUGAUUGCUCAUGUGUUGGUUAAGAGAAACCGUCCUGGGCUAUUAAGCCGGAUGUUACCCAUUCAUUGGGACUCGGGUUGUAGUAGAUUCUGGACCUACGCCCCUUCGGGGAAGCCAUCUAAUUGAGAGACGUCGCCGUGCUCAAAGGAGGUGAGACGACACCUGGCAAUGCCAAUAUAGUUGGCUGUACCCUUGAGGGGUGUAAUUAACAAUUGGAACGCAUGAUGGUUAAGUUCGAUGCACCGGAUUAUGGGACAAAAUUGUGUGAUGUGGUAUGGGACGUGUCAUAACGAUUUGGCCCUAUAAUCUGGACCUCUGUGAUUUAUUGAGUUGAGUGAUGCGAUUCAAUUGUUGGAUGUAUCGUUUCUAUACAUAAUGUAUAUGAACUGUGCUGACCCGCAAGGUGGAACUGAGGCGAGGUAAGUCCUCUGUGCCAAUUGAGUGGUUGUGUGGUUAGGACACUUCUGGGUGUAUUUCCCUCAUAAUCGAGACUUAGACCGUGAACUCGCUGAGAUUUAUAUCUCACCCCGUUGUGGGCUUAAAAUUUUCAGGACCGUAGAGGGAGGACUUGGAGCUAAGCUGAGGUGACCUGAAGAGUGGGUCAGAUAGAACAACCUCUUUUUAAGAACUAGUCUUUUGGUUAUAGACUUGUGUAAAAGACUCAAUAUGUUUACAAAAGUGUGGUUUGUUUGUGAAUGUGAUGUCCAGCUUUUCUAUCCCGAGAUAGUUACUGUUAGGGGAUUUUUUUAUUUGCUUCCACAUGUGUAAUAAAAUAAAAGGGGUCGGCGAUUCACUUGGGAAGUCGCAUAGUUUUUAAUCGACCAAAGAGGGAUGGGCAUGCGCUUGAGGAUCGGGCCGUGACAUGUCAGGCCUAGUCAUUGUCAGAUAUAUGAGUUUUACGACAAGCCUUUGAUAGCUUGAAGGAUCUUCCAAUGUGAAAUCAUCUUCCUGAGAAAUUCCCUUAUCAUAAUCUGCGAUGGUCAAUUUAGUAUUAUGUUCAAUGGGAAUAACAGCUAGCUUGCAACCUGAUAAACCUGCUUUUGAAAUAAUCUCCAAUAUGAAUUUCCGCUAACUGAGGGAAAUCUCUUGUUCAGAACGGGCAAUUUCAAUGCCAAGAAAGUACUUAGGAGCUCCUAAGUCUUUAUUGUGAAAAAUUGCAUGCAGAUACUUAUUAAAAACUUCUAUGGCAGCUUCAUCAUUUCCCAUAAUGAGAAUAUCAUCAACAUAUAUCAUCAAAUAGAUAGAUGACAUACCUUUAAUUCGCGUGGAUAAGGCAGAAUCAUGUCGAGACUAUUUGAAGCCUGUCGUUGUAAGAGCGCUUGUAAACUUAGCGUACCAUUGCUUGGAAGCUUGCUUCAAGCCAUAAAGGGAUUUACGGAGGAGAAACACUUUAUUCUCCCCUUGUCUCCGUAAGCCCUGAGGAACAUCCAUAUAUAUCUCUUCAUCUAAAUCAUUGUGAAGGAAGGCGUUAUGAACGUCCAUUUGGUGUUAAGACCAGUCACGAAUAGCUGCAACUAUCAAGAAUGAAUGUACUGUGAUGUCUUUGGCUACAGGUGAGAAUGUCUCAUGAUAAUCGAACCCUUCCUGCUGAGUGAAUCCUUUGGCAACCAACCGUGCCUUGAAUCUUUCAACGGAGCCAUCGGCUCGAUAUUUAAUCUUGUACACCCAUUUAUAGCCUAUUGGUUUACAAUUUGGCAGCAAUUAGACACGAUCCCAGGUUUUAUUGUCAACCAAUGCCUGUAAUUCUGCUUCCACUUCUUUCUGCCAUCAUGGAUCAGCAUAUGCCUCAUUAUAACUAGUAGGUUCCUUAUCCUCCGAUAAUCUACUGACACAACACCUAUGUUUUGAUGAUAAAUUAUGGAAGGAAACAUAGGAUGAAACUAGAUAUUUGAUACCUGGUGAAUUGAGAGUGGUGCACACAUAAUCUUUUGUCUAAGUAGGAGGUCGUGUAGCUCGACCAGAACGUCUCGGAGGAUCUAUUCUUGAGGGUGAAGGUGUUGUCUCUUUGGCUGAUGUAGGCAAAGUGUCUUGAAAUUCUUCAUCAGUAGAAGAAUCUUCCAUUGAAUUCCCUGAAACAUUCUCUGGAACCUGAUUUUCAUCAGGAAUAGGGCCUGCUACUGAAAGAUUCAUUGGCACAUAAUGAUCAUUAGCUGAUAUUGCUAAUGGUAUAUAAUCAGGAUCUCGAUAUGUUGCAUCAUCAGUCACAGGCCGACAGGGAAUACUCACUGUACUUGAUUCUUCAUGUGAGAGUGUUUUUUCAUUGAAAGGAAAGACAUUUUCAUGAAAUAUAACAUCUCUACUUAUAAAGAAUUCUUUUGUAGACAACUCCUGGACUCUAUAUCCUUUCUAUAGAUUAGGGUACCCCAAGAAUGCACAGAGUCGUGCACAAGGAUCCAUCUUGUCUCAAGGUCUCAUUAUGGCUGCAUAACAUAAACAUCCAAAGACUUUGAGAUGUGUCCGCUCGGUGCCUUGCCAAAUAAUAUUUCAGAAGGUGUCUUCCCAUUAAGUAUCCGAGUAGGCAUUCGGUUGAUAAGAUAAGCCGUUGUAAUUGCUACUUGAAAUUUCAGGGCUCUAGCAACUUCCAGAAGAUGCCUGUGUUUACGCUCGACCACCCCAUUUUGUUGUGGGGUGUAGAUACAAGAGCUUUCAUGUUGAAUCCCUUGAGAUGAAAACAAUGAAAUGCAAUCAUGGUUGAAGAAUUCCCUUCCGUUAUCAGUUCGAAUCUUUUUAAUCGACUUUCCGAAUUGAUUUUUCGAAAGAGCAAUAAAUGUCCUUAAAUGAGAAUAAGCUUGGCCUUUAGACUGCAUGAAGAAAAUCCAUGUUGCACGAGAACAAUCAUCUACUAUGGUAAGAAAAUAAUGAGACCCAUCAUGAUUUGUUGUAUGGUAAGGCCCCUAAAUAUCCACAUGAAUCAAUGAGAAAAUUUCAUUAGCACGGGUACUUCCUAAAGGGAAUGGAGUACAUGACUGUUUUGCGAGGGGGCAUAUGGAGCAUUGAGCAUAAGGAAAGAAAGUACAAUGGCCCAUCCUUAAGUGCAUAAUGAAAUUUCAUUGGUAGUCGAAUUACACAAUGAAGUGUAAUUGAAAGAAGUACUAGAAAAAUUGAAAUUACUUGGGAAUUUUGUCUAGAAAAAAAGGCCUUCAGAAAGACUACCCAAGCCCAUCAGUCUGCUAGUCGAAAGGGCCUAAAAGAAGCAUGUAUCAGCAUCGAAGAAUACCCUACAUGAGUUUCCUUGCAUACUCUUGACACAGAAAUAAGAUUAAAUUGGAAUUCCGGGACAUAAAGGACAUUCUCAAGAGUAAUUUGAGGACUAAGAUUUACUGUUCCUAUCACAUUCACAUGUGUGAUAUUCCCGUUGGGUAAUUGCACGGUAACGGGAAAAUUUAAUCCCUCAUUUAUACUUGUAAAAAAUCCUUUAUUACAAACAAUGUGAUCGCUUGCCCCUGAAUCAAUAAUUCAUGCAUUUCUUGAUGUGGCAUCCCAAAAUUCAUGGCGACCUCCAGAUACAUUAAGGUCUAUGAAUAGGUGAUGGAAGUACCAUCAAGUUAUAUUGUAGCCAUUUGAUCCAUAAUUUGCAAUGAGAUUUAUGGCCAAGCUUUUAAUGGAUAAUUAUUUGAUAGGAAAGAAAAUUCUAUCAUUGGCCAUGUGUUUUAUAAAUUGGAAUUUAUGGAUUUAUGAUUUCAAGUUUUAUGGCCAUAUGAAAUUGUAAUUUAGUAUUUAUAUAAGUGGGCAUUUAAGGUAAAUUAUUAAAAGUAAACAUGGACUUAUUUAAGAAAAAUUUUGGGCCAUUUAAGUUUGGACUUUAGGACCAAGAGUGUUGAGCCUAAAGCCCAUUGGGCUGUCGACCGAAAGGGGGGAGAGAGGAGCCGUAUGGGCCUCCUUCAUGUGUCUUCAACAAGAAGACACUUGUCUCCUUCUUAGGGACAAGUGUCUCUCCAUGCAAAAAUUUGGAGACAAGUGUCCCUCCAUGCAAAAGUGGAAGCAUGCAAGGAUUUUAUUCAACCAAAAGGAAAAAGGGAAGGGGGUGGUCGGAGCUAGGUGCUGAGAGAGAGAGAGAGAGAGAGAGAGAGGUUCACGCCGAGAGAGGAAGAAGAAGGCUUGCCCCACCGUGCGUCCGCCUAGCCGCCGCCGUCAAGCCCGCCUCGCCCCGCCGUUGUCUUGCUGUCUUUUCUUUGGAUUAGAGGCAAGUACAAUCCUAGAACCUACCCUUUGCUUGCUGUGAUGUGUGUGUAGAAGAUGGUGAAUUUCGGUUGUGGUAGAUGUGAUGAAAGGUCGAAGCUAUGGGGAGAAAUUCGUUGGCCUAGCAUGCUGUUUUCUGGAAAAAUCAGUCCAACCCUUCACGAGUUUGUGAGCUUCAUGCGACUUUUUAAUUGAAAUCUCGCUUUGAUCUCUUCAUGAAAGUUGUGUAGAACAUCUUGAGGGAUCAAAUACUAAAAUUUGAGACAAAACGGACAAGGAUUGGUUGGUGAAAUGAUUUUCCUUUGAAGAAACUAGAUCUGGAAACUAUUAUGUCGACCUUUGGUGAUAUCGUGAGUUGCAUGCGAUGUUCUAGUUGGAAUAUGACUUUGACUUCUUGAUGAAAGUUGUAAAGGAAUUCUUGGAGAAUAACAUAUAAAAAUUUGAAAGGAAACGGACAGGUAUAGGUCGAGGAAACCAUUUUUCUUUGAUGAAGCUAGAUCUAGAAAAUGUUAUGUUGAAAUUAUCCAGUCCGAAUUUGAUCUCGUGUUCUUGAUGAGAGUUGUAGAUGACAUAUUGAGGAGAAACAUACUAAAAUUAGAGGAUAAACAGACAAGUAAUGAUCGGGGAAAACAAUUUUCUUUGAAAAGGAUAAAUCUGGACAGUGAACCGAGAGAUAGGAAGAGUUAUAAAAAUUAUAUCUUUUAAUCUAGAAGGAAAUAAAUUGCGAUUUCUUCAUGAGAAUUUUUCCUUUUGAUCUCAGCUAUAACAUAUCAAAAUAUCAGAAUUUUUGGAGUUCAUUUAAGGGCCUAAUCGAAAUUAUUUCUGAAACUGUGCAAAAAGAGGUGCUAGAAUUUCUUUUGCUGUGAUGUAUGGAUCUAUGUGAUUGAUGUGGAAUUUUCUUGAUAUGAUGUUCUUCAUGAAAUAUCUUCCUCUGGAUAUUUUUUACAUCAUGUUAAAUUCUCAAAAUUUAUUGAUAUUUUUUACUAAUUUUCCAAGAAUUUUCACUAAAGAAGUGCAUUCUGUUUUAUCCGAAAAUUGGUUCUAGUUUCAAAAAUCAAUGAACUUCUUUAUGAAAGGUGAUAUCGUGGAUGUUAUGCGUACUGCAUAUAUGGUGAUGUUUGGCAUAUCAUGUGACAUCAAAAGAUGGUUUAGAUCUAUGAUAUUGUUGCAUCAAAUGCCAUGUUGAAAAUGAGACAUAUAUGUGAACAUAUAUUGUGAUAAUGAUGAUGCCGUCGGAGGUGUGAGUUGACGAUGCCUCGAGAGUCGGGAUGCCCAAAGGUUUGAAUGAGUCGAUUCCCUUUGGAUGCUUGGUUGUAUUAUGAAUACAUGUCCAGAGGUUUUCCCCAAGAGUGUCGGGAUGCCCGGUUAUAUUAUGAUACACGCCCGGAGGGUGAGGGGUUGUAUUAUGAUGCAUGCCCGGAGGGUAGGGGUAACCAUUUUCAUGGCGAGCCUCGGCGAUUCCUCGUGACGCCAGGUGGGAUGCGAGAUGCUCGGAGGUGUGUGCCGAAUGCCCGGAGGUGUGUGCCAGAGGCUCCUUGCGAUGCCAGGUUGGAUGCGAGCGAUAAAUGAGGGAUGUGAAAAUUGGUCCCUAGAAGAAAAAUGAUGAGAUCCUUGUGAAAGAUAAAAAUUGAAAUUGAAUCAUGUGCAUGAGUGUAUGCAUAUGGCAUGAUGCAUGAUUUGCUUAUCAAAAUAAAUUGAUGUUAUUUGACAUUGAGAAUGCGAUCAUGAAGGCUUGAAUGGAUCUCAUGGUGAUGUAUGCUUGAUAGCAUGGAUGAUACGAAUCAUGGUGAUAUAUGCACGAUGGCAUGGCAAGAUAUGCAUGACUACAUGGUAAUAUAUGCACAACUGCAAGGUGAUAUAUGCAUGGCUGCUUGAUGACAUAAAUACAAGUGCAUGGUGGUAUAUGCAUGUUGUAUGGUGAUAUAUGCAUGGCUGUAAGGUGAGGUAUGCUUGAAUGCAUGAAUGACAUGUGUUUUAUUCAUAAUACCUUGAUUGUUCUGUUUGUCACAUUGUGUAGUUAGGUGGAUCUUUACUGCUGAGUGGUUGUACUCACCCCAUUUGGGGAAUAACAUUUCAGACUAGAUAAGAUACCUCAGCUAGCACUGCCACCGGUAGAUGAAUCAAGUGGUUGGAUAUGACCGCGAGGAGGAGGAUAGCAAAGGAAGGAAAUUUUGGACGCCGACACUGAUUGAUGGACUUUAAGUAUACGACUGUUGGAGGAGAUGUCGGUCAUCUUUUGAAGUAUAGCCGAGUAUAGAAGACUAUGGCAUUUUGUUGUACCGAUGAAUGGUGUCCAUCUGGUUUAAGUAAAUAAAAGUAUUCGGCUUUUACCCAUAAAUGUUUAGUUGGUGUGCAUCGUUUUCUGAAUAUAGGGAAGUGAGUUAAUGGAUGUGCUUCUGCCAUAUAAGUUGCGCAGGGACCGAUCUAAAAGAUGUAAACCCCUAGGAUUCAUGAAUUAUAAUGAAAUUCCUUGGUAUUAGAGUAUUACAUUAUCAGGUCGAGUGAAAGAGAAAGGUAAGCGAACAAUGGCGACCCUAACAGUUUAGGGGCCGUCAAGGGGUGCCACACUUGAAAUCGAAUUAAUUAGGCAAAGUGAGAUACCUGAGAAUCUUCCUCCUUUGUUGAAGGUAUCCAAUUUCUGAAGAGUAUGCAUCAAUUGUUGAUAUUGACCAUAAGAGAUAGGUUGGUCAGCAUUUUGGCCAGUAGGUCUAGUCACUUGAUAGGCAACUGAUAUUUUUUUCUCCUUCUCUCUAGGCUUUGCAUGCAAUAUCCAACAGCUGUCAAUCAUAUGGUUAGAACGCUUGCAAUAAUCACAAAACAUUUUACCCUUUGCCUUAAAAGUGGGUCGAAAAUUCUUUGAUGACGUGGCAUAUAUCUGGCCGUCCACUCCUUUAGUCACGGAGUCAUAUCUGCCGUCGGAUCCAUCUGCGCCUUCAAAGCCAAGAAGAUCGUCCGAUCCAUGUCCACGAUCUGUCCGUCCAAUUCGCGCCCACGAUCUGUAUCGUCAGAUCCUCGCAUCAAAUCUCGGCCGUUCAUCCCAUCUCUUUUAAACAAGCGAGCGACGUCUCCUCCUGCAAACCCUACCGUGCCUCUUUGUCUCUCUCUCGAUUUAGGGUUUUUAUAGAUCCGUCUUUGCGUUCGUCGCGGGCUGUGAGGGCGAUGUAGUCGCCGUUCCUUGCAUGUUCUAGCGAUGCGAGUUGUUGGCUUUCCUCCUGCACAACCAACUGGUAGAUUCCUCUAAUCGGAGGGAUAAGAUCCAUGGCAAGGAUUUGUGAAUGAAAGUUGAAGUAAGUGUCGUUCAAAAUUAGUAAGAAAUGUGUAGCCUUUUCCCUUUCUUUGAUGGAAUGAUAUUGCUUUAAUGUGGAUUCCGGUCCGUCAAGCUUUUCCUUGAUCGUUUCUAGCUGGUUCCAUAAAGAUGAUAGCUUGUUGAAACAAGCCGUGACCGUCAUAUUCCCCUGUUUGAGAUUGCUUAAUUCUUGCAUGAGUGAAAUUUUUUUGGCACGAUCGAGUUUGCCGUACAUUUCUUUAAUAUUCUCCCACAUCUUUUGAGUGUCUUCUGUGGGUGGAAGUCCGACCGCGACUUAUGGAGAAAUGCAAUUGCCGAUCCAAGUUCGGACAAGUUGAUUGCAUUUCCUCCAAUGUCGUGCUAGACACUCGUCUGAAGGAACAACAAUGGUUCCAUCGAGGAAUCCAUCUUUGUCCUUUGUCACCAUCACACGCCGGAAUUUCUGCAACCAUCUGGAGUAAUUUUCAUGCCCGGUAAUUCAGUUCAGGUCCGUCAGCGGUGGAAAGAAACAGGGGAUCGCCGGAUUCUGGCUGUCUGGUGAAAAUCGAUCCUGGAAACGACAAAAAUCCAGGUGAGAAGCCCGGGUAGGGAUUCGCUCACAUACCCAGAUUCAAAUCGGCUCCAUAACCCACAUUGAAAUUGGUUGGGUAUGGGUUUCCUCCAUUACCUGAACCAUUGGAUCCAUCUAUGUGACAUCCCAGAUUUUCAACCCUAUCAUCUACUGAGUAAAUCGGGCAUUUCAUUAACAUGUCUAUAGGGCUAUUCUCAGAGCCGAUCACUCUUGAGAUAAGUAGACUAGCUGGGGAAGCUAUUUCGGACUUUAAAGCAAAUGGACUUGAGAAUUCGAACAAGAAUCGGCUUCUUGACGUGCUUAUCUUUAGAGACCAUUACGGCACAGUUAAAAAAAAAAUCGAUUUGAGAUCAGAGAUAGGUUUUUUCGACUGAGAUGUGUGACUGAUCGUGGGUGACUCCACUAAAAAUUCUCGUCGAUCGAUACGAAUCUGAUUGUACUGUCGUUUUGGUACCAUGUGUCCAUAAUUGAAUCCUUGAGAUUUUUACGACAAUCAAGAAUCACCAUUAAGUUGAGUGGGUUCAUAGUGGUUCGAAGAAAAUUGACCGCAGGUAAUUUGCCUUAAAAAGUUUUGAAAGCCACUCAGUAGUCUAGGUCACGCUAAAAACGCGCCAAAUGGAAAUUAACCGCCGAUUCGAGUCCGAAUUCAGAAAUUGAAGGUUCUGUCAUGUCACAAUAAAUUCCAGGACCCAUGGCUCAGUCUCAAAAGAUUUUUCUGACAAUCGAGACUUUUUGGGAAAAAGUCAGUUUAUGGCCGUUUUCGUUCAGUUGAAGCCGGGGAUUAAUUCUGGUUGCGGAAUUGAAGAGCGUGAGGAAUUCUUGGAUGAGGAAAAAUAACCAUUGAGACAUUAGGACAUCAAUUGAAUUUAUGAGAGUCAAUUGAGAGAGAAUCAAGAGGGAGUUGAUGAACAAUUGAAGCCAAGGAAAGCCAAUUUCGUAACUCCCCUCCCCCUAGCCCAAAAUUGACCAAUUGAGAAGUGUUGAGGGGUGUAUGUGUGGGUGAUUGUGAGCCAAGGUUGAUACUUUGCCAAGAUUGAGUCUAAAAGGAUAGACUUGUGGAAAAUAUCAAGCCAAAGGGUCCCUCACUCAUCUCUCACUUAUCUCUAAUCUCUCUCCCUCACCCCCACCCCACCGUUCAUCUCCAUCCUCUCCCUCUCAACUUCUUCCUUUCUGCCCAGUUCCACUUUCAUUUUUUUGGUUGACAACAUGCAGCUCUUCCCUUUGAAAGCUGAAGUCCACGUCUCAUUGCCCCACUGUUCUUGCCAGCCACACGCCAACCCCAACUACCAUUGGUCCCCUUCGAUCCCAUCUCCUCUCCUUGUGUCUUCUUCGGUCAGAAUUUCCCCAACUGAAGACCACGAAUCUCCACGGUUGCUGCCACAUGUUCAUGAAGGACCUCUCUUCGGUCAAGCUUCUUCUCCAGUGAGGCGUGGUUGACUGAAGCUGUCAGCGGACGCCCUCCUUCUCCACCGAGUUUUGUCGGCCACCGAAACAGCUUCAACUUAAUCCACCAAAGCUUCAAUCAACAUCCUUGCAAGCAGAACUCCUUUGUUGACCUUUCCCCCACGUGUCCAGCAGCAAGUGAGCCCACCAUCACUUGUUUUCUUCCACCGAGCGUCCAGCAUCUUCGUCUGUGUCUCUCGCACGAAGUAGCCCCACUCCUCGUGCCUUCAGCUCCCUCGGUCGAAGACCUCAACGAAGCCAGCCGUGAAUUUCAGCUUGUUCAACUCGUGGGCUUUGCUGCUCCUCUUGCAUGUGAAGUUCAACCCACUUGAAGCCUACACCAAUUCAGCCCAUGAUUAGCCCAUUGAAGACCAGACCCAUAAAUUGAGUCUUCAGCCCCUCUUGAAGCCCAUUUUGCAGCCCAAGCCCGUGAAGCAAGUCAACCCAAGCUCAAGCCCAAGUUCAGUUCAAGCCCAGAAAUUUCUGCGGGCUUGCAAGGCUUUUGAGCCCGGCCUGAGUGUCCGCUGACACCACCGAAAGUUUGGAUUUCGGUCGCCGUUGCAUUGCUAUCGCGGUGUUUCGGUCUUCGCUUUGCACAAGUGAGUAAUCUCACUAAUCCUUGCUUAGUAGACUAAUUAUGCUUAAGGGUUGAUUAGAUUUAAUUAAGUGCAAUCAGGUGGUUAGAUUAGAAUGGAUUAUUGAUUAUUAGUUAAUUGCAUUGCAUAUUAGCUAGGUGGUUAGUGUACUUAGAUAGAGAACUACCUAUACUAUUUAUUGAAUGCAUCUCAGGAUUUUUCCCAACCCUUAUCGAGCUUCAAUUAGGCAUUACGGGCCUAAAUUGGAUUUUUUUAGUAUUUAAUUAUUAAUUUUCAAAAUUAAUUAAUUAUUUAUUUAUUUUCUGGAAAUUAGGCUGCGAUAGCCGACAAUCGGAAUUUCGUGCUAAUUGCAGUGGUGCUCUCUGUUUAUUUAAUUGAGUACCUGGUUGUGUAAAUUGAGUGCAAAUAGUAGUUGUGGGUAUUUUUUUUUUUUUCAGAAAUUGGAUAACUUUGGUAACUGAGUGGAAAAUUACCGGGCGUCGGUCUACAGCGUCAAAAAUCUAUUUUUGUACUGCUGAAAGGAGUGGGUGAAUAAAAAGGAAAUUAUUGUAUUUUGGCUAAGACCGACCGUGUACCCACACACAUGUACUUUUAUCAAAUAUGAUGAAAAUGGUAAAAUUGAUUGUGUCUUCGGAACAAAAAAAAUACUAUAACGGCUUGAUGAUUCGUAUCUCAUCUGGAGAAUGGACGUUAUACUAUUACAGCUCAAUGGCUCUCAUGUCAUUUUGAGAAAGAAUUGCUUGUAUACUGGCUCAAUGACCCUAUAGGUCAACUUGGAGAAUAGACAGUAUUAAAUGUUAGCUCGGCAAUUCUAUAGAUCAUCUUAGAGAAUGGACAACAUGCCAUAACGGCUCGGUGACUCAACAUGUCAUCUUGGAGAAUGUAUGUUAUGAUGAAUAUGCUCGGUGACUAUAUGUCAUCUUGGAGAAUGAAUAUUAUAAUAUAUUAGCUUGGUAACUCAAUAGGUUAUCUUGGAGAAUGAAUAGUAUGUUAUAAUGACUUGGUGACUUAAUGUGUCAUCUCGGAGAAUGAAACGUAUAAUAUAUUGGCUUGGUAACCCGAUGGGUUAUUUUAGAGAAUGGACAGUAUUGAUUGAAAUGACCAAGAAUGGUCCAUUUGAUAUGUAAUCGACUAGGUCGAUUAAUCAAGAUAUCGAUAUGUGAUGUGACUGCUUGGGUGCCUAUUGAACUGUGCUAAUAUGAAGGUGGAAUUUGAGGCCAAGGUAAGUCCUCUGACUCGUACGUGCAUAGGCAGCCCGUAUAGCGUAUUGGUUUCCUAAUCGAGUCUUAGUGGGAUAGAACUUGCUGAGAUGUAGUCUCAUCCCAGUUGUGGGAUAUCAUUUCAGGCCCGUAGAUGAGCCUGUGGAGAAGGAACCAGAAGAGGACGAUGAGCCGAAAAAAGAUGAAGAGCUUGAAGGAUGUGAGCUUAAUGAAGAAGAGUUAGAAGAGGAUCAGGAUGAUCUUGAGUACGACCCAGAUGAGGACUGAAAUCCCAUCCUGUCUUGUCAGACGUUGUCUGCAUGUGAAUAGAUGUUAGAUCAAACUUAUGUCUAUAGUAUUGUAGAAUACUAUGAUAUGUUUGUAAAAAUGUGUGGUUGUGAAUUUUCAAUAUGAAAAAUAUGGCCAUGCUUUUCUAUCUCAUCGUCUUAUUGUCUAGAGAUUUAUAACUGCUUCCGCAUGUGCUAUUAAUAAUAAAAGGGGUCAGCGAUACUUAGUCCUGGGAUAUCGCAUUCUAAAAUUGACCAAGUAGAAGGAUGUGUGCGUGCCCGAGGAUUGGGGCGUGACAAUCUUCUUGCCCCGCAUUUGCUCCAUCCGACCCGACGGUCAUGCUUGCCCCGCUUAUGGUUGGUAGGCUACCAUCGGGUUGGCCAAAGGCCCAAGGUCCUUGAAUUCCUAGUGAUGAUGUAUUCGGGCUAGGCCCAAACAACCACGGGUUGGGCUGCAUUUGAAACAGUGGCCACUGGUAAGGAUGGCCCAUUAUUGGUUGGCCCGGAAUAGACUAAACCGAGAAGGGUUGCCCUAGAAUUGACUGAGCCAAAGGAUUAUCACCAUCUUGGAUUUGAACAGAUUAUUCGUGAGAUCUAGCGACGUCGACAGUGGAGAUAGUGUCCCGGCUUUUUGCAGUUUGCACGGGAUUUUCAUGCUCCAGACGCUCAUCACUCACGAGUUAACUAACCUAUUGGGUGAAGCCAUUAAGGGAUGUAUCUGUAGUAAAAUCCCUAAAAGCUACUCAAUUGGUUAGAUUGGACUAAAAUCGCGAUUGAUUGAUUCUAACCAUGAAAUUUAAUUUGGUUUCGGGAAUCGAAUAUUCAAGCGUGUCACAAUUCAUUUUUAGGAUUCUGUCUCAUCGUCUGUCAAAUUAUUGACGAGUUUGAAAUUUCAAUAAAGAAAUUAUCGGAGGAAAAAUUUAAGACCAAAAGAAAAUAGAAAGGGAAAGGGAAAGAGAAAAGAAAAUAAGAAUAAGACUUAUUUUUUUUCUCUCUCUCCCUUUUCUCUCUUUUUCUCUCUCUCUUCUCUCUCCUCUCCCUUUCCCUCUUCGCGCGCACCCCCCCUGGCCGAACACUCCCCUUGCCAAUUUUAAAUUGGCUUCUCUUCCUUCUUUUUUUUUUUUUUGACUAGUCAAACCCCCCUCUCUUAUCUCUUCUCUCUCUUAUCUUCUCCCUCUCUCUCUCUCUCUCCUCUCUCCAUCUCUCUUGGUACACUCUCUCUCCCCUUCACCAUUUCAACGAAGAUAGAGGCAGAAAACAGAGGUAGCAGCGCCAAGAGAAGAGGAAGACCGGAGCAGCUCGCCGAAGCCGUCGCCGCCGCCCGCUGCUUGCCUCCGCCUCUCCUUCACCCCCUUUGGCCACCGUUGAAGCUUUUUUUUUCUUCCCCUCUGUUUCGUGCGAAGACCAGCAGAGAUAGAAGCGGAAGCAGCCGCGUACGUCGCUUGAAGAAACAGCUCGCCGAACCGCUGUCUGCUCCUCCGCCCGCCGUUGUUCCACCGUUCACCUGUGCACCGCCCCACCGAGCUGCCGUUCGUCAGUCUAGCGUCGUCCAGCUCCAAGUGCCUCUGCCCAACCCCUGUUCGGCCACCACCGGCAGUUGCCCGACCAUCUCCAGCCACCGUUCGGACUGCUGAAGAUCCCCUCACCCUCCACCGGCCUCCCCUCGCCGCCCUAGUCGCCGGAUCAGCCUCGGCCAGGCCAAACCAACAACCCAUGGAGUGGGUUUCUAGCUGGUUUGGGCCUGCUUUUGGGUCCUUUCCGGGCCCCGAACCUGAGGCCCGCUUUGGAGUUUGUUAUUCCUUGCGUCGCCCCCAUCAGAUUGAUCCGAUUUGCGCGCGAUUCCGGUGAGUAAUCUCACUAAUCCCUGAUUAGUUGGCUAAUUAUACUUAAGGGUUGUUUAGUUUUAAUUAAUUAGGUUUAGGUGGUUAGAUUAGAAUGGAUUAGUGUUUAUUAGUCAAUUGUGAUGCGAAUUAGACAAAUUGAGUGCGCAUUUAGCAAGUAGACGUGAUCUACUAUUUAUUGAAAGUAUCUCAGGAUUUUUCCCGACCCUUAGUGGUCUUCAAUUAGGCUUUUCGGGCCUAAGUGGAAUUUUUGGUAUUUAAAUAUUAAUUUUCGGAAUUAAAUUAAAUAAUUAUUUAUUUUUCAAAAAUUCAACUGGGAUGGCUCAUGACCGGAAUUUUAUGCUGGUGACUGUGGUGAAGUCCGUUUAUUUAAUUGGGCUUUAUUUUGAGCUAAAUUGAAUUUUUGAUAUUUAUUAAUUAAUUUUCGAAAUUAAUUAAUUAAUUAAUUAUUUUUCGGAAAUUAAGAUUUAGAUGGCCAACGACCGAAAUCUCGUGCUAAUCAUUAUGGCGUAGUCCGUUUAUUUGAUUGAGCUUUAAUUUGUAUGGAGUUGAUUUAAUUAUGAAUUUUUAGGAGUUAUUCAUAUUGAGUUGAUUUUUAAUUAUUUGAUUGAGAAAUCGUUGGGUAUUGGUUAUCACCAGAAAGGAAAUACGUGGGCUCGGGCAAUUGGAAUAUCACCUGGGGAAUGCACGUGAAUUCAGUGGUCGAAUAUGUCAUCUUGGCGAAGAGGUCACCUAAGAGAAUGCACGUGGCUCGAAGACUCGGUAUGUCAUCCUAGAGAAUGCACGUGCCUCGGUGACAGAGUUUGGCAUCUAAAAGGGCACGUGGCUCGGUGAAUUGAUGCAUCACUUUGGUGAGUUACCACCUAAGAGAAGGCACGUGGGCCCGGGCAUUGUAAAAAGGACACGUGGCUCGGUAAAUUGAUACAUGCACUUUGGUGAGUUAGCACCUAAGAGAAGGCACGUGGGCCCGGGCAUCGUAAAAAGGACAGGUGGCUCGGUGAUCUGACGCGUCACCUUGGCGAAUUAGUGCCUUAGAGAUUGCAUGUGGGUCCAGUAUUCGUAAAUAGCAUCUAAAAGGGCACGUGGCUCGGUGACUUGAUGUAUCACUUUGGCGAAGAGGUCGCCUUAGAGAAUGCACGUGGGCCAAAGGUUCGAGGCACGUGGCUUGGAGACUUGGGAUGUCAUCCUAGAGAACGCACGUGGCCUAGCUUUUAGAUACUCCUCAGUGGAGAAUGUUUUGUGUGACAUGUAAUCAACUGGUUCGAUUCGUAUAAGUAAGUGGGUGCCUAUUAUGAAUUGUACUGACUUGCAGGUGAGAUUUGAGGCCAAGGUAAGUCCUCUGACCUAUGUGUGUUUAGGCAGCCUAUAGUAUAAUGGUUUACUAAUCGGGCCUUAGUGGGGUAGAACUCGAUGAGACGUAGUCUCAUCCUGGUUUGGGGAAAACAUUUCAGGACCCCAAUAAGGAGCUGAGGAGGAGGGAUCUGAGACGGAGAACUCUGAGGUGAAACCUGAGGAGAAGAAUUUUGGAAGAAGAAGAUAAUCCCGAGAGGGAUCUUGAGUACGACUCGGAUGGACUGAGAUUCUAUCUUCUUUUGAGAUCUCCAUUUUGAUGUGAAUAGUUAGAAGUACUUUGGUUUGUGUUUUGUAUAAAGGUUUGGUUAUAAAUUUCAAUAUGAAAAUUAUAGCCCUGCUUUUCUAUCCCAUCGAUUUAUUGUUUGGGGAUUUAUAACUGCUUCUGCAUGUGCUUAAUAAAAGAAAAGGUCGGCGAUACAUAGUCCUGGGAUAUCGCAUUAUAAAAUCGACCAAGUGAGAAUGAUGUGUGCGUGCCCGAGGAUCGGGGCGUAACAUCCCCUUUUUGUGGUAUCAAAACGAAGUUCAAGAUUGGAGUGAUAAGGAGCGAUGACCAUGGGAUAGUUAGUAGGAAAGGCCUUUAAAUUCAUGCUGGUGCAUGUCUGUGUUAGCUGAGUACUAAAAUUGUUUGUUGUUUGGAUCGCUUUGUUUCUAAUUUGGUGUUGAAUUGGAAAUAGGUGUUAGUUGAGUAAAGCUACACCAUGAGCGAUCAGAAGCCGAGAACUCCUGCAAAGAGGACUAGUAGGGUCGUUAUUCGGGGUAGAGCUCUAACUCAUGUCGGAACCCAAGGCGGACGUGGUCGAGCGCCAGCAUAGGCUAGCGCAAGUGGAAUGGUUCCCCCUAUCAUAGAUGUCAGGGUAGCAGCCCCUAAUUAUCCCAGGGUGGAUGGGAUCUUGCGUGUUCUAGAAGCGAUGGGCACUAGAAUGGAUCAGUAGGCCACUACUGUUGAAGCCGCUACUCAGGCCGCUGCAACUGCCGCUGCCGCCACCGGAAUUGCCCCUACUACCGCACCUGCAGUCGCACCUACCGUUGCUCUAGCCGCAAUGAAUGUUGAAGGUCCACCAGAGAUAGUGGUCACUGCAAGACCAAUCCAUAAGUUGGUGGAGCAUUUCCUAAGGCUAAAUCCACCAUUGUUCACUGGGUCUAGAGAUCUUGAAGCUGCUUCUUCAUGGGUUCAGAAGCUUGAGAAGGCGUUUGCAUUGCUGAUGUGCAAUGAGACUGGGAAGGUAAUGUUAGCAACUUACCAACUGGAUGGAGUUGCGGACACUUGGUGGAUGACUACUCGUGAAACAAUCUUUCCAUAAGGCACUGUUCAGGACUGGAACACUUUCCGUGAAGCCUUCAAUGAUAAGUUUUUCUCUGAGAUUGCCAGAGAGGUGAAGAUGGCAGAAUUUCAAUGUCUUCGCCAGGGUUCCCUAUCUGUUGAUGAGUAUGAGGCGAAGUUCGCUGAACUUUCACGAUAUGCCCUCGAGUUAAUUGAGAAUCCUGUGAACUGAGCGAGGAGGUUCAGAGAUGGAUUCAAAUAGGAUUUGAGAAGCGCCUUAGUCAUUCUGGAUCUGAAGACUUAUAACGACAUAUAUUAGAGAGCUCAGAAGAUUAAAAAAGAUUAGAACAAUAAAGUUGCCUCAUCUGGAUCGAGGUUUAGCUCUCAUAGAGACAACAUCCGCCAAGGAAAGAGGCCGAUGUUUGGAAAUAGAUUCCAAAGCCCCCCAGCAAGAAGAGUGGAUUUAAUAGGUCAGGACCUAUUAUAAGUGAUGCGUGUCGCUUGUGUGGGAGAAGGCAUGGGACAGCACCGUGCCCAGCUAGGAUGGGUGCUUGUUUCGAAUGUGGUCAACAGGGCCACAUAGCCAGAUAUUGUCCAAAGAAGUAAAGAGGACAACCUCAGUUGCCGCCGCCACCACCAAUGAGACAGAUAUGAGGGUAUGCCCCUCAGAAUGCACCGCAAGGAGGACAGCAGAGACCUCCAGUUCAGGGCACUGUGUACGCGAUUACCCAAGGUCAGGUAGAAGUUGCGCCUGGCGUGAUCACAGGUACGGUCUCACUCAACGAACGACCAACCUUCUUAUGCUUUGUUUGAUUCGAGAGCAACCCAUUCCUUUAUUACCGAGCAAUAUGUUAGGAUGCAAGGGUUGAGUCCUGUAUUGUUGGAGUCAGCAAUUUGCAUAUCUACACCCUUGAAAGAUAAAGUCAUUGCUGCUUUGAGAUGUUCAGGGUGCAAGUUAGAGAUUGGUGAGUGAGUGGGGAAAAUUGACUUGUUAGUUCUAGUCAUGUAUGAUUUUGAUUUGAUAAUUGGCAUGGACUGGCUCACCAAUCAACGAGCUAAAAUGGACUGCUAUUACAAGGCGAUUCAGUUUGACCCGUUAAGGGGUAAGACCUACGAAUUUGUCAGGAAUUGAGGAGGACCCUCGAUUUCCUUAAUCUCGUCGCCAGAAGCAGCUCGUUUGUUAGACAAGGGUUGCCGUGGGUACUUAGCAACAGGAGUUGAAGAGCUGAAAAUGGAAGAUAUUGUAGUGGUACAGGAGUUUCCAGAUGUCUUUCCAAAAGAAUUGCCAAGGUUACCGCCAGAAAGAGAGAUUGAAUUUGUAAUUGAGCUAGCACCAGGGAUAGAAUCUAUCUCAAAGACACCUUAUCGAAUGGCAUUAUCUGAGUUGAAGGAACUGAAAGUGCAGAUGCAAGAAUUACUGGAUAAAGGAUUUAUUCGUCCUAGUGCAUCACCUUGGGGAGCACCAAUUCUGUUUGUUAAGAAGAAAGAUGGUUCAUUGCAUUUGUGCAUCGACUAUCAACAGCUCAAUCAGGUAACGAUCAAGAACAAGUAUCCAUUGCCGAUGAUAGAUGACUUGUUUGAUCAACUGCAAGGAGUGUCAAUAUUCUCGAAGAUCGACUUGAGGACAGGAUAUCAUCAGCUGAGAAUUAGGAAGGAGGAUAUUCCUAAGUCAGCAUUUCGUACCCGGUAUGGUCAUUACGAGUUUAUAGUGAUGCCGUUUGGGUUGACGAAUGCUCCAGCUGCUUUCAUGGAUAUGAUGAACAGAGUGUUCAAGGAAUACUUAGAUUAGUUUGUGAUUGUGUUCAUUGAUGACAUCCUGGUCUAUUCGAGAAGUAAUGAAGAGCAUGAGAAUCAUCUAAGAUUAGUACUUCAGACCUUAAGAACUCAUUAGUUGUAUGUUAAGUUUAGCAAAUGCGAAUUUUGGUUAAACCGUGUUGCUUUCUUAGGUCAUGUGAUUUCCGGAGAAGGAAUCUUUGUCGACCUGAGCAAGAUAGAAGCCGUGAUCAAGUGGCCGAGACCGACAACGGUGACAGAGAUAAGAAGUUUUCUAGGGUUCGCAGGUUAUUACAAAUGGUUUGUGGAAGGGUUCUCAUCGAUAGUGUCGCCUUUGACAAAGCUCUUGAAGAAAGAAGAGAAGUUUGUAUGGACAGACAAGUGCGAGCGUAGUUUCCAAGAGCUGAAGGAAAAGCUUACUACCGCACCUGUACUGACGAUUCCAUCUGGUCCUAGAGGAUUCGAGAUCUAUAAUGAUGCGUCAUUUAGGGGAUUGGGUUGCAUGCUGAUGCAACAUGGCAGAGUUGUUGCAUAUGCUUCUCGGCAGUUGAGACCUCAUCAAUUGAAUUAUCUGACGCGUGACUUGGAACUUGCAGCCAUCAUAUUUGCGUUGAAGAUUUGGAGGCACUACUUGUGCGGAGAAAAGUUUCAGAUCUUCACGGACCUUCAGAGUCUCAAGUAUUUGUUCUCUCAGAAGGAGUUGAACAUGAGACAGCACCGAUGAAUGGAAUUACUGAAGGAUUACGACUGUGACAUUCUACAUCAACUUGGAAAGGCGAACAAGGUCACCGAUGCAUUGAGUCAGAAGUCUUCAAUAGCACAAAUCUUGGUUAAGGAGUGGAACUUAAUCGAGAGAGCUCGAGAUUCGAAAUUCAAAUUUGAGGUAGGCCACCUUUCAAGUUUUAUGGCCACCCUCAGAAUUAAACCGGAUGUCCAGGUCAGAAUCAAAGAACUCUAACCGACAGAUCCAGAUGUACAAAGAAUUCUUCAAGAGGAUACUGAUAAAAGAAAUGCUGAUUUUCAAGUUUCUGAUGAUGGGAUAUUGAGGCUUCGUGGACAUUUGGUUGUACCUGACGAUGUAGAGCUUAGAGAGGCUAUUUUAUCUGAAGCACAUCGUAGCAGUUACAGCGUUCAUCCUAGAAGUACCAAGAUGUAUCAGAAUCUGCGUCAAUUAGUGGUGGUCAGGUAUGAAGGCGGAUAUCGCCAAACAUGUGGCCAAGUGUUUAACUUGUCAACAAGUAAAAACCCAGCAUUGCAAGCCGGGAGGACUUCUACAACCUCUCGCGAUCCCAGAAUGGAAAUUAGAGCAUAUCACGAUGGACUUCGUGACUGGACUACCAAGGAGUCAGAAGGGGGAAUGAUUCAAUUUGGGUAGUAGUCGACAGGCUGACAAAGUCGGCUCACUUCAUUGCAGUUCGAAAAGACCUCAGUCUUGAUAGGCAUGCAGACCUGUAUGUGCGUCAAGUGGUUCAAAUGCAUGGAGUGCCAGUUACGAUAACAUCCGAUAGAGAUCCGAGGUUUACUGCUGCUUUUUGGAAGAGCUUGCAGAGUGCUUUAGGUACAAAGCUUCAGUAUAGUACGGCAUAUUAUCCUUAGACGGAUGGCCAAUCUAAAAGGACAAUUCAAACUCUUGAAGACAUGCUGAGAGCGUGUGUAAUAGACUUCAAAGGAAGUUGGGAAGAUCAGCUUCAUCUGGUGGAAUUUGCCUACAACAACAGUUAUCAGCAGAGCAUCAAGAUGGCUCCUUUUGAAGCGUUGUAUGGCAGAGCAUGCAAAACUCCAGUGUGUUGGGAUGAAGUCGGAGAAAGGAAGAUAACAGGCCCAGAGUUGGUUUAGCAAUCAGUAGAUGCCGUGGCAGUGAUUAGAGACAGAUUAAAGACAACACAGAGCAGGCAUAAAAGUUAUGCAGAUAAGUGUCGAAGGUCUUUGGAAUUCCAAGUUGGUGAUCACUUCUUUCUGAAAGUGUCACCAAUGAGGGGAACUUCGCGCUUUGGUAAGAAAGGCAAGCUGAGUUUGAGGUAUGUAGGUCCGUUUGAAAUUCUUGAAAGAUUCGGAAACCUAGCGUAUCGUCUUGAGUUGCCACCAAGAUUAGCACAAGUGCAUGACGUCUUUCACGUGUCGAUGUUAAGGAAGUACGAGCCUGACCCGACCCACGUGCUCAAUUUCGAGGAAUUGGACAUGGAUGACCGUGUGUCAUACGUGGAAAGCUCGGUUCAGAUUGUCGAUCGCAAAGAACAAGUUCUUCGUACAAAGACCAUUCCGUUGGUCAAAGUGGUCUGGCAACACCACGGCACUGAAUGAGCGAUUUGGGAUACUGAAGAGUCGAUGAAACAAUUGUACCCCCACAUUUUUGAACAAAGUGUAAUGGUUUAAAUUUCGAGGAUGAAAUUUUUAUAAGAGGGGAAGAGUUGUGACAUCCUGAAAUAUAUUUUCGAUAAAGUGAAAUGGGCAUUUCGUCGACAUGCUUAUAGUCCUUUUUCUCUGAGUUGAUCACUCACGAGUUAACUAACCUAUUGGGUGAAGCUGUUAAGCGAUGUAUCUACAGUAAAAUCCCGAAAAGCUACUCAAUUGGUUGGAUUGGACUAAAAUCACGUUUGAUUGAUUCUAACCAUGAAAUUUAAUUUGGUUUCGGGAAUCGAAUAUUCGAGCGUGUCACAAUUCAUUUUUAGGAUCCUGUCUCAUCGUCUGUCAAAUUAUUGACGAGUCCGAAAUUUCAAUAAAGAAAUUAUCGGAGGAAAAAUUUAAGACCACAAGAAAAUAGAAAGGGAAAGGGAAAGAGAAAAGAAAAAUAAGAAUAAGACUUAUUUUAUUUCUUUUUCUCUCUCUCCCUUUUCACUCUUUUUCUCUCUCUCUUCUCUCUCCUCUCCCCUUCCCCCUUCGUGCGCACCCCCCCCCCCCCCACCGAACACUCCCCUUGCCAAUUUUAAAUUGGCUUCUCUUCCUUCUUCUUUUGCUUUUUUUUUUUGACUAGUCAAACCCCCCUCCCUUAUCUCUUUUCUCUCUUAUCUUCUCUCUCUCUCUCUCCUCUCUCUCUCCUCUCUCCUUCUCUCUUGGUACACUCUCUCUCCCCCUCACCAUUCGAACGAAGACAAAGGCAGAAAACAGAGGUAGUAGCGCUGAUAGAAGAGGAAGACCGGAGCAGCUCGCCGAAGCCAUUGCCACCGCCCGCUGUGCCGCUCGCCACUUGCCUCCUCCUCUCCUUCACCCCAUUCGGCCACUGUUGAAGCUUUUUUAUUUUUGUUCCCCUCUGUUUCGUGCGAAGACCAGCAGAGACAGAAGCAGAAGCAAUCGCGGACGUCGCCUGAAGAACAGCUUGCCAGGCCGUCGUCUGCUCCUCCGCCCGCCACUGUUCCAUCGUUCACACGUGCGCCGCCCCACCGAGCUGCCGUUCAUCCCUCUCCGCACGCCAGUCCAGCGUCGUCUAGCUCCAGGCGCCUCUGCCCAGCCCCUGUUCGGCCACCACCGGCGGUUGCCCGACCAUCUCCAGCCACCGUUCGGACCGCCAGAGCUCCCUUCACCCUCCGUCGGCCUCCCCUCGCCGCCCUAGCCGCCGGAUCAGCCUCAGCCAAGCCAAACUAGCAACCCACAAAGUGGGUUUCCAGCUGGUUUGGGCCUGCUUUUGGACCGUUUCUGGGCCCCGAACCUGAGGCCCGCUUUGGAGUUUGUUGUUCCUCACGUCGCCCCCAUCGGAUUGAUCUGAUUUGCGCGUGAUUCCGGUGAGUAAUCUCACUAAUCCCUGAUUAGUUGGCUAAUUAUGCUUAAGGGUUGUUUAGUUUUAAUUAAUUAGGUUUAGGUGGUUAGAUUAGAAUGGAUUAGUGUUUAUUAGUCAAUUGUGAUGCGAAUUAGACAAAUUGAGUGCGCAUUUAGCAAGUAGACAUGGUCUACUAUUUAUUGAAAGUAUCUUGGGAUUUUUCCCGACCCUUAGUGGUCUUCAAUUAGGCAUUUCGGGCUUAAGUGGAAUUUUUGGUAUUUAAAUAUUAAUUUUCGAAAUUAAAUUAAAUAAUUAUUUAUUUUUCGAAAAUUCAACUGGGAUGGCCCAUGACCGGAAUUUUAUGCUGGUGACCGUGGUGAAGUCCGUUUAUUUAAUUGAGCUUUAUUUGAGCUAAAUUGAAUUUUUAAUAUUUAUUAAUUAAUUUUCGAAAUUAAUUAAUUAAUUAAUUAUUUUUCGGAAAUUAAGAUUUAGAUGGCCAACGACCGAAAUCUCGUGCUGAUUGUCGUGGCGUAGUUUGUUUAUUUAAUUGAGCUUUAACUUGUAUGGAAUUGAUUUAAUUAUGAAUUUUUAGGAGUUAUUCAUAUUGAGUUGAUUUUUAAUUAUUUGAUUAAGAAAUCGUUGGGUAUUGGUUAUCACCUGAAAUGAAAUAUGUGGGCUCGGUGAAUUGGAAUAUCACCUGGGGAAUGCAAAUGAAUUCAAUGGUCGAAUAUGUCAUCUUGGUGAAGAGGUCGCCUAAGAGAAUGCACAUGGCUCGGAGACUCAGUAUGUCAUCCUGGAGAAUGCACAUGGCUCGGUGACAGAGUUUGGCAUCUAAAAGGGCAUGUGGCUCGGUGAAUUGAUGCAUCCCUUUGGUGAGUUAGCACCUAAGAGAAAGCACAUGGGUCUGGCAUCGUAAAAAGGACACGUGGCUCGGUGAAUCGAUGCAUCACUUUGGUGAGUUAGCACCUAAGAGAAGGCACGUGGGCCCGGGCAUCGUAAAAAGGACAUGUGGCUCGGUGAUCUGAUGUGUCACCUUGGCGAAUUAGUGCCUUAGAGAAUGCACGUGGGUCAAAUAUUCGGAAAUAGCAUCUAAAAGGGCACGUGGCUCGGUGACUUGAUGUACCACCUUGGCGAAAAGGUCGCCUUAGAGAAUGCACGUGGGCCAAAGGUUCGAGGCAUGUGGCUCGGAGACUUGGGAUGUCGUCCUAGAGAACGCACGUGGCCUAGCUUUUAGAUACUCCUCAGUGGAGAAUGUUUUGUAUGACAUGUAAUCGACUAGUUCGAUUCGUAUAAGUGGGUACCUAUUAUGAAUUGUAUUGGCUUGCAGGUGGGAUCUGAGGCCAAGGUAAGUCCUUUAACCUGUGUGUGUUUAGGCUGCCUAAAGUAUAAUGGUUUACUAAUCGGGCCUUAGUGGGGUAGAACUUGCUGAGACGUAGUCUCAUCCCAGUUUGGGGAAAACAUUUCAGGACCUCGAUGAGGAGCUGAGGAGGAGGGAUCUAAGAAGGAGAACUCUAGGGUGAAACCUAACGAGAAGAAUUUUGGAAUAAGAAGAUAAUCCCGAGAGGGAUCUUGAGUACGACCCGGAUGGACUGAGAUUCUAUCUUCUUUUGAGAUCUCCAUUUUGAUGUGAAUAGUUAGAAGUACUUUGGUUUGUGUUUUGUAUAAAAGUUUGGUUAUAAAUUUCAAUGUGAAAAAUAUGACCCUACUUUUCUAUCCUAUCGAUUUAUUGUCUAGGGAUUUAUAACUGUUUCCGCAUAUGCUUAAUAAAAGAAAGGGUCGGCGAUACAUAGUCCUGGGAUAUCGCAGUAUAAAAUCGACCAAGUGAGAAGGGUGUGUGCAUGCCUGAGGAUCGGGGGCUUGACAACAAGAGUAUGAAUAAAGAAGGAAAUUAAUGAUCCUAUAAAUCAAUCUAUUCUAGAUCUAAUCUUAAAUCGAUUUGUACAAAUCAAUAUCAGAUCACAAUCAAUUCAAAUCUUCUGUCAAAGCUGCAUAUCUUCCAACAUAGGGCUAUCUUCUUCUCGAGGACUUGUUUCGACAGAGACUUGAGAUCCCUUGUGAAGUAUAUGACCAUGAAAGCCAGGCGCCAUCUUCACCUAUGGAUGAUAUCCAUCAGGCCAUCGUGGCAGUCGAGCACUGCAUCAGUUGCUGCUUCUUCACUAGGUUUACGAAGCCUCAUCAAUGACAUGGAUGAACAACAAAGAGAGAGAAGACAAAAGGGUGUGCUUGGAUCAACAAAACGAGUCGGGUUGAGAGGACGAAGAUGAGUCUGUAGGAGUUAACACUGACUGGCUUGGGUUGAACGGAUGGAUUUGGUCUUGAUAGAUUAUAUUGUCGCGUUGUAGAUAUAUAGUGCAGUGUGAGAAAAUAUAGGGUACCUUAAAAGUGCCACGUAAUUUGUGCUCUGAACCAUUCAAAGCGUGACACCUAUCCGUGCAGCGCAAAAGGGUGAGAGCAAUUUGGUCACCGUCUACCCCCACACUUUUUUUUUUUUUUUUUACAUCAGCAAUUCCAAAUUUGUAUAUAUGUGACACAUAUACCUCAAAUCUAUACAAUGAGAUAUAUCUAUACCAAACUUCUUCUUAUGAUAUAAAAAUUCUCAAAUUUGUGUUUGUAUGAUACAUUCACCCUUAAAAUUUGGUGUCACAAUUUUUUUUUUGGAGAUUUUGGUAUCACAAAAAAAUAUUUGGAUCUAAUUAGGCCCACCCACAAUUUAUAUGCAACUUUUCCUUUUUAAUCUCGUCUUUUUCACUUUUUUCAUGUAUUUAGGUGAUAUUUUGGUAAAUUUAAAUGUACUAAGUUCAUUUCGCUUUCUGAUGUAUACGCCACCCUCCCAGAAUUAGGAGAUAUGUAUAUAUGUAAUGAAAAUCUUAUUUAGAGUCACAUCCAGAAAUUAUGUCAAAACAUAAAUAAUUGUAUCUUUGGGCAUUUUCAUGAUACAAAAAGUUUUACGGUUAGUGCUUUCAAAUUUUGUCAUGCAUUAUAUAUAUAUUCAGAGAAUCCAGAAUCUCCACGUAUGAUUCUAGAGAAAGCAUUCGACUCCUCUAUGUUCUUUUACAUAUAGAUCAAAGUUCAACGCAAUAUCUCAUAGAAUUUGCCCAACAUCCGGCGUGACCAAAGCAUUAUGGAUCCCCUUUUAUCUUUUUGUUUGUUUAGUGAAAAAUUUCUUCCUUUAUCUUUAGGCUAGAAAUACCAGAUAUUAAAUGCUUUUGUUUUGCUCAUCAUAUUAAAAAUGAUCAGCUUUUUUAAUCAGCCUACUAUUAACUGAUUAGUGACGUAUCCUGAAAAAAAUACGAUUUUGCAUGUUAAAAUGAUUAACCUCCUUGCGAUGGAUAGAACUUGAGAAAGUGCUAAGAUUAGCUUUUCUUGGUUGGGGCCAGACUUCCAUUCUGCUUUGCUGAGCCAAACAAAGCAGAUCUUCUUACAUUUAAUCUGAAGUCAUGGCCUGAUCAAUUGAUUUUUGCCUAUAUUCCACUUUCCACUCGUUUUCCUUCGUCAGAGCAAAACUAGAAAAUGUGAAAUCAGCAUAAGGUCGCCUUGUGCACUUAAGAGUCGUUGGUCGAAUGUAAUGCAUGAUGUGCCAUUAAAAGCCUAUGGCUUUUACAAACCCAUGGAACUUUAAAAUCUACUGAUGGUCUCUACAUUUUAUCGUCUUGGUAUAUUCAUGAUCGUAGAAGUAAUUAGCGUGCUUAAUAAGUAUGAAUUAGUCUAAUUGAAAAAAAAAAAACAUUUUACCUUGCCGCAACUUCAAAUUUCCGGUUAAGUUUUGAUCAUGUACUUUUCUCCAUCAACUUCUCUAGAUUGCAUUCUUUCGGAGGGGCCAACUAAUCACACUUCUUCACAAGGGCCCGUUUGAGGCUAGAUCACUCAUCAGGGAAAUGUAUGUAACCAUCCAACUAAGAGCUUACAGUACAUGAUAAUAUGAUAUGGAGUUCAAUGUCUGAAAGAUACCAUUUCUAAUGAAGCAGAGAACAAUAUUUGUAACUAUUGAGCUCAAGCUCGAGCUCAUUUUAUAACUAGAUUGUAUCGAGUUGAGUUGAGCUUGAAUAUCUUGAUUUUUUUUGUUUCAAGUCAAGCUAAAGCUUGAUAUUUAAUACUUCAUAGCUAGAGCGGAACUCCAAGCAUUGAAUAUCUAAUAGGAGUUGAGCUUGAGCUUGGCCUUAUUUUAUUGGCUUCACCCGAAUGGUAAUUAUUAUAUAAAAAAAAAAGUUAUCCAUUUAGUAAUUAUACUAUUAUUUAAUAAUUAGUUCAUUUAUUUUUUAGUAAUUAUAUUAUGAUUUAAUUCUCAUCGAUUAAUAAAAUAAUUGUUACUUACAUUAGAAACUAAAACAUUGCAAGUAUUUAGAAAUUAUAGUAGGUUUUCAUUUAUGACCUAUAAAAAUAUGAUAAUAAAGAAAUUAGACUUUGAUUAUAUAUCGUCAAAGGGUAUUAUGGGUAUUCUCUACUAUUCCUAACUUAUUCUCCCUCCUAUCAUGGUAAAACAAACAAGAGGGUGGUUUUGAAUCCAUUCUACAAACCAAACUACAAAAUAGUUGUUCCAUUCUCAAUCCUACUCUCUUCCAAUUUUUUACAAACAUCACAUGACAUAUCUGAGAUGGCUUUUUCUAGCAAAGUCACCUCAUCAUAAGAUUAGAUUUCUAACUAUCAUACAUAAAGAAACGUAAGAAAAUUAAUCUCAAUCGUCUCACUUUUUCACUUGAUAUAUAGGUUACUCAGUCUUGUCGUAAAAAAAUAUUUUUGGAAUAAAUAUCUUCUACAUGGUAAAUAUCAUUUCUUUGAGGUAAAAAGAUUCAUUUGCAAUAAGGAAGUGGUCUCUCCAUGCCACAUUUCCUCAUUGUUACGCCGAUCAUCUACAAUCUUGUGCCUUGAUGUAUUCAUGAUUUAUUUUAAUUACACCGAUUAGACAAUAAUUCCAAAGAGAUUCUUUCCAGCCAAGAACAAAAGAAAAAAGCAUAUUCACAAACAAAAGUCACUAUGACUAUACUGAUGAAUUGUGCCAUGAAAUAUCAUAGCACAGUUCAUCAAACCCUUUUAUACAAUGACAACAAAUAACGUGAACAUAUUGCAGAUGAUUUCAUUUGAAUUACUUGGGCUCAUAAUUUUCCAUUGUCCUUCAUAGCCAAAUCUUGAGCCCACGAUUUGUCUCGUCACUUUGAAACCGGUGCUCUAAGCCAAAGAAGCUGUGAAAAUAGCAGCUCCUACCAAAAUUCUGAAGUCCGUUGCUUCGAAGGGAAGACUGUCAGUCUCAGAUGCCGAGAAGAGAAGACUCCGUAGAAAUUUUUUUAUUCGUCGAAUUCUAUCAUCUAUCCCUUAACAAGAAUUGUGCAACUCCGGAUGACAUGGUUACUGACCUCGUAUUAUCAUGCCCCCUCUUUGUAACAGUGGAAUCAAAUUCAUUUAAAAAAGGAAGGCAAGCUGUUGCAGCUGCUGCCUUUGAGAAUAUAUCCAAACUGUAUUUUUCUAAUUGCUAUUACUCUCAAAUAUUCAUAAUCUUUCCAUUUUACUAACAAAAUCAAUGCCAUCAAUGUACAUAAUAGAAAAUCUAGUAGACACUUGAUCACCAAUUUCAAAUAGAGAGAAGCUUCAAAUACUUUACAUCGUAAUCUCUCUCUUAACCAAAUGGUCAUGGAGGAUCCUCUCAUUCAUGCAUGACGAAACUCAUCAAUCAUUUUAAUUUGGCCACUUCAACGGUUAUGGGAGCUGUUGUUGACAAUAAUUUAGUUAGAACACCUUGGCUGCAGUGGGAGCAUCCUUAUUGCUGCUGCUAGUUAUCCGAUUUUGAUUGCUAGCAUGAGCGAAAGAGUCGUGACAGAGACUUUAGCAAAUCCUUUAUGGAAACUACGUGGACAUUGUGGUUCCUCCUUCACAAUGAUUCCAACAAAGUUGAGAUUUUUGAAACAUUUUAUUCUUGAAUGUUUAUCUUUGUGCUUUUUUUAUGAUAUCAACCUGAGUUUCCUAGUAUUUUCGAGGAAUUGAAAUUGCAAAACACAUUAUGCUUGUGUGAAAUUGACUAGACAAAACAUACUUCAAUACUUUCUCUUUUGCCUUCACAAGAGGGUCGGACAAAGACUUGACGAUGGACUUGUGUAUGUUCUAAGCAAAGACAAAAUGCCACAAAUUUGUUCUUAAUUCCAACUAGGCAAUUCAAUCAUGGCGUGAAUCCUAGAAUCCCAAUCGAGAUAUUUUUCAUAGUGCAUUUCUAUUUGGACAUACGUAGAAUAAUAAUAACAUAAGAUGAUUUAAGGGGAUGAUUCAAAAAACAAAUUAUUUCAAUUGGCGCAUUAGGUCCACUCAAAUUUACAAAGCAAGCAUAAUGGAUCUCUUCCUUCAUUUCUAGGCUAGAAAAAGCAUUGAUUUUGUUAUGGUAAUUAAAUUUGUUGGAAUUCAAGUCGGCGAAAGACGACUUACCUUUAUUUGAUGCACAAACAACAAUUAACCUCGGAACGAAUGUUGAAUUGCGGAUGAAUCAUGAACAAGAUUACUUCACGUUCGUCUGAAUGCAAUCACGAGGAAAGCACCUAAUUUCCACAGCAUAAAUGCCGAUUGUUAUUGUAAAAUUGAAAUGGAAUGCCUUCUCUCUUUGAUGGAAAGUGAGGAAUUUCUAAGUGUGUAAUUUGCCAACCGGUGCCAACGGUUGUCUACAAAAGACUUUUAUACAACUCCCUUCGUACCCUUUCAAAUGAUGUCUUUCCAUCAUAGCACAUCAAGACAAAAUGGUGCGGUCCAAUCGCACUCCAUCAUGGGCGUACUAGCUAAAGUACAACAUCUCCCACUCGGACAUGGUGGGCUUGCUAGCGCUCUAUCAAGAAUAUAAAGCAUUCAACAUUCAUUAACUUUACAAAACAAUUCAUAUUGGCAAAUAAGCCGUGCGACCAGUGAGUACAUCUGCACUUGGGAGCUCAAAUUAUACACAUGUUAUGGAUGACAUAAUGGCUACAACCUUGAAAAGGAAUAAACAAUCGAUGUCUCACGGUGCCCCUGACAUAUUUUGUUACAUCAAUCCAAGUGUACCUAUCCCUUAAAGACUAUACUUGACUUUUCUCAAAAAUACUAUGUAUUUACAAUUAUAUCCACAACCACAGAGGGCGAUAUAACUGGUUGACCAGUAAAUACAUGUAAUAGAUGUAAAACAACAAUAAUCUUCCUUCGCACUUAUGUCUCUCUCCAUUUAAGAACAACCGCUUUUCUAGACACAUCCCAUAAGGCCAUAUCUAUUCAUGACCGUUAGUAACAUGUUAAAGUAGCAACAUUGAUCUUUUACUUCAAGAACAUAGUUAGAAGUAACAUAGGGCACAACAUUGAGGUAAAUUAUAAAUUACCGCAAGGGCUCACAUGAUGAAUAAAUAUGGAUAAUAUUACACACCUUCCCUUGUUGGUCGUAUAAUGCACAUGUAGUAUGAAUUACAUGGUAUAGUGAAUUUCUCUUUCUAUAAGAGCAUAUGUCAUUUAUUAAAUAUAUCCACUAUACGAAUCUUAGCCUAAAUAUAGUCACGUGCUCCUCACGUGCUCAUGUUUAGCUCGAGUACUAUAUCAGCUCGUUUUCUAUAGUGCCCAAUUAAGUACUCGCAUCCGACAUCUUUUAGGCAUACAUGAUUGUGGGACUAUCAUGUUCAGUUUUAUUAUAGACAAAUCACAGACCUCAUCUUGAAUCCAAUCAAGGUGACAUCUUAUUUUAUGUACUAAACUUGCUCUUCAACAUUCAUUUGUACAUAAUGUCUCAUCUCAACAUGCUUACUAUAGCACUUGAGACGACUACUCGUGUGAGUGAGCCAAUCAAUGCUCGCUGACAUACUUUUUAAUAAUAUAUGUAUGUAUGUGCUAGUCUCAUAAUGGAUUUGUACUUAUUGAUAAAACAUUAAGUCACUAAUAAACAAACAAGUAUAAUACAUAUGUCCAAAAAUACAUAAGCCAAUGAUCCUCUACAAUAACACAUAUCACAUUCUAGGUAAUCCUAGUGACAUCAUGUGAGUCAAGAAUAUGUCUCUAGGAAUAACUUUUGUAAAUGGAUCAGCAACUAUUCUAUUGGUUGAGAUGUAUUGUGGGAUCACUUAUUUCUGCGCUAUAAUAUCUCUGAUGAAGUUGUUCUUUAUAUCAAUGUGCUUCGUCCUUCCAUGAUACUUGGGAUUUUCACAUAAGCAAUGGCUGCUUGAUUAUCGCAAUAAACUAUCACCGGUCUUAGAACUUCAGUCACAGUGGCUAAAUUUUUCAAGAAACGUUUUAGCCAUAUUGCUUCUUGCACUGCGGCAGAACAUGCAAUAAAUUUUGCCUCCAUAGUAGACAAGGUCGUGCAUGUCUGUUUCUUGCUAUUCCAAGAAAUUGCACAUUCAUUUAGCAAGAACGCAUAUCUAGAAGUCGAUUUACGCUCAUUUAAGUCUCCACCCCAAUCGGUAUAUGAAUAGCCUAAUAGGCAUAAAUCAUUCCCUUGGUAACAAAGUUGAUAGUCCAUAGUGCCUUUCAAGUAUCCAAGGAUCCUCUUCACUGCUUUCUAGUAUGCUUGACCGGGAUUUGAUUGAUAUCGGCUCACCAAUCCCAUGGCAUAACAUAUGUCGGGUCGAGUACACAUCAUAGCAUACAUCAAACUUCCGACCGCACUAGCGUAAGAAAUGGUUUCCAUUGCUUUAAUUUCUUCUAGAGUCUUAAGACACAUCUCAGUACUUAGGCCUUUACUUUGCAUGACAGGGGUAUCAAUGGGAUUACAGUGCUGCAUAUUGAAACAUUCAAGAAUCUUCAUAAUAUAAGACUCUUGUGAUAAAGCAAGGAGUUUCCUUGAUUGAUCUCUUUCGAUCUUAACUCCUUCGAUCUUAACUCCUAAUAUAUAAGCAGCUUCUCCCAUAUCCUUCAUUUCAAAAUUAGAGUACAACCAUUCUUUUAUAGUAAUAACCAAAACUUUGUCAUUUCCAGCCAACGGAAUAUUGUUCACAUAAAGUGAUAAAAUCACAAAUUUAUCUUCGAACCGCUUGACAUAUACAUAGUGAUCUUCUUUGAUCAUCUUGAAACCAAAAGUUUUUAUGGCUCAAUGAAAAUGAAGAUACCACUAUCUAGAUGAUUGCUUAAAGCCAUAUAUUGAGCGAUGAAAUUUGCAAACUUUAUGCUCUUGACCUUUUAACUAUGAGACCUAUUGGUUGUUUCAUAUAAAUUUGCUCAUCCAAAUCUCCAUUGAGAAAUGCCGUCUUUACAUCCAUUUAAUGUAAUUCAAGGUAUAAAUGUGCAAUGAUGGCUAGAAUUAGGAGUAUUGAGGCAAACCUUACAACUGGUGAAAAUAUUUCCUCAUAGUAUAUACCCUCUUGUUGAGUAUAACAUUUUGCCACAAGGCGAGGCUUAUACUUUUCAAUGGAUCCAUCCGUCCUUCGCUUAAUCUUAAAAUCCCAUUUAUUUCUAAUGGUCUUAUGAUUGGGUGGUAGAUCAACAAAGUCCCAAACAUGAUUUGUCCUCAUUGACUCCAUUUCAUCUUCUAAAACUUUCCUCAAUUCUUCCUUAUCAGAGGAUGAGAGAGCUUCUUGAACAGUCUUAGGUUCGGUAUCGUCUUUUUGAGCAAUCAUAAAUGCUUCCCCUUCAAUCUCAAAACGACGAAGGCAAAUACUUUUACGAUUACUUUUACGCAAUUGAAUUUCUCUUCAAUUCAAUUCAUCAGGCAAUGCAACACUCCCACUAGGUCUUGUGUGUUGAGGUAAAUCUUCAUUUCCCUCUACAACAUUAGUGGGUGUAUUAUCAGGAUAUUCCAUCUCAUAUAAUUAGAAGUUAUUGUCAAUCUCACAUCUACUAGGAAAAUCGUUCUCCGAGAACGUGAUAUCUCGUGACUCCAUUCCAGUCACACUUCCAUCGGCUUGUUCACUUAUGAACACAUACCAUUUAGAGUGUUCAGAAUAUCUUAUAAAGAUACAUUUCUUCCCUCUAUGACCUAAUUUGUCAUAUUUUUGGGAAAAAUCAUGAACAUAAACUGCACAUCCCCAUGGACGUAGAAUACUCAAGUCUGGUUUCAUACUAGUCCAUAAUUCAUAAGGGGUGGAAGUGGCCGAUUUUGAGGACACUUGGUUAAGUACAUAGGCAGUAGUCAAUAAUGCAUCUCUCCAAUAGAAGAUAGGUAAAUUUGCUUGCGCCAUCAUAGACCUAACCAUUUUCAAUAGGGUUCUAUUCAUUCUCUCAGCUACCCCAUUUUGUUGUGGAGUACUAGAAAUAGUCAAUUGUUGUACAAUUCAUUUUUCAUCACAAAGAGCCUUGAAUUGUUUAGAUAGAUACUCACGUCUACGAUCGGUUCUCAAUGCCUUUAUUAUUUUAUUCAAUUGAUUCUCUACCAUCGUUAUAUAUCAUCUAAAGUAGUCUAAUGCUUCUGACUUAUGGGAGAUCAUAAAGACAUAACCGAAAUGUGUGAAGUCAUCUAUGAAAGUGAUGAAAUAUGAGGCUCCAUGCCUCGCCCUCACAUUCAGAAGACACAAAUGUCAGAAUGUAUGAGUUGCAAUGAAAAUUCGGCUCUAGUCCAUUUUAUGAAUGGUUUUCUAGUUGCUUUUCUCGCUAAACAAUAUUCACAUACAGCUAGAUUGACAUUAGUGAGUGACCCUAAAAAGCCUUCUCUAGCUAAUCUUUGCAUUUUUUUGUAACCCGACAUGACCUAAUCUAGCAUGCCAAGUACUUGCAUCAAUCUCAACAUUACUAGAAGAUGCAAUUAACAAAAAACAACCGUCGAUAUUAAUAUUGUACUAAUCAUAGGCAAUGUCUAACACCAUAAAACCAUUCGAUACAUAAUCUAAAUCAUAAUAAAUUGUUCCAUACAAAACGUCAACACAAUUACCAUGAAAAUUCAAUAUAUAACCUAAGCUAAGAAGAACAACUAUGGAGACCAAGUUUCAUCAAAUAUCCGGAGCAUAGAGGACAUCAUGUAGGAAUAGGCUUCGACCACCACGUAAAAUUAAUUUACAUGUGCCGAUACCCUUCACUUCAACUCUUGAGUUAUUCCCAACAUAUAUCCAUCUUCUUCUAGGUUGUAUCCGAUGAUACUCCACAAAUGCUUCUCAGUCUCUAACUACAUGGUUUGUUGCUUUUGAGUCUACAGUCCACAUUGGAUGAGAUUUAGCAAGCAUUACAGUGCUUGAAACAAAAGUAUUACUUAAAGUAAUGGAGUAAUUGAGAGUGCUAGUAUGAACACCUAGAGGGGGUGAAUAGGUGUAUAAAAUAAACCUUGGCAAAUAUAUGCGGAAUAAAAUAAACUUCGAGUAAAAUAAAGGAGUUAGGGAAGAGAAUAAGAACACAAGAUUUAUAGUGGUUCGGUUUCAGCAUAGAGUCUGUCUUCUGGUUCAGUCUAGAAUUAGUCAGAGUGAGCAGACUUCUGAUGUAGAACAGACUUUGACACUAAAGUCUAGCAGUCUUCAGACUUUGAGUCUUGAGUCUUGAGUCUGGCAGUCUUCAGACUUUGACACAGAAGUCUGGAAAUCUUCAAAAUAUACUCUAGACAUAUGUUACGUUCAGUCUUCUGGCCGUCUUCAGACUUUGACAAUAUCCUUUACAUGUUCUAUUAUCUGCAUGGUCUAUUACUUAACCAUUAAACAUGUUAGUAGCCUUUGAUUUAUUUUGUCAUCUUCAAAACAGCAUAAGGGAUUUCCCUAACAGUAUUAGGGUACCUCUUUUGGCUCAGUGCAUUCAGGAGCAAAGUGACCCAUCUUGCAACAAUUAUAGCACUUCAUCUUGGUCUUGUCCUUCUUCCCACCACGCUUCUUGCGUUGGAAGGUCUUAGCCCUCUUAGGUGCCUGAUCAAUCUUCUUCCCUUUAUUGUUGAAUUGAGAAUUCCUUUUGCACUUUAAGCCUGAAGCUUUGUGCGGACUCAAUUCAGCAACAUAAGCAUGGAUAGAGGAUCUCGCAGCCUCUAGGCACUCAUUCUCUAAUUCCAAAUUACGUACAAUAUCAUCAAAAGUGACAAUAUUCUCAUUAUGCGUCGUAUUGAUCUUCAUAUGCUCCCAAUUGUCAGGAAGAGAUCUUAUAACAGCCUGAACUUGCUGGUCAUCAGUAAGGGAGUGACAUGUCAACUUCAACUCACGAAUCAUAUUUGACAUCUCCCAAAGAUGCUGCCUCAUCGUUACAUUUUGGCGCUUUCGAUAUAUGUCAAACUUGAUGGUGAGUCUCCUUAGCUUAGUGGCAGAUGUACCCCUAAACUUAUCUUUCAAGGCAACCCACAUAGCUUAAGCUUUAUCAUAACUUUGAAACUCACACAUGAGAUCAUCUUGCAUACAUGUGAUGCGAGCAAUGUUAUUUUUCUUUUGUCAAGCUUAAUAAGCUUUUAGAUCUCUCCUGUGUUGAGCUGAAAUUCCAUGCUCAAGUUCAUCCAUGGUGUGGUUGAGGGUUUCAAAACCUUGCACCUCAAGGAUGUACUGAGCCUUUUGGUGCCAAAUAUCAUAAUUGUCACCGUUUAGCUUCUCACCCUUAUUGAGGUCAGCCACAAUGAUUUUAGAUGCCGAAGCCAUAAUCAAUCGCUAUAACAUAUCGACAUAAAAAACACAGAAUCAAUACUAGCACACUUUAUCCGAGUAACACACAUAUUAAUUUGCAGUAAAGACAAACUAAAUUAAUGAUAAUUUAACAAAAGACACAGAAUUGAAAGUUCACUAUAUUCCCAAUCAGCUCCUAUGUACGAUUGUUCCAUUAUCAUUAAUUAGUUUAAUUUGCACAAAUUUUAAGUUCUAGGUGAGAACUCUUUCGAAUUCUACCAACCUACGAACUCCCACUAAGAAAAAUAAUUACAUGACCUCAUGUAAUUUCUACAUUUUUGCAUUUACACAAAAGUAUAGCAUGAUGUAAACCAACGUACUAAAAACAAUCAUGCUACAACUACAAUCAAAACCACAAUUCAACAUGUAAUGGAAAAACAAGGAUUUCCUACCAUUGUUCGAAUUUUCAUGGAACUAGAAAAUUGCAAGUAAAUUAAACUAUAUACAUGCUACCAUCGAACCAAGCUCUACACAACCUAUAUUAUAUCAUUUUCAUGUAGGCAAGCAACUGUAUUUCCAAAACCUUAAGAAAUACAAGCCAAAAAAUGAAUAAAUAGUGUAUUUAAACCUCCAAAAUACGUGUAUUUAGGGUUCCCUACACAUUUUCAUACGUUUAAAAAAUUAAAAAUUCAAAAAUAAUUAUAUCACAGUGUAGAGAACAUCCAUACGAACCAAACGUCGCUGACCAUGCUCCAAUCGGAACUCCCAAACACCCACAUGCGCCAACUGAGUGCGUAGCGCGUGUGGCACAUGCGCCAGUGAGCCAAAAGGCUCUUGGCCGAUCCAAUCGGUUUGACCGUUGACCAGUCAAUGGUCGGUCAAGUCAGGUCAACGGGUCGGGUCUCCGAUCGGAUCAACGGGUCGGGUUGGGUCGCCGGCCAACCAACCGCCACCGUCAGUGAUGUCAUUGAUGACAUCAUCCGGUAGUUACCAAUGGUUGGAUGACGUUAUCCGUGAUGUCAGCACAUGUCGUUUCGCAACACGCGCGUGAUGCUCAUGCGCUGGCUCUCCCAGCGCUUUGAGCGCGUGGUGCCCAUGCGUCGCAGCUUCUGGCGGCGCGUGUGGGCGCAUCCGGUCUCCUCCGGCGGUGCUCAACUCAUCGUCGAACUCGUCUCGACGAGUACUUUCACCCUAUAUAUUUGAAAAUUAAUUUUGGCUGAAAAAAUAUUUUGCAAAAUGGCCAAAACCGUACGGGUGUACGCGACCCAGAACCUGUUCUUCUCUUUAGUUCGUUUUUUUUUUUUUACGAGUUAGAUUCCAAUUCCGAGUAAUAAACUUCCAAACAGUGUAGAUUUCAUAAUUUUGAUCUCAACAUCAAAUGGUAAACGAGAAAAUUCGAUGAGAACAAGGCAAAAAUCACAACCUGGCUCUGAUACCAAUGUUGGAAUUCAAGUAGGCGGAAGACGACUUACCUUUAUCCGAUGCGCAAACAACAAUUAACCCCGGAACGAACGUUAGAUUGCAGAUGAAUCACGAACAAGAUUACUUUACGUUGGUCUAAAUGCAAUCAUGAGGAAAGCACUCAAUUUUCGUAGCGUAAAUGUCGAUUGUUCUUGUAAAAUUGAAACGGAAUGCCUUCUCUCUUUGAUGGAAAGUGAGAGGAAUUUCUAAGUGUAUAAUAUGCCAACCGAUGCCAACAGUUGUCUACAAAAGGCUUUUAUACAACUCCCUUCAUACCCUUUCAAAUGGUGUCUUUCCAUCGUAGCACAUCAAGACGAAACAAUGCGGUCUAAUCGCACCCCAUCAUGGACGUACUAGCUAAAGUACAACAAAAAUUAAAAAGAAAAAGAAUUAGCUUUCGUCAGCUGGAGCCAAAUUUCAUUCUACUUUUGCUAAGCCAAACAAAGCAGAUCUUUUAACUUUCAAUCUAGAUUUGUGCUAAUCAGCAUGAUCAAUUGAUUUUUACCUUUAUUUCACUUACUACGCUUGAUGUACCACUAAAAUGCCAAUUGUUUAUGUUUGGUGUUCACACAAUCUUAAAUUUUUCAAUUAGAAUUUUGUUCAUGACCACCCCCCCCCCCAAAAAAAAGAUCUAGCUCAUUAAUAUUCUAUUUGAAAGGCCCACAAUACUAAUCAAGUUUUUAUUAUUUUGUUCAGUCAAAUAUUUGACAGUAACAAAAAAAUAAAGGGUGAGUUAUUUAAAAUUUGUAAUUUACAUAUAUAAUUACAUAAAUGCAAAGGAUAAUAUUUGAACUUAUUGAGCUAAAGCUUGAACUCAUUUUAUAAUGGUGAUUGUAUCGAGUUGACUUGAGCUUGACCUUAAUAUCUUGAUUUUCUUUUGGUCAAGCUCCAACUAGAAAUUGAUUUCUUCAUAACUUGAGUGGAGUUUCAAGCAUCUAAUAUUUGAUAGGAGUUGAGCUCGAGCUUCGCACUAACGGAGUAUUAUACAUCUGAACAUUGGUAGGUUAGAGUGCAAAGCAAUGGUAUUGAAAAGAGUAUCAAUAGUCGUUAAUACCAUAAAUAAAAAUUCAUGUUAUUCUAGAACUAUGUAGGGGUUGAAAGACAAGCCCAUGGAAAGAAACAUGAACAUGCUGGCGACUUUCGAAUAUUUGUGCUUAAUUGUUUCUACGAGUAAAAACACAUCUCAGUAAUAAAAUAAAAUAAAAAACUUCAACUCAGAAUAUACAAGAAGGAUAAUUAUUGCGUGAAAACUCAUUAAGAGGAAGUCCGCUGACAUAAUGCAACUCUGGCUCCACAACGCUAUCUUCUUCUGAACUGAAGCACUUAAACUGUCUUAGAACAUCAACUUUUAACUUAACCCCACUUUGUCCUUCAAAUCUCCACGAGCUCUUCAAAGAAAAAAGGCAUGCUGCCUGAUACCCUCAAUAACAAAUUGAAAGUAAAAGCGUUUGUUUACCGGACAGACCAGACCAGUCAUGUAUGGAGUAACAGCCACUUAGUACAUGCACUUAGGGCUGGGCAAUGGACCAUGUCAGCCGUGUGGUCCAGACCCGUUGUGAGCCUAAGCCGAAUCAUGCUCAUGGUCCCUAAUUAGCCGAUCCUGGCCCGACAAAUUUUUGAUGGACCAGUUGAGGCCACAUGGGCCCAACCUUAAGGAACUUUGGGGCUCCAAAAAUACAGUCAUUGGACAGUCACUUAUCUAGUGACCCAAUCCGGCCCAACGAUGGGCUACUCACUUGGUCAGGGAAUGGCCGGAAGGCCCCCAAUAGUUGAUUCGGGUUUUCAUUAAUUUUCCUCAAUUACUUUGAUUAUUAUUCAUACUUUUUUGGUUUUUUUUUUUUAAAUUUCAUUAAAUUAAAAACAACCCAAGCUCGGGCCAAUAGUGCCGUGGCCCGACCUAGUGUCCACUCCUACUGGGAAUUGGAGUUCGGGUCGGCAAUUUAAAGACAAAGCGAGGGAAGAUAUGGAAGUAAGGAUGGUCCUAAGGAUGGUCCUAAAACCCUAUCGGUAACUGUAUUUACUUUUGCGAUAGGAAGUAAGAGUGUAAAGGAGGAUGUGGUCACAAAUCCUCAAAAUUCUCUCCCAAAAUCCCUUGGGCUUCUCCACCCAAAUCCUCUGUUUAAAGAAUUAGAAGUAGCAACAGCAGAAGAAGAAAAUCCAUCGGAAUGUCAGAAUGUCGGCAUCAACAAUGAACAAUAUGGUUCAGUAAUCAUGGGCAUCGAAUUCAGAGCAACUCGACUUGGCAGUGAUGGCAACGAGAAACCUCUACGGUCUUUUCUUCUUGAAGUAUAAAUUGCAAGGUCUCUUUACAACCUCUAGCCAUGGUUCCGAAAGUUUAACAAAGAAAUUCUUCGAUACAAACUAUUUUAUAUUUCCAUAUGGAGAAAGAAUGAAUUUUAGGCUUUUUUGAAGGAAAUAUAGCUCUUACGGUAUUUCUUAAGUACUUGAAGCUGUGAAGGACAAAAAAAAAAGUAAUAAAAUAAAUUUUUUGACUAGGAACUAGCCAGUUUUGUCCCAUCUACAAAAGUUGGUGCCUUUACUUGUUGCUCUUGAAAGUGGAGGUUAUGAUUGUCCUAAAAUGCAUAGUUAAUGCCUCCUAGCAGAAAAAGCGUGCUAUACAUAAGAUGUUGUGUAAGUAGAUGUUUAUAGGAUGGAGGGGCCCUAUCAAUAUUCUGUUACCAUCUAAGAAAAUGUUGUCCAUGGUCACAUGACAACUUUAUAAAACUGCAAAAACUCUUUGCUCCUCUUCUGAGACUCCCAUAGCCCUAACUUCAUUUUCCAUCACCGUCUUUGGGAAAGCAACCGUUCGCCUAUGCAUGUGACAAUCACAAUCACCGACCCUCAUCCCUCUCCUCCUCUUAGUUCUCAUUGUCGCGACUCAUGGAGAGAAAGCGGAUUUAGAAGUAACCAAUGGUCCUCAAUCGGCAUAAGUUCUCCUAGGCUCUUACUUCACACGAUAUUGGGAAGUUCACUUCAUUUUAUUAACCUAUCAAAACUAAGUUGCCAAUAGCUACUAAGACUAGUUAGAGCCAAGUGAGAUGUAGGAAUAUACCUCACAUCCUACACAAUCAAAUAUCUAAGUACGGAGACUUAAUUGCACUAGUUAUCUAAUUAAUAUCAUUUCAUAUCUAAACUUGAUUAUUUGUCAACCAAGUGUCACAUGCAAGUUUUUUUUUUUUUUCAAAUCCAAUUAUGAAUUCCAAAGUUCUUAUUUAUUAAAUGUAUAUGCAAUGUCUUUGCGUUUUUUAUGAUCCUAAAUAUAAUCUAACCAUUCAACUAAAAUGAGGAAAUGACCACAUUGAAGCAAUAUAAAAGAAUCAUUUCAUCAAAGAUAGUAAUAAAAGAAAGAGUUAGAUACAAAAAAAAAAAAGGUAAUAAAAUAAUCCGAUGCAAGUUGAGCAAAGAAUAUAAUGACAUUGUUAUUGAGUAUCAAGACAACAACCCCUUGUGUUAAAUUCAAAACAAAUCCAAUUUCUUGAGAAAAGGCUAAUCUAUCUAAACCCAAGAUAUCCAUUAAAAUCCCUAAACUAUAUGUAUACCAACUAUAUGAAACUAAAUAUAAUAUUAAAAUCUACAACCUAAUGAAAGCCUGUUUUUCUAAUCAUUUUCCAAUUUUCUGUAUUAGAAACUUUUUAUUUUUUAUUUGCCCAUUAGGCCGGCCUGUAAGCAAGCUUGAUCUCUAGGUCGAGUGGGUUAGAAUUUAAGAAAACAUGUAGGCCCUUGUAAACGAAAUGGGCUUGCUUGCUAAAGCCCAACCAGCGUAUAGCCAAAACAAAGUCCAGAUCUAUCAGACCAAGUUAGGCUCAUAUUCACCAAACCAAGCUAAGCCCAAUUUCAUUAAGCUAAUAAAACCCUAAGCUCAUUAAGCCUAAUUAAGCCUAAUUCUUUUUUAUUCUCUAUUUUUCUCAUUUCUUCUCCCUUUUUUCAAUUUUAUUUUAUGCACUAUGUCUCCUCACUUUGAAUUCAGUGCUCUAAGCCAAAGAAGCUGUAGCAGUUGCCAAAAUGCCGUGACUGCUCAAAAUUCGUGAUUGGAAAUCGCAAACCACCUGAUGAAUUGUUCUAUAAAUGCCGCGGCCCCAUAUGAGAAUGAGACUAUUGCAAGGAUUAACUACAACAGCCGCAUGAUAGGCCACUCUCAGAAUCUGCAGUUAAAAUUCUGACUGGAGGUGCACAACCCUAGUCUUGGGAAGAGAUGAUAGAAUUCGACGAAUGGAGAGAAUUUCUAUGGGGUCUCUUCUCGGCAUCAAAGACUGAUGGCCUGGUCUUGGAAGCAACGGACUUUAGAAGCGAGUCAGUUAUAGUUGGCUUUUUCCCAUGUUGACCUCUGCUAUCGAGAAGAUCGUCAAUAGCUUGAAGCUGUGCAUCUGAAAGCAGAGCUUGAAGAUCCAUUUUGCUGAAUCCUUCUAACAUAUGAGCUAUAGCAUCAAAGUCCACAUCACUGGCCAAAGGAAGCUGCACAAGGGCAUUAAAGCAUGCACUUAGCAAAACUUCAACAUUGCCUGAUGGUUGCCAUUUUCGCUGACUGAUCAUACAGAAACAGAGAAAUAUAAUUAAUUGAAUCCACCCAAUAUCUUCCUAUUUAGUGAAAAGAAAAGAAAAGGAGAGGAUGGUGAUGUCUCAGAAAGGUUAUACUAAAUGAUACCCAAAGGUAAGUCUUAGUCCCGUCUCAUGGAUUCAGUUAUAAAGGCCUUCUCAUUUUUUUUUCUGAGCAUCAUUGGUAGAUGUUAAAGCUACCAGUCUCAAGGUUCGAGGUUGAAAGUGAUUUACUAUUGAACAUCUAAACUUUACCCGAGCCUCACCUGAGCAUGUCGCAGAUUUAACCCACAACGCCUUUUACAAUGUUCUCCUGUAAUUGACAAUAUUUAGGGUGAUUUGGGGUGCAAGGACUUUAGAGAACGGGAGAAGGGCUUUUAACUUUUAACUCAACGUGUUUCGCCAAAUGUACUCUGUCAAAUGCCAUAAGUUCUAAAUAGGAUCUUAGCGGCUUAAAUCGACUCUGUUUCUAACUCUUGUUGUUUGUUUUAAGCAAUUUUCUGUUCAUAUGUAAUUUUUCUGAUGCAUCUUUUUGGAAAAAGUAGGAUUGCGGUCAUAUAGUUCUUUAAAAGUAAUCCCAUAAAUUUCAAUAUGUACUACCUGUUUCAGACCAUGUAAAAGAUGAAAUGCUAAAAGCAAAAAAAUUGGCAGAUGGAUGGAAGCUAAGGCCCUGCUUGGUGAAUUUUAUUUAUGUUCUUCGGAAUAACUAUUUCUAUUCUUUUGUUCUAGAGAACGAAAAAAGAAUAGAAACCCGUUUAGUAAAGUUUUCAUUUUAUGAACAAAAAGAUCUUUUUUUUUUUUUGUUCCUGUGAACAAUUUCUAGAAUCUAUUUUUUUUUUUUAUCUCUUCUCUCUUCUUCUCCUUUCUUCUUCUUCUUCUUCCUUUUGGCCGAUUGCCGGGCUUGGCCAUGGCUCGCGUUGGCGAUCAACCAGAUGAGGGUUGACGACCUCGCUGGAGUGUUGCCGGCCCCUACAGAUGUCGAGCCACGAUGAGGCCCGUCGGCUCAAACUUCGCUGUGGCUAGGAGUAAGGCUCGCUUGGCCAUCGGCAAGGCUUGGCCUCACCCAAAUCUAAUGAGGCCGAGGCUUGCCGUGGCUAGGUUGGCCUCCGAUGAGCUCGUCGGGCCUCGCCUUGGCCCGGUGAGGCUUCGGCGACCUUGUCGGAUCUCACCCAGCCGAUCGCCAGCCAUGACGAUGGCCGACAAUCAACCAAAGAGAAAAAAGAAAAAAGAAAAAUAAUAAAAUAUAAUAAAAAAUUAAAAAAAUCUAAAAGUCAAGCCAAACGUAUUUCUUUCUUGGGACUAGAAAUUUUGGGAAGUUACCAAACCCAUUCUUUUGCUAAAAAAUUUGUUAUCGAGAACAGAAUAAAAAAAAAAUAAUUCCUAAUAAAAAAUUGUUCUUCUGAACAAAGUUGUUACCAAACGUGCCAUAAGUUUUUACCUUCCGGGAUAAAAAUUGUGAAAAUAUCCAGCCUCUCCACUAUAGAAGGAAAAUCACAGAACAUAAGUUGAGCCAACCAAGUCUCAAAAGUGCGAUUUGCUGCUUCUCAUCAAAUGCAACACAUAACUAGACAAUGACAAAAUAAAGAAAAAGUAUCCUCGGAAAGAAAAUUGAAUUAGAAUUAUUAGUAGAUAGAUGAACCCAUGAUGUGACAUCCUGAUUUUCCAAUUUUAUUUUCAAUAAAUUGAGACGGGCAUUUCGUUGGCACGUAUAUAGUUAUUUUUCUUGAGUUGGCCAUUCAUGUGAAAUCUAGUCUAUCAGGUGAAGCCGUUAAGAGAUUCUAAUGUAUCAGACUUGAGAAUUUGACUAGGAAGCGAUCUUUUGACCGAGCUAAUCUGCAAGGGUCAUUACGGCACAAUUAAAAAUCGAUUAGAGAUUGGAGAUAGGUUGACUCGACAAAGGCAUGUGAUCAGGUGUGAGAAAUUCCACCAGAUCACACAAUUCUUGUCAAUCGGCACUGGACCAACUUUUCUGUCGAUUGGGUACCCUGUAUUCGUAUUUGAAAUCUUGAGAUUACCCCGACAACCGAAAUUCGCCAAUGUUUCAAAGAUGUACAUUGUGGCUUGAGAUGAUCAACCACAGGUCAAAUGUAUGAAAAUUUCUAAAGGCUACCCGGUAGGUUGGGCCGCGCUAGUAUCAUGCCAAAGUGAAAUUAACCGUGAAAUUGAGUUCGAAUUCAGAAAUUGAAAGUCUAGAUGUGUCACAAAUCAUUUUAGGAAUAUUGACUCAUCUUUGGAAGAAUUUUCAUGCAAGCCGAGUUUUCGGCAAAAUGAUCGAGGUAUGGUUAAUUUGGUUCAGAAAAUUAGUAGGCCUAUCCUUAGUCAUGCUUUUAGGAUUUAGGCUGGUUCUAUGGAGAAGUGAAGAUAUGAAUAUUGAAGUGUGGUGACAUUAGAUUAAUUUUAUGGACUUUAAUUGGACUCAAUUGGAAGAGAAUCAAUUGAAAAUUAAAGACUUUGAUGUACAAAGAAUUGGACCCCGGUGGAAAUUGAUUUGGACUCAUUGAAAUAGGUUGUAGAGGAAAUAAGUUAAUGGAUAAUGACAUCAUGGGGUGAUAUCACGGUGGGUGGCCAAUUGGAGGGGUGGAUUUAAUCCCUAAAAAGUGAAGGGCCCCACCACUUCAUCUUCUUCAUUUGAACUUGGAGGAGAGAGAGAGGAGAGGAGGCAACAGGUGGAACCAGCCAAGCUUGUCCGCCCGCUUGGCCGCUCGUCGCCGUCGCCGCCUGCACGCCAUCGUCGCCAUUGCUGCUGCCGCGCGUCUGCCUUGCGCCGCUCGUGCGUCUCCGCCUCUCGCCGCCAUCGUCCCUGCUCGCCCUUGUCUCUAGCAACUUCACAGGCCAACAUAGGCCGUGAUUAAGCCACCUCCAGCCACCGUGAGGCCUCGCCUAGCCACCGCCUCGCCCAUCCAAGCCACCGUCAAGCUGCCACCCCAUUCCUCCGCCCAACCAGUAGUUGGUUUUAUGGGUAUCGCAGCAGAGUUUUGGCCCGUUUUGGCCGCCUUCCCGACCCCGGAUGCUCAGCCCGCUUUGAGGAAAGUCGAUUAUCACGUCGAUCCCGUCGUUUUGGUCUGCUCGGCUUGCUAAUCCGGUGAUUUAGCUCACUAAAUCUUGAUUAGACGGUUAAUGAUGCCCUAAGUGUGCUUAGUCUAAGUUAAGUAAGUUUAGGUGGUUAGAUUAGUUUAUUUGGUUGAUGAUUAGAUUAUGGUGUUUAACUAAGUUAAAGUGUGUUUAGUUUAAAGUUAAGUAUGAUUAUAUUAAUAUAAGCUUUGAUGUGACUUAAAGAAAUUUUUUUUGAUUUAUUUAAGUAUUCAAAAAUUAUUAAAUAAUUUAAUAAUAUAUAUUUAUUCGAAAUUAUUAAAAUAUUAUUAUUUUAAUUAAAUUUCGGAAUAAAAUUAAUUAUUUAAUAAAUUUUGAAAAUUAUCUCGGAACCUUAUUUGCUCAGAAUUUCAUGCUGAUUGCUGCUGUGUAUUUAGAUUUUGCAAUUGAUGGUUGGAUAUUAUAAGUUGAGUGUGGAUUGCAAAAAAAUAUGGAUAUUAUUAUUUAAUUAAUUUUUGGAAUAUAUUUAAUUAUUUAUUAAAAUUCGAAAAUUUCAUCUGGACUUUAUUCUCUCAGAAUUUCGUGCUGAUCGCCAGCUGUGCAUUUAGAAUUUGAGUUUGGUGAAUGGAUCUGGCAAAUUGAGUGUUGAUUGUGAUAAAUAGGGAUUUUAUUCAUAAAAACCCAAGUGUCGGGUUUUGAUGCAAAAAUUGGAUGUUAAUGAUUAUAUUGAAUAGUGGGGUUUGAAAAAGUGAGAUAUUGACUUUUUGAUUCGAAAUUAGCGUGUCCCCACACAUGUGAGUAAUUUCUUGAAUAUUUUUAAUAUGAAGAAAAAUGGCCGGGAUCAUUAUUUUUAAGUGGAAGCAUUGAGUGAAAUGCAAAGUGUCAUGGGGCCGAGUAUCAUUUGACUGUGUGAUAAUUAAGAGGAAUUGUUCCUAUAUGGGAUGCCCACGUGGUGGUUGCGGGUCGCAAUAGAUUCUGGGCCCAUGCUCCUUCGGGAAUGCCGUCGACGUAUUGACGAAGCCGUGCUCCAAGGUGAGGAGGCGAUGCUUGGCUAUAUUCAAGUAGAUAGCCGAACUGCGAGUAGGCUAUGCCCUUGUGCGGUAGUGAAUAUCAAUUGGGACGCAUGCUGAGUGUUAUUGAUGGGUCGGAUUAUGGGACGAAAUUGUGUGACAUGGUAUGGGACGUGUCGUAACGAUUUGGUCUUAUAAUCCGGACUCUUGUGGUCAUUUGAAAUAUUGUUGGCGUUCCAGUUGUUUAAGUCCCUAUUACUAUCUAUGAUUAAGUGAUUUGAAUUGUGCUAACCUGUGACAUCUCAAUUUUUCAAUUUUAUUUUCAAUAAAUUGAGACGGGCAUUUCGUUGGGACGCAUAUAGUUCUUUUCCUCGAGUCGGCUACUCAUGUGAAAACUAGUCUAUCGGGUGAAGCCGUUAAGAGUUUCUAAUGCAUUGGACUCGAGAAUUUGACCAAGAAGCGACUUUUUGACUGAGCUAAUCUGCAAGGGUCAUUACGGCACAAUUAAAAAUUGAUUAAAGACCAGAGAUAGGUCGACUCGACAAAGGUAUGUGAUUGAGUGUGGGUGAUUCCACCAAAUUGCACAAUUCUUGUCAAUCAACACUAGACCGACUUUUCUGUCGAUUGGGUACCCUGUGUUCGUAUUUCAAACCUUUAGAUUACCCCGACAACUUAAAGUCGCCAAUGUUUCAAAGAUGUACAUUGUGACGUGAGAUGAUCAACCAUAGGUCAAAUGCAUGAAAAUUUCUAAAUGCUACCUGGUAGGUUGGGCCGCGCUAGUAGCGUGCCAAAGUGAAAUUAACCGUGGAAUUGAAAUCGAAUUCAGAAAUUGGAAGUCUGGGUGUGUCACAAAUCAUUUUAGGAAUAUUAACUCAUCUUUGGAAGAUUUUUCUUGCAAGCCAAGUUUUUCAGUAAAAUAAUCAGAGAAUGGCUAAUUUGGCUUGAGAAAUUAGUAGGCCCACUUUUGGUCGUGCUUUUGGGACUCAAGUUGGUUCUAUGAUCGGGUGAUUACGUAAAUUGAAAUGUGGUGAUAUUUGAUUAAUUUUAUGGAAUUCAAUUUGGUUCAAUUAAAAGAGAAUUGAAGAAUGGGAUGCACAAAGUUUAAAAAUUGGUAUGCCACGGCGGAAGAUGAAAUUGAACCCAUUGGAAGAGGUUGUGGAGGAUUGGGUGAGUGGAAGAUGAUGUCAUCUUAGGUCAUGGUGGGCCAUUUUGUGGGAUUAAAGAAAGAGAAAAAGAAAAAAGAAAUGGUCCCCUCCUUCUCUUUUCUCCAUCUCUCCUUCCUCUCUUCCAUUGCCUCUCUCCUCCAUCUUCAUUGUGCGAAGACCAGAAAAUGCAGAGAGGAAACCGGAGUAGCCCCUUUGCCCGCUUGCACACUCGUCUGCCGGAGGCUUCGCCGUCGCCAUUCGUCUGCCAUUUGUCGCUCUGCUCACCCGCAUGUAUGCUGCUCUGCCUUCUUUCUCCCCCUCUAUCUGUUGCUCGAGAUCUCAGAUCUAGUAGGACGCGAGGUAGAAGUAGCAGCCGAUGUUGCCAGGAGCCGUUGCUCGUCGCAUGCCGUCCUUGCCCUGCGUCACCUUGCCGCCAUGCUGCCGUCCCCGCCUACUGCUACUACCGUGUGUCUCUGCCCACCUUAUGUCGAAAUCCAGCUCGUUCUUGCCUCUGUGGGCUGCUGUAGGCCGCGGCUCAGCCGCCUUCGACCAAUGUGAGACCCUGCUAGGCUGUCGUGAGCCACCGCUCGAGCUGCCGCUGCCCCUCUCUGCCAGUUUUGCGCCCGAACCGCCGACGUGCAGCCCUCCAUCAGCCUCAACCAGCAGCUGGAAAAAUAGGUAUUCCAGCUUGGUUUUAGCCCGUUUUGGCCGCCUUCCCGAGCCCGGAUGCUCGGCCCGCCUUGAGGAAAGUCGAUCCUCACGUCGUCCUCGUUGUUUUGGUCCGCUUAGCUCGCUAAUCUGGUGAGUUUAGCUCACUAAAUCUUGAUUAGACGGUUAAUGAUGUCCUAAGUGUGCUUGGUCUAAGUUAAGCAAGUUUAGGUGGAUAGUUUAGUUUAUUUAAUUGUGAUUUGGGAUUAAGAAGUUGGUUUAAUUUAAAGUGUGUUUAAUUAAGGCUAAUAGAGUUAUUUAAUAAUAAGCUUUGAUGGGACAUAAUAGGGUUUUAUUUUUGAAUUAUUUAAUUGUUUCGAAAUUUUGGAAUUUAUAAUAUUAUAUUAUAUUCCGAAAUUAUUAAAAUAUUAUUAUUAUUAAAAACGGAAAAAUUAUUUUUGACCCAGUUGCUCAGAAUUUCGUGCCAAUCGCUGCAGUGCAUUUAGAAUUUGAAAUGAUGAUGGUUAUGGCAAAUUGAGUGUGAUGCGAUAAUAGAAGACUUUUUAUAAAANNNNNNNNNNNNNNNNNNNNNNNNNNNNNNNNNNNNNNNNNNNNNNNNNNNNNNNNNNNNNNNNNNNNNNNNNNNNNNNNNNNNNNNNNNNNNNNNNNNNACCUAUUAGAGGUCGUGUCCAAUGGGACCAUGAUUAACCACCUAUUAGAGAUCGUACCCAGUGGGGCCGUGAUUGGCCACCUAUUAAAGUUUGCGCCCAAUGGGGUCGUAAUUCGCCACCCGAUAAAGGUUGCGCCCAGUGGGGCCGUGAUUGACCACCUAUUAGAGGUCGUGCCCAUUGGGCCGGGAUCUACUACCUUUUAAAGGUUGUGCCGAGUGGGGCCGUGAUUGCCAUUGGUUGUUAAACCUUCCUAUAGGGCCGUGAUUAGAAGCAGUGAUUGAUUUGCUAGAAUGACAUAUAAUCGUCCGAGUCGAUUGAUCGCUGAGACGAUCCAAGUGGUUGAAUUGUUCUGAUAAUGUGAUUGUGCCACAGUUGUUUUGUUAUCAUAAUUGCACGUGGUUGAAUUAUAUGAAUUGUGCUAAUCUGCAGGAUGGAACCGAGGCGAGGUAAGUUCUCUGUGUGAUGUGGCUAGGCCAUCCUUGGGCAUAUUUUCUUUCUAAUAGGGGUUUAGGGGGUUGAACUUGCUGAGACAUUGUCUCAUCCCGGUUUGGGGAUUACAAUUUCAGGUCCCUAGUGGACGGAGCGGCUAGAUAGCUUUGGUUGACCUUGAGGAGUUGCAGAGGUGAAGUAAGGAGGAUUGGAAAACGUGUCCAACUUGUAGGUCGUAGGACAGUUCAUUUUUAAGAGCCAGUCUUUUGUAGACUUUUGGCUGUAGGCCUUCGUUUGUAACUCCGUUGGCUUAUGUAAGUGAUUGGUUGUGAAUUUGCUUCUUGCUUUUCUAUCUCGUAUUUCAUUGUCAAGGGUUUUAUAAUAUGUUCUGCUUGCGCAAUAAUAAAUGAAUGGGCUCGGCAACACUAUCUAGGAAUGUCGCAUUUGCAUGACCAUGGUGGGAUGUUGGCGCGCUCAAGGUUCGGGGCGUGACAUCCCCGUUUAAGUGGUAUUAGAACAUGAUCUAUGUAUGGAGUAAUAAGGUGCGAUGAGUCAUGGGAUAGUUAGUAGGAAAGGCUUUUAAUAUGCUGAUGCAUGUGGUUGAUAGCUGUUUGGUAGUGUGUUUAUGGGGUCACUCAAAUUCUAACCUGAUGUUGGAAUCAGAAAACAGGUGUCUAUAAAAAGCCUGUAGGAUGAGUGACCAGGAGUGGAGAACUCCUUGAAGGAGGUCGAUAGGACCUGUACCUCGGGGUAGGAUGCUGACAAGAGUUGGUACCCGUGGUAGAGCGCAGGCUUAGGCCAGCGCAAGUGUAAGUACCGUCGCAAGUCAGUAUUGAGAGUGUAGCAGCACCGAAUGAUCCUAUGUUCGACCGGAUUAUUUAGGCACUAGAGUCUUUGGAAAGCAUUUUGGGUCAAUAAGCUCAAGACCAAGCAGCCGCUGUUGCUGUUGUUUCUACUGCUGCAAGUGUUGUGAUUGUUGUUGUUGCCACGCCUGUUGAGGCCUAAUAUGGAGUUGUGAUCAAGGAUCAAGCCACCGUAUCUGAGUCAAGGUUCAAUUUAGACACAGAUGGAAAUCAAUUGGAGAAAAAGGCCGAUGUCAGAAGAAAGGUGUCCUGUUUCACCCAACUGGAAGAGAAGAAUUGGAAAGUCAGUGCUCAGCUUGAUCGAUGUGUAUCGUAUUUGUAAGAAAAGACAUGGAUCUGUCCUGUGCUGUAAGAGGGAAAUGACUUAUUACAAGUGUCGCAAAUAAGGCCAUUUGAUGAAAGAUUGUCCAUAUAGAUGGAUGGAAUCACAACUGUUUCUGUCACCGCCGUUGAUAAGAUAGAACAUAGGAAACAUGCUUCGGGACAUUUAGUGGGUUACUUGGAACGAAUCUCAGUGCAAGGAAGGGUGCAUGAUGUUCCUUAAUGGGAGGUAGAUGACUCACUGAUUGUGUGCCGAGUUUGUGGAAAGGAAGCAUGAGUCAGCCUAGUGUCAGAGUAAAAAUGGAGUAUGAUUUGAAUAUGGCCAGCACAGCCGUUAGGUUAGGAACUGUCCGUGUAAGUUCAGGAGAGUGUAAGCACUGUUACUGCAGAUAGGAUGCCACUAGGAUGGUUAGAGGAGCAUGAAGGGAUCAAUCCUGCAUCAAUUAGAAUGAGAAUAUUUUCGAGAUAUUUUUAUCAGAGUAGUGCAGUAGAAUUUUCAGUGAAGGUUGUAGGAUCUUCGUUAUGGUAAUAAAGUGAUAGAAAGAUGAAGCUCUGACUAUAAUUGUACUUGAAGGGUUUGCUUAAGUAUGACUUGGAAGUCAUUUGUAAGAAAGUUUGGCUUAAGGAGUUUUUGUUGUUUUGAAUCAUGGUAGUGAUAUAAUUUAGCUUGUUCUGUUAGCGUACGAAAGUUUUGAAUCACUGAAAGUUGAAGAGGAACUUCAAUCUUUGUUAUUCGUCGCUGAAGAUGACCUGGUUCUGGUUGUUGGUUAUUGAAUCUACAUGGCAACUGUAAUGGAUGCGUCAAUUGAGGGGCCGAAUAUGGAUAACAUAAUCGUGGUACAUAAGUUUUCUAAGGUAUUUUCUGAAGAAUUGCCAGGUUUGUUGUCAAGAAGAGAAAUAGAGUCGUGAUUGAAUUAGCACCUAGAAUAGAGCCAGUCCCUAACGCUCCUUACCGGAUGGUGUUACCCGAGUUAAAAGGACUGAAAGUGUAGAUGCAGGAAUUAUUGGAUAGGGGAUUUAUACAUUCCAAUGCAUCACCUUGGAGAGCACCUAUUAUAUUCGUGAAGAAUAAAGUUGAUUCAUUGUGUUUGUAUGUCAAUAUUUCUCAAGAUCGACUAGAGGUCAGGGUAUCAUCAUUUGAGAAUCAGGAAAAAAGACAUAUCGAAUUUAGCAUCUUGCGCUCGAUACAGCAGUUAUGAGUUCAUUGUAAUGCCGUGUGGUUUGACGGAUAUCUUAGCUAUUUGUUUGGGUCUUAUGAGCAGAAUGUUUAAGGGUACUUGAAUUAGUUGUGAUCGUGUUCAUUGAAGUUAUCCUAAUAUGUUCAAAGAGUGUCGAGGGGCACAAGAGACGUUUGAGGACGGUACUUCAGACCUUGAGUACUUUUGGAUUUUACAAUAAGCUUAGCAGAUGCGAGUUUUGGAUGACUCGUGUUGCAUUCAUAGGUCACGUGAUUUCAGGAGAAGGAAUCUCCAUAGACCCUGUCUAAGAUUGAAGCGGUGAUCAGCUGGCUAAGAUUGACUGUAGUGACAGAGAUUAAAAGUUUCUGGGUUUAGUAAAGUAUUACAGACAAUUUGUAUACGGGUUUUUUAGUGUUAGCAUCGCUGAUGACGAGACUGCUGAAUGAGAGAAGAAAAGUUUGUGUGAUCAGAUAAGUGCGAGCGUAGUUUUCAAGGGCCUAAGAAGAGGCUGACUACCGCAGUUGUGCUUACUAUUCCAUCUGGUCCAGGAGGGUUGAGAUCUACAGUGAUGCAUCAUUUAAAGGAUUGGGUUAUGUGUUGAUACAGCAUGAUAGAGUUGUUGCAUAUGCGUCCCAUUAGUUGAGACCUCAGGAGUGGAAUAUAAGAUAGCGUCGCUGUAUGGAACUCAUUAAGAAUUAUGACUAUGAUAUUUUGUCACUCUAGAAAGGUGAGCAAAGUCGCAGAUGCAUUGAGUCAAGAGUCCUUAGUUGCAUAGUUGGUACUCAAGGAUUGGAUCUUAUUUGAGAAAGUUUGAAAUUCAGUUUUCAAAUCUAAGGUAUGUCACCUUUUAAAUCUUAUGACCACCCUCAGAAUUGAGCCGAGAGUACAAAUCAGAAUCAAAACGCUUCAGUGAACAGAUUCAGAAAUUCAAAAGAUUCUAUAAGAGAAUGCAGAUGAGAGAGGUUGAUUUUCAGAUUUUUGAAGAUAGGAUGCUAUGAUUGUGUGUAAUUGACGAUACAGAGAUUAAAGAAGAGAUCUUAUGGGAAGCUCAUCAUAGCAACUUCAACGUUGUCCAGACAGUACGAAGAUGAGUCAGAAUCUAUAUCAUCGGUAUUGGUAGAUCAGUAUGAAGAUGGAUAUCACCGAUCAAGUUGUAAGUGUUGGAUGCGUCAGUAAGUGGGAAUUUGGUAAUGUAAGCCAAAAAAGCUUUUUCAAGUACUGGAGAGAGUCCGGUGUGGGAAUGGAAGUAUAGCAUGAUGGAAUAUUAUGACAGGCUUAUUAAGGAGUCGGGAAGAGUAUUGAUUCCUUAUGAGGUUGUGGUCGACAGAUGAACAGAGUCAACUUGCCUUAGUACAGCAUGAAAAUAAUCUCAAUUAGAAUAGGUAUACCGAAGUAUGUGUAUAUCAUAUAACUCAUCUGCAUGGAGUGCCGGGGAUGAAUUGUAUUUCAAAUCUAGAUCAGAUGUUUCGAGUUGGCAGAGCUUUCAGAUGGUUCUUUCUUAUGUAGUGCAUAGUAGAGAGUGCAGAAUUUCAAUUGCUGAGACGAAGUUAGGGAAAGAAAGAUCGUAGGUUAGGGUCAGUACAGUAGUCAGUGAUUGCAGUUGCCGAGAUCAGUGUUAGAGUUAUAUCAUAUCUUGACCAGAAGUCCCCAGUUUCAGCAGAUCAGUCAGAUAGUUUCUUUUUAGUUAGUGUAGAGCAUAGUGUUCAGUAGGGGUGAGCGGUUCCCGGUUCCUUACAUGUUUCGCUUGGAACCUGGAACCUACCCUCGGGUACAGGUUCCUCAUUUUUUGGAACCUGGAACCUACCCGUCAGAACCAAGAACCUGGAACCUACCCUGUCACAGGUUCCGGGGUCGGUUCCAGGUUCUAACAGGUUCCAACGAGUUUUUUUUUUUUUUCAUUUUUAGUUUAAAAAAAUGGAAGACUCAUGAAAGACUCAACAGCAAGAAUAGGAAACUGCCGAAUUAUGCUAACGUGAAAAUUUAUUGAACAGAGGAUAAGUCAUGUGGAAAUAGCAUGUUGAUUAAUCAGAACAAGUUUAGUACAAUGUGUGAGAGGUUAUACACCAUAAAAGACCUCAUAUGAACAGAGGAAUAGCCUUCUAAACAUUUACAUGAUUACCUGUCAUCCAUCCUUGUCUGAGCUUCAAUAUAAGAGAGAGCUACACAUGAUUUAAUAAUGCUUUUUGUAUAUCUUGUGGAUAUUAUAUCUGCUUCAGGUGUCAUUUCCUGAAAAUGGGCAGUAAACAAGAUUGUUCUCCUUUCAUGGGAAGAUCAAUCAAUAUAUUGGUAUACACAGGGCCGACAAUUCAUGAUUAGUAAGCACAUGAGCUAUCAUUUAAUGUAGUCUGGUGAUGGCGGCUAAUGGACAUGCAAUCCUCUUUACCAAAAAGAGCACAGCAAAUGACGAAGAUAGAACAAGAAACAUACCCAGAUAACAGAAAAAGCCAGUCUCUCCACAUCUACCCGAAGUGAACAUAUAUCUGCAACAUAAAUUCACAUGUUAAGUUUGAUAUGGGCAGGACCAUGGAUUAACCACAGUCAGUCUUUUCUCUAAUGUUAAAGAGACAUUUUACGGCUCUAAAUGUCAUAUUACCUUGUGAAUCAACGAUGCGGAAUUGUCAGGGGAAGCCCUGUUUUAGAGUCCCCUGUGUUGGAUUUCUGCAAGGGCAUGAAGAACAUUAAGAUAGAUUCGACGAGUAUGAAAGAGUUGAUAGUCUUCCACUCUGGAUUCUUUAACACGCAGAAACUUUGGGCCCCGUAUUUGCUGUUGCUGCAGGUAUUGGGGUAUUGGCCUCAUGAUUCUGUGUUCAGACUUGAGACGUAUCUUCUUUGGUAGAAGCCAUGUUGGAUUUUGUUGUCUGGUGGCAAGAGGAUGUGCUGCAACUUGUUAAAGGAACUUUUUGAGUAGCUGCUCGGAGUUCCUAUUAUCACCAUCGGCAGUCGGUGUUUGCAGGUAUGAGCUCAGUAUAUUUUUGCCCUUCAUAAGACAUGCUCAUGUUGAAUGGUGUCCGUGAGUAGCACCAUUUAAUGCUGUAUGUUGGCCCGGUUGAGUGACCUUAGUUCUCUGUGGCAUUGUAGUCUUCCAUCAAGGGGAAUCGUUGUGAAUUCUUCAUCAAUUAUACGACUCCAGCUCCAGAUUCGUCCUCUACAUCUCCUCCUACCAUCACAAAACAGAAAAACAAACGAAAUCCCAUCAAAACCCCCAUCAAUGCACGAACCCCAAAUUAAGAUUCAAAAGAAACCCUCGGGCGGAGGUAGUGAGCAACGUUGGGCAGAGACAGAGAGGAAGUGCGAAGUGAAAGUGGGAACUGAGACAGGGUAAAUUAAUUUGGGGCUUAACCUAACAGGUUCCGGGUUCGGGCGGAGGUGGUGACGGUUUGGAGCAACAACGGCCCAGACAGCCAAGCAAGCGGCAGCAAGAGGUGGUGACGGUGGCUUGGGGACGGCGGCGGUGCCUCACAGCGGCGCGAACGGCAAGACAGCUCAUCGGGCUCAACAGUGAGACGGCUUGUCGGACGAGCAGUGGGUGGUGGGGGUUCGGUGGCCAAGAGGUGGUGGUGAGUAGGGCGUGGGGCAGCGGUGUGGUGGUCGGUGAAGCAGCAACUGGCGAGAGGAAGGAAGAAGAAGAAGAAGAAGAAGAAGAAGAAGAGAUAGAGGUGGGAGGGUUCGGCUGAGAGAGGAGGAAAGAGGAGAGAGAGAGAGGGGAAAAGAAAAAAGUGGGGGGCAGGAAGUGACGUGAGGAGGAAAAAGGGCAGAAAAGAGAGAGAGAAAAAGAAAGGGAAAGGGGGGAAAAUUGAAGGGGGGAAAUUCGCGCGGAAGGGGUUAGGGUUUUUUAUUUUUUAACUUUGCUGGUUCCGGUUCCUCAGGUUCCGGUUCAUAUGGGAACCGGAACCAGAACCGGGAACUGCCGGUUCCCGGAAAAAGAGAACUGGGAACCAGAACCGGUCCCCUUAGAACCGGGAACCAAACCGGAACCUCCUCCGGUUCGGUUCCGGUUCCCGGUUCUACCCAGAACCACGCUCACCCCUAGUGUUCAGAACUUCAGUUGUUGAGUUGAGAUCAGAGAUCAGAAAAUUGCAGGUCCAGAGUUGGUUUAGAAAUCAGUGAUUCAGUUGCAAUUAUCAGAGACAGUUUAGAGACUGCUCAAAAUCGCCAGUUUAGCUUCGCAGAUUUUGUGUUGAAGACCUUUGGAAUUUUAAGUGGGCAAGUGUUUAAUAUUAUGCAUCCGAAGUGGUUUGGGCAAGAUAAUAGUGAUCUGGCAAUAUUGGUAUAGAAGGAGCAACCUGAGAAAGAGAAGAUUAUAUGAGACAACUGUACCCCCACCUUUUGGUUUAAGAAUUAGUAAAUGUUUAAAUUUAAAGGACGAAAUUUUUAUAAGAGGGGAAGAGUUGUAACAUCCUGAUUUUCCAAUUCUAUUUUCAAUAAAUUGAGAUGGGCAUUUCGUUGGCACACAUAUAGUUAUUUUCCUUGAGUCAGCCACUCAUGUGAAAACUAGUCUAUCGGGUGAAGCCGUUAAGAGUUUCUAAUGCAUCGGACUCGAGAAUUUGACCAGGAAGCGACCUUUCGAUCGAGCUAAUCUGCAAGGAUCAUUACGACACAAUUAAAAAUUAAUUAAAGACCAGAGAUAGGUCGACUCGACAAAGGUAUGUGAUUGAGUGUGGGUGAUUCCACCAGAUCACACAAUUCUUGUCAAUCGACACUAGACCGACUUUUCUGUCGAUUGGGUACCCUGUGUUCAUAUUUGAAACCUUGAGAUUAUCCCAACAACUGAAAGUCGCCAAUGUUUCAAAGAUGUACAUUGUUGCUUAAGAUGAUCAAUCAUAGGUCAAAUGCAUGAAAAUUUCUAAAGGCUACCGGUAGGUUGGGCCGCGAUAAUAGCGUGCCAAAGUGAAAUUAACCGUGGAAUUGAGAUCGAAUUUAGAAAAUGAAAUUCUGAGUGUGUCACAAAUCAUUUUCAAAAUAUUGACUCAUCUUUGGAAGAUUUUUCAUGCAAGCUGAGUUUUUCAGCAAAAUAAUCAGAGAAUAGCUAAUUUGGCUCGAGAAAUUAGUAGGCCCGCUUUUGAUCGUGCUUUUGGGAUUCAAGUUGGUUCUAUGGUCAAGUGAUUACGUAAAUUGAAAUGUUGUGAUAUUUGAUUAAUUUUAUGGACUUCAAUUUGGUUCAAUUAGAAGAGAAUUGAAGAAUGGGAUGCACAAAGUUUAAAAAUUGGUAUGCCAUGGCGGAAGAUGAAAUUGAACCCAUUGGAAGAGGUUGUGGAGGAUUGGGUGAGUGGAAGAUGAUGUCAUCUUAGGUCAUGGUGGGCCAUUUUGUGGGAUUAAAGAAAGAGAAAAAGGAAAAAAAAAAAGGUCCCAUCCUUCUUUCUCCUCCCUCUCUCCUUCCUCUCUCUCGUCGCCUCUCUCCUCCAUGUUCAUUGUGUGAAGACCAGAAAAUGCAGAGAGGAAACCGAAGCAGCCCCUUCGCCCGCUCGCACGCUCGUUCGCCGGAGGCUUUGCCGUCGCCGUUCGCCACUCCGCUCGCCAGCAUGUGUGCUACUCCGCCUUCUUUCUCCCUCUUCGUCUGCUGCUUGAGAUCUCAGAUCUAGUAGGACGCCGGGCAGAAGUAGCCGCCGACGUCGCCGGGAGCCGUCGCUUGUCGCACACCGUCCUCGCCCCGCGCACCUCGCCGCCGUGCUGCCAUCCCUGCCUGCUGAUACUGCCGCGUGUCUCUGCCUACCUUACGUCGAAAUCCAGCUUAUCCUUGCCUCUGUGGGCUGUUAUAGGCCACGGCUGAGCCACCUCCGACCACCGUGAGAUCCUGCUAGGCCGCCGUGAGCCACCGCUCGAGCUGCUAUCGCCCUUCUCCACCAGUUUCACGCCCAAACCGCCACCAUGCAGCCCUCAGUUGGCCUCAACCAGCAGCUAGAAAAAUGGGUAUUCUAGCUCGGUUUUGGCCUGUUUUAGCCGCCUUCCCGAGCCCGGAUGCUCAGCCUGUCUUUAGGAAAGUCAAUCAUCGCGUCAUCCUCGUCGUUUUGGUUCGCUCGGCUCGCUAAUCCGGUGAAUUUAGCUCACUAAAUCUUGAUUAGACGGUUAAUGAUGCCCUAAGUGUGCUUAGUCUAAGUUAAGCAAGUUUAGGUGGAUAGUUUAGUUUAUUUAAUUGUGAUUUGGAUUAAGAAUUUUGUUUAAUUUAAAGUGUGUAAUUAAGGCUAAUAAAGUUAUUUAAUAAUAAGCCUUUAUGGGACAUAAUAGGGCUUUAUUUUUGAAUUAUUUAAUUCUUUCGAAAUUCUAGAAUUUAUAAUAUUAUAUUAUAUUCCAAAAUUAUUAAAAUAUUAUUAUUAUUAUUAAGAAAAAAGAAAAAAUUAUUUUUGACUCUAGUUGCUCAGAAUUUUGUGCCGAUCGCUGCUGUGCAUUUAGAAUUUGAAAUUGAUGAUUGGUUAUGGCAAAUUGAGUGUGAUUGCGAUAAAUAGGGAUUUUUUUUUUAUUUAUAAAAUCCCAAGUGUCAAAAUUGAUGGGAGAUUGGCCGUGAUUAACCACAUAUUAGAGAUCAUGCCCAGUGGGGCCGUGAUUAAUUACAUAUUAGAGGUCGUGCCCAGUGGAGCCAUGAUUCGCCACCCGAUAAAGGUUGCGCCCAGUGGGACCAUGAUUUACCACCUAUUAGAGGUCGUGCCCAUCGGGCCGGGAUCUACCACCUGUUAAAGGUUGUGCCGAGUGGGGCCGUGAUUGCCAUUGGUUGUCAAACCUUCCUAUAGGGCCGUGAUUAGAAGCAGUGAUUGAUUUGCUAGAAUGACAUGUAAUCGGCCGAGUCGAUUGAUCGCUGUAACGAUCCAAGUGGUUGAAUUGUUCUGAUAAUGUGAUUGUGCCACAGUUGUUUCGUUAUCAUAAUUGCACGUGGUUGAAUUAUAUGAAUUGUGCUAACCUUUAGGAAGGAACCGAGGCGAGGUAAGUUCUCUGUGUGAUGCGGCUAGGCCACCCUUGGGCAUAUUUUCUUUCUAAUAGGGGUUUAGGGGGUUGAACUUGCUGAGACAUUGUUUCAUCCCAGUUUGGGGAUUACAAUUUCAAGUCCCCAGUGGACGGAGCGGCUAGAUAGCUUUGGUUGACCUUGAGGAGUUGCGGAGGUGAAGUCAGGAGGAUUGGAGAACGUGUUCGACUUGUAGGUCGUAGGACAGUUCAUUUUUAAGAGCCGGUCUUUUGUAGAUUUUUGGUUGUACGCCUUCGUUUGUAACUCCAUUGGUUUAUGUAAGUGAUUGGUUGUGAAUUUGCUUCCUGCUUUUGUAUCCCGUAUUUCAUUGUCAUGGGUUUUAUAAUACGUACCGCUUGUGCAAUAAUAAAUGAAUGGGGUCGGUGACACUACCUAGGAAUGUCGCAUUUGCAUGACCAUGGUGGGAUGUUGGUGUGCUCGAGGUUCGGGGUGUGACAACCUGUAGGAAGGAACUGAGGCGAGGUAAGUUCUCUGUAUAAUGUGGCCAGGCCACCCUUGGGCGUAUUUUCUUUUUAAUAGGGGUUUAGGGGGUUGAACUUGUUGAGACAUUGUCUCAUCCCGGUUUCGGGAUUUCAAUUCUAGGUUCCUGGUGGACGGAGCGGCUAGAUAGCUUUGGUUGGCCUUGAGGAGUUGUGGAGAUGAAGUCAUAAAGAUUGGAGAACGUGUCCGACUUGUAGGUCGUAGGAUAGUUCCUUUUUGAGAGCCGGCCUUUUGUAGACUUUUGACCAUAGACCUCUGUUUGUAAUUCUAUUGAAUUAUGAAAGUGUUAUGUUGUGAUUUGCUUCCUACUUUUCUAUCCUAUAUUUCAUUGUCAGGGGUUUUAUAAUACGUUUCGCUUGCGCAAUAAUAAUUCAAUGGGGUUGGCGACACUACUUGAGAAUGUCGCAUUUGCAUGACCAUGGUGCGAUGUUGGCGCGCUCGAGGUUCGAGGCGUGACACAUGAACCUUGCACAAAACAAGAGAGCACUUCAUGCAGCAAAUGUCAUGAUGACUGAGAAAUUACAUGUGCUCGAUGUAACAAGACUCAAACGAUCGGAAUCAGUUGAUGCCAUUGUAAAGGCUCAAUACCAGCAUAAUACAUGUCUUGCAAGCUACUUAAACAACUGAAAAGUAAUUUAUGCAAUCCCAUCAUUUGUUACCUACUUUUUGAUACAUAUGUAGUUUAUUCAAUAUUGUGCAUCCAAUGUUAAAUAGUUCUAAUUCAAGGAAAAGUCAUGUCUAGCAUUUUAUUGUCUACCUUGAAGGUUAUUACAUAGUAUCCAUACUAAAUGCUUCAUAAAAAAUGUUUGUCGAAGUGUUCAUAAUGGCCAUGCAAUUUGCAGUAGCAAUUGAUAGUUAGUGUGCUAUCAGAAGAGAAUACUUUUCGUUAUCAUAUAAUACAAAAUUAUUACCUUUUUUUCCGGCAACACAAACACACUGGUUAAAAUUGCAACACCAUCUAAUUCAGUAAAAAAAUGCACCAACGAAUAACAUACCAGUAGUGACUCAUAAAAUUAGAUAGAUUUCACAUGACCACCUUAUAAUUACUAUUGAAUGCAAGAAACUAACUUGAUUGAUGACAUGGUCAGUGACCCCGUAUCAUCAUGCCCCCUAUUUGAAGCAAUGGAAUCAACUUCAUCAAAAAAGAGAAGGCAAGGUGUUGCAUCUAUUGCCUUCAAGAAUAUAUCAGAAUCUGUAGUUUUCUAAUUGCCGUUACUCUCAAAUAUUCAAAAUCUCUCCAUUUUGCUGACAAAAUCAAGGAUCAUAAUAACACUACAUCAUUUAACAACCCGAAACUCGUAGUAAAAUCCUUACAGAUGGACCAAUUACAGGAACAAAUCAAACAUUGAAGAUUGAGCUCGAGCGAGACCAAUUUUUUAACUUCAACUAAUCAAGAUCAAUAAAAUCCCGAGUAUUCUCCCUUCGACUGAAAUGAAACUCACGAACCCGCUUCAAACAGCUUCGCUCUCCUAUAUCUCGGUUCGAAGGUGGAUGGACACAGAUCCCAAACAAUGGAGCAGAGCGAUAAGGAGAUUCUAUUUUUGGCCAUGAGGGAUUAUGGAUUGGAAUGUAUUAAGAUAGGUCACAAAGUUUUGUGAUUUAUAAAUUUCAAUUAGGCGUUUAUAAAAUUAAGGUUUAAGGAGGAUUAUUAGGAUGAGGUGUGGGCCAAAGUAUUAGCUCAAGACCAUCCCACAAGAAGCUUUACCCUUCGGCCAUUUGGGUCUAGCCGCGAAGCCCAAAGGAGGAGGAGGAGCCGCCGGCCCAUGACUGGCCUCAAGCCCAGCCAAAUGGAGCCCCAUUGGGCUAUUGAAAAGAGGAACCAGCCCAUGAGAGGCCCACUCCUUUGCAUGAAGAUUUUGCCAAGUGUUAAUUCCCUUUGUCCAUGUGUCAUUCAUGCAAAAGCAAUGAUUGUUCAUCAUUGAGGAGAGGAAAAUUGAGGGAACUGGUUGAUGAUGAAGGGAAAGCGUCGCCAGAGAGAGGGAGUGAGAGAGAGAGCUACCGAGGGGAAGAGAGAAAUCAAGAGAGCAGAAGAGAGGAAAGAAAGGGAGCUGUCCGUCGACCAUCCGCCGUGUGUCCGUCCCUCGUUGCCAUCCGUGUGCUUGUUGUUUGCUCGGUAUAGAGGCAAGUUGGGAUCCUUAAUCUGCUCUUGCAUGCUAUGUCUAGUAUGUGUGCUUGAAUGGUGAUAGAAUUCGGAUGUUUAGGGUGUUAAAAGUGGAAGUUUUAAGAGGGAUGUUUGAGACUAGUAAACAGUUCUUGAAAAAACAGUUCGACCUUGGAUGUUUUAUUGGCUUGCAUGUGUUGUUUGAGUUGGAUUUUAGCCGUGACUUCUAAAUGAAAGUUGUUAAGGAAUUCUUGAAAUAUAACAUACUCAAAUUUGGGACAAAACGAAUAAGUAUAAGUGGGUGAAAUUCCUUAUUUUUUCGGAGAGACUGAAUCUGGAGAUUUCGGUAACUACCUUUGAUGAAUGCAUGGUCUGUAAGCCUAUCUUUUUGUUGAAGUUUCACUUCAAUUUCUUAUUGAAAGAUGUAAAGCACAUCCUGAGGUUUAACAUAUCAAAAAAAUUAGAGAAAAAUAACAAGAAUAGAUAGGUAAAAUCGUGGUUUUUCGGAAGUAGUCAGAUCUGGAAACUUCGGUAUUGAAACAAAAGAUUUAACCGUCUAUAUUAAAUCAUCUAGAACGAAUUUGACUUUUAUUUAUUCAUUAAAAACCUACCUUAUGAUCUUGACUACAACAUAGUCGAAUUUCAUGAAUUUUGAAGGUCAUUAGGGUAUUUAAUCGGAAAUAUUUCAAAAACCGUGUAAUCUGACGCGUUUGGACUUAGUCAGUUUCAAUGCAUGGGGCAUAUCAUUUUUUAUGAAGCUCUUUCGGCAAAGUUUUCUUCACAAAGUAUCUUUCGUUAUGUCUUCCCUGAAACAUAUUCAAAUUUCAUAAUUGUUGAAUUACAUUUGCCUAUUUAACCAAAAAUGUUUCAAAAACUGUGCAAGCUGUAUUGUUAGAAUAGUAAUGCUAUGAUGCACGGUCUAUAUCAAAUGUUAUGAGGGUCUUUUGGUGUGGUUUCCUUCAUGAAAUAUCUGACUUUAUGUCUUUACUAUCACAUGUUCGAAUUUCGUAAUUUUUAAAGGUCAUUUGGGUAUUUAAUGGAAAUAUUUUCUAAAACUGUGCAAGCUGGAUUGAGCGAAUUUUAAAUGCUGUAAGCUAUGAUUAUUCUGUUUUGGAUGAGCCCCAUGAAUUAUAUUGAUUGAGGUGAUUGAAUCUUGCUGAGCAUGUGAUGAUAUUUGGCAUUGCAUAUAUAAUCAAAUGCUGAAAUUGACUUUGUUGCCAUUACAUCAUGUGCCAUGUUGAUUGUGAGACAUAAAUUGGUGAAUAUGAAUUAUGAUGAAUGAGGAGACUGUUGGAGGUGGGCCAAUAAUGCCCUAGGAGUGUCAGGAUGCCCGGGAUGGGGGGUGCCGGAUGCCCGAAUGUAUUGUGGUACAUGCCCGGAUGUUCUCAGGAGUUUCGAGAUGCCCAGAAUGGUUGGGUGCCGGAAGCCUUGGAGGUUUGUGCCCGGGGAAUGCCUCAUGAUGCCAUGCCAGUUGGGAUGCGAGAUGCCCGGAAUGUGGGGGUGCCGAAUGCCCGAUGGUGUGCGUCGGAGGUUUUCUCGUGAUGCCAGGUUGGGGUGCGAGUGAUAAUGUGGGAUGCAAUUACUGAUCCCGGGGAAGAAAGAUGUGGUGAUCAAAUUAAAAGAUAAAAAGUGGAAACUGAAUCAUGCAUGGUAUAGUGAUAUGUAUGCAUGGCUGUAUGAUAUGAUGUGUAUGAGUGCAUGGCUGUAUGUGCACCUAUGGCAUGAUGGUAUAUGAAUGAAAGCUUGGUGAUGAGUGCAUGAGGAUGUAUGCACAUAUGGUAUGAUGACAUAUGCAUGGCUGAAAGGUAAGUUAUGCUUGGAUGCAUAGAUGAUAUGUACUAUGCUAUGAUGUUGUGAUUGUAUUUGUGAUGCAUUGAGUAGUUUACUGGAUCUUUUACCUGCUAAGUGGUUGUACUCACCUCUUCAAAGACCAACAUUUCAGAUUAGGAAGAUGGCACUCUCUCCAGUCACGCAGGGUACCUUUUAUGGCCUCUGUGACAUCCAGAUUUUCGAGUUCUAAUUUCGACUGGAUAAAUAGGGCCGUUUUUGUUCAGUUGAAGCCAGGGAUUGUGAAUUCGGGAUACAAGUGGGCUAUACUGAUAAGAAAAAGUACCAAUUUUAUCGAUGAAAUAUUGAAUGAAAUUAUGGGGGUCAAAUUGAUUUGAUUCAAGUGGGAUUAAGGUUUAAAUUGGGAAGAAAACCUAGCAAAAAUUCGUAUGCCCAUAAACCCAACUUUUUGAACUACCUAAAUGCUUCUAGAAGGGGGCAUAUUUGUCAAAAAUUGAAGAGUGGGAGACAGCUGGUGGUGGCCAUGUGUGGCUGACCUAAGAGAGAGAGAGAGAGUGUGAGAGAAAAGAAAGGGAAAUUGAGUUUUUCUUCCUCCCCUCUCUCCUCCUCCGUCGACAAAUCCUCCCCCAUCCCCCUUUUCAACUACUUGACUCCAUGGGAGCCGAAGACCAGUGAAGACUGAGCUGCAGUCGCUGCCUCUCGCCGUCGUCAUCGCACGCCCGAAAGCACCAGAGCUGCUCGCGCACCCGAGCUCGCCACCGUGCUGCCGUCCGCGCACCUCCGCCCUCUCUCUCUUUUGUCGAGCUCUGUCCUCCAUCUCCGGUUGUUGCUUGACAAAACCCAGCAAGUCAAAGAAGCCGCACAUCGCCUGGAGCCACCUUUCGUCGCCAUCAUCGCUCACCGAAGCCGGAGCCGCUGUCGCUGCUCCGCCCCACCAGUGCCUCACCGCACGCAGCUCCGCCUUCAGUUGCAUCGUCCCUAGCUUGGCCGACGUCCUGAGCUGCUGUCCAGCUCGUGCAAGAGCCGCUGGAGCUUCCUAUGACCACCUCCGGCCACCGUGAAGCCCCGCCUAGGUUCAGUUCGGCCCCUCCGUCCAUUUCCAACCCAACCUAGCUCUGGAUCCGCCCUCCUUCGCCCCCAACCAGCAACGCACAGAGAGUGCAGAAAAUGGGUAUCGCAGUGGGUUUUGGCCCGUUUUGGCCGUCUUCCCGAGCCCGGAUGCUCGGCCUGCUUUGAGGAAAGUCGAUCCUCGUGUCGAGCCCGUCGUUUUGAGUGAGUUUUACUCACUAAUGCCUUCUUAGUGUGCUAAUUACACUUAAAGGUUGAUUAGUGUUAAUUAAGUGUAAUUAGGUUGUUAGAUUAGAAUUGAUUAGUGAUUAUUAGUUAAUUGCUUUGCAUAUUAGUUGUGUGAUUAGUGUAAUUAGAUAGAGAAUUACCUGUAGUAUUUAUUGGAUGCUUCUUGGGAUUUUUCCCGUCCCUUAUCGGGUGUUAAUUAAGCGAUUCGGGCCUAAUUGGAAUUUUUAGGAAUUAAAUAUUAAUUUUCGAAAUUAAUUAUUUAAUUAUUUAAUUCCCGGAAAUUUAACUGGGAUGGCCAGUGGCCGGGAUUUUAUGCUGAUGAUCGUGGUGCAGUCCGUUUAUUUAAUUGAGCUUUAUAUUGUGCUAAAUUGAAUUUAUUUUAUAUAUUUAUUUAUUUUUCGAAAUUAAUUAUUUAAUUAUUUAUUUUCCGGAAAUUUAACUGGGAUGGCCAGUGAUCGGAAUUUCGUGCUGAUUGUCGUGAAGCAGUCCGUUUAUUUAUUUGAGCUUUAAUUCGUGUCGAAUUGAUUUAAUGGUGCAUUUUUAAGUAUGUUAUUAAAUAAUGCAAUUUUGGCCUUGUGAUUGAGAAUAGGUCAGGUAUCAGUUGUUAGUAUCGAAAGUGAAUUGGUAAAUCACCUUGAGGAUGCACGUGGCCCAGUGAAUUGGAAUGUUACUCGGGAAAGACACGUGACUCGGUGAUUAGAUAUGUCAUCUUGGCGAAAAGGUAGCCUUAGAGAAUGCACGUGGCUCGGAGACUCGGUAUGUCUUCCUGGAGAAUGCACGUGGCACGGUGACAUAGUAUGGCAUUGUGAAAAGGUCGGGUGGGACCAUAAAGCCACUAAAUCUUGGAAAGGUCGGGUGGGACCGUAAAGCCACUAGAUCAUGAGAGGAUUGGGUGGGACCAUAAAGCCACUAAAUCUUGAAAAGGGUCGGGUGGGACCGUAAAGCCACUAGAUCUUGAGAGGGUCGGGUGGGACCGUAAAGCCACUAAAUCUAAGGAAUUGCUUGGUGUGGGAUGAAUGACGUAGAAAUGAUUCGUUUUGCUUGUAAUCGACUAGGUCAAUUGAUCGAUGAUUCGAUCUGAGUGUGACUUGAUGUGAUUCAUUGCCUUGGUUUGAUGUUGUGAAUUGAAUGAUUGAAUGGAGAUGAUCGUGAGUGGUCUUCCUGAUAUGAAAUCGACUAAGUCGAUUAGAUCGAUGCUUCGAUCUGUGAUGUGAUUGCUUGGGNNNNNNNNNNNNNNNNNNNNNNNNNNNNNNNNNNNNNNNNNNNNNNNNNNNNNNNNNNNNNNNNNNNNNNNNNNNNNNNNNNNNNNNNNNNNNNNNNNNNNNNNNNNNNNNNNNNNNNNNNNNNNNNNNNNNNNNNNNNNNNNNNNNNNNNNNNNNNNNNNNNNNNNNNNNNNNNNNNNNNNNNNNNNNNNNNNNNNNNNNNNNNNNNNNNNNNNNNNNNNNNNNNNNNNNNNNNNNNNNNGGAGGAGGACCUCGAGGAUAACCCCGAGUAUGACCCGGAUGAGGACUGAGAUCCUGUCCUAUCUCAUCAGACCUUGUUUAUAUGUGAUUAGGCGUUAGACCAGAGUUGUGUAUAUAUAGUAUUGUAGAAUACUAUGAGAUGCAUGUAAAAAGAUGUAGUUGUGAAUUUUUAGUAAGGAAAAUAUAUGGCCUGCUUUUCUAUCCCAUUGCUUUAUUGUCUGGGGAAUUAUAACUGCUUCCGCAUGUGCAUAUAUAAAUGAAAGGGUCGGCGAUACAUAGUCCUGGGAUAUCGCAUUUUUAAAUCGACCAAAAGUAAGGGAUGUGUGCGUGCCUGAGGGUCGGGGCGUGACAGCCUCCCAUUGGACGUGGAGGUAGAGUGUUCGGAGAUUGAUUGCAUUACCAUCCCUGGUCUGACGUUUGUGCGAGUUCGCAUGCUGGUCAUGUACGAUGUGGGCUUGGCUAGGGGCCCGGUCAUUCAGGAGUUUUUAUCAGUCCACGUCCACCGAGAUGGAGAGAUUCGGGGGAUGUUGCCAUCACCACCGCUCGAUGCCCAGGAUGGGUGUGAUGGCCACGUGAGGGGUAGUGAGCUGACAUUUUUUUUAGAGUAGCCGACAUUGAUAGAUGGAGGAUGACACGUGAUCGUUAUAGGGGUCGAUUAUCUUUUGGGUUGUGGCUAAGUGUAGUUAAAAGUCUUGGCUUUCUUUUUGGUUGUACCGACCCGAGAAAAUCCAUCAUGAAAAUAUAUAAAUAAAAAGUGGUUCGGCCUUAUCUUUUCAUAUGAUGUGUAGUUGAUGUGCAUUGCAUUAUGUUAUUGGAGGGAGAGAUGGUGAGACUCAAUUAUGCUUCCGCUAAUAAGUUGCGCUAGAACCGUUUAAAAAAAAAAAAAACAAUGUGCCUAAGAACCUCAAUCCUUCUUUAAACCCCUUUUUAUAAAAGACAAAUAACGAAUAUCUUUCGAGAGAGAAAGCGAUAGGCAGGCUGUGGCGACCCUAACGGAUUGGGGGCAUUGAGGGGUGCCACAUAUAAUAGAAAUCUCCAAGACUUGACAACAAGAGACCCACUAAAUUACAGCACUAAUAAGUCACUUGAUCCAAAAACACUCUUGCCGACGUGUAUUCCACAGUAGACCUCAAGCAGGCCCAUGUUUUUCCCCGAAUUCAAAUUUAAAUUGGUUUUUACUAAACAUACGUAGUCAAGGUGAAAACAACAUAAAAUAGAUGGACCCAACAUUAAUUCAAAACUAGCACACCGCACACAGAAAGUGAAUAAUCAAGCCCAAGAGGUUCUCAAUCAAAACAUUUACAUGACAAGCUCUGUGUAAUGCAAUAAAUCGAACUAAACCUAACCAAAAUCACUCGUUGUCAGUCUUAUCCAUUGCAAUAACAGAGCGAUACAUAAUUCAUUCACCGGAUUGAAAAUGGAGAAAUCAAAGUCAUACUCUCAUCCAAGAGUACACAUUCUGCUACCAUGAUUCGACUUGAAAGAUCCCUUUAAGAGUAUUUGGCAGGAGCACCGGCUUGACGGAUUCUCUUUUGGUGAACAUCCCAAUUAUACACACGAGCCAUCAUAACCUGCCAAAUAAAGAUUGAACUCUCAAGGGCCGUUUCACCCCCAAAAAGAAAAGAAAAUUUCCAGGGGCCACCAACAUAAUUGCCAUGAUAUAAACGAAAGAGUUUGGUCCUCCAACAAGUUUCGAAUUUUUUCAAUUUCACUUAAGUGCAAUAUGACCACACUCCAGGUUGUCACAAAUCAGCAUGUCUUUGCAAUUUAUAGCCUCAAGGCUCACACCAGUACAAAAAUCACGGCAGCAGUAAUUCAACACAACAAACCUACCCCAAAACUGACAUAAUAAAUGGCUUGAAACUAAAAUGGACCUCCAAGUUCCAAAAUAUUCUGACUUACGUGCGUGAUUGUUACUUGGUCCAGUAAGAACUGUAGAUUAGCAACAAGAACUUCUAAACUUGCUUUAGCGUUUUCUAGGUUCUUUUGUAGAAGAGUUGUGGCCUGCAACACGAAUGGAUACAAUAAAUAAGAUACUCGACAUCAUCAUUGGAGAUAAAGGCACAUUGCUUCAACUCGAGUACCUCUUCGCAUGAAUACUCCAACAUAACAUUUGCUCCCACCAUAAACAUCCUGAAUCAGCAUGUUCAAUGCGAGCUCGAGAACAUAUGCCUUCAGAGACUUUAAAAUCAGCAAGAUGUGCCUGCAUCCACGAUAAAGAGCCGUAAAUACCAGUCAGUUCGGCACCAAUUAUUAUAUUUUGCGUCUUAGAAGUUUUGAUGGUCUUAGAUUUUAAAGCCCAAUAUAGUAAUCCCACCAUAUUUUGCUUUCUAAUAGGACCUUUAGACAUGAAAGCAUAAUAUUACCGUCGUUAUUCAAGUGUCCAAAUCUAAAACCACCGCACAAUUAUUGAGAUUAACAUGGGUUCUUCAAAGCACUAAUUGAGAUUCUUAGGAACAUUGCUUCCAGAAGUGCAUUUGUGAAGGAAAAAAGACAAUCAAAUAUUCCAUAUUUAGUCAAGUGCACCAAAAGUAGUUCCUAGUAUGGCAAGAAUAAGACUACCGUAUCCUCUUCCUGCUUUGUUAAGAUAAAAAAGGAUGAUCAGCUAAGAUAUCAUCGAGGAGCAAGAAGAUAUUUGAACAUGCAAAUUUUCUAGCAUAAGAUAUGAGAAUAUUUUAGUUCACAUUACAUAUGCCAAGGAUUCCAGAUUAAAAAGUGAAACUGUCAAGUGAAAAAUUGGUGGUUUAAUGACAGAAUGAAGAACUUCAGGCGAUAAAAUGAGAAAUGACUCUAUAUUGGAUAAAUAUGAUCUGUUUAUGAGUAACAAGUUUACUUCGUAAAAAGCCUCAACAGUCAAUAGCAUGAGUUCGAUAGAUAUCCAAUAAGUAUACUCAGUUACAAUACAUGCACCGAGAAGCAUUUAGCUUGAAUUUCAAUCUUAAAUUCCAGUUCUAAGGCUACAGUUCAAUCUUUCAGUAAUAUGGACACAUGCUCGUUGCCCACAUAUAAUGGCAUGCUCGAUAAGAGGUCACUUUGCUAUAGCACAUCUAAACAUUCCUCUUGGGUCAAAAACAAUUUGGGAUCCAACAAUUGAGCUACCCAAGUACAAACUUGCAGGUUGGAAAGGUGAAUGCCAAAAAAUGGGAGCUUUCCAAUCAGCCAGUUUACUUCAAUCAUAAUGCAGGUUCCUAGUUCAGUAUCAAAUAAUCUAGAGCCUAAAAAAGAGGAUAUCUCUAUGGUCGAAUGGAGUGGUGAGGUUAAGUAAUUGUUGCAUCAAGGUGCCCCAAUUUGAAAUGAUUGAUCAAUUCAAAUCCUAGAUUUUUGCAUUGAGAGAGAUAGCACACCUUAUUUAUGCAACAUUGCCAAGGGGGGUUUAAAGGUUGUAGCCUAUUUGAGGGAGAAAACCUCAGUGUAGAGACAGAUCGAGGUAGGAGAGAUGAAGGGAGGACAUAGUACUACUUGCACGCUCUGUGUUUUGGCAGAGAGGCUGAGAUGCCUGGCUACCUCGUAGUUGGUUUUAUGAAGGACUAGUGCAAGAUAAUUCUAGCAGAUUCUUGUUCACUAUAGAGAUAUGCAAAUGACAGCACACGAGCAGGAAACUUUGUUGAUGGCAGAAAGUAUUGGGAUGUACAAUUCACCACUUGCGCAGAGACUAGUGAACAGACGAGAACAAGACUGUCAAACUACAGUUCUUGCAUGCUAGUUAGUUGGUAUGAAAGAGACGGGGAAGGACUCUAUCUAAAGAAGGCAAGGGAUAUUAGCCGCUUAUAAGAUGAAAACCACAUGGAACCAUAUGGCACCACUAGCGAUUGCCUUGGGAGUGAUUUAAAAUAGCCAAUAUACAAAAAGAAAAAAGAAGGAUGCAGACAAAUCAAUACUAGAUAUAGCAAAGUCAAUGAGAAUCCUCAGGUCACCCACUUAUUAUGUUGUUGUUGGACUAAAUCUCCUCAGGACAUGGAUCUGUCAAAGAGCCGCAAAUAAGAUGGUGACCAUGGAAUUGAACAAUACCCAAUCCAAAUCUUGACUAGUUUACACAGUCAGAAGAAAGAGUUGUGCGAGACAACAAACCUUAUCAGAACUCUUCUUGGCCUGCAGAGUAGCGACUAUGUCUAACCACUUCUCAAAAUCAGUUAUUUUUGCUUGGCAUUUGAUAUAGACAUGGAGUUGAUAACAAAUUUAGAUGUGAGAUUGCACAAUGGAAUUCAAUCAACAUCGCUGUAGUUGAAAAGAAGCCUCUUACAGCUUGCUCAGAAGUUCCAAUGUACUUAUCCAACAGUUCAGCCCUUUCACUGAUAUGGAUUGAAGAGAACAAGCUGCUAUUGCUGCACUAACAAUGCAUGUCUUGCCAAAGGCCGUACGUCCAUGUAAAAGAACAUUUGACCAUGGCCUUUGAGGAGCUUGCACAAAAACACUUCAUCAGCAAAGGUAAGAAUGAUAGAUAUGAAGAUCAAAUAAUUUUAUUUAACAAGUUAAUAUUAACCACAUUAUUAGCACAGAGAGAGAGAGAGAGAGAGAGACAGAGAGAUAGAGAGACAGAGACAGAGACAGAGACAGAGACAAAGAGACAGAGAGAUAGAGAGAGAUCAGACACAAUCAAUGCAGUUAUACAAGCUUCCUUGAAUAAAAUGCAUGCAUAAUUUAGCUCACUUACAAGAAUGCAUCAGGGAAACAAUGUUAGGUAGUUAAACCCCAAAAUCUCAAGCAAUCCCAUUAUCUCAUUGAAAUUUUGCAGAGUCUAACCACAAGCUCCCUUCACUACAUUGUCGAUCAGCAAAAAGAGGAUUAGACAACUCACCACCAUAUAAUGACUUUGAUGUUACAUGAAAAGUAAGGCACCCAAUGGGAAACAGACACUUAGGAACCUAUGACAGAGAUUAGUAUUGCUCGUCUAGAUACUCAAUCGGGGAAGACACUCAUAAAACAAUAAUAGGAUCCUCGCACGUGUUGAGUACAAGGAGCUACUCCUUUUUCCAACAAAAUAAUGAAUUCCUCAUCCACCAAGAAAAAGUGAAUUAAGCGAUCAAACAAUGUGAAGUAUGUGGGAAGCACACUCGAGAAUAUGAAAGGAAGUCGCAGAUCUUUCAAGUUUUAGUCCCCCAACAUGUCCACUACCUGAUUGAUUUCCCAAGGUCUAUGAAACAAAUUAUCAACUUUNNNNNNNNNNNNNNNNNNNNNNNNNNNNNNNNNNNNNNNNNNNNNNNNNNNNNNNNNNNNNNNNNNNNNNNNNNNNNNNNNNNNNNNNNNNNNNNNNNNNNNNNNNNNNNNNNNNNNNNNNNNNNNNNNNNNNNNNNNNNNNNNNNNNNNNNNNNNNNNNNNNNNNNNNNNNNNNNNNNNNNNNNNNNNNNNNNNNNNNNGCAUUCCAAGACUCUGCAUAAAUAGAUGAAAAAAAAACUAAUAAUUAUGGCCAGAGAAGCAAAACUUCUACUUUAAGAAUGGGAGUAUUUGAAAAUUGCAACUAUAACCAUCAGCAUCGGAUGUAGAGUAAAGCUGACAGUGAUCUUUGAUUGUGCAAAAUGAUAAUCCCAAUUCAAUCUCUAGAAUUGCAGGAAACAAAAUUCAUGUAAAAGGGAGCAACUGAGGUUAUUGCAUUUGCCUUAUUUAAUUCGUGAAUGAGUUAAGAGUCAUCAAAUUCCCAGACCCAGCUCAAAACAACAAAGGAUUCCAAAAAAAAAAAAAAAAAGACAUGUCAUUUGCACAACAAAUGAUAGUUCAAGAACGUAAAUGCCUUAUCAGGUGAAUUGCAACAUCUUCCCCAACUAUGUUUGGUAAUUUAAGAUGGGAGAGAAUGAACAAAUAGCAAACAAACAAACAAACAAAAUGAAGUUCAGAAGUAACUAGAAAAGCACCUUCAAUUCUUCAUGAAGGAAGUAACUAAGUCACUCAUAUAGCAUAAAAGGUAUCGGCAAUUCACUCUUUCCCUGACCAAGCAUUAAUUCCUUUAAUUCAUUCCUCACAAAUCAUGAUUAUUCUGUAGUGAAAUUGAAAAAACACUACAUAAGGUAUGACCAGUACUCUCAAUAACCUCUGCCUUUCAACAAAACAUAGCAUUUGUUAGCAUCUUCAGUGUGAUUGCUAUUUAGCCAAGUUAUGUGCUACGAAGCAUGUCAACCCCAACAUUAUGCUGAUGCGCAACAUAAACCAAACUAAGUAUCACCACCAUGGAGGCAAGUGAAAGUACUGCAUGUUCAUGACAUGCAAACAAGGAAUUUUGCUCAAAGAUAACAGGAUGAAUGAAUACAAGCAGUGGUUCCAAAACUAAGAUGAAAGAUUAGCUAAAAGAAAACUCACAAACUGGAUGCAGCAAAAAAUGAACUUUAGUUCUAUGGACUUACCAUCAUCGAUUAUCUUUGCCAAUCAAAUGAUACAUACCUUAUCCAUCUCUAUUGAGCUUUGGGCAGUCAAUGAGGAUGAGUUGACAAGAUUUUGGCACACUCAAAACUGAAAUGAUCGACAUCCAUUGAUGUUGUUCAAGAGGCUCAAGACCAGUUUACUACACUUCUUGUAAGCUACUUUAGCAACUGAAAAGUAAUUCAAGUAAUCAUGCCGUUAAUUACCUUCUUUGAUAUAUAUGUAGUUUAUCCAAUACUGUGUAUCCGAAGUUAAACAACUCUAAAUCAAGGAAAAGUCAUGUCUAGCAUUUAAUAGUCCGCUUUGAAGGUUAUUACGUAGUCUCCAUAUUAAAUGCUUCAUAUAAGUGCAAUUUCCAAUAGCAAUUUACAGUUAGUGUGCUAUGGAAAGAGAGUACUUUUUGUUACCAUGUAAGACGAAAUUAUUACCUUGUUCCAGCCAACACAAACACACCGCUUAAAACUUCAACACCAUCUGAUUCGGUAAAAAACUGCACCAAUGAAUAACAUGUCAUUUUUUAGUCAUACCAUCAACUAUAUUUCACAUGAUCACUUUAUAAGUGCCAUUGAAUGCAAGAAACUAACUGAUUGAUGACAUGGUUGGUGACCCCUGUACUAUCAUGCCCCCUCUUCAGCACAAUGGAAUCAAAUUCAUGAAAAAAGAGAAGGCAAGGUGCUAUAGCCACUGCCUUCAAGAAUAUAUCCAAACCUGUAAUUUUAAAAUUGCCAUUACUCUCAAAUAUUCAAAAUUUCUCUAGUUUGCUCACAAAAUCAAUGCCGUCAAUGUGCAUAAUAGAUAAUCCAGUAGACAUUUGAUCACAAAUUUCAAAUUUCUAGUAGAGAAAAACUUCAAAUAUCUUACAUCUUAAUCUUUCUCUUAAUCUUCAUAGAAGAUUCUCUCAUUCAUGCAUGAGAAAACUCAAGAACCAUUUUAACUUGGCCUCUUGAUUGGUUAUAGGAGAAUCUUCAUUGGUUAACUUGGCCUCUACAUUAACUGCAGUGGUAGGAUCCUCAUUGCUGCUGCUAGUUAUCAUAUAUCGACUACUGGCAUAGAUGAAGGGACCUCUAUUAAAUGCAUACAAAAGCAAAAGAAGAAAGCACAAAAUUGUGAAAUGUAUGCAAAUAACAAAGUUCAAUAAAAAAAAUUACAUACUGGAACUCAAUAAACAUUCAUGUAGUUCAAAAGAAGCCUCUUAUAGCUAGCUAAAAUGUACCAAUGUACUUAGCGACAACUCUGCCUUUUACUGAUAUGGAUUGAAGAGAACAAGUCGUUGUUAUAGCACCAACAGUAUGUCUUGCCAAAGCCUAGACAUCCAUGUAAAAGAACAUUUCACCAUGGUCUUGGAGGAGCUUGUGCAAAAACAUUUUAUCAAUAAAUGUAAAAAUGAUAGACACAAAAAUCAAACAGGUUUAUUUAACAACUUAACAGUAACCUUAGCACAGAAAGAGGGAGAGAGAGAUGAGGAAAGGUGCAAUAAGUCAGCUGAAAAAAUAAACAAAACCUAGUCUUCAACAACACAAAGGUGCUCUUUCCUAACACCAGAAAUUGCAGAAUGCACAACUCGAUGCAGCUAAACCCAGUCUUCAACGAAAUGGUGGUUUGACCAUAUCGACAAGUUUACUCCAAUAUCAAUUGUCUCCCAGCACGAAUUUCACACAUAAAUGGCUAAUUACUAGAAUGAAGAAAGAUAGUUCACAAAUCACACCAUGACUCAAGACUUGAAGCUUCUCCACCUUAGUUCAAAAGUAACUAGAGAAACACCUCCAAUUCUUCAUGAAGGGAAAUAACUAAAUCACUCAUAUUGCAUAAUAGGUAUCAACGAUUCACUCUUCCACUAACCAAGCAUUAAUUCCUUUAUUUCAGUCCUCACAAAUCAUGAUUGUUCUCUGCUAGUAUUAGAAACACUCCAUAAGGUGAGAUUAGUACUCUCAAGUCUCAACCACCUCAGCCUUACAACAAAACCUAGCAUUUUUCAGAAUCUUUAGUGUGCUUACUAUCUAAAAGUUCCCUUCCACUUUAUCCAUUUUUUGUAAGCAAAAUAGGUGCCGCGAAGCAUGUCAAUCCCGACUUUAUGCUGGUGUGCAACAUAAACCAACUAAGUAUCAACAUUGUCAAGUCGAGGUAAGUCAAAGCAUCACACGUUCAUUAUACACGAAAGAGGAUUUUCCCUUAGAGACAACAAGGUGAACAAAUGCAAGAGGUGGUUCUAGAACCAAGAUGAAAGGUUAGCUGAAGGAAAACUCACAAAAUAGGACACAACAAAAAAUAAAAUCUAGUUCUAUGGACUUACCAUCAUCGACAAUCUUUGCCAAUCAAAUGAUACGUAUCUUAUCCAUCUCUAUUGAACCUCGGGCAAGCACCAACCAUGAGUUGACAAGAUUUUGGCACACCCAACACACUCUCCAAUGAUUCACAUCCAUAGAACAUCAAACUUUUCAGAUUCUGUAGAUUAUAACGAUCAGAUUCGCUUAAGCUUUUGACAGAAUUGCAGCCUGAGAUAAACAAAGCCCGCAAUGAUUUCAAUUCUCCUAAACCCUGAAUCUCAGUUAGCAGAGGCAAUUGGCGCAGGGACAAACUCUGGAUCUUCUUCAGGCUAGUUAGAAUGGAUAACGUCUUCAACAAUGGACAGUCUUCCAUCAACAAUUCAUUGAAUUUCCGUAGCUCUCCAAGCACCUCGAAUCAAAUCUCUCCUAGUGAAUAUCCAUAAACAAACAGCUUCGACAAAUUCUCCAAGUUGGAAAAGACUGACCAAUCUAUUGGUGAUUGCACAUUGUAUAAAUUUAACACUUGAAGGCUAGAUGGGAGUCCGAUAAGAGAUUGGGGCUCAGCACAACUUAUGGAGAGACUUCGUAAAUGAGAGAGGGAACUAAAAUCGGGCAAGGCCAUUUUUCCGAUGCACAAAGUCAAAUGCCACAGAGUAGGUAGUCUCACAAUGCCCUCUAUGUUAGGUUCUUGGAUUGAUGUUCCGAUUAUCUCAAGGUCAACUAAAUUGGUUAGGUUUGAGCAGUCAGGGAUCGUGGUCAACGAAUUUGCUGAAAAGGCUAAACACGUGAGACUCUUGGGAAGCUCCGGCAGCUGUUGGAUUGAAUUACAGCCCUCUAAAUUAAGUUCUUGCAGAUUUGUAAGCUGAUUGAUGGUUGUCGGCAAUCCACUAAAGCAGCCAUAGGAUAAUUCUAGAAUUUUCAAUGAGGAUAGUGCCCCAAUUUCACUUGGAAUUUCCCCCAUUAGAUGUACAAAUUGAGCAUGUAACUCUUCUAGAUUUUCCAACAUUCCUAUGGUUUUCGAAAGUUCACUUAUGUGGCUAGAAUUCAAAUCUAGUAUCUUCAACUUUUUGAGAUUUCCAAUGCAAUCAGGUAAGCUCCUAAUUCUUGAAAAGCUCAAAUCCAACUUGACCAAUGAUUGGAGCCUCCCAAUUGAGUAUGGUAGCUUUUCUAGCUCGCAAACUGAGAUGCGUAAAACUCUUAACCUUUCUAAAUUUCCAAUAGUAUAAGGUAAUUCCCGGAUUUUUGAACAUUUGACACUUAGCUUAAGUAGUGACUCCAAUUUUCCAAUAGAGUCGGGAAGCUUUUGAAGUUCCUGACAAUUCAAGAUUAGAUGCUUCAGCUUCACUAAAUUGCCAAUUGAGUGAGGCAAAACUGAGAUUAUUUUAGCUUCUAUUCUUAGCUUUGUCAAAGAUUUUAGACGGCGAAUGGACUUUGGUAGUGACUUAAUAGCUUCAGACAUUAUUUUUAGGUAAUCAAGAUGCUGCAAAUUGCCGAUGGACUUGUCAAUCUUUCUUAGUUGAGAGCAUAUAAGAAUCAAUCUCUCCAAUUGCGAGAUUGCGUAGAACUUGCACGUCUUUCUAAGGGAUGGACAAUCCUCGAGUUGUAGGACUUUCAAUUGUUUUGCUACCUAUAAAGCAAUUGAGUUGAAUCUUAGAAAAGAAGAAGAGUAAAUGUAAUACAAAAGUAUGUCAUGAGAUCAUACCAUGAUUUGACACCAUCCUUCCCAGUCUUCGUUAAUGUUAUUCCCCGAAAGCAUGACAACCACUAGGUUCUUCAACCCAAAGUUGGUUGCUUGGAAUUCUAAAGGGCAGUUGCUCCAAGAGAGCCAUCUUAACUCUGAGAAAAGAUCUUUAAAGUCUCCUUUAAAGUUUCCAUGGUCCAAUUGAAGGAACCUAAGGUUAACCAACCUCUUAAAUUCUUUACGUUUAAAUUUGUAUGCUGCGUCAGGUUUAGGUGUGCCAAGAUUGAGGCCUACUAUGUUCUCAGUUCCCUAGAAGAUAAAAGUAGCAACUAAUGAGUACAUGUGUCAAUAUGACUAAUGAUCCUAAUGGAAGGAUAAGGAAAAUAUUUAAAGGUAAAAAUUACCAUUUUUCUAUGCACUACAUGGAAGGCAUCCCUAGGUGACCACAAUCUGCUACUCCUUAGAUGUAUGUUGCAGCUUUCCGAGUGGACGAUAUCCCUUCCGAGGUCUCUAAGUUGAUCGUGCAUCCAUAAAAUAUCGUUGUCCAUGAUCUGUAUUAGAGACAUAUAUGUGAGGGUCUUGACUUUGAUUUCAGUAGGAUACCCAAAGACCGCGUCCCAAUAUUUCAUUGCAAUUGUUUUAUUUUUGUCAAUGAAGAAACAUGCAAUAUCAAGAUAAAUAUGUUGUUGCUUAGCAUCCAAUGCUUCGUAGCUUAUCAUCAACUUCUUCUUCACAUCCUCAUUCAUCACAGUAUUUAACUUAUGUAGGAUGUCUUCCCAUGUCUUUUGGGAUUUUCCGCAAAGUGUGGAACCUACAACAUCGAGAGCCAAUGGAAGUCCUCCAAGUGUAUUGAUUAGCUUAUUUGCAAUAUCCACGUAAUUAUAUGGAGGCUUGGCACAUCCCAAGGCACGCUUACAAAAAAGUUGAAGAGCAUCAUGUGAAUUCAUCUCCGACAUAUUGUAGAAUGAAAAUUGUCCGUUAUUAGAGGCUGGGACAUUGUCAUCCUCACCUUCGUUUACAAGGAAUUCAAUAUUCCUAGUUGUUAUGAUGAUUCUACUGCCCCCACCAAACCAGUUGGGCUCGCCGGCAAGUCUCAUGAUUUGGUCUCGACUGUCAAUGUCAUCAAGAAUAAUGAGAACUUUCUUGUCAUGAAAUCUCGUCUUGAUCAUGUCAACCCCUUCAUCAAUGAAGCAUAGGUCUAUGCAACUCAAAUGGAGAAUGUCGGACAACAAUUUCUUUUGUAAGUUUAUUAUAUCAUGAGUCUGAACAUCCUUAAGAAAGCAGCAAUAUCUCUGAAAUUGAGAGGAGAUUUGUCUGAAGACAGUCUUAGCCAGUGUCGUCUUUCCGAUGCCACCCAUACCAUGAAUCACGAUAAACCUUACAUCAAAAGCUUCUAGAUCUAAUUGCUUCAUAAUCUCAUCCGUUCGAUCCUUAAUUCCCACCAAAUGAUCAGGCAAAAUAUUGUCCAAAAUCAGUGUUAAAUUUAUUGUGUGAAUAUCAAUUCAAUUAUAAACUUUUCAAUUUUAAUAAUAUUGUCCAAAACUUUUACACAAAAUUUCAAUGUAGCCCUUGCAGUCAAUAUCCACCGAAAAUUGCUAAAGUGGCAAUCUAUGCAGGAUGUCAUUUCAAGUAAAAUUGUCCACGUCAACUUGCCACAUAGGACAACAGUGAUGAAUGGACGUCAUGUUAGUAAUUUCUUGUGGCAAUUGAGCAAAAAGAUUACAUUAAAAUUUCACGCAAAUACUUAUGACCACAUUAACAAAAUUAAAAUGUCUUGUGCUCAAAUGUCAUGCACAAUAAAUUUAGAACUAAUUUGAUAAUUAUGCCUCCACUUCAUUUUAUACUUUUUCACACCGGUUGGUUUCUUCUUGUCGCACACAGCUAAGAGCGAGACCUCUAGAAAUUUGGUUAAAUAUCAAGUCCUCGGUAAACUCGGUCUUGAUAAUCUCUUCAAGCGAUAGGGAUGAGUUUGAAGGUUAAUGGAAAAUAAAAAAUCUCACUCGCAAUUGCCUUGAAUAUAGGAAACAAGAAUAAUCUCUCAAAAGCAUUUUUCUUAACGUACCCAUGGAAUAGAAUACUAACCGAAAAUGAGGAAGAUUUUCUGGAAUCUAUAUCAACCUUGAUUCGAGUUGCCAACAAACAUUUCUCCAAAUAAGUUAGAAAUAAUUUUAGGUUACCCAUUCUUUUUAUAAUAUUGGUAACUGCAAACUAGUUGGAACUUUAAUCGGAAUAAAUUGGUGAGUAACUCAACUUAGGAUUGGUAAUUUAACAAUAGAUUUCGUUGCCUAAUAAUGUUCGUAACCUGUGCAAAUAAAAGUUGGUGCGUUAUUAACGAAAGCUUAUGAAGGUUGGUUGUUUUGAAACAAAUAAUAAAUAUUGAUAAGUAGCUCAAAUAAGAAUGUGUAGCUUAAACUAGUUAUUAACUUAAUUAGAAAUUAGUUAAUUUAGAGUUAGUAAUUCGGUACAGGAUUUGGUAAUUUUGAGAUGUGGAGUAAACAAUAUGGUAAGUUGUGCAGAAGUUGUAAAUCGGCAAACAAUCUAAUAAACUUAGUAAAUGAUUUACAUAAAAGCCGGUAAGCUAAAACUAGUUUGUAAAACAAUGGAAAAAAAAAGUUGGUAAGACACAAAUUAAAGUCGAUAAAUUCAUAUGAAAACCGAUAAUUUAAAAAUUAGGGAUGGGCAUGGAGCAUGGGAAAUCUGCGCCCCGCGGUGGCCUGCCUUGGAUGUGGCAAAUUUUUUGAGGAAAUUUUUUCUCAAACAAUUGCCUCCCUGGGAAUGUUGCACGAAACAAGUUGGGCAUGGAUAGUAAUAGGCUAGCCCUUCCCGUUCUCGAGGGUUGAAACUAUUAAUGCGUUUAACGAAAGAUAGAAACAGUAAGGUUUAAUGAAGAAGGAUGUGAGUAAGCAGAGAGUAACGGCUAGGGUUUAUAGUAAAACUAUCACAAACCAGGAUAAGGGUAGCUACAUAUCUCAAGGUAAUUUACAAUUGUUAAAGUACUUAUCCAUUUUCUAGAGGCUUUUAAAUUUCUCCAACCAUAGCUACAACUACUUGGAAGUCCCUUAGGUGAAUUUUUGGUUAAUCAAGAUAUGGGGCCAUGAAUAGGUCCAUGCUUAAAGCAACAGCAAGAACCAAUUUUUAUGUUUUAACAUUCUACUAUAAAUCACUAUAGAAUAAUAUUCAGUUUAAGGUUGCACAUCUUGUCUACGCACAAUUGGCCACUAGAGGAGCCUUUGACCCUUGCCCCACCACAGUGAAAACAAAAGCCCAAGAUUGAUAAUACACCUGGACCUAAGUCAGUCCGUCGCAAACUAAUCAAGAAUUACUCUAAUAAAAAUAUACUGGAAGACCUCUAACAGUUACAGAGAUCCUUUUUUUUUUUUUUUUUGGUUCUUUUGCGUAAUGGCACAAAGAUCUUUGCAAUGUUCGGUCUUGUAUACUCAAACCAAAUAGAAAAACCAUAACCUAUAGUUUCCUCUUAUGGGGUUAAAAAACUAUCAUCAUAAAAAUCUCCGUUAUUUUUGUGUAACUCGGUGGUGCCACCGUAAUUAGCCGGUUAUUUCAAGGGAAACAUCAGCAAAGCAUAUGAAUUCUCUAGGGCUGAAACCAAAACCACAAGGAUCGGUUUCUUACUCUUGGCCGUAAGUUUUUGGAUAUCGCAUAGACUGCGAUAGACUAAGUCUAUGCCAUAAUUUCUCUAUGUUUCCUUAAUGUAACAAAAACAGAAAGAUCUAACAUCAAACUCAAUCUAAUUUUUCAGGAAAACAUUAUAGGCAUAGGGUUAAGGAAAAUUACACCAAAAGUCCUUAAUUUCAUGUACGGAAUGCAAUUGAAGUUAAUAAACUUAAUUUUUUUAUUUUUCACAUAUAUAUGGUCUUACUAUUUUAACAUAUCUUAGAUCUUAAUGGAUAUCUUGGUUUUUUGGCAUUAUAGAUUAAUUAAUUAAUUAAGUUGCUAUACCUUAACUUUAAUUGUUAUAAAAACUUGAUAUUAAAAGGGAAAAGUCAAUUUGUGCAAGAAACCUCGCCCUCUGAGCAAUAUUUUUGGCUCCUCAUAGCGUCAAAUCCAACCAUACGUUACAUAAGGUUGGACAGCAGCAAACCGAAUAGUUAUUUUUUAAAGGAACGAGAAAUUGAAAAUCUCAACAAAGAAAAUAAAGUCAAUGGAGAAGCAAAUAAUACCCGUGAUCUUUUAGCUUCCUUCCUCUAAUUCUAGCAACCUUUCUUAAAGUCUUCUUCCACUUCUUUACUAAAUCCUUCCCGUAGUCGCUCUUGUGCUUCCGAAGGGCUUUCCGAUAUAACUUAGUCUUAAGCUUGACAUCAUCCACGUCCACAUCAUAAAAUACAGGGAGGAUCACUUUCUCAGCAUUAGCUCUCUUUAGCUCCACUAUGCGUGCCAGUUCACGAAGGCACCACUUACUUGAGGCGUAGUCCUUGGAGAAAAUCAGGAUGUAAAUUCUGGAGUCAUUGAUCGCUUGCAAGAGGCCACCUUCAAUCUCUUCCCCAAAUCGGAGCUCUUCAUUGUCUUUGAAAACGCGGAUCCCCGCACAGAUCAGGUCAUUGUAGAGACAAUCAGCCAUGGUUAAGCGGGUGUCGGGCCCUCUGAAACUUAAGAACACUUCGUAACCCCUCUCCGAUCCGCCAUCAUGGCUACUGCCCGUCCCAGUUACCGUCGCCCUCCCUUCUCCCUCCCUCUUUCUCUUCAUCCUAGUAGCAAGACGGAGUGAUGGAUCCCCGAAUUGAGUCUGCCCAGUGACUUGGGAAGUCUUGAGUUUGAUCCUUGUAACAACUUGAUGACGCAACGGAGAGAGAUCUCUCACUUUCGCUGCGUUCGCCUGGAAGUUACCUGCAGCCUUCCUCCACUCCCCACUCGUUGCUUGAAGGUGAAAGGUGAUGCACAGCUCUCUCUCUCUCUCUCUCUCUCUCUCUCUCCCUUCCGUGUUUCCUCGACGACAAGGGCUGACGGCACGGGAAGGGGAUACGACGUCGAUGGCGACAGCAACGGCGGCGCAGUGGCGAGGUGGCGAAGGCUUGCAGUGACCGAUUGGUGGAGGGGAGAGACUGAGGGAAGAACAGGGGAUUUUUCAGAGUCCGGAUAUUAUUUUAUGGAAAUUCGUCAAGAAGAGAGGGCAGUUUGGUCAUUUAGGAGGGGUAAUCGCACCAAGGGGGAAAAGAGACUGCCGGAGUCGCGCGUUUGAAGCGCUUUGCGAUAAGAAAGGAUUAAAACUAAAAGCGAAAAGCUUGGCUGACGGUCACUCUAAAUGGGGCAUUCUUGUAGGGUAUGCAACCCUUUGCUCUGAUAUUAAUCGUAGAGUGUGCAGCUUACAAAAUAUGCGGAAGUGUUAAAAUACUAAAAUCAAACUAAUUGAUACAUACACACACUCAAGCACACUAGCUGAUACAUGCAUACACUCAGCUUUCUAUUUUAUUCCCUUCUCGAUCACGGAGGGAUAACUCGCUCACACAGAGCUACUGAGGCUGCAGUGUCUCCUGAGGCUCACACCUUGAUUUCUAUCUGAAGAGACUCUCUCUCUCUUUCUUAAUCUCUCUUUAUCUCGUGUGGGCUUGCCUGCCUUUUGCACUCCCAAGCCCUAUUUAUAGACAUCUUCCCCCGCCAGUACUUCACCGCCUGGAUUCUACCGCCAUUGACUUCAACAUGCNNNNNNNNNNNNNNNNNNNNNNNNNNNNNNNNNNNNNNNNNNNNNNNNNNNNNNNNNNNNNNNNNNNNNNNNNNNNNNNNNNNNNNNNNNNNNNNNNNNNCACGGGAAAAAAAUAAAAAGAUAAUGAUAAAGAAUUUUAAAAUUUAUUGAAAAUUUAGAAAAAUAUCAAAAUAUUAUUAAAAAGAAUCUACGUUAGUGCCGAUCGUACCAAAUAGGACAAUCGGCGUCCAUGUCAGCGAAUUCCAACUAAAAUUGAUUAGAUGAAUUCAAUUGGUAAAAUAUGAAAAUAUUUAAGAAUCAAUUGAUAAAAUUAAAAUGUUUAAAACUAAAUUGGUAAAGGUGUAAUAGAUUUAUGACUAUUUGGAUAAUUUUCUUGAAAAUCCAUGAGAUUACAUUUCAGUCUUGAUGAUGGUGACGGUAAUUGUCUCAGCGUGAUGACCUUAUUUUGUGGUUCCGUCAAAACGCCAUUAAAAUGUAAUGCAACUUGUCUUAUAUUCUAAACCCUAUGAGCUAUGCGGCAGUGAUGACGUACUUGAGCGGCAUGCUUUGUAAGACAUUUAUUUUUUAAGAUACCAACGAAUAUGCUUGUGUCACGGCCCGAAAGAAAGCAUGUCCAAGAGGUUUUCGAUCGGCCCGUGAUAUUUGGCUAUCUUAUAGUGUACGAUUUUGACAUAAAUUAUAUCGCAGCAUCCAAUUCCUCUCUUCUUUAACUAUUUGACAAUGAUAUUAUAUUGGUUUGAUGAUAAUUUAUUUUUCAACAAAACCAACUUCAUUUUUUAAAAAAAUUCUUGGCAUUCAUGCGGCAAAUGUCAUUUAUUGAAUUUUUUAAUGUUGAUCUGAGAUAUGAUUAAACAGACUAUUUUUGCCAAAAUUGAGAACUUAAUCGAGGUGAUGACUACUCUAAUAGAUGGCUUUGAAUCUUUGAUACCAUUGAAAAAGGUGCAUUCGGUUGUCGAUAUUAUUUGAAAAAGUAUAUAUAGAAUCUGAUGGAAUAGAUAAGGAAAUGACAUUCUCUAAAGUGUGUUUUUUUUUUUUUUUUUAAGAUGAGAUUCUCUAUUGUGAAGGGGCAAUUUUACAUCUUAAAUUUUCUUCCUAGAGUAGUUGGCACCAUAUUUAACAUGUUAAUAAUGUCAUCAUGUCUUGAACAUGUUAUUAUGUCAUAUUCAAAGUGGGCACCGAGUUUGAGAUCUAACAUUAUGAAAUUGUAUAGAUGUAAAGCGGGAUAAGUACACUAAUGGUGCCAUAAGUUGUGUACGGCGCUCACUUUGAUGCCAAAAGUUUCCGUUGGAUCACUUAAGUGCCAAAUCGGAGAAAAAACGAUCACUUUGAUGCCACCAGCGAAAGAUUCUAGCCACUGGCGAAAGAUUCCAGCGAAAAUGAUUACGUGGCUUUUUUUUAAAAAAAUAAAAUCGAUAGGCCUUUAAAUGACGUCGUUUUCGGUCCUCCUUAAGAAAACGACGUCGUUUUGCCAUCCUACAUGGAUGGCUUCACGGAAAUGACGCCGUUUAGCUCACAUGGGGAUUGAAAUUAGGGUUUCCGCCGCUCAGCCACCGUCGCUCGGCCACUGUCACUCGGCCACCAUCGCUGCUCGGCCACCGUCGCUCAGCCACCAUUGUAGUUGCUCGACCAGGUGAGCGAGGAGAGACUGAGAUUGUUGCAGGAAAAAUCGAAGGCGAGGGCGGAGGAGGAGGAUGAAGAAGAUGGGUCGAAGGUGCUGCCGGUGCACUGCUGCUGCUGGUGCGUUGCUGGUGUCGCUGCUGGUGUGCUGCCGGUGCUGUUGCUGGUGCCAUGCUGGUGCCGUUGCUAGUGUGGGUCUUCGAGGAAGAAGAAGACACGAAGACGAGCCUUCCCUCUCUCUCAAUUUGGGGAUUAGGGUUUCAAAGUUGGGGGAAAGAUGCCAAACAAUGUCGUUUUGGUGUUUGGAUGCUGACUCAACUCUCCGACGAGCCACGUCAGCUUCAAAAAUUAAUAAAAAAAAAUGCCACGUCAGAUUUCCGGUCAAUUUCGUCAGCGUUGGCACCAAAGUGAGCGUUUUUCAAAAUUUUUGGCACUUAAGUGAUCCGACAGAACUUUUUGGCACCAAAGUGAGCGCCGUACACAACUUAUGCCACCAUUAGUGUACUUAUCCCGAUGUAAAGCGGACAUAUGUGAAAUACUUUAUAAAUAUCGAGGAUUAACUUCACUUAAAAAAUUGGCUUAUCAUACAUGCACUUCAAGUCGGGAAACAAGAAGGGAGAAGGAAGAGGCAAAGGAAUCCAUUGGCCUUGUAUGCAAUUUUUUCUACCACAGAUUUGCAUUUAAUUAAAUUAUGCAAUUCAAUCAUUUCGUAAAUCACGGGAUCCUAAUCUCGACCCUUAUCCUAGUGCCUCCUUAGAUAAAAUUCGGCAUGUUAAAUAAUAUGAACAUCCACAUAAUCUAAUAGCUAAGAUGAAGCAAGCUCAUACACACUGGAUGCAUAUAAGACUUUGUUCCUUCUACCCGCGCAAACUCCUAGGAUAAUUUCUAGAAGGCAAAGUGCGAGCACGCGCAGAGGAAGAUUUCUGAAAGUGAAAACGAAAGGCCACCAGUUUAUUAUUCUAUUUGCAUCGAUUAUAUUUGUUCCUAAGCCUAUUUUACUUCUAAAUGAAGAAAUAGUGACUCCUUAUAGCCAAUGGGAAUAAUAGGCCGGUUGUUAAGGCCACUAGGGAGCAUGCGUCGAGGAGCGCUAGAAGUCAACUACUGAGAAAUUAUAUGAUAAUAAUAUUGGAUGAUUUAAGCGGUCAAAGUAACAAAAGAGAUGAUUUUAUUUGGGGUGUUAGCUCCACACAAAGUUCAAUUGGACUCAAUUGCCAUUUGGUCUCCCGCCGUUCGCGGAAAUAAUUGUAAGCUUUUAUCGUAAAUAAAGUAUAAUUCGAAAGGUGGCAAUUAUUUACACAGGAGAUGAAAAAAUCCACAACCCUCACAUUAAUCUUGUGAUGCAAUUAUUUCAUCCAUUACAUAAGCGGUAAAAUGAGUCUACGCAAUUAUGCCAAAAUACACAUGUACAUUUUUCAACAAUUUAUUUUUAUACAUGAGUUCACAGGUUGUUAUAGGUUUGUUAUGUUUAAAAAGAAAAAGAAAGGCGAUUGACUUGAUUCAGUUAAAAAUGAUCUUAUCACAAUUAGCUACAUUUUAGGUGGCUAAACAUUCAACAAGGCAAAAUGCCAAAUAAAGCACCUUUGACUUCAGCUAUUUCUCUCUUCAUAAUCAAAUUCAUCUCGCAGAUUUCUUUGCCCAGCUUCACAAAAUUGCCCCCUCAAUUGACAUUGCGUCUUCAUUUAUUUCUGCUUCCAUUAUGGAAUCCGUCCGGUAAAGCUGAGAAAUUUACAUGAGCAUACACCAAAGAAUUAAUUCUUCAAAAAGCAAACGCGACGUCAUUAUCAACAAAGCUUGACUUGAAUUACCACAACUACCAAUUUCACAGCCCUUUUCAUCAUCAUAGGAUGUCUAAAGAAAAAUAACAGAUAUAUGGAGCAUCAACUCAUGUAUCAAACACCGUUUGUUCAGCGAAAAAUGAAUAAUUUAAAAAAUAUAUUUUUAAAAAUAAUCACUUACAAAAAUGAACGAACGAAAUAUAUAUUUCCCUUGUCCAUCAAAAUAUUAAAACAUAAAUUGUUAUCGAUAACAAAAAUAUUUUCCAUUUACUAAUUAUUUCAAGCGAAUUAAGCUAUUCUUUGCUUCAAAUAUUUUGGAAUAUUUUAUUCAUUCUCCUCCGGAAAUUCCUCAUAUAACACGUCAUACAAAUAUGUUGGUUUUUUUUUUUUUUUUGGGCCUCUCCUCCUUUUGCUCCCCCAAUCUAAGGUAAUACACCAAGGCGAUUGUAUAAUUUGACAUCAAAUAGUUGAUGUGUUAUAGAACAAUUGAUAUAUUUUAGUUUAUUUGGGCAAAUUACUUUAUCUAGUCGACUCAUAACAGGGUAAUCUUUGUGUGAUUAGACCUCACUAAAUUUGUUAACAGACUUAAGGUUUCAGCUUUAACUUGCAUACUUUCCACGGAUGAUAGAAAUAGUGAUUUAAGUGACGAAGUCCUUCAAUUUAAUUUCUCCUAGUGCAUUGACUACCAAUGACAUCUAUAGUACUUAUGUUGACCAGUCAAGAGAAAUGGACUACUAUUCCAAAUUAUAAAAGACCAAUUCGAUCAAAUCAGUUAAAAAGUGGUCUCUCCAAUUCACGUUGCCUCGUUCUUGGGAAGUCUUGAGUUUGAUCCUCGUAACAACUUGAUGACGCAACGGAGAGAGAUCUCUCAACUUUCGCUGCGUUCGCCUGGAAGUCACCUGCGGCCUUCCUUCACAAGUGAAAAAACCAUUCACAUCGACAAAAUAAUUGCUUCGAAGAGGAAACACGGAAGGAGAGAGAGAGAGAGAGAGAGAGAGAGAGAGAGAGCUGUGCAUCAGUUUUCACCUUCAAGCAAUGAGUGGGGAGUGGAGGACCAUCGCUUCCAAUCUCGCCAAGCCCAGAUCCGGCCUCGUCGGCUUCGGGCGACCUCAGAUCUGGUGUUGCCCACGGCCGCGAAUAGACGGAGCGAGGCUGCCUCGAGGAGAGAGAGUCGGGGACAGAGAUGGUGGCUUGGCCGAGACGGGACGCGAAACGAUCGGCGCAGGCGAUGGCCGGGGGCGGCUCGACGAUGACGAUGACAGUGACGAAGAGGUGGCGGAGGCUUGCGGUGACCGAUUGGUGGAGGGAAGAGACUGAGGGAAGAGUAGGAGAUUUUUCAGAGUCCAGAUAUUUUUUUAAGGAAAUCCGUCAAAAAAGUGAGGGCAGUUGGGUCAUUUAGGAGGGUAACCGCACCAUGUACACGCGGCAGGUGAACAGAUUUACCAGAGUCGCGUGUUUGGAGUGCUUUGCAAUAAGAAAGGAUUAAAACUAAAACUAGGUACUUUUGCCCAAGCUUUAUGCGGUAUCAUAAUAAAUGUACUUUAAAUAUGUUUUUUUUCAUUUUUAUUUUUGUUAAUGUCAAUAAGUUCGAAUUGUGUAUAACACUCUGUUUGUUAUCCAUUAGGUAUAAAAUUACCAAGUAAAACCAUUUAUCAAAUCAAACAUGGAAAAUACACAUGAAAGUUUUAAGUCAAAUUUAACUUUUCAUAAAGGUAUAAUAAUAAAAUUUAAAAAAUUGAAUAUUGCUACUCUCUAUACUAAUUGAGAUGCUUUUGCUAGUGCAUUUUCAGUUAGACAUUCAUAAGAUUAUAAUAACAUAAGAUGAUUUAUCCAGUACGAUUCAUAAAAGAGAUGAUUUCAAUUGGCCGAUUAGGUCCACUCAAAUUUGGCGUGACCACAAAGGAAGCAUAAUUGAUUAACCCCUUUGAUCUUUUUGUCUAUUUUGUUUUUGGAAUGAGGAAUCUCUUCCUUUAUUUCUAGGCAAGAAGAAACAGAUUUCAAUUGCUUUUGUUAUGCUAAUUAAAUUAAAAAAUGUUUAACUUUUCUCAGUUGGAAACAAACUUCCAUUUUGCUAAGCCAAACAAAGUAUAUCUUCUUACAUUCGAUCUAGAUUCGUGCUAAUUGGCAUGAUCAAUUAAUUCUUGCUUUCAUUCCACCUACUAGCAUGAUGUAUCAGUAAAAAGCCAAUUUUUUGUGCUUCGUGUUGGCACAGUCUUAAAUAUUUCAAUUAGAAUUUUAUUCAUGAACAGAAAGAAAAUCAAGCUCAUUUAUACUCUGCUUAAGAGGCUCGGGAUAUUAAUCAAUUUUUUUUUUUUUUUGGCCAGAAGGUUUCUCUUAUUUUGUUCAGUUAGAUGUUGGACGUAUUGGACAACUUAGUAUAUAUUUUCCACUUGCCAUCACUUUGUUAUUGUGUGCCACUUGCCUGGAAGUUACCUGGGGCCUUCCUUCAUCAGUUAAUUAAAAAAAAAAACACCAUUCAGACUCAGCACCAAAUAGAAAGCUAAGUUUGAGGAAAUAAUUGGUGUAAGUCUUCGAAGACGAAGAGGUCGUCUCGGAAUUAUAUUAUAUGAUUGCAUCUUCUUUGAAUGUUUGGACGCAUUCCCACUCGCCAUUACUAGGAUAUUUUGUUCCAUUUGUCUGGAAGUUACCGGCGGCCUUCCUCGAUGAGUCAAAAAGACCCUUUUAGGUUCCCACCAAAUGGGCGGCUAAGGCAAAUGGUCCAAGACGAGUCCUCAAACAUCAUCGAUGUGUGAACCGAGGCUCUAUGUGAUAAUUUUCGAAUAAUUACUCUCAAAUAUUAUAAAGAAACGACAUUUAGAUAAUACCGACUCCAUUUUCUUGUUUGAAAAAUUUGACAUCCAUUGAUUGAAUUUCUGAAUGUUGACUUACGAUAUGAAAUUUGAUGAUUGCACAUCUUUGCAUUGUGAACGAAAUAUUACCUUUGAAUCAAGCAUUUCAUGAAUCACCAAGAGAGUUUAGCCUAUGGCUAGGCAGACACAUGUAACCUCAUUAUGAGGUGGUGCUUACAUUUCGUAUUGGCUCUCUCGAACUCUAUCCAAAAAAAUCCACGGAGUUAUGCCUAAGUCUUGAAGGGAAAAAUUGUCUUAACCUGAUAACUCUUAUUAUUGGGACAAGGAUUUUGAUAUUUUAAUUUGAUUGUAUGGAAGGGGGACAGUUAAAGAACCUUAUAUUCUGAACCCUAUGAGCUUAGCAGCAUACUGGAAAAGUAGUUGAGUGGUAUGCUUUGGAAAACAUAUCUUAAGAGACCAGCGAAUAUGCUUUGCUAUCUUGUAGUGUUACAAUUUAGACAUAAAUCAUAAGAUCCCAACCAUAGGUGAGGGUCCCGGCCUUCAUUGCCUCAGGCAAGGAGUGCCCUUGCCUAGAUUUAGUCACCUUGCAAUUUUAGUUGGCCAACCUACCUAGAAGUUCCCACACUUUAAAUUGACUUAAUUAUUCAAAAAAUUAGAAGACAUUGGUUAAAGUUUUCUAUAUUCUUUUAUUUCAAGUCCAUGCUCAUUUUAAUCUUUCACGCAAUUUGAGUUUUGCUUAGCAAACUAGGUGUACUAAAUAGAUCACUUUCACUGAGCAAAAGAGUCCUCACCAAACUUUAGCUGAUUCUUGAUGGAAAUUGUGAAGAUAAUGCGGUUCCUCCUUGACAAUGAUGCCAGCGAAGUUGAGAUUUUUGAAACAUUUUAUUCUCAAAUGAGUGUCUUUAUGCUUUUUUUUUUUUUUUCAUGAUAUUGACCCAUGUUUCCCGGUAUUUUCAGUGGGCCAAACAUGUUGUGCUAGUCUUGUGGGUGAGUCGCCAAGUCUAUUUGAUGUGCAAUUUGGCCAUGUGCAAACAAACGCAUGCUAAGCGAAUUGACUAGAUAAACGUACUUUAGUGCUUUUUCUUUGCCUUCACAAGCGGGUCGGACAAAGACUUGACGAUAAACUUGUCUUUGUUCUAAGCAAAGACAAAAGGCCAUAGAUUUGUUUCUAAUUCAAACUAUGCAAUUCAAUCAUGGUGUGAAUCAAGGGAACAUAAUGGAGAUGCUUUUCUUAUUGCAUUAUUAUUUAGACAUACAUUGGAUUAUAAUAACAUUAGAUGAUUUAUGCAGUAUGAUUCAUAAAAGAGAUGAUUUUAAUUGGUUUGUUAGGUCCACUCAAAUUUGGUGUGACCACAAAGGAAGCAUAAUAAAUCCCCCUUAUUCCUUUUUGUCUAUUUUGUUUUCUGGAAUAAGGAAUUUCUUCCUUUAUUUCUAGGCUAGAAAAAGCAUAUUUCAAUUGCUUUUGUUGUGCUCAUUAAAUUAAAAAAUGAUUAGCUUUUCUCAGCUGGAGCCAAACUUCCAUUCUGCUUUCCUUAAACCAAACAAAUUUUAAUCUAUCAACGAGAAUGUUAUUCAUGACCGAAAAAAAGAAAAAAAAAAAAAGAGAGAGAGAGAUCGAGCUCAUUAAUACUUUAUUUGAGAGACUCGCCAUAUUAAUGAACUUUCUAUUAUUUUGUUCAAUUAAAUAUUUGAUAGUUACGGAAAAAUAAAGGGCAAGAUAUUUAAAAAUUUGUAAUAUACAUAUAUAAUUAAACAAAUGCAAAGGAUAAUAUUUGAAUAUAUUGAGCUCAAGCUUGAACUCAUUUUAUAACAUGAUUGUAUCGAGUCUACUUGAGCUUGAUAUCUCGAUUUUUUCUGGUCAAGCUCAAGCUGGAAAUUGAAUACUCAUAAUCGGGUCUUCUUUUUAUGGAAGAAAAAUCUAAAAAUGAAAAAAGAAAUGGUGUUUUUAAUAUAUUUGAAAUUCCUACAAUAAAGAAAAACUAAAAAUUUGAAAUUGUUAAUUAAGAUAACGGAAUCAUACAUUGAAAUAGAAAAACUAAAAUGAAAGGAAAGUUAAUGAAUUUAGAGCCACCAACAAAAUUGCAAUUGAAUGAUUUAGAGCAAUUUUGUCUUUUUAGUGAAAAUUUGGUAAAUUUAAUUAUAUAGGGAAUGGAUUUCUCCAUCGACUUUUUGGCAUGGAUCAGGUGAGGCUUCGUAAUCACUUAUCAAGAAAAUGUAUGUAACUCAAGAAAUAAAUGCAGGCUUUUAAGGUAAGAAUGCAUAAAUUGCGGGAAUGGGAAUAAACUCUGUUGUAUGUGCUCUUUGAAGAUACAAACUUCUGAAAAAUCGGUCCUGAAUGAGCAGGCUGAAGGUGCUGGUGAAGGAGAUGUUUGUUGAAAUUUUGGAUUUUUCUAUUUUUUUUGGGGUCUUAGAGUGCUUGUGGUGAUUGGCGGGAUGAUGCUUGCAGGCUGCAGCAAUACAAGCUGGUCGAGAUGAAACUCCUAGCUCAACAGAGGGAUCUUCAGGUGUGUUGUUGAAUUCUGCUAUGUCAGUUUGGCGUAAUCGCUGGCUUUCUCUAAUUCGUAUUUUUGCUGGCAAAGGUUUCCUGACUUUAUCGAUGCUAGUUUGGGAUUUGUUAUUAUCGACAUCCCUUUAGAUGUUUGUGUAUAAUUUCUCAUCGACUGAUUCUUUUGUAUCGUUAUAUCUGCUAUUGAAUUCGCUGUUGAGUUACAUUUUGUCGUUCAUUUUCUUCAAGUGAUCACAGACAAAGAUCCAUAUUCAAAUGCACUAUUGAAUACCGUAGACACUAUCCCUCCUGUCUGCCCUUGUGCUAGCACUGGACCUUCUUUCUUUCUCUUCCUUUUCUUUGGUUUUUUCUUUUUUCAGUAUAGUAUAACCUAUGCAGUGUUGAAAUGUUGCGCAAUGGUUACCAUGGAGGUGGGCGUACGUGCAUGUGUGGGUAGACCCUUUUUUAGAACUUUGAAGCAUUUAAGUGUGCAACUUUUGUCUUGAUUCUUAAGAGGUAUAAUGACAUGAUUAGAGAUAUUGAUACCAAAGCUUUAAUCACAAUGAAUAUUUAGUUUCAGGAAAUAAGAAAUGUACUAGGUUGAGACAGACAAUUUUGUCUUUCAGAAAUUGAAAGUUCCGUCCUGUCAUGAUCUAUUUUAGAAUCGUCGGCUCAUCCUCCGAAAAUUUUUCGGAGAUUUCGAGAUUUUUACGGAAAAAUUGAUUCGGACGUUGCGAAAAAAUAGUGAAAAUUCAGAUGGGCCAAAUUAAAGGAAAUUUGGACUUCCAAGCAGAGCCUUUGAGCGUCAGAGACUUACAGAAAAUUGUUCAGGAUUUUUCUUCAACGAAAUCGGACGUCGAUUGGAGAAUUUCGGGAAGAAAUUGAAUCUAAAGUGAUGAAAUUCGGACCUUAGGAUGGGGGUGUGCAACAUUGGUACCAAUUUGGAUAAUUGUGGAUUUAUACUUCAAAAAAAGUAAUUGGGGGACUAUAAAGGAUAAACAUGAAGACUUUAUAUGCCGAAUCACGAUGAUUUAGAUAUUUUUUAUUGGACUUUUUUGUGCCCCUUUCUCUAUCCCCUUCGCACGCCUCAUCCAUCCCUUCUUCAUCGUGCGAAACCUCUCUCUUUCAUUGCAACCCACCGAACCAGCUGAUCACACUUUCCUUUCAUUUGCUUCUUUUUUUUUCUCUCUCUCUUUCAUUGCAACCCACCGAACCACCUGAUCACACUUUCCUUUCAUUUGCUUCUUCUUUUUUUUUUUUUUUUUUCUCUCUCUUUCAUUUUACUUCAAGCACCCCAUGUGAGCCAACCUUCCAACAACAAACUUUGGUUUGUUGACCGCCCCAUCAUCUUCGGUUUUGCUCCACCGAAGCAGCUCCGUGUCCCACGCGUCCGAAGCUGCCUCUUCUUCCUUCGCACGCGACUUCCCCCUUCGCAGCUUCUCUUUCUUUUUUCUGUUUCGGCUCUCUUUCACUUUUCCCUUGAAGCAGCCCCUUUCUUCGAACACUGCAGCUCCUUCCUCUGAAAUUUUGAGCCCACGUUCCUCUGCCCACCAGUGGCCGAAGCCCACCGAUCUUCUCUCUCUCGCGUUGCUGUCCCCACGCCGGUCAGCUCCAGCAAAUCUUCUCCACCUUUGUUGACCCAACAGCUCCCUUCGUGCGCCAGCUGCCAGCGCUACCAGCCUGCUUCCAUUUGCUAGUUCGUGAGUCCAGCGAAGCCGAAGCAGCCCAGCUUCCACGCCCAUGAGAUCCACCGAAUUAGCAGGCCCAUUCUGUGCAGCCAUCUGAAGCCGAAGUCCAGCCCAUGCAGUUCUUUUCUUCAUCCCAUCUCCAGCAGAAUUUCAAUCCAUGAGCUCAGGCCCAAGUUCAGCCUAAGUUUCCAGCUCACUUGAGGCCCGUGCAGUCAAGCCUGCGAUUUUGAGGUCCACUUGAAGGCCGUGAAGCAGCCCAACUUGGAUCCAGCCUAAAUCAAGAACAAAUCUCAGCUUGGGCUGAGAUUUGUUGGGCCGGUUCUAGGCCCGGUCCAAGCCCGUUGACGCCGCCGCAAACCCAAGUUUCGGCCGUCGUCGUGUCGUCAUCUCGGUGAACCGGCUUCUGCAAUAAAUCGGUGAGUUUACACAUUAAACUCUUUUUAGUAGGCUAAUAAUGUUUAAGGGGUGUCUAGAUUUAUUUAAGUGCAAUUAGUUUAAUUAUUAAGUUAAUUAGUUAAAUUAGGAUAGUUAGAUUAAGUGAUUAGGUGGUUAGAAAUUUAUAGUUAAUUAGAUUAGUGUAUUGUUAUAUAGCUAGGGUGCUUAGAAUAAUUUCUUUAGCUCAAUAGGUGGUUAAGUUAAAUUUAUUUAGCCUAAGUUAGAAUUUUAGUAUUUAAUGCAUUUAUUUAAUAAAUUUUAGAAAUUAUUUAAUUAUUAAAUAUUUUCCGGAAAUUAAGCCGGGGUAGCCGGUGACCGAAAUUUCGUGCUAAUUGCAAUGGUGUGGUUAAUUUCUGCAAUCGAGUGUUAAAUUGUGAAAUUUGAGUGUUGAUUGAAAAUUUGAUCAAUUAUUCUAAAAUUGGUGAAUUUUGACAUUUAUCUAGAAAAUCCUGGGUGUCGGGUUUUAAACACCAAAAAUGGUUUUAUAUACUAUAUAAACUAGUAGGAUUUUUUUUUUUUUAAAUAGGGUUAUGAAUUUUCCGAGUCCAAUCUGACCGUGUACUCACACAUGACUAUUUUCAUCAGGUGUUUUUAAUACGAAGGAAAUAGGCCAGAAUCACUAUUUUAAUUGAGGCAUUUGAGUGCAAUGCACGGUGUCCUGGGCCGAGAUUAAGUGGUUGUGUGUUGGUUAAGAGAACCCGUCCCCGAACUGUGUUGGAUGGAUGUUACAUUAUAUGGGAUACCCAUUUAUUGGAUUUUGGGGUGUAGUAGAGGCUAGAUCUAUACUCCUUCGGGAAAGUAGUCUUUGAGAGACAUAAUCGUGCUCAAUGGGGUGAGACGAUGCCUGGCUACGCUAGUAGACCGCCAAACUUCUACUAGGCCAUACCCUAGAGUGGGCGAAAUUAUCAAUUGGAACGCAUGUUGAGUGGAGUAGAUGCGCCGAAUUAUGGGACAAAAUUAUGUGACAUAGUAUGGGACGUGUCAUAAUAAUUUAGCCCUAUAAUCUGGACCCCUGUGAUUUAUUGAGUUGAGUAAUGCGUUUCAAUUGUUGUGUGCAUUGAUUUUAUGCAUAAUGUGUAUAAACUGUGCUGACCUGCAGGGUGAAACUGAGGCGAGGUAAGUCCUCUAUGCUAAAUGCGUGAUUGAGUGGUUAGGACACCUUUAGGUGUAUUUCCCUCCUAAUCGGGGUAUAGAGUGUGAACUCGCUAAGAUUUAUAUCUCACCCCGUCGUGGGUUAAAUUUUCAGAGUCGUCGAGUGGAAGACCUGAAGCCGAGAGGAGGUGAUUAGAAGUGUAGGUUACUUAGGACUGUUUCUUUUUUGGAAAGCUAGUCUGUGUAGUCUUUUGGUCAUAGACCUUGUACAUGACUCAAUGUGUAUAUAAAAGUGUGUUUUGUUUGUGAAAUUGUUGUCCUGCUUUUUUAUCAGGGGAUUUAUUUUCGCUUCCACAUAUAUAAUCAAACGAAAAGGGUCGGCGACUCAUCUAGGAAGUCGCAAAAUUUUAUCGACCAAAGAGGGAUGGGCAUGCGCUCGGGGUUCGGGGCGUGACAAAUUCGAUUCUAUUUUCAAUUUAGAAUAUGUGGAUUUUUUUUUUUUUUUUAUAUUCAGUACCAUAUCUCCAAAGGACAUUUUAAUUCGAUCUCAAUUGUUGAGUUAAACCUCAAGACCAUCUCAACUUGUUCAUUGUAUAAAAAUUCCUAUGUGACAUCUAAGAUUGAAAGAAACCCCAUUAGAAUAAGUCAAUUUUGGAUGGUUGAUCGUCAAGACUAAAAAGCAUCUAGCAUCGAUUCUUUAUCCCAUGCUCACAAUCACAUUACAUCUAUUGCUUGCUAUUAAAUGCUUGUUUUGUAGAAAAGAAAAAAGAAAGGGUAAAAGUCAUCAAAAAUCCUAAAUUAUAUUUACUGUGAUACAUUUACUCUAAUUUUUUUUUUGUGACACUAGGAACCUAAACUUGUAUCUAUAUAACACAUUUAUCUCAAAUUUGUACAGUGAGACACAUUUAUCCAAAACUUCUUUUUGUGAUACCAAAAAUCCUAAAUUUGUAUUCGUGUGACAUGUUCACCCUUAAAAUUUGGCAUCGAUUUUAAUGUUACAAAAAACAAUCUAGGAUAAAUAUGUCGCACAGAUAUAAGUUUGGGAUUUUUAGUGUUGCAAAAAAAAUUUGUGGUAAAUGUAUCACACGGGUAAAGUUUGGGAUUUUUUUUUGACUUUUUACCUUUUAUUUCUUUUUUUUCUUCUCUAUAUGGGCUAAAGAACGUAGAUCUUUAUACGUUGACAAGCAAUGAUUCACCUUUUCUCUCACCACGAUGAAAAAGAUUUCUUUUUGUCACGCCCUAAAUCUUGAGUGUGCGCACAUCCCUCGGUGAUCGAUAAAAUUACAACGUCCCGGGACGUGUCGCUGACCCAUUUAUUUUAUUGUACAUGCGGGAGCGAAUAAACAAAUCCUCAUACAACACAAAUAUGGGAUAGAAGAGCAGGACCACAAUUUCACCAAAAAGCAAAUUUUCAUAAACAAACUAGUCUGUCUACAAAAAGAUCGGCUUUAAAAAAGAAGCUGUCCUACGAACUACUAGUCAGACACAUUUGCCGAUCCUUCGGACUCCACCUCCACAGCUUCGGGGGCUUCGGGUCCUCCACAACCCCAUCAAGAGGGUCAGUUGCACCCUUGCCUGGAGCGGCGUUGACCGCAAUGACAGGGAUAUCAAAACCCUAAAGGGGACCUUUCCUAUAUCCAUUGAGCCCAUGGCGAAACCACACCCUGAAUCGAUGAGGUACCCUUUGAGGUAAGCCCUCAUCAACCCAGAUAGUGGUCACAACAAACUCAUGGAUCCAGUGACUCUCGGGGAUAGGGACAUCUAUACUCCACUCAAUAACCCCCCGAGGCUAUCUAAAAGAACCACGACCAGGGUGAGACAACGUCUCAGCAAGUCUACUCCCUAAACCCGAAUUUAGAAAGAAAAUACUCCUAGAGGUAAUCUAACCACACAUCACAGAAGACUUACCUCGCCUCAAUUCCUUCCUGCACGUUAGUACAGUUCAUAUCACAAAUAAUUGCAUUAAAAGCACUCAUCAAUCGGGAUGUCUCAACUUAUAACCCGAACAAUUACAAGGGUCUCGAUUAUAAAGCCAAAUCAUUAUGACACGUCCCAUUCUGUGCCACACAAUUUUGUCUCAUAAUCAAUUGCGUCAAUUUCAAUCAAUCAUGUGUCCCAAUUGAUUACGACCCAAUGGCCACGGUCGACUCAACAAUCAACAGUCCUUCGGCGUAGCUGGGCGUCGUCCGGCACCAUCGAGCACGGCAACGUCUAUAUCUAGACAACAUUCCAUAUAGGAGCAUUGGCCUAGCCACCAUUGCGAUUGGCAUUAGUUGACUUGGGGCAUUCCCGAAGGAGCAUUUUCUAGCCCCAAAGGCUCGUGACGGGUUCUCAUAUCAUUCAUGCACCCAUCCAAUCCCGGCCAAGACAUAGUGCUUUGCACUCAAAUGUCCCAAUUAAAAUAAUGUAUUUGGCCCAUUUUCUUCGUAUUAAAAACACACGGUAAAAUAAUCGUAUGUGGGUACAUGGUCAAUUUAAACAAGAAAAAUUAAUAUCCUUCCUUUUAAAAUCCCACUUUUUGAUAUAGUCUUUAAAAACAUUUUAGGUGUCAAAACCCGACACUCGGUAUUUUCUAAUUAGAUACCAAAAUUUCAUAAUUUUAAAAUAAAUACUCAAAAUCACAAUCAUCACUCAAUUUGCACAAAUUAACAAUUAAUUGCAUAAACUAAGCACACCAUUACAAUCAGCACGAAAUUCCGGUCACCGACUAUCCUAGGAUAAUUUCCGGAAUAUUAUUAAAUAAUUAAAUAAAUGCAAUUUAAUCCAAUUAAUGCAAACCUAGGUUGGAAACGCUAAUUUAACCACCUAAACGGGCCUAGAAAAUUAAUGCACUUCUCUACAUAAAUAGUACAAUCUAUUUAGCCCUUAGUCAAUCUAUUCUAACCACCUAACCAUCAUAAUUAAGAAAAUUAAAUUAUUAAUAAAAACUAACUAACCACCUAAGCCAUACUUAGCCUAAUCUAAUUACAUAUUAAACAUCAUUAACUCCCUAAGCAUAGUUUAGCAAGUAAACUCACCGGAUUAGCGAAUUAGUGAGUCCAAGUCGAUGAUGAUGUAGAGGCGGGCGACACACAAGCUUGCAGUGACACCGAGUGAGGUCCGGAAGAGACCUAAAACGGGCCACGAAGCCCAACAGCCACUGCUGGCCUUCGGUUCUGUCUAAGGACCAAAGGGGCUGGGCCAAGCGACUGGAUGGGCUGGAACAGCCAAAGCGAGACGGCGGCGACUGCUGUAACAUCUUGAAAUUUUCAGUUAUACUUUCAAUUAAAUUAAUCGUGCCUUUCAUCAACGUGCCUAUAGUGCUAUUCUCAGAGUUGAUCACUUCUGAGAUAAUUUGACUAUCUGGGGAAGUCAUUAAGGGAUUUUAAUGCAUUAGACUUAAAAAUUUGACUAGAAAUCGGCUAUUUGAUCGUAUUCAUUAACAGAGAUCAUUACGGCAUAGUUAAAAGUCAAUUAGAGAUCAGAGAUAGGUUGGUUCAACAGAGAUUUGUGGCUAAACAUGGGUGAUUCCACUUAAUUAUAAAAUUCUCGUCGACUGACACUAAACUGAUUUUUCUGUCGUUUUGGUACCAUGUGUCCAUAUUCGAAACCUCGAGAUUUUCAUAACCACCGAGAGCCACCAAUAUGUCGAAGAGGUUCAUUAUGACUUCAAGAAAAUCGACAGCGGGUUAUUUGCACUAAAAAUUCCUGAAAACUAUCCAAUAACCUAGGUCACGCUAAAAUCGCGACAUAUUGAAAUUAACCGCGAAUUUGAAUCUGAUUUCAUAAAUUGAAAGUUCUUUCAUGUCACAAUUCAUUUUAGGAACGUCGACUCAGUCUCCAAAUAUUUUUCUGCAAACCGAGAUUUUGGCGGAAAAAAUCGAUAUAGGGCCGUUUUCGACCGAAAAAUGUGGAGGACUAUUUUUUUAUCGCAAAAGUGGGAUGCAAGUAGGAUCUAUUGGUGAGGAAAAAUGCCAAGUUGAUCGAGAACUCAACGGUUGAAUUUUUAGAAGCCAAAUGGAGUUGAUUCAAAGAGGAAUUGAAGUCCAAUUUGGGGAAAUUCCAAUCAAAAUUCAUAGCUCCCCCUUGGACCCAAUAUUUGGACCACUCCAAGGCUUCUAGAGGAAGAGUUGGCUGCUAGAAAUUGUAGAGGAAUCCAGCUGGGCAUUGGUGGGACACACCAAGGGGACAAAGAGAUGAGAGAGAGGCCAAUGUGGCCCCCCUUGUAGCUGUCGAUUCCCCUCCUUCUCCUUUCUUCAGUCGAGCCUCCAUUUCCAGCAGCUAGAAGACUUCAAAAUUUCUAGCAAAACCAGAGAAACUGCAGCCCCUUCCCCCUUGACCGUUCGAGCAAUCCGCCGGAGCCCAGAGCCACUGUCGCGCCAUUCGGCCGUCCGCCUAGCCACCGCAUGCCAGCCUCACGCCCGCACGUCUCUUGCUGUCAUCCCUGCCCGUUCGCACUUCUAGCAGCUCACCAGGCCAGGUCGGGCCACCGUUGGAGCUUCCAACACCGCUAUACGCCACCGCCUUCGCCCGUCCAAGCCGCAGCAGCCUCAUCGUGCCCGUUUCUAGCUCAACCGACCACUGGAGUAGUCUUCUCGGCCCUUGACCAGAACCGGAGCUAGUGGAUUUCCAGCCUACUGUUUGGCCCGUUUUCGAGCCUUUCCCAGCCCCGCUUGGUGGUCCCGCUUUAGAGUUUGUUGAUCCUCUCUGCGUCCCUGUCAUUGUGGUUCAAGCGGAUUGUUAAUCAAGUGAGUUUAACUCACUAAUCCCUACUUAGUAAGUUAAUGACGUUUAAGGGUUGAUUAAUUUAGACUAAGUAUGGAUUAUGUGGAUAGUUAGAAUAGAUUAGUGAAUUAAUUUAUUGUUAUUGUAUAUUAGGUGGUUAAAGUAUUGUAAUUAGAGCCUAGACAAGCUCUAGUAUUUAUCUAGAGUAGUUUAUAAAUUUUCCGGGCCCUUCUCGGCUUUUAUUUAGGCUUUUCUAGCUUAAGUGGUAUUUAUUGGUAUUUAAUAAUUAAUUUUCAUAAUUAUUUAAUUAAUUAUUAUUUUUCGGAAAGUAGACCGGGAUAGCCGGUGACCGGAAUUUUGUACUGAUUGUAAUGGUGUGAUUUUUUUAUUUAAUUGACUACUAAUUUGUGCAAUUGAGUGUGAUUUGUGAUUUUGGGUAUUUAUCCCAAAUUUUAUUUAAUUUAAGCAAUUAAUUAGAAAAUCACCGGGCGUCGGUUUACAACGCGAAAAAUGAAUUUGAGGACUAUUGAAAUUAGUGGGAUUUUCAAGGAGGAAAAUAUUAUAUUUUGGCUAACGCUGACUGUGUACUCACACACGAUUCUUUUUAUCGGAAAUGAUAAAAAUGGUGAAAUGGUUAGAUGAUUAGAAUGGUAUACUAUAUCAGCUUGCGGGCUCGAUAUGUCAGUUUAGAGUGAGCAGUAUAUCGAUAUAUUAUAUCAGCUUGCGGACCUCGAUAUGUCAACUUAGAGGGAGCAGUGUACCUUAACAGCUUCUGAUGAGCAUUAUUAGUAUACUAUAUCAGCCUGUGGGCCUUGAUAUAUCAACUUAGAGCGAGCAAUAUAUUAUUUAUCAGCUUAGAGUGAGCUAUACUAUCUAUUUAUUAGCUUCGAGUGAGCAGUCCUGGUUAUGAUCGAACUUUAUAGAUAGUAUUGAUUGAGAUGACCGGGGAAUAGUCUUGAUGAUAUGAAAUCGGCUGAGUCAAUUGAUCGAUUGUUCAAUAUGAGUGGAUGAAUUAUUGGUUGAAAUGAUUGAAUGGUUAUUUGAAUUGUACUAACUUGUAGGAAGAAAUUGAGGCAAAGGUAAGUCCUUUGACCCGUGCUUGUGCUUACACAGCCCUAAGGGCGUAUGUUCUUCCUAGUCGGGUCUUAGGGGGUGAACUCGCUGAGACGUCGUCUCACCCCAUUGUGGGAUAACCCUUCAGGUCCAUAGAUGGUAGCUUCUCCCGAGCAUUAACUUCCAGUAAACUCUACUAGUCAUAGGGGCCAUUGGGUAUUAGAGCUUUGGUUCAAUGGCUCCUCCUAUAGGUGGUAAGGUAGGGUGGGUGGUACCGCUCAGAUUGCGGCCAAUCUUCCUAACCGCGUAACUUUAUGUUUAACUGGUAUUGACUAUAACUGCUAUUGAUCUCCCACUACACAGUCAGUAAUAGAAGAAGGAGCAAAGAGUCUACUAUACCUUGGCCCCUCCUUCUCUAAUCUUUAGAUAAUUCUCAUGGAAUGUCUCCAGAAUGAUCACCCGUGUUGACACCAUUAACAGAGUCUACAUUCUAACCAGAAAAUCUUGGAAUAGGUGGUUCUCUCUCCAACUUGCUGGGGUGACGAAUUAUCCUCGUUGGCCGAGGAACGACUCUUCUAAUUUCUUGUUUUUGCCAUUAACACUUCCUAUGAAUGGAACACAACGGUCUCAUUGGGUGUGCCAAAAAGAUGUUUGUCGAGGGAAGUUCCCUCAACAAAAUCUUUCAUCAAAGGGGCAAAGUUUCGACUUUAUUAUUUAAAAUGGAUUAUGUGUCACUCAGGAAAGGAAGCAACCGAUCUAAAUUACAGGCAAACAUAGAUGCAGGAAAAAAAAAGGAGAAAAAAUAAAACUACGAUUCAAAUUAAAAGUGCGAUCAAAGAAAUAGAGCGAUUGAAAAGUAGAUGAUCAAUUGUUGAUUUGGGAAAUUGACCUUUCUAUUGAUGCCUCUUCGGCUAUUUAUAGUGGCGAUUUAUGGGUAACUACUCUUUAGUGGUUAUCAUUUCAAUAUUCAAAAUGUUUCAGAAGCUUUGGCUCCUUAUCGAUAAUUACUCUGCCUUAUCGAUAUUUUCGUUGGUACCGAUUCCCGUAACUACUUCCUUUCUUGUCUCGCUUGCCUUGGCAAGUUCUAAUGUCACACUGUUCGAAAUCUUCGUUGUUGACUAUUGGCGUUUUGGCCCACUACCCAUGAAUUCUUGUGUGCUAGGCCUGCUUUACUCUCUUCUAUUUCCAAAGCCCAACAAGCAAAUUUUGGAUGCCAACAGAAGCACACGCAAGAAUAUGAGAGGAAGUCGUGGAUCUUUCAAAUUUAUGUCCCCUGAAUGUGACUAAUUGACCAAGAUCUAUAAAAAAAUAUAAGGUAGUUUGAUUAAGCUAAUUAUGAGUGAAAAUAGUACUUCAGCAAACAAAAGGUAAGGUUAGUACAUUAAGCCGUUGAAUGCCUAAGCAUAACACAACUCUUAGCCAGAAAUAGUUCGACUGGUAAUAAUUAUUGCUCAUAUAGAUUCCCAACCAUUACACUUGAAGACAUUCAGCAUGAAUAGUUGAUUGCAUUCUGGAACUCUGCAUAAACAGAUGAACAAAGGUAAGAUUAUUGCUGGAGAAGUAGAAUUUCAACUUUAAUAAUGGGAAUGCUUGAAAUUGCAAUUAUAACCAUUGACAUCAAAAGUGGAGUAAAGUUGGCAGUGAUCUUUGAUUGUGCAUCAUCAGAUAGUCCCUGCUCAAUCUUCAAAACUACAAGAAACAAAGGUGAUACAAAAAGGAGAAAUCUAGGUUAUUGCAUUUGCCUUAAUUAAUUCAGUAAAAAGUUGAGUUAUCAAAUUCCCAAACUGAGCUUAAAACAACAAAGGAAAAAGAAAAGGACUUGUCAUCCGCAUAACAAAUAAGAAUUCAAGAAUAUAAAUGCCUUAUUGGGCAAAUUGAAAUAUCUUCCCUAAUUGUAAUUUAAGAUGAGCAGGAACGAACCAAUAGCAAACAAAUAGAGAAGAAAAUUGUAGUUUCACUCUCUUUUGGAGGUGAACAUUAAAGAGAAUUGAUGUAGAGAAAAAUUGAGUUAAUUGAUUGUUCAAAAUACCUCUUGUCAAACCUAAUUUUGUAUGUUGACCAAAAAAAUAAUAAUUUUGUCUAGUGUACCUAACAUUACUUAAAUAUUUUUAUGGAUCAAAGGGACUAAUUAUAUUCAUUCCUUUUCUCACCAUGAUAACCCAUGAGAAGUUUCCAUAUUGACAAUUUCAUGAACUGAGCAAAGCAGGUGAGUCACCUAAAUCUUUUAAUUAAGCAAAGUCUUAAUAAACAAAUGAUACAUACCUCAUCCAUCUUUGUUGAACCUCGGGCAAUAACUUACAGUGAGUUCGCAAGAUUUUGGCACUCCCAACAUUCUCUUCAAUGAUUCACAUUGAUUGAAAUCCAAUCUUUUUAGAUUUUGUAAAUUAGAUAGAUCAAAUUCGUUUAAGCUUUUGAUGGAAUUACAGUUCCAAAUCCAUAGCGUCCGCAAUGAUUUCAAUUCUCCCAAACCCUGAAUCUCAAUUAGGUGAGGGAAUUGGCGCAGGUACAAAUGCUGGAUCUUCUUCAAACAAGGCAAAAUGGGCAGAGUCUUAAGUAAUGGACAAUCGAAUAUCAUCAAUUCAUUGAAAUUUUGUAGUUUUCCAAACCCAUCAAAACGAAUCUCACCAAGCCAAUAUCUUUCAAUAAUCAGUCUUGACAAAUUCUCCAAGUUGGAAAAGAGCGACCAAUCUAUUGGUGAUUGGACAUCGACUAAAGUCAACCGUUGAAGGCUAGAUGGAAGCCUGAUAAGAGAUUGAGGGUUGGCAUAACUUACGGAGAGUUCUUGUAACUGAGAGAGGGAACUCAAAUCAGUUGGAGGCAAGGUCAUUUUUCCAACCCACAGGGUCAACUUUCUUAGAGCACUUGCUCUCAAAAGCCCCUCUAUGUUGGGUUCUUAUACUGUUGUUCCGAUUAUAUCAAGAUGAACUAAAUUGGUUAGAUUGGAGAAGUCAGGGAUUGUAGUCAAUGAGUCCAAUGAAAAGCUUAACGACUUUAGACUCUUAGGAAGCUCUGGCAACUGUUGAAUUGACCUACAGUCCCAUAAAUUAAUUUUUUGGAGAUUUGUAAGCCGAUUGAUGGUUGUUGGCAAUCCACUAAAACAGCCACCUGAUAAAUCUAGAAUUUUCAAUGAGGAUAGUGCCCCAAUUUCACUUGGAAUUUCCCCCUCCAAGUGUUCACAUGAGGCACUCAACUCUUCCAAAUUUUCCACUGUUCCUAUAGUUUUCGGAAGUUCACUUAUGCGGCUAUGAUCUAGAUUUAGUGCCUUCAACUUUUUGAGAUUUCCAAUACAAUCAGGUAAGCUCCUGAUGUGUGAAAGACUCAAAUCCAACUUGACCAAUGAUUGGAGCCUCCCAAAUGAGUUUGGUAGCUUUUUUAAAUAGCCAUUUGGGAUCAUAAAAAUUUCCAACCUUCCUAAGUUCCUAAUGGAAUAAGGUAAUUCACUCACACUUGUAUGUCUGACAUUCAACUCAAGUAGUGAUUCCAAUUGUCCAAUAGAAUCAGGGAGUUUUUGCAAUUCCCAACAUGACAAGAUUAGAUGCUUCACAUUCACUAAAUUACCAAUUGAGUAAGGCAACACUGAAAGUUCUUGAGAAAAUAUUUCUAAGUAAUCAAGAUGUUGUAAAACACCGAUGGACUUGUCGAUCUUUCCAAGUUGAUUGCAUCUAAGGAUUAAUCUCUCUAACUUGGAGAUUGUGGAGAACUUUGGUGUCUUUCUAAGUAAUGGACAAUCCAGGAGUUUUAGGACUUUCAACUGUUUUGCUACCUAUAAAACAAUUAAGCUGAAAUUAGAAAAGAAAAAAGAGUAAAUGUAAUGCAAAAAUAUGUCAUGAGAUCAUACCAUGAUUUGACGCCAUCCUCCCCAGUCUUUAGUAAUAUUAAUCCCAGAAAGCUCAAGAACUGCUAGGUUCUCCAACCCAAAGUUGGCAGCAAGGAAUUUCGAUGGGCAAUUGUGCCAAGAGAGCCAUCUUAACUCGGAGAAAUGAUCCUUAAAGUCUCCUUGGAAGUUUCCAUGGUCCAAUUGAAGGAAUCUAAGAUUGUCCAUCCUUGCAAAUUCCUUGUGUUUAAAUCUAUACGUUGCAUCCGGUUCAGGUGUACCGAGAUUAAGUGCCACUAUGUUCUUAGUUCCCUAGAAGAUAAAAGUAGCAACCAAUGAGUACAUGUGUCAAUUUGAGUUGACGUUAGAUCUAAAAGGUAAUGAUAUUGAUGGAUGGAGUGGAAAACAUUUAGAGGUAAAACUUACCUUUUUUCUUUGCACCAAAUGGAAGGCAUCCUUGGGUAACCAUAGUCUACUACCCCUUAAACAUAUGUUGCAACUUUCCCGGUGGACAAUAUCUUGCCCGAGGUCUCUAAGUUGGUCAUGCAUCCACAAUUCAUCGUAGUCUAUGAUCUUUAUCAGAGACAUACGUGUGAGGAUAUUGACUUCGAUUUCGGUGGGAUACCCAAAAACCGCAUCCCAAUAUUUAAUUGCAGUUGUUUUCUCUUGAUUAAUGAAGAAACAUGCAAUAUCAAGAUAUAUUUGUUGCUGAUUAGGGUCCAAUGCUUCAUAGCUUAUCAUCAACUUCUUCUUGACAUCCUCGUUCAUCACCUUCUUUAACUUAGAUAGAACAUUUUUCCAUGUACUUUGGCAUUUUCCACAGAGUGUGGAACCUACGACGUCAAGAGCCAAUGGAAGUCUUCCAAGUGCAUUGAUUACCUUUUCUGAAAUAUCGAUGUAAUCAACCGGAGGCUUGGCACAUCCCAAGGCACACUCACAAAAAAGUUGAAGAGCAUCAUCCCAAUUCAUCUCUGGCAUAGUAUAGAAUGAAAAAUGUGUAGUAUCUAAGAUUGGGGCAUUGUGGUCUUCACCUUCCUUUACUAGGAAUUCAAUGUUCCUUGUUGUUAUGAUGAUUCUAGUACCCUCACUAUACCAGUUUGGCUUACCAACAAGUCUCAUGAUCUGGUCUCGGUUGUCGAUGUCAACAAGAACAAUGAGGACUUUCUUCCCAUGGAGCCUCGUCUUGAUCAAGUGAGCCCCUUCAUCAAUGAAGGAGAGGUUUAUACAAUUGAGUUUGAGGACAUCAGACAACAAUUUUUUUGUAAAUUUAUUAUAUCUUGAGUCCGGACAUCUUUAAGAAAAUAGCAAUGACCUGAAAACUGAGGGGAGAUUUGCCUAAAGACAGCCUUGGCCAAUGUUGUCUUUCCAAUACCACCCAUACCAUGAAUCGCGAUGAAUCUCACAUCAAAUGCUACUAGAUCUAACUGCUCCAUAAUUUCAUCCAUCUGAUCCUUAAUUCCCACCAAAUGAUCAGACAUGUCUGUCCGUCUUGUCCAUAACAAAUUAGAAACUUCCUUGAUCGUGAGAUUCUUAAGUUCAUCUAGGCUGUCACAUAAUAUGCAACCAUCUCAGAUUCAAAAACAACAUAUAUGGAAACUUUGCACGCAUUUCAUGGCACUGGAAGUUUAUCACUGAGUUUAAAGUUAUUUUCUUUGAAAGAAACGAAUAUACAAAAAGUGAUCUUUCAAGCUGCAAGCUGUUUGAAAACCAAAAAACGAAGAAAACAUAUAUAUUCUGUUUUUUUUUUUUUUUGUUCGGCAGAAAAGAUAUACAUUCAAGAGGAGGUGGAGGGACCUUAUUCACAAUUGGAAGCUAUUGCUGUCAAGGUUCUUUGGUCCAGUAAAUGGUGAGAAAAGGUUAUUUUGCGACUGAGGGUCUAGUUGAGCUUCGACUAAAAGUCGCUCCAGCAUAUUGUCACCGAAUUAGAUCUACACAUGGUUGUGUUUGAACAGGUUGUGCACCUCCAAUCCAUUCCAUUCCCUUACAUCUUAUGGAAAAAUUACCAAAUCAAUAUUAAAUAUAUUAAAUACCAUUUUAGUCUAAAACUUUCUAAUAUAAACCUUUACAUAAAAUUUCAGUGUUGUAUAAUGUCAAGCAAAUAUUUAUGACUAUAUUGAAAAAAUUGAAAUGUUUAAAAUCAAAUUAACAUUUGUACAAUUUUGGAUAGAUUUGAUAAUUAUCCUCCAUUUCAUUUUAUACUUUUUACACCAGUUAGUUUCUUCUUGUUGCACAGAGCUGAUAUCAAGACCUCCAGAAGUUUGGCUAAAUAUCAAGUCCUUGGUAAACCAGUCUUGAUCAACUCUUCAAGCAUUUGGGAUGAGUUUGAAGGUUAACGUAAAUAUUAAAAACAAAAAACAAAAAACUCACAAAGCAGUUACCUUUUAGUAUUAAAGUUAGUAAUUUGGUACAAGACUUGGUAAUUUUGAAAUGUGGAGUAAACGAUGUGGUAAGUUGCAAAAAUAUUGUAAAUCGACAAACGAUCUAAUAAACUUAAUAAAUAAUUCACAUUAAAGCCGGUACGCAAGAACUGGUCAGUAAAUUAAUGUAAAAAAAAAAAAAAAGGUUGGUAAGAUACGAGUUAAAGUUCGUAAUUUCAUAUGAAAACUGACAACUAUAAAACUAGGGAUGGGCAUGGGGUAUGGGAGAUCUACACCCCGCGGUGGCCUUUUUGGACGAGGCAAAAUUCUGUCUUGAAAAUUGCCUCACAGGGAAUUUUACUCUCGGCACAGUUGGGCAUGGGCACUAAUAGGCCAGCCCUUCCUGUUCUCGAGGAUUGAAACUAUUACUGUGUUUAAUGAAGGACGGAAACAAGGGUUUAAUGAAGAAAGAUGAAAGUAAGCAUAGAAUAACGACUAGGGUUUAUAGAAAAACUAUCACAAACUAGGGUAGAAAGUAGUUACAUAUCUCAAGGUAAUUAAAAUGAUUAAAUUUCUUAUCCAUUUUCUAGAGGUUCCUAGAUUUCUCUAUCCGUAACUAGAACUACCUAGAAGUCCCUUAAUUGAAUUUUUGGUUUAUUAAGAUCUGGGGCCAAGAAUAGGUCCAUGGUUAAAGCAAGGGCAAUAACCAUUUUUUUUUUUUUCACUUUUUACUGGACAGAAAUGGGUCCAAUAUUGGCAAACUUUAGAUCACUCGUAGACGAAUGUUCAGUUUAAGGCUGUAGAUUUUGUCUAUGAACAAUUGGCCACUAGAGACGCCAAUGACCCCUGCCCCACUAUGAUGAAAGUAAAAGCCCAAGAUUGAUAAUACACCUAAAUCUAAGUCAGUUCUUCACAAACUAAUUAAGAUGCGAUAAGAUGUGUACUAGAGGAUUGAACAUCUAACACAUGCAGAAAUCUUUUUUUUUCUUUGUGCUCUUUUGGAUAAUGGCAUGCAAAGAUCUUUUUAGUGUUUGGUCUUGUAUAUUCAGACCAAAUAGGAAAACCAUGACCUAUAGCUUCCUCUUAUGGGUAUGUAAAACUAUCAUUAUGAAGAAGCUCUGUUAUUUUUGUGUAACUCAGGGGUGUGACCAUAAUUAGCCGGUUACCUCAAGCAAAACAGUAGCAAGGCAUAUGAAUUCCCUAAGGCCGAAAAGGAAUCCACAAGGAUCGCUUUCUUCCUCUUGGCCGUGGAUUUUUGGAUAUUGCAAAGACUUAGUCUAUGCUAUAAUUUCUUUUUAUUCCCGCACAUUUUUACGUCUCCCUAAAGCACAUCAAACACUAACAACUAUUAACUAACACCGACCAUUAAUGGCUCGGAACACAUAAAGAAGCUCGUUAUUGAGCCCUCUUAUUUUGGGCCGAUUCUUCUUCAGCUUUCAUUAGCAUAACAAAAGGAAGAAAUUUACAAGAAAACAUUGCAGGCAUAGGGUUGGGAAAAUUGCACCAAAAGUCCUUAACUUUAGCAAAUAAGUUUACUAGAAGUCCUAAAACUUGUUGUGAAAAGAGAAUCGAGUCAUAAAACUUGCAAAAACCGUAAUCAAACCUUAAAACUUAUCAAAUUAGUUCAAUUGAGUUAUUCCGUUAACUCCGUUCAAUUAAGCUAACUGAAAAUGUUGGCAUGUCUUAUUUUAUUAUUUUCUUAAGACAUGUGGCGAUGAUGUAGCGCCCACCAAGAGCCACAUCAGGAAUAAAAUUUAAAGAAUACAAACAAAAAUUAAAUUAAAAAAUAAAAAAGCUAAAAAAAUUUAAAAAAAAAGAAAAAAAAAUCAAGUCGUGGCUAAGCCUCGCCCUAGGCCUUCUCAAAGCUUGGGGACCCUCGUCUGGGCAUGCCAAGGCCUCGCCUAGGCCCGGCAAAGGCCUAGGCGACCUCCACUAACCCCUCUUGGUGGCUGUGGCAGCGGCCACCAACAAGGGCUUGGCCAAGCCGUGGGGUGAGUUUUUUUUUAAAAAAAAAUUAUAGCUUUUUAUAUUUUAAUCUAAUUUUGCUUGUAAUUUUUAAAUUUUUUCUAAUGUGGCACUUGGUGAGCACCAUGUCAUCGGCACUUGUCUAAUAAAAAAUAAAAUAAGACAUGUUCGCAUUUUCCGUUAGCUAAUUGGAUGGAAUUAACCGAAGGAUUCAAUUGAAUCAAUUCAACAGGUUUUAGAACUUGAUUGCAUUUUUUGCAAGUUUUAAGAUUCGAUUGUACUUUCGUGAUAAGUUUUAGGACUUUCAAUGCACAUAUCCCUUAAGUUUAUGUACAUAAUGCAAUUGAAGUUAAGAAACUUAAUUUAUUUUUUUCACACUUAUAUGGUCUUAUUAUUUUAUCGAAUCUUAGAUCUUCAUGGAUGUCUUGGUUUUUUGGCAUUAUAGAUUAAUUAAUGAAGUCGAUAUACCUUAACACUAAUUGUUAUCAAAACUUAGUAUUAAAAGUGAAAAUUCAAUUUGUGCAAGAAGCCUCGCCAUCUGAGCAAAAUUUCUAGCUCCCCAUUGCGUCAAAUCCAACCAUACAUUACAUAAGGUUCGACAGCAGCAACCUGAAUCUAAUUAUUCUUUAGAGGAAAAAAAAUCGAAGAUGUCAAUAAGAAAAUAAAGUUAUGGAGAAGCAAACAAUACCCAUGAUCUUUUAGAUUCCUUCCUUUAAUUCUGGCAACUGCUUUCAAAGCCUUCUUCCACUUCUUUACUAAAUCCUUCUCUGAGUCACUCUUGUGCUUUUCGAGGGCUUUCCAAUAUAAAUUAGUCUUAAGCUUGACAUCAUCCACAUCCACAUCAUAGAAGAUAGGGAGAAUCACUUUCUCAUCAUUAUCUUUCGAUAACUCCACUAUGCGUGCCAGCUCAUGGAGACACCACUUACUUGAAGCGUAGUUUUUGGAGAAAAUUGGGAUGUAAAUUCUGGAUUCAUUGAUCGCUUGCAAGAGGCUGCCUUCAAUCUCUUCACCAAAUCGAAGCUCUUCAUUGUCUUUGAAAGUGCAGAUCCCCGCGCGGAUCAUGUCAUUGUAGAGAGAAUCAAUGAUGGUUAAGCGGGUGUCAGGCCCUCUGAAGUUGAGGAACACCUCAUAGCCCCUCCUUGAUCUGUCAUCACGGUUGCUGCUCAUUGGAGCUGCCAUUUCCGUUUCUUUUCCCACCCUCUUUCUCUUCAUUCCGUGAGGACAAUGGCUAUUGAUCUCUGAAUUGAGUCGGAUCCUUGUAGCAACCUGACAAAAAGCAACAGAGUGAGAUCGCUCGCUUACUUCCACUACGUUCGCCUGUAAAAAAGACCAUUUAGACUCUCACAAAAUAGGAGGUUGAGGCAACAAUUGAUCAAAGACUUCGAAGAGGAAGAGGUCGUCCCGGGGAUGUUUAUUUUAGCUGAAGUGCAACAUGAUUGAGAGUAUAUGGAAGCAUGUAAUUGAUCAUAUGGAAUUAUCACACGCAUAAACACAAGUUGUCCUGUGUAAGUCACAAUUCUAUAUAGUCAAGCUAGCACUGACCAUGUCUUCAUCUUAUAACAACUUGAUAAACAAACAGAGUGAUAUCACUCACUUCCACUACGUUUGCCUGGAAAUUACUUGCGGCAAAACAAAAAAAACGAAAAAAAAAAAAAAUUAAGCAUUCAGGCUCGCGCCAAAUAGAAGGCCAAGUUGAGGAAAUAAUUGAUGAAAGUCUUCAAAGAGCAGGAGGUUGUCCUGAAAAUAUAUUUUUUUACUGCAUGUUGAUUAAGUGUUGGAUGUAUUGGACAACUUGCCAUUACUUUGUCAUUAGUCAUUAGUGUUCCUUUCGUGUGGAAGUCACCUGCGGCCUUGCUUCAUAAGUAGAAAAAACCAAAUCAGAGUCGCAUCAAAUAGGCGGCUAAGGGAAAUGGUCUGACCAACUGGAUGAGUGGAGUCCUCGAACGUGGUCAGUGCAUGACCCGAGAUUCGAUGUAUGUGAUAAUUUUUUUAAUAAGUAUUGUCAAUUUUUUUUUUUUAAAAAGGCUUUCCGGUAAAACCAACUCCACUUUUCGACAAAAUUUGCAUAUAUUCAUUGAAUGCCAUGGAUUCAUUUUCUGAAUGUUGACUUGCGAUAUGAAAUCUGAUGAUUGCAUGUCUUUGCAUUAUGAACCAAAUAUUACAUUUUAAUCAAGUAUAUCAUGAUUAUGCAUGUUGUCGCAGCCCAGCUGAGGUGAACCUUGAGAGAAUUUAAUUAAUUGCUAGGUGGAGACAUAUAACCCUUGUGCAACUUGGCGCUUACACUUCAUAUGGCUCACCCAAAUCCUAUGGACCACAACUUGAUUUCUCUUUUAAUGUAUGAUUUAAUUUUGAUCAGAGCUGUCACUAAUCUAUUCUAGGCCGGUUGUGAGCUAAGUGAGGAAGAAGAGCUCGUCCUACUUCGGCAAAUCAAUGAAUUUGGACGCAAGGACUUGGUUAAGUUAGUUUUGCCUAAUGCCCACCAUCAGUAGCCUUUUUUCUUUUAAUAAAAAAUUAUUUCAUUCAAUAUAUUUUCAGUUUUUAUUUCUUACCAUGUAUAAGUACUCUUACAAUAAAUUUAAACAAUCAAUGAUGAAGUCAAAGAAAAACAAAGAACAUAAAAAAGCAACUUAGGCAGUAUCGGACAAAACAAUACAACGCGCUGUGAACUAUUCAUAGGAAUAGACAUGCACUAGUCUAAUAAAUUAAAAUUUUCUAAUCUAUGUCAUGAGAAAUUAAUUAUAAAUGCAAUAUUACAAAACUAGCAAUAAUAAAAAUUAGUCUCGUCCUAUAAUGUACCGCAAAGAAGCCCUAAACUAAUCAACAUGCUUCUUUUCAUACUCUUUUUAUAUAUUGAUAUGACAAGAUUAUCUAAAUAUAUAUAUGAAAAAAUUAAAGUAAAUUUAAUUGGUGAUAUAUAAUAAACGCGUAAUCAGAAAGAGACGACAUCUAAACUCUAAGCCGGAAGACGGUAUGGGGGAAAUUGAUACCUAUUUGACAUCUCCGUUUUCACAUGUCUGCAGAAAAGACACGUGAAUGCAAACUCAUGUAUAUGAAAAUGCAAUAUGCUGGAAUUUCAUGAAAAGUGACUCGGAAUGUGUAACUAUAUUUUAUGUGAUGCUAAAACGGACUAAUAAACAAAGGGGGAUCCCCGAGUACCGCUUCGGCGAAGAGCAAACCAACCGGGAGUGGGCUGGAUGAACACUGCUCAGACCGAAGACGGUCUGGACAGUGGACAUUCGACCUAUCCCCGAGUUUAAAAACAGACCCGAAGUGGGCCUCGACAAUGCUAGAGCAAUAACAAACCAAAGGGACCAUCGAGGACCAACCUUGAGAGUCUCAAACAGACCAAAAGUGCUAUUAAGCAUUAUCAAACUCGAGUGAAGUUAGAGUCUGAACAUUGACAGUAAUAUGAUAAUAUUCACUAGCGUGCAAAAAGAAUAAACGAAAGUUGAGAAAUAGAAGAAAUUGCACAUAAGAUUUACAGUGGUUCGGCUUAGAGUAAAUCUACGUCCACUCUCCCACACUGACAGCCUCCUAGCUGGAUUUCACAAGUCUCUCAAUAAGAUGUUAUAGAAGGGAGUGACGAUACUCAGGUUUGUGAUAUACAGUCACUCUUUCAAUGCCUAUCAAGGAUUACAAUUUGUAGCUCAUGAAAGACAAGUAUAUAAGAUUGAAGUUCUCUUGGACUUUGGAAUUUUUUAUUUUGACCUCUCUCUUCUCUUUGGUAUCUUGGUCUUCUUCUAUACUCCUUCACUUCUAAUCUAAUGUUGGACAAUUUUUAGAGAAAUGUUAUCCAAUCAACCCAUUGGACAAAAAAGAUUGAGUAACCGUUGACGGAUAAUAUUUUAAUCUCCAUUGAUUUUGUUGCCUGUACAAGCAAAUAUCGGUUUCCAUAAGUAGAGUUCUUCAAUGAAGGAAAAUAGCUUGCCUUUGGAAUGAUUAUCAAUCAAUCAAAGAUGAUUUGCAUAGAGAUUUUGUUGCAAAACAGUCUUUAAAAUUGAAGCUAAGAAUCUGAAAACAUCAUGGAAAUCUAAGCUAGGUCACUAGCUAUGACGAUAUAAGAAGUGGGGUAUAAGCUCUGUUGAUAUCCUUACUCUUGCUCUGAUGACAUUUGCAUACAAGUUUUGCUAAUAUCCUCACUAUUGCUUUGGUGAUAUUCAUGCAAUAAUAUUGAUGAUAUCCAUGAAUUAAUUGUCUUAAACUUCAAAGGUGAUACACGAACAACAAUAGAUAGAUUCUGAAUGUGAUAAAAAAUAUAUAUAGAUUUAUCCUUCAUGAGUAGUUCCUAAAAUAAAACACUUAUACAUUUAUCAAUAUCAAUAUAACCUUUGCUGAUAUCCUUAAUAUUUCCCAUUUCCUACGUGAGGUUGGUACGCUUGUGGGCCCAUAUAGUUAGGCAGUACUUAAUGGCCUUUUGUGCGGGCACCUUUGAAACGGGGUCAUGUACGGAGGAUCCCCACCUAGGUGCGCUUUCGCUUCCAUCUCUUCGUUUCUUUUUAUUUUUAAUUUGGUUUUAUUUUGAUAACUAUUUCUCUUUUCUUUUUGCUUUGGCUAUAUGAGCUCGCAAGGAAAUGAGAAAUGAGAGAGAACCUUUGUUCCUAGCUCGAUCAUGACGGCUGGGAGUCUCUUUGAACCCGAGAAGGGCGCUAGUUGAGUAUGUAAUGUAGACACCGAAGAUUUGAGCAAAGUUGACCGAGAGUCAAACUUCAUUGAAAGUUGAGUCGAAGGGUAUAAUUGGGUUGUACUUGUCUAAAGCUUCCAGAGAUACCCAAUUUACCCAAAUUGAACGGCUACAUCUUAAGAUAUCAAGAUCAGAAUCACAAAGAUCAGAAUUUUAUGGCAAAAAUAUCGUAACUUUUUGCUAAGUUCAUCCAUUUGACCCGGCUGCCCAAAAUCCACAAUCCGAGGUGAACAACAUUUUAGCUUUCCGAUGGGGAAGGAGAGGGUGGGGGGUGGUUUGGGUUCAAUUGUACAUUAUACGGAAAAGUUAUGCUCGCCCAAGUUCAAUCAAAUUUUGGUAAAAAAUGUGUAAACAUUAAUCUUCGAGAUUUAAAAAAAAAAAAAACAAUAUUGAUGCUCCGUCGAAGAGGACAAUUACUGGAAUAUGUGCUACUUAUUUAUAAAACACAUUUCUAUCUUAUUCGUUGUUUAAUUCAAUUACUUCGGCUAAGUUUAAAUUAAUUGUUCUGCCUAAGCCUACAUCCAGAUAUAAUCAUUUUUAGCUUUAAAUGUUGACAUUAUCUAUACAUAGCACAGGGAAAUAACACAUAAGUAGGGGAUGACAUGUAAACAAUUUAUAAGUUCAUUGGGUCACAUGGCAACACAAUGCCUAGUGUCUUGUCACGUCAUAAAUACAGAGCCAUAGAGAAGUGUCUCGUAGCGAGUAUAGAAACCAACUCUCUCUCAACUUCAGCUUUAACUCUGUCAUGGAUUGGGCGAUUUUAGUUGGCUGACCUUCUUCGAAGUUUAUGUACUUUAAUUUAACUUAAUGGUUCAAAAAAAUCGAAAGAUAUUGGUUAAAGUUUUCUAUAUUUUUUAAUUUCAAGUCCACGGUAAUGUUAAUCUUUUACCCAAUCUGAGUUUCGCCUUGCAAACAAAAUGUACAAAAAGGAUCCCUUUUGUUGAGCUGAGAGGGUCCUGAGAGAGAAACUUUAGUUCAUUCUUUUGUGGAAAUUGUGAAGAAAAUGCAGUUCCUCCUACAUAAGGAGAUAAGGAGAUCAAUAAAGUUGAGAUUUUCAAAAAAAAUUAAUAUUGAAUGAGGGUAUUUAUGCUUUUUGAUGAUAUCAACCUGAUUUUCUUGGUAUUUUCCAGGUCUUGAAAUUGCAAAACACGUCGUGCGUGUGAACACACGAACAGAGGAAUCUAUUUGAUGUGGAAUUUGGCUGUGUGCAAACGAAUUGACUAGACAAACAUACUUAGGUGCUUUUGUUUUUGCUUUUGCUUUCACAAGAGGGUCGGACAAAGACUUGAGGAUGGACUUGCGUAUAUUUUAAGCAAAGAAAACUUAUUUCAUCUUUAUUUCUUAAGGAAGUUCACUCUCUCUCCUAAGUCAUAUAGACUUCAUUGGAUUAGUCUUGCUAGUACUCAGAUCCACAUAAAUCAGGUCCAUCACAAAAUUGCUAAUCAAAUAAAUUGUACAUGGAUCACCAAAAAAUAUAUGGAUGUGAUCACAAUGGGUCUACAGACCAUGAUCCAUGCAACUAUUUUCAUGUAAUGGUUAGUUGAUUAACCGAUAUUAGUCAUAAUGCAAACUGUUGCAAUUUGUAAAAAUUUGAAAAGCUUUAUUUCACAAUUGACAUCCAUUACUUUGUGAUGUGACAAUUGGGGGCCUUCCUAGAAUGCGUUUUGGAAAGAUCGUAGAAACAUCCACGUAAGGACCAAAUAUUUUUUUUUUUUUUUUCUUCUUUUUUUAGCAUAAUUUUCUUUCUUAUUGGAGCCAAACCCAGACUUUUGACUUAAUCAUGGUUAAAAUUGACUGCUUUUCGCCAAUGUCAGGAAUGUAAUCUAGGCGAUGACGUCUCUAAAUGAUCAAUGGAUUUGAACCUUUCUCUGGCUCCAUUGAAUGAAGUCUAGAUUUAUUAUUCACACACGCACAUACACAUAAAAUGUUACCAUGUCCUGAACAUGUCAUUAUGUCUUUUUUAAGAUGGGCACCAAGUUUGAAAUCUAAUAUUAUGCAAUUGUAUUGAAUCACUAUCCGUGCGUGCAGACAUCUAAAAUAUUUUAUCAAUGUUGAUUAUUAACUUAAUAGAAAUAUUAGGCUUCUCAUACAAGCAACUCAAUUUAGGAAACAAGAAGUGAGAGGAAAGAGGCUCGCGAAUCAAUUAGAAUUGCAUCCACGAUGGACUAGUGGUGGGCCUACUUACGUUAUGCUCACUUAGCUAGAAAAAUCUAUAUUUAUCACCUAAUUUUCUGCAUCUGUUGCAAAUGUUUUGUAUGUGUGAUGUACUUUAGAUCGGUAGUAAAGAGUAGCAUAAAUUCAUCACAUGGAACAACUUUUCAAUGCAAGGAUUCAGCCCCUACCUCUUGUUCUCCCAUUUUUCUUAUCUUUCUCUUGUUCUCUCUGAAUAGAGCAAGAGUUCCCAUUGGCAAGAUAGUAUCUCCUGCAAGGGUUAAUUUCUACACACGACUCGACUGCAAUUGGGAGUAUAAUUUUAAAUGUCAUUUUUUAGUAUCAACUUUAAAAAUAUCAAAGUUGUGACUAUUUGAGCUUUCUACACAGUAGUGGCGUGGGUACUGCAUUGAUUGACUUAAAAUAAACAUCUCAACAACUAGGCUUCUUGCAAAUAUCCAACUCAAAGCGUGAGAAAUACCUGUCCAGACCUUGACCCUUGGAUCAUGUGCAAUCAUAAUCAUUAAAAACUCAAGGGAGUUCUGUAAACCCAGGUGACUCACAGCUAUGGUUGACUCCAGGUCACGCCGAUGUGAUUGACAAUGUCAGACAAAAAAUUAAACCCCGAAACNNNNNNNNNNNNNNNNNNNNNNNNNNNNNNNNNNNNNNNNNNNNNNNNNNNNNNNNNNNNNNNNNNNNNNNNNNNNNNNNNNNNNNNNNNNNNNNNNNNNAAAAUCAAUGAAAAAGGAUCGUUGUCCAAUGACUAAUGAUAUACUUGGAAACUACAGGAGACAAGGAAAAGUAGGGCAACUAAGGCUUUGUUUGUUUGAUGGAAAAUAACUCGUUUCGUGGAAAAUGAACAAGUCAAGGAAAUCAUUCUUUGCCGUUAAAAAAAACACUUUCAAAAGUGAGGAAAAUAUUAUUUACUUUUCAGAAAGUGCAAAACAUUUUCCAUAAUUUCUUUCACAUCACUUUCUUUCACCAAACACAUUUUCUUUUUACUUUUAUGUUUUCUUUUUUUUUAAAAAGUGAUUUUUUUAAUUAUUUCUUCUUUUUCUUUUUCUUUUUUCCUUCCUUUUCUUUUUCUUCUUCCUUGGUUGGUCAUUGGCCACAGGCCAGCUCGAGCCUCGCCACAAGUCAGCGAGGCUCAAGCUCACUAGAUACUGGCUAGGCUUGAGCUCGCCAGCUUAUGGCAAGGCGAGUGAGGCUCUAUCUUACCUAAUCCAAUGAGCUCAAGUUCACCUUGCCAAAUUUGGCAAGGCCCAAGCUCGCCUAGCUUGCUGGAUCUGAUAAGGCUUGAGCUCGCCCGACCCACCAUAGGUGAGCUCGAGCUCGCCAACCUUGGCGGAGCUCAGGCUUGCUUGGAUCAACUAAGCCUUGAGCCCGCCAAUCCACGUCUUGGUUAGUCACCAAGUAGCUAGCCAUCAUCAAGGCACGUGGCGGCGGAGGAAGGAGGAGGAAGAAGGAAGAAGAAGGAAGGAAAAGAAAAAGAAGAACAGAAAAAAAAAUUAAAAAAUUAAAAAAUAUUCAAAAUUCAAAAUUAAAAAAUAUAUAAAUUAAAAUUAUUUUUAUGGUCAAUUUAGAAACAUUAAAAUUCAAAUUUUUUGGUAAUUUUUCUAACAAAAUCAAAUCAAAUACCGAACAAUGAAAAUUUCCACUUCAUUUUUAAGUUUCAAUCAAAUAUCGAAAAAUAGAGAGAUUUACCAAAAAAGUCCUAAACCUAUUACAAUUGUGCCAAUUCAGUCCUAAACUUUUUUUUUGUCCAAUUUAGUCCUAAACCUUUUAUAAUUGUGUCAAUUCAGUCCAUCCGGCCAAAAUUGGCCGGCCGGCGCUGACAUGGACGCCAGUGGGGGACAGCCGGCCGGCAAGGUAAUUUUUUAAUAUUUUUUAUUAUAUAUUUUUAUUUUUUUCGAAUUUUUAAUUCUUUUUAAUUCUUUUUUUUUUUUGGCCUUCUUCUCCUUUCUCUGGCCGGAUGCCGGCCAGAGGUGAGGGCCGGCGAGGCUAACCUCGCCGGCCACUGGCAAGGCUCGCCCCGCCGGCCACUGGCGGAGGCAAGCCUCACCCAACGACGGCGGCCUCGUCGUCGCUGGGCGAGGCCGAGCCUCGCCAGAUCUGGCGAGCUCGGCCCUCGCCGGCCACUAGCGAGGGUGAGGCCCUGCCGCGCUGAGUGGUGUAGUCGAGGAACUCGCGGAGGAGCUCGNNNNNNNNNNNNNNNNNNNNNNNNNNNNNNNNNNNNNNNNNNNNNNNNNNNNNNNNNNNNNNNNNNNNNNNNNNNNNNNNNNNNNNNNNNNNNNNNNNNNNNNNNNNNNNNNNNNNNNNNNNNNNNNNNNNNNNNNNNNNNNNNNNNNNNNNNNNNNNNNNNNNNNNNNNNNNNNNNNNNNNNNNNNNNNNNNNNNNNNNNNNNNNNNNNNNNNNNNNNNNNNNNNNNNNNNNNNNNNNNNNNNNNNNNNNNNNNNNNNNNNNNNNNNNNNNNNNNNNNNNNNNNNNNNNNNNNNNNNNNNNNNNNNNNNNNNNNNNNNNNNNNNNNNNNNNNNNNNNNNNNNNNNNNNNNNNNNNNNNNNNNNNNNNNNNNNNNNNNNNNNNNNNNNNNNNNNNNNNNNNNNNNNNNNNNNNNNNNNNNNNNNNNNNNNNNNNNNNNNNNNNNNNNNNNNNNNNNNNNNNNNNNNNNNNNNNNNNNNNNNNNNNNNNNNNNNNNNNNNNNNNNNNNNNNNNNNNNNNNNNNNNNNNNNNNNNNNNNNNNNNNNNNNNNNNNNNNNNNNNNNNNNNNNNNNNNNNNNNNNNNNNNNNNNNNNNNNNNNNNNNNNNNNNNNNNNNNNNNNNNNNNNNNNNNNNNNNNNNNNNNNNNNNNNNNNNNNNNNNNNNNNNNNNNNNNNNNNNNNNNNNNNNNNNNNNNNNNNNNNNNNNNNNNNNNNNNNNNNNNNNNNNNNNNNNNNNNNNNNNNNNNNNNNNNNNNNNNNNNNNNNNNNNNNNNNNNNNNNNNNNNNNNNNNNNNNNNNNNNNNNNNNNNNNNNNNNNNNNNNNNNNNNNNNNNNNNNNNNNNNNNNNNNNNNNNNNNNNNNNNNNNNNNNNNNNNNNNNNNNNNNNNNNNNNNNNNNNNNNNNNNNNNNNNNNNNNNNNNNNNNNNNNNNNNNNNNNNNNNNNNNNNNNNNNNNNNNNNNNNNNNNNNNNNNNNNNNNNNNNNNNNNNNNNNNNNNNNNNNNNNNNNNNNNNNNNNNNNNNNNNNNNNNNNNNNNNNNNNNNNNNNNNNNNNNNNNNNNNNNNNNNNNNNNNNNNNNNNNNNNNNNNNNNNNNNNNNNNNNNNNNNNNNNNNNNNNNNNNNNNNNNNNNNNNNNNNNNNNNNNNNNNNNNNNNNNNNNNNNNNNNNNNNNNNNNNNNNNNNNNNNNNNNNNNNNNNNNNNNNNNNNNNNNNNNNNNNNNNNNNNNNNNNNNNNNNNNNNNNNNNNNNNNNNNNNNNNNNNNNNNNNNNNNNNNNNNNNNNNNNNNNNNNNNNNNNNNNNNNNNNNNNNNNNNNNNNNNNNNNNNNNNNNNNNNNNNNNNNNNNNNNNNNNNNNNNNNNNNNNNNNNNNNNNNNNNNNNNNNNNNNNNNNNNNNNNNNNNNNNNNNNNNNNNNNNNNNNNNNNNNNNNNNNNNNNNNNNNNNNNNNNNNNNNNNNNNNNNNNNNNNNNNNNNNNNNNNNNNNNNNNNNNNNNNNNNNNNNNNNNNNNNNNNNNNNNNNNNNNNNNNNNNNNNNNNNNNNNNNNNNNNNNNNNNNNNNNNNNNNNNNNNNNNNNNNNNNNNNNNNNNNNNNNNNNNNNNNNNNNNNNNNNNNNNNNNNNNNNNNNNNNNNNNNNNNNNNNNNNNNNNNNNNNNNNNNNNNNNNNNNNNNNNNNNNNNNNNNNNNNNNNNNNNNNNNNNNNNNNNNNNNNNNNNNNNNNNNNNNNNNNNNNNNNNNNNNNNNNNNNNNNNNNNNNNNNNNNNNNNNNNNNNNNNNNNNNNNNNNNNNNNNNNNNNNNNNNNNNNNNNNNNNNNNNNNNNNNNNNNNNNNNNNNNNNNNNNNNNNNNNNNNNNNNNNNNNNNNNNNNNNNNNNNNNNNNNNNNNNNNNNNNNNNNNNNNNNNNNNNNNNNNNNNNNNNNNNNNNNNNNNNNNNNNNNNNNNNNNNNNNNNNNNNNNNNNNNNNNNNNNNNNNNNNNNNNNNNNNNNNNNNNNNNNNNNNNNNNNNNNNNNNNNNNNNNNNNNNNNNNNNNNNNNNNNNNNNNNNNNNNNNNNNNNNNNNNNNNNNNNNNNNNNNNNNNNNNNNNNNNNNNNNNNNNNNNNNNNNNNNNNNNNNNNNNNNNNNNNNNNNNNNNNNNNNNNNNNNNNNNNNNNNNNNNNNNNNNNNNNNNNNNNNNNNNNNNNNNNNNNNNNNNNNNNNNNNNNNNNNNNNNNNNNNNNNNNNNNNNNNNNNNNNNNNNNNNNNNNNNNNNNNNNNNNNNNNNNNNNNNNNNNNNNNNNNNNNNNNNNNNNNNNNNNNNNNNNNNNNNNNNNNNNNNNNNNNNNNNNNNNNNNNNNNNNNNNNNNNNNNNNNNNNNNNNNNNNNNNNNNNNNNNNNNNNNNNNNNNNNNNNNNNNNNNNNNNNNNNNNNNNNNNNNNNNNNNNNNNNNNNNNNNNNNNNNNNNNNNNNNNNNNNNNNNNNNNNNNNNNNNNNNNNNNNNNNNNNNNNNNNNNNNNNNNNNNNNNNNNNNNNNNNNNNNNNNNNNNNNNNNNNNNNNNNNNNNNNNNNNNNNNNNNNNNNNNNNNNNNNNNNNNNNNNNNNNNNNNNNNNNNNNNNNNNNNNNNNNNNNNNNNNNNNNNNNNNNNNNNNNNNNNNNNNNNNNNNNNNNAUUCAAUGCUUUCUCUUUUGCCUUCACAACAGGGUCAGACAAAGACUUGACGAUGGACUUGUGUAUGUUCUAAGCAAAGACAAAAGGUCAAAAAUUUGUUCUUAAUUCGAACUAUGCAAUUCAAUCAUGGCGUGAAUCCUACAAUCCCAAUCAAGAUAUUUUUCAUAGUGCAUUUCUAUUUGGACAUACACAGAAUAAUAAUAACAUAAGAUGAUUUAAGGGGAUGAUUAAAAAAAAAAACAGAUUAUUUCAAUUGGCACAUUAGGUCCACUCAAAUUUACAAAGCAAGCAUAAUGGAUCUCUUCCUUCAUUUCUAGGCUAGAAAAAGCAUUGAUUUUGUUCUGGUAAUUAAAUUAAAAAAGAAAAAAAAAAGAAUUAACUUUUCUCGGCUGGAGCCAAAUUCCAUUCUACUUUUGCUAAGCCAAACAAAGCAGAUCUUCUAACUUUCAAUCUAGAUUCGCGCUAAUCAGCGUGAUCAAUUGAUUCUUACCUUUAUUUCACUUACUACGCUUGAUGUACCACUAAAAUGCCAAUUGUUUAUGUUUGGUGUUCACACAAUCUUAAAUUUUUCAAUUAGAAUUUUGUUCAUGACCACCCCCUCCCCAAAAAAAAAAGAUCUAGCUCAUUAAUAUUCUAUUUGAAAGGCCCACAAUACUAAUCAAGUUUUUAUUAUUUUGUUCAGUAAAAUAUUUGAUAGUAACAAAAAAAUAAAGGGUGAGUUAUUUAAGAUUUGUAAUUUACAUAUAUAAUUACAAAAUGCAAAGGAUAAUAUUUGAACUUAUUGAGAUAAAGCUUGAACUCAUUUUAUAACGGUGAUUGUAUCGAGUCAGACUUGAGCUUGAGCUUGAUAUCUUGAUUUUUUUUUGGUCAAGCUCCAACUAGAAAUUGAUUUCUCUAUAACUCGAGUGGAGUUUCAAGCGAUCUAACAUUUGAUAGGAGUUGAGCUUGAGCUUCGCACUAACAGAUGCAUCUGAACAUUGGUAGGUUAGAGUGCGAAGCAAUGGUACUGAAAAGAAUAUCAAUAGUCGUUAAAACCAUAAAUAAAAAUUCAUGUCAUUCUAGAACUAUGUAGGGGUUGAAAGACAAGCCCAUGGAAAGAAAUAUGAACAUGCUGGCGACUCUCGAAUAUUUGUGCUUAAUUGUUUCUACGAGUAAAAAAAAAAAAAAAAAACAUCUCAGUAAUAAAAAACUUUAGCUCAGAAUAUACAAGAAGGAUAAUUAUUGCGUGAAAACUCAUUAAGAGGAAGUCCGCUGACAUAAUGCAACUCUGGCUUCACAACGCUAUCUUCUUCUGAACUGAAGCACUUAAACUGUCUUAGAACAUCAACUUUUAACGUAACCCCACUUUGUCAUUCAAAUCUCCACGAGCUCUUCAAAGUAAAAAGGCAUGCUGCCUGAUACCCUCAAUAACAAAUUGAAAGUAAAAGUGAUUGUUUACCGGACAGACCAGACCAGUCAUGUAUGAUUGUUUAGGACUGGGCAAUGGGCCAUGUCAGCCGUGUGGUCCAGACCCGUUGUGCUCCUAGGCCAAAUCACGCUCAUGGUCCCUAAUUAGCCGAUCCUGGCCUGACAAAUUUUUGAUGGACCAGUUGAGGCCACAUGGGCCCAACCUUAAGGAACUUUGGGGCUCCAAAAAUACAGUCAUUGGACAGUCACUUAUCUAGUGACCCAAUCCGGCCCAACGAUGGGCUACUCACUUGGUCAGGGAAUGGCCGGAAGGCCCCCAAUAGUUGAUUCGGAUUUUCAUUAAUUUUCCUCAAUUACUUUGUUUAUUAUUCAUAUUUUUUUUGGUUUAAAAAAAAUCAUUAAAUUAAAAACAACCCAAGCUCGAGCCAAUAGUGCCUUGGGCCGACCUAGUGUCCACUCCUACUGGCAAUUGGAGUUCGGGUCAGCAAUUUAAAGGCAAAGCGAGGGAAGACGUGGUGGAUAGUCCUAAAACCCUAUCGGCAACUGUAUUUACUUUUGCGAUAGGAAGUAAGAAUGUAAAGGAGGAGGUGGUCACAAAUCCUCAAAAUUCUCUCCCAAAAUCCCUCGGGCUUCUCCAUCCAAAUCCUCAGUUUAAAGAAGCAGAAGUAGCAGCAGAAGAAGAAGAAAAUCCAUCGGAAUGUCGGAAUGUCAGCAUCAACAAUGAACAAUAUGGUUUAGCAAUCGUGGGCAUCAAAUUCAGUGCAACUCGAAUUGGCAGUCAUGGCAACGAGAAACCUCUACGGUCUUUUCUUCUUGAAGUACAAAUCACAGGAUCUCUUUACAACCUCUAGCCAUGGUUCCGAAAGUUUAACAAAGAAAGUCUUUGAUACAAACUUCUCCAUAUUUCCAUAUGGAGAAAGAAUGAAACUUAAGCUUUUUGAAGGAAAUAUAGCUCUUAUGAUAUUUCUUAAGUACUUGAAGUUGUGAAGGACAAAAAAAAGUAAUAAAAGAAAUUUUUGACUAGGAACUAGCCAGAUUUGUCCCAUCUGCAAAAGUUGGUGCCUUUACUUGUCUCUCUUAAAAGUAGAGGUUAUGAUUGUCCUAAAAUGUAUAGUUAAUACCUCUUAGCAGGAAAAGCAUGUUAUACAUAAGACGUUGUGUAAGUAUAUGUUGUUUAUAGGAUGGAGGGGCCUAUCACCAUCUUCUGUUACCAUCUAAGAAAAUGUUGUCCAUGGUCACCUGCAACUUUAUAAAACUAAAAGAACUCUUUGCUGUUGUAAUUAUGGUUAUAAUUAUGGUUAAUAGAUCAACGAAAGUCAAUAAAUUAAUAUACAUCUUUUCUGUUCACGUAUCUCUUUUGGAUUCAUGAAUUUCCUAAUCUUUUAUGUUCACGUAUUUAUUGAGUUAAUGAAUUUCCUAGAUUCAUGUAUCUUUUAGUUCAUGUAUUUAUUGAGUUCAUGAAUCUCUUGAAUUCACGUAUCUUCGGAUUCAUAAAUCUCUUAGAUUCACGUAUCUCUUUAUUCAUGAAUCUCGUGGAUACACACGUCUAUUUAAUUCAUAUAUCUCUGUAGUAUAUGAACUAAAAAGCUCUAUAAAUAGAUAUGAGCAUAGAGCUUCAUUAGAGUUUUUGGUUUUUGGUUUUGGUUUUUCUGAAUCGAUUUCAAAAAGGCUUUGAUAUACUUUUCUACUCUUCUAUUUUAUCUGGAUGUGCUGGUUCAAUUGAACGGUUCGACAGAGUCCUGUUUGCAUAGUGUUAAUCCAAACAGGUUCGAUGUAUUGUAUCUUGGAAGGCAUAGUUCGUGAAUCUGCGGGGCACCUUUGGCAGGAACUAAUCGCCUUAAGGAGAUUCGAUUAUCCGUACAUCACCUCCAAUUUUAUGUUAUUUUUCCAGUGAUAUCUUAUUUUAUUCUUUUCCAAGAUUUAUAAGUUUACAUAAAAAGAAUGAUAUUGUAUAACUAUUAUCAUCUUCUUUAUAUUGAUGUUCUGAUUACAACAAAUAGUGUGUAUUCUUUAGAUAUAAUUUCCAACAUUUGCUCCUUCCUUCCGAGACUCCCAUAGCCCCUAACUUAAUUUUCCAUCACUGUCAUUAGGAAAGCAACUGUUUGCCUAUGCAUGUGACAAUCACAAUCACCGAUCCUCAUCUCUCUCCUCCUCUUAGUUCUCAUUGUCAUGACUCGUGGAGAGAAAACGGAUUUAGAAUUAACCAACAGUCCUCAAUCAGCGUAAGUUCUCCUAGGCUCUUACUUUGCACGAUAUUGGGAAGUCACUUCAUUUUAUUAACCUAUCAAAACUGAGUCACCAGUAGCUACUAAGACUAGUUAGAGCCAAGUGAGAUGUAGGAAUAUACCUCACAUCCUACACAAUCAAAGAUCUAAGUACGAAGACUUAAUUACACUAAUUAUCCAAUUAAUAUUAUUUCCGUAUCUAAACUUGAUUAUUUGUCAACCAACUGUCACAUGCAAGUUUUUUUUUUUUUUUUUAUAUAUCCAAUUAUGAAUUCUAAUGUUCUUAUUUACUAAAUGUACAUGCAACAUUUUUGCAUUUAUUAUGAUCCUAAAAUACAAUCUCACCAUUCAACUAAAAUGAGGAAAUCACCACAUUGAAGCAAUAUAAAAGAAUCAUUUCAUCAAAGAUAGUAAUAAAAGAAAGACUAAAAGAACAAAAAAAAAAAAAAAGGCAAUAAAAUAAUCCGAUGCGAGCUGAGUAAAGAAUAUAAUAUGACAUUGUUAUUGAGUAUCCAAACAACAACCCCAUGAGUUAAAUUCAAAACAAAUCCAAUUUCUUGAGAAAAUGCUAAUCUAUCUAAACCCAAGAUAUCCAUUAAAAUCCCUAAACUAUAUGUAUACCAACUAUGGUCCAGCCUAAGGACCUUAAAAAAAAAAAAGCCGUGGUUAUCGGAGCCCCCGUUCCACGUAAAUAAAAUGGAAGGGUUAACCGCGGGGGGAUUUGUAACCAAAUUUUGGAAACACCCCUCGGCUUGAUCCUAGCUCUGCUGCACUGGCCUCUCGACGACUGCCAGUCCAGUAUCUUGGAAGUGAUGGCAGUAGGAUAUGAAACUAACUAUAAUAUUAAAAUCUACAACCAAAUGAAAGCCUGUUUUUCUAAUCAUUUUCGAAUUCUUUGUAUUAGAAAUUUUUUUUUUUUUAAUUGGGCCGGCUUGUACGAAAGCUUGAUCUCUAGGUGGAGUGGGUUAGAAUUUAAGAAAACAUGUAGGCCCUUGUAAACGAAAUGGGCUUGCUUGCUAAAGCCCAACCUGCGUAUAGCCGAAACAAAGUCCAGAUCUAUCAGACCAAAUUAGGCUCAUAUUCACCAAACCAAGCAAAGCCCAAUUUCAUUAAGCUAAUAAAACCCAAAGCUCAUUAAGCCUAAUUAAGCCUAUUUUUUUAUUCUCUAUUUUUUUCUCUUUUCUUCUCCCUUUUUUCAAUUUUAUUUUAUGCACUAUGUCUCCUCACUUUGAAUUCGGUGCUCUAAGCCAAAGAAGCUGUGGAAAUAGAAGUUGCCAAAAUGCCGUGACUGCUCAAAAUUCGUAAUUGGAAAUCGCAAACCCACCUGAUGAAUUGUUCUAUAAAUGCCGCAUCCCCAUAUGAGAAUGAGACUAUUGCAAGGAUUAACUACAAUAGCUGGAUGAUAGGCCACUCUCAGAAUCUGCAGUUAAAAUUCUGACUGGAGGUGCACAACCCUAGUCUUGGGGAGAGAUGAUAGAAUUCGACGAAUGAAGAGAAUUUCUAUGGGGUCUAUUCUCGGCAUCAAAGACUGAUGGCCUUGCCUUGGAAGCAAUGGACUUUAGAAGCGAGUCAGUUAUAGUUGGCUUUUUCCCAUGCUGACCUCUGCUAUCGAGAAGAUCGUCAACAGCUUGAAGCUGUGCAUCUGAAAGCAGAGCUUGAAGAUCCACUUUGCUGAAUCCUUCUAUCAUAUGAGCUAUAGCAUCAAAGUCCACAUCACUGGCCAAAGGAAGCUGCACAAGGGCAUUAAAGCAUACACUUAGCAAAACUUCAACAUUGCCUGAUGGUUGCCAUUUUCGCUGACUGAUCAUACAGAAACGGAGAAAUAUAAUUAAUUGAAUCCACCCAAUAUCUUCCUAAUUAGUGAAAAGAAAAGAAAAGGAGAGGAUGGUGAUGUCUCAGAAAGGUUAUACUAAAUGAUACCCAAAGGUAAGUCUUAGUCCCGUCUCAUGGAUUUUCAGCUAUAAAAGCCUUUCUCAUUUUAUUUUUUUUCUGAGCAUCAUUGGUAGAUGUUAAAGCUACCAGUCUCAAGGUCCGAGGUUGAAAGUGAUUUACUACUGAACAUCUAAACUUUACCUGAGCCUCACCUGAGCAUGUUGCAGAUUCAACCCACAACGCCUUUUACAAUGUUCUCUUGUAAUUGACAAUGUUUAGGGUGAUUUGGGGUGCAAGGACUUUUAGAGAACUCCACGGAGAAGGGGUUUUAACUUUUAACUCAACGUGUUUCGCCAAAUGUACUCUGUCAGAUGCCAUAAGUUCUAAACAGGAUCUUAGCUGCUUAAAUCGACUAUGUUUCUAACUCUUUUUGUUUGUUUUAAGCAAUUUCCUGUUCAUAUGAAAUCUCUCCUAUGCAUCUUUCUAGAAAAAAGUAGGAUUGUGGUCAUAUAGUUCUUUAACAAGCAAUCCCAUAAAUUUCAAUAUGUGCAACCUGUUUCAGACCAUGUAAAAAAUGAAAUGCUAAAAGCAAAAAAACUGGCAUAUGGAUGGAAGCUAAGGCCCUGUUUGAUAAAUUUUGUUUCUAUUCCUCAGAAUAACUAUUUCUAUUCUUUUGUUCUAGGGAAUAAGAAAAGAACAGAAACCUGUUUAGUAAAAUUUUUGUUCCCAUGAAACAAAAAAUCUAUUUUUUUUUUUUUGUUCUCGAGAAUAGAUUUGAAAUAGAAGUAAAAGUAGAAAAAACAAACUUCUUGUUCUCGGGAACAAUUUCUUAAAUUUAUUUUUUUCCUCUCUUAUCUCUUCUUCUCUUUCUUUUCUGCUUCUUCUUCUUCUUCAUUUUGGCCGGUUGCUGGCCAUGGCUGGCGACCUCGCCGGAGCGUCGCCGACCCUUGGAGACGUUGAGCCACGGCGAGGCUCGUCGGCUUGAGUUUUGCCAUGGCUGGGCGAGGCUGGCCUUGCUAGGCCACCUCUAGGAUGGUGUCGCUUGGCAGUGGCCCGACAAGGUCGAGCCUCGCUGAUAGCUAGGUGAGCUCGGCCUCGCUAGGUUUGGGUGACGUCUACCUCUGUCACGCCCCAAUUCUCGGGGACGCGCCCAUCCUUCGACUUGGUCGAUUUUCUUAGUGUGAUAUCCCAGGACUAUGUAUCGCAGACCCUUUCAUUUUUAAUAUGCAUGCGGAAGUAGUUAUAAAUCCCCAGACAAUAAAAUGAUGGGAUAGACAAGCAAGGCCAUAUUUUUCAUAUUGAAAUCCACAACCAUACUUUUAUACAGAGCAUAAUUCGAAGAGCUUCAGAAAACUAAUCACAACUUUUUAGUCUCAGUCUAUCCACAUAUAUACAGGGUUCACAAAAGAGGAUGGGAUUUCAGUCCUCAUCCAGAUAGACAAGAUCAAACUGAUCCUCCUUCAAUUCUUCUCCACUCAGCUCGUUUCUUUUAAACUCUUCAUCAUCUUCUUUAAGCUCAUUCUCGGCUCUAGAUGCUGGCUCAUCCUCACGUGAUCUGGGGGCCUGAAAUAUUAUCCCACAACCGGGAUGAGACUACGUCUCAGCAAGUUCUACCCCACUAAGACUCGAUUAGGAAACCAAUACGCUAUCCAGGCUGCCUAUGCACACACGGGUCAGAGGACUUACCUUGGCCUCAGAUUCCACCUGCAUAUUAGUACAGUUCAAUAGGCACCCAAGCAAUCACAUCACAGAUCGACAUCUUGAUCAAUCGACCUAGUCAAUUACUUGUUAAUCGAACCAUCCCAAGGUCAUUUCCAUUCAAUCAAUCAAUUCACGAAAUUAGAUUAAAGCAAUGAUCAAUCCACUUAGUCGGUUACAUAUCAAACGGACCAUUCUUGGUCAUUUCAAUCAAUACUGUCCAUUCUCUAAAAUAACCCAUCGGGUUAUCAAGCCAGUAAUUUAUACGAUUCAAUCUCCGAGAUGACACACUAAGUCACUGAGUCAUUAUAACAUACUAUUCAUUCUCCAAGAUAACGUAUUGAGUUACCGAGCUAGUAUAUUAUAAUAUUCAUUCUCCGAGAUGACAUAUAGAGUCACCGAGUAUAUUCAUCAUAACGUACAUUCUCCAAGAUAACAUGUCGAGCCACCGAGCUGUUAUGGCAUGUCGUCCAUUCUCCAAGAUGAUCUAUAGAAUCACCGAGCCGACAUUUAAUACAGUCCAUUCUCCAACAUGACUUAUAGGGUCAUCGAGCCGGUAUACAAGCAAUUCUUUCUCAAAAUGACAUGAGAGUCAUCGAGCUGUAAUAGUAUAACGUCCAUUCUCCAGAUGACAUACGAAUCAUCCAGCCGUUAUAGUAUUUUUUUUGUUCCGAAGACACAAUCAAUUUCACCCUUUUCAUCAUAUUUGAUAAAAGUACACGUGUGUGGGCACACGGUCGGCCUUAGCCAAAAUACAAUAAUUUCCUUUUUAUUCACUCACUCCCUUCAGCAGUACAAAAAUAGAUUUUUGACACUGUAGACCGACGCCCGGUAAUUUUCCACUCAAUUACCAAGGUUAUUCAAUUUCUGAAAUAAACAGCCACAACUACUAUUUGCACUCAAUUUGCACAACUAGGUACUCAAUUAAAUAAACAUAGAGCACCACUGAAAUCAGCACGAAAUUCCGAUCGUCGGCUAUCCCAGCCUAAUUUCCAGUAAUUAAAUAAUUAAUUAAUUAAUUUCAAAAAUUAAUAAUUAAAUACUAAAAAUCCAAUUUAUGCCCGUAUUGCCUAAUUGAAGCCCAAUAAGGGUCGGGACAAAUCCCGAGAUGCAUUCAAUAAAUAGUAUAGGCAGCUCUCUAGCUAAGUACACUAACCACCUAACUAAUAUGCAAUGCAAUUAACUAAUAAUCACUAAUCCAUUCUAGUCUAACCACCUAAUUGCACUUAAUUAAAUCUAAUCAACCCUUAAGCAUCAUUAGUCUACUAAGAAAGGAUUAGUGAGAUUACUCACUUGAUUUGCGAAGAACAGAACACCGCGACGGCGGCCGAACUUGGGCCCGCGACAAACUUGGGCCGGGCCAAUAAACUUUACAAGCCCAUAGAAAUUUCUGGGCUUGGGCCUGCUGGAAAUCCUAUCUUCGCUGAAGCUGGGCCGGGCUUCAAGACUGAAGACUUGGGCUGCUAUGGGAAUUCUUUUGUGGGUUGAACGUUUGAGGAUGCUGAGCCAAAUCCUUGCGCCCUCGUGGACGAUGAGGCUGCUGGGCCAAUAGGCUGAGGAAAUGAAGACGGCUGAAGACACGUGAUGGAGGAAGGCUGGCAGGGCAAAGGACGCUCGCCGGUGGGGACGAACGUUGCAGCAAGCGGCUGGGCUCUGGUCUUCGUAGCUGGGAGUCAACACACGGCCAGGGGAUGAAGCGGAUGAGUGGUAGACGGGCUCGCUGGUGGAGCGGUUUUUGCUGUGGACUGCUUCAAUCGGGCUGAGGGCAGACGGAAGACACGCAGAUGGAAGCUCGUUCGGUGGGCGUGUGGGGAAGGCACCGACUGGAGGCUCACGGCCAAAUGGCAGCAAAACAAAGCUGCUCGAUCAACCACUGAGUUUCGGUGGGCUUGCUGUUGUUGACUGAAGGAGUUCAGGCCAUGGAUGCGUGGAGUUGUGCGUGGAUGGAGAGAUCGUGAGCUUCAACGGCAGAGAAUUGGAGGAGCACGUGGGUUCUUCGGGCUUGCUGCUGGCAAUUCGGCAAAGGGGAAGAACGAUCAUGGGCGUGGGGAAUUGAGCUGGCCAGUUCACUCGGUGAGGAAGCAGAACCAAGACGAAGCAGUAGUUAAUCUUUGUUGCUGUGGGUGCGCGAAUUCCUGGGAAGAAAGAAUUGGCUGCACGAUCUGAUGGGGGGAGAGGGGUGAGAGAGAGAAUAGAUAUGAAGGAUGAGGGGCCCUUUGCUUUUAAUUCUCACACAAAUAUCUCCCAAAAACCAUUCUUAGCCAUGUAUAGUUUCCUUGGCUCACAAUGGACACUCAUGCACUCUUCUAGAAGCCAAAAUGGUCCAAAUGUUGUGGCUUGGUGGGGGUACACGAAUUUAGAGGAGGAUGGACUCAAUUGUACAUCAAUUCUCUCUUGAUUUACUUUCAAUUGAUUCCCAUAAUUUCAGUUGGUACUUAAAUGCCUCAAUUGAUCAUUUUCCUCGUCCAAGAACCCAUAUUGCAUCUCAAUUUUGCCUCCAAAACUAAUCCUCGGCUUGUUCUGCACAAAAACGGCCCUGCGAUGACUUUUCCUCAAAAAGUCUCGGUUGUCAGAAAAAUCUUCUGAGACUGAGUCAAUACUUUUAGAAUUUAUUGUGACAUGAUGGAAACUUCGAUUUCCAAAAUCGGACUUGAAUUCGCGGUUAAUUUCCAUUUGGCGCUUUUUAGCGUGACCUAAACUAUCGGGUAGUUUUCAGAACUUUUUAGGGCAAAUGACCCAUGGCCGAUUUUCUUCGAGCCAUUAUGAACCCACUCGACUCAAUGGGGACUCUCGAUUGUCGUGAAAAUCUCAAGGAUUCAAUUACGGACACAGGAUACCAAAACGAUAGUAAAAUCAAAUUUGUGUCGGUCAAUGAGAAUUUCCCAAUUUAGUGGAGUCACUCACGAUCGGCUAAACAUCUCAGUCGAACAGAUCUAUCUCUAAUCUCAAAUCGAUUUUCUUAACUGUGUCGUAAUGGCCUCUGAAGACAAUCACGGUCAAGAAGCCGAUUUUUAGUCGAAUUUUUUAGUCUAUUUGCCUUAAAGUCCUUAAUAGCUUCCCCGAAUAGUCUAGUUAUCUCGAGAGUGAUCAGCUCUAAGAACAACUCUAUAGGCGUGUCAAUGAAAUGCCCGAUUAAUUCAAUAGAAAAUAGAUCUGAAAAUUCGGGAUGUCACAACUCUUCCCCUCUUAUAAAAAUUUCGUCCUCAAAAUUUAAACCUUACAUACUUUGAUAAAAAAGGUGGGGGUACAAUUCUCUCAUCGACUCUUCAGUUUCCUAGGUCGCGUCUUCUGUACCGUGGUGUUGUCAGACCACUUUGAACAACGGAAUGGUCUUUGUACACAGAACUUGCUCUUUACGAUCGACGAUCUGGACCAGGCUUUCAACGUAUGACACAUGGUCAUCCACGUCCAAUUCCUUAAAAUUGAGCACAUGGGUCGGGUCAGGCUCGUACUUCCCUAACAUCGACACGUGAAAGACGUCAUGCACUUGCGCCAUUCUUGGCGGCAAUGCAAGACGAUACGUUAGGUUCCCAAUUCUUUCAAGAAUCUCAAACGGACCUACGUACCUCGGACUCAGUUUGCCUUUCUUACCAAAAUGCGAAGUUCCUCUCAUUGGUGACACUUUCAGAAAAACUUGAUCACCAACUUGGAAUUCCAAAGACCUUGGAUGCUUAUCUGCAUAACUUUUCUGCCUGCUUUGCGCUGUCUUUAAUUUGCAUCUGAUCACCGUCACGGCAUCUACUGACUGCUGAACCAACUCUAGGCUUGUGAUUUUUCUUUCCCUGACUUCGUCCCAACACACUGGAGUCCUACAUGCUCUACCAUACAAUGCUUCAAAUGGAGCCAUCUAGAUGCUCUGCUGAUAACUGUUAUUGUAAGCGAAUUCCACCAGAUGAAGCCGAUCUUCUCAACUUCCUUUGAAAUCUAUUACAUAAGCUCUCAGCAUGUCCUCGAGAGUUUGAAUUGUCCUCUCAGACUGGCCAUCCGUCUGAGGAUGAUACGCCGUACUAUACUGAAGUUUUGUACUUAGCGCACUCUGCAAGCUCUUCCAAAAAGCAGCAGUAAAUCUCGGGUCUCUAUCUGACGUUAUCGUAACUGGCACUCCAUGCAUACGAACCACCUGACGCACAUACAGGUCUGCGUGUCUAUCCAGACUCAGGUCCUUUUGAACUGCAAUGAAGUGAGCCGACUUCGUCAAUCUAUCAACCACUACCCAAAUUGAAUCAUUCCAUCUUUGACUCCUUGGUAGUCCAGUCACGAAGUCCAUCGUGAUAUGCUCCCACUUCCAUUUUGGGAUCGUGAGAGGUUGCAGAAGUCCUCCUGACUUGUAAUGUUGGGCCUUUACUUGUUGACAUGUCAAACCUUUGGCGACAUGCUUGGCAAUGUCCGCCUUCAUACCUGGCCACCAAUAGUGUUGAUGCAGAUUCUGAUACAUUUUAGUACUUCCAGGAUGAAUGCUGUAACUACUACGAUGUGCUUCAGAUAAAAUUUCUUCUCUAAGCUCCACGAGCCAAACCUUUUUAUACAUAUGGUAUUAAAGUUAUACCUAAGCAAACCCGUCAAGUACAACUAUAGUCAGAGAUUCAUCUUUCUACCACUUUAUUACAACAACAAAAAUUUUUACAACCUUCACUCAAAAUUCUGCUGCGCUACUCUGAUAAAAACACCUCAAAAACAUUCUUCCAUUGCUCGGUGCCUAAUUGGUCCAUUCUUGUUCCUUGCGUCGUUCUAGUGGUGUUCUAUCUGCGGUGCUUUCCCUUUGUCCGAUCCUCUGGUGAUGGCGUACACUCUUCCCUGCUCUGGGGAUCUGUUCCGCAUAGCCAUACCUGUAAUCGCGUCAGGCACAGCUUCUGCCUGACCUUGUGUGAUGGCAUACACUGUGCCCUGAACUGGUGGUCUCAGCUGACCUCCCUGUGGCACGUUUUGAGGGGCGUACCCUCUAAUCUAUCCCACUAGCGGCGGUGACGGCAAUGGUAACUACAGUUGUCCUCUUAGCUUCCUUGGACAAUCUCUAGCCAGGUGGCCUGGCUGACCACACUCGUAACAAGCACCCAUCAUUCGAAGGCACUGGUUCGGUCCAUGUCACCUUCCACAAGCGCGACAUAAAUCAUUCCUGGUUGGCACUGGCUUGCCAACUCCUCCUCUCCUAUCAGGCAAAAUCGGGAAUCUAUUCUCAGGCAUGGCCUCUUCCCAUGGUGAAUACUCUCUCUGUGCCAGCUGAACCUCGAUCCAGAUGAGGCAGCUUGCUCAUUCAAUCCUCGCUCUAUCAUCUGAGCUCGACGAUAAACUUCUCUAUAAUCCUUCAAGUCCCAAGGUAACAAAGGUUGUUUCAAUUCAGUACGAAGACCACUUUUGAAUUUCCGAGCUUUCUCUUCAGGGUCUUCUAUAAGUUUAGGAGCAUAUUGUGACAGUUCUGCGAACUUGACCCCAUAUUGGUCAACUGUCAUGCUCCCUUGGCGGAGACGGUGGAACUCAUCUAUCUUUUGUUCCUGAGCAGUACUCGAAAAAGUACUGAUCAUUAAAGGCUCUGAGGAAGGUGUCCCACACCUGGACCACACCUUCCGGGAACACUGUAUCCUUGGCAGCUCUCCACCAUAUAUUGGCGUUACCUUGAAGUUGAUACACAGCUAGUAACACCUUUUCCUCCUCAUUGCACAUCAGAAGUGCAAAUGCCUUCUCCAAAUCCUCUACCCACAGAGACGCGAGCUUAGGGUCUCCGGUACCAAUGAAUCUUGGCGGAUUCAUUUUUAAGAACUGAUCCACUAACUGGUGAAUCGGCCUCCCAGCGGCCACAACUCCUGGUAGUAUUUCAGCAAGGGCGACGGCAGGUGCAACUGCAGGUGCGGAGACAGAGGCGGCUUGAGCAGUAGCGGCAGUUGCGGCAGUGGCAGCGGCCUGAGCAGCGGCUUCAACUAUAGCGGCUUGUUGAUCCAUUCUCACACCCAUUGCUUCCAGAACACGCAAGAUCCCAUCCAACAUGGGAUCAUUAGGGGCUGCUACCCUGGCAUCUACGACAGGUGGAAUCACUCCACUCGUGCUAGCCUGUGCUAGCGCUCGACCACGUUCGCCUCGAGUCCCGACACGAGUCGGAGCUUUACCCCGAACAACGGCCCUACUGGUCCUCUUAACAGGAGUCCUCGACUCCUGAUCGCUCGUAGUGUUGUUUUAAAUCUACCAACACCUGUUUUCAAUUCAACACCGAAUUAGAAACAGAGCAAUCCAAACAACAAGCAAUUUUAGCAUCCAGCUAACACAGACAUGCACAAGCAUCAAUUUAAAGGCCUUUCUUGUUACUAUCCCAAGACUCAUCACUCCUUAUCACUCCAAUCUUAAACUUCGCUCUGAUACCACAAAAAGGGGAUGUCACGCCCCAAUUCUCGGGGACGCACCCAUCCUUCUACUUGGUCGAUUUUCUUAGUGCGAUAUCCCAGGAUUAUGUAUCGCCAACCCUUUUCAUUUUUAAUAUGCAUGCGAAAGCAGUUAUAAAUCCCCAGACAAUAAAACGAUGGGAUAGACAAGCAAUGCCAUAUUUUUCAUAAUGAAUUCCACAACCAUACUUUCAUACAAAGCAUAAUUCAAAGAGCUUCACAAAACUAACCACAACUUUUUAGUCUCAGUCUAUCCACAUAUAUACAGGGUUCACAAAAGAGGAUGGGAUCUCAGUCCUCAUCCAUAUAGUCAAGAUCAAAAUGAUAAAUUCUUCUCCACUCAGCUCGUUUUUUUAAACUCUUCAUCAUCUUCUUUAAGCUCAUCCUCGGCUCUAGAUGCCGGCUCAUCCUCACGUGAUCUAGGGGCCUGAAAUAUUAUCCCACAACCAGGAUGAAAUUACGUCUCAGUAAGGUCUACCCUACUAAGACUUGAUUAGGAAACCAAUACGCUAUCCAGGCUGUCUAUGCACACACGGGUCAAAGGACUUACCUUGGCCUCAGAUUCCACCUGCAUAUUAGUACAGUUCAAUAGGCACCCAAGCAAUCACAUCACAUAUCGACAUCUCGAUCAAUCGACCUAGUCGAUUACUUGUUAAUCGGACCAUCCCAAGGUCAUUUCCAUUCAAUCAUUCAAUUCAUGAAAUCAGAUUAAAGCAAAGAUCAAUCCACUUAGUCGGUUACAUAUCAAACGGACCAUUCUUGGUCAUUUCAGUCAAUACUGUCCAUUCUCUAAAAUAACCCAUCGGGUUAUCAAGCCAGUAAUUUAUACGAUUCAAUCUCUGAGAUGACACACUAAGUCACCGAGUCAUUAUAACAUACUAUUCAUUCUCCAAGAUAACGUAUUGAGUUACCGAGCUAGUAUAUUAUAAUAUUCAUUCUCCGAGAUGACAUAUAGAGUCACCGAGUAUAUUCAUCAUAACGUACAUUCUCCAAGAUAACAUGUCGAGCCACCGAGCUGUUAUGGCAUGUCGUCCAUUCUCCAAGAUGAUCUAUAGAAUCACCGAGCCGACAUUUAAUACAGUCCAUUCUCCAAGAUGACCUAUAGGGUCAUCGAGCCGGUAUACAAGCAAUUCUUUCUCAAAAUGACAUGAGAGUCAUCGAGCUGUAAUAGUAUAACGUCCAUUCUCCAGAUGACAUACGAAUCAUCCAGCCGUUAUAGUAUUUUUUUGUUCCGAAGACACGAUCAAUUUCACCCUUUUCAUCAUAUUUGAUAGAAGUACACAUGUGUGGGCACACAGUCGGCCUUAGCCAAAAUACAAUAAUUUCCUUUUUAUUCACUCACUCCCUUCAGCAGUACAAAAAUAGAUUUUUGACGCUGUAGACCGACGCCCGGUAAUUUUCCACUCAAUUACCAAGGUUAUUCAAUUUCUGAAAUAAACAUCCACAACUACUAUUUGCACUCAAUUUGCACAACCAGGUACUCAAUUAAAUAAACAUAGAGCACCACUAAAAUCAGCACGAAAUUCAGAUCGUCGACUAUCCCAGCCUAAUUUCCGGUAAUUAAAUAAUUAAUUAAUUAAUUUCAAAAAUUAAUAAUUAAAUACUAAAAAUCCAAUUUAUGCCCGUAUUGCCUAAUUGAAGCCCAAUAAGGGUCGGGACAAAUCCUGAGAUGCAUUCAAUAAAUAGUAUAGGCAGCUCUCUAGCUAAGUACACUAACCACCUAACUAAAUGCAAUAUAAUUAACUAAUAAUCACUAAUCCAUUCUAGUCUAACCACCUAAUUGCACUUAAUUAAAUCUAAUCAACCCUUAAGCAUCAUUAGUCUACUAAGAAAGGAUUAGUGAGAUUACUCACUUGAUUUGCGAAGAAUGGAACACCGCGAUGGCGGCUGAACUUGGGCCCGCGACAAACUUGGGCCGGGCCAAUAAACUUUACAAGCCCACAGAAAUUUCUAGGCUUGGGCCUGCUGGAAAUCUUGGGCUGAACUUGAUCUGGGCUUCAAGACUGGGCUUAAAUGGGUUUGAAACAAAGCUGAACUGGGCCUGUCUUCGCUGAAGCUGGGCCGGGCUUCAAGUGGCUGAGUUGCUGGACUUCACUGAAUUGGGCCGGGCUUCAAGACUGAAGACUUGGGCUGCUGUGGGAAUUUUUUUGUGGGUUGAACGUGUGAGGAUGCUAGGCCAAAUCCUUGCGGCCUCGUGGAUGCUGAGGAAGUUGGGCCGAUAGGCUGAGGAAAUGAAGACGGCUGAAGACACGUGAUGGAGGAAGGCUGGCAGGGGGAAAGAUGUUCGCUGGUGGGGAUGAACGUGGCAGCAAGCGGCUGGGCUCCGGUCUUCGUAGCUGGGAGUCAACACAUAGCCAGGGGAUGAAGCGAAUGAGUGGCAGACGGGCUUGCUGGUGGAGCAAUUUUUGAUGUGGACUGCUUCAAUUGGGCUGAGGGCAGAUGGAAGACACGCAGAUGGAAGCUCGUUUAGUGGGCAUGUGGGGAAGGCACCGACUGGAGGCUCACGGCCAAAUGGCAGCAAAACAAAGCUGCUCGGUCAACCACUGAGUUUCGGUGGGCUUGUUGCUGUUGACCGAAGGAGUUUAGGCCAUGGACGCGUGGAGUUGUGCGUGGAUGGAGAGAUCACGAGCGUCAACGGCAGAGAAUUGGAGGAGCACGUGGGUUCUUCGGGCUUGCUGUUGGCAAUUCGGCAAAGGGGAAGAACGAUCGUGGGCGUGGGGAAUUGAGCUGGCCAGUUUGCUCGGUGGGGAAGCAGAACCAAGUCGAAGCAGCAGUUAAUCUUUGUUGCUGUGGAUGCGCGAGUUCCCGGGAAGAAAGAAUUGGCUGCAUGAUCUGAUGGGGGGGAGAGGGGGUGAGAGAGAGGAUAGAUAUGAAGGAUGAGGGGCCAUUUGCUUUUAAUUCUCACACAAAUAUCUCCUAAAAACCAUUCUUAGCCAUGUUUAGUUUCCUUGGCUCACAAUGGACCACUCAUGCACUCUUCUAGAAGCCAAAAUGGUCCAAAUGUUGUGGCUUAGUGGGGGUACACGAAUUUAGAGGAGGAUGAACUCAAUUGUACAUCAAUUCUCUCUUGAUUUACUUUCAAUUGAUUCCCAUAAUUUCAAUUGGUACUUCAAUGCCUCAAUUGAUAAUUUUCCUCGUCCAAGAACCCAUCUUGCAUCUCAAUUUUGCCUCCAAAACUAAUCCUCGGCUUGUUCUGCACAAAAACGGCCAUGCGAUGACUUUUCCCCAAAAAGUCUCAGUUGUCAGAAAAAUCUUCUGAGACUGAGUCGAUACUUCUAGAAUUUAUUGUGACAUGAUGGAAACUUCGAUUUCCAAAAUCGGACUUGAAUUCGUAGUUAAUUUCCAUUUGGCGCUUUUUAGCGUGACCUAAACUAUCAGGUUGUUUUCAGAACUAUUUAGGGCAAAUGACCCAUGGUCGAUUUUCUUCGAGCCACUAUGAACCCACUCGACUCAAUGGCGACUCUCGAUUGUCGUGAAAAUCUCGAUGAUUCAAUUACGGACACAGGGCACCAAAACGAUAGUAAAAUCAAAUUUGUGUCGGUCGAUGAGAAUUUCCCAAUUUAGUGGAGUCACCCACGAUCGGCCAAACAUCUCAGUCAAACAGAUCUAUCUCUGAUCUCAAAUGGAUUUUUUUAACUGUGCCGUAAUGGCCUCUAAAGACAAUCACGGUCAAGAAGCCGAUUCUUAGUCGAAUUCUCUAGUCUAUUUGCCUUAAAGUCGUUAAUAGCUUCUCCAAAUAGUCUAGUUAUCUCGAGAGUGAUUAGCUCUGAGAACAACCUAUAGACGCGUCAAUGAAAUGCUCGAUUAAUUCAAUAGAAAACAGAUCUGAAAAUUCAGGAUGUCACAACCUCACCCAGCUAAGGCGAAGCCGAGCCUCGCACAACCACAAUAAGGCUUGGCCUCCUUAGCCAGCGCGAGGCUCGCCUGGCCACCGGCAAGGCUCGGCCUCGCCCAGAUCUGGUGAGGCCGAGGCUCGCCGUGGACAGGCUGGCCUUCGGCGAGCUUGUCAGACCUCACCCAGGCGGUGGUCGGCGACUGGCCAAAGAGAAAAGGAAAAAGGAAAAGAUAAGAAAAUAUAAUAAAAGAAUUAAAAACUCUAACAAUCAUGCCAAACUUAUUUUUGUACUGAGACUAGAAAUUUUGGAAAGUUACCAAAUGAGUUCUUUUGCUCAGAAAUUGUUCUUGAGAUGAGAAUAAAAAAAAAAACCAUUUAUGAUAAAAAUUAUUCUCUAGAACAGAAUUGUUACCAAACGUGGCUCUAAGUUUCUACCUUAUGGGAUAAAAGUUGUGAAAAUAUCCAGCCUCUCCUUUAUUGAAGGAAAAUCAUAGAACAUAAGUUGAGCCAGCUAGGUCUCAAAAGUGUGAUCUGCUGCUUCUCAUCAAAUGCAACACAUAACUAGACAAUGAUAAAAUAAAGAAAAAGCAUCCUUGGAAAGAAAAUUGAAUUAGAAUUAUUAGUAGAUAGAUGAACCCAUGAACCUUGCGCAAAACAAGAGAGCACUUCAUGCAGCAAAUGUCAUGAUGACUAAGAAAUUGCAUGUGCUCGAUGUAACAAGCCUCAAACGAUCAGAAUCAGUUGAUGCCAUUAUAAAGGCUCAAUACCAGCAUAAUACAUGUCUUGCAAGCUACUUCAACAACUGAAAAGUAAUUUAUGCAAUCCCAUCAUUUGUUACCUACUUUUUGAUACAUAUGUAGUCAAUAUUGUGCAUCCAAUGUUAAACAGUUCUAAAUCAAGGAAAAGUCAUGUCUAGCAUUUUAUUGUCUAACUUGAAGGUUAUUACAUAGUAUCCAUACUAAAUGCUUCAUAAAAAAUGUUUGUCGAAGUGUUCAUAAUGGCCAUGCAAUUUGCAGUAGCAAUUGAUAGUUAGUGUGCCAUUAGAAGAGAAUACUUUUUGUUCAUAUUAUACAAAAUUAUUACCUUUUUUCCGCCAACACAAACACACCGGUUAAAACUGCAACACCAUCUAAUUCGGUAAAAAAAUGCACCAACGAAUAACAUACCAGUAGUGACUCAUAAAAUUAGAUAGAUUUUACAUGACCACCUUAUAAUUACUUUUGAAUGCAAGAAACUAAAUUCAUUGAUGACAUGAUCAGUGACCCAAUAUUAUCAUGCCCCCUCUUUGAAGUAAUGAAUCAAAUUCAUCGAAAAAGAGAUGGCAAGGUGUUGCAUCUACUGCCUUCAAGAAUAUAUCAGAACCUGUAGUUUUCUAAUUGUCGUUACUAUCAAAUAUUCAAAAUCUCUCCAUUUUGCUGACAAAAUCAACGAUCAUAAAAUCCCGAGGAUUUUCCCUUCGACUGAAACGAAACUCGCGAACCUACUUCAGACAGCUUCACUCUCCUAUAUCUCGGUUCGAAGGUGGAUGGACACAGAUCCCGAACAAUGGAGCAGAGCGAUGAGGAGACUCUGAACACGUAAUCGACUCUAAAGGACGAUCGGAAUAGAAACGACCUGGCAGGGGUAGUGCCGAUUCCUAUCCUCCUUGGUUCCCUUCAGCCGAGCUCUUCGAUGGCCAAAUCCUUUUUCAAGCGAGCGUCCAGCAUCCUCUCCUUCUCGCUCUCGGCUAACUCUCUUUCUCCCUCGUGAAUCUCUCUUCAGCCUAUCUCUCUGCAACUUGCCUCUUCAACGGCCGCCCUCUCGAAGACCGGCGGCAUCUCUCCUCCUCCUGUUAUGCGAACAGGAUCCUCUUGAGGCGAGCAUCCUUU